rnacentral:lncRNA from 1 species
CUCUGAUGGAUUCUGUGAUGACCGCAUCAAGGGAUUUUUUCCGCCUACCGCUCGAAGAGAAGAGAAAGUACAGUAACAUAAUAGGUGGGAAACAUUUCCAGAUGGAAGGGUAUGGAACUGACCAGGUGAAAACUCAAGAUCAAAGACUGGACUGGUCCGAUCGACUGCAUCUUAAAGUGGAGCCAGAGGACGAGAGAAACCUUGCCCAUUGGCCCACACAUCCAAAAUCUUUCAGGUUAUCUGCCAGAUACAUGUAUUCAAAUGGAUCCGUCUUACCUGUCAGUUUUGCAGAAUAGAGCUCAUUUGCUUAUUUAUGUCACUAGUGAUCUAGCCUGGCCUAGAAAAACUUCAUAAAUAAUUACUGCAUGAAAGAAACCAUCGUCAGUAUUACCAUACUAGGAUUAACUGAACUACCCUGGUGGUAUUUGCAGGGAUGACCUGCAUGAGUACACAUUGAGGAGCAAGAGAAUCAAAGACGACAUCCUUCGGGCAAUGGCCAAGCUAUAGAGCUCGAUGAAGAUUGCCUAGUUAACCAGUUUAGAGACAGGGCUUAUUGCUAGAAUCAAUUACUAUCCUCCAUGUCCAAGACCCGAUCGGGUCUUUGGCAUCAAGCCUCACAAUGACGUAUUUGCUCUUACGGUUCUUCUCAUGGACAAAGAUAUCGCUGGACUGCAGGUUCUUAGUGAUAAGAAAAUAGGCAGUUUUCCGAUUAAAUUAAUUCAUGAAUAAAUCAUGAGUAUGAUAUUGACAGUAUUGAUAACACACUGGUUACGAUCUAACAGAGCAUGUACUACGUAUAUAGUAGAAACAUCUACGCAUAUCGCUAGUACUGCUACAACAGAAAGAAACAUGAGAGGGAUAAACGAUGUAUACCCUUCAAUCGGCCAUGCGGCGGCGGUGGCGGCGGCAAUAGCCGCGGCAUCCUCAGCGGCCUUCUUGUCGGCCUCGGCCUUCUCAGCGGCGGCACGGUUGGCGUCGGUCAACAUGGUGAUGACGAAGGUGAUGUGGACGUAGAUGAACAGAAGUGAGCAGUCGCGUAGUGGCUACCCAAAAACCUAAUCGCCCCUCUCCCGUACAGGAUCCGGAGAGGCGGGGUUUCGGAGGCCUGCUCUCCCGUCAACCGUGUACACGGUGAACGGGACGGAGUCGUCGGCGGCAGCAGCAGCAGAGGAACGAUGCGGGCGUGGAGACGGAGAUGCGUUCUGUUUUUUGGCGGCUAGGGUUGGCAGCGCCCCACAUAUAUAUGUGCGGCUGCGCGUGGAGAGACGUGGGUUGAACCCACGUCCAAGUCGGUAGCCCAUGAUCCGACGUCUCAAAUCGUGGCCCCACCUGUCAAAGACUCUCCGUUCCUGACCGGCAAAAAGAAGAGCAUAGGAGUGAGCUCGGCUCGGCUCAAUCCCGCAACCCGCGGCGCGUCGUGACGAGGCGUGGCGUGGCGUGGCGUGGCGAGGCGAGCGGAGGAGGAGGAGUGCGCGAGGGCCUCAUCUCUUCUCAAACUCCAAUAGCAUGAGGAAGAGAAUCCCUUGUAAACCACUCCAAUUCUCCUUCCACUUCCGAUGUGGGACUAAACUUCCCACCACCUUGUCAUGCCACCUACAUGGGCCCUUAGAGAUCAAAUCUGAAAUUGUCAUAUGGGCUCUAGGCCCAUCUCAUAUUUCAACAAUCCCCCACCAGAUCUCAGGGGCCCAGUUUGUCCUUUGUUCCAAACGCUGUUUUGAUAUACCAGCAUCUCAGUGGAGACCGAUUAAGGUUGAGCUCCACCUAGACCAAGUAGUUACACUCCUUCACAACUAAACAAUGGACUAUGCCUUGAAUUGUCAAUUUGGCGUCAAGAAGUUUCACCACAAGUCUCACUGAUACGAGGUUGCCGAAGGCCGACCCCUCGGGUGGAGCAUAUUAGUCACAAUUCUGGCCUGUUCAUGAGCUUGCUAGAGAUCACCCCAAUCUCAUAGACUGUGACCAGCAGUCGGGCUCAUAUAGGUGUGUUCCUCCAAAGAUCGCUCUGUAGGAUAGCUUCUUGCUUAUGCAUAUAAGCCUUGGAACACAUUAAGACAGUAGUCAUCCUUCCAUACAGUUUCCGAGAGUAUUGCAUCUCCAACGGAGUGGGUUAGUAAAGUUACUCUCCUCAGUUCACCACUGGCUUGUUUUCCCAGGUCCUACUUCACGGGAUCUCCGAUCACAUAGGUUGGGUUACUACCAUGGCAACUCAUGUGGGUCUCAUACCCAUCUCCCUUGAUGUGUUAUCUAUCACAACAUGUGAUAGCCCUUUAGUAAAGGGAUCUGCCAGAUUCUUAGCCGUUUGAAUAUAAUCCAACGCUAUCACUCCGGAGUUCCUCAAUUUUCAGACAGCUUUCAAUCUCAUUCUUAUGUGUUUGUUGGACUUCAUCUUGUCCUUUGAACUCUUCACCUUGACAAUAACUGUUUGAUUGUCAUAGUUCAUAAGGAUGGCCAGAACCGGCUUCUCAACCACUGGCAAGUCCAUCAACAGAUCUCGAAGCCAUUCUGCUUCGCCACUCGAUGUGUCUAAUGCUGUUAAUUCUGCUUCCAUUGUCGAUCUUGUUAAGAUCGUUUGCUUGCAAGACUUCCAGGAAACAGCACCACCUCCAAGAGUAAAUAUAUACCCAGUUGUGGCCUUCAUCUCAUCAGCAUCAGAGAUCCAAUUCGCAUCACUAUACCCUUCAAGUACCGACGGGUAUCUGGUAUAGUGAAGUCCAUAGUUCAUAGUACCUUUCAGAUAGCGCAUAACUCUCUCAAGAGCACGCCAAUGUACAUCACCCGGUUUGGAAACAAAUCGGCUCAGUUUGCUAAUAGCAAAUGCGAUGUCAGGCCUCGUUGCGCUUGCUAGAUACUGUAGUGAACCAACAAUCUGAGAGUAUCUCAAUUGAUCUAUAGCUGUGCCUUUAGACUUUUGAAUCAGCACACUAGAAUCAUAUGGUGUUUGAGAUGGUUUGCAGUCCGAAUAUCCAAAACGACUCAACACCUUCUCAACAUAAUGGGAUUGCAAAAGUGUAAUCCCACCCUCAUCAUCUCUCAAUAGCUUGAUGUUCAAGAUAACAUCAGCCACUCCAAGGUCCUUCAUCUCAAAGUUCUGAGAUAGGAAAGACUUAACCUCCUCGAUCAACUUGAGAUUAGUCCCAAAUAUCAGUAUGUCAUCAACAUACAAACACAGUAUAACUCCUUCGCCCCCACCAUAGCGAUAGUAUACACAUUUGUCAGCCUCAUUAACAACAAAGCCAACAGAUGCCAACGUUUCAUUAAACUUGUCAUGCCAUUGCUUAGGCGCUUGUCUCAGGCCAUACAAAGAUUUCACCAACUUACACACCUUUCCUUCCUGACCAUCCAUCACAAAGCCAUCAGGCUGUUGCAUAUAGAUUCCUCCUUUAGCUCUCCGUUCAGGAAAGCCGUCUUAACAUCCAUCUGAUGAAUGUGAAGACCAUGCGAGGCCGCCAACGAGAGUAAUACUCGAAUGGUGGUCAGUCUGGCCACAGGUGAAUAAGUGUCGAAGAAAUCUUCUUCUUCUUUCUGGGCGUAGCCCUUGGCCACAAGCCUAGCCUUGUACUUUUCUAUCGUACCAUCGGGUCUAAGCUUCUUCUUGAACACCCACUUGCAUCCCAAUGGUUUGCAACCAUAAGGACGUUCAGUAAGCUCCCAAGCCCCGUUAGCCAUGAUGGAAUCCAUCUCGCUACGGACCGCAUCCUUCCAGUAGUCAGCUUCUGGAGAUGCAUACGCUUCUGAAAUAGAAGUGGGAUUGUCCUCCACGAGGUAUAUGAAGAAAUCAUCACCAAAGGUCUUUACAGUCCUUUGUCUCUUGCCCCUACCAAGGGAUUCCUCAUUAUCCUCCUCAGGAUUUUCAUCAUGUGUUUGAUUAUAAUAUUCCAUCGGAAUGGCAGGUUCAGGAGUCUCCUCAGAUUCCUGUCUAGAAGUGCUUUGUACAUCUCUCAUGGGAAAAAUAUCCUCAAAGAAUGUAGCAUCUUUAGACUCCAUAAUUGCACCGACUUUCAUGUCAGCUACCUCAGAUUUCACUACUAGAAAUCUAUAGCCAUCACUAUUCAUAGCGUAGCCCAAAUUAACACAGUCCACAGUCUUUGGUCCAAGCUUACGCUUUUGGGGGAUCGGCACAUUAACUUUUGCCAAGCAGCCCUAGGUACGUAAGUACGAGAGUGUUGUCCUUCUCUUGGUCCACUUCUCGUAAGGAGUGAUCUCCUUAUCCUUUGUCGGAACUUUAUUCAGGACAUGACAGGAUGUCAUUAUAGCCUCCCCCCACCAUGACUUGGAUAAACCCGACGUAUCUAACAUGGCGUUAACCAAAUCAGUUAGAGUACGGUUUUUCCGCUCGGCAACCCCGUUUGACUGGGGUGAGUAAAGAGGCGUCCUCUCGUGAAUAAUGCCGUGUUCCGCACAAAAGGCAUCAAACUCUUUCGAGAAGUACUCUCCACCAUGAUCUGACCAGACUCGUUUAAUUUUUCUUUUCAAAUUGAUUCUCAACUUCUACCUUAUAGAUUUUGAAGUAGUGUAGAGCCUCAUCUUUAGUAUUUCACAGAUAAACAUAGCAAUAUCUAGUGGAAUCAUCUAUCAAAGUCAUGAAAUAUUUCUUUCCACCUUUAGUCAACACACCAUUCAUCUCACAAAGAUCAGAAUGUAUGAGUUCCAGUGGCGCCAAGUGUCUCUCCUCUGCUGCCUUGUGAGGCUUGCGAGGUUGCUUAGAUUGCACACACGAAUGGCACUUAGAACCUUUGGCUAAAGUGAAACUCGGGAUUAAAUUCGAUUUUGCUAGCCGCGUCAUAACACCGAAACUAAUGUGACAAAGACGUGAAUGCCAUACUUCAGAUUCAUUAACACUCAAAUGAAUAUUGUUCACGACUUUAUUACAUAGAUCUGCAAGAGAAAGGCGGAACAUGCCUCCGCAUUCAUAACCCUUUCCAACAAAUAGUCCAUAUUUCGUAACAACUAAUUUAUUAGACUCGAAUACCAACUUAAACCCUUCUCUACAUAGAAGGGAGCCACUAACGAGGUUCUUCUUGAUGGUGGGGACAUGCUGCAUGUUCUUCAGUUGCACGAUCCUUCCUGAAGUAAACUUCAGAUUGACCGUGCCAACACCAAGAACAGAAGCACUCGCGCCAUUCCCCAUCAGUACGGACCCGUGACCUGUGGCCUGGUAAGAAGAAAACAAUGAAAUGUCAGCACACACAUGAACACCUGCACCUGUGUCGACCCACCAAUCGGUGGACGGCCAAACCGAAAAUACAACAAAUUAAUUACCGUACCCAGAUGCACCACCCUCAUUGUUGCUCAUAAUCAUAUUGACAGACUUGGAGUCCUGCCCUUGCUUCUUAUACUUGUUUGGGCACUCGUUGGCCCAAUGCUCAAGCGAACCACAAGUAAAGCAGCCCUCAUCCUUCUUGUUCUUCUUGAAGGUCUUCUUACCCUUCUUCUUAAAGUCGGCACUCUGUUGGACACCGUUCUUUCCCUUGGGCUUGUGGGAAUUGGAGUUCUUCUGAUGCACCAUGUUGGCCAUAGAAGUUCCUUCGACCCCUUUUCCGUGCGAGUCCUUUGCCCUUGAAUUCUGCCCAACACUUAGAUGGCCAAUGACAUCCUCCACAGAGAAUUCACGCCUCUGAUGUUUCAGAGUGGUGGCAAAGUUCCUCCAGGAAUUAGGAAGCUUAGCGAUUAUGCAGCCCGCGACAAACUUGCCCGGUAACUCGCACUUAAGAAGCUCAAGCUCCUUAACAAUGCAUAUUAUCUCAUGAGCCUGCUCCAAUACAGGACGGUUUUCAACCAUCUUGUAAUCAUGGAACUGCUCUAUAAUAUACAUCUCGCUCCCUGCAUCGGCAGCCCCGAACAUAGAUUCGAGCGCCUCCCACAAGUCCUUGGCAGACCGCACAUGCAAGUAUGCGUCAACCUGCUUAUCUCCAAUCACGCUCAGAACUGCCCCGAGGAACACGACAGUGGCCUCCUUGAACGCCUUCUCCUGAUCAGGAGCGAUCGUUCCUGUGGGAGUCACACCGGCGACCCAGAACACGUUCAUGGCAGUGAGCCAUAAGGUGGUUUUAGUCUGCCAACGCUCAAAGUACGUCCCCGUAAACGGCGACGGUUUCAGUGCAGCAGGAAAACCAGAAUUCGAAAAACUCCUACACAAAUUAGGUUUUUGGAUUGAUAAGAAAAUAGGCAGUUUUCCGAUUAAAUUAAUCCAUGAAUAAAUCAUGAGCAUGACAUUGACAGUAUUGAUAACACACUGGUUACGAUCUAACAAAGCAUGUACUACGCAUAUAGUAGAAACAUCUAUGCAUAUCGCUAGUACUGCUACAACAGAAAGAAACAUGAGAGGGAUAAACGAUGUAUACCCUCCAAUCGGCCAUGCGGCGGCGGUGGCGGCGGCAGUAGCCGCGGCAUCGUCGGCGGCCUUCUUGUCGGCCUCGGCCUUCUCAGCGGCGGCACGGUCGGCGUCGGUCGACAUGGUAAUGACGAAGGUGAUGUGGACGUAGAUGAACAGAAGCGAGCAGUCGCGUAGUCGCUACCCAAAAACCUAAUCGCCCCUCUCCCGUACAGGAUCCGAAGAGGCGGUGUUUCGGAGGCCUGCUCUCCCGUCAACCGUGUAUGCGGUGAAUGGGACGGAGUCGCCGGCGGCAGCAGCAGCAGAGGAACGACGCGGGCGUGGAGGCGGAGAUGCGUUCUGUUUUUUGGCGGCUAGGGUUGGCAGCGCCCCACAUAUAUAUGUGCGGCUGCACGUGGAGAGACGUGGGCUGAACCCACGUCCAAGUCGGUAGCCCACGAUCCGACGUCUCAGAUCGUGGCCCCACCUGUCAAAGACUCUUCGUUCCUGACCGGCAAAAAGAAGCGCAUAGGAGUGAGCUCGGCUCGGCUCAAUCCUGCAACUCGCGGCGCGGCAUGACGAGGCGUGGCGUGGCGAGGCGAGCGGAGGAGGAGGAGUGCGCGAGGGCCUCAUCUCUUCUCAAGCUCCAAUAGCAUGAGGAAGAGAAUCCCUGGUAAACCACUCCAACUCUUCUUCCACUUCCGGGGUGGGACUAAACUUCCCACCACCUUGUCAUGCCACCUACAUGGGCCCUUAGAGAUCAAAUCUGAAAUUGUCAUAUGGGCUCUAGGCCCAUCUCAUAUUUCAACAAUCCCCCACCAGAUCUCAGGGGCCCAGUUUGUCCUUUGUUCCAAACGCUGUUUUGAUAUACCAGCAUCUCAGUGGAGACCGAUUAAGGUUGAGCUCCACCUAGACCAAGUAGUUACACUCCUUCACAACUGAACAAUGGACUAUGCCUUGAUCUGUCAGUUUGGCAUCAAGAAGUUUCACCACAAGUCUCACUGAUACGAGGUUGCCGAAGGCCGACCCCUCGGGUGGAGCAUAUUAGUCACAAUCCUGGCCUGUUCAUGAGCUUGCUAGAGAUCACCCCAAUCUCAUAGACUGUGACCAGCAGUCGGGCUCAUAUAGGUGUGUUCCUCCAAAGAUUGCUCUGUAGGAUAGCAUCUUGCUUAUGCAUAUAAGCCUUGGAACACAUUAAGACAGUAGUCAUCCUUCCAUACAGUUUCCGAGAGUAUUGCAUCUCCAACGGAGUGGGUUAGUAAAGUUACUCUCCUCAGUUCACCACUGGCUUGUUUUCCCAGGUCCUACUUCACGGGAUCUCCGAUCACAUAGGUUGGGAUACUACCAUGGCAACUCAUGUGGGUCUCAUACCCAUCUCCCUUGAUGCGUUAUCUACCACAAGUCGUGAUAGCCCUUUAGUAAAGGGAUCUGCCUGAUUCUUAGCCGUUUGAAUAUAAUCCAACGCUAUCACUCUGGAGUUCCUCAAUUUUCUGACAACUUUCAAUCUCAUUCUUAUGUGUUUGUUGGACUUCAUGUUGUCCUUUGAACUCUUCACCUUGACAAUAACUGUUUGAUUGUCACAGUUCAUAAGGAUGGCCGGAACCGGCUUCUCAACCACUGGCAAGUCCAUCAACAGAUCUUGAAGCCAUUCUGCUUCGCCACCCGAUGUGUCUAAUGCUGUUAAUUCUGCUUCCAUUGUCGAUCUUGUUAAGAUCGUUUGCUUGCAAGACUUCCAGGAAACAGCACCACCUCCAAGGGUAAAUAUAUACCCAGUUGUGGCCUUCAUCUCAUCAGCAUCAGAGAUCCAAUUCGCAUCACUAUACCCUUCAAGUACCGACGGGUAUCCGGUAUAGUGAAGUCCAUAGUUCAUAGUACCUUUCAGAUAGCGCAUAACUCUCUCAAGAGCACGCCAAUGUACAUCACCCGGUUUGGAAACAAAUCGGCUCAGUUUGCUAAUAGCAAAUGCGAUGUCAGGCCUCAUUGCGCUCGCUAGAUAUUGUAGUGAACCAACAAUCUGAGAGCAUCUCAAUUGAUCUAUAGCUGUGCCUUUAGACUUUCAAAUCAGCACACUAGAAUCACAUGGUGUUUGAGAUUGUUUGCAGUCCGAAUAUCCAAAACGACUCAACACCUUCUCAACAUAAUGGGAUUGCAAAAGUGUAAUCCCACCCUCAUCAUCUCUCAAUAGCUUGAUGUUCAAGAUAACAUCCCCCACUCCAAGGUUCUUCAUCCCAAAGUUCUGAGAUAGGAAAGACUUAACCUCCUCGAUCAACUUGAGAUUAGUCCCAAAUAUCAGUAUGUCAUCAACAUACAAACACAGUAUAACUCCUUCGCCCCCACCAUAGCGAUAGUAUACACAUUUGUCAGCCUCAUUAACAACAAAGCCAACAGAUGCCAACGUUUCAUUAAACUUGUCAUGCCAUUGGUUAGGCGCUUGUCUCAGGCCAUACAAAGAUUUCACCAACUUACACACCUUUCCUUCCUGACCAUCCAUCACAAAGCCAUCAGGCUGUUGCAUAUAGAUUCCUCCUUUAGCUCUCCGUUCAGGAAAGCCGUCUUAACAUCCAUCUGAUGAAUGUGAAGACCAUGCGAGGCCGCCAACGAGAGUAAUACUCGAAUGGUGGUCAGUCUGGCCACAGGUGAAUAAGUGUCGAAAAAUCUUCUUCUUCUUUCUGGGCGUAGCCCUUGGCCACAAGCCUAGCCUUGUACUUUUCUAUCGUACCAUCGGGCCUAAGCUUCUUCUUGAACACCCACUUGCAUCCCAAUGGUUUGCAACCAUAAGGACGUUCAGUAAGCUCCCAAGUCCCGUUAGCCAUGAUGGAAUCCAUCUCGCUACGGACCGCAUCCUUCCAGUAGUCAGCUUCUGGAGAUGCAUACGCUUCUGAAAUAGAAGUGGGAUUAUCCUCCACGAGGUAUAUGAAGAAAUCAUCACCAAAGGUCUUUACAGUCCUUUGUCUCUUGCCCCUACCAAGGCAUUCCUCAUUAUCCUCCUCAGGAUUUUCAUCAUGUGUUUGAUUAUAAUAUUCCAUCGGAAUGGCAGGUUCAGGAGUCUCUUUAGAUUUCUCUCUAGAAGUGCUUUGUACAUCUCUCAUGGGAAAAAUGUUCUCAAAGAAUGUAGCAUCUUUAGACUCCAUAAUUGUACCGACUUUCAUGUCAGGUACCUCAGAUUUCACUACUAGAAAUCUAUAGCCAACACUAUUCAUAGCGUAGCCCAAAUUAACACAGUCCACAGUCUUUGGUCCAAGCUUACGUUUUUUGGGGAUCGGCACAUUAACUUUCGCCAAGCAGCCCUAGGUACGUAAGUACGAGAGUGUUGUCCUUCUCUUGGUCCACUUCUCGUAAGGAGUGAUCUUGUUAUCCUUUGUCGGAACUUUAUUCAGGACAUGACAGGAUGUCAUUAUAGCCUCCCCCCACCAUGCCUUGGAUAAACCCGACGUAUCUAACACGGCGUUAACCAAAUCAGUUAGAGUACGGUUUUUCCGCUUGGCAACCUCGUUUGACUGGGGUGAGUAAGGAGGCGUCCUCUCGUGAAUAAUGCUGUGUUCCGCACAAAAGGCAUCAAACCCUUUCGAGAAGUACUCUCCACCACGAUCUGACCGGACUCGUUUAGUUUUCUUUUCAAGUUGAUUCUCAACUUCUGCCUUAUAGAUUUUGAAGUAGUGUAGAGCCUCAUCUUUAGUAUUUAACAGAUACACAUAGCAAUAUCUAGUGGAAUCAUCUAUCGAAGUCAUGAAAUAUUUCUUUCCACCUUUAGUCAACACACCAUUCAUCUCACAAAGAUCAGAAUGUAUGAGUUCCAGUGGCGCCAAGUGUCUCUCCUCUGCUGCCUUGUGAGGCUUGCGAGGUUGCUUAGAUUGCACACACGAAUGGCACUUAGAACAUUUGGCUAAAGUGAAACUCGGGAUUAAAUUCGAUUUUGCUGGCCGCGUCAUAACACCGAAACUAAUGUGACAAAGACGUGAAUGCCAUACUUCAGAUUCAUUAACACUCAAAUGAAUAUUGUUCACGACUUUAUUACAUAGAUCUGCAAGAGAAAGGCGGAACAUGCCUCCGCAUUCAUAACCCUUUCCAACAAAUAGUCCAUAUUUCGUAACAACUAAUUUAUUAGACUCGAAUACCAACUUAAACCCUUCUCUACAUAGAAGGGAGCCACUAACAAGGUUCUUCUUGAUGGUGGGGACAUGCUGCACGUUCUUCAGCUGCACGAUCCUUCCUGAAGUAAACUUCAGAUCGACCGUGCCAACACCAAGAACAGAAGCACUCGCGCCAUUCCCCAUCAGUACGGACCCGUGACCUGUGGCCUGGUAAGAAGAAAACAAUGAAAUGUCAGCACACACAUGAACACCUGCACCUGUGUCGACCCACCAAUCGGUGUACGGCCAAACUGAAAAUACAGCAAAUAAAUUCCUUGGGCUUGUGGUAAUUGGAGUUCUUCUGAUGCACCAUGUUGGCCACAGAAGUUCCUUCGAACCCUUUUCCGUGCGAGUCCUUUGCCCUUGAAUUCUGCUCAACACUCAGAUGGCCAAUGACAUCAUCCACAGAGAAUUCACGCCUCUGAUGUUUCAGAGUGGUGGCAAAGUUCCUCCAGGAAUUGGGAAGCUUAGCCAUUAUGCAGCCCGCGACAAGCUUGCCCGGUAACUCGCACUUAAGAAGCUCAAGAUCCUUAACAAUGCAUAUUAUCUCAUGAGCCUGCUCCAAUACAGGACGGUUUUCAACCAUCUUGUAAUCACGGAACUGCUCUAUAAUACACAUCUCGCUCCCUGCAUCGGCAGCCCCGAACUUAGAUUCAAGCGCCUCCCACAAGUCCUUGGCAGACCGCACAUGCAAAUAUGCGUCAACCAGCUUAUCUCCAAUCAUGCUCAGAACUGCCCCGAGGAACACGACAGUGGCCUCCUUGAACGCCUUCUCCUGAUCAGGAGCGAUCGUUCCUGUGGGAGUCACACCGGCGACCCAGAACACGUUCAUGGCAGUGAGCCAUAAGGUGGUUUUAGUCUGCCAACGCUUAAAGUAUGUCCCCGUAAAUGGCGACGGUUUUAGUGCAGCAGCAAAACCAGAAUCCGAAAAACUCCUACAUAAAUUAGGUUUUUGGAUUGAUAAGAAAAUAGGCAGUUUUCCGAUUAAAUUAAUCCAUGAAUAAAUCAUGAGCAUGACAUUGACAGUAUUGAUAACACACUGGUUACGAUCUAACAGAGCAUGUACUACGCAUAUAGUAGAAACAUCUACGUAUAUCGCUAGUACUGCUACAACAAAAAGAAACAUGAGAGGGAUAAACGAUGUAUACUCUCCAAUCGGCCAUGCGGCGGCGGUGGCGGCGGCAGUAGCCGCGGCAUCCUCGGCGGCCUUCUUGUCGGCCUCGGCCUUCUCAGCGGCGGCACGGUCGGCGUCGGUCGACAUGGUGAUGACGAAGGUGAUGUGGACGUAGAUGAACAGAAGCGAGCAGUCGCGUAGUCGCUACCCAAAAAUCUAAUCGCCCCUCUCCCGUACAGGAUCCGGAGAGGCGGGGUUUCGGAGGCCUGCUCUCCCGUGAACCGUGUACGCAGUGUACAGGACGGAGUCGCCGGCGGCAGCAGCAGCAGAGGAACGACGCGGGCAUGGAGGCGGAGAUGCGUUCUGUUUUUUGGCGGCUAGGGUUGGCAGCGCCCCACAUAUAUAUGUGCGGCUGCGCGUGGAGAGACGUGGGCUGAACCCACGUCCAAGUCGGUAGCCCAUGAUCCGACGUCUCAGAUCGUGGCCCCACCUGUCAAAGACUCUCCGUUCCUGACCGGUAAAAAGAAGCGCAUAGGAGUGAGCUCGGCUCAAUCCCGCAACCCGCGGCACGGCGCGGCGAGCGGAGGAGGAGGAGGAGUGCGCGAGGGCCUCAUCUCUUCUCAAGCUCCAAUAGCAUGAGGAAGAAAAUCCUUUGUAAACCACUCCAACUCUCUUUCCACUUCCGGGAUGGGACUAAACUUCCCACCACCUUGUCAUGCCACCUACAUGGGCCCUUAGAGAUCAAAUCUGAAAUUGUUAUAUGGGCUCUAGGCCCAUCUUAUAUUUCAACACUUAGAGAUGAAACAUGGUACAACGUUCCACCUAUGUCUAACCACACCUUGCUGAUCAAUGUUGGUGUUACAAUGGAGGUAGCCAUCGCUAAACCGCUAGUAAAUUUGUCACAUAUUUACAUCGAUACUGAUACACUCAGGUUAUUUUUUUUACGCAGAUAAUGACCAAUGGGGUCUUCAAAGGACCAAUACAUAGGGUUGUGACUAAUUCUGAGAAAGAUAGGAUCUCAGUGGCCUUGUUCUAUGGUCUGGAUCCUGAAAAGGAGUUUGGACCGAUAGCGGAGAUGUUGACUGAGAACCAACCAACACGAUACAUGAACAUGAAGCCCAAGGACCUCCUAGUCGCGCACUAUGAACAUUUCAGUCGUGGAGAGAGAGUUGUCAAUUCGUUAAAGAUAUGACCAAAGGUUACUUUACUUUGUACACAUGGAAAAUGAAUAUUGCAUGCAUCGAUUAGUUGAAGAUAUAAGCAAGGUAACUUUGCUACUGUAAGGCAAUAAAUCUCGUGAAAAUAAAGAUAUUGGAGAGCAAUGAUUCGGUGCCCAGGCUCAUGUGCACACUUGAUGGAAAAAAAAUUCAAAACAAAUAUUUAAAAAAUCAAACAAUUCCUUUUUUUGCAUGAUAGAUAAUUUGGUGCGUGAGGUCCGCUCUAAUUUUGAGACCAUUUGGACAUCUGAAUAGCUCUCGACAAAAAAGACAAAUUUGGGGUCUAUAAAAAAGUUUAUUGUUCAUGUAUUGUUUUGACCCAAUUUGUCUUUUUUGCUGAGAGCUACUCAUAUGUCCAAACGAUCUAAAAUUUAGAGCGCAUCAAAUUAUCUAUCAUUUAAAAAAGGAUUAUUUUUUACUUUUUUGUAUUUUUUGUGAAUUUUUUCUUGACCAGUGUAGAUGAGCCUGGGCUCGGUAAUGGAUAUUCGAAGAAUUUGAUCCUAUUUAUGUUUCAGUUUGGGUUAACUUGUUCUGUGGUAAAUUUGGCUAUAUGCACACCUUCAGAAUUCAGAUUCAGUAAGCCCAAGUGUGUCCUCCCUUUCUACAUAACUUCUUUCACUUUGGUAGAUGGUGUGGGGCGUAGGGGGGAGGCUCCUCACCUGAAUAAAUUUCAAAUUUUGCAACGCUUGUCCAAGGGCAUCCAUGAAUUCCAGAGGUUGUUGAUCUUCCAAAGCAUGAUGAUAAGAUAAUAAGCAGAACGAGGUUGUUAUUGAUGGUAGAUGGCAUGUCCAAGGGCAUGCAUGAAUUCCAGAGGCCGCUCAUUGGGUUGAACUUGGGCCGGAUGGAGAUGGCACGCCAGAUGCGUCGAGCGGUCGGGCAAGUAAAGAACAGGUGUUGUCGAUCUUCGAGGCAGCUGGAACAAGGUGGGCACGCUGCAGUUGGCAAAAUGUCCUUGCGGUGCAAGUUUACUGUGGUGUUUAGUCUGUCGAGGGAGAAGAGCCAGCCAAAAAAUUUACUCCACUUUGUUUGACACACUUGAUUCCCAAAUGAUGCCGAGUUGUGGGUCUGCUAGCUGUGUGGAUAGUGCAUACUGCAUAGUAGUCUCCUCUAGUAGAGGUGUCACCGUUCAGUAGUCUCAGUUGGUCUGUGGGCUGUGGCAGUGGAGAGCACACAUUCCUGCGGCAAAAAACUCAAGGAGACUAGUUCAUGUGCAUCAAUUGAGGUUAGACGAUUACGAAGACCAAGUUUGAGCCCAUCCUGCAUGAUUGUUGCCACCAUGGCAUUUGGUUGGGUGUGGCUGAACAAGAGUGCGGGAAAGACUACAGCAAGCGAUUCAGGUUUUAGCCAGACAAGCCAAAAGAAAGUCACUGACAAUUAUUCUUCCCUAGAUGGAUAUGUAGAGGUAAGUGAUGCAAGAUCAGGUCUUUCCAAGGCAAUUAAGCUUGGUGGAUGCAGGAACUUGUAAGCGAAUUUCCGCACGAGGCAAAAGUUUUGUGCAUCCAUGUUUUUCACCUCCUAACCCACCUGAAAUCUUAGGAGUGCAAAUUUUGUCCCACGCACAUGAACAAAAUUCUCAACAGAAAAAUAGACGAUUAAGACGUUAUCCGCUCAUUUUCAUGGGCUGCAUUGCUAGUUGUUGAUAGAAACAUCACAAUGAACUCCAGGGUGGAAACACAACAACACAGAUUAAGUUCCAAAUCACAACCAUAGUUUUUGUGAGAAAAGAAGACACCAAAGUGUACUUGCACAUUACAGACCCUCCAGGGGCCGAAAUGAUACUCAAAGUGACGAGACGAUCGACUACUAAAAUCAAAGUUGUCGAGGAGAGCUCCCUAGCUAGCUAGGCAGGAGCAGUACUAGCUAUGGUGGCUUUGAUCGAUCGGGUGUAGCAGGGGGCAACUCUCCGCCGUUCUCCAGGAAUAGCAUUGCAGCAGCCAUUGAAGGCCGUUGGCUCUCAUCUAGGUCACAACACUGGAGGGCGAGGACAAUCACGCGCUCCAUCUCUAUCUUGUCAAACUGGCCAUCCAGCUUCUUGUCGGCAGCAUCACUCACAAAUGUUUCUGGCUGAUCUCUAUGGAGCUUCCGGAGAAGGUCCGGGUUAUUUUCUCCAUGCAAUAUCUCUAGCAGGACGAUCCCAAAGCUGUAGACGUCGGAGCUAGGGCGCAGCUUGACCUGUCCAUGUUUCUUGCACAGUGGAUCCAUGUAGUCCACGGUCCCAACGGCCACUGCCGUAAUCAGUGAUGUGUCGUCGUCGUAUUGGGCGACCCUCGACAGCCCAAAGUCGCCAAGCUUGGCAUUGAAAUCAUGGUCCAGGAGUAUGUUGCUUGGUUUGAUAUCUCUGUGCAAGAUGCAUGGCUUGCAUAGGUGGUGGAGGUAAUGAAGAGCGGACCCUAUGCCCUUCACUAUUUUGUACCUGCAAUAUUUUUCCACACACAGCACAUAUCAUUUUGUUGGGUUCCACGACAUACGAUUUUAUCAAAGAGUUUUCUUUUUUUGAAAGACAAAAACAGAAGAUAUAUAGGAGCGACAACAGCAACCAUGCAUGCACUCGAACCCUGAUAUUGAUAUAGACAUGCAAUCAUACCAUGGACCCAUGCAUGUUACUACAACUGAAGGAAAAAAAAAUGAAACGAAAGUUGAACUAAAACUACGAUAAGUAUUUUGAAACAGAGAGAAUACUAAGUAUGUCUCCGGGCCGGCCAUACCUCCUUGCCCAUGACAGUACUUCAGGCCUUUCGUGCAGGUGCUCGUGGAGGUUGCCAUUAGGCACAAGUUCAUUUUUUUUUUCGAAAAGGGGGGGAUCCCCGGCCUCUGCAUCAGCAUGAUGCAUACGGCCAUCUUAUUAACAAUAAAUCAUCCACAAGGUAGGCACAAGUUCAUAGACGAGGAAGAGCUUGACGUUCUGUCUGUGCAAGCACCAAAACAUGAAAUUGUUUAUGCUGCAGCACCAGCCUUCGAGCCUGACCACGUUACCGUGGCCCGUUCGGCCGACGGCGUCCAGCUCUGCGAGGAAGUCCUUGAAUUCUCCCCUCGAGUCCUUGAGGAUCUUCUUCACGGCCACCGGUUGGUCGGCCUUGAGGCUCCCACUGUAUACCACGCCGAAGCCACCGGCUCCGAUCUUCUUCUUGUCGGAGAAUCCGUCGGUGGCGGUGGACACUUCGCGGUACUCGAAUCGUUUAAGACGAGUUCCGGUCCCAAAGGAAUCGCGCGUGCGUGUCCACCUACACCAUGAUAGGAUUGACCAAAUUAUCACCACCAGGGCCAACGCAACAACGACGGCUCCUCCGAUGAUCAAUGAAUUGUCACGACCUGUUGAAGGAAAGCAAUGCAAAAUUAAGCCUGGAUAUCUCGUCUGCAAGCUGCGAUGACAUCGCCGAUACAGGGCACUUUCAGAAAAAGACACGAGAAAUAUAGGAUCAAUAUAUGUUGAAGCUGGUUCCCUACCUUUGGUAGCGUGCACUUGGCCUUGCUCUGGUUGGACAUUGUUAGCCCAUGUAGGUGUUUCCGUAGGUGUUUCUGUAUGUGUUUCUGUAGGUGAUAAGUACCCGAAAUUCCAUGUAUACAUGUGUAUAUACUGAAACAUGACAUUCGUCUAUGAUAUGCUAGCUGCUUUUGUUUUACUAGUAGUAACUAGCAGUAUUUCUGGAAAUUCGGAAAAUCCGUACGUACCUCUGGCUCUCGGUGCCAUAGUUGAGUUGAAUGACCAAGAGUGUAUCUGAUGCAGCUCAGUGUUUCCACCGGUGGCCGCAGAGAACCCAACCGCCACCACCGGAGGGAGCAAGGCAUCGAGAGGAUCAGGCAACUGCGUCUUCACCCGAGCGGCGGCAAGAGAAUGAUUGGAAUAAUCAAAGUGCAGGAUGGCCUCCAGCGUCCGGGUGGUGUUGACAAAAGUGAUGGUCGCCGUCAUGGUGCCAUUGAGGCUGUAGCUGGGCAACCUGGUGGUGCUCACCGAGGUGACGGAGCUGAGGUCGAUGCCGAUGUGAUCGGAGGCUCCCGUGGGAUCCCAUGGGUUGCUGUAAGUGUCGAACUCAACGGCGACGAACCGGUCUUCGCCGACGGCGCUAGUGUCGCUACUGCUGAUGAGGCCAAGGAGAUUGCUGGACGACUCCGGCGGUAAUCUUGACGGGUAGGUGGAGAGGAAGAAGGUCAGGCCGUCCCCCUUCUUGGUCCUGUUGGGUAUCAAGUGAAUGGCGAAGAUGAAGGUUGUGGCGAAGCUGGCCACUUCGCCGGUGCUCUUGUCGUACAAGGGAAUCGGGUGGUUGUACGACAUCCGGCCCUUGCAGUAAUAGCUCUCCUUGGACUCUACGGAGUUGCAGGUGAGGUCGACCAGGUCACCGUUCAGGGCGGCGUCGCCCUCGAACCGGAGGUCUUGUAAACUGUAGUCGGAGGUGUUUGCGAAGUCGAAGCUGAAGGAAAGCGGCGGCGCCGGUGAGGCGGUUGCCGCGUGGGCAAUGACGACAUGAUCGUGGGAUAGGAGGAAAGAGAACAAGCAGCCGGCGAGGAUGAUGCCGAGACGUGAGGUUGCAGGCGAGACGACCACCAUAAUUCCAGCCACUCGAGUAGUCUAACUUUUGGCUAGGCCCGCUCGCUCAUGGAUCCACCACCUCCGGCUACUCACUAUUCUAGCCACGUGACCACGUCCCGCUUUAAUAGAUGUGCUAGGGGGUGUUUGGUUGCCCUGCCCAACCAGACUUGCGUGGGAACAAAAUACAUAAGCUGUUCUGUGUCCACAGUUUGGCCCGCAUCGCAUGAUGUUUAAAGUAGCUUCUAGUCAAGUCUGCUAGAAACUGCCAAAUCAGCAGUUUCAGCCAGCCAGUCUGAGUUGACCCACAUCAAGCGCACAUGAUAGCCCCCUUGCACGAGAGUAUGCCAAUGCGAUGCGAGCUAGUAUACACUGGUGUUGUCCACGACGUCGUUCCUUUCGGCCUCCUCGCGGUGCCCUACUACACGGAUGCCGUCCCUGACGUCGUUCCUUUCGGCCUCCUCUUCCUCGUCCUACUACACUCACGCUGUCAUGGGGCGCACACUGCAAUUUUUCUUCUCUGUCAUCUGCCUCGGCGCCUUUCUAUUCGUCCCUUCGUGCGGACUUUCUCUGUGGAGACGACGCAAGCAACUAGUUUGCCGCGCCGUCGUCAGACAUAGUGGACAUUGGCAGCGGCGCCGCGUUCGAUGGCGGCGUGACAAACUAGUUGCUUAUGUCGUCGCCACCACCGUCCACCGCAGUCGUCAUGGCAUUGUGUAACUCUAUGUGUUAUAUGUAGCUAUUAACUCUUAAUCAUAUCCCGUACACACAACCAAACAUCGUGUAGUUGCAUGUGCCGAGCCAGAGCAGGACACCAAACAGCAUGCCAAAAUUGAUCCCCUAAUGCAGGAAGCCUAGAUGUGGGCUGCCAAACAAUGUUCAGAUGUUGGUUUUUUGCCCGUUUUUGCUCAGUCAGGCUCGACCAAGCCAAGCAUGCAAUGCAUGCAAAUUCGCAUAUGACAACCAAACACGCCCUAGGAGCAUGUGUAGCUAAAGGUGGGAGUUGAUCAAAGUCUCAAAUCCCAUGACUAUUCCCUGUCUGUUUAGUUAUGAAAAAAUAAAGUAGGUGUUUGACACAAAAAGUAAUAACAAACAACGAUGGUUAUUGUGUUAUUAUCUCUCUACGCGCCAGGGGAAAUAAAUAUGCGGGCGUGCUAGUGUACUAAGUACACAAAUAAAAGAUAGGUAAACUUGCACUUUAUUAAUCUCUCAUUUGAGAAACAAAAUUACAAGCUUCCAUUACAUAAGCGCUCCAUGGCCUGCUAGCGCGGCCGAUAUGACUUGGGCGAUGUGAGGUUCUGGUUCACGGGGCCUCGGAAGGCUCCCGAUUAAUUACAUCCGCGAGUCAAAGUCGCGGAGCACCUCCGAUUAAGCUGCUGCAAUGGUCGUCGUCUUCAAGUCUCAUCUUCUCCAUGUGCUCGGUGUAGAUGAUGGUGAUGAUGUGGUGGAAUAGAAGAGUGGAGCGGUACGUCCGUCGCUCCAGCGAUGCUUAGUCACAUCCCUCCGGCUUGUCGAUGUCCGAUGAUGAAGAUGUCUGGCCUCGUCAGCUCAGACAGAUGGUCGGCCUUCGCCUCGUCGGUGCCCAGCCUGGUGGUGUCCGCCUCGUCGGUGUUAGACACGGUGUGUCUUGCCUUCGCCUCGUCGGUGCCCGGCAAGAUAUGGAUAGCUUCAUCGGAAGGAGACAUGCCGGUGAAGUGGCUUCGCCUCGUCGGAGCUUGGACGGGGUUGGGGAAGUGUGUUGAUGUAGAAGUCGGAGUAGAUUCGAGUGUCGCCGGGUGGCGGCGUUGCUUGAAGAUGACAAAAAUGCGAGCUCGUCGAUGUAGACCUCAGACCGUCGUGCCUCGUCGGUCUUGGCAGCGUUGGAAUAUUUGUUGUCGGCGUGGCAUGGGUCGCACUUGGCUUAGACUUCUCGACGGCCGGUUACUUCAUCGGGGUGUGCAAGGGGGUACACCUUGCGGGAGUAAUGGUUUGGGGAGACCGGCGUCAGUGUAAAAACUGACGCACGCUCACAAUGGCGUGGCUGGGGUGGUUGGCGCCUCGUCUUUGCUAGACGCCAAGUAUUAGGCGGUCCGCCAAGACAAAGGUAGUGUUGUAGAGGCCGCGUUGCCUUGGGCUGGUGCUAGGCCAAAGGGUGACCUGUAUGCUGGCAACGCCGUGGACCUGUACGCCAAGGACCUGUUCUCCACGGUAGGUGCACCUCUCGAAGGAGUGACCGGUCUUGUACUGUGUCGCUGCAAACUUUGGUUCGACCAAAGAUCUGUACGCCGUGAAGGGGGAAGCGAGUCCGGGGCCGCGUCAUCACCGAGCUCCGGCUCCGCCCCGCCGUCACAUCCGGGAAGCAAGACACCAAAUCUGUGCACCGCGAUCGGAACGCCAUGGACCUGUUCGCCACGGUAGGUGCACCUCUCGAAGGAGGGACCGGUCUUGUAUUAUGUCGCUGCAAACUUUGGUUCGACCAAAGAUCUGUACGCCGUGAAGGGGGAAGCGAGUCCCGGGCCGCGUCAUCACCGAGCUCCGGCUCCGCCCCGCCGUCACAUCCGGGAAGCAAGAAACCAAACCUGUGCACCGCGAUCGGAACGCCAUGGACCUGUGCACCGGUGACUUGUUCGUUGUGACCUGUGCAUCGUAACCUCUUCGCCGCGGACCUGUAGACUGCCAUGUUAGAACAGCGUUAGGGCUAGCGGUUGGGCUGCGUCGUUGGCGAGCUCCGACAGCUCCCGAGUCAUCUCCAGCCAAGAACAUGACACCUGAAAAUGAAAGGCUUGGUAUAGACGAUCUCCGGCGGUGUCGGUGCAGUUUGCUGUUUCGGUACAGUCAUCUCCAGCGGUGCCAGUACUCGCCACCGCCGUCCGUACUCGCCACCGCCGUGGACGCGCCAUCUACGUCCCGAUCUUGCCGAUGCUGCCGCCAGGGGCGCAUCUCCUCCUGGUCCUCUCCCUUCCCUGGGGCGCGCUCUCCAUCGUCGCUCCUCACUGAAACGAGAGAUGAAAAGAAAGGAAAAAUGAGAAGAUUAAUUAUACAUGUCGUUAACAAAGAAGGAUGCUUGGGUUGAUUGUAGCGUGUGGCGAGAAUGCCUCGCCGGCGGACGUCCUCGUCAUCGCGGACACCGGCCCAUUGUCUGCGGCCUACAAGUGCACCGAGGCGCAGCGCAUGGUCUGUCGCCGGGGUGCCCGCGGCCUCUGUCGCUGCCUCUGUGUGACCGCUUCCCUAUGAGCGCCCCGUAUGUGUCUCUGCUGGGAGCUUCUCGACGCCGCCGAUGACGACGCGUCUCCUGGCUCUCCUCCCCUAAGGACGUGGUUUCUAUUUCAUCUACCGGCAUGGCCGUAUGGGCUCCCAUGCCAUGUUCGAUCUCAUCGGCUUUUCUCUCGGCGGGGUUGCCGCACGUAAGACCUGUUCAUCUUUCAUCACAAGGGCAGACCCUCCACAUGACCUGUAAAAAUGGGCGCGAGAUGGUAUAUUUCCCAUCUCGACGAACAUGGCCAUAUAAGGCUCGAUGUCGUGCUCAUAAUAUUAUCGCUUUCCAUUGCAGGACCUGUUCGUCUCCAGCAUGUCACCUGUUCAUCGAUGGACAAGAAAAAUACAAGAAAGUAUAUACCUUUUCUUACCGAUCUUACCAUCACCUUGUGAAUGCGGUGGAAGAGAUUGCUUGUGAGAAAAUAUGAAAGAAAGACAUAGCACAAUCGAUCUAUAGGUGUCCGUGUGUGUGUGCGUGCGAGCGGCCUUGCGGCCAGCCUUAUGGGCCAGUUCUUCUGGGCGAUUCUAUCAGAAUCGCUCCCCUCCCCAGCUUCUACCAGAAUCGCCACUCUAUAUGUUUUUUACAAUCCUAACUAAUUAGACCUUAACUAGAUAGGAUUGUAAAAAAGUUAUGGAGUGGUGAUUCUGGGAGAAGCUGGGGAGGAGGACGAUUCUGAGAGAAUCGCUGAAAAGAACUGGCCCUAUGUGUGCGUGCAGCCUGGCGGCCGUGCGGCCGUGUAUCUCCGCCCCUCUCCGGUGUGUAGCCCGCCGGCGGCAGCCGCGUGCGUGAGAGCGGCCUGGCGGCCAGCCCAUCUGUGUGCGCCUCCCCGUGCGCAGCCCUGCGGCGGCGCGUGUGUGGACGGCCUAACGGCCGGGUGUGUUCGCCCCGUUCGAGUCCUCGUGUGUGGGUCUCCAUGGCGCCUGGGCAUCAAGAGAGAAAAAAAACAUACCUAUCAUAUGGGCAGAAAAAAAAGAGCACCAUACGACUUGGACAUAACACAAAAUGGCCAGGUGUGCGCCACCACCGGCGGCGCAACUUCCUAGCCUCGCAGACACGAUCAGUGUCGUCCCCGGCCGGCCGGGGCAUUACCGCCGGUGUGAGCGCCCUUCUCGUGUGGGUCGUAGCUGUCGCUGCUGCUUCAUCUACAUGUGGCCUGCUUGUGCGAGGGCGCCGUCGGCUGCCACCAUGGGCGCACGCUCUCCUGGGUGCCGCCUCUUUCUUGGCCGAGUGCUCGCUUGGCUGUCGAUCUUUGAAUCUGCGAUCUGCAUGAUGAAGAAGAUAAAAGAAGAAUAGAGAGAUGAAUCAGUGUGCACGGUUAUGUUGGGUUUCGUUGUAAUUUCAAAAAAAUUCCUACGCACACGCAAGAUCAUGUGAUGCAUAGCAACGAGAGGGGAGAGUGUUGUCUACGUACCCAACGCAGACCGACUGCGGAAGCGCUGACACGACGUAGAGGAAGUAGUCGUACGUCUUCACGAUCCAACCGAUCAAGCACCGAAACUACGUCACCUUCGAGUUCGAGCACACGUUCAGCUCGAUGACGAUCCCCGGACUCCGAUCCAGCAAAGUGUCGGGGAAGAGUUCCGUCAGCACGACGGCGUGGUGACGAUCUUGAUGAACUGCAGCAGCAGGGCUUCGCCUAAACUCCGCUACAGUAUUAUCGAGGAAUAUGGUGGCAGGGGGCACCGCACACGGCUAAGGAAUAGAUCACGUGGAUCAACUUGUGUGUUCUAGGGUGCCUCUACCUCAGUAUAUAAAGGACCAAAGGGGGGAGGCUGGCCGGCCACAAGGGGUGCGCCAGGAGAGUCUUACUCCCUCUGGGAGUAGGAUCCCCCCCCCCCCCCAAUCCUAGUUGGAAUAGGAUUCGCGGAGGGGGAAACGAGAGAGAGGGGCCGGCCACCUCUCCUAGUCCUAAUAGGACUAGGGGAAGGGGGAGGCGCAAAGCCCAUGUAGGGCUGCCUCUUCUCUUUUCCACUAAGGCCCAUCAUGGCCCAUUUAGCUCCCGGGGGGUUCCGGUAACCUUCCCGGUACUCCGGUAAAAUCCCGAUUUCACCCGGAACACUUUCGAUAUCCAAACAUAGGCUUCCAAUAUAUCAAUCUUUACGUCUCGACCAUUUCGAGACUCAUCGUCAUGUCCGUGAUCACAUCCGGGACUCCGAACAACCUUCGGUACAUCAAAAUGCAUAAACUCAUAAUAUAACUGUCAUCGUAACCUUAAGCGUGCGGACCCCACGGGUUCGAGAACAAUGUAGACAUGACCGAGACACGUCUCCGGUCAAUAACCAAUAGCGGGACCUGUUUGCCCAUAUUGGCUCCUACAUAUUCUACGAAGAUCUUUAUUGGUCAGACCGCAUAACAACAUACGUUGUUCCCUUUGUCAUCGGUAUGUUACUUGCCCGAGAUUCGAUCGUCGGUAUCCAAUACCUAGUUCAAUCUCGUUACCGGCAAGUCUCUUUACUCGUUUUGUAAUACAUCAUCUCACAACUAACAUAUUAGUUGUAAUGCUUGCAAGGCUUAUGUGAUGUGCAUUACCGAGAGGGCCCAGAGAUACCUCUCCGACAAUCGGAGUGACAAAUCCUAAUCUCGAAAUAUGCCAACCCAACAUGUACCUUUGGAGACACCUGUAGUACUCCUUUAUAAUCACCCAGUUACGUUAUGACGUUUGGUAGUACCCAAAGUGUUCCUCCGGCAAACGGGAGUUGCAUAAUCUCAUAGUUAUAGGAACAUGUAUAAGUCAUGAAGAAAGCAAUAGCAACAUACUAAACGAUCGGGUGCUAAGCUAAUGGAAUGGGUCAUGUCAAUCAGAUCAUUCAACUAAUGAUGUGACCUCGUUAAUCAAAUAACAACUCAUUGUUCAUGGUUAGGAAAUAUAACCAUCUUUGAUUAACGAGCUAGUCAAGUAGAGGCAUACUAGUGACACUUUGUUUGUCUAUGUAUUCACACAUGUAUUAUGUUUCCGGUUAAUACAAUUCUAGCAUGAAUAAUAAACAUUUAUCAUGAUUAUAAGGAAAUAAAUAAUAACUUUAUUAUUGCCUCUAGGGCAUAUUUCCUUCAGUCUCCCACUUGCACUAGAGUCAAUAAUCUAGAUUACACUGUAAUGAUUCUAACACCCAUGGAGCCUUGGUGCUGAUCAUGUUUUGCUCGUGGAAGAGGCUUAGUCAACGGGUCUGCAACAUUCAGAUCCGUAUGUAUCUUGCAAAUCUCUAUGUCUCCCACCUGGACUAGAUCCCGGAUGGAGUUGAAGCGUCUCUUGAUGUGUUUGGUCCUUUUGUGAAAUCUGGAUUCCUUUGCCAAGGCAAUUGCACCAGUAUUGUCACAAAAGAUUUUCAUUGGACCCGAUGCACUAGGUAUGACACCUAGAUCGGAUAUGAACUCCUUCACCCAGACUCCUUCGUUCGCUGCUUCCGAAGCAGCUAUGUACUCCGCUUCACAUGUAGAUCCCGCUACGACGCUUUGUUUAGAACUGCACCAACUGACAGCUCCACCGUUUAAUGUAAACACGUAUCCGGUUUGCGAUUUAGAAUCGUCCGGAUCAGUGUCAAAGCUUGCAUCAACGUAACCUUUUACGGUGAGCUCUUUGUCACCUCCAUAUAUGAGAAACAUAUCCUUAGUCCUUUUCAGGUAUUUCAGGAUGUUCUUGACCGCUGUCCAGUGAUCCACUCCUGGAUUACUUUGGUACCUCCCUGCUAAACUUAUAGCAAGGCACACAUCAGGUCUAGUACACAGCAUUGACAUGAUAGAGCCUAUGGCUGAAGCAUAGGGAACAUCUUUCAUUUUCUCUCUAUCUUCUGCAGUGGUCGGGCAUUGAGUCUUACUCAACUUCACACCUUGUAACACAGGCAAGAACCCUUUCUUUGCUUGAUCCAUUUUGAACUUCUUCAAAAUUUUGUCAAGGUAUGUGCUUUGUGAAAGUCCAAUUAAGCGUCUUGAUCUAUCUCUAUAGAUCUUAAUGCCUAAUAUGUAAGAAGCUUCACCGAGGUCUUUCAUUGAAAAACUUUUAUUCAAGUAUCCCUUUAUGCUAUCCAGAAAUUCUACAUCAUUUCCAAUUAGCAAUAUGCCAUCCACAUAUAAUAUCAGAAAUGCUACAGAGCUCCCACUCACUUUCUUGUAAAUACAGGCUUCUCCGAAAGUCUGUAUAAAACCAAAUGCUUUGAUCACACUAUCAAAGCGUUUAUUCCAACUCUGAGAGGCUUGCACCAGUCCAUAAAUGGAUCGCUGGAGCUUGCACACUUUGUUAGCUCCCUUUGGAUCAACAAAACCUUCCGGUUGCAUCAUAUACAACUCUUCUUCCAGAAAUCCAUUCAGGAAUUCAGUUUUGACAUCCAUCUGCCAAAUUUCAUAAUCAUAAAAUGCGGCAAUCGCUAACAUGAUUCGGACGGACUUAAGCAUCGCUACGGGUGAGAAGGUGUCAUCAUAGUCAAUCCCUUGAACUUGCCGAAAACCUUUCGCGACAAGUCGAGCUUUGUAGACAGUAACAUUACUAUCAGCGUCAGUCUUCUUCUUGAAGAUCCAUUUAUUCUCAAUUGCUUGCCGAUCAUCGGGCAAGUCAACCAAAGUCCAUACUUUUUUCUCAUACAUGGAUCCCAUCUCAGAUUUCAUGGCUUCAAGCCACUUUGCGGAAUCUGGGCUCACCAUCGCUUCUUCAUAGUUCGUAGGUUCAUCAUGAUCUAGUAGCAUGACUUCCAGAACAGGAUUACCGUACCACUCUGGUGCGGAUCUUACUCUGUUUGAUCUACGAGGUUCAGUAGUAUCUCGAUUUGAAGUUCCAUGAUCAUUAUCAUUAGCUUCCUCACUAACUGGUGUAGUUGUCACUGGAACAGUUUUCUGUGAUGUACUACUUUCCAGUAAGGGAGCAGGUACAGUUACCUCGUCAAGUUCUACUUUCCUCCCACUCACUUCUUUCGAGAGAAACUCCUUCUCUAGAAAGGAUCCAUUCUUAGCAACGAAUGUCUUGCCUUCGGAUCUGUGAUAGAAGGUGUACCCAACAGUCUCCUUUGGGUAUCCAAUGAAGACACAUUUCUCCGAUUUGGGUUCGAGCUAAUCAGGUUGAAGCUUUUUCACAUAAGCAUCGCAGCCCCAAACUUUAAGAAACGACAACUUUGGUUUCUUGCCAAACCAUAGUUCAUAAGGUGUCGUUUCAACGGAUUUUGAUGGUGCCCUAUUUAACGUGAAUGCGGCCGUCUCUAAAGCAUAACCCCAAAACGAUAGCAGUAAAUCUGUAAGAGACAUCAUAGAUCGCACCAUAUCUAGUAAAGUAUGAUUACGACAUUCGGACACACCAUUACGCUGUGGUGUUCCGGGUGGCGUGAGUUUUAUCGAAACUAUUCCACAGUUUUUCAAAUGUACACCAAACUCGUAACUCAAAUAUUCUCCUCCACGAUCAGAUCGUAGAAACUUUAUUUUCUUGUUACGAUGAUUUUCAACUUCACUCUGAAAUUCUUUGAACUUUUCAAAUGUUUCAGACUUAUGUUUCAUUAAGUAGAUAUACCCAUAUCUGCUUAAAUCAUCUGUGAAAGUGAGAAAAUAAUGAUAUCUGCCACGAGCCUCAAUAUUCAUCGGACCACAUACAUCGGUAUGUAUGAUUUCCAACCAAUCUGUUGCUCUCUCCAUAGUACCGGAGAACAUUGUUUUAGUCAUCUUGCCCAUGAGGCACGGUUCGCAAGUACCAAGUGAUUCAUAAUCAAGUGGUUCCAAAAGUCCAUCAGUAUGGAGUUUCUUCAUGCGCUUUACACCGAUAUGACCUAAAUGACAGUGCCACAAAUAAGUUGCACUUUCAUUAUCAACUCUGCAUCUUUUGGCUUCAACAUUAUGAAUAUGUGUAUUACUACUAUCGAGAUUCAAUAAGAAUAGACCACUCUUCAAGGGUGCAUGACCAUAAAAGAUAUUACUCAUAUAAAUAGAACAACCAUUAUUCUCUGAUUUAAAUGAAUAACCGUCUCGCAUUAAACAAGAUCCAGAUAUAAUGUUCAUGCUCAACGCUGGCACCAAAUAACAAUUAUUUAGGUCUAAUAUUAAUCCCGAAGGUAGAUGUAGAGGUAGCGUGUCGACCGCGAUCACAUCGACUUUGGAACCGUUUCCCACGCGCAUCGUCACCUCGUCCUUUGCCAGUGCCCGCUUAUUCCGUAGUCCCUGUUUCGAGUUGCAAAUAUUAGCAAUAGAACCAGUAUCAAAUACACAGGUGCUACUGCGAGCUCUAGUAAGGUACACAUCAAUAACAUGUAUAUCACAUAUACCUUUGUUCACCUUGCCAUCCUUCUUAUCCGCCAAAUACUUGGGGCAGUUCCGCUUCCAGUGACCAGUCUGCUUGCAGUAGAAGCACUCAGUUUCAGGCUUAGGUCCAGACUUGGGUUUCUUCUCCUGAGCAGCAACUUGCUUGCCGUUCUUCUUGAAGUUCCCCUUCUUCUUCCCUUUGCCCUUUUUCUUGAAACUAGUGGUCUUGUUAACCAUCAACACUUGAUGCUCCUUCUUGAUUUCUACCUCCGCAGCUUUCAGCAUUGCGAAGAGCUCGGGAAUAGUCUUGUUCAUCCCUUGCAUAUUAUAGUUCAUCAUGAAGAUCUUGUAGCUUGGUGGCAGUGAUUGGAGAAUUCUGUCAAUGACGCAAUCAUCCAGAAGAUUAACUCCCAAUUGAAUCAAGUGAUUAUUAUACCCAGACAUUUUGAGUAUAUGCUCACUGACAGAACUGUUCUCCUCCAUCUUGCAGCUAUAGAACUUAUUGGAGACUUCAUAUCUCUCAAUCCGGGCAUUUGCUUGAAAUAUUAACUUCAACUCCUGGAACAUCUCAUAUGCUCCAUGACGUUCAAAACGUUGUUGAAGUCCCGAUUCUAAGCCGUAAAGCAUGGCACACUGAACUAUCGAGUAGUCAUCAGCUUUGCUCUGCUAGACGUUCAUAACAUCUAGUGUUGCUCCAGCAGCAGGCCUGGCACCCAGCGGUGCUUCCAGGACGUAAUUCUUCUGAGCAGCAAUGAGGAUAAUCCUCAAAUUACGGACCCAGUCCGUAUAACUUCUACCAUCAUCUUUCAACUUUGCUUUCUCAAGGAACGCAUUAAAAUUCAACGGAACAACAGCACGAGCCAUCUAUCUACAAUCAACAUAAACAAGCAAGAUACUAUCAGGUACUAAGUUCAUGAUAAGUUUAAGUUCAAUUAAUCAAAUUACUUAAGAACUCCCACUUAGAUAGACAUUCCUCUAAUCUUCUAAGUGAUUACGUGAUCCAAAUCAACUAAACCAUAACCGAUCAUCACGUGAGAUGGAGUAGUUUUCAAUGGUGAACAUCAUUAUGUUGAUCAUAUCUACUAUAUGAUUCACGCUCGACCUUUCGGUCUCCGUGUUCCAAGGCCAUAUCUGCAUAUGCUAGGCUCGUCAAGUUUAACCUGAGUAUUCUGCAUGUGUAAAACUGGCUUGCACCCGUUGUAGAUGGACGUAGAGCUUAUCACACCCGAUCAUCACGUGGUGUCUGGGCACGACGAACUUUGGCAACGAUGCAUACUCAGGGAGAACACUUCUUGAUAAUUUAGUGAGAGAUCAUCUUAUAAUGCUACCGCCAAUCAAAGCAAGAUAAGAUGCAUAAAAAGAUAAACAUCACAUGCAAUCAAUAUAAGUGAUAUGAUAUGGCCAUCAUCAUCUUGUGCUUGUGAUCUUCAUCUCCGAAGCACCGUCAUGAUCACCAUCGUCACCGGCGCGACACCUUGAUCUCCAUCGUAGCAUUGUUGUCGUCUCGCCAAUCUUAUGCUUCCACGACUAUCACUAUCGUUUAGUAAUAAAGUAAAGCAUUACAUCGCGAUUGCAUUGCAUACAAUAAAGCGACAACCAUAUGGCUCCUGCCAGUUGCCGAUAACUCGGUUAUAUAAACAUGAUCAUCUCAUACAAUAAAAUUCAGCAUCAUGCCUUGACCAUAUCACAUCACAACAUGCCCUGCAAAAACAAGUUAGACGUCCUCUACUUUGUUGUUGCAAGUUUUACGUGGCUGCUACGGGCUUAAGCAAGAACCAAUCUCACCUACGCAUCAAAACCACAACGAUAGUUUGUCAAAUAGACUCCGUUUUAACCUUCGCAAGGACCGGGCGUAGCCACACUUGGUUCAACUAAAGUUGGAGAGACAGUCGCCCGCAAGCCACCUAUGUGCAAAGCACGUCGGGGAAACCGGUCUCGCGUAAGCGUACGCGUAAUGUUGGUCCGGGUCGUCUCGUCCAACAAUGCCGCCGAACCAAAGUAUGACAUGCUGGUAGGCAGUAUGACUUAUAUCGCCCACAACUCACUUGUGUUCUACUCGUGCAUAUAACAUCAACAUAAAUAACCUGGCUCUGAUACCACUGUUGGGUUUCGUAGUAAUUUCAAAAAAAUUCCUACGCACACGCAAGAUCAUGUGAUGCAUAGCAACGAGAGGGGAGAGUGUUGUCUACGUACCCAACACAGACCGACUGCGGAAGCGCUGACACGACGUAGAGGAAGUAGUCGUACGUCUUCACGAUCCAACCGAUCAAGCACCGAAACUACGGCACCUCCGAGUUCGAGCAUACGUUCAGCUCGAUGACGAUCCCCGGACUCCGAUCCAGCAAAGUGUCGGGGAAGAGUUCCGUCAGCACGACGGCGUGGUGACGAUCUUGAUGAACUACAGCAGCAGGGCUUCGCCUUAACUCCGCUACAGUAUUAUCGAGGAAUAUGGUGGCAGGGGGCACCACACACGGCUAAGGAAUAGAUCACGUGGAUCAACUUGUGUGUUCUAGGGUGCCUCUACCUCAGUAUAUAAAGUACCAAAGGGGGAAGGCUGGCCGGCCACAAGGGGUGCACCAGGAGAGUCCUACUCCCUCUGGGAGUAGGAUUCCCCCCCCNNNNNNNNNNNNNNNNNNNNNNNNNNNNNNNNNNNNNNNNNNNNNNNNNNNNNNNNNNNNNNNNNNNNNNNNNNNNNNNNNNNNNNNNNNNNNNNNNNNNNNNNNNNNNNNNNNNNNNNNNNNNNNNNNNNNNNNNNNNNNNNNNNNNNNNNNNNNNNNNNNNNNNNNNNNNNNNNNNNNNNNNNNNNNNNNNNNNNNNNNNNNNNNNNNNNNNNNNNNNNNNNNNNNNNNNNNNNNNNNNNNNGGGGAAAAGAGAGAGAGGGGCCGGCCACCUCUCCUAGUCCUAAUAGGACUAGGGGAAGGGGGAGGCGCACAGCCCAUGUAGGGCUGCCUCUUCUCUUUUCCACUAAGGCCCAUCAUGGCUCAUUUAGCUCCCGGGGGGUUCCGAUAACCUUCCCGGUACUCCGGUAAAAUCCCGAUUUCACCCGGAACACUUCCGAUAUCCAAACAUAGGCUUCCAAUAUAUCAAUCUUUACGUCUCGAUCAUUUCGAGACUCCUCCUCAAGUCCGUGAUCACAUCCGGGACUCCGAACAACCUUCGGUACAUCAAAAUGCAUAAACUCAUAAUAUAACUGUCAUCGUAACCUUAAGCGUGCGGACCCCACGGGUUCGAGAACAAUGUAGACAUGACCGAGACACGUCUCCGGUCAAUAACCAAUAGCGGGACCUGGAUGCCCAUAUUGGCUCCUACAUAUUCUACGAAGAUCUUUAUCGAUCAGACCGCAUAACAACAUACGUUGUUCCCUUUGUCAUCGGUAUGUUACUUGCCCGAGAUUCGAUCGUCGGUAUCCAAUACCUAGUUCAAUCUCGUUACCGGCAAGUCUCUUUACUCGUUUUGUAAUACAUCAUCUCACAACUAACAUAUUAGUUGUAAUGCUUGCAAGGCUUAUGUGAUGUGCAUUACCGAGAGGGCCCAGAGAUACCUCUCCGACAAUCGGAGUGACAAAUCCUAAUCUCGAAAUAUGCCAACCCAACAUGUACCUUUGGAGACACCUGUAGUACUCCUUUAUAAUCACCCAGUUAUGUUGUGACGUUUGGUAGUACCCAAAGUGUUCCUCCGGCAAACGGGAGUUGCAUAAUGUCAUAGUUAUAGGAACAUGUAUAAGUCAUAAAGAAAGCAAUAGCAACAUACUAAACGAUCGGGUGCUAAGCUAAUGGAAUGGGUCAUGUCAAUCAGAUCAUUCAACUAAUGAUGUGACCUCGUUAAUCAAAUAACAACUCAUUAUUCAUGGUUAGAAAACAUAACCAUUUUUGAUUAACGAGCUAGUCAAGUAGAGACAUACUAGUGACACUUUGUUUGUCUAUGUAUUCACACAUGUAUUAUGUUUCGGUUAAUACAAUUCUAGCAUGAAUUAUAAACAUUUAUCAUGAUUAUAAAAAAAUAAAUAAUAACUUUAUUAUUGCCUCUAGGGCAUAUUUCUUUCAGGUUAGUCUUGAGUCUUGGCGUCGCGUGCGUGUGCUUGCUUGGGUUGAUGGAGUGUGCGGCAGCGCGCAUGGAAGAAGGCUCCGCCGGGCUUGCCGGCGGGCGUGCGUCGUCGUCGUCGUGGUCGCAGCACGUCUACGGUGCAGUGGACGCCGGCGCGUCAUCCGAGCGCAUGGUCCUCCCUGGCGUGGCCUUUUGGCUUCCUUUUUUCAUCACCGAGGGCGCAGUGGGGGCUCCUCUGUAGGCUCCUCCGUCCAUCUGCUCGACGCUGCCGCCGUGGGCGCGUCCCCCGGGAGUCCCCCUUGACUCGUGGUGGCUGCUUCUUAUAUAGGCAGGUGUGUGGCCAGAAGGGAUAAGUCUCGCUCCAGAGUUGUUGAACCGGGGCUCCUGAUCUCGUGGAGAGAUGACAAGAUAAAGAUGCAUUAUCUCCUCUGAAGCUUAUCCCCUGUGCGUGCAUUGCAGCAGCUAGACCUACACACCGACACGGUCACGGCUGACACGUAGGGACCUGGCCUGAUCAGCUUUCGUGGAUAGUCAAGCCAACUAACUCGUCACGUUCAACGAGCUAGCUACAUGCACGCAUAGGAUUUCCAUCGUAAUCAUAACUUGUACGUGAGAUGUGCCCAUGCAUAACUCUUUGCAUGCCUAGGUAAUCAGAUUGAUUAGAUCAAGUAUGUGUGGACAUAAAUAAUCACUGCUCCGUGGUCUUGAUGACCCUCUCUGACGAAUAUCAACAUAUUAUUCUUGGUCAUAUUCAUUCUUGCGCAUACAUAUUGACACCAUUUUUUUUAUAUUUCAUAACAAAAAUCCGCCAAAAUGGCGUCGAACAGUAGGGAAUAGGAAUUGAGAGAAUAUGAGGCUAAAAAUACCUAUGGUUGGGGGUAAAGGAGUUGUGGAGGGAAGGGGAAGAGAAUUGACAGGGAUAAAGGCAUCUCUAAAGCAGACCCUUGAACCUCCCGCAAGCAUCCGAACAAUUCGUCGGCGGGCUGGUCCGAACAUCCCUUUUUCCGCAAACUAACAAAGGGAUUUCCUGGAGUCCAGGCAUUCAUAUGACGAACCAACAGCCGCCACGUACCCACACACUGCGCCCUCUCCUCUCUCCUCUUUCUCUCUCUCCAUGCACCAAAUGGCGGAAGAUGUGUAUGAGCAAUGGCGGAAGGUGUAGCUAAAAUGGCGGAAGCUAGCAGGCUCUGUUUUCUUUUUCCAAAUACAUACAUACUAGCUAGCUUCAGCCCAAAGAAUGGUGCAACAUGAUAUAGUACAUAUACAGAGUGGUUUUUCUACACCCACUCUCGGUGCACCCACGGUGCACCCAUGCAAAAAAACAUAUCAAAACAUUUCGAAAAAAUCUGAAACUUUGUGGAAAUGAUCAUCAACAAAUGUUAUGAGGGCUUGCAAAAUUUGAUGGUCAAAUAACAUUUGAGGAGCUCUCUACAGAAAAGACAAAAUCACUGAAAUAACCAUAUAGUAAACUUGUUUGGCGGAAGGUUUGGCUCUCUUUUCUUUAUUUAGAAUGGACAUACGUACAUAUACACCGAUUUGGAAUAAUAAUCCGCAACCGUAUACGCAUAUGUUUGGCAGAAGGCAGUACUAACCGUGUUAGCUAUUUGGCGGAACGUUGUUGUUUGACUCGGAUUUGAGGUAUAGAGUUGGAUGGUAGGCUCCCAUAUCAGUGUCGGGACACCGGUCCGGAUCGAUUUUCGGAUAAAUAUCGUGUUCAUUUGCAGGUCAGCGUUGGAGAUGCCAUAACUCCCCCGUAUCUCUUCCUUAGAGGGCCUUGGCAAUUCAGCCCGAGAAUGGGAAUUGACGAAGAAAUAAAAAACAAGCAGAAAAUAAGAACUGACACUGGGAAUUAAAUUAAUAGGUUAGUCCAUAAAAAUAAUAUUAAUUGAUAUAAAAAGCAUAUAAAAAUAAUAAUAUAAUAGCAUGAAACAAUCAAAAAUUAUAGAUAUAUUUGAGACGAAUCAGACGUCAACGGUGACGAUGUAGGGGGUUACAAAGAUGAGUCAGCAGGCGGGAGGAGGCAGUGGAGGAGGUCACAGCCAAAUAAUUAUGAAGUGCUAUUACAUGAACGUAAAUUGCACAUAUGUUGUACUUCCAUUAACAUAUGUCUUUUCAUGUGUCUGAAUUAUAUGUUUUUUACAUUUGACAAUUUAUGUUAGCGUUACCAUUUAGAAUUUACAAUUUGGGUCAAAAUUUACAAUUCUUAAUUUUUAGCUCUAAGAGUUUCAUAUUCUAUAAUUACACUUAUUGUUUAGUAUUUAGAGUUCGUCUUCGGGUUUAAGGUUUAAGUAUUAUAGUAUAUGGUUUAGGGUUUAGGGUUUAGGGUGUAGGCUUAGUACUUUUACUUUUUGCCUAUAUUAUCACUAUAUUUAGUUUAGGAUUUAGGGUUAUUGCUAUUUACAAUGGAGUUGUUGGAUUUCCACGAAGAGGGAAGGUGAUGUAGCACAGUAGUAGAUAGUAUUUUUUCUCAAUUAAGAACCAAGGUUUAUCGAACUAGUAGGAGUCACGAAGUUAACAACGUUAGCAGUACCUGCGCACAAACAAAUAAUUUGCUUGCACCCAACAAAGACAAUGGGGUCGUCACUCCCCUUGUUCUUGAUAGUCACAAGAUUAUCAGUACAUGCACACAAACAAAUACUUUGCUUGCACCCAACAAAGGCAAUGAACCCUUUAGACCGAGUAUGUACCCUUUUGCACCAAAUAUACUGUUGCAUGUGUUAUCUUCGAAGGCCAUCUAUCUGUAAGGAUAGAAGAUGAUAUCUCCCCUCUCCCCGUCAGAAAUGAUGCUUAAAUAUGGAUGUUCUUUUUUGAGGGACAGGAAGAUAAGAACAAACAUAAACUAAGAAAAAUAGCAUAGCAAUGACAUAAUGAAUCGUUUUCUUUUCUUAUCCGUUCUAUAUUUGUAUCUUCAUUCCAUUUCUCAUUAUUAAGAGACCCCGUGGAAUAGGUAUCAAACCCCACACUAAUGGGUAUAUCGGUAAGAUACCGAAAAAGGCUUUCGCCCCGCUUUAUAUAUAAAGCAAUGCCACACCUUACAACCAACAGGACAACAGGAAACAGAAAAUACACUCAACACGGAUACAAAGCACUACGGAAGAGCUAACGAGCUCCGAAGAACCCAAAAGUACUUCGGAGCCCACGACGGUUACAGAUCAUGACAUGGACACGCCCGCGACAAGGGAGCUAAUCAUCGCUGGAGGAGAGCCAUGCUUUGUCGCCUCCCAGGGCCACUCGGUUCACCAUCCUAAUCUGCCGCUGAAGAGGGCACCCCCGCCCUCUCGUCCUGGAUCGAAGGACAUCGACCCAUCAGCAGGCAAAGCAGCUCACCCCCGAGCACGCUUGGACCGGUGAACCAGUUGCCGAGGAGAGGGCGACCGCCCUGGCAACCUCACCUCUGAAAGACACCCAUACAUCGCCACCGUCUCCGGCCAAGACCCAGAAUCCCACCGCAGCUGUCGGACAUGAACCCUACUGAAGAAGCAGACUAACACCACGCCAAAUCCUAGACCGCUGAUCACCCAAGACGGCGCCUUCAAGAAGUACAUGACACUGACGCGCCAUCGCCGCCCCAAUCCAGAGAUUGUAGGCUUUCGCCCGAGACCGGGAGGCGAAGGGCAUGGAGUAGGUCUCGAUGUUGCCCACCAGAGGGACAACGGCGCCACGGGCGUCGCCAACAUCGUGACCGGCAUCGCCGGCCAAGGGUUUCCCCUGACCUAGUGCCCAUACCCAGCGCCCCGCCACCGAACAGGACGCCAGGAGGACGCCCACAUCUCGGCCGGUCAAGGAGGACAAGCGCCGGUGAAAGCCUCCAACUUCAGAUCGAGAUCCAUGGCCGCCACCGCCUCGCCGCCCAGCACGGCCAAGACCAGCGCACCGCAGCGCCAGCGCCACCCCCAGACGUGGGAGCAACGCCCUCUCCAACCGUGGCCGCCGCCACCAGUGACACCCGCAGCCCCGAGGGGACCAGAUCAACCUCGCCGGACCUAGCCCCCACCACCGCCGCCGCAGAGCCACACCACCGCCUCCCAGCACCGCUGCUGCAGAAUCCGUGCGUCCCCGCCGCGGAUCUAGCUCCCCCACGGCCGGCUAACCCGCGCCGCCGGGAUCCCGAGCAGGGGAGGGAGGAGAGAGGCCCCGCCGCUGCCAUCGCCACACGGGCUUCGCCCGGUGGACGCCCUCCGGCAGCGGCGAGGAGGAGGGGGCGGGGGAGGGAGCUGGCCGUCGGUGGCGGAUCUGGAUCUCCCGAGACACGUGCGCGGGGCGCGUUGCGGGAGCCACGGGAGGGGGCAGUCUCCUGUUCCGCUCAAGAACCUUCCAUAUCUGUAAGAUAUACGAAUGCAUUACACACAAAAACAAAAAAUGAAUUAUAUCUAUACAUAACUCAUUUUGUGAAUCUUAGACGAAAAUCAACGGCGCAAGAUCCGCAUGCCCCUCGACCUGUGUGCUAUAAAUUCUCUCCCUAGCCUACCAUGCAUGCACACAUAUCUAUUCUACAUGUACUUAUUCCUAGCUAGGAGUAAGGGCAUCUCUAGCCGUUGGCCCCCCCAGGAGGCAUUUUUUCGCCUCUUGGGGGGCUGCCGGCGAGAAUUUUACUUUGGGGCUGAAAUUUCUUCCAGUCGUUCCCUCCCCCCCCCCCAGGCAGCACACGAGGCGACGAGGCUUGCUGGCCCCGCUGCUGCUCUUCCUCGCCGCCACGCUCUCCUUCCCCUCCGCGCUCCGCCUCCUACCCUUCGCUUCCCGCCUCGCCAUCAACGGGAUCGGACGACCCUUCUUCAACCUCGGGCGCCUCUGCAAGUCCCGUCGAUCUGCUCGCCCCGACCCUCCUCGGCUGCCUCAACCCCUGCAGCGCUUCGGGCGCCAUGGCCGGAGCUCCGCUCCCACGCGGUCGUGCGCCCCUGGCCAUGCCCCCGCGAGCCAACUGCUACUGCCUGCUGCACGCGUGCCCGUGUCCCUGCUUCUGCUGCUACGUGAGAUGAUGCUGCUUGGCUGCUUGGCUGCUUUGCUACUCUGCGGCCAGGCAGGAUAUGCACGAGCCCAGCAGCCCAGGACGGCGUCUUUGGCAGCGUGCAGGGAGCGCGAGUGAGAUGGCGGACACGGCCGCGGGAAGGACCAAGGAGACCAAAGAUGCGGCGGCGGGGAAGACGAGGGAGACGGCGUCGACGAGGGAGACGAGCGAUACGAGGGAGACGGUCGUGGUUGGCACGCUCGGGGCCGGUGCGCCCGGUGCCGGGGCCGCCCGUGGCCGGCGCACCCGGUGCCGGGGACGCUUGGGGCCGCCUGUGGCCGGCGCGCCCGGUGUCGGGGACGCCCAUGGCCUCCGCGCUCGUNNNNNNNNNNUGGCUGCCCGUGGCCGGCGCGCCCGGUGCCGGGGACGCUCGGGGCGGUGCGCCCGGCCGGGGCUGCCCGUGGCCGGCGCCGCUGGCUCAGCUCCACCAGCAAGGCGGUGGUGCAGACGGGCCGCGCGGACUCCGGCGCCGUUCGCGAGGAAAAGAUGAGAGAGAGGAGAGAGGCUGAGAGGAAAAGAGGAAAGAGAGAGUGAGGAGAGAGGCCGACAUGUGGGGGCUUUGCAUGCAAAAAAGAGCGCCGGCACCCCCAGCUGCGCCCCGGCUUUUUGGGUUUGGGUUGGUACCGCCGGGCGUAAUUUCGGCCAAAUCCGGCGCUUUUUCAGGUCUUGGGGUCCCGACUGAGAGAAAAAUUAGACGCCGGCGUCCAAAAAGUGGUCAUGGGGGGCAUCCUGGGGGGCCGGCUGGAGAUGCCCUAACUAAUAAACCCAACUAGCUUAGCACUGUACACCGAACACAUCCUCUACGUUAGUCUUAUUCCUAGGUCUUCAUCCUGUUGGUCCAACUUGGCAUGACCAUGACUUUUUUUUGACAGAGUAUGUCUUUUUUACGAAAUAACUUUUGAACUAUUCAUCUUUAAUCAUGCCAAUACAACAAAAACCAAAAUAAGAAAAAAUACAUCCAAAUCCGUAGACCACCUACCGAUGACUACAAGCACUGGAGCGAGNNNNNNNNNNNNNNNNNNNNNNNNNNNNNNNNNNNNNNNNNNNNNNNNNNNNNNNNNNNNNNNNNNNNNNNNNNNNNNNNNNNNNNNNNNNNNNNNNNNNNNNNNNNNNNNNNNNNNNNNNNNNNNNNNNNNNNNNNNNNNNNNNNNNNNNNNNNNNNNNNNNNNNNNNNNNNNNNNNNNNNNGACAGUCGGGAAGUCGUCGUACUAAGACCUCAUAGGACCGGCGCAUCAGAACAACAACCGCCGCCAAAUGAAGAGCAGCGUAGAUUGGAAGGAUCCAACCUGAAGACACACGAACGUAGAUGAACGACGACCAGAUCCGAGCAGAUCCGCCGCCAUGGCCCUAUGGCCACCGGAGACAAGGCGGACUGAUGGCGACGCCAGCAGGUGGUAGAUGAGAGACAGAGAGUAUGUCAAUGGCAUACCAUAUCUAUACCUACUAUUAAAGGGAAUAGGUAUUCUUGGUUUGGUUCGGUCCUUGUAUGUUGAUGGGCCUUCUAUGGGCUUCUAUAGAGACCAUGCAAAAUAUCUGGGCCAGGUACUUGUACGUUGAUGGGUCGUCUAUGGGCUUUCAUAGAGACCGCGAAAAAUUAUUGUGUCAAAAUAAAUCAACAUUGUGGGAAUUAAACAGAGGACCUCCUAUCUGGAUCUAUGUUGUAACAACCAACGAGCUAUGCAUCUUUCAUGUUUUCUAAUCUCACUUCGCUCUUUUACAAUAAUUCUCACCGGUAAAUAUAUGAGCGGCCCCAGGAAUCAACCGACAGACAGUUAAAACAAAGGAGAGCGGUCGUCAUGUUUAGGGUGAACUAAUUAAGCAAAUGAGCUAAUUAAAGGAAAUAUUGUGGGCUUAAAUAGAAUAUUUAAACGAAUGUAGCUAAUUAAAGAAAAAAUUAUGGGUAAAACCCGUGGAAUAAUUAAAAGAAAGAUUAUGAGCUUAAUAAAUAGAAUAUUCAAAUAGAUGGGGCUAAUUAAAGGAUGGAUUUGAGGUAAAAAGGUAGAAUAAUUAAAAGGAAGGAUCCGUAGGCUUCAAUGUGGUGGAGCUACUAAAUUAGAAACGAAAGGAUUUGAUUCCCGACUAAAAGGAUAAGCACGUCACGGUAAUUAAUGAAAGGAUUAUACUUAAAUGGAAUUAGUGGGAGAUUAUGCCCGGCAAAGAAAAUAUGGACGUGGCUAAAUUGCAUCCAAUUUUUUAUGUUCAUUUUGUUGAAGAAUGUUAAGUUGCAACAUGUUCUUCAUAGCGAUUCCGGUGUUGUGGGACAUUAUGCUUGCACAAAACAUUAAUUUUUUCUGUUGCAACGCACGGGCAUAUGUGCUAGUUUUUAUAGAAGGGGGAAUAUAAUGUAUAAGAAACUUGCAUUGGUUGCAAACAACUAGAAGGGACACCAGACCAAACCCGCUAGCUAGAUUCACGGAAUUAAACAUGAUGAAGACCUAUUUUUUUACCAUAACAUGAUUUUUUGUCUCUAUUCGAUCCGAAAAGGUGAUCGGGUUUCAUUAUAAUUAUCAAAAGAUAUAACAAAAAUAAAAUAAAAUAAAAUAAAAUAAGGUAACCACUAGUUUUAAGCGAAACCAAAACAACAUAACGGGAGCAACGCAGGCAACCCAACACUAGAUCAACAUGAGGGAGGGGCGAACAAGGUUUCAGGAGCUUUUUGCACAGCAUCUUCUUCUUCUUCUUCUUCUUCUUCUUCUUCUUCUUCUUCUUCUUCUUCUUCUUCUUCUUCUUCCAGCGGCUUACUAGGCAUCAUCAUCAGGAUUGACCGCUUCUUCCAUAUACUCUUCCUCUUCCGGCAGCAGUCUCUAGGCCUGCCUUUCUCCUCGACCAUUGUUGUGUAACAAACCACAACAUGGUGAAGACCUACGUACCCACAAGAUUAACUGCAACAUGCUCAAGCCAUCCGGACACAUCGCUCAACCAUGGCGUACGGCGGCUUCCGGUAGCGACCGUGUCCACACCCGCGACUGCCUGGUAGGUGGUAGCUGCGACUCGAUGGAAUGCCAGCACUGCCGCGAGACGCCAUCUCCUUUGUUGGACCACCCACGCUUCUUCCGGCGUCUCUACUCCGUUCUGCCAUCGGGUACAUACACGCUCGUCCUGAACGUGUGUAAAUGAAGGCAACGAUGGAAAUGAAUGCGACGACGGACCACCGGGGCAGGCUGAAUGUUAUGGGCUUAUGGCUCGCUGCCUCCUUUCAUAAAACAGAAGUUACGACAGCGCCAGGCCCCGCUUGACCCCAAGUCAAGUCUCCUCCAAGCACAGCCCAAGCCACCCCGACGCGGCGUACCACGACUGUCGGCGACCCCGGACACACGCGCGGCCGCGAGACGCCAUCUCCUGUACCAGGCACACACACUUCUUGCCGCCCCCUUACGUCCGUGGACGCGAGUGACCGCUCAUUUCUCAAAAGUUCGUGUGUUCCUCCAAGCAAAUCCUCAAAUACACAGAAGUACCAUGCAACAUUAAACUCACACAGUAGUUGAACACACACACAUAACAUAAGAAGUUCAUAUAUGUCAUCGGACUACCAAAAAUUGACAUGUUCUACUAACUAAGAAUGAUACGACAAUGGAGGAAUUUCAUCCACGACCACCCUUACCUGUGACUUCUUCGUUGUGGAAGUAGCGGUCGAAGACGCAUAUGAAUCGAGCCGGAUCUACUCACUGUCGGAGUUGUCCGAUCCAUCAUUGGUCCCCUCCUCCUCUUUGGGGGGCAGUCCGGCGAGGGCACGGACCGUCCAAUUUUGCUCCUUCGAGAGGGCACGCGCCCUCCUCCUGUGUCGUUUCUCAAGGAUGCGGGCACCGAGGACUUCCUCGUUCAUGUCCAAGGGGGCGUGCGACUCGGCCUCUAGCACUUCCGCGGCUUGUCGCGCCCUCGUGCUCGCACGACGGGCACACCGGUCCUCAGUAGCGGUUGGGCCGCGCCGCAUGUCGGUGUUGACCUCACACUUGGAGCCCGACGUCGUGGGGACAAGGCACCACCGCAGGGGUUGCGUCGUUAGCCCGGGGAUGUCUGUUCUAGCACUAUGGUACCUCCAGCUGAUGGUCACCAUGUCCAGAUCCACUGUGGUUAUGCCCCUUGAGCCGUGGGCGCCGACGGAUCCAAGCGCCAUGUACACUGACGCAAUGGACCCACCGAAGCGACUCUGGCUAUGGAGCUGGGAUUUCCUCCCUGGACCGACGAAGAGCUCCUUCUCGUCCCCGCAUGGGACGAGGUCCCAGAUGACGGAUCCGGAGAUCUUGGAAUCAGAUCUACUGCCUGCUCUCUAUAGAACGCCGGACAUCGCUGUAGAGGAUCUUGCGGACAAUCUAUGAAAGUGGAGUGACUAGGAUUUGGUACGGAAUGCUGACAAGGACACAUAUGGCGUCGGGGUGGGUCAGUGUUGUUAGAGAUAUAUUUGGUAUUUAGAGAUUGUCCAGGAUUAGAUAUGAAUUAUUUCCAUCUUAUAUCUACAACGACUACGCUCUCGGCUACCUCGACAACGGCAUAAAGGGCUAUCACCACGCUUGAGCAACUCGUCGGCUUCCUCUAUAGUCCACGCGUCCACGACGCUCCCGCUGCAAUUGCGGAGGAAUGUCAGCCCGCCGGCUGCUAUUCUCUCCUGUCUGGCCGUUCGCGACGCUCCUGUUGUUCGCAACGCUACCGCUACGACUGCAGGGGAUAUAAAGAUAUAUUUGGUAUUUAGAGAUUGUCCACGAUUAGAUAGGAAUUGUUUCUAUCUUAUCUCUAGGAGGCAUCGUGCCCUCCAAUUCUUAUACUCAAUAUAUACUCGCACUCGAGGCUCAAUAAUACAUCCAUUAUAUUCCGCCAAUUUCUCUCUCUAUCCCUUCUAACAAGCAUGGGUCAGAUCUGACGUGACGAACGUGUCCGAACAUCCCUAUACCCACCCCCACAUAUGAGCUAGGUACAAGGGUGUCGGUCAGCCCGAACAUAUGGGCUAAGUUUACCAGGUCCGGCUGGAUGGCAAUUUACCGUCCACGCAAUGACUGUACUAUCCACCGAGACUGUUAUGGGAGGAUAUGGGUGCUCCAGUUGUUUCUAAGGCCUUGUACAAUGGGAGGUGCUUAGGGAGAUGCUUAGUAAAAUAAACCGAGUUCUUCUUAAGCAUCGGUGCUUAUUUCUGCAGGAUAGACGCUUAAUUAAGCGUCCACCCUCUACAAAUAAGCACUGGUGCUUAGAGAAAAACUGAUUUAUUUUUUUAAGCACCUACCCCAAGCACCUUGCAUUGUACAGGGCCUAAGAUGCACGAAUAGCCCCGCUAUGCCAUUGGCAUGCAUGCUCGGUCUUGGUCGAGAAAAUUUAUCUAACUUGUGUGUAUCUUCUACCGUGUGCUCACAUAGUGUAUAAUGUUGUUGGGAUCGACUAUACGUAAGGUACCUGAAAAAACUUCUAGCGUAUGUCGCUUUCUCUAUCGAUGACUAUCACCACCUUGCUGCUCUGCCCCCCUCUUGACCUACCUCCCUUCCCUCACCGUGUUGUCCAUUGCCCAGGCCAUCCCUCUAAGCCCCGUCCCGGUGAACAAUUUCGACGACCCCCCCCCCCUAUCCCGGGUUAAGUUUCGGACUCGCGCCCGCUGGCUAUGUGAGGUUCUCUCUACUAAUUCACUCAAUUCGCCAUGGAUUCGAUUACAAGCUCAGAGGAGGAAGGGGAAUUACAGCCAGAGGAGGAAGAUGAUAAGCUAGCCUAUCGGCCGAAGCCGCCGUCCUGUCCAAGCCUAGUCGCUUCUCUAGUCGUCUCUCUGUAUGUAUAGUGAUCGCCCGCUUCUUUCCAAGCCCAGGAGCAGCUCGUAACCCGGCCCAUGUAAUAGGAUAGGUCCAGCCCAUGUGAUAGGAUAGGGGAGGAUGCUGACAAUCCCCCUUCCAUAACUUUCGGCUUGCCCUCAAGCCGAUUCCAUGUCAAACCACCAGGAUCCCAAGGUGUCUGUACUGCAAUUUGAACUCUAAGAAGCAUCUCUCCCGGAUCCCAAGGCGUUUGCAAAGCUUGGAAAGUUAGCGCACCAUGGAUCACAGUUGGAAGCAAUGUGUUUGGUUGACCCAAUGUUGACCGAAGAGUCACUCUUGUAAAUACUGAACAUUGGGAGUUGUAGGCCUCAUCGGUACUCACUGAACAGAGCACUUGAACAAUCUUCCAUACCAUCCAGUCAGUAGCACUGGCAGGUAAAAUUUUAUAGCUGACCAUCUCAAUAGCAGAGCACUCGACAAUGGUUUGCAGAUAUGUAUUGUCAACAACAAGCCAAGCAUAGGAGUGCUGAUCUUGGACACUAAUAGUCAUGCUGGGACCAUAUGUCUUCCGAGGCAAGAGAAGACGAGAAGAGAUUAUGUGCACAGUUAAACUUAUCUUGGCAAAUAACUUAUCACUUGAGUGAUCAACCAGAGACCCAUGAUAUAAUUCUUUCACCCAUGUACUUGCUAGAAUUCCAAUGUUUGAGCUUGAUAGUGGAUAAUUCCAAGAGCUCAUAUUUGUUGAGAAUAGGUCAACCAUUGGAACAACCAAGAAGAGACCCUUGUCUUGUGUGCUGCCCCUGGAGAGUUUCACGAACUGACGUGUGCUAGCUUGGCUUUGCAAUUCAUCACCAAUAACAACAAGGACCACAGGGAGUGUUGGAAUUGGAGUCUGUAACAAUUUCUGACGGUUGUAGUGCUUCAUGUUGUCAAGAAGGAAAAAUGCCCAUGUAAUCCUGCCUGUACAGCACAUGUACCAGGCAACAACAUGACUAACCCAAUAACUACCAGUUUCAGAGCACUCCCCAUUAACUGACCAUGCAAUUGUCCAUUGAUAUUUAUCAGAACCCGAGAAACUCAGGCAUGAGCUAACACUGUCUUGCAAGAAUCCAUCAAUCACCAGCUCAGGACCACGGACUAACAUGUAUAUUGGGCUUCCAUUAGUAGAUGUCAAAUUGAGUAACGAAGCAAUAUGAUCGUCGAUAACUGAGAUGAGCACACAAUAGCCUUCAACAACAGAAAAAUAAAUAGCUCCAAGUGUGAAUCUUACUUCUUGGUUGCAAUGCAGACUAUCAUGCAAAUUUUAUGAGAAAGCCACAGCCAUUAAGCACAACAUCCAAGGCGGCCACUGCUUGAGCUCCUCCAGAGCAUGAGCACAAGGUUGCACUGAUUUUCCAAAUAGUGGAUGCGCACACCAUGUAGCUUUAGUUGGUAACCAUGGAAACCUGAAUAUGAACUCAUCUGGAUGGAACACAAAACAAGGCCAUCGCUUCAGGUCCACCAGUAAAAAGAAGCACUUACGUGAUUUCUCAGCCUCCAGAACAUACAACAGAAGCACAGUCGAGCAGGAACACCUUGCAAAUUUUUCCAUAUAUCGACCAUAGGGAUGCCUAAUUCAGUGAUUUUAGUCAAACGAGAAAAUUGACCAACCUCGCCAAACCAAGGGAAUGGGAGUGAAUUAAGCAUUUGAAUUGGUAUCCAACGAAAUUCAUACUGCCACAAUUGUGAUUUCAGCAACUCCAUCAACGAACCCUACAAUUUCACAGCUGCAGGAACUCCAUCUGUCAGUUGCACGAAUGGCCAUGGUGGUUUCAAUGGCAAGUCAGCAAGCAGUGACAUGGUACAGAGUAGCUCGUGCAUCAAGACCUUCUUGGCAACAAUAUGCUCAGGAGCUGUAGCAAUUUGCUCUGGAUAUAAGCUCUCAGCGUCAAAUUGUGCGUCAGCAUCAACGGAUGCAUGAACAUGAUUUAUAUCCUUGCAAUUGUUGCUCUGCUCGAACAGGGGAGAUCCACUCAUGUCCGGUAAUCUGCACUUAUUCUGCUGCUCAUACACUUGCAGAUUAAAUGCCGACACAUUAGGAGAGAAAGAGGGUGGCCAUAUUUGCUUCUCAUCCCAUGGCAAUGGCGGAAAACAAACUAAUGUGGCAGCAAGUUCAGUCAUCUUCUGAACAAAAUUUCUACCAUCCUCGUAGACAUACUGUCGCUCAGUCAUUAUUGUAUCAAUGGUGUUCAAUGCAACAGGAGGGAGUAAGACCAGGCGCGAGUAGAUACCGAUAGUCAAGCACUUGGUAGGAAGCAUCAUGUGAAGUCCGCGGUCAACAAAGAACCACAGUGACUGGGAUGUCCGGCUCUCUAUCGGUGCUGAAAUGGUCAAAGACUUGGCCUCCAUGUCGUAGGCGCCGUCAGUGUCGAGGGUGUUCUUGUGCACGGAGACGGUGGAGAAGGUCGAUGGCGACAUUAGAACUUGCACCGUGAGCUCCGGAUUGAACGAUGGUGUUGCUGUUGACAACAGUCUUGUUGCAGUCAGUAGUGUAGUGUCCAAAUCAUUGCUCAAGCAAUUGGUCAAGCAUGUAGCAGGCAGCUUUGAGACUUGCUCAAGGACAUGUAGCAGUUGGGUGGUCGUCCUCCGAGUAGGUGUUGGAGCAGUAUGGGACAUGCCCUCCGAAACCACUGACACCUCUAGAACGCCAGUGUUGCUGGUGUUGAAACCCUGUCAAUUCGUCGAGCAGAUGGUGGGCAUCUUCAUGGCGUGGCUGGUGGCCAUGGCAUCGUGGGUGAUGUCGACUGCUGCAGGGGAAAUGCUGAGCACUGAGGUUGAUGUAGAGACCAACGACGCCAUUGUGGGUAAGGGUGUGGUCGUCGCCGCACGCACGGAGGUCGCGACCCAACUGGUGCUGCUCGCUGUUGAGGAAGCCGUCGCGGCGGACUUGAGCGUGUCGUCCAGCACGGAGAUCGGGCCCGGGUCUGCGAUGACGCGCGGAGGUGUCGCAGCAGCCGCAGAUGGCGUGGUAGAACGGAUGGUGGAGAUGGUGCCGCGCGGGACAGGCGGAAACGCGGCCGACCUCGUCGUUGAUGAAGCCGACGCCGCUGCAGUAGGGGCGCGCGUGGAUGUCGCGGUGAGCACAAGGGUUGCGUCCCAAUUGGUGGUCGAGGUGGUGUGAUGCAGAGACGUUGCAGAGACGUUGCAGAGCUCGUCGCCGAUGAAACAAAGGCCGCCGCUGCAGGGGCGCACCUACGGUCGUCGUCCCUACGCACCUUCCAACGAAGGUCGUCGAUAGUCCGGUCCAGCUUGGUGUGGAGGUCACCGAACGCCAUCUCGACCGCCUUCUCUAGCCUCGCCUUGGAGGCGGCGAAGCUUCGGUCCAGAUCACAAGCUAGCUGGGCCUUCAGAACCUCAUACAUCGCCAAACCGUCCGGCAAGAGGGUCGCCAGGAGCUCCGCACGCCGUUGUGAGUACAUGGACUUGAUUGGGGAAAAGUUUUUGGUGGAUUUUUGGUGGAGAAUCGAACGGCUCUGAUGCCAGUUGUGAGGUUCUCUCUAAUAAUUCACUCAAUUCGCCAUGGAUUCGAUUACAAGCUCAAAGGAGGAAGGGGAAUUAUAGCCAGAGGAGGAAGAUGAUAAGCUAGCCUAUCGGCCGAAGCCGCCGUCCGGUCCAAGCCCAGUCGCUUCUCUAGUCAUCUCUCUGUAUGUAUAGUGAUCGCCCGCUUCUUUCCAAGCCUAGGAGCAGCUCGUAACCCGGGCCAUGUAAUAGGAUAGGUCCAACCCAUGUGAUAGGAUAGGGGAGGAUGCUGUCAAUCCCCCUUCCAUAACUUUUGGCUUGCCCUCAAGCCGAUUCCAUGUCAAACCACCAGGAUCCCAAGGCGUCUGUACUGCAAUUUGAACUCUAAGAAGCAUCUCGCCCGGAUCCUAAUGCGUUUGCAAAGCUUGGAAAGUUAGCGCACCAUGGAUCACAGUUGGAAGCAAUGUGUUUGGUUGACCCAAUGUUGACCGAAGAGUCACUCUUGUAAAUACUGAACAUUGGGAGUUGUAGGCCUCAUCGGUACUCACUGAACAGAGCACUUGAACAAUCUUCCAUACCAUCCAGUCAGUAGCACUGGCAGGUAAAAUUUUAUAGCUGACCAUCUCAAUAGCAGAGCACUCGACAAUGGUUUGAAGAUAUGUAUUGUCAACAACAAGCCAAGCAUAGGAGUGCUGAUCUUGGACACUAAUAGUCAUGCUGGUACCAUAUGUCUUCAGAGGCAAGAGAAGACGAGAAGAGAUUAUGUGCACAGUUCCAGUUAUCUUGGCAAAUAACAUAUCACUUGAGUGAUCAACCAGACACCCAUGAUAUAAUUCUCUCACCCAUGUCCUUGCUAGAAUUCCAAUGUUGAGCUUGAUAGUGGAUAAUUCCAAGAGCUCAUAUUUGUUGAACAUAGGUCAACCAUUGGAACAACCAAGAAGAGACCCUUGUCUUGUGUGCUGCCCCUGGAGAGUUUCACGAACUGACGUGUGCUAGGUUGGCUUUGCAAUUCAUCACCAAUAACAACAAGGACCAUAGGGAGUGUUAGAAUUGGAGUCUGUAACAAUUUCUGACGGUUGUAGUGCUUCAUGUUGUCAAGAAGGAAAAAUGCCCAUGUAAUCCUGCCUGUACAACACAUGUACCAGGCAACAACAUGACUAACCCAAUAACUACCCGUUUCAGAGCACUCCCCAUUAACUGACCAUGCAAUUGUCCAUUGAUAUUUAUCAGAACCCGAGAAACUCAGGCAUGAGCUAACACUGUCUUGCAAGAAUCCAUCAAUCACCAGCUCAGGACCACGGACUAACAUGUAUAUUGGGCUUCCAUCAGUAGAUGUCAAAUUGAGUAACGAAGCAAUAUGAUCAUUGAUAACUGGGAUGAGCACACAGCAGCCUUCAACAACAGAAAAAUAAAUAGCUCCAAGUGUGAAGCUUACUUCUUGGUUGCAAUGCAAACUAUCAUGCAAAUUUUGUGACAAAGCCACAGCCAUUAAGCACAACAUCCAAGGGGGCCACUGCUUGAGCUCCUCCAGAGCAUGAGCACAAGGUUGCACUGAUUUUCCAAAUAGUGGAUGCGCACACCAUGUAGCUUUAGUUGGUAACCAUGGAAACCUGAAUAUGAACUCAUCUGGAUGGAACACAAAACAAGGCCAUCGCUUCAGGUCCACCAGUAAAAAGAAGCACUUACGUGAUUUCUCAGCCUCCAGAACAUACAACAGAAGCACAGUCGAGCAGGAACACCUUGCAAAUUUUUCCAUAUAUCGACCAUAGGGAUGCCUAAUUCAGUGAUUUUAGUCAAACGAGAAAAUUGACCAACCUCGCCAAACCAAGGGAAUAGGAGUGAAUUAAGCAUUUGAAUUGGUAUUCAACGAAAUUCAUACUGCCACAAUUGUGAUUUUAGCAACUCCAUCAACGAACCCUACAAUUUCACAGCUGCAGGAACUCCUUCUGUCAGUUGCACGAAUGGCCAUGGUGGUUUCAAUGGCAAGUCAGCAAGCAGUGACAUGUACAGAGUAGCUCGUGCAUCAAGACCUUCUUGGCAACAAUAUGCUCAGGAGCUGUAGCAAUUUGCUCUGGAUAUAAGCUCUCAGCGUCAAAUUGUGCGUCAGCAUCAAUGGAUGCAUGAACAUGAUUUAUAUCCUUGCAAUUAUUGCUCUGCUCGAACAGGGGAGAUCCACUCAUGUCUAGUAAUCUGCACUUAUUCUCUUGCUCAUACACUUGCAGAUUAAAUGCCGACACAUUAGGAGAGAAAGAGGGCGGCCAUAUUUGCUUCUCAUCCCAUGGCAAUGGCGGAAAACAAACUAAUGUGGCAGCAAGUUCAGUCAUCUUCUGAACAAAAUUUCUACCAUCCUCGUAGACAUACUGUCGCUCAGUCAUUAUUGUAUCAAUGGUGUUCAAUGCAACAGGAGGGACUAAGACCAGGCGCGAGUAGAUACCGAUAGUCAAGCACUUGGUAGGCAGCAUCAUGUGAAGUCCACGGUCAACAAAGAACCACAGUGACUGGGAUGUCCUGCUCUCUAUCGGUGCUGAAAUGGUCAAAGACUUGGCCUCCAUGUCGUAGGCGCCGUCAGUGUCGAGGGUGUUCUUGUGGACGGAGACGGUGGAGAAGGUCGAUGGCGACACUAGAACUUGCACCGUGAGCUCCGGAUUGAACGAUGGUGUUGUUGUUGACAGCAGUCUUGUUGCAGGUCCGUAGUGUAGUGUCCAAAUCAUUGCUCAAGCAAUUGGUCAAGCAUGUAGCAGGCAGCUUUGAGACUUGCUCAAGGACAUGUAGCAGUUGGGUGGUCGUCCUCCGAGUAGGUGUUGGAGCAGUAUGGGACAUGCCCUCCGAAGCCACUGACACCUCUAGAAUGCCAGUGUUGCUGGUGUUGAAACCCUGGCAAUUCGUCGAGCAGAUGGUGGGCAUCUUCAUGGCGUGGAUGGUGGCCAUGGCAUCGUGGGUGAUGUCGACUGCUGCAGGGGCAAUGCUGAGCACUGAGGUUGAUGUAGAGACCAACGACGCCACUGUGGGUAAGGGUGUGGUCGUCGCCGCACGCACGGAGGUUGCGACCCAACUGGUGCUGCUCGCUGUUGAGGAAGCCGUCGCAGCGGACUUGAGCGUGUCGUCCAGCACGAAGACCGGGCCCGGGUCUGCGAUGACGCGCGGAGGUGUCACAGCAGCCGCAGAUGGCGUGGUAGAACGGAUGGUGGAGACGGUGCCGCGCGGGACAGGCGGAAACGCGGCCGACCUCGUCGUUGAUGAAGCCGACGCCGCUGCAGUAGGGGCGCGCGUGGAUGUCGCGGUGAGCACAAGGGUUGCGUCCCAAUUGGUGGUCGAGGUGGUGCGAUGCAGAGACGUUGCAGAGACGUUGUAGAGCUCGUCGCCGAUGAAACAGAGGCCGCCGCUGCAGGGGCGCACCUACGGCCGUCGUCCCUACGCACCUUCCAGCGAAGGUCGUCGAUAGUCCGGUCCAGCUUGGUGUGGAGGUCGCCGAACGCCGUCUCGACCGCCUUCUCUAGCCUCGCCUUGGAGGCGGCGAAGCUUCAGUCCAGAUCACGAGCUAGCUGGGCCUUCAGAACCUCAUACGUCGCCACCCCUCCACCGAGAGGGUCGCCAGGAGCUCCGCGCGCCGUUGUGAGUCCAUGGACUUGAUUGGGGAAAAGUUUUUGGUGGAGAAUCGAACGACUCUGAUGCCAGUUGUGAGGUUCUCUCUACUAAUUCACUCAAUUCGCCAUGGAUUCGAUUACAAGCUGAGAGGAGGAAGGGGAAUUACAGCCAGAGGAGGAAGAUGAUAAGCUAGCCUAUCGGCCGAAGCCGCCGUCCGGUCCAAGCCCAGUCGCUUCUCUAGUCAUCUCUCUGUAUGUAUAGUGAUCGCCCGCUUCUUUCCAAGCCCAGGAGCAGCUCGUAACCCGGCCCAUGUAAUAGGAUAGGUCCAGUCUAUGUGAUAGGAUAGGGAAGGAUGCUGACAGGCUAUCACCAGAUCCCGGUCGUACACAGCUCUGCCUCGCCGUGGCCGGAGCUCCUCACACUGACCCCGCCUUCGGCCUCGCGUUGCACUUUGUAAAAUGUGACUACGCAACAAAACAAUCCAGACACAUGAUCUUAAACAGAAACCAAUGAUGUUUCACUCAGCUCAGCUGCAAUGAUGGAAAUGGAUGCGACCACAGACCACCGGGGUCGUCACGCAUGAGCCAAAAUCGUUGUUUCGACCUUUUUUGCUAACUUUAUCACGAUCUGAACCCUCUUAGAUUUUUUAGCGUGACCUGAUUCUUUUGAUAACACCAAGACCCAUGCUGUUUGUGCCUCACAUAGAUACGCCAAGGUAGCCAGCAUUUCUACUUUGAAUAGAUAAGUGACCGCAGGCACGUGAAAAUGUCACAAGCUCUGGCGUUUUCUCGGGCAAAAACGCCAGGGCCUUUGGCAUUUCCAGUAACGCGGCCCAUUUCAGUGUUGCUGCCAGGCCAAAAACUUCAAAAGUCUCCUGGGUUGCAUGGGUUGCAGAAACGCCAUGGUUUUUAGCAUUUUUAAAAAGGGUCAAAUCAUAUUAAAGUGUUCAGCCAGGUUCAUUAUGCGCUAAAGUUACGGAAAAAGGUCGAAACAGUGAUUCUGGCCUCAGGCAUGUGCCCCCGGAUAGAAAAACAGAAGAGCUUGAACCCAAGUCAAGUCUGCUCCAUCCAGUAGUACGUGCAUGACUCGCUGUGUUGACCCUUAGUCGCGCUUGACCCCAAGUCCAGUCUCGUCCAUCCAGUACAUGUACCGUUCCUCGUACCAGCCAUGCAUCGUGCUUCCCGCUUGGAAAUUAUGGCAAUGUGCACGCCAACCGAACCAAGAAAACAGUCAUGCACAUUUCUAUGUGCAAGCCAGUGAAGACUCGAUCAUGCACAUCAUUUACAAACGUUAGUGGACGCGUCCAGACGCGUAGUGACCGUUCAGCACUCAUUUUUGAUCUGUUACAAUCAUAUACCUCAAAUGCCACUCGUCAAAUUCAUACUACAUCAUACAACACACAAAAGCUACGUAAAUACAUGCUAUGUCGAUAAACCUAGCAUACUCGUCGUUCGAGAUGUAGAUGACGUCCGUGCCGGUAGUGCCGGACGGACCUGCCACCAGGGGGAUGGCUGCCUCCAGCCGCGGCUCCGGCUCCCCGUCAGACUCCAUGUCCAUGAAGAUUACGUCUAGUGACGGAUCCAGGACCCAGGCCGGGGGGGGGGGAGGGGCCUGGGCCUGGGGCGUGAGCAUGAAUUGUUUUGUUGACUGCAGCAUAUUGUACUGUAGCAACACUGUAGUCCACUGUAGCAGUCUAGGGCCCUGGGCUUGGCCAAAUCCUAUGUCCGCCCCUGAUUACGUCCACCUCCGCCCGUCGGUUGCAGAUGUAGCGGUGGUUUCCCCCACAUCCGCCUCCGAGCGGAUGGAGUCUAGGAUAGUCUGCUGUUCUGCCUCCUCCUCCGCUUGGGUGACCUCAAAGUCGCCCAGCGCGCCGGCCAUGACGAAUCCGGCUUGGGAAACCAGAAGCACCGGCUCCGCCUCGCCAUUUUCCUCCUCCUCUAUCGUCCAGCGCCUUCUCCUCCUCAUGCUCCUGAGAAUCCGGAGGCGGGCUGAAUGCAAACCAAGCGGCGCACCAUGCACGGAUCUGCGCUAGGAGUUGCAGUAGGCGCUCCGGAGUGAGCAUAGCGUAGGUCGUUAUCCGCUGUUGGGCCAUAGCUACGAACAGAGAGCUGCGAGCGGAUGGAUGGGUGGCGACACGGAGGAGAGGGAAAUGGGGUGCAUAUAGGGUUGAGGUCGUCGUCUGUCUUAAAUCGGUGGAUUUGGCCCCUCGGGCAGCGCACCGGAGUGACAUCCUCACUGGACCAUUGGGUUUUGAUGGGUAUCUGCGUGGGUCCCGCACAUCAAUCCGAUGUCGCGGGCGCACUCGAGCACAUUCGGGCCUUCCAUAUCCGCACCAGAUUUGGACUGAAUAUAAGGGGUGUCGGUCCGUCCGAACGUAUAGGGCCAAUCUGAGAAGCCGUCUGGGUCAGAAUUUUGUGAUCGGUCAGUGACCGAGCCGUCCAUCUGGGCAUAUGACAGUAUGAGGGGAAGCCUGACUGUACAUGCUCUUAUAGUUUACAUCUCCAAAAGAGCUUCCCAAUCUCAUCACAGAGGAUGCAUAUAUAAAACUGGCGGCUAACUUUUCUAUUCUCUAAGAAAAUGGACCAACAGUCCAACACUGUCCUAGCAUAGAAAGGAUAAUAUCUCAUCUUCAACCACACAUCAUGACUACACAUGCUGGAUUUUUUUAUCUUUGUUGAUUUUCUUUUGAUGACUUGUCAUAGCUAAUUUGACUCUUUAAAACUUCCGUGUGCUUUCAUCGUUCUUCAACCAAGGUUCCAAAUUCCCCUAAAAAAAAGAACCAAGGUUCCAAACACGAUUCUGGCAGGAGUAAGAUAGGUUCCAAACAGCAGCAGGUCGCUAGGCUUCAUGCUUCUUGUUUUUUUGAGAAGAUAUCUCUAUAAUUAUGGGAGGGUGAUCCACAUUUUGUAGGUGGGAUAUGCAUCAUGUAUGUGUCUUAUCUGUCAAUGGUCUUAGCAGUCAACAGUCCUUUUGGUCAACAGUCAAGGUUCUCAAUGGUCACAGUUUACUUUCUGAAGUCCCAAACAGUAAAAGUGAACGAUUAUCAAUGGGUCGCGGCCCGCUAUGGCGCGCGUGAGCGCCAAAACCUUCGCGGCGCUGUUUAGGACGGGGGGCACUAUUUGACGGAUAUUUUGUUAAACUAGCAAAAUGGCCUGUGCGUUGCAACGGAAAAAAAAUAUACCAUAAUCUCCAAUGCUCAUGACCACAUUUUACUACAUCACCGUGAUACACUAUUACUCUCAUUUUCAUGAAAUCAUGAACAAUUUUUCAAAAUCAUGAACAUUUUUUUAAACUCGUGAACAUAUCUGAAAUCAUAAAAAAAUAAAAUUCGUGAAGAUUUAUACAAAUUUUGGAACAUUUCGAAAAUCAUGAACAUUUAUACAGAUUUUUGAACACUUUCUAAAAUCAUGAACUUUUUUUGAAUUCAUGACUAUUUUAGUACUAUCUUCAAACAUUUUCUUUAAAAUUGUGAACAUUUCUUAAAACAUUUUCCUUGAAUAGGCAAACACUUAUAGAAUUGACACACAUUUUUUAGACAUUAGUGGAACAAUUUUUGAAAUACAUGAACAUUUUUCUAUUUAAUGAGGAUUUUUUUGAAAUGCAUGAUCAUUGUCUGAAUCAGCAAACAUUUUAUGAAUCAAUGAACUAUUUUGUAAGUCACGAAAAGUUUUUGAAUUUUUAGAAUAUUUUUCAAUUCAUGAACAUUUUUUCAGUUGCCGAAUUUUUUUUUCAAUUUCAUUUGAAUAUUUUAAUACAUUAACUUUUAAUAAAUAGCGAACAUUUUCUGAAUCCACAAAUAUUUAUGAACUAUUGAACAUUUUAUGGCCUGGGCAAGAGUUCGACCUAGGGGUGACCUAGGCAAUGUUGCCGUUUCCCUUAAAUUUGUUUUGACCGAUCUUCGGAAGUGGAGUAAAGAAAACUUUGGGCAUAUUGAGAAGCAAAUUGCAGCCCUGAGGCAGGGGCUGGAAACUUUGCAAAUUAAUAGUAAUGAUCGUCUGCUGAUCCGACAGAAGAUGGAGGAGCUAGAUGAAUUAUUGUAUCCUGAGGAAAUGAUGUGGCUCCAGCGUAGUCGUAUUGCCUGGUUUAAAGAAGGGGACCGCAAUACCCAUUUUUUUCACCGCCAGGCAGUAUGGCGAGCACGGAGGAAUAAUAUAAGGCGGCUACAGAAAGUUGAUGGCUCUUGGUGUUCAGUGCCAACAGAGAUGGAACGCAUGGCGGCGUCCUAUUUUCAGGAGGUCUAUACAAAAGACCCUACUCUCUAUCCUGAUAUACUAUUAGAUCGGAUCAUGCCCAAGGUUACUGACGCAAUGAACGGGAGUCUUUUGGCUCCCUUUUCAGAUAUUAAGAUUUCAGAUGCACUCUUUUAAAUUGGACCCUUGAAGGCACCUGGUCCGGACGGUUUUCCAGACCUGUUUUAUCAAAGGAACUGGGGUUGUUUGCAAGAAGAAAUCAUAAAAGCGGUGCGACAGUUCUUUGAGACAGGGCAUAUGCCAAGUGGGGUAGAUGAUACUUCCAUCGUGCUAAUACCUAAGGUUCAACACCCCUCUUCGUUGAAAGAUUUCCGUCAUAUUUCUUUAUGCAAUGUGAUCUACAAGAUAGUUUCUAAAUGCAUGGUAAAUCGCCUUCGACCACUCCUUACGGAACUAAUUUCUGAAAAUCAAAGUGCUUUCAUCCCGGGUAGACUCAUCUCGGAUAAUUCCAUUAUUGCCUUUGAAUGUAUCCAUCACAUCCAAAGGCCUAUGAUCGUGUGGACUGGCUUUUCUAGAAUGUGCCUUGUUGAAGUGGGGCUUUGCCCCUCGGUGGGUCUCUCAGGUUAUGGAGUGUGUACGUUCAGUAAAGUUCUCGGUGAAGUUUAAUGGCAGAUCUUUGGAGCAAUUCUCACCAUCCCGCGGCCCGUGUCAAGGUAAACCAUUACCACCUUUUCUUUUUCUCUUUGUUGUUGUCGCUUUCUCUGCUCUGUUACAUGAUGCCGUACAAGAGAGAGGCCUUGAGGCCCUCAAAAUAUGUAGGAGGGCACCGAAAAUAUCACACUUGGUGUUUGUGGAUGAUUCCCUUUUAUUCUUUCGUGCAACCACGGAUCAAGCGGAGAUUGUCAAGGAUGUUCUGAACACUUAUGCUUCAGCGACGGGUCAACUUAUUAAUCCUUCAAAGUGCUCCGUCUUGUUUGCAGACAGUUGUCCUAAUCCAGUGGUUGAUGAGGUGAAACAUAUUUUAGGCGUCACGCAACAAGAAUUUGAACCUAAGUAUCUGGGGCUCCCUAUUCCAGAUGGUCCGAUGCACAAGGUCCGGUUUGAGUCACUGCAAUCCAGAUUAAGUAAGAAGCUAGUGGGCUGGAGCGAAAGGUAUUCUUCGCAAGCUAGUAAGGAGGUGAUGAUCAAGUCCGUCGCACAAGCCAUCCUAGUGUAUGUAAUGAGUAUCUUUAAACUACCGUUCUCUGUUUGUGAUGACUUGACAAAGAUGAUGAGACAAUAUUGGUGGGGUGUGGAAAAUGGUAGGAGGAAGAUGGUGUGGGUUGCAUGGGACAAAUUAACUCUGCCCAAGACAAAAGGAGGGCUUGGUUUCCAUGACAUGCGAGCGUAUAAUCAGGUACCGCUUGCCAAACAAGCUUGGCGUCUCUUGAUGGCACCAGAGUCGUUGUGUGCAAGGCUUCUUCGGGCCAAAUAUUAUCCUGCUGGUCUUUUACUGGACGGUUUUCCCAAGCAAUUCCUCGGCGGUAUGGAAAGGAAUUGAGUAUAGACUCGAGCUGGUAAAGGAAGGAAUGUUAUGGCGUGUCGGAAAUGGUGCAAACAUUCGUGUUUGGAGGGACCCUUGGAUUCCAAUAGGUCCACCAUAUACGCCCAUUCUGCCAAAGCGAAACUGCCGGCUCAACAGAGUUAAGGAUUUUCUAGAUGAUCAUGGUAACUAGAAGCUGGAACUACUACAACGAUACUUCUGUCAAGCGGAUGAAGAUUCGAUCCUGAUGAUCAGGACGUCUUCACGGCAGCAGGAGGAUAUUUUUGUCAUGGCCAUGGGAUAAAUCUAGUAAUCUAACUGUAAAAAGUGCUUACCAUGUUGCCAUGUUCAAACACAGCGAACAAUUUUGUCCAGGAUCAUCGAGUUCGUCUACAUAUGGUGACAGAACACUUUGGAAACUCGUUUGGAAUGCUACAGUGCCACCAAAGAUGAAAAACUUUGCUUGGCAGGUGUAUUCGGGUGCUCUCCCCACGAAUGCAGAAAAAAAGGCAUCUGGGUUCAAAUGGGUAUUGUAGGGUGUGUGAUCGAGAGCGGGAAUUUUCAUUUCACGCGUUGGUAGUAUGUCCUAAUGCCGCCAACAUAUGGGAUGCAAUGCAACAUCACUGGCCUUUGCCAAACCGAUUGGAAAUAAAGCACACUGGCGACGAGUGGUUGCUCCAUCUACUCGCAGACUCACAAGAGCACAUCAGAAGCAGAAUCAUCAUGGUGUUUUGGAGAACAUGGCACCUACGUAAUGAACUUACACAUGGUAAGUCAACCCCACCGCUAGAAGUAUCAUGUUCGUUCCUUCUCACCUACUACAACACUUUCAACCAGAUUUCCUUGGGAAUUGAUGAAACUAGAUGAUAUCCUGCACGUUGCUGCGGAAGUACGAGUAAGCCUUUUGAUUUGGAUAUAAGGGGAAUUUAUCAAACAUGAAUAUAUAUAAGCAUGAUCCAGAUAAAAAAACAAGUUUUCAAUCAAGAUAAUCUUUGGUUACUCCCUGCCAAAUAAAAAAGUUAGUCAUGUGAUAUAUGAAACCAAACUCAAAAAACAGUUUCUACCGUAAGAGCAACAAUUCUUAAUGUGCGACGAAAUAAUAUGUUGUUCUGACCUUUCAUCAUAUAUAACUACAGUACAAAAUAAAUUAUUUUAUGCUCAAAUAUGUUGUUCUGACCUUAUAUUAUAAAAUAAAUAAUAUGUUGUUCUGAUCUUCCAGCAUAUAUAACUUACAGUAUAAAAUAUAUUAAAAUUGUUUUUACCUUUGUAAAAUAAAAAAAGGUUGCGAAAAUUCAGUAUAUUUGAAAACAAAGUUUCCUGAAUAAUCCACAUAUGCAGCUUCAACAUGGGAGAGUAUGUCAGAGUUGCACUGGCGACAUCUACUUUGCAUCCACUUUGGAUGCUCAUCGAGAAAGGUGAUAAUACUAUGAUUGCGUACUUGUAUACUGCCUUUUGUGGGUCAAAUACCAGGAAACAUAUAUAAUAUCUAGGACGCCGAUAUUCACCACACGUGUGAUAUAAUAGGCAUUUGCCCACACAUCAUGUGUGGCGAGAGCAGGGGGCAGUCCACACAGGCUGUGUGUGGACAAACAGUAGAAUUGCCCACACGUGUGGGCACAACUACUUCGUGCCAUACGCCCAACAAGUACUACUCAUCCUCACCCGCGCGUGUGGCACGAAACAAAUGUGUCCACACGUCCUGGCGCAGCUAUAUUAGGUACCCGCGGGAUGACGAUUUAGUUGCUAUCCGAGAUGACAAAUGUAGUUAUCCGGGAUGGCAAAUAUGUUUGUAAAAGCAUGACAACUCUCUCUAUUUUGGUUAACUACUAGCAAGAUGCCCGUGCAUUGCACGGAACAUCAAGAUGCAUUUUUUAUAAAACACCUGUUGUGAUUGACCCAUGCGGGAGUAAUCCCAUGUGUAAAAACUAAUCAUAUCUCGAGAAAGAGGAAAGAUAAGGUAAGGAGGAGUGGGGCGUGGUGGUGAUUGGUGGUCGGACUGAGCGGAGGCAUGGGGAUGGACGAGCUGGCAGCGGCCACCAUGACAGAUUGUUCCAGAGGCUUCCUUUUUUUAAUUGCUCAACAAUGAGGUUAUGGGAGAUCAGGAUGAACGAGGGAAGGCCUUAUCUGCAAAUGUGGAGAGAGGUGCGGGUAUCUUUUUGCAAAAUUGUCAUAGUUUGCUUUCUGUCCGUCAGAUAUAGAUCGGACGAUAUAUAUUGCAAGAUGGCAGGCACACCAUCAUCACCAACUCAGUUUUUUUUAUAAAAGUAGAGAUAGUUGCCAUGCCUAAUUUAUGGUAGUUGCCACGUGUAAUCAAACCAUAGUUGUCGUGUGUGAUUAACUACUUGCCACAUAUGGUCAAACAAUAAUUGCCAUGUGUGUUUACCUAGUUACCACGUGUGGUUAAUCACAGUUGUCAUGUAUGUUUAUCUGAUUGCCACGUACGCGCAACUGCAGUUGCCGUCUAGCAAACGAAUCAUAGUUGCCAUGUCUGUUUGCCUAGAUGCCAUGUACUGCAGUUGCCGUCUAGCAAACGAUCAUAGUUGUCAUAUGUAUUUGCCUAGUUGCCAUGUACGUGCAACUACAGUUGCCAUGUAUGUACGACUGCAGUUGUCAUGUACGUGCAAAAGCAGUUCGCCCACACGCGCGUGGACUAGGUGGUGGCUGUGUGGAAAGAAACUAGUUCGCCCACGCAGCGCAGCUGGCAACCGUGUGUUGUGGGGCGUAUGGGCGACCUCUUCAACGCCCACACAUCAACCUUGUCCUACGUGGCACGCGGAAACUGCCUCGGUGUGUUAAGAUUCAUGCAAACUUAACUGGAUGGUGAUUCAGACGUGUGAGCGAGUUGCAAUGUUGCCACACGUGUGAGCAUUAGUGUUUUCGAAUAUCUAAUUUCAAUGAACUCAGUUCAGAGAUCAUAAAUAUUUGAUUGCUAGCUGCACCACCUCAUGGGCCUGCAUAAAAUUCAGUUUGAGGUAAAACAUAAGAGUUUUUAGUUUCAGUUGCAGGCACAUAGUCGAAGAAUAAGAAAGAUACAUGAUAAGAUUAGUAAUAGAUAUAAGAUAAUACGGUGGAAGUAAAACAAAAAUUACAUUAUGUUCAAGAUGAAUGGGCAUCUGUGCAGAUUACCUGACGGCGUCCAUAUGGGGCCCUAGUUGUUCGAGACAAAUCGGUGUUUGUGGAUGCACUUGACGAAUAUACAUACGGGUGGCCUCACAUGAGGCGCCCGAAGAUGAGGAUGGAUCAUGACUGCCGGGACUGGGGGUAGGGGGACUGCUGCGGCUGGUGAAGAUGAACACGGUGUAUAUGCUUCACCAUCAAUCAACAGAUUCACCCGUGUGAGAUGGCCAUGGAUCGUAUGUGUGCCCACCUGGACCCGGCAGAGAAUGGAAGCCUUGCCAGCGAUGGAUGGCAUGCCAAUAGGCAGACUUGUGACUGGAGCAGAUGGGGACAGUCGUGGGAAUGUAGAGAGAAGCACUGGCCAUUAUUGUCUAUUUUAAGGGUUAGUGGCAGAGUGGAGAAAUGAAUUGGAAGGGAACGGAGGAAACACAUUUGAGUGGGCUUUUAAUCAGUUUCAGGAAGGGGAAUCAGUGGUGAUGUGAUGCGUCGCACAAUAGGGCACUAAAUCUGAGGCCCGGUAAACAAUUCGAGUACUUAUUGUUCGUAGUGACGUGGGUUGCCAUUUGCGAGAGCGCUCAAUCGAGGGAGGUUGUGGUAGGUCUGGUCUGUGAGCCAGUAACAAAAUAAAUGACAUGGCAUUAGAGUGGCUGAUGUGGAAGGGCUGCUGAUGUGGAUAGCUUCAUGCAAAGAGAAAUAGAAUUGUGUGGAUGAACUAUUUAGGUAUUAUAGAUUAUUAAGGGUAAAUCUCCGAUGCACGUUGAGAUACAUGCUGAGGCACCGAAGCGACAGGUAACUGUCCUACGGGAACCCUGACCAAAUCCGCAGUCUGGCGUUGUGGCAUUGUCAGUGAAUGGAUCAAGGAUAGCUCAGCGGGUUCAGGUAUUAUCUUAAGAGAUAAUAAAGAAGGUGUGAUAUUUGCUGCCUAUCGCAAGUUAUUCCACUGCAAUGAAGCGGUAGGAGCUAAACUACAGGCAUUUUGGGAAGGGCUAAAAUUGGCGAUCGAGCAUUUGAGCACCACGAUUAUGGUGCAGUCAGAUUGUGCUACUGCUCUCAAAGCACUCUCUGAUGCUUCUUUGGAUAGAUCAUCUUACGACCACUUGAUUCAGGAGAUUAAGUUUUAUCUGAAUGAUAGGGUUUUUAUUCCUAUAAAAAUUACUUGAGAACAGAAUAAGGUUGCAGACUGUUUAGCAAGAUUUGGGCGGCAUGGGGAUAGCACAACAUGUUGGCUAGGGCAUCCACCGCCGUGUAUCAGUGCUUUAGUUGUUGAGGAUUGUAACUCUAUCACAUAGGAAUAAAGCCCUAUGAUUCUUCAAAAAAAGAACAUUUUAUGUCAAAAUUCUUGUUUUUUUAUUUUUCAGAACUUUAUUUAGUCCCAAAUUAUUUAAAGUAGAAAAAAGGAAGAUAAAAAGGAAAAUGAAAAAUAAAAAACGAAAAAAAAACAGAUCUCCUGGACAUGGCCCGGUCCAAACAGGCGCGCUGUGUCUUCUUCCGAUGUGCAGAGCGCAGUAUAGAACGUUCCUACUGCAUGGGCCGGUCCAGGCAGAGAUUCUCCUGCGUAAAACAUUUUUUUAUCACUCAUAGGUGGUAUCAGUAGGUAAUAUUUUUUGCAACUUCAUGGCCAAUUUCAAUGACAUACCGCCAGAAGCAAUAGCCCCUUUAUUAUUUUCUUAAAUAGUCGGUGGAACGCACGUAGGGAGCCCCAAGCUGGACUAGCCCAUGUAGCUAGUCUGACCCAGCACCUGUAGAGGGUUGUGUAGUGUACCGACUGAGCUUUUUCAUUCGAUUUCCAGAAAAAUGUGAAAAAAUACUUUGCAAAAUUGAAUAUGAUUUCAGAACGUGUAUUAAGAAACACGAACACAAACAUUCUUUCAAAAAUGCAAACAUUUUUAGGGAAACAUGAAAUAUUAAAAUAAAUUAUUUUUUGUGAAACAACGAAUAUUUUUAAAUGUUUGGAAUCUUUUUUACAGGGUGAUUUUUUUUAUUUUCUAAAAUAGGUAUAUUUUGUGAAUUUUAAAUUUAUUAACAAAUAUAAAAAUGGAUUUGUUUUUGAAAUACUGAAUUUUUUUCUGAAAACACAAAUAUUUCUCUAAUCCACAAAUCAUUUUUGCAUUCUGUAUAAUUUUCUAGAGCGAGAUAUUUUUUUAUACUGAACAAUAUUCGGAGCAAUUUUUGAGAAUCUGAAUAUUAAAAAAUAUGUACUUUUAUUUUUAAAAUUUGCAAACAUUCUAAAAAUUCGUGACGGUUUUUGGAAAUCAUGAUCUUUUGUGAUUUCCAAUUUUUCAUUUUCACUUUUUUACAAGUCGUGUUCAUUUUCAAUUUUUGGAUUUUUUUAGUUUGUAGUCUUUUUUAACAACGGUGUUCACGGUCCAUGGUCGUAGCAGUCAUCAGUCUUUUGCAAUCAGCGGUCAAUGUGCUCAAUCUAUCUAUCUAUCUAUCUAUCUAUCUAUCUAUACCUCUAUACCUAUACUAAUUGCUGACUCCUUAGAAAUUCUCAGGUUAAUUAGUAAUUAGGGGCCGUUAAUCUGGUGGGGCCAAAUUAUUACGGCGUAGAUCAAUCCUAUCAGUUUCCACCUUAAUAAAAAAAUAAACAUGCGUUCUACUCCUCUCUCCUAAACUCUCACGACUCCCAUCUCCAAAUAUCUCACAAUCUCUCACGACUUCCCUCUCCAAAUAUCUCCUCUAGGUUAGCAAAAUAAAGAAAACACUUCCAAUAUCUCCCCUGACGUCCCAAUAUCUCUCCUCACGUCCCAUGUAUGCGGCCACGCCAUGGCCGCCCAAGCCUUCGAUCGAUCAAGUCAGGCUUUGCUUCUCAGGCCCAUGUACGUCACCGCCAUGGCUGCCCCAAGCCUUCUAUCUCAAUCAGCCAAUCAAGAUACAUGUACAACACGACAGGCGGCGAAUCUCUGCCUCUUCUGCUUCCAAAGCAAAUCUUGUGGACUGUGGUAGGAAACUGUCGCUCCCUUCUAUCAUUGAAAAUAAUUCCAUUACCAUCGUCUUUCUGUUCUCCCAUACAAAAAGGUCCAUUGUUUGAUGCAAGAAGAUUGGGUCAUGGAUCAGCACUAGUAAAAAACAAGGCUUUGGUCCAGGCCGGGUCAGCCCAUUAGUCCUGGUUCAGUCCAGAACCAGGACCAAUGUGGGCAUUGGUCCCGGUUCGUGAGCCCAGGGGGCUGGCCGGGCCACGUGGGCCAUUGGUCCCGGUUCAUUUGGACCUUUUGGUCCCGGCUGGUGAGAUGAACCGGGACCAAUGGGCCUCGCUCCUGGCCCACCACCAUUGGUCCCGGUUGGUGGCUUGAACCGGGACCAAAGGCUCCCCUUUAGUCCCGGCUCAUGUCACCAACCGGGACCAAUGAGGUGCCUAUAUAUACCCCUCGCUCGCGAGCAGAGCACCCUAGUGCUCUGUUUUUCUCUGGCCGAGGGGGAGAGGGCUUGGUGGUGCUCUAGCUCACCUCCUAUGCACACAAGGUGUUCGAUGGAAUGCCCGAGCCACACUACUUAAGCUUUCUCCUCUCCAAGCUCGACCUCCAAGCUCCAUUUUCCAUAAUAUUUGUCUAGGUUUAGCGGUCCGUCACGCCCCGUCCCCGUCUUCACCGCCGUCGAUCACCCGCGCCGAGCUCAUCGCCGGCACCACCGUGGUGAGCCUCUUGUUCUUAUCUUCUUUCUGAAAGGAAAAAUAUUCUUACUUGUAUGUUUACAUAGAUACUUGUAUUAUUUUCUUACUUUUAUUAUUGCAUCUUAUAUAGUGCGAUGGUUUUGGUAUCCGCCCCCGUCGGCCCUCAUCCUGUCUAUGAUUCGGAUGUGGUAUAUAUAUUAUCUUUAUAACUAUUGGUUCAUUUAUUGUUUAUGAAAAUUAUACCGACCAACGUAACAUAGAUUUUAUUUAUGUAGGAUGUAUGUGAAUCGGAAAUGCCAACCGACCCUAUUGUCGAGAGGUUAAAUUUAGUUGAAGAAGAAAACAAUUUGUUGAAGGAAAGAAUAAAAAAAAUUGAGGAGGAGAAGAUGAUAUUGGAGUUGCAUGUUGCGGAUGUCGUCGAUGAUCACAAGAUCAAGAUGGAUGCAAUGCGCUUGAAGAUUAGAAAGAUUAGAAAAUAUGCCAUUCAUACCGAGGCUUGGUAUCAUUAUGCCGUUGGAUCAAUUGUUACCUUGGUUGCGAUUAUGAUCGCAUUUGUUUUCGCAUUGAAAUGUUUUACAUAGUUUCAAUGUAUGGUUUAAUUAAUUAGAUGCUCUGGAGAGCUAUAUGUUGUUAGAUGAGAACUAUGUACGCACUUUGAUUUUAAUGUGAUGAUGAACUUCUAUUAAUUUGUACACUUAAUUAUAUAUAAUGCACGCAGAUGAACCGGCAAUGGAUGUACGGUGACAGACACACCUGCGAGUACAUUAAGGGCGUGUAUGAGUUUCUCGAUGCGGCUGAGGCAAACAAGCAAAAUGGUUUUAUGUGUUGUCCAUGCACUGAAUGUGGGAAUACGAGGUCUUACUCUAACCGGAAAAUCCUUCACUCCCACCUGCUUUACAAGGGUUUCAUGCCACACUAUAAUGUUUGGACGAGGCACGGAGAAAUAGGGGUUAUGAUGGAAGACGGCGAAGAAGAAGAGUACGAUGACAACUAUAUGCCCCCUGAAUAUGGUGAUGCUGCAACGGGGGGAGCUGGUGAAGAUCAAGAGGAACUAGACGAUGUGCCCAAUGAUGCUGCAACGGGUGAAGCUGCUGAAGAUCAAGAGGAACCAGACGAUGUGCCCGAUGAUGAUGAUCUCCGCCGGGUCAUUGUCGAUGCAAGGACGCAAUGCGAAAGUCAAAAGGAGAAGCUGAAGUUUGAUCGCAUGUUAGAUGAUCACAAAAAAGGGUUAUACCCCAAUUGCGAAGAUGACAACACAAAGCUCGGUACCGUACUGGAAUUGCUGCAGUGGAAGGCAGAGAAUGUUGUGACUGACAAAGGAUUUGAGAAGCUACUGAAAAUAUUGAAGAAGAAGCUUCCAAAGGAUAACGAAUUGCCCGACAGUACAUACGCAGCAAAGAAGGUCGUAUGCCCUCUAGGAUUGGAGGUGGAGAAGAUACAUGCAUGCCCUAAUGAUUGCAUCCUCUACCGCGGUGCAUACAAGGAUCUGAACGCAUGCCCGGUAUGCGGUGCAUUGCGGUAUAAGAUCAGACGAGAUGACCCUGGUGAUGUUGACGGCGAGCCCCCCAGGAAGAGAGUUCCUGCGAAGGUGAUGUGGUAUGCUCCUAUAAUACCACAGUUGAAACGUCUGUUCAGAAACAAAGAGUAUGCCAAGUUGAUGCGAUGGCACAGUGAGAACCAAAAGAAAGAUGGGAAGUUGAGAGCACCCGCUGACGGGUCGCAGUGGAGAAAAAUCGAGAGAGAGUACUGGGAUGAGUUUGCAAAGGACCCAAGGAAUGUAUGGUUUGCUUUAAGCGCGGAUGGCAUUAAUCCUUUCGGGGAGCAGAGCAGCAAUCACAGCACCUGGCCCGUGACUCUAUGUAUGUAUAACCUUCCUCCUUGGAUGUGCAUGAAGCGGAAGUUCAUUAUGAUGCCAGUUCUCAUCCAAGGCCCUAAGCAACCCGGCAAUGAAAUUGAUGUGUACCUAAGGCCAUUAGUUGAAGAACUUUUACAGCUGUGGAAUGGAAACGGUGUACAUACGUGGGAUGAGCAUAGACAGGAGGAAUUUAACCUUAAGGCGUUGCUGUUCGUGACCAUCAACGAUUGGCCCGCUCUCAGUAACCUUUCAGGACAGACAAACAAAGGAUACCACGCAUGCAUGCACUGUUUAGAUGACACUGAAAGUAUAUACCUGGACAAAUGCAGGAAGAAUGUGUACCUGGGCCAUCGUCGAUUUCUUCCGACCAACCAUCAAUGUCGAAAGAAAGGCAAGCAUUUCAAAGGCGAGGCAGAUCACCGGAAGAAGCCCACCAUGCGUACCGAUGAUCACGUACUUGCUAUGGUCAAUGAUUUACACUACGUAAUCUUUGGAAAGGGUCCCGGUGGACUAGCUGUUCCAAAUGACGUUGAGGGACACGCAUCCAUGUGGAAGAAGAAAUCUAUAUUUUGGGACCUACCCUACUGGAAAGACUUAGAGGUCUGCUCUUCAAUCAACGUGAUGCACGUGACGAAGAACCUUUGCGUGAACCUGCUAGGCUUCUUGGGCGUGUAUGGGAAGACAAAAGAUACACCUAAGGCACGGGAGGACCUGCAACGUUUGCACGAAAAAGAUGGCAUGCCUCUGAAGCAGUAUAAAGGUCCUGCCAGCUACGCUCUUACGAAAGAAGAGAAAGAAAUCUUCUUUGAAUGCCUGCUCAGUAUGAAGGUCACGACUGGCUUCUCGUCGAAUAUAAAGGGAAUAAUAAAUAUGCCAGAGAAAAAGUUUCAGAACCUAAAGUCUCAUGACUGCCACGUGAUUAUGACACAACUACUUCCGGUUGCAUUGAGGGGGCUUCUACCAGAAAACAUCCGAUUAGCCAUUGUGAAGCUAUGUGCAUUCCUCAAUGCAAUCUCUCAGAAGGUGAUCGAUCUAGAAAUUGUACCAAGGAUAAGGAGUGAUGUGGCGCAAUGUCUUGUCAGUUUCGAGCUGGUGUUCCCACACCAUCCUUCUUCAAUAUCAUGACGCACGUCCUAGUUCAUCUAGUCGACGAGAUUGUCAUCCUGGGGCCCGUAUUUCUACACAAUAUGUUCCCCUUUGAGAGGUUCAUGGGAGUCCUAAAGAAAUAUGUCUGUAACCGCGCUAGGCCAGAAGGAAGCAUCUCCAUGGGCCAUCAAACAGAGGAUGUUAUCGGGUUUUGUGUUGACUUCAUUCCUGGCCUUAAGAAGAUAGGUCUCCCUAAAUCGCGGUAUGAGGGGAGACUGACUGGAAAAGGCACUCUUGGAAGAGACUCAAUAAUAUGCAGGGACGGAUAUUCUUGGUCUCAAGCACACUACACAGUUCUACAGAACUCUACCUUGGUGACCUCGUAUGUCGAUGAACACAAGAACAGUCUGCGCUCCAAACACCCGGAGAAGUGCGAUGACUGGAUUACAUGUGAACACAUCAGGACUUUCAGCAGUUGGUUGAAAACACGUCUCAGAGGUGACAACACUGUUUGUGAUGAGUUGUACUUGUUGUCCAGGGGACCAUCUUUGACUGUAUUGACUUACAAAGGAUAUGAGAUAAAUGGGAAUACAUUUUACACGAUCGCCCAAGAUCAAAAGAGCACCAACCAAAACAGCGGUGUCCGCUAUGAUGCAGCAACCGAGAGCGGAAAGGACACAUAUUGUGGUUACAUAGUGGACAUAUGGGAACUUGACUACGGAUCUGAUUUUAAGGUCCCUUUGUUUAAGUGCAAAUGGGUCAAUCUGUUAGGCGGCGGGGUACAGGUAGACCCACAGUACGGAAUGACAACAGUGGAUCUGAAAAAUCUUGGGUACAUUGAUGAACUGUUUGUCCUAGCCAAUGAUGUGGCACAGGUUAUCUAUGUGAAGGACAUGUCUACCAAACCGAGAAAAAGAAAAGAUAAGGAAGCGAAUACAUCAUACGAUGAGCCAAAGCGCCACAUUGUUCUUUCAGGAAAAAGGGACAUCCUGGGAGUGGACGGCAAGACAGACAUGUCUGAAGAUUAUGAAAAGUUUCAUGAAAUUCCUCCCUUCAAUGUCAAGGCUGACCCAAGCAUCCUGAUAAACAAUGAAGAUUAUCCAUGGUUACGGCGCAAUAAGCAAAUGACACAAGCGAAGAAAAAGUGAAGACUUUCUCCCGCAACUAUUAUGAUGAUACCAUGCCAACUUUGUAACACACGAACAUGCUACCAUUGUCCGUUGUGUACAUGCACAUGCUAUGUGGGUGAAAUUAUGAUACCAUGCCAACUUUCAACUUUUUUAGAAUUCAUUUGAAAUGCUUUCAUGUCUUAUGGUUCAGCCCUCGUAAUACCAUGACCAUUAGUCCCUGGCCCAUGCCAACUUUCAACUUUCAACUUUCUAAAACUAAUGGCACUAACAGAAAGUUUAUAAUUUUGCUCCUCCCCCCUGGCCCAUGACCAUUAGUCCCGGUUUGCGCCACAAACCGGGACUAAAGGGUUGGUCCUCGUUGCGGGCAGAGUUUAGUCCCACCUCGCCAACUGAAGGGGGCUCACACCGGUUUAUAAGCCCUUCCCUCUUUGCCUUGUUGAGCUCCUCUUAAAGUGAAAAUAGAUGCCCUAAUAGAGAAAAGUUUAACCUAAAUUCAUAGUGAAUUUCUCUGAAAUUCAUAGAAAUUUACUAGGAAUUUAGGUUGAAUUUUCUCUAUAAGCGCAUCUAUUCUCAUUUUUAGUAAGUUAAUCACAAACUUGUGAUUCAAACAAUUUUCAAAGAAUUCAAAUUUUAACUAUUCAAAUUUGAAAACUAAUGGCACUAACAGAAAGUUUAUAAUUUUUCUAAAACUAAUGGCACUAACAGAAAGUUUAUAAUUUUGCUAACCUAAAAGCAAACACAAUUAAAAAUUAAAGCAAAAAACAAAAGAAAAUAAAUAAUGCAAAAAACAAAUCAAAAAACAGGAAAAAAAACUAUUUUUAUAGUAAAGUUAAUCACAAAAUAAAAUAAAUAAAGCAACAAAGAAAACAAAAAAACUAAAAAAGUGUUUUCAAAUUUGAAAACUAAUGGCACUAACAGAAAGUUUAUAAUUUUCUAAAACUAAAAGAAAAAAGAAUAAAAAAUAAAGCAAAAAACAAAAGAAAAUAAAUAAUGCAGAAAACAAAACAAAAAAACUGGAAAAAAUAGCAACAAUAAGUAUUUUGUUGUAAGUAGAAACAAAAUAAAAUAAAUAAAGCAACAAAGAAAACAAAAAAAGUGUUUUCAAAUUUGAAAACUAAUGGCAUUAACAAAAAGUUUAUAAUUUUUCUAAAACUAAAAGCAUAAAGAAUUAAAAAAUAAAGCAAAAAACAAAAGAAAAUCACUUGUGGGACGUGGAUAUAGUGUCCGACACCGACGGCCACAUGUAUCUCACACCCACGAUACUUGCUAUUUAGGGUUUCCUCUACCGCUCGGUGACCCUCGACGACCCUCGUUCCCGAUAAAAAAAAGGAAGAAGAAGAAAAAAAGAGGAGAAGAAAGAAUAGAUGAGUAAAAGAGGAGAAGAAAGAAUAGAUGAGUUCUUACUCCUCUAUUCUUUCUUCUCCUCUUUUUUUUUCUUCUUCCUCUUCUUUUUUUAUCCUUGAAGCGUUGUCGAGGCCACCCCAAACCCUAGAGAAGCAGCAUCGAGGCCACCCCAAACCCUAGAGAAGCAGCGUCGAGGCCACUAAUUAAUAUUAGUUCUACGUUUGCCACUAAUAUAUCCAUCUGUUAUGUUUGAAUAAUAAUUGCCAUGUUGUAAAUAUUUGUAGAAACUAUGGACACUGCCCGAGACGAAGUACAAGAAGAGUUGUUGGGGGACAUAAUCGCACGAGGAAGUGAUGCCGUCUGCUCGUUGUUUCUCAAUGACACCGAUGGUCUGGAAGCAGCUGACUAUGAUUAUGAUGGCUCCAGUGACCCAAUGCCGGUGCAAGAAGGAGACCAUGAUGACGUCUCCGGUGACCGAACCGAGUCCGGCCAGGUAUAUAUAUUAGUUAAGCUUCUGUUGACUAGUUAAUUGAUUUAUUCAUUGUUUUGGUAUGUACACAUAUUAAUUAAGUCUUUGUUCUUUUUUCUAGCCCUCCGGAUCGAGCACAACUUCGGUAAAUAGAUGAGGCCCGAAGAAAAAGUUGAACUCGGAUGAAAAGUUUGAGAUCAUAGCAAUCGCGCCCGACGGCCAACCGAUUGAACCCCUCCAGACAAAUAGCGCAUUUGUUGCACAGUGCGGGGUUUUGGUUAGGGACAAGAUCCCGAUCAGCAUCCAGCAAUGGUUAAAGCCGGCUACAGAAGACCCUGAGGUGUCUUAUGUCAAUGUUAUGCAGAAAAAUGAUCUUUGGACUAAGCUGAAGUCAAAUUUCACCCUAUCGCCAGAGGAUGAUCCAGAGAAGCCAGUUAAAGAGCAAUUAAUCAAGUCUUUUGCUCUUAAGAGGAUGGCAGAACUAUUCAGGAGGUGGAAGAAAGAGUUGAAUAAGUUUUUCGAAAAUAAAGAGACACCAGAAUUCAAGGGCAGAUAUGAGAAGAUCAGAGAUCACUGGCCCGCAUUUGUGGCCCACAAGACAUUGGAAAAGAGUAAGAAGAUGUCGGCGACAAACAAGCAAAAUGCUGCAAAGAAGAAGCAUCACCAUCGCACGGGGUCAGGUGGCUACCUCGUAGCCCGGCCUAAGUGGGCCAAGACUGAGAAUGAUCUGGUUGAUAAAGGGAUCGAACCAGAGACAAUUAAUUGGCUAGACCAUUGCCGGACUUGGUUCUUCGGGGCUGGCGGAACCUUGGACCCUGUAACAGGGAAGUGCAUUUGGACGAACGAUCAAAUGGACAUACCAGUCAGGAAGCUUCAGCAGUAUAUCAAAGCAGCGCAGCAAGGGACGUUCUUUCUAGAUAGAGAGAACAACGAGGUCACAAUGGCCCUCGGGAAUUCUGAGCACCCUGGACGGACACAAGGCACGCCAGGCUCCAUUCUAUGGAAGGUUGGGUUUCCGGACGCAGACGGUUACAAAUCUCAGGAGAGGAGGAAAAAAUUACAGCAGACCCAAAUGCAGGCGCUGCAAGCAAGGGUACAAGCAAUAGAGGAACGAGAAGCAAAUUGCAGCAAAUGUACUGCCGAAGCUUCCCCCGAAGCUACCCCUCCAUCUCAGCGGAGAAGCAGCGUGGCUUCCACCGAGCUGCUUCAGCCGGAGCAUGCCUUGACGGCUCCUGCCAGCUAUCCCGUGGAUGCUAUCACGGAGUCUCAAAAUUGCCACCUUAUGACGCAAUGGAUGAAUUUGAAGGUCAAGGCGGCUAUUGGCUCUGUUUAUCCUACUGAACCCGGUGCAACUUUUCACUGCCGGCCGAUUCCAGAAGGAUAUGCUAGGGUGACGGUGGAUGAAAUAAUGGAGGGAUUUGAGGAUCUCCAGCUUGACCACCCUACCGGUGAAGGGGAGACUAGGCUAGGGUCUGCUCUGAAAACUCCAUGCCUAUGGCGGAAGGAGCUCAUCAACCUUCCGAACUGGACGCCUCCGCCUCCUCCUCCUCCUCCGGCAAGUCAGGGCACUCCGCCUCCUCCUCCUCCUCCGGCAAGUCACGGCACUCCGCCUCCUCCACCGCCUCCUCCUCCAGCGAGUCAGGACACUCCGCCUCCUCCACCGCCUCCUCCUCCAGCGAGUGACGAUCAGGGCACUCGACCGGCUCCUUCUCCGGUGCGUGGCGGCACUCCGCCUCCUUCUCCGCCUGCGCCGACGCGCCCGAGAAACCAGCCUCCUCCUUCUCCGCCUCGUCAGCAAGGGCGGAAGAGACCUGCCGCCGCUCCGGCUGCUCUGGCGCGUCGUAGUCCUUCUCCUCUGCCUCGUAAGCAAGUAAAGAAGACAUCCGCUCCGUCUGCUCGGCCGGCGUCUAGCAGUACAGCCAGAGGCGGGAGUACAUACAGAUUCGGUCCUUCUCUGAAGACUCCAGAGAAGUUACCAUACGAGAGGACCUCAGAGGAGAACGCGAAGAUCGCGCGAACCGAAGUGGAUGACUGGUUUCAACGGUUGAAAGCAAAGAGACAUCCACCUCCGGAGGAGAAGGUAGAUCCGGUGAAAGCGAAGUGCACUCUGGCUGCCCUGACAAAACCACCCAAGUCUCCGCCGAAAGGAAACUAUGAGCGCAUUAUUGGAAAGGAAUUUGCCGAAGCGGAGCGGUCGGGAAGUACUGUCAGUGAUCAAAGGCUGAAAGAACGACGAGCUGGGAAACAAAUUGCCCAGCUCGGCGAACAAGCGAAGCAAUCAUGCCCCCCGCUCAAGGUGCCUAGCGACAACGUCGCUAAUGAUCCGAGGAUGGUGCCCGGUUAUAGCAAUCUUGCCGAUUACCUGCCCGACGAUGUACAUUAUGAACCCAUGGAGGUGCAGAUACAAAGAUACGAGUACAGGAAGCCUCUCGUCAAAGAUGAAAGAUCUCUAUCAACGAUGAUGCGAAGAUUGCAUGAUUGGUACUUGAAAAUCUGCAGAGACUCUGGGGGGAGGAGUACUUUGCAUGUGAAAGUUAAAAAGGAGCAUGACCUCGUCGGAAUUGAACUGUUGACUGUUCCAUUUGAGGAGUUCUUUCAGUUUUUCAAUCAACUGGCCAUCGAUAAAACAACGGUCACCUGCUACUGUCUGUAAGUAGUACUACUUCUGUCAUUAAGUUUCUCUAUAUAGCUCAGCUCUUUCAUUGCAUGUAUUUAUAAUCAUCCUCACUAUAUUAUGCAGAUUGAAGAUCGCCGAAUUGAAGAAAAGACAAGUCGGUGAUAUUGGGUUCAUUAACACAUAUCUCAUAGAUGCAACUCAGGUUAAAUUUCAUGCCGCAGAUACCGAGGCCAACUUGCUACGAUCGUUGGUAAUAAAUGAAAACAAAGAUAUAAUACUCUUUCCUUACAACUUCAAGUGAGUGUUACUGUCUUGUGCGUAUUCGGUUUCCCUUAUAUAUAUAUUAGUCAAGGUUAUAGUAAUGUAAUUGAUGAGUUAUACAUGUGUGAAGUUACCACUAUAUUCUCCUAGAGAUUAAGCUUGAGCAGAGACUAGUAACUGUCUUAGACUCAAAACGAAAAGAUCCCCAGGACUAUGCGGACAUGACUCAAAUGCUCGAGAAGUAAUUUAAAUCGAUCAGUAUCCACCAUAUCAGCAACUUUGUUCAUUUCCUAAUAUAUCAAGUAAUUGUUUUCUUUGUCUGGCAGGGUUUGGAAAAAAUUCUCUAAAAAAGCUCCAGGACUCCCGAAGAAGCUGCAAUUUAGACACCCGAAAGUAAGUACUAUAGUAGCAUGUUCCGCGCAUCUCCUAUUGAUUUGGCGUUCUUGCUUAUCAGUUUGAUUGACCUCUAUUUCUUGUAAAGUGGUUGUGGCAGGAAAAAGAGAAUGAUUUCUGUGGAUACUACGUUUGCGAGUCCAUCCGCCACACAACCUGUGAGCGGGGCUAUACUGACGAACAAUAUGAAGUACGUAAAUAACAACAUUCACAAUUUUAUUUUAUUACCAUCAUUUGUGUUGAGUUUCAUUCAUUCAUAUAUAUAUAUGUAUUGACCCCCUUCUUCAAAUUAGAUGUUUUGGAAGCGGGAUGAACUCCUAGCACCAGCUCGCAUGCGAGCAAUUCAAGAGGAAUUGGCGGCAUUCUUUCUUGACCACGUGAUCGCUGAAGACGAAGAAUACUAUGUGGACCAUGAGUCCAUAUGAUUAUAUUUGUAAGAGAUAAUUAUUAUAUAUAUGUAGCCGGUAGUGUCGGAUAGAUAUACGAGAACUUGUUGUUUGACCAAUCUCUCGGAGAAGGAGAGGUGGUCAAUAUCACUUCUCUCUAUAUGCAUAUAUGUUCAUGAUGAUCUUCUGUUUCCUUCGUUUGCUUACUAGCUAGCUAGCGUGUCUAGUCCUCUCUAUACGUAUGUAUAGUACGUAGCGUCGACCAAGCAUGGACAUAAGAGAACACUUCUCUCUAUUAAUUAUAGCUAGCUAACACAAUAUAUGAAACACCUAAAUUAACCCCCCAAAACCCCCAAAACCCCCCAACCCCCCCUUUUCAAAAAAAAAACCCAGCCACAGAAAUGCUGACGCGUGGAUGCCUAUUAAUUGGUCCCGGUUGGUGCCACCAACCGGGACCAAAGGGUCUCCUGCCUGGGCUCCGCGCACAGGCCACGUGGAGGCCCAUCAGUCUCGGUUCUGGAUUGAACCGGGACUAAAGGGGCAGGGCAUUAGUACCGACCCUUUAGUCCCGGUUCAGGAACUGGGACAAAAGGCCCUUACGAACCGGGACAACAGGCCCUUUUUCUACGAGUGCAGGUAUGCUCAAAAAGCUUAUUCCUAUGCAUCAUGUUUAGGUCGUCCAUCAAUAAUCAAUAAAUUAAAGAAAACCGAGGCUAGGGCUGCCGUUGCCAAAGGAUUUUCCUCUCGGAGUACCCAUGUAGACAUGCAACCGAACCCUAGCUCAUUCAUGCCUGCCCUCAAUGCCUGCCUCCGCAUGAUUGAUAAGGUCCGCCACUUUGAUUUUUGAUUACCAAUGUUGUCGUGCACAGUCCAAAGCAGUCGCCCAAUAUUGGCGCAAUCGCAGCCUCGACGACUCAUCCGAGUGCUUCACCGAGAUAGGCAUGUAUGAGGCAUUGAGGCCCAACCGAUUGGUGUUGCGAGUUAGAUGAAACUAUAUGUAAGAUACACAUAUGUACCGAAGCUAGCAAGCUGCUCAAUCUAUUUGUGCGCAGUCCAAAGUAGUCGCCCAAUAUUGGCGCAGUCCCAGACUCGACGAAGCAGCCCAGUGCUUCACCGAGAUACGCAGGUAUGUCCAAAGCAGUCGCCCAAUAUUGGCGCAAUCGCAGCCUCGACGACACAGCCGAGUGCUUCACCAAGAUACGCACGUAUGAGGCAUUGAGGCCCAACUAAUUGGUGUUGUGAGCUAGAUGAAACUAUAUGCAAAAUACACGUAUGUACAGAAGAGGUAACAAGGUGCUCGAUCUAUUUAUGCGCAGUCCAAAGCAGUCGCCCUAUAUUGGCGCAGCCGAGACUCGACAACGCAGCCGAGUACUUCACCAAGAUACGCAUGCAUGAGGCAUAGAGGCCCAGCCGAUUGGUGUUGCCAGUCAGAUGAAACUAUAUCUAAAAUACAUGCAUGUACAGAAGCUAGCAAGCUGCUCGAUCUAUUCCGCUGGAAGACUUAGGUAUACAAUGCAAAUCCCUUAGAUCAGUUUCGCAAAACAGACGCACACAAGGACACAGUACUUUGCCAUAGAGACUUCUGACGUUACAUGCUUGGUUUAAUCUAGCUAGCCUGUACAUGCACAUAUUUCUUAGUACAGCAGGGAAGAACUUGGCCGAUUCAACGACUACGAGCGUGUUCUCGGUGGAUUCUGAUCAUCUAGCUACGAGACUAUGAGCGACGUUUUUCUUAUUCCUGAAGAUUUAUAGAUGUUUCAGUUAUAUGCAUGCAAAUGCAAUCUGCAUGGCAGUGGCUACAUUUUGAAAUUUGGAAGUUUAUUGAGAUCUGGGUAAUAGAUACCCUCAAUCAUGUGAGUGCUUGGCCAACAAGAGGUUUGUUCUAUUGCACUAGUCUUUCAUACUUGAAGUACAACACAUUAUGUUUCUUUUGAUUUGUUCUUGCUUCUAGACUAGAGUGCAUGCAUAUAUAUCAUGUGUAAAUAACUUCAUUAUUUUCUUCUAACUUCUAUGUACGUAAAGCACAAUAGAUGGCUCACUGGGACUGUUUCGGGGAUGUGCAUUGAUUAAUUAUCACAUCAUUAGGAGAUGGCUCUAACCUCAUCUACGUACUAGCUAGAUAUCUUUUUUCUUACUAUCACAAUCAGUUUUUGGAAGAACUUGGUCAAUUCAAUGAGUGCGAGCGUGUUCUCGGUAGAUUGUUAUCGUCUACAAGACUACGAGCGAUGAUCGUUUUAUUCCUGUAGAUUUAUACAUGCUUCAGUUUAAUGCAUGCAAUCUGCAUGGCAGUGGCUAGAUUCAAAUUUGGGAGUUUAUUGAGAUCAGAGUAAUAGACACCUUCAAUCAUGUGAGUGCUUGGCCAACAGGAGAUUUGUUCUAUUGUACCAGUCUUUCAUAUUUGAAGUAAAACACAUUCUGUUUCUUUUGAUUUGUUCUUGCUUCUAGACUAGAGUGCAUGCAUAUAUAUCAUGUGUAAAUAACUUCAUUAUUUUCUUCUGACCUCUAUGUAUGUAAAACACAACAAAUGGCUCACUAGGACUGUUUCGGGGAUGUGCAUUGAUUAAUUAUCACAUCAUUAGGAGAUGGCUCUAACCUCAUCUACGUACUAGCUAGAUAUCUUUUUUCUGACUAUCACAAUCAGUUUUUGGAAGAACAUGGUCAAUUCAAUGAGUGCGAGCGUGUUCUCGGUGGAUUGUUAUCGUCUACAAGACUACGAGUGAUGAUCGUUUUAUUCCUGAAGAUUUAUACAUGCUUCAGUUUAAUGCAUGCAAUCUGCGUGGUAGUGGCUAGAUUCAAACUUGGGAGUUUAUUGAGAUCAGAGUAAUAGAUACCUUCAAUCAUGUGAGUGCUUGGCCAACAGGAGGUUUGUUCUAUUGUACCAGUCUUUCAUAUUUGAAGUAAAACACAUUAUGUUUCUUUUGAUUUGUGUUUGCUUCUAGACUAAAGUGCAUGCAUAUAUUUCAUGUGUAAAUAAUUAAAUUAUUUUGUCUGGACUCUAUGUACGUAGAACACAACAUGGCUCACUCGGACUGUUUCAGGGAUGCGCAUUGAUUAAUUAUCACAUCAUUAGGAGAUGUUUCUAAACUCAUCUACGUACUUAAUAUGUAUUUGUCAGUACUACAAUCAGUUUUUGAAUUCGGGCAUGGGGAACUUAGUUUUGUUUUCAUGGAAAUAGGCCACACCUAAUUCUGUAACCAGCGCUUGAUUCCCUCAAUCCUUUUUUUAUCUCACAUCACAUGAAUCGUGUUAAGCUCUUAUAUGCCUUCUAAUUUGUCUUAUUUUUCUUAGGUAGCCAAAGGAUAAUACUGUUGUUGGAUGUUUGAUCAUGAUGGUAUGUUUUUAUCAAGUUUUCAUAAGGUAUUCAUUUUUAAUUGACCAUUUUAUCAAGGACUAUAUCUUAUACUCUUUUUUAUACUAUUUAACAAUCAAAUUUCUAAGACAUUAGUCAAUAUGGAUUUCUAGAACUAACUAUUGUUUAAACAGCUGCGUAUAUUAUAUGUUUUUGCAAGGGAAUAUAAGCAUAUAUAAAAUUAUGAACUCUAUUCUUAGAAGAACUUCGAUCAAAUUAGUUAUUACAUGAUGAAAAAUAUUUAAAGACGUUUUCAACAUAAAUAGGCACAAUUAACAGUAUUUUCCAUUUAUAUUUGAUAUCAAGCAUAUAAGAUGUUCAAAAAAUUCUAAAGUUAUGUGAUUAUGAAAAAGUUUUUCGUAAAAAUUCUCGGUUACCGUGCAUUAUCACUCGACCAUGUCGAAAACUUUGCUAUAUAUUAAUAUUCAAAGUUAGAGAAGUUUACCUGCGCAUUUUAUAUGUGCCAUGCAUUUACUACAAUAUGUCAGUUUGAGUUUUAAAUUGCAUGAUCAUAUAUUAUUGAAGAUAUACUAGCAUACAUGAAAAAUAUUUAGGGAAAUGGAAAUCAAAUUGAUCCACUAACCAAAUUUUGUGUGGUUUAAACAUAUUCUAAAUAGUUACCUGCAUAAAAUGUCACACCUAUGCGUAAUAAAGUAAGUAAUGCAUUCGAUGGCUCCACAUCCUUCCCAAAUGAGACCAACAAACAUAUUAUUAGGGAAAUCCUUCACGCAUAAUUGCAUCUUCAUACAAUGAAUUUUGAGCAACUUAAUAGAUAAUGGUUGUAGCAUAUACAUUUCUUUUGUAAAUACCAAUGUCUAUAAUGGUUGUAGCAUAUGAAUUUUGAGCAACUUAAUAUAUGCUUCACAAACAUCUCAACUGUAGUUAUUCAUAAAAUAAACCAUAUUCUUCAUAAUAUAUAUUGAAAUAAAAUAUUAGAUAACCGGCCCGUGCGAAUGCACGGGUUGACGACUAGUGGUCAUAGUUUUUUCUCUCUAAACCAGCUAUAAAUUUUUCUCUCUAAAUUAUCACAGUCAAAUAGGACUGUUGCCAAUGGGCUGCGGCCCGCUACGGCACACGUGAGCGCCACCGCAGCUUCACUGCGCUAAAGGCGUUGUUUAGGAGGGGAACCCCUACUUGAUGGAUAUUACGACAAAUAGUCGGCCAUCUGACCUAGCGCUGUAGCGAGCUGGUCGGCACUGUAGCGAGUAUUGGGACGAAGUUAGUAUUUGAGAAUGUUUUUUGAGUAACACAAAUAUUUUGUGAAAACUUAAAAAAAGGUUAUAAAUAGAACAUUUUAUGACAAGGCAAACAUUUUUUCAAUUGUUUGUUUUUCUUUAGUUUUGUAAAUUUCAUAAUAUUUUGUAAAAAAAUAGAAAUUUAAAAUACGGGAUUUAUUUUGAAAUGCUAAAUAAUUUUGAGCAUUUUUUGAACUUCCGAAUUGUUUUUGAAAGAAUAACAUUUUUUCAAAUUCCAAACUAUAUUAAGAACACUUUUUUUCUUUUGAAAAAACCAACUCAUUUGUUUGAAAUGCUGUUUUUAUAGAACCCAAAUAAUUAAAAGGAAUACCCAAAGAACAAAAAAAAUGUAAAAAUCAGUCAAAACCAGACUGGAAUCAUCAUUAUUGUAUUAGUGCCCCGCCAACGCCGCCUCUUCAAAAACAACCUAGGCUCCUUUGCCUCACAACGACGCCACCACCGGCCCAUCUCAUCUCCAUUAGCUCUAGGGCCAUGGAGGCGUGGUGGAUUCCCGCCCUUGCCGGCGGGAGGGAUCCAUUCUUUGAUGUUUUUCUGAAUUUUGUUAGGGUUUGUGUCCGGCUCACAAAGGCGAGACAACAGUUGCUUUCUGAAGAUGGAAUCAAAAUUCUCCCUGCUAUCCCCGUCCCGGCAGUGCAUCUAGCAUCGGCGCCAUGUGGAGGUGUGACUCCGGCGGAUCUCGCGGGAUUCGUUCGCUGCUUGUCUUUGGUGGAUCUAUUUGGAUCCGGUCUUCAUUCGUCUAUGUUCGUGUGUUUUCAGGUUGGACCCUUUUGAUAUAUAUGUCUCUUCAUCAGCGGCGAUUGCUGUUCUGGUGCACUGGUCCAGCCUUAGCAGGACGAGUUCUCGACUGUCUACUUCAACGAGUUUUGCCUGACUCCGGCAAGGGAGGGACGAUGAUGGCGGCGCAUCUUCGACUCGCUUCAGUGUUUAUGGUCGUCGUUAAGUGGUCUAUGGAUCCGGAUGUACUUUUUAUUAUUUUCGAUGUUUGUUUGUACUAUCAUGAUUCAAGAUAAAUAGAUUGAAAUUUUUCUCGCAAAAACAAAACAUACUAGAAUCUUCUGGAUGUUUCGCACACUAUGCGCAAGCGAGACGGAGUGGGCCGCCCGUUAGCUUGAGUAUAUAUAUGUUAUUUCUUUGUACAGGUUUUUUUACUGGUUCUAAGGGCAUUGAGAAACAGUAUAACAGAGCGACCACCGAGCCACCACAGUGAUUUUGUUCGCCAUCCAUUGGAUCCUUUAACAAGCGGUACAGAUUUUGCCUGGCAUCUCCUCAUGCUGCAGCCGAUCGUCUCUUGGGCGGCUGCUCCGGAGGUUGAUUUAGUAGAGUUGUGGUUAACUGGGCUUAUGUUGGGCUGGUAACAUUAUCUGACCCGUUCAUCUCGCAUCGGCAGCAAAGCACAUUCUCAAAGAAAAAAAAAGCAAAGCACAUUCUCGCCCUAAAAAAAUACAAAUCGGAUUCCUUUGCGGUGGCGGGCACAAAUUGCCCGGCAGCAGCGGCGUAUGGCGUUGCUCGCGGAGCCGACGAAAGGUGAUGGCGAUUGCUCAUGAUGGCUUCGCGAGCUGACGGCGGCGGCUCCUGCGUGAGGAGCUCAUCGACGACCCCGCCGAGCGACAAUCUGACGCCCCCUCUACCAACUGCAACGGCGGUACGGCAGCCAUCAGGGCUCAUGUUGAUUGGCCCCGCGAAGCCGAACGGAGAUAGGCGAUGGUGCCUGAUGUCGCCAGGGUAAAGACAUCUGCAGAGAGAAUAUCGCCCUAAAUCGAUUGCUUGGUGUCGGGGAUGCAAGGUGCAAGCAGGAGCGUGGGAAUGGAAGGGUGAGAAUGGCGACAACUGCUUCUCUCUGGUUGUGCUUUGUCUCGGAGCUCGCCGGUGGCGUUAUCAAUCCACUGCCAUCCUCCGUCUCUCCUCAGUCUCGCCUCUGAAUCCUUAAUGGACACCAAACAGCAUAACUGCACACUGCAGUUCCUGCCCUGCUCUCCGUGAUCUACCUCCCUGUUUAGGUAUCUUAUGCAUGCUAACUAAAUGAUUGCCUAAUGUUUCUCAUGAAUCCAGCAUUCAGUUUGAAGCGUAACAAUGCAGAAGACUAACUGAACGUUUUCUGAGUACAUUUUGCUGUGAAGCAUUAAGUCAUACAUGCACCAAACCAAAGUUGAAAACUCCACUUCAACUGUCCAUUGUUUUUGUUAGGACUUCAGAAACAAGAACCAGCCAGGUCAUUCUUGUGCUAAAUAUGGCUACUAAUUAAAGAAAGGAUAUUUCUUUACAAAAUCUAAAGAAAUAACGCCUGAAGGAAAACUGCACCAUGUCACAUCACUAGUAGAAAAGGGGGCUUUGGUCUAGGCCGGGUAACCCCAUUAGUCCCGGUUCAGUCUAGAACCGGGACCAAUGGGGGCAUUGGUCCCGGUUCAUGAGCCUAGGGGGCCGGCCGGGCCACGUGGGCCAUUGGUCCCGGUUCAUCUGGACCUUUUGGUCCUGGUUGGUGGGAUGAACCGGGACCAAUGGGCCUCGCUCCUGGCCCACAACCAUUGGUCCCGGUUCGUGCCUCAAACCGGGACUAAAGAUUAGACCUUNNNNNNNNNNNNNNNNNNNNNNNNNNNNNNNNNNNNNNNNNNNNNNNNNNNNNNNNNNNNNNNNNNNNNNNNNNNNNNNNNNNNNNNNNNNNNNNNNNNNNNNNNNNNNNNNNNNNNNNNNNNNNNNNNNNNNNNNNNNNNNNNNNNNNNNNNNNNNNNNNNNNNNNNNNNNNNNNNNNNNNNNNNNNNNNNNNNNNNNNNNNNNNNNNNNNNNNNNNNNNNNNNNNNNNNNNNNNNNNNNNNNNNNNNNNNNNNNNNNNNNNNNNNNNNNNNNNNNNNNNNNNNNNNNNNNNNNNNNNNNNNNNNNNNNNNNNNNNNNNNNNNNNNNNNNNNNNNNNNNNNNNNNNNNNNNNNNNNNNNNNNNNNNNNNNNNNNNNNNNUGUGAAUUUUGACUUUAUUUGCAAAAUCUCUCUGAAAUUUGUAAAAAUGGGCAUAACUUUUGCAUACUAACUCGAAUGAAAAAGUUUUUUAUAUGAAAAAUCAUCUACUCGAAAAGUUACAUCCAAAUUUAACACGGGGUACCCCAUUAAACAUUUUCAAAAUUCUCAAAAACCUAAUAGAAAAAAGUUACGGGGCUUUUAAGAUCUAGAGUGAAAAAAUUGAAAAAAAUUCAAACAGUGGGCAAACUGUGGUCAAACAAUGGUCAAACUAAUUAUUCUAGAAUAUUAGUGUUACUAAAUAAUUAUUUCCGUUAUUUCAAUUUUGGUCAAAUCUGGUCAAACUAUGGUCAAACAAUGGUCAAACUAAUUAUUCAAGAAAUAUUAGUGUUACUAAAUAAUUAUUGUUUUUUAAAACAAUAGUUUCAAAAUAAAACUAUGAAAUGUGUCACUUCAUACUCAAGCAAAAUUCCUGAAGGUUAAUAGGAUUGACAUCUUAGUAUUGUCAGGAAAACAACAAGUGCAGACUUGGAGCGAGGGAGAAUAGAACCCGGAAGUUAAGCGUGCUCAGGCUGGGGGAGUGGGAGGAUGGGUGACCGUUCGGGAAGUUAGAUGAUUUGGAAAGAUGAGGGGUGGUUAGAGGAUAAAUUGAGAAGUGAUGAGGGGUGGUGAUUACAGACUAGAGGUUAAAAUAAUUCAGAAAUUUGAAAAUAAAAAAAUUCAAAAAAAUUUUCAAAAAGAAAUCAUAAAAUUUCCUUUAGUCCCGGGAUUGAACCGGGACUAAAGGGAGAGGCAUUAGUACCGACAUUUUAGUCCCAGUUCUAGAACCGGGACUAAAGGCCCUUAUGAACCGGGACUGAUGGCCCUUUUUCUACUAGUGCAUAGAAAUAUCAAGGUAAUCCUUCAGAAAUUUUUGUUAUGUUUUCUUGUGCUUUUUUUCCAAUAAUGUGGUUGCCGAGGAAGGCUUCAUAUGAUCUUCCUCACAUUUUUCGAAGCUUUAUUUACUAGCGCAAUGCUCUGGCAAGAGUUCAAGUAUCAGAUCAUCUUUUGUAUGGCUAUAUGUGUGUUUAUUCUCUUCAAUCUCAUACCAUGAAUGAAUGUUGGAAUUUCAAAGGAAUUUAAUUCGUCCACAUUUAACAUUCGUUCAUCAAAACGGAUGGUCGUGGCAUGGCAAUGUGCGCCCAAUCUUCCUUCUACACUACAACCACAAACCCAAAUGUAUGAAUUAAGGUAUGCAAAUUCAACAUUCAUGUUUGGUAACUUCAUGUAUUUAUGGAUAUUUUAAUUAAUUCAUUAAAAAUGAAUGGGCGCCGCAACGCGCGUCAACAUGAUCUAGUGUACAAUAAGAUUGACUCGGCUGUCUAUAGGAGGUACCAUCUAUGAUAUUUGGUGAGGUGAAGGAGAGAGGAAGAGAAAAAGAAGAGGUCAUAUGUAAAUCGGCGGACGGUCGAAUCGCAUUAAAAUCGCAGGCUAACGACGCCACUUUUCCCUUUAUACAUGGCUGGUAUCAGUACUGGUGCAGUUGUGCGCCAAAUUAUCUUGUGAUCCUUUCUUUUUCUAGAUACAUGGCAGGCCCAUCUCAGGUGCUCAUGAUUCUAUGGCGGUGCAUGUACCCAGUCCUGAUAAAUCCAAGACGCCAAGACGGUUCAUGCAGUAACAAGUUUGUACAGACAACUGAAAAAGAUGACCCAUUGUAGAGGCUGUCUAUAAUAUAUCUACAUGCCUCACACCGGUACUAAAGGUCCUGGCCCACAAACAUUGGUCCCGGUUCGUGCCUCAAAUCGGGACUAAAGAUUAGACCUUUAGUCCAUGUUUGAGGCACGAACCGGGACUAAUGGGGAUGAGACCUUUAGUCCCGGUUCGUGCCAUGAACCGGUACUAAAGGUCCCAUUUUCAAACUCUACCCCCCCCCCCGUGGAUUGCCUUUUCAGUUUUAAAAAAUAAAAGAAAAUGAUGGAAAUGUCAAAAAAAUAAAAGAAAAUAAUUUUCCCAUGUGAUAUGUGGUCUAGUUGUUGGGAAAAUUUGCAAAUGUGAAUUUUGACUUUAUUUACAAAAUCUCUCUGAAAUUUGUAAAAAUGGGCAUAACUUUUGCAUACUAACUCGGAUGAAAAAGUUUUUUAUAUGAAAAAUCAUCUACUCGAAAAGUUACAUCCGAAUUUAACAAGGGGUACCCCGUUAAACAUUUUCAAAAUUCUCAAAAACCUAAUAGAAAAAAAGUUACGGGGCUUUUAAGAUCUAGAGUGAAAAAAAUCGAAAAAAUUCAAACAGUGGGCAAACUGUGGUCAAACAAUGGUCAAACUAAUUAUUCUAGAAUAUUAGUUUUACUAAAUAAUUAUUUCAGUUAUUUCAAUUUUGGUCAAAUCUGGUCAAACUAUGGUCAAACAAUGGUCAAACUAAUUAUUCAAGAAAUAUUAGUGUUACUAAAUAAUUAUUGUUUUUUAAAACAAUAGUUUCAAAAUAAAACUAUGAAAUGUGUCACUUCAUGCUCAAGCAAAAUUCCUGAAGGUUAAUAGGAUUGACAUCUUAGUAUUGUCAUGAAAACAACAAGUGCAGACUUGGAGCGAGGGAGAAUAGAACCCGGAAGUUAAGCGUGCUCAGGCUGGGGGAGUGGGAGGAUGGGUCACCAUUCGGGAAGUUAGAUGAUUUGGAAUGAUGAGGGGUGAUUAGAGGAAAAAUUGAGAAGUGAUGAGGCGUGGUGAUUACAGACUAGAGGUUAAAAUAAUUCAGAAAUUUGAAAAGCAAAAAAAAAUUAUUUUUUCAAAAACAUUUUUCAAAAAAAAAACAUCAUAAAAUUUCCUUUAGUCCCGGUUGGUGUUAACAACCCGGACUAAAGGUGGAGCUCCACGUGGCCGCGCCCUUUAGUCCUGGUUCUGAAUUGAACCGGGACUAAAGGGAGAGGCAUUAGUACCGAUAUUUUAGUCCCGGUUCCAGAACCGGGACUAAAGGCCCUUAUGAACCGGGACUGAAGGCCCUUUUUCUACUAGUGCAUAGAAAUAUCAAGGUAAUCCUUCAGAAAUUUUUGUUAUGUUUUCCUGUGCUUUUUUUUUCCAAUAAUGUGGUUGCCGAGGAAGGCUUCAUAUGAUCUUCCUCACAUUUUCAAAGCUUUAUUUACUAGCGCAAUGCUCUGGCAAGAGUUCAAGUAUCAGAUCAUCUUUUGUAUGGCUAUAUGUGUGUUUAUUCUCUUCAAUCUCAUACCAUGAGUGAAUGUUGGAAUUUCAAAGGAAUUUAAUUCGUCCACAUUUAACAUUCGUUCGUCAAAACGGAUGGUCGUGGCAUGGCAAUGUGCGCCCAAUCUUCCUUCCACACUACAACCACAAACCCAAAUGUACGAAUUAAGGUAUGCAAAUUCAACAUUCAUGUUUGGUAACUUCAUGUAUUUACGGAUAUUUUAAUUAAUUCAUUAAAAAUGAAUGGGCGCUGCAACGCGCGUCAACAUGAUCUAGUGUACAAUAAGAUUGACUCAGCUGUCUAUAGGAGGUACCAUUUAUGAUAUUUGGUGAGGUGAAGGAGAAAGGAAGAGAAAAGAAGAGGUCGUAUGUAAAUCGACGGACGGUCGAAUCGCAUUAAAAUCGCUGGCUAACGACGCCACUUUUCCCUUUAUACAUGGCUGGUAUCGGUACUGGUGCAGUUGUGCGCCAAAUUAUCUUGUGAUCCUUUCUUUUUCUAGAUCCAUGGCAGGCCCAUCUCAGGUGCUCAUGAUUCUACGGCGGUGCAUGUACCCAGUCCUGAUAAAUCCACGACGCCACGACGGUUCAUGCAGUAACAAGUUUUACAGACAACUGAAAAAGAUGACCCGUUGUAGAGGCUGUCUAUAACAUAUCUACAUGCCUCAAACCGGUACUAAAGGUCCUGGCCCACAAACAUUGGUCCCGGUUCGUGCCUCAAACCAGGACUAAAGAUUAGACCUUUAGUCCUGGUUUGAGGCACAAACCGGGACUAAUGGGGAUGAGACCUUUAGUCCNNNNNNNNNNNNNNNNNNNNNNNNNNNNNNNNNNNNNNNNNNNNNNNNNNNNNNNNNNNNNNNNNNNNNNNNNNNNNNNNNNNNNNNNNNNNNNNNNNNNNNNNNNNNNNNNNNNNNNNNNNNNNNNNNNNNNNNNNNNNNNNNNNNNNNNNNNNNNNNNNNNNNNNNNNNNNNNNNNNNNNNNNNNNNNNNNNNNNNNNNNNNNNNNNNNNNNNNNNNNNNNNNNNNNNNNNNNNUUCAGUUUUAAAAAAUAAAAGAAAAUGAUGGAAAUGUCAAAGAAUAAAAGAAAAUAAGUUUCCCAUGUGAUAUGUGGUCUAAUUGUUGGGAAAAUUUGCAAAUGUGAAUUUUGACUUUAUUUGCAAAAUCUCUCUGAAAUUUGUAAAAAUGGGCAUAACUUUUGCAUACUAACUCGGAUGAAAAAGUUUUUUAUAUGAAAAAUCAUCUACUCGAAAAGUUACAUCCGAAUUUAACAAGGGGUACCCCGUUAAACAUUUUCAAAAUUCUCAAAAACCUAAUAGAAAAAAAGUUACGGGGCUUUUAAGAUCUAGAGUGAAAAAAAUCGAAAAAAUUCAAACAGUGGGCAAACUGUGGUGAAACAAUGGUCAAACUAAUUAUUCUAGAAUAUUAGUGUUACUAAAUAAUUAUUUCCAUUAUUUCAAUUUUGGUCAAAUCUGGUCAAACUGUGGUCAAACUGUGGUCAAACAAUAGUCAAACUCAUUAUUCAAGAAAUAUUAGUGUUACUAAAUAAUUAUUGUUUUUUAAAACAAUAGUUUCAAAAUAAAACUAUGAAAUGUGUCACUUCAUGCUCAAGCAAAAUUCCUGAAGGUUAAUAGGAUUGACAUCUUAGUAUUGUCAGGAAAACAACAAGUGCAGACUUGGAGCGAGGGAGAAUAGAACCCGGAAGUUAAGCGUGCUCAGGCUGGGGGAGUGGGAGGAUGGGUGACCGUUCGGGAAGUUAGAUGAUUUGGAAUGAUGAGGGGUGAUUAGAGGAUAAAUUGAGAAGUGAUGAGGCGUGGUGAUUACAGACUAGAGGUUAAAAUAAUUCAGAAAUUUGAAAAUAAAAAAAAAUAUUUUUUUUUUUCAAAAACAUUUUUCAAAAAAAAAUCAUAAAAUUUCCUUUAGUCCCGGUUGGUGUUACCAACCCGGACUAAAGGUGGAGCUCCACGUGGCCGCGCUCUUUAGUCCCGGUUUUGGAUUGAACCAGGACUAAAGGGAGAGGCAUUAGUACCGACAUUUUAGUCCCGGUUCCAGAACCGGGACUAAAGGCCCUUAUGAACCGGGACUGAAGGCCCUUUUUCUACUAGUGCAUAGAAAUAUCAAGGUAAUCCUUCAGAAAUUUUUGUUAUGUUUUCCUGUGCUUUUUUUUCCAAUAGUGUGGUUGCCGAGGAAGGCUUCAUAUGAUCUUCCUCACACUUUUCAAAGCUUUAUUUACUAGCGCAAUGCUCUGGCAAGAGUUCAAGUAUCAGAUCAUCUUUUUUAUGGCUAUAUGUGUGUUUAUUCUCUUCAAUCUCAUACCAUGAAUGAAUGUUUGAAUUUCAAAGGAAUUUAAUUCGUCCACAUUUAACAUUCGUUCAUCAAAACGGAUGGUCGUGGCAUGGCAAUGUGCGCCCAAUCUUCCUUCCACACUACAACCACAAACCCAAAUGUAUGAAUUAAGGUAUGCAAAUUCAACAUUCAUGUUUGGUAACUUCAUGUAUUUACGGAUAUUUUAAUUAAUUCAUUAAAAAUGAAUGGGCGCUGCAACGCGCGUCAACAUGAUCUAGUGUACAAUAAGAUUGACUCAGCUGUCUAUAGCAGGUAUCAUCUAUGAUAUUUGGUGAGGUGAAGGACAGUGGAAGAGAAAAAGAAGAGGUCGUAUGUAAAUCGGCGGACGGUCGAAUCGCAUUAAAAUCGCUGGCUAACGACGCCACUUUUCCCUUUAUAUAUGGCUGGUAUCAGUACUGGUGCAGUUGUGCGCCAAAUUAUCUUGUGAUCCUUUCUUUUUCUAGAUCCAUGGUAGGCCCAUCUCAGGUGCUCAUGAUUCUACAGCGGUGCAUGUACCCAGUCCUGAUAAAUCCACGACGCCACGACGUGUCGGUGUACUAGAGUAGGGGUACCCUAGUAUCCCGAACUUGUGCACGGGCAGUUGCAGCGCCCCGCGGCAAGGCUUGCCGGACGACCGCCAGGGUCCUCCGUGGGUUCCUUUGGAGCCAUUCAAGAACAAAGUAUUUAAGAUGAAGAGACAAGGCCCCGGCAAGAGGAGCUUGCCGGGAAGAGACAAGGCCCCGGUAAGAGGGGCUUGCCGGGAAGAGACAAGGCCCCGGCAAGAGGAGCUUGCCGGGAAGGCCAACCACGGCACCUCAAGAAACUUGCCGCGAUGCACCGCGCGUCCCGGCAAGGUCCGGCGAGCGACAAGCUUCCGGACGCGACAAGACGACGACCCCGACAAGGUACUUGCCGGGGGCCCGCUGCCACUCUAUACCCGUGCUCCAGUGCACCCACCCGCGUGUCACCAUGAGACUUUCUCAGGGACGCGUGGCGGGAGCCUGUGCAGCUAGGGGUACGCGGUGGCAAGCGGAGAUGAAGAGGAGGCCAUCGUGGCGAACGGGGGCGCUCCUAACGGUCACUUUUUGCACUGUUUAGGCAACUCAGACGGGCAUUCAAUGACCUUGUCCCCUGCCGUCAGAGUUAGGUAGGAUGCACUGUGUCCACAGUAGCGGUAGUUGCACCUACCGCAUUCUUUUCCAUUUUUAACCUUCUAGUCUACGUUGCCACCUGUCGGUGACCCCUUUAGCGUAUAAAAGGAGGCCCAUGCGCAACAUAGAGGAGGUUCGGCUCAUUCGAAACACCAAGAACCCUCUCACGCUCGGUCUGGUAGCGUUCAUCGCUCCUGAGCAAGAAACGAAUACACAAACAAGUAGCAGUAGGAGUGUUAUCUCUCCGGAGAGCUCCGAAGCUGGGUAAACAGCUCAUGUGCAUUGCCUCGAUCCGCUCUUUGCGCGAUCUCCGCCCCCCUCCGAACCGAAAGGGGCUCGGUCCGCCGGUCCCCAUAGGUGUUCGUGGAUCAGCUUCCUCGACAUCUUCGCACAAAUGUGCGAAAACUGCCAUGGUCAGGACAGCGUUGGGGGUGAAGUCAAGGAGGCGGAAGCCAUAUGUAUUCAUAAUAUCAUAGAAGAACUCCGAGAAGGGCGGGCAGAGCCCACAGUAGAAGAAUAGCGCGAAGAACGGGUACCCGUUUGGAGCCAACUCCGAAGCAGCGGCCGGGAGUACCCUCGUGCGCGGAUGCGCACGCGUCUCCGUCGCCCAAAAGAGAUAGAAGUACUCCCUCAGCUCCCGCACGCCGAGCUGGGGGGUGAAGAUCGCCCGCUCCUUCCGCAGCGCCGCGAGCCGCUGCGCCUCGGCCGACUUCACGCCCUUCCCCUUGUCGGCUUUCGGGGCCAUGGCGGAGGUGGUGGGGAAGGUCGACGACGUUGGUGAUGCUGGUGGCAAUGGGGGGCGGAGCGCGGCUCUCUCAGCUUCGAGAAGAAGGGGAGGGAGCGGCAGAGUUUCUUGAAGAUGAAGUAGCAGCAACCGGCGAGGGGGAACAAACUGCCCAUGUUUCCUCUACUUAUAAAGAGGGACGGGGCGGACGUUUCGGCCUUCCAAAUAAACAACCACCCACGAUCUCUUCCACGACGCCGCGAUUGACGCGUGCCGUUACGGGGGGCGCGGUGGAUACGGAGUUAGAUUCGGCGUAACCCAUGCCCGAGCGUGCCCGUGCCCUGUUUUGGGCCUGGCCCAACAGCGCUCGGCACCGUGUGUGGCCCAGGCCCGGGGGCUCCUGUCGGUGUACUAGAGUAGGGGUACCCUAGUAUCCCGAACUUGUGCACGGGCAGUUGCAGCGCCCCGCGGCAAGGCUUGCCGGACGACCGCCAGGGUCCUCCGUGGGUUCCUUUGGAGCCAUUCAAGAACAAAGUAUUUAAGAUGAAGAGAUAAGGCCCCGGCAAGAGGAGCUUGCCGGGAAGAGACAAGGCCCCGGCAAGAGGAGCUUGCCGGGAAGAGACAAGGCCCCGGCAAGAGGAGCUUGCCGGGAAGGCCAACCACGGCACCUCAAGAAAAUUGCCGCGAUGCACCGCGCGUCCCAGCAAGGUCCGGCGAGCGACAAGCUUCCGGACGCGACAAGACGACGACCCCGACAAGGUACUUGCCGGGGGCCCGCUGCCACUCUAUACCCGCGCUCCAGCGCACCCACCCGCGUGUCACCAUGAGACUUUCUCAGGGACGCGUGGCGGGAGCCUGUGCAGCUAGGGGUACGCGGUGGCAAGCGGAGAUGAAGAGGAGGCCAUCGUGGCGAACGGUGGCGCUCCUAACGGUCACUUUUUGCACUGUUUAGGCAACUCAGACGGGCAUUCAAUGACCUUGUCCCCUACCGUCAGAGUUAGGUAGGAUGCACUGUGUCCACAGUAGCGGUAGUUGCACCUACCGCAUUCUUUUCCAUUUUUACCCUUCUAGUCUACGUUGCCACCUGUCGGUGACCCCUUUAGCGUAUAAAAGGAGGCCCAUGCGCAACGUAGAGGAGGUUCGGCUCAUUCGAAACACGAAGAACCCUCUCACGCUCGGUCUGGUAGCAUUCAUCGCUCCUGAGCAAGAAUCGAAUACACAAACAAGCAGCAGUAGGAGUGUUAUCUCUCCGGAGAGCUCCGAAGCUGGGUAAACAGCUCGUGUGCAUUGCCUCGAUCCGCUCUUUGCGCGAUCUCCGCCCCCUCCGAACCGAAAGGGGCUCGGUCCGCCGGUCCCCAUAGGUGCUCGUGGAUCAGCUUCCCCGACACGACGGUUCAUACAGUAACAAGUUUGUAUAGACAACUGAAAAAGAUGACCCGUUGUAGAGGCUGUCUAUAACAUAUCUACAUAUGACGUGGAUAUGUAUUGCAGACUGUUGCCGUCUAAACCAAUGUAUUUGCCCUAAGAAAUUCCUUGUUGGUUUCUUCUACUGGGUUUUCCAGGCUUGUUUUUUUUUCAUUUAUUCAGUUUUCUUUCUUUUUUAUUUUCCGUAUUUAUUUUCUCUUUUCUAUCUUGUUUUUCAUAAAUUUUAAAUUUUAUGUAAAUGUUAAAAAUAAAAUAAAAUAUCAGUUUGCAAAAAAUGGCCGGAAUUUCAAAGAAUGUUCACAUUUAAUUAAAAAAGUUUGGAAUUUCAAUAUUUUUUCAUAUUUUUUGAACAUUGUUCACAUCUUCAAAAUAUUAUUUGUAAUUUUAAAAUGUGUUCACUAUUUUCAGUAAGUGUUUGAAAAUUCAAAAAAUGGAUGAAAUUUCAAAAUUUUAUUUGUGUUUUCAAAAAUUGUUCAUGUUUUAUAAAAUGUUAUCACUUUCUAUAAAAUUGGUUACAUUUGUAAAAAAUUCAGAAUAUUUUUAAAAACUGGAAUUCCAAGAAAAUGUUUGAAAGAAUUUGAAUAAUAUUUGGAUAUGUCGUGGUUGUUUGUUCUUAUAAGUUCGCACUGCCUAUUGUGACUAAGAGCAACUCUAGCAGACCCCGCAUCCCGUCGGUCCGCAAAACGUGUUUGCAGUUCGCCGAAAAACGCCUUUGCGGGCCGGUGCGGAUGGCCCCAGUUGCAAACCCCGCAUAAUGGACCCGUAAGAAAGGAUAUUCGCGGAAUAUGCUCUCUUACGGGUUGGCUUUGCGGGGUCUGAUCUGGCGCAGUUCCUCCCGGCCCAGAAAACCUAAUUUACACCUUAAUUUGAUCCAACAUAAUGCAUUUUUUUGUUUUUUCAAUAACAUUGGAUACAUAAGACAUCACCAAAUCUUUGCUAGAAUAGCAAGACCAAAGAAAACAAGAACCACAAGUAUGCAUUUUAGAAGAUUUUCAACUUCCAUAACUGCUCCCACUAGUUGCAUUAAUAUCUUCUCCAUGCGUUCAUUGUUUAUCUGCGGAUUCUUGAUUUUGCAUUCUUCUUUCUUCAUCUUUGGUUUGAAAGCAGUAGACGUUGCUUCCCCUCUAGGUGCACAUGCAGCCGCAUCAUUGCCUUUGAUUCUUCUAAGGAGUGCGUCAAUGUCUAUUAAGUUUCUUCCUGUCAAUAAAUCAAUGUAUUCGCCUUCCCAAAACCAAAAUGAGAAUCCAUCUUCCUGCACACAUGAAUGAGCAUGUUCGAAAUGAGCUACCACAAUUGAACCAAAGAAUGAGCUAUCAAAAUGAGCUACCGCAAGUGCACGUACCCCGUCGUUUUCGCAUUUGAAGAACACCCAUCCAGGGUGCUUCAGCGUGCCCGAAGUUAGCCGCAGCACUGUCCGCGUGCAUUCGUCGCACUGUAUGAGUGGCAUCGGUGAGCCACAGAGCCGUUGCACGAGCGCCGAGCCCGGUGGACGGCCGAACGAAUCCAUGCCCCAAAUGGUCGGCGGCGUCGGGAGGACGAACCCGUACCUGCAUGCCGCAAUGCGCCCUUGCCGGGGCUGCGGGAGAUGCUCCCCGACCACUCCAUCGCUUGGCACAGCCACCGGCGAUCGGAAAAGCCAAAUCAUGCGGCCCGCGAUGAAGGUCCGUAGAUCCGCAAAUCCGGCGGCCCGCCGGCGCAGGGGGUAGAGGGGAGGCCUCGUGCGUGUGGCGGCCUUUCAGCGAGCUCCUGUUAUCUUCUUUCACCGAAAUCUUGGGCGGCGGCCCGGCGGCGGCGCGAGGGGGAGAGGGGAGUGAAGGAAAUAUGCCCUAGAGGUAAUAAUAAAGUUGUUAUUUAUAUUUCCUUAUAUCAUGAUAAAUGUUUAUUAUUCAUGCUAGAAUUGUAUUAACUGGAAACUUAGUACAUGUGUGAAUACAUAGUGAUGUCUACUACACAACCUUCUUCUUGUAGACAUUGUUGGGCCUCCGAGUGCAGAUGUUUGUAGGACAGUAGCAAAUUUCCCUCAAGUGGGUAACCUAAGGUUUAUCAAUCCGUGGGAUGCGUAGGAUGAAGAUGGUCUCUCUGAAACAACCCUGCAACCAAAUAACAAAGAGUCUCUUGUGUCCCCAACACACCCAAUACAAUGGUGAAUUAUAUAGGUGCACUAGUUUAGCGAAGAGAUGGUGAUACAGGUGCAUUAUGGAUGGUAGAUAAAGGUUUUUGUAAUCUGAAAAUAUAAAAACAGCAAGGUAACAAGUUGUAAAAGUGAGCGUAAAAGGUAUUGCAAUGCUAGGAAACAAGGCCUAGGGUUCAUACUUUCACUAGUGCAAGUUCUCUCAACAAUAAUAACAUACUAGGAUCAUAAAACUAUCCCUCAACAUGCAACAUAGAGUCACUCCAAAGUCACUAAUAGCGGAGAACAAACGAAGAGAUUAUUGUAGGGUACGAAACCACCUCAAAGUUAUCCUUUAUGAUCGAUCUAUUCAAGAGUCCGUAGUAAAAUAACACGAAUCUAUUCUUUCCGUUCAAUCUAUCCUAGAGUUCGUACUAGAAUAACACCUUAAGACACAAAUCAACCAAAACCCUAAUGUCACAUAGAUACUCCAAUGUCACCUCAAGUAUCCGUGGGUAUGAUUAUACGAUAUGCAUCACACAAUCUCAGAUUCAUCUAUUCAACCAACACAAAGAACUUCAAAGAGUGCCCCAAAGUUUCUACCGAAGAGUCAAGACGAAAACGUGUGCCAACCCCUAUGCAUAAGUUCACGAGGUCACGGAACUCGCAAGUUGAUCACCAAAACAUACAUCAAGUGGAUCACGUGAUAUCCCAUUGUCACCACAGAUAAGCACAUGCAAGACAUACAUCAAGUGUUCUCAAGUCCUUAAAGACUCAAUCCGAUAAGAUAACUUCAAUGGGAAAACUCAAGUCAUCACAAGAGAGUAGAGGGGGAGAAACAUCAUAAGAUCCAACUAUAAUAGCAAAUCUCGCGAUACAUCAAGAUCGUACCACAUCAAGAACACGAGAGAGAGAGAGAGAGAGAGAGAGAGAGAGAGAGCAAACACAUAGCUACUGGUACAUACCCUCAGCCCCGAGGGUGAACUACUCCCUCCUCGUCAUGGAGAGCACCGUGAUGAUGAAGAUGGCCACCGGAGAGGGAUUCCCCCCUCCGGUAGGGUGCCAAAAUGGGUCUAGAUUGGUUUUCGGUGGCUACGGAGGCUUCUGGCGGCUGAACUCCCGAUCUUGGUUAUUUUCUGGAGGUUUCUGUAUUUAUAGGAAUUUUUGGCGUCGGUCUCACGUCAAGAAGGUGCCCGAGUCGUCCAUGAGGCAGGCCCACGUGCCUGGGGGGGGGCACCCUCGUGGACGGCCCGGGACUCUUCUGGCCCAACUCUUUUACUCCGGGGGUCUUCUUUUGGUCAAUAAAAAAUCAUCAAAAAUUGGCAUGUCAAUUGGACUCCGUUUGGUAUUCCUUUUCUGUAAAACUCAAAAACAAGGAAAAAAUAGAAACUCGCACUGGGCUCUAGGUUAAUAGGUUAGUCCCAAAAAUCAUAUAAAAUAGCAUAUAAAUGCAUAUAAAACAUCCAAGGUUGAUAAUAUAAUAGUAUGGAACAAUCGAAAAUUAUAGAUACGUUGGAGACGUAUCAAGCAUCCCCAAGCUUAAUUCCUGCUCGUCCUCGAGUAGGUAAAUGAUAAAAACAAAAUUUUUGAUGUGGAAUGCUACCUAACAUAUUUAUCAAUGUAAUCUUCUUUAUUGUGGCAAGAAUAUUCAGAUCCAUAAGAUUCAAGACAAAAGUUUAAUAUUGACAUAAAAUAAUAAUACUUCAAGCAUACUAACAAAGUAAUCAUGUCUUCUCAAAAUAACAUGGCCAAAGAAAGCUAUGCCUACAAAAUCAUAUAGUCUGGCUAUGCUCUAUCUUCAUCACACAAAAUAUUUAAAUCAUGCACAACCCCAAUGACAAGCCAAUCAAUUGUUUCAUACUUUUGAUGUUCUCAAACUUCUUUAAUCUUCACACAAUAUAUGAGCGUGAGCCAUGGACAUAGCACUAUAGGUGGAAUAGAAUGGUGGUUGUGGAGAAGACAAAAAGGAGAAGAUAGUCUCACAUCAACUAGGUGUAUCAAUGGGCUAUGGAGAUGCCCAUCAAUAGAUAUCAAUGUGAGCGAGUAGGGAUUGCCAUGCAACAGAUGCACUAGAGCCAUAAGUACAUGAAAGCUCAAAAAGAAACUAAGUGGGUGUGCAUCCAACUCGCUUACUCACGAAGACCUAGGGCAUUUUGAGGAAGCCCAUCAUUGUAAUAUAUAAUCCAAGUUCUAUAAUGAAAGAUUCCCACUAGUUUAUGAAAGUGACAACAUAGGAGACUCUCUAUCAUGAAGAUCAUGGUGCUACUUCGAAGCACAAGUGUGGUAAAAGGAUAGUAGCAUUGUCCCUUCUCUCUUUUUAUCUCAUUUUUUUGUUUUUUGGGCCUUUUCUCUUUUUAUGGCCUCUUUCUACUUUUAUUUUUAUUUUUCAUCCAGAGUCUCAUACCGACUUGUGGGGGAAUCAUAGUCUCCAUCAUCCUUUCCUCACUGGGACAAUGCUCUAAUAAUGAAGAUCAUCACACUUUUAUUUACUUACAACUCAAGAAUUACAACUCGAUACUUAGAACAAAAUAUGACUCUAUAUGAAUGCCUCUGGCGGUGUACCGGGAUGUGCAAUGAAUCAAGAGUGACAUGUAUGAAAGAUUUAUGAUCGGUGGCUUUACCACAAAUAUGAUGUCAACUACAUGAUCAUGCAAAGCAAUAUGACAAUGAUGAAGCAUGCCAUAAUAAACGGAAUGGUGGAAAGUUGCAUGGCAAUAUAUCUCGGAAUGGCUAUGGAAAUGCCAUAAUAGGUAGGUAUGGUGGCUGUUUUGAGGAAGAUAUAUGGUGGGUUUAUGGUACCGGCGAAAGUUGUGCGGUACUAGAGAGGCUAGCAAUGGUGGAAGGGUGAGGGUGCGUAUAAUCCAUGGACUCAACAUUAGUCAUAAAGAACUCACAUACUUAUUGAAAAAAUUUAUUAGUUAUCGAAACAAAGUACUACGCGCAUGCUCCUACGGGGAUAGAUUGGUAGGAAAAGACCAUCGCUCGUCCCCAACCGCCACUCAUAAGGAAGGCAAUCAAAAAAUAAAUCAUGCUCCGACUUCAUCACAUAACGGUUCACCAUACGUGCAUGCUACGGGAAUCACAAACUUUAACACAAGUAUCUCUCAAAUUCACAACUACUCAACUAUCAUGACUCUAAUAUCACCAUCUUCAUAUCUCAAAACAACCAUCAAGUAUCAAACUUCUCAUAGUAUUCAAUGCACUUUAUAUGAAAGUUUUUAUUAUAUCCCUCUUGGAUGCCUAUCAUAUUAGGACUAGUUUCAUAACCAAAGCAAAUUACCAUGCUGUUUAGGACUCUCAAAAUAAUAUAAGUGAAGCAUGAGAGUUCAAUAAUUUCUUCAAAAUAAAACCACCACCGUGCUCUAAAAAGAUAUAAGUGAAGCACUAGAGCAAAUGACAAACUACUCCGAAAGAUAUAAGUGAAGAUCAAUGAGUAGUCGAAUAAUUAAGCAACUAUGUGAAGACUCUCUAACAUUUAAGAAUUUCAGAUCUUGGUAUUUUAUUCAAACAGAAAGCAAAACAAAACAAAAUAAAAUGAUGCUCCAAGCAAAACACAUAUCAUGUGGUGAAUAAAAAUAUAGCUCCAAGUAAAGUUACCGAUGAAUGAAGGCGAAAGACGGGAUGCCAUCCGGGGCAUACCCAAGCUUAGGAUCUUGGUUGUUCUUGAAUAUUACCUUGGGGUGCCUUGGGCAUCCCCAUGCUUAGGCUCUUUCCACUCCUUAUUCCAUACUCCAUCGAAUCUUUACCCAAAACUUGAAAACUUCACAACACAAAACUUAACAGAAAACUCGUAAGCUGCGUUAGUAUAAGAAAAUAAAUCACCACUUAGGUACUGUUUUGAACUCAUUAUAAAUUCAUAUUUGUGUAAUAUCUACUGUAUUCCAACUUCUCUAUGGUUCAUACUCUCCGAUACUACUCAUAGAUUCAUCAAAAUAAGCAAACAACACAAUGAAAAGAGAAUCUGUCAAAAAUAGAACAGUCUGUAGUAAUCUGUAUCAAACAUAUACUUAUAUAACCCCUAAAAUUCUGAAAUAAAUUGGUGGACCUGAGGAAUUUGUCUAUUAAUCAUCUUCAAAAAGAAUCAACCUAAUCGCACUCUCUAGUAAAAAAUGGCAGCAAAUCUCGUGAGCGCUAAAGUUUCUGUUUUUUACAGCAAGGUCGCAAAGACUUCACCCAAGUAUUCCCAAAGGUUCUACUUGGCACAAACACUAAUUAAAACAUAAAAACUCAAUCAUAACAGAGGCUAGAUAAAUUAUUUAUUACUAAACAGGAACAAAAAGAAAGGAACAAAAAUAAAAUCAGGUUGCCUCCCAACAAGCGCUAUCGUUUAAUGCCCCUAGCAAGGCAUGCCAAUUUCAAUGAUGCUCACAUAAAGGAUAAGAAUUGAAACAUAAAGAGAGCAUCAUGAAGAAUAUGACUAGCACAUUUAAGUCUAACCCACUUCCUAUGCAUAGGGAUUUUGUGAGCAAACAACUUGUGGGAACAAUAAUGAACUUGCAUAGGAAGGUAAAACAAGCAUAACUUCAAAACUUUAAGCAUAUAGAGAGGAAACUUGAUAUUAUUGCAACUCCUACAAGCAUAUAUUCCUCCCUCAUAAUAAAUUUCAGUAGCAUCAUGAAUAAAUUAAACAAUAUAACCAUCACAUAAAGCAUUGCUCUCAUGAUCUACAAGCAUAGAAAAUUUACUACUCUCCACAUAAGCAAAAUUCUUUUCAUUCAGAAUAGUGGGAGUAUCAUAAGAAACUCGAAUACUACAAAUUGUUUCCACAUUAAAAGAGUAAUAUUCAGGAAAAGGGUAAUCAUAAUCAUGACAAGUUUUAAUAUAAUCAUCACUACUUUUUAUAGCAUACGUGUCAUCACAAUAAUCAUCAUAAGUAGCAACUUUGUUCUCAUCAUAAUCAAUUGAAACAUCUUCCAAGAUAGUGGAAUCAUUACUAAAUAAAGUCAUGAACUCUACAAAUCCACUUUCAUAAUUGUCAAAAUAAGAUUCAACAUCCUCCAAAAUAGUGGGAUCAUUACUUCCUAAAGUUGACACUCUUCCAAACCCACUUUCAUCAAUAUAACCAUCAUAAAUAGGAGGCAUGCUAUCAUCAUAAUAAAUUUGCUCAUCAAAACUUGGGAGACUAAAAAUAUCAUCUUCAUCAAACGUAGCAUCCCCAAGCUUGGGACAAACAUUAAUUGUAGCAAAUACAUUCUCAAACAUGUCAUUCUCAUCAAACAAAAAAUCCCCAAGCUUGGGCCUUUUCAUAUCAUAAGCAUAAUCACUCUCAUCAUUAAUAGUAUGGAUAGCACUGAUAACCCACAAGUAUAGGGGAUCGUGAUAACCCACAAGUAUAGGGGACCGCAACAGUUUUUGAUAAGUAAGAGUGUCGAACCCAACGAAGAGCUAAAGGCAGAACAAAUACUCCCUCAAGUUCUAUUGACCACCGAUACAACUCUACGCACGCUUGAUGUUCGCUUUACCUAGAACAAGUAUGAAACUAUAAGUACUUUGUAGGUGUUGUUGGAUAGGUUUGCAAGAUAAUAAAGAGCAAGUAAAUAAAAAGUAGGGGCUGUUUAAGUAAAGACACAAUAAAGUAAAUAUAGCGAGUGUGGAAAAGUAGUGGUAGGAGUUGCGAAAUUGCCCCUAAGAAAUUGACUACUUUACUAGAUCGAUAGCAAGUAUUAUGUGGGAGAGGCCACUGCUAGCAUGCCAUCCUUGACUUGGAAUUCUAUGCACUUAUGAUUGGAACUAUUAGCAAGCAUCCACAACUACUAAUGUUCAUUAAGGUAAAACCCAACCAUAGCAUUAAGGUAUAUUGGUCCCCCUUCAAUCCCGUAUGCAUGAAUUUCUAUGCUAGGUUGAAGCUUCUGUCACUCUUGCCCUCCAAUACAUAGUCCUAUCAACAUACAACUAACCCUAGGGUGUGAUCCACGUGCGCACUCAUAUGAUGGGCACCAAAGGACAGCAACAUAACCACAAGCAAAUUAAAUCAAUCAUAGCAAUUCAUUAACCACCGAUAGGACAACAGAAAUCUACUCAGACAUCAUAGGAUGGCAACACAUCAUUGGGUAAUAAUAUGAAGCAUAAAGCACCAUGUUCAAGUAGAGGGUACAACGGGUUGCAGGAGAGUGGACCGCUGUAGAUAGAGGGGGGGGGAGGUGAUGGAUAUGUUGGUGAAGACGGCGGAGGUGUUGGUGUAGAUCGUGGUGAUGAUGAUGGCCACGGCAGCGUUCCGGCGCCACCGGAAGAGAAGGGGAGAGGGGGGGCCUUCGUCUUCUUCUUCCUUGACCUCCUCCCUAGAUGGGAGAAGGGUUUCCCCUAUGGUCCUUGGCCUCCAUGGCAUGGGAGGGGCGAGAGCCCCUCCGAGAUUGGAUCUGUCUCUCUGUUUCUGCGUUCUGUUGUGCUGCCCUUUCACCAUUUCGGGUAUAUAUGGAGAUCCGUAACUCCGAUUGGAUUGAAACCUUCGCCGUGAUUUUUUUUCCUGAAAAUUAGCUUUCUUGCAGCCAAAGAAGGGCAUCAACUGCCUUACGGGUGGCCCACGAGGGUCAGGGGCGCGCCCAGGGGGGCAGGCGUGCCCCUGCCUCAUGGCCACCUUGGGCACCGUCUCGCGUGGAUUUUUCUUCCAGAAUUUUCCAAAUAUUCCAAAAAUAAGCUCCAUCCGUUUUAUCCCGUUUGGAUUCUGUUUGAUAUGGAUAUUCUGCGAAACAUAAAACAUGUAACAGACAGGAACUGGCACUGGCACUGGAUCAAUAUGUUAGUCCCAAAAAAGUAUAAAAAGUUGCCAAAAGUAUAUGAAAGUUGUAGAAUAUUGGCAUGGAACAAUCAAAAAUUAUAGAUACGACGGAGACGUAUCAGCAUCCCCAAGCUUAAUUCCUGCUCGUCCUCGAGUAGGUAAAUGAUAAAAAAGAUAAUUUUUGAUGUGGAAUGCUACCUAGCAUAAUCUUCACAUAUCUAAUCAUGGCAUGAAUAUUAAGAUACGAGUGAUUCAAAGCAAUAGUCUAUCAUUUGACAUAAAAACAAUAAUACUUCAAGCCCACUAAUAAAGCAAUCAUGUCUUUUCAAAAUAACAAGGCCAAAGAAAGUUAUCCCUACAAAAUCAUAUAGUCUGGCUAUGCUCCAUCUUCACCACACAAAAUACUCACAUCAUGCACAACGCCGAUGACAAGCCAAGCAAUUGUUUCAUACUUUUGACGUUCUCAAACCUUUUCAACUUUCACGCAAUACAUGAGUGUGAGCCAUGGACAUAGCACUACAGGUGGAAUAGAAUAUGAUGGUGGAGAAGACAAAAAGGAGAAGAUAGUCUCACAUCAACUAGGCGUAUCAAUGGGCUAUGGAGAUGCCCAUCAAUAGAUAUCAAUGUGAGUGAGUAGGGACAUGCAACGUAUGCACUAGAGCUAUAAGUGUAUGAAAGCUCCAACUGAAACUAAAUGGGUGUGCAUCCAACUUGCUUGCUCAUGAAGACCUCGGGCAUUUGAGGAAGCCCAUCAUCGGAAUAUGCAAGCCAAGUUCUAUAACAAAAAUUCCCACUAGUAUAUGAAAGUGAUAACUCAAGAGACUCUCUAUAUGAAGAACAUGGUGCUACUUUGAAGCACAAGUGUGGGAAAAGGAUAGAAGCACUGCCCCUUCUCUCUUUUUCUCUCAUUUUUUUAUUUUUAUUUUUUUAUUUUUUUGGUGGGCUUCUUUGGCCUUUUUUUUAUUUGGGCUUCUUUGGCCUCUUUUAUAUUUUUGUAAAGUCCAGAGUCUCAUCCCGACUUAUGGGGGAAUCAUAGUCUCCAUCAUCCUUUCCUCACUGGGGCAAUGCUCUAAUAAUGACGAUCAUCACACUUUUAUUUACUUACAACUCAAUAUUACAACUCGAUACUAGAACAAAGAUAUGACUCUAUAUGAAUGCCUCCGGCGGUGUACCGGGAUGUGCAAUGAUCUAGCGUAGCAAUGACAUAAAAAAACGGACAAGCCAUGAAAACAUCAUGCUAGCUAUCUUACGAUCAUGCAAAGCAAUAUGACAAUGAAUGCUCAAGUUGGAUGGCAAUAUAUCUUGGAAUGGCUAUGGAAAUGCCAUGAUAGGUAGGUAUGGUGGCUGUUUUGAGGAAGAUAUAUGGUGGGUUUAAGGUACCGGCGAAAGUUGCGCGAUACUAGAGAGGUUAACAAUGGUGGAAGGGUGAGAGUGCGUAUAAUCCAUGGACUCAACAUUAAUCAUAAAGAACUCACAUACUUAUAGCAAAAAUCUAUUAGUCAUCAAAACAAAGUACUACGCGCAUGCUCCUAGGGGGAUAGAUUGGUAGGAAAAGACCAUCGCUCGUCCCCGACCGCCACUCAUAAGGAAGACAAUCAAUAAAUAAAUCAUGCUCCGACUUCGUUACAUAACGGUUCACCAUACGUGCAUGCUACGGGAAUCACAAAACUCAACACAAGUAUUUCUACAAUCCACAACUACCCACUAGCAUGACUCUAAUAUCACCAUAUUUAUAUCGCAAAACUAUUGCAAGGAAUCAAACAUAUCAUAUUCAGUGAUCUACAAGUUUUAUGUAGGAUUUUAUGACUAACCAUGUGAAUGACCAAUUCUUGUCAUCUCUCUAAAUAGAUAUAAGUGAAGCAAGAGAGUUUAAUUCUUUCUACAAAAGAUAUGCCCACGCUCUAACAAAUAUAAUUGAAGCAAAAGAGCGUUCUACAAAUGGCGGUUGUCUAUGUAAAGAGAAACAGGCAAUCCAAACUUCAAAUGAUAUAAGUGAAGCACAUGAAGCAUUCUAUAAAGCCAUACUCAAAAGAUAUAAGUGAAGUGCAUAGAGCACUCUAUAAAUCAACCAAGGACUAUCUCAUACCAGCAUGGUGCAUAAAAUAAAAAUGAAAACUAAAUGCAAAAGACGCUCCAAGAUUGCACAUAUCGCAUGAACGAAACGAAUCCAAAAACAUAACGAUACUUGUUGAAGAAAGAGGGGAUGCCUUCCGGGGCAUCCCCAAGCUUAGACGCUUGAGUCUCCUUGAAUAUUUACUUGGGGUGCCUCGGGCAUCCCUAAGCUUGAGCUCUUGCCUCUCUUCCUUCUUAUCACAUCGAGACCUUCUCGAUCAUCGAACACUUCAUCCACACAAAACUUCAACAGAAAACUCAGUAAGAUCCGUUAGUAUAAUAAAGCAAAUCACUACUCUAAGUACUGUUGCAAACCAAUUCAUAUUUUGUUUUUGCAUUGUGUCUACUGUAAUAUAACUUUUUCAUGGCUUAAUCCACGAAUAUAAAUUGAUAGUUUCAUCAAAACGAGCAAACUAUGCAUCAAAAACAGAAUCUGUCUAAAACAGAACAGUCUGUAAUAAUCUGAACAUUCACCAUACUUCUGAUACUUGAAAACUUCUACCAAAAUUAGGAAAAAUAUACAAUUUGUAUAGGAAGACAGUGCAAAAAGAAUCAGAACCAGUUGACGUUCCAGCAAAAACUGUAAAAUCGCGCACUACAGCCAAAGUUUCUGUCCUGCACCGCACAAACCAUCAAGCAAAUGUAAACAUCCUAAAGGCAAACCUUGGCACAUUAUUUUUAUAAUACAAUGAAAUUGUACAAGGGGAUAAUUAUUUUUAUUUAAAAGUUUCUGUAAUCAAUAUUCACAAAGUUUCUGUGAGCAUGAACAAAGUUCAAGGCUAGCUCCCACUUCAACAGUGCUUGUCUUUCUCACUUUCGCUUUCCUUUUUGAAAAGGUUUUGGGUUCCCCUCUUUAUUUUUGUUGUUUUUAAACUAUGUAAAAGCACUCAACAGAAACAAAUGACUCUCUAAAAAUUCCUGGUUGUCUCCCUGGCAGCGCUUUCUUUAAAGCCAUUAAGCUAGGCAUAUAGUGAUCAAGUAAUGGAUCCACCCGGAUCCCAAGGUAUAUCAAAGCCAAUUUUAAUUAACAAUGAUUUAUAAUUUAGUGGUGAGCACAAGGUAACAUAUAUCAUGUAAUUACGAAGUCUAAAUCUCUUCCUAUGCAUCGGCAUGUCAUAAAAUAACAAUUCAUGCACACAAAGUAAAGGCCAAUGCAUAGUAUAAACAGUUUCUUGCAAUUUUAUCAUAUUGGAAACAUAGAGAGCUGGAGAUAUAGUUGCUCUCUCAUAAUAAUUGCAAGUAGGAGCAGCAAGCACAUGCAUAUUAUAUUCAUCAAAAUCAUCAUGUGCAAUGGUAAAAGGCAACCCAUCAAUAUAUUCCUUAAUAAGAGCAAACUUCUCCGAUAUAGUGUAGUUUGGAGAAUUCAAAAAGAUAAUAGGACUAUCAUGUGUGGGUGCAAUAGCAACAAUUUCAUGUUUAACAUAAGGAACUAUAGCAAGUUCAUCUCCAUAAGCAUAAUUCAUACUGGCAUCUUGGCCACAAGCAUAGCAAGCAUCAUCAAAAAGGGAUAUUUCAAAAGAAUCAAUGGGAUCAUAACAAUCAUCAUAGCAAUCAUCCUCCGAUAAGCACGAAGGGAAAUUAAACAAUGUAUGAGUUGAAGAGUUACUCUCAUUAGAAGGUGGGCACGGGUAGCUAAUCCGCUCUUCCUCCUUUUGUUCUUCGUUCUCCUCCUCAUCUUUUUCAUCCAAUGAGCUCACAGUUUCAUCAAUUUCUUCUUCCAUAGACUCCUGCAAAAUAUUAGUCUCUUCGUGGACAGCGGAGACUUUCUCAAUAAGCACAUUAAUAUAGGAAUUAUAUUCAUAAUUAUCAUAGAAAUAUUUCGAGAUAGCUAAAUUUUCAGGCCUAUAAACAUCAUCAUCAUAAGCUUCAUGCUUUUCAAACAAAGAUUCAAUUUCAUAAGUACCCUUAAAAGCAACAAAUUCUUCUAUUUGUUCCACAUCAUAGUAAUCAUAUAUACCAUUAGCAUAAGAAGCUAAGGUUUCAUUAUCAUUAAAUUGACAUGAAAAGGGAAGGUGUGGAGCCUUCACCUUAGAGCAACAAGUAUAAUCAUAUUUCAAGCAUAGUUGCCUAGCAUACCAAUUCAAUAUAUGAAUUUGAUCCCAUAAUAGUUUCCCUUUUUGUGUCAAGCGGUAAUCCCUAAAGUAUUCACGUUGAUCCAACUUUACGCCCAUUACAUAAUUGAAUGGGGUUUUCUCAGGAUUAUUAAAGUAGUACAUAAUAUUUUUCACAUAACCAGCAUCGACGGUUUUAGGAGGUUCCCCAUCUCCAUGAGUAGCAAGUACACCUAAUUUUUUUUGGUAUUUUGUGUUCCAUAUCCAUAACUAAAGAUAGAGAACAACUAAGAACAGCAAAUAAAAAUUACUUAGUGAUAAAGAAAACAAGCACACACGAGAAUAUUCACCCCACGCUAUUGCUCCCCGGCAACGACGCCAGAAAAAGGUCCUGAUAACCCACAAGUAUAGGGGAUCGCAACAGUUUUCGAUAAGUAAGAGUGUCGAACCCAACGAGGAGCUAAAGGCAGAACAAAUAUUCCCUCAAGUUCUAUUGACCACCAAUACAACUCUACGCAUGCUUGAUGUUCGCUUUACCUAGAACAAGUAUGAAACUAGAAGUACUUUGUAGGUGUUGUUGGAUAGGUUUGCAAGAUAAUAAAGAGAAAGUAAAUAAAAAGUAGGGGCUUUUUAAGUAAAGACACAAUAAAGUAAAUAUAGCGAGUGUGGAAAAUUAGUGGUAGGAGUUGCGAAAUUGCCCCUAAUCAAUUGACUACUUUACUAGACCGAUAGCAAGUAUUAUAUGGGAGAGGCCACUGCUAGCAAGUCAUCCCUGACUUGGAAUUCUAUGCACUUAUGAUUGGAACUAUUAGCAAGCAUCCGCAACUACUAAUGUUCAUUAAGGUAAAACCCAACCCUAGCAUUAAGGUAUAUUGGUCCCCUUUCAAUCCCGUAUGCAUCAAUUUCUAUGCUAGGUUGAAGCUUCUGUCACUCUUGCCCUCCAAUACAUAGUCCUAUCAACAUACAACUAACCCUAGGGUGUGAUCCAUGUGCGCACUCAUAUGAUGGGCACCAAAGGACAGCAACAUAACCACAAGCAAAUUAAAUCAAUCAUAGCAAUUCAUCAACCACCGAUAGGACAACGAAAAUCUACUCAGACAUCAUAGGAUGGCAACACAUCAUUGGAUAAUAAUAUGAAGCAUAAAGCACCAUGUUCAAGUAGAGGGUACAACGGGUUGCGGGAGAGUGGACCGCUGUAGAUAGAGGGGGGGGAGGUGAUGGAGAUGUUGGUGAAGACGGCGGAGGUGUUGGUGUAGAUCGUGGUGAUGAUGAUGAUGGCCAUGACAGCCUUCCGGCGCCACCAGAAGAGAAGGGGAGAGGGGGCCCCCUUCGUCUUCUUCUUCCUUGACCUCCUCCCUAGAUGGGAGAAGGGUUUCCCUCUGGUCCUUAGCCGCCAUGGCAUGGGAGGGCGAGAGCCCCUCCGAGAUUGGAUCUGUCUCUCUGUCUCUCUCUGUUUCUGCGUUCUGUUCUGCUGCCCUUUCACCGUUUCGGGUAUAUAUGGAGAUCCGUAACUCCGAUUGGAUCGAAACCUUCGCCGUGAUUUCCCCCCCGAAAAUUAGCUUUCUUGUGGCCGAAGAAGGGCAUCAACCGCCUUACGAGUGGCCCACGAGGGUCAGGGGCGCGCCCCCCUGCCUCGUGGCCACCUCGGGCACCGUCUCGCGUGGAUUUUCCUUCCGGAAUUUUCCAAAUAUUCCAAAAAUAAGCUCCGCCCAUUUUAUCCCGUUUGGAUUCUGUUUGAUAUGGAUAUUCUGUGAAACAUAAAACAUGCAACAAACAAGAACUGGCACUGGGCACUGGAUCAAUAUGUUAGUCCCAAAAAUAGUAUAAAAAGUUGCCAAAAGUAUAUGAAAGUUGUAGAAUAUUGGCAUGGAACAAUCAAAAAUUAUAGAUACAACGGAGACGUAUUAGAUCGCAACAAUUUUCAAGGGUAGAGUAUUCAACCCAAAUUUCUUGAUUUGACACAAGGGGAGCCAAAGAAUAUUCUCAAGUAUUAGCAGCUGAGUUGUCAAUUCAACCACACCUGGAAACUUAGUAUCUGCAGCAAAGUGUUUAGUAGCAAAGUAAUAUGAUUGUAGUGGUAACAGUGGUAAAAGGUAACUGUAGCAAAAGUAAUAUUUUUGGUGUUUUAUAGUGAUGAUAACAAUAGCAACGGAAAAGUAAUAAGCGAAGAACAAAACAUGGAAAGCUCGUAGGCAAUGGAUUGGUGAUAGAGAAUUAUGCCGGAUGUGGUUCAUCAUGUAAUAGUCAUAACAUAGGGUGACACAGAACUCGCUCCAAUUCAUCAAUGUAAUGUAGGCAUGUAUUCCGAAUAUAGUCAUACAUGCUUAUGGAAAAGAACUUGCAUGACAUCUUUUGUCCUACCCUCCAGUGGCAGCGGGGUCCUAUUGGAAACUAAGGGAUAUCAAGGCCUCCUUUUAAUAGAGUACCGGACCAAAGCAUUAACACAUAGUGAAUAGAUGAACUCCUCAAACUACGGUCAUCACCAAGAGUGGUCCCGAUUAUUGUCACUUCUGGGUUCCCGGAUCAUAACACAUAGUAGGUGACUAUAGACUUGCAAGAUAGGAUCAAGAACUGUCAUAUAUUGAUGAAAACAUAAUAGGUCCAGAUCUAAAAUCAUGGCACCUGGGCCCUAGUGACAAGCAUUAAGCAUAGCAAAGUCAUAGCAACAUCAAUUUCAGAACAUAGUGGAUACUAGGGAUCAAACCCUAACAAAACUAACUCGAUUACAUGAUAAAUCUCAUCCAACCCAUCACCGUCCAGCAAGCCUACGAUGGAAUUACUCACGCACGGCGGUGAGCAUCAUGAAAUUGGUGAUGGAGGAAGGUUGUUGAUGAUGAUGGCGAUGUAUUCCCCUCUCCGGAGCCCCGAACGGACUCCAGAUCAGCCCUCCCGAAAGUGAAUAUAUGGAGUCAAGGUUGAGGUCGGUGGAGCGUUAGGGGGCCCACGAGGCAGGGGGCGCACCCAGGGGGGUAGGGCGCGCCCCCACCCUCGUGGACAGGUGGAGGCCCCCCUGACGUGGAUCUUCCUUCCAAUAUUUUUUAUAUAUACCAAAAUAAUUCUCCGUUGAUUUUCAGGUCAUUCCGAGAACUUUUAUUUCUGCACAAAAAUAACACCAUGGCAAUUCUGCUGAAAAUAGCGUCAGUCCGGGUUAGUUCCAUUCAAAUCAUGCAAGUUAGAGUCCAAAACAAGGGCAAAAGUGUUUGGAAAAGUAGAUACGACGAAGACGUAUCAACUCCCCCAAGCUUAAACCUUUGCUUGUCCUCAAGCAAUUCAGUUGAUAAACUAAAAGUGAUAAGGAAAAACUUUUACAAACUCUGUUUGCUCUUGUUGUUGUAAAUAUGUAAAGCCAGCAUUCAAGUUUUCAGCAGAGAUUAUGAACUAACCAUAUUCACAAUAAUAUUUAGGUCUCAUGUUUACUCAUAUCAGUGACAUAAUCAACUAGCGAGCAAUAAUAAUAAAUCUCAGAUGACAACACUUUCUCAAAACAAUCAUGAUAUGAUAUAACAAGAUGGUAUCUCGCUAGCCCUUCCCGAGACCGCAAAACAUAAAUGCAGAGCACCUUUACAGAUCAAGGACUGACUAGAUAUUGUAAUUCAUGGUAAAAGAGAUCCAGUCAAGUCAUACUCAAUGUAAACUAACAGUAAUGGAUGCAAAUGACAGCGGUGUUCUCCAACUGGUGCUUUUUAAUAAGAGGAUGAUGACUCAACAUAAAAUUAAAUAGAUAGGCCCUUCGCAAAGGGAAGCAGGGAUUUGUAGAGGUGCCAGAGCUCGGUUUUGAAAUAGAUAAGAAUAAUAUUUUGAGCGAUAUACUUCCAUUGUCAACAUAACAACCAAGAGAUGGCGAUAUCUUCCAUGCUACACACAUUAUAGGCGGUCCCCAAACAGAAUGGUAAAGUUUAUACUCCCCCUCCACCAACAAGCAUCAAUCCAUGGCUUGCUCGAAACAACGAGUGCCUCCAACUAACAACAGUCUCGGGGGAGUUUUGUUUGCAAUUAUUUUGAUUUGAUUUGCAUAAAGCAUGGGACUGGGCAUCCCGGUAACCAGCCAUUUUCUCGCGAGUGAGGAGCGCAGUCCACUCCUCUUGAGAAUAACCCGCCUAACAUGGAAGAUACGGACAACGCUAGUUGAUACAUGAGCUAUUCAAGCAUACAAAACAGAAUGCUUAUUUGAAGGUUUAGAGUUUGGCACAUACAAAUUUACUUGGAACGGCAGGUAGAUACCGUAUAUAGGUAGGUAUGGUGGACUCAUAUGGAACAAGUUUUGGGGUUUAUGGAAUUGGAUGCACAAGAAGUAUUCCCGCUUAGUAUAGGUGAAGGCUAGCAAAAGACUGGGAAGCGACCAUCUAGAGAGCGACAACAGUCAUGAACAUGCAUUAAAAUUAAUCAACACCGAAUGCAAGCCUGAGUAGGAUAUAAUGCACCAGGAACAUAAAUAUCGUAGACGCUAUGUUGAUUUUGUUUCAACUACAUGCGUGAACAUGUGCCAAGUCAAGCCACUCGAAUCAUUCAAAAGAGGAUACCGCCCUAUCAUACCACAUCACAACCAUUUUAAUAGCAUGUUGGCAUGCAAGGUAAACCAGUAUAAGCUUCUAGCUAAUUAAGCAUGGCAUAAGCAACUAUAAUCUCUAAUUGUCAUUGAAAACAUGUUUAUUCAUAAUAGGCUGAAUCAGGAACGAUGGACUAAUCAUAUUUACAAAAACAAGAGAGGUCGAGUUCAUACCAGUUUUUCUCAUCUAAAUAAGUUCAUCAUAUAAUCAUCAUUAUUUCCUUUCACUUGCACGGUCAAAUAGUGUGGAUAAUAAUAAUAGUGCACGUGUAUUGGACUAAGAUGGAAUCUGCAAGCAUUCAAUUCAAGAGAGAAGACAAGGUAAUAUGGGCUCUUUAUCAGAUCAACGAUAAUGCAUAUAAGAGCCACUCAAGAUUUUCAAUAUGGUCUUCUCCUCUCGACCCCCAAAGAACAAGAAAAGAGAUAAAACUAUUUACACGGGAAAGCUCCCAACAAGCAAAAGAAGAACAAGAAAUCUUUUUGGGUUUUCUUUUUUAAUUACUACUACAAGCAUGGAAAGUAACCUAAUUAAAAGCUACAACUAUUUUUUUGUUUUUCUUAAGGUUUAUUAAACACACAAGAAGAAAGCAUAAAAAGGAAAAUACUAGCAUGGAUGAUACAAUGAAAAAGUAUAAGCACCGACAACUAGCAAUGAGUGUCUGAACGUGAAUGUAAUGUCGGUGAGAGAUACGUACUCCCCCAAGCUUAGGAUUUUGGCCUAAGUUGGUCUAUGGCCAUGGCUGGCCUGGCGGAUAUCCAAAGUAAUAGUUGGGGUCGUACUGUGAAGAAGUCUCGGAUUGCCACUGGUUGGCAAUCACCUCCGGAUUCCACUGGUAAUCAUACUGUCGUGGAGGAUCAAAUUGUGGUUCCGGCUCGGGCUCUGUAGCUGAUGUAGGGUUCCGGUAGGCGUGAAUGGCCUCCAACGGAACAAGGUACUUGCCUGCAGAUAAAUCAAACAAGGAAGGAGCAGGCAAGGUAAUAGUCUCAGGAUGAUUUUUACCAAAUAUUAAUAUGUACUUAAGCGCCUUUUCCCUAUUCUAAACAAUAAAAUCAUGUGCUACCAUACUCUUAUAAUCUAGAUAAACAGGAGGCAUCAAUUUUUCUUCUUUCUCAUAAUGCCUAAUAGGUAUGUUAAAGUGUGCAGCGAGGCGCGAGGCGAAGAUGCCUCCAAGGACGGGGCCCUUUGUACGGUUAAGAUUUAACCGACUUGCAACAAUAGCGCCCAUACUAAAUGUGUCAUCAUGGAACAAGGCAUGGCACAAAAUAACAAUAUCAGGGGCACUAAGGUUGCCACAGUUUCCGCGACCAAUUAUGCAUCUACUAGCAAAUAUUGCGAAGUAACGUAAAACAGGAAAGUGUAUGCUAGUAAUUCAUGCGUCGGAAACCUUCCUAGUUUCCCCUACAGUAAUGGUAUCAAUAAACCCAUCCACAUCAUCACGAUGUGGUUCCUCUACACUGCCCUCGAAAGGGAUCAAACAAACCCGACAAAAAUCACGAAGUGACAUCUCCUUAUGCUCAUCAUAUAAAUAAAAUUCCACUGUAGGUGAGCUCCUAGCAUGGAAAUGAAAGUUUUGCACAAAUAUAUUGGUGAGUAAGAGAUACUGUUCGCGUUGGUCGUGGAGGAAGGCGGUGAGGUCCACAUUCUGAGCCAAUUCAUAGAAAUCGUCAUAAAUCCCAACUGCUCUUAAGAAAUCAUCACAAGGCCAUUCACAUGGCCGAACCUCCGUGGUGCGAGGAAGAUUAUAUUUAGGCCUCUUAUCCUCCUCACUUUUCUUAUCCUUCGAGCAUCGGCUCGAUGAGCCCCUCAAAAAUCUCUUCAUCUUUUUCUGAUUUUUUUUGAAAUUUUUAGUAACUUCAAAAUAAAAGUGAACCAAACUCAACAAAAUUGAUAGCAACUACUCCUACAAGUGACUAGAGGCAAUAUCAUGCAUCAAAACUACUUUUGACCACAUUAAUUUGACAUGCAAACUCAAGAACAGGGUCACCUAAGCAGCAAAAAUAUGCAAUGAAUAAAGCACUAGAACAAAAACUAAUUGGACCAUUGGAGGAGUCACAUACCAAGGAACAAUCCCCCAAAGUAGUUUUGUGAAUGGAGCUUUGAGCAAGGAGAUCGAAAAUGGCAGCAAGAUGAGUUUGGACUCGGGUUUCAGCUGGCUAGUGAUUUUUGUAGGAGCAAGGAGUGUAUAGUAGUUGGAAUAAGUGGAGGGGAGCCACCAUGGGCCCACGAGGCAGGGGGGCGCGCCCAGGGGGUAGGGCGCGCCCUCCACCCUCGUGGCCAGGUGCUUGCUCCCCCUACAGUGUUCUCAGUGCCAGAUAUUCUCAAAUAUUCCAGAAAAAAUCAUAUUUAAAUUUCAGGGCAUUUGGAGAACUUUUAUUUUCAGGGUAUUUUUUAUUGCACGGAUAAUUCAGAAAACAGUCAGAAAUUACUAUUUUUACUUUAUUUAAUAUAAAUAACAGAAAGUAAAAAGAGGGUAUAGAGAGUUGUGUUUUCUAAUUCAUCCAUCUCAUGCUCAUCAAAAGGAAUCCACUAACAAGGUUGAUCAGGUCUUGUUAACAAACUCAUUCCGAAUAACAUGGAACCGAAGAAUUUUCGAAUAACACUAGCUUACCUCAACGGGGAUAUGCACAUCCCCAACAAUAAGAAUAUCAUAUUUCUUCUUGACAGUAGGAAGAGGAAAUUCAAAACCUCCAAAAAUAAUUGAUGGAAUUUUUCCAAUAGAGUUUAUACUAUUAACUUGAGGUUGUUUCGUCGGAAAGUGUACCGUAUGCUCAUUGCCAUUAACAUGAAAAGUGACAUUGCCUUGGGUGCAGUCAAUAACAACCCCUGCAGUAUUCAAAAAGGGUCUUCCAAGAAUAAUAGACAUGCUAUCGUCCUCAGGAAUAUUUAGGAUAACAAAGUCCGUUAAAAUAGUAACGUUUGCAACCACAACAGGCACAUCCUCACAAAUACCGACAUGUAUAGCAGUUGAUUUAUCAGCCAUUUGCAAAGAUACUUCAGUAGGUGUCAACUUAUUCAAAUCAAGUCUAUGAUAUAAAGAGAGAGCCAUAACACUAACACCGGCUCCAAGAUCACAUAAAGUUUUAACAUAGUUUCUUUUAAUGGAGCAUGGUAUAGUUGGUACUCCGUGAUCUCCUAGUUUCUCAGGUAUUCCACCCUUAAAAGUAUAAUUAGCAAGCAUGGUGGAAAUUUCAGCUUCCGAUAUGUUUCUUUUAUUAGUAACAAUAUCUUUCAUGUACUUAGCAUAAGGAUUCAUUUUAAGCAUAUCAGUCAAACACAUACGCAAAAAGAUAGGUCUAAUCAUUUCAGCAAAGCGCUCAAAAUCCUCAUCAUUCUUUUUCUUGGAUGGUUUGGGAGGAAAAGGCAUCGGUUUCUGAACCCAUGGUUCUCUUUCUUUACCGUGCUUCCUAGCAACAAAGUCUCUCUUAUCAUAACGUUGAUUCUUUGAUUGUGGGUUAUCAAGAUCAUUAGCAGGUACAAUAUCUACUUCAUUGUCAUUACUAGGUUGAACAUCAACAUGAACAUCAUCGUUAACAUUAAUACUAGGUUCAUGCUCAUUACCAGAUUGUGUUUCAGCAUCAGAAAUAGAAAUAUCAUUGGGAUUCUCAGGUGUGUCAUCAACGGGUUCACUAGAAGCAUGCAAAGUCCUAUCAUUUUUCUUUUUCUUCUUCUUAGAAGGACUAGGUGCAUAUACAUUAUUUCUCUGAGAAUCUUGCUCAAUUAUCUUAGGAUGGCUGAGGGAGUCCUGGAUUAGGGGGUCUCCGGACAGCCGGAUUAUAUCCUUUGGCCGGACUGUUGGACUAUGAAGAUACAAGAUUGAAGACUUCGUCUCGUGUCCGGAUGGGACUCUACUUGGCGUGGAAGGCAAGCUAGGCAAUACGGAUAUGUAUAUCUCCUCCUUUGUAACCGACCUUGUGUACCCCUAGCGCCCUCUGGUGUCUAUAUAAACCGGAGGGUUUUAGUCCGUAGGACAACAUACAAUCAUAUCAUAGGCUAGCUUCUAGGGUUUAGCCUCUCUGAUCUCGUGGUAGAUCUACUCUUGUACUACCCAUAUCAUCAAUAUUAAUCAAGCAGGACGUAGGGUUUUACCUCCAUCAAGAGGGCCCGAACCUGGGUAAAACAUCGUGUUCCCUGCCUCCUGUUACCAUCCGCCUUAGACGCACAGUUCAAGACCCCCUACCCGAGAUCCGCCGGUUUUGACACCGACAUUGGUGCUUUCGUUGAGAGUUCCUCUGUGCCGUUGCCAGAAGGAAGGAUGUCUCAUCUCGUCUUUAAAGAUGGUACUACUGUUGGGGGAGCUUUGGCUGUCGGCCAAACUCUCCGGCUAGGCGGUUUCAUCAUGACCGCCUGUUCGGCCACCGCACCGACGAUGACUUCUCGGGUCAUCGAAAACAGCCUCCACGUCAAAUCGGCACUCGCCGAACAGAUGGAUCCAAUGGAGCUCGCCUCCUUAAACAAGCUCUCGGAUCACAUCGCCGCCUUGGGAGUCGUUACGGACUAUGAUCGGAUUGGGCUUAAACCCGAUCAAAGGGAGAUUAACUCUCCACCGGUCACCCAUCAUAUUGCAGUGGUGGAGGAACAAUGCGGCGACUUUUCCUCUAUCUUGAGGACCAACUAUGUCCGGAUUUCCGAGCUCUCCGAGCCGGACGCCCGUUCGCGGGAGGGCAACAUCCAAUCCCUGAACUUAGAGUCAGGCAGCGGGCCAGGAUUAUCGGGUAACACCCCGGAACUGGAACUUCCAAAAUUGGAAACUCCUCGGCCCCUGGAUCCCAGAUCAGGUAAGGGUUCAGAUUCAAUUCCACCCGCCCACCCAAACAUAAGCGAUCUUUCCCACAUCAGGCAAGAGCCCCAGGAAACAGUACAUCACUAUUAGGCCAGAUUCCUCCUUGCGAUGAACAAGGUUAAGGACUGUCGCGAGGAAGACACAAUCCUAUUAUUCUGCAAUAAUUGCACGGACAAGGGAAUCCUUAACGCCAUAAAUCGCCAUGAGAUAAGAUGCUUCACUGACUUGGCGUCCAUAGUAUGAAAGUACUGUGCGAUGGAAAGUGCCUGGAAAAUCAAAACAAACUUUUGGAAUAAUCUGGCCCUGAAUACAAACCUAGUCCGAAAUAAAAGGGUGCAUUAUCACAACACACCCGGGUCAACUACCAAAAAGCAAAAACCCUCUAUAGGGCACGAAACCGUACUGGAGGGAUGGCUCAAUGGACCCUGCAAAAUUCAUAGUAUAGCGGAUACAAUACCAACGCACAGCCUUACAGCAUGUUGGAUACUCCGGCAGGUGGCCAAAAGUGGUGAGGAUCUUCUUAUCCCAAAUACCACAGAGCACCAUCCCGUGGAUAACAAUACGGUGUUAACAGUCUUUGAGACCUUCACGUCAAAUAAUAGGUGCAAGCGAAUACUCCGCAGCAUGACCGAAAUCUGCCACGUAGCAGCAAUAAAUCCAUGGAGUGACACGGCCAUUACCUUCAAUGCCAGUGAUGAACCUAAAUUCCAAACAGCCCGAGCACCAGCCGCACUGGUCCUCAGUCCAAUCGUGGACGGCUUUCGACUCACCAAAGUACUCAUGGACAGCGGCAGCAGAUUAAACCUCAUCUAUGAGGAAACUCUUCAAAAGAUGGAAAUAGACUAGAACCGCAUCGAGCAAAGUAGCACAACCUUUAGAGGUAUCAUCGCCAGUCAGGAAGCACGCUGUGCUGGGAAAAUCACACUAGAUGUGGUAUUCGACACAACGGAUAAUUACAGGUCCGAAUAAAUGACAUUUCAAGUGGCCCCGUUCAGCAGCAGUUAUCACGCUCUUCUAUGACGGGAGGCAUUCACAAUCUUCCAAGCCGUACCCCAUUACGGGUACAUGAAGCUCAAAAAGCCCGGGCCCAACGGAAUCAUCACUCUCGCCAGCGAUCCAGACACGACACUCCGCGCUGAAAACAAAACAGCCGCACUGGCCCUUGAGGCAUUAUCCGAAGCCCUCUCGGCCGAGGAAUUAACCACACUAUGCUCCAAAGUGGACAGGGACGACGUGAUACUCGACAAGAGAUCCAAGUCCACCUCUUUUAAACCAGCGGAUGAAAUAGUCAAAUUCCAAGUCCACCCAACGGACCCUACAAAAACAGCCUCCAUUGGGGCACAAUUAAACCCCGCUGUGGACGCCGCACUACGAGAAUUCUUGCGCGAGAACUGGGACAUAUUCGCCUGGCAUCCCUCAGACAUGCCAGGAAUCCCACGCAGGCUGGCCGAGCAUAGCCUCAAUAUCCUAAAGGGAUUCAAGCCGGUCAAGCAGGCUCUUCGGCGUUUCUCCGAACCUAAGAGACAUUCCAUGGGAGAUGAACUAGCCAAGCUAUUGGAGGCCGGAUUCAUCAGAGAAAUAAAACACCCGGACUGGGUAGCAAACCUAGUGAUGGUACCAAAGAAGGACAAAUCCUGGAGCCUUUGCGUUGAUUUCAAAGACCUCAAUAAAGCUUGCCCAAAGGAUUCUAUUGGCAGAAAUUCACGCCGGACUCGGCGGUCAUCAUGUCGCAGCCCAGGCUCUUGUAAGGAAGGCCUUCCGUACAUGAUUCUAUUGGCCAACGGCCCGGGCAGAUGCACAGGACUUGGUCCAACGCUGCGCCGGUUGCCAGCUCUUCGCAAAUCAAAGUCACAUGCCACCUACCGCCCUCCAAACAAUCCCCAUUACAUGGCCCUUUGCGGUCUGGGGGCUUGACAUGGUUGGACCCCUUAAAGGGGGAACCCACAAGAAAAAAUACUUAUUGGUCAUGGUGGAUAAAUUCACGAAAUGGAUAGAGGCCAAACCUGUUAAAACAGUCGAAUCAGGACCGGUGAUAGACUUCAUAUCUGGGGUUGUACACCGUUAUGGCGUCCCCCACAGCAUCAUCACUGAUAAUGGCACGAACUUCACGGCUGACGAGGUAAAACUUUGGUGCAGCAAAAUGGACAUCAAGCUCGAUUAUGCUUCAGUCUAUCACCCACAAGCCAACGGUCAAGUCGAGCAAGCAAGCGGUCUUAUAAUGAGCGGCAUUAAACCCAGAUUAGUGCGCUCCUUAAUGGAGUCUAACACACACUGGGUAGAGGAGCUCGACUCCGUACUCUAGGGGCUGCGGACCACGCCAAAUCGUAGUACCAUAUAUACACCCUUCUUUAUGGUGUACGGUGCAGAGGCAGUCUUGCCCUGUGACAUAAUUGAUGACUCACCUCGAGUGCGCAUGUACGAAGAAAGAGAAGCUGAGCUCGAUCGGCAGGACAGUUUGGACACCCUGGAGGAGGAGCAUGAUGUAGCCAAAGCCCGUUCCGCAUUUUAUCAGCAACAGUCUCGCAGAUACCAAAGCAGAGAAGUACGGGCCAAAACUUAUAACGUUGGUGAACUAGUGCUACGACUGCCGGAUAAGAAAAAGAACAAGCUCGAGCCCAAAUGGGAAGGUCCCUUCAUUAUUGACCAAGUUAUGACCGGUGGAUCGUACCGACUGUGGGAUGCAUCGACUAGUCGACUCGAGCUGAACCCAUGGAACACGGCCAGGUCCGAAGAUUCUAUGCCUAGCACCGGACUCUAUGUUAGUCCCCUCCCUUUGUCCAUUAUUUUCUUCAUAUACAUUAUCUGUCUUGUUUCUCUUUCUUUCUUUAUUUUAUUAUUUCUCUAGGCCUUCAAGGGUCACCUUGUGCCUCGCUUGCACACUACAGAUGCGCUAGCUGCACUCUUCAUACCAGGGGGCUUCUUUCACAGAAGCUUAAAUUAUUUAUCCGGGCCUCAUGCCCCACACAUGUGUUAUACUUCCGCAUGUACCUUUUUUCACCAUUAUAUGCAUCGAUAUGACUUAAGUUUUGGCCAAGCUGGGUUGCCUGGCUCUUGUAUUUAUGCCAUACAUUCUCGUUAAUUCGGCUAGGGCAUAAGGGGAGCACCUCUGUGAUUGUUACUGCCGGGUCAGCCGGAUGUGUACCUCAGACUGGGUGAAGCCGAAAGCUAGCAUUCUUAAGGGAAUAUUCGGUCGGUGAACAAAAGAUGAUUUUUUUAUUGUCCAUAUCUGCCCCCAGAUGUUUUUCCUGCGUUUCCUAUCGCAGUUCAGACAUGCACUUUAGGGCAUGCUUACCCAGGGAAAGGAACCCUUAACGGAACUAUUCUCCCUGGAAGAUGUUUCUUACUACCCAUGUAAUAUAACAUAAGUAGUUGGGCACUUGUCUGAUAAAGCACUAAUGACCCCUACACCUGGUCUCCACGCAUACCCCGGUUCUUAUAUAACUAAGCGGGUAUUCGGAUACACUCCAGACUAUUGGGCCCGGAGGUUGAAGCGAAAAGGUCCGCAAUGACAAAUGAUCUACAAUCCGGCUAGAAGGCAUUAUACAUGUCACUUUAAUUACAUAGUCAUGCAGACUGACUAAAUUCCUCUUCUAUACCAUCCAACAGGCGGUCUAGCUUACAAUCCUGUUGAGAAUACUUUGCGGCUAAUUCUACUUGCCAUAAACUAAGCUAACGGGGAUCUCUUUUCCGUCGGGCCCCACAGGUCCGACCUCGGCCAUGUGAUUUGGGUCUGCCUUGGUAUACCGCGUCUUCACCAUGGCACAGGCUUCUCUGGCACCCUGUCGGCAGGCUGAUAUCUUCCACAAUCGGAAGCGCCACCGUGCUCCCUUGAGCUUCUCUGCAAGCUCGGCAGCGCCCUCUGGCAUGGAGACGGACGGCCACAAGGCCUGGGCAACACCCUGCAUCACCUGCCGAACUUGUUCGUGCAGAUGUGACAGCUCGGACAGAAGAUCACCCGCAGGCCCGGGCAUUUCCUUCGCCGGAUGACCCGUCAGCAUACCUAUAGACAUAACCCUGUUAGUCGGCUUCUUCGCCGAACUCCUUUAAAACGAUUCAUUCAAGAACUUACUAAAAAUGCCGCGCCGAAGCCGCUUAUUCUCCUUUUCGGAGUCUACAAGCUGGCCCCGAACGUCUUUUAGUUCCACGCUCCGCUUAAUAUUGGCAUCUUGGAGAUUGUUUUUCUCCUGCCUAACCUCAGUCAGCACGCGUUUGCCAGCCUCUAGCUGUCGCAUAACAUGUUGGUCCUUCGGAUUCUCUCCGGAUUCAUCUGCAACAUCUGUUGUUAGAUCUGCAGCCAUGCCGCACGUUAUAUGGUAACCAUCAUUCUUUAAAGUAAAUGUUACCAGAAGGUGACUUUUUCGGUUCCUGCAAUGCGGCCACAACAGCCCGCAGUUGGGUCUUGCAUUCCUCCAGCUCCUGUGACAGCCUAGUAUUCUUCUCUGUAAGAACCUCCACAAUAAAGAUGAUCCUUAAAUCAGUUCUGCUAACUGUUUCAAGUCUCAGGGGCUACUGGUACAUAUAAAUCGUCAGAUUUACUCACCCGUACAUCCUUUACAUACUGAUCCGUGGCUCUGGCUAGACCAUCUUGAGCAGCACAGAGGUACGCCUCUCCAGAAUUGAAGGCUUCAAACGCCUCUGGUGAGAAACAAGCGUCACGGAGUAUGGCCCGCCAGCGCCUAUGAUUCAUGGCGCUUUCCAAUUCUCAGUUUGUAGCAGAUAAUCUAUCCGCAUCCUCUGUAGGGGGAUUAUCCGGCGCCUGCCCCAUAUCGGCUUCUGCCUCCAUGUCCGAUCCUGGCGCCCGACUGGUGGAAGCGUGAUUGGCAACAUCGCCGGACAUAUUCUGGCGAGCGUUUUUUCUCUUGAAGAAACACGGGCGUCAUUACAUUUCGAGAAAGACGACAACCACGGAGCGGGGUUUGUUAUACCUUUGCGCCGGUGUCUCCGUCCUGACUGCCUUCCUUUUUGGCCUACCCGGCCUCGAUGCCUCCUGUUGACGCGUUCCCAUGGGUUCGGCAGGGCGUCCCGAAUGCCUUCCCUGUAAAAUGCCAUGUGUAUAUGGUGGGUGAAGUGUCUAAAAGGGGAUCCUAGUUUUGGAGUUGAGAUUUUUGGUUUUUCUUACGCGUGAUGAAGGGAGCAGUCCGGGAUAGUCGGCCGUAAUGGCCACCAUGGCAUCGUCAUAGCUUAACUAAUAGAACUGCCGGUCUAUCAGCUCCACAGAUAUAACCGAAUCUUCUUCAAGUCCGGAGUCGAGGGCUCGGUCAGGGUCCUCUGGUUGUGGAGAAGGGCUGCUAACCUCCUUUAUGGCUUUUCGCAGUUCUUGCCGCAAAGUGGAAGGUGAAUACUUACGACAAAGAAUGUGGGAAAAAUGGGAGUAGGGAGAUAUAACUUACCCAGCUUGGAGGAUUGUACAUGGAGAACCGAUCCCGUGGCUUGAUGCGGGUGAACUCCUCUUCCUCACCCUUGAACAAUUCGGACAGAAUUUUUGCUAAAGUGGCAGCAUUGUCCGGGCCCUUAUGCCCGUAGCGGGUGGCGUCAUCCGCCCCGUUAUAACACCACAAGGGGUGCCCAUGAUAUUGAAGUGGCUGCACUCCCCGCAUUAUGCAAAUCGACAUAACUUCGAUUAUUGUCAAUCCUGAUUGAGCCAGAGCUUUGAUCCGGUUCAUCAGAUAGAGGAAUUCUCUGUUGUCUUCCACGUGGGGGCUCCGUGGGCACCAACUUCGGUGUUUCUUUAGAGGGGCAUUGUUGAACUCAGGAAGACCCCGCCGAAUAGGGUCCGGAAGAGGAACGUCCUCCAUAUAAAACCAUUCUGAAGGCCAGUCUUCGGGCGACUUCUUCGGAGUACCGGACAGGUAUCCGGUAUCGGCGAUGCGCCAUAUUUUGGCUCCGCCCACUUGAUAAAGUGACCCCCUCUGUGUGCGAGGGACGAGGCAAAAUAGCCUUUUCCAUAGCUCGAAGUGAGCCUGGCAGCCUAGGAACAACUCGCAGAGAGCCACAUAGCCGGGGAUAUGUAGGAUGGAGGCGGGGGUAAAAUUAUGUAAUUGGAGGCCGUAGAACUCCAGGAGCCCGCGGAGGAACGGAUGAAUUGGAAAUCCGAGUCCCCUUAGGGAACAAGGCAGACGCGUUCCCCCAUAGAGGGACAGGGAAAGCUCUCCGCUUUCUCUCCGCCAUUAUAGGUGGCGAGCCCGGCUCGAAUGGGCACCAUGUACGCCGGAGGGAGAAAUCCCUUAGUCUGCAGUUCGACUAGACGACUGUGCGGGACUGAACACCUCUCCCAAUCAUCAGGCUUAGGGCUUCCGGGAUGGGAGGAGGAGUUGCGGAGGUCGGCCAUGCUAGAAUGGAUCUUUCCGGAACGCGCUCUGAUGGACUCUCGCUAGGGGAGGAUGGUAUGGAUCGGAUCCAAGGAUCCCCAUCCGUUUAAUAGACAAUUUAUUUAGCUGGCUAGGGGGGCGAAUGUAAAAACACCCUGGCGCCUCGUAUUCAUUCGACGCAUGGGAGAAAGCCCUUAUUGGGCACAAAAGCCAAGAGGUCCAAACAUUUAUGGGACCGGACACUGCUUUACAGACGUUCGAUAGAUGGAGAAGAACCCGCCUUGCAAUGCCGAAGACAAUACUGUGUUCCAGACUCAUCGUCAUUGAAGCCUGGUUCGGGGGCUACUGAGGGAGUCCUGGAUUAGGGGGUCUCCGGACGGCCGGAUUAUAUCCUUUUGCUGGACUGUUGGACUAUGAAGAUACAAGAUUGAAGACUUCGUCUCCUGUCCGGAUGGGACUCUACUUGGUGUGGAAGGCAAGCUAGGCAAUAUGGAUAUGUAUAUGUCCUCCUUUAUAACCGACCUUGUGUAACCCUAGCCCCCUCUGGUGUCUAUAUAAACCGGAGGGUUUUAGUCUGUAGGACAACAUACAAUCAUACCAUAGGCUAGCUUCUAGGGUUUAGCCUCUCUGAUCUCAUGGUAGAUCUACUCUUGUACUACCCAUAUCAUCAAUAUUAAUCAAGCAGGACGUAGGGUUUUACCUCCAUCAAGAGGGCCCAAAUGUGGGUAAAACAUCAUGUUCCCCGCCUCCUGUUACCAUCCGCCUUAGACGCACAGUUCGGGACCCCCUACCCGAGAUCCCCCGGUUUUGACACCGACAAUGGACCUCAGGAUACAAAGGUUCCUGAGUCAUUUUACCACCUCUAGUCAUAACUCUAACAACAUUAUCAUUUUUCUUAGUAUUUAAUUCAUUGAGAAAAUCAUUUUGAGCUUUAAGUACUUGUUCUACUUGAGUGGUAACCAUAGAAGCAUGUUUACUAAUAAGUUUAAGUUCACCUUUAAUAUUAGCCAUAUAAUCACCCAAGUGUUCAAGCAUAUCAGCAUUGCAUUUUAAUUCCCUACCAAAAUAAGCAUUGAAGUUUUCUUGUUUGACCAUAAAGUCAUCAAACUCAUCCAAGCAUGGGCUAGCAAACUUAGUAAAUGGGACUUCAGCUUUAUCAUAUCUAUAGAGAGAAUUUACCUUUACUACCUGUGUUGGGUUAUUGAGACCAUGUAUUUCUUCAAUAGGCGGUAAAUUAAGACCAUGUAUUUCUUCAAUAGGAGGUAAAUUCUUAACAUCUUCAGCUUUAAUACCUUUUUCUUUCAUAGAUUUCUUUGCCUCUUGCAUAUCUUCAGCACUGAGAAAUAGAAUACCCCUUUUCUUCGGAGUUGGCUUAGGAGUUGGUUCAGGAAUUGGAUCAGGUAUUGGACCAGGAAGUGUCCAAUUAUUUUCAUUAGUCAACAUAUUAUUCAAUAGAAUUUCAGCUUCAUCUGGUGUUCUUUCCCUGAAAACACAACCAACCGACUAUCCAGGUGGUCUCUAGAAGAAUCAGUUUGUCCAUUAUAAAAGAUAUCAAGUAUUUCAUUUUUCUUAAGAGAAUGAUCAGGCAAAGCAUUAAGUAAUUGGAGAAGCCUCCCCCAAGCUUGUGGGAGACUCUCUUAUUAAAUUUGCACAAAAUUAUAUAUUUCCCUUAAAGUAGCUUGUUUCUUAUGAGCAGGGAAAUAUUUAGCAGAGAAGUAAUAAAUCAUAUCCUGGGGCCUAUGCACACAACCAGGAUCAAGAGAGUUAAACCAUAUCUUAUCAUCACCCUUUAAUGAGAACGGAAAUAAUUUAAGGAUAUAAUAAUAGCGAGUUUUCUCAUCAUUAGUGAACAGGGUGGCUAUAUCAUUUAAUUUAGUAAGAUGCGCCACAACAGUUUCAGAUUCAUAGCCAUAGAAAGGAUCAGAUUCAACUAAAGUAAUUAUCUCAGGAUCAAUAGAGAAAUCAUAAUCCUUAUCAGUAACAAAGAUAGGUGAAGUAGCAUAAGCAAGAUCACAUUUCAUUCUAGCAUUCAGAGUUUUUUGUUCCAGCUUAUCUAAUAAUUUCUUAAGAUCACUCCUGUCAUUGCAAGCAAGAAAAUCUCUAGUAGUUUCUUCAUCCAUAACAUAGCCCUCAGGCACAACAGGUAAUUCAUAUCUAGGGGUGAAUCUUCAUCAUCACUUUCAUCAAUAUUAUCAGUUUCAAUAAUUUCAUUCUCUCUAGCCCUAGCAAGUUGUUCAUCAAGAAAUUCACCAAGUGGCACAGUAGUAUCAAGCAUAGAAGUAGUUUCAUCAUAAGCAUCAUGCAUAGCAGAAGUGGCAACAUCAAUAACAUGCGAUAUAUCAGAAUUAAUAGCAGAAGCAGGUUUAGGUGUCGCAAGCUUACUCAAAACAGAAGGUGAAUCAAGUGCAUAGCUAGAUGGCAGUUCCUUACCUCCCAUAAAUCUUGGUUCUUGGAUCUUUCAAGUUCUUCAUAAUGAUAAGCAGAUAUAAAUACCAAGUGACUCAAAGAAUAGAGCUAUGCUCCCCGGCAACGGCGCCAGAAAAUAGUCUUGAUAACCCACAAGUAUAGGGGAUCACGACAGUUUUCGAGGGUAGAGUAUUCAACCCAAAUUAAUUGAUUCAACACAAGGGGAGCCAAAGAAUAUUCUCAAGUAUUAGCAGCCGAGUUGUCAAUUCAACCACACCUGGAAACUUAGUAUCUGCAGCAAAGUGUUUAGUAGCAAAGUAAUAUGAUAGUAGUGGUAAUGGUGGUAAAAGGUAACAGUAGCAAAAGUAAUAUUUUUGGUGUUUUAUAGUGAUGAUAACAAUAGCAACGGAAAACUAAUAAAUGAAGAACAAUAUAUGGAAAGCUCGUAGGCAAUGGAUCGGUGAUAGAGAAUUAUAUCGGAUGCGGUUCAUCAUGUAAAAGUCAUAACAUAUGGUGACACAGAACUAGCUCCAAUUCAUCAAUGUAAUGUAGGCAUGUAUUCCGAAUAUAGUCAUACGUGCUUAUGGAAAAGAACUUGCAUGACAUCGUUUGUCCUACCCUCCAGUGGAAGCGGGGUCCUAUUGGAAACUAAGGGAUAUUAAGGCCUCCUUUUAAUAGAGUACCGGACCAAAGCAUUAACACAUGGUGAAUACAUGAACUCCUCAAACUAUGGUCAUCACCGGGAGUGGUCCUGAUUAUUGUUACCUCGGGGUUGCCGGAUCAUAACACAUAGUAUGUGACUAUAGACUUGCAAGAUAGGAUCAAGAACUCACAUAUAUUCAUGAACACAUAAUAGGUUCAUAUCUGAAAUCAUGGCACUCAGGCCCUAGUGACAAGCAUUAAGCAUAGCAAAGUCAUAGCAACAUCAAUCUCAGAACAUAGUGGAUACUAGGGAUCAAACCCUAACAAAACUAACUCGAUUACAUGAUAAAUAUCAUCCAACCCAUCACCGUCCAGCAAGCCUACGAUGGAAUUACUCACACACGAUGGUGAGCAUCAUGAAAUUGGUGAUGGAGGGAGGUUGAUGAUGACGAUGGCGAUGGAUUCCCCUCUCCGGAGCGCCGAACGGACUCCAGAUCAGCCCUCCCGAGAGAGUUUAGGGCUUGGCGGCGGCUCCGUAUCGUAAAACGUGACGAAUCCUUCUCUCUGGUUUUUUUCUCCCCGAAAGUGAAUAUAUGGAGUCAAGGUUGACGUCGGUGGAGCAUCAGGGGGCCCACGAGGCAGGGGGCGCGCCCAGUGGGGUAGGGCACGGCCCCAUCCUCGUGGACAGGUGGAGGCCCCCCUGACAUGGAUCUUCCUUCCAAUAUUUUUUAUAUAUUCCAAAAUAAUUCUCCGUUGAUUUUCAGGUCAUCCCGAGAACUUUUAUUUCUGCACAAAAAUAACACCAUGGCAAUUCUGCUGAAAACAGCAUCAGUCCGGGUUAGUUGCAUUGAAAUCAUGCAAGUUAUAGUCCAAAACAAGGGCAAAAGUGUUUGGAAAAGUAGAUACGACGGAGACGUAUCAAGCACCAAUAGUAUAACAAUUAUCAUCAUCAUAGUGAGUAAUAGGAGCAACAUUAUUUGGGAGGCAUACAUUUUUACCUCUGCUUCUCCGUCUUUUCUUUUUCUUCUUCACAUCUUGUGUGGGUUUUAUCCUCUUUUCGGAGCUCCUUAUUAAUGAGAUUGGUUGAAUAGGCGGCUCCUCCUCGUUACCUGAUUCAUCAUAAGAAAUAUUAGAAGAAUAUUGGGAAGUCUCUUCCCUUUCAUUAGUAUUCUCUUCAUCUUCUAUUUGUUUUCUUGUCUUUAUGUAAUUGGCAAUAUAAGGAUUUUCAAUGCAAUUCACCGCACAAUACAUAAAAAUUUCUUCUAGAUCAAAAUCAAGAAAUCUAUCAAGAUUAAAUUUUGAAAUACCCUUAGUUAUACGUUCGUUUCUUCAUACCCCAAAAGAAGACUAAGCUCUUUAUGAUCCUCAAGGGUAAUCAAGUUAUCACAAUUUUUGGACACGAUUUGAUCAUGAAACAAAUAGCAUUGGAGCUUUAAAUGACCAUGUUCAUUUCAAAGUUCACAAGGAUGGCGAUAAAUAUUGAAUCUUUCAGCACAAUCAUCUAGCCUUUCUUGCAACCAUUUAGUUUCCAAAUACUUAUGCCUCUUGCAAAAUAUAUCUUCCCUAUUUGGUGUGCGCUUGCAAGCUCUAUGUAUUCCACAAAAGUUGACAUGCUUAUAAGAGACAUUUUCAUCAUGACUAGUGCAAUCAUCAUUAGUACCAUGCAUAUUCAAGGAAUUCAUACUAACAACAUUGCAAUCAUGCUCAUCAUUCAAAUAUUUAGUGCCAAACAUUCUAAUGCAUUCUUCUUCUAACAUUUUGGCACAAUUAUCGGAAUCCUUAUUUUCAUGAAAGAUAUUAAAAAGAUGAAGCAUAUGAGGUACCCUCAAUUCCAUUUUUUGUAGUUUUCUUUUAUAGACUAAACUAGUGAUAAAACAAGAAACUAAAAGAUUCGAUUGCAAGAUCUAAAGAUAUACCUUCAAGUGCUAACCUCCCUGGCAACGGCGCCAGGAAAGAGCUUGAUGUCUACUACACAACCUUCUUCUUGUAGACGUUGUUGGGCCUCCAAGUGCAGAGGUUUGUAGGAUGAUACGUCUCCGUCGUAUCUACUUUUCCAAACUCUUUUGCCCUUGUUUUGGACUCUAACUUAAAUGAUUUGAAUCGAACUAACCCGGACUGACGCUGUUUUUAGCAGAAUUGCCAUGGUGUUAUUUUUGUGCAGAAAUAAAAGUUCUCGGAAUGACCUGAAAAUCAACAGAUAUUAUUUUUGGAAUAUAUAAAAAAUACUGGAAGAAGAAUCCAUGUCAGGGGGCCCACACCCUGUCCAUGAGGGUGGGGGCACGCUUACCCCCUAGGGCGCGCCCCCUGCCUUGUGGGCCCCCUGGCGCUCCACCGACCUGAACUCCAACUCCAUAUAUUCACUUUUGGGGAGAAAAAAAUCAGGGAGAAGGAAUCAUCGUGUUUUACGAUACGGAGCCGCCGCCAAGCCCUAAACUUUCUCGGGAGAGCUGAUCUGGAGUCCAUUCGGGGCUCCGGAGAGGGGAAUCCGUCGCCAUCAUCAUCAUCAACCUUCCUCCAUCACCAAUUUCAUGAUGCUCACUGCCAUGCAUGAGUAAUUCCAUCGUAGGCUUGCUGGACGGUGAUGGGUUGGAUGAGAUUUAUCAUGUAAUCGAGUUAGUUUUGUUAGGGUUUGAUCCCUAGUAUCCACUAUGUUCUGAGAUUGAUGUUGCUAUGACUUUGCUAUGCUUAAUGCUUGUCACUAGGGCCCGAGUGCCAUGAUUUCAUAUCUGAACCUAUUAUGUUUUCAUGAAUAUAUGUGAGUUCUUGAUCCGAUCUUGCAAGUCUAUAGUCACCUAAUAUGUGUUAUGAUCCGGUAACCCCAAAGUGACAAUAAUCGGGACCAUUACCAGUGAUGACCAUAGUUUGAGGAGUUCAUGUAUUCACUAUGUGUUAAUGCUUUGGUCCAGUACUCUAUUAAAAGAAGGCCUUAAUAUCCCUUAGUUUCCAAUAGGACCCCGCUGCCACGGGAGGGUAGGACAAAAAAUAUGUCAUGCAAGUUCUUUUCCAUAAGCACGUAUGACUAUAUUCAGAAUACAUGCCUACAUUACAUUGAUGAACUGGAGCUAGUUCUGUGUCACCCUAUGUUAUAACUAUUACAUGAUCGAUCGCAUCCGACAUAAUUCUCCAUCACCGAUCCAAUGCCUACGAGCUUUUCAUAUAUUGUUCUUCGCUUAUUUACUUUUCCGUUGCUAUUGUUACAAUCACUACAAAACCCAAAAAUAUUACUUUUGCUACUGUUACCAUUAUUAUCAUAAUACUUUGCUACUAAAUACCUUGCUGCAGAUAUUAAGUUUCCAGGUGUGGUUAAAUUGACAACUCAGCUGCUAAUACUUGAGAAUAAUCUUUGGCUCCCCUUGUGUCAAAUCAAUAGAUUUGGGUUGAAUACUCUACCCUCGAAAACUAUUGCGAUCCCCUAUACUUGUGGGUUAUCAAGACUAUUUUCUGGCACCGUUGUCGGGGAGCAUAGCUCUAUUCUUUGAGUCACUUGGGAUUUAUAUAUGCUUAUCACUAUGAAGAACUUGAAAGAUCAAAGAACCAAGAUUUUUCCCUCAACGACGAGGGGAGGUAAGGAACUGCCAUCUAGCUCUGCACUUGAUUCACCUUCUGUUUUGAGUAAACUUGCGACACCUACACAUGCUAUUGAUUCCGAUAGGUCGCAUGUUAUUGAUGAUGCCACUUAUGCUUUGCAUGAUACUUAUGAUAAAACUACUUCUAUGCUUGAUAAUAUUGUGCCACUAGGUGAAUUUCUUGAUGAAGAAACUUGCUAGGGCUAGAGAGAAUGAAAUUGUUGAAACUGAUAAUAUUGAUGAAAGUGAUGAUGAAGAUUCCCCCCUAGAUCUGAAUUUCCUGUUGUUCCUGAGGGUUAUGUUAUGGAUGAAAAAACUGCUAGAGACUUCUUAGCUUGCAAUGACAGAUCUGAUCUUAAGAAAUUAUUAGCUAAGCUUAAAGAAAAGUCUUUGAAUGCUAGAAAGAAAUAUGACCCUACUUUUGCUAAUUCACCUAUAUUUAUUACUGAUAAGGAUUAUGAUUUCUCUGUCGAUCCUAAGUUAAUUCCUUUGGUUGAAUCUGAUCCUUUCUAUGGCUAUGAAUCUGAAACUGUUGUGGCACAUCUUACUAAAUUAAAUGAUAUAGCCACCCUCUUUACACAUGAUGAGAAAACUCGCUAUUACUUUAUCCUUAAGUUGUUUCCGUUCUCAUUAAAGGGUGAUGCUAAAACAUGGUUUAACUCUCUUGAUCCUGGUUGUGUGCGUAGUCCCCAGGAUAUGAUUUAUUACUUCUCUGCUAAAUAUUCCCCGCUCAUAAGAAACAAGCUGCUUUAAGGGAAAUGUAUUAUUUUGUGCAAAUUGAAAAAGAGAGUCUCUCACAAGCUUGGGGGAGGCUUCUUCAAUUACUUAAUGCUUUGCCUGAUCAUCCUCUCAAGAAAAAUGAAAUACUUGAUAUCUUUUAUAAUGGACUAACCGAUGCUUCCACAGACCACCUGGAUAGUUGUGCUGGUUUUGUUUUCAGGGAAAGAACUGUUGAUCAAGCUGAAUUGUUAUUGAAUAAUAUGUUGAUUAAUGAAAAUAAUUGGACACUUGCUGAACCAACUCCUAAGCCAACUCCUAAAAAGGGGUAUUCUAUUUCUCAGUCCUGAAGAUAUGCAAGAGGCAAGGAAAUCAAUGAAAGAAAAAAGUAUUAAAACUGAAGAUGUUAAGAAUUUACCACCUAUUGAAGAAAUACAUGGUCUUAAUUUGCCGCCUGUUUAAGAAACACAUGGUCUUGAUAACCCGACACAGGUAGUAAAGGUAAAUUCUCUCUAUAGAUUACAUAAAUGUGAAAUCCCAUUUACUAAGUUUGCUAGCCCAUGCUUAGAUGAGUUUGAUGACUGAUACGUCUCCGUCGUAUCUACUUUUCCAAACACUUUUGCCCUUGUUUUGGACUCUAACUUGCAUGAUUUGAAUGGAACUAACCCAGACUGAUGCUGUUUUUACCAGAAUUGCGAUGGUGUUAUUUAUGUGCAGAAACAAAAGUUCUCGUAAUGACCUGAAACUCCACGGAGAUUAUUUUUGGAAAUAAUAAAAAAUACUGACAAAGAAUCAAGGCCAGGGGCCCCACACCCUAGCCACGAGGGUGGGGGGAGCGCCUGCCCCCCUGGGCACGCCCCUGCCUCAUGGGCCCCUGGAGCUCCACCGACCUCAACUCCAACUCCAUAUAUUCAUGUUCGGGGAGAACAAAAUAGGGGAGAGGGAUUCAUCGCGUUUUAUGAUACGGAGCCACCGCCACGCCCUAAACUCUCUUGGGAGGGCUGAUCUGGAGUCCGUUCGGGGCUCCAGAGAGGGGAAUUCAUCGCCGUCGUCAUCAUCAGCCUUCCUCCAUCACCAAUUUCAUGAUGCUCACCGCCGUGCGUGAGGAAUUCCAUCGUAGGCUUGAUGGACGGUGAUGGGUUGGAUGAGAUUUAUCAUGUAAUCGAGUUAGUUUUGUUAGGGUUUGAUCCCUAGUAUCCACUAUGUUCUGAGAUUGAUGUUGCUAUGACUUUGCUAUGCUUAAUGCUUGUCACUAGGGCCUGAGUGCCAUGAUUUCAGAUAUGAACCUAUUAUGUGUUCAUGAAUAUAUGUGAGUUCUUGAUCCUAUCUUGCAAGUCUAUAGUCACAUACUAUGUGUUAUGAUCCGGCAACCCCGAGGUGACAAUAAUCAGGACCAGUCCCGGUGAUGACCAUAGUUUGAGGAGUUCAUGUAUUCACCAUGUGUUAAUGCUUUGGUCCGGUACUCUAUUAAAAGGAGGCCUUAAUAUCCCUUAGUUUCCGCUAGGACCCCGCUGCCACGGGAGGGUAGGACCAAAGAUGUCAUGCAAGUUCUUUUCCAUAAGCAUGUAUGACUAUAUUCGGUAUACAUGCCUACAUUAUAUUGAUGAAUUGGAGCUAGUUCUGUGUCACCCUAUGUUGGGGAUAUUACUAUCAGUUUUGACCCUCCCAGGAGGGGCCGGGUCAGCCCCAAUGGCGGGUUACACAAGAAGCCCAGUAAAUAUUUAAGAUUAUAGUUUAUUAAGUUUUAUAGAAGGACCAAAGGCCUGAAGGCGGUUUAAGGUCCGAUAUUGUGAACCGCCGUAUGUAGGGAAAGACUUGUGAAGAAAGGCAUAUAAAGGAAGUCACGGAGCCAGACACGAUUAUGAGCCGGCCGGGACUCUGUAAGCCAGCAGGCGUCAACCCGUGUAUAUAAAGGGACGACCCGGUGGCGGCUUAGGUCAAGAAACAACAAGUCGAUAACCAAGCCAGCGAAUUGAGCCUCUUGGUGAUCAAAACCCCAGCAAUACUAAUCCCAACUAGACGUAGGCUUUUACCAUCAUUGUAAGGGGCCGAACUAGUAUAAAACUCUCUCGUGUCCUUUGUCACGAUUAACCCCUUUAAGCUUCCUAGUGCGAUGGCCCUACGACUAAGUCCUUGCUCUAGGACAUCUGGCGUGACAAUUCCACAACAGUUGGCGCCCACCAUGGGGCCAGCGCAUGGUGGAUUUGAGUUCUUGAAGGGCAACUUCGAAGGGCUCAAGGCAUACGCUGUGGGCUGGAUGACCAAGAGUCGUCGCGGCAAGCUCUACAUCGACGACGAAGGCUGGGGCCCCGAGGCCGGUUCAAUUGAGUAUGGAUACCGAGUCCCCUUCAGCGGAAUUCACGUCUUCAUAGGCCGGAUCGGCGAGUCAGGACCUGAGCCGGACGUCCACACCAACCUCAUCGAAACGGCUUAGCGCACCAGGACCGCCUGUGUUCAAUCUGCUGUGAAGCAUGCCUUCGUGGGCUGCAUCCACGGCGGUGAAUAUUGUGAAGGAUCGGUGGAGGGCGGUGAGACGGCCGUCUGUUCUAACAUUGCAUCAUCAACUGGCGAGACAGACUCUUUGUACCAGCUGCAGGACAGCAUGCUCGGGGGCUGUUCCGAUGGCAGCUGUAUUCCGGACCCUCUUGAGCCGCCGAAUUAGGUUGGAGUCUUCAUGGCAGGGCCGCAGCCCGGGCAGAAUUCUACAGCAGCAGUGGCGACAUCUACCAGGUCGGCUGCAACCGGGUCAGGAGACCCUGCGCGCCCACCGACUCAGAUCUUGAUGGACCUCAUGGAUAAGCUGACGACUUUGUUGACUGCCAUGGUAGAGCCGGCGGAUAAAGCCCAGCAUGACGCAGAGGUGGCACGCGUACGUGAAGAGAUGGUGCAAGCUAAGGAAAAUCUAGCCACAGAGGAAGUCAGGAUGGCAGCAGAGCGGGCGGCUUUGGACGCUCGUGCUCAACAGCUUCAAGCGGAGACCUUUCAGCUCUCGGUGGAUCUAAACGCAUCAUAUGAGGUCAUGAGGAGGAUGCAUCAGAAAACCCAAUCACGUCUGCCUCUGACGCUCGAUCCUAGGAAUCUUUUCACACACCCGGGGCCGGGGGAAGUGACCAGCCGGAGGCACCCCGAAUUACAACACCCGGCGCACUGGUCCAGCAGCACGCCAUGAAUCCACCUCGCAUAAAUACCUCUCCACCUCAUUAUGUCCCAACGCCGCCGAGUCACUUCUCCAACCCUUUGGAAAACCUCAUUGCAGCAUCGGCUUGUUUGGCGGCUCUUCCAAUGGAAGGUGACUCGUCGACGGCAAUUGAAACACGGAGGGUAAGAGAACUUCUUCAAACAGCUCUGGCGCAGCAGGAUGCAUACUUCUACAGUCGAGACAGGAUUCACUCAACUCCUCGCCCAAGCCGGAGCCCGAGUUACAGUAGGCAUAUGGAAUCCGCAGAAAUGUCAAGCAAUGCUCAACGCCACAACCGGCCAUACAGGCAUGAGCCGGUGCGGGCUGGAGCCCUUCACUUGGCGGAUCAGGAGAGGAUUCGUCAAGAGGCGGAACGAGCGGCUCAAAUGGCAGCAGAUCAGGCGGCUCAUCAAACUUUUCCGGCUUAUCCAGCAACCUCGGUCGAGGCAGGAGUGGCCACAAGAACCGGAGGCGAUCCUUGCUUGGUGCCGGCCAUACGUAAUGAGUGUUUACCAAAGGAUUUUAAGGGGCCUCGUAUGGUGCCUAAUUACAAAGCUGACUUAUAGCCUGGGGCUUGGAUUGAGAGUUACGAGAUGGCUAUGGAGUUAUUGGAGGUCAGUGAUGCUGCAAUGGCCAAGUAUUUCACUAUGAUGUUAGAUGGAACAACUCGUACUUGGUUGAAGGGAUUGCCACCCAAUUCUAUCGGCUCAUGGGUGGAGUUGAAGGCUCGGUUCAUCCAGAACUUUAAGGACACGUGUAAGCAGCCUAUGUUGAUUGUGGACCUAACCAAUUGCAAGCAAGAGAUGGUGAAUCCACAACCCAUUGGGUGCGCCGGGUCAAGGAGAUCAUACAUUCAUCUGAUAAGAUGGAUGCCGGCUCAGCAGUCUUGAUGUUGGAGAAAAAUUGUCGUUUUGAACCUCCGAAGCAGAAGCUGGGGCGGCUCAAGCGUGACUGUAAUGACAUGGGAACAUUGAUGGCGGCUCUCGUCAAGUACGCUGAUUCUGAUACUACCAAGGACCCGGUGUCUGACGAAGAAAAGACAACGAAGGGAAAGAAAAACGGCAACGGCAAGGGUCACCAGCAUAACCCGACAAAUCAGGGAGGUAAUAAAUGUAAGGCUGAUGAGUUUGUUGCUAACACCAAUGCACAGGGCGGUAUUCAACGGUGCAAGGGCAGACAGCCCCUUCGGUCGGGCGGGUCAGGUCCCACCCUUGAGCAGUUAUUGAAUGAACCCUGUCCAAAGCAUGACACCCGGGAGAAGCCAGCUACCCACUUGUGGAAAGAUUGUAUGAUCAUGAAGGCGUUUAAAAAUUCAAACGCGUUUGAUGGAGGUCACGGCCCAAGUGGCGGUUCAGGAGGAGGCGGUUUUCAUGGCCUGGGCGCCGGUUUAGGUGGAGGAGGUUUUCACGGUCAGGGCCAUCCUGGUAACCAAGGAGGAUAUAAUCAACAACCCGGCCAAGGUAAUCAGCAGCAACAAUCCGGUUAUUAGAGCAACCCAAAACAGCUGAGUAGUGGGCAAUACCAUGUAUUUACCACUAGUUUAUGUAAGAGGGACCAGAAGCUCCACAAGAGGGUGAUUCCAUGUUAUCUAUGUUGGUCAGAGCAGCCUAUUGUGUGGAGCAGAGAGGAUCACCCGCCCCGGGUUGAUAAUCUGGGUCACUUGGCCUUGGUAGUGGCACCUCAGGUUGGUGGAUACAAAUUCACUAAGGUACUCAUGGAUGGAGGCAGCAGCAUCAACAUCCUCUACUAUGAGACGUUCUGCCGGAUGGGGUUGACUGAUAAAAAUCUUAAACAAUCCAACACUGUUUUUCACGGUGUGGUACCUGGUAAAUCGGCAUACCCAGUUGGUAAGAUUGAGCUGGAACUAGCCUUUGGGGAUGAGUAUGACUCCAGAGCAGAAAAAUUAACCUUUGAGGUGGUUAAAAUCAAAAGCCCAUAUCAUGCUCUGUUUGGGCGGCCGGCUUAUGCCAAGUUCAUGGCUCGGUCGUGUUAUGUGUAUUUACAGCUCAAGAUGCCGGGUCAUAAGGGCACCAUUACAGUACAUGGGAGCCGGAAGAUAGCCUUGGAGUGUGAGGAAGGUGAUGCCGCCUAUGCUGAAUCUGUUUGUGCAACAGAGGAGUUAAAGUUUUAUAAUGAUCAUGUUGACCCGGCAGACAUGACAUCAUUAAAGAAACCAACAACAGAGCAUGAGCCGGUGUUGAAAUUCAAAUCAGCUGAUGACACCAAGAUGGUUGACUUUGUGCCUGGCGACUCACCCAAGCAGUUCAUCAUCAGUGCAAACUUGGAUCCGAAAUAGGAAGGCGCGCUCAUCGAGUUCAUCCGUGAGAACCGGGACAUCUUUGCAUGGAAACCUUCAGACAUGCCGGGUGUCCCGAGGGAACUCGCUGUGCACACUCUUAAUAUUGAUCCAAAAUUCAAACCUGCCUGAUAGUUUCUCUGACAGUUCAAUGAAGAAAGGCGCAAGGCUAUUGGAGAAGAGGUGGCCCGGCUCUUGGUGGCCGGGUUCAUUGUAGAGGUCUUUCACCCAGAGUGGUUAGCUAACCCGGUGCUUGUACUUAAAAAGAAUGGCACCUGGCGGAUGUGUGUAGAUUACACUGAUCUGAACAAGGCUUGUCCGGCUGAUCCUUUUGCUCUCCCCCGUAUUGAUCAGAUCAUUGAUGCUACGGCGGGUUGCACACGUUUGAGUUUCUUGGAUGCUUAUUCCGGUUAUCAUCAGAUCAAGAUGGUGGUCAAGGAUCAGGAGAAUACAUCUUUUAUUACUCCUUUUGGAGCUUUCUGCUAUGUGUCUAUGCCUUUUGGGCUUAAGAGUGCCCAGGAGACUUACCAACGGUGUGUGCAAAAUUGUCUUCACAAUCAAAUUGGGCGUAAUGUUCAUGCUUAUGUGGAUGAUAAAGUGGUAAAAUCCAAGAAAGAGGAAACCUUGGUCACAGAUGUGGAAGAGACUUUCGAUAAUCUCCGGAUCUACAAAAUGAUGCUUAACCUGCCCAAGUGUGUUUUUGGAGUCCCAGACGGCAAGCUCUUGGGUUUUUUUGGUGUCUAACCGAGGUAUUGAUGCUAACCCGGAGAAAAUCAAGGCAAUUACAUCCCUGGCUAGACCAACAUGCAUCAAUGACGUUCAACGGCUAGCGGGCCGUGUUGCUGCUUUGAGCCGGUUCAUAAGCCGGUUAGGGGAGAAGGCAACGCCUCUGUAUCAGAUGAUGAAGAAAACAGAUGAUUUUGUUUGGAGUGAUGCUGCGAACUCUGCUUUUGAAGAUCUGAAGACACAGCUUGCUGAGCCACCGGUCCUGGCUGCUCCAAUUGAGAAAGAGCCGCUGCUGUUAUACAUAGCCGCCAACUCACGAGCUGUUAGUGUGGCUAUUGUGGUGGAGCGCAAGGAGACUGGCAAGGAGCAUCUGGUUCAACGGCCGGUCUAUUACGUCAGUGAGGUGCUAAUUGAAUCCAAGCAACGGUAUCCACAUUGGCAGAAGCUUGUAUAUGGGGUGUUCAUGGCAAGCUGGAAGCUUAAGCACUAUUUCCAGGGACAUCCAAUCACCAUGGUUAGCUCUGCUCCUUUGGGAGACAUCAUUCAAAACAGAGAAGCCACUGGGCAAGUCACCAAGUGGGCAAUUGAGCUUGGGUCUCAUGGGUUGAAGUAUGUGCCACGUACUGCGAUCAAAUGUCAAGCAUUGGUUGACUUCAUUAAUGACUGGACAGAGAUGCAGAUGCCAGAAGAGAAACCAGACAACAAGUAUUGGACUAUUCAUGUUGAUGGGUCCAGACAGUUGGAAGGCUUGAUGGCUGGAGUUGUGUUAACCUCUCCGCGAGGUGACAAAUUUGUUAUGUGUUAUGAUUGAUGUUUCCUUGCACUAACAAUGCAGCAGAGUAUGAAGCCUUGCUCCAUGGUCUUCGAGUAGCAAAAGAGAUGAGUUUGAGCGGGGUCAGAUGUCUUGGCGACUCAGAUCUAGUGGCUCAAUAGGUAUCGGGCAAGUGGGAUUCCAAGUUCCCUCUCAUGACGGCUUAUCGUCGGGAGGUUGAUGCUGUUGCAGGGCACUUUAAAGGCUAUCAAGUGGAGCACAUUGACCGUUGAAAGAACGAAGCGGCUGAUGCCUUAAGCCGGUACCGCCUAACACCUUUUUGGAUGUUUUGCAUAACCUGUCAGGACCCCGAUUCCAAGUCACAUCGAUCUAGCCGGUAACACCUCAUAUCACUUUGCGGCCUCACGCACGGUAUCCCACGGGUGUCGCCUUACCAUGGCCCGGGACCGUUUGCGCCUUUUGGCUCACAUAUAUGAUAGUGUCGCUAGCAUCCAUAUAACAGAGAACCCAGGCCGACAUGGCUAGUCGUGAACCCAAAGUGGCACAGACCUAUGGAGACAGGCAUACAUGAAUCACAUCGAACAUGUCGGUCAUCAACGAGUGAUUCCGGGCUGUAGCACUGGGCUAACAGGACUCCGGGGAACCCCGGGCUGUAGCAGGCUAGGCAGGACUCCGGAAGUCACCAUGUGACAUUUCCCCGAAGGGACAGACAUAGGGACGAAGUGAAACACGUGCCGGCCAGUCAAGUGUCCUGAACAGUAGUGCUGGGCUAGCAGGACUCUGGUGAACCGGGCUGUAGCGGACUACUAUGGCUCGAGGAACACUAGACUACAUUUCCCCAUAAGAAAGGCUGCCAAGGAUAAACAACUAGAUUGUCGGAUCCCACUCAUACCAAGCAUUUCAAUCAUACACACAAUAUGCCUGAUAUGAGUACAUACAACAUGGCAUCACAACAAAACUCUACAACUCAAGUACUUUAUUUAAAGGCUCCAGAGAGCCAUACAUAACAUGUUCAUACAGAUAGGGGUCACAUGACCCGACACUCAAGUCAUACAAACAUACAAGCACAUGCGGAAGCAACUAGUCUGAGUACAGACUCUAGAAAGAAAGAAGGCUUCUCGAAGCCUGUCUAUCUACAUAGGGCCCUCCAUGGCCAGGAUCACCACCUGGGUGGCUAGUCACUCGUCGACGUCAAGGUCUACAUAAAACCCAUCGGAGGGGGCAGUGUUGUCGUCUGAAAACAAUAAAUAAGCAAACAUGAGUACAAAGGUACUCAGCAAGUCUUACAUCAGAACCUACUAUACAUGCUUAUUCUCAAGAAGGCGGUGGGGUUGAUGCAGCAAUCCAGCUUUGACUCUUGGCUAAGCUAUCCUACGGAACUCCACCAGUAAAAUAGUUUUCGCACACGAGUCCACUACUCACCAACACAAUACUCCACCGGGGAUCCUCCCUCGUCAUCCUACGAGAGGGCCAUCCUCGGUACUCACACUUAUCUUGAGUCUUUUAGUAGUAUCCAUUAACUUGUCUAUGAAAUGUAUAGGCAACCAAGUAGUCCUUUACCGCGGACGCGGCUAUUCGAAUAGUUUAUACCCUGCAGGGGUGUACUUCGUCAUACACGCUUUCACCACUUACCGCCGUUUACACGACAUGUACUCGGCAACCUUCAAGCGGAAGCCCAGCGAGGGUGUCGGCCACGGCCUACCUAAACACUUAAGUCUCUAGUCCAGGUUUAUCGCCUAUCCAGGUUCCAUCCGCAAGGAGUCCGGACGAGGUUUCCACAUACGACCCCGAACGAUGUGAACAGGGUUCCCGAGACACCAAACGGGUGACUCGAUACACCGUGCCACGGUGUAUCUACCGCAACAUAGCCCACCCCUAGGGUCAGCGCUACGCACGGCCGCCAACACAUAACCUACAAACACCAGAUACUAAUUUCAACUCGUGGAUAGAGUACUAGGGUGAUUAAGAAGCCGAGAGGGUCCAUUGGUUUCGGGCCCAAUGUACGGUAGUAACUGCAUCUUAAAUCACACAUAUAGAUCUCAGUUCUUAUGGACGGCCUCAAUGAAGCAACCCACCAUGUACUCCUACAUGGCCUCUCAUCGAUACCUUUACCAAAACAUGUUCAAUACAUCCCUCAUAUUACCGACAUAAGCAUUUCACUCUAGCUCAUCACCCAGAUGAACCAGACCUGACUCAACUCUAAGCAUAGCGGGCAUAGCAAGGUAGGAAUCACAUACAUGGCUCAAUCAACUCUUACACAUGCUAGUGGGUUUCAUCUAGUUACUGUGGCAAUGACAGGUCAUGCAGAGGAUAAGGGUUCAACUAUCGUAGCACAAAGCAGUUUGAAUCACGAUGUCUUAAUGCAGUAAACAAGAGCAGGAGCGAGAACAUGGGUUGUAUCGGAAUGAUCAAUGGUUGCUUGCCUGAUGGAGUGGUAACGGGAUACUGCCCUUCAGUUGGAUACUCGUGAAUAUCCUCGGAGGCAGAACCUACCACGAAGAACACAUCGGAACACAAUCAACACAUGACGAUAUGCAACAAUAUGAUGCAUGCUAUGACAUGGCAAUAUGAUUGUGUCUUGGCCUAAUGCAAGCUAAAAUAGGAAGGGAUGAACCCAUUUGAAUCAAAGAUUCAAAUAUUAGCUCAUUAAACAUGGCAUUUAUAGUGCAUUUCCUUAUUCUGCUUAAACAGCAAGGUAAACUUGUUUUGUCAUGCAUGAAACCAUUACAGAUGGAUAGAUUGAUUUUUUCUGAUAAUUUUUCAUAUAUAAUUUAUCUCAUUUGGAUCUAUGGUUGAAUUUCUAUGAAUUUUUGAAGUUUGAACUAUUUUCUGGAAUUUCCUGAAUAAGAAUAAAUCUAGAAAAUCAAUUACUGCAUCAGCAAUGCAUCAGGGUGACGUCAGCAGGUCAAAGGCGCCAGUCCAGGUCAAACCUGACUGGUGGGGUCCACUGGUCAGUGUCUCUGUGCACUAACUACGUUUAGUUAGCCUAAUUGACUGGCAGGGCCCACUAGUCAGUGACUAUACUAAUUAACUAACCUAUUUAGUUAGCACUAACAGAGUAAUUAGUCGGGCGGGGCCCGCAUGUCGGUGAGAGAGAGGGGGGAGGUCAACCCACGUCAGUAGGUCAACCUCGCCGGUUAGCGGGCCAAAACCUGCCGGCGUUUAGCCGCCGACGAGGCUAGUCGCGGUGGCGCGCUGCGGAAAUCGCCCACAGGGCACCAAUUGAUGCGCGGAGAGUAGCUACGGGUAGCUGGGAACGAACCGCGGCGUUUGGUGGUGGUGGUUGGGCUCGGGGUGGCCGGAAACGUCGCCGGCGAUGAGCCUUGCGGUCGCCGGAGUCGGGCGAAAGUGAGCCCGAGGCUACGGGGCACGGCGAAGCGUGUAGUGAGGUGCAUUGUGCCCGUAGGGAUGCAGUGAAGGAGUUAGACUAGGUGGCGUGGCCGGUGUUUGGCCAGAGACACGUCGGCGACGAGCUCCACGGCGGCGCGUGCGGGUGAUCUUCGUGUGCUCGUUGUGGUGCACGAGAAGAAGAAUGGGGAGGAUGGGGAGGUGCAGCAGCUCACGGCGAUCAUGUAGAGCCAGACGGCGCGGUCGGGGAUGUGUCGAUGCGGCGGCGACGUCGAAAGGGAUCUCCGGCGAUGCUCGAUGAAGAUGAGGUCGAAGAAGACGUUGCAGAGCGUGUGAGCGCUCGGGGCUCAGCUGCUCGACGGAGUCGACGAUGGCGGAGAGGAUGGACACGGUGGUGCAACACGGGGACGACGGUGGACGCGGUUUCACGGUGGCGCGAGCACGGCAGCGUCGGCCAUGGCGGAGGAAGAGCGAUGGAGAGGGACUAGGGGGAAAGUGCGGUGUCUGCGAGGUCGGGGGAUGCAAGGGAGUAGCGGCGAGGCGGCGGCAGCUGCGUGGCGUGCAUGCGGUGCUCGCCGUCGAGCACCUGCCUGCUUGGCCAAGCCAAGCUGCUCGCUGGCGGGGUGGCUGGGCUGGGCCGGCAGGUGGGCCUGGUAGGUGGCGCCAGGUAAGUUUUUCUGUUUUUUUGUUUUCUUUUCUAUUUUUUUCUGUAGCUUUAGGGCUUUAUUUAAAAUACCUAGGCACUUUCUAAAAUCCUGAAAAUAAUUGUGGGCUCUGUUGGGAUUAUUCCUAACAGCCCUGACUUAAUUCCAGAAUUAUUUGAACAUUUAAAAUAUUUAUUAGCAUUUAAAUGUCCAAAGGCAACAUACAUAUGAUUUAAUCCAGUGACCUUUUGUUGACCUAGAAAAUUGUGCACCUAUUUUGCCAGAGGUUCUAACCCAAGGCAAAGAGGGUGAACAUUUUAGAAGGGCAUUUCAGGUUCGUUGAAAUUAUUUUUAGUAAACCCUAGUUGAUUUCAAGAGGGGUGCUGGGGGUUCUGCCUUCCCCAUUUCAAGUUUCUGAUGAAAAAUAAACAUGAUGCACACUCUAAUGCAUGGACUAGCUAGGGUGUGACAACUCACCCCCACUCAAAAGAAUCUCGUCCCGAGAUUUAGGAUCCUCUGGGAAGAAGGUGGGGUACUCGAGUCGAAGACGAUCCUCCCUUUCCCAAGUGGCUUCUUCCUCGGAAUGAUGUGACCAUUGAACCUUGAGAAACUUGAUAUUAUGACGUCGAGUGGUACGCUCGGCUUGAUCAAGGAUACGAACGGGAUAUUCCCGAUAAGAGAGGUUAUCUUGUAGAUCAAGCGUUUCGUGGUCCACUCCAUGGAUAGGAUCCGCAAAGCAACGCCUGAGUUGUGAAACGUGGAAGACAUCAUGAACUCUGGAAAGAUGCGGGGGUAGUUCCAAUUGGUAGGCAACUUCUCCUCGUUUAGCAAGAAUGCGAAAGGGUCCAAUGUAAUGAGGAGCCAAUUUGCCUUUGAUACCGAAACGAUGGGUUCCCUUUAACGGGGUAACCCGAAGGUAAGCCUUCUUGUUGACUUCAUAAGUCAUAGGCUUAUGUUUACGAUCAUAUUGACUCUUUUGACGAGAUUGGGCUGUUUUCAGUUUCUCACGAAUAAUGCGAACCUGCUCUUCUGCUUCCUGAAUCAUAUCUGGGCCAAAGAGUUGUCUUUCCCCGGUUUCUGACCAGUUAAGAGGCGUUCGGCAUUUUCGUCCAUAAAGAACUUCGAAAGGAGCUUUGCCCAAGCUAGCUUGAUAACUAUUGUUGUAAGCAAACUCCGCGAAUGGAAGGCAUUUCUCCCAACUCAUUCCGAACGAGAUAACAGAAGCUCGGAGCAUAUGUUCCAGAAUUUGAUUGACUCACUCUACUCGACCACUUGAUUGGGGAUGGAAGGCGGUACUAAAGGAGAGACGAGUUCCCAUAGCAUUUUGGAAACUUUCCCAAAAUCGAGAGGUGAAGAGACUCCCACGGUCUGAGUUAAUUUCCAAUGGAACACCAUGAAGAGACACUAUUCGGGAGAUGUAUAACUCAGCUAGCUGGCUAGCGGUGAUACUCUCACAAACAGGUAGAAAGUGGGCUACUUUGGAAAGUCGGUCGAUCACAACGAAGAUGGAAUUAUUCCCUCUCUUGGUCCUGGGAAACCCAGUGAUGAAAUCCAUACUGAUUUUAUCCCAUUUCCAUUCAGGAAUAGCCAAAGGUUGAAGGGUGCCAGCAGGCCGUUGAUGCUCUGCUUUAACACGACGACAAACGUCGCAAUUAGUAAUGUAUUGAGCGAUUUCUCUCUUCAUCCUAGUCCACGAAAACCUCUGGCGUAGGUCUUGAUACAUUUUGGUACUACCGGGAUGAAUGGUGAGAGGGGAUUCAUGAGCUUCCUUAAGGAUUAGUCGGCUCAGGUUUCGCGCCUUUGGAACCACUAGGCGAUUCCCAAAGUAUAUGACACCUUGAUCAUCAAUGGAGAAACAAUUCGCGACUCCUUUCUUAAUGUUUCUCUUAAUACGGGAGAUUCCCGGAUCUACCUUCUGUGCCUUGAUGAUAUGAUCUGUAAGGGUAGGUUCCGCCACCAGGGUGGAUAGGAAUCCUUGAGGAACAAUGUGAAGGUUUAGCUUACGAAAUUCCUCAUGGAGAAGUGGUUGACUUUGUUGUAACAUCAGGUUGUUACAAUAGGACUUACGGCUUAGCGCAUCAGCCAUGACAUUGGCUUUGCCCGGGGUGUAAGUUAUUCCUAAGUCGUAGCCGAGAUCAACUCGACCCAACGUCAUUGCCUGAGAUUCAAAUCUGGUUGGGUGAAGAUAUAUUUCAAACUUUGGUGAUCGGUGAAGAUCUCGCAAUGAUUACCGAGAAGGUAAUGUCGCCAAGUUUUAAGUGCAUGGACUACAGCUGCAAGCUCUAGAUCAUGUGUAGGAUAAUUUUCCUCAUGUGGGUGUAAUUGCUGUGAAGCAUAGGCAAUUACCUGACGAUCUUGCAUGAGUAUGCAACCUAGUCCUUGUCGCGAGGCGUCGCAAUAGAUAAUAAAGUCCUUGGAGAAGUCUGGUGGUACCAGUACGGGGGCAUAUGUCAGGUGUCUUUUUAGUUCAUGAAAACUGAUCUUGCAUUGUGGAGUCCACUCGAACUUUUUAUCUUUCUUGAGGAGUUCAGUUAGAGGUUUAGCAACCUUGGAGAAAUUUUCGACGAAGCGGCGGCAAUAGCUCGCUAAGCCAAGGAAGCUCCGAACUUGCUUGACCGUCUCAGGUGGAGUCCAAUCAAGGACGGCUUGAACUCGCUCGGGAUUGAUAGCAAUACCCUUACCAGAGAUUACAUGGCCUAGAUAGGUCACUUCUGGCAACCAAAAUUCACACUUGGAGAAUUUGGCAUAAAGGCGAUGCUCUCGAAGUUUCAUCAAUACCAGCCUUAGAUGUACGGCAUGUUCCUCUUCAUUCUUGGAGUAGAUGAGUAUGUCAUCGAGGUAUACUACGACGAAUUUAUCCAAGUACUCCAUGAAGACCGAGUUCAUUAACCGAGAGAAGGUAGCCGGGGCAUUGGUUAAACCGAAGGACAUGACGGUGUACUCGUAUUGGCCAUAACGAGUAACAAAGGCCGUUUUGGGAAUGUCCCCGUUUCUGAUUUUGAUUUGAUGGUAACCCAACCUCAAAUCCAUCUUGGAGAAGACUGAGGAUCCAGCGAGCUGAUCAUACAGAUUGUUGAUCCUGGGAAGCGGAUAUUUGUUCUUGAUGGUGACCAAGUUGACAGGUCGGUAAUCCACAACCAUUCGAUCCGUUCCAUCCUUCUUCUUAACGAAGAGGACGGGGCAAGCCCAAGGAGAGGAACUAGGAUGGAUGAAACCCUUGUUCAAGGACUCAUCGAGUUGGUUCUUAAGCUCGGCUAGUUCUAGGGGUGCCAUCUUGUAAGGUCUUCUAGAAAUUGGAACGGUUCCUGGAACAAGGUCUAUCACAAACUCGACAUCCCUGUCAGGUGGAACACCUGGCAGUUCUUCUGGAAAGACAUCCGGAAGGUCUCGGACUACCGGAACAUCUUCAAGGUCUGGAAGAGGGUUGGCAUUUAGGGAGUAAAGUUGGCGCUUGGCCACUCGAGUUAAGACAUUAACUGUCUUGCCCGAGGGGUGGGUAAGUUGAACGGUUCUAGUGGCACAAUCGAUCUUAGCAUAAUGAGCUGACAUCCAGUCCAUACCCAAGAUGAUAUUUAUGUCGGAGGACUUGAGAACUAUUAAGGAUGCAAGGAAGACAAGUCUAUCGACAAGAAUUUCGUUCCCAUGGCUUACUCUAGAAGUUUGCCAUUUGGAACCCGGAGUUUGAAUUACCAUGGAAGUGGGCAUGUCGCAGAAUGUCGUGUUAUGCAAUCGAGCAUAGUUCUCGGAUAUGAAUGAAUGAGAUGCUCCAGUAUCGAAAAGAACAGAUGCCGGAUGGCAGUUAACAAGGAGCAUACCAAGGACGACGUUAGGAUCCUCAUGAGCCUCCUCGGCUAAAACAUAAUUGACAUGGCCACGUGCAGUGGUGGCCGGCUUGGCGUAGAAAGUCUUCCCUGUUGGCUUACCACGGCCAAUGGACUUUCCAGUUUGAUUGGGGUUGUUGUUCUGGGGACACUCUCGACUAUAGUGACCCGGCUCUCCACACUUGAAGCAUGUCACCACAUUGGGGCGUGGAGCAGCAUUAGCAGCAAGGCCACCAUAGGGCUUGGGCAGUGCAAAUUGUUGGUUGGGACGAGGCGCCUCAAAGGAUGGCCUCGGAAUGAACCUGGGUGGCAGUGCCGCGCUUGGAAUCCACACCCAGCGCUUCUGAGCCCCAGAGCCGGAUGAAGAGCCAAAAUCACGGGAGUGCUUGCGUGAAGCGUCAUAAUCAGUCUGGCCUGUCUCAGCACCGAUGGCUUUAUUGUCCAACUUCUGAAAGGAUGUGCACUCGUGCAGACGGAGAUCGCGGCGAAGCUCAGGGCUAAGUCCCUUGCGGAACCUUGCCUACUUCUUAGCGUCAAUAGAUACCUCUUCAGGAGCAUAACGUGCCAGAUUCCCAAAUUCACGACUGUAAGCAUCCACAGUCAGUCUUCCUUGGGUGAAGUUGCAGAACUCCUCCCUCUUGCGAUCCAUGAGACCUUCCGGAAUGUGAUGCUCAUGGAAAGCCUCACUGAAUUCAUCCCAAGUAGUGAUUUGACCGACCGGGCGCAUAGCUUCGAAGUUUUCCCACCAAAGGCUAGCAGGGCCUUCGAGGUGAUAGGCAGCAUAAGUAACCUUGUCGGCUUCGGCUACGUUGGCAGAACGUAGCUUGUGGGUGAUGCUGCGAAGCCAGUCAUCCGCGUCGAGGGGCUCGACGGAAUGGUUGAACUUUGGUGGGUACAGCUUGAUAAAGUCAUUGAUUGACACCAAGUCAUUUCGCGGGUGGCGUGCAGUGUUCUGCUCAAUCCGCUCCAGCAGGCGGUUAGUCUCACACUUGUUUCUUUCCGCCUCUAGCAUCACUUCGGCCAGAGAAUGCGGGUGAGGCAGAUUUUCACCUCUAGCUGCACUGGCUUCCCCCUGCUCCGGGAUAGCAGGGUUGCCGCGGGUGUUGACCAUCCUAGGAGAAAACAAGACAACGGUUUAGACAAGGAUGGCUCAAACAUAGCAAGGAAGUGCAGAAUGUAAUGGAUAACACGGAAUGCAGAGAUGUUCAUCCGUAUGUCAUGGUAAUAUAAAACUACCAUAUAUAUACCAACGGUCAUACACAUCAUACAUAGUUUAGUACAAGCCCAGGCUACAGUACAACUAUGAUGAAAGACGUUAAAUCUCAUCGGAGGCAUUCCAAGCUCCUAUACAUUAUUUGUCUACACCUCCGGAAUCGAUUACACGCCAAGUCAUAUUCCACAAGUCACGCAGGACAGUGGAGAUACAACUACUACAAUACUAGUGGUAUUACUACUAACUCAGACAGCUCCGUAGUAGUCCUCAUAGAAGUCACCUCCAUAGCCUGGAAGUUCAACGUGACCAUCCGGAAACAGACGGUCCUGAGGAGCCUGUGGACCAUAGGGGCUAGGAUGAGGUCUUGGACCAACAAACGAUGGCCUGCGGGGACCACAGGGUGGGGUGAUGCCUCCCACAUCACGCCAAUCCACCAUGUCUGGCAGAGCUGAUCUCACAGGAUACAGAUCCCUUGUAUCCAUACAUCCAUCUUGCACCGCAGGUGCAAACCGAGUCAAUGUGGCCCAAUGAUCAGCACGGGUAUUGAAAAGCUCCAACCUCAAGACCCGAUUCUCUCGGUCCUUAUCUUCGAGCAUCUCGGCAGUGGUACGAGUUAAUGAGUCCUCCUGAGUGGAGUAAGCAUAGAUGGCCUGAAGAUACCCUUGCGCUCCCGGAAGUGAAGCUGGCAUGUAAUGAAAGUCGGUGUUCUGAAGCAGGCCAGUCCGGACUCGCGUGAUGGUCAUCAUGGAAUAGGCAGCAUCCUGCACAGCCAUCUCAACGGUAACCCCGAGUCCAUAGGAACAGUGAAGGGGCUCGGUAGAUCCAGGAUAAGAAGGAAAUAUCCUGACGGUGCAGAACUACUGGCUUUGGUUAAAGUCGCGGAACUGCUCUUCGACAGUGUAUUCGGGAUACCAACGGUAACCUGUCUCGAUCAUGACCCGGACUAACAUAGCAGUAUGGCCGGGCACGUCGAGGCACCUGGUCAGGCGAACCACUUGGUUUUGAGGACGGUUGGCCAUCUGAAAGCACAACCACAAUGCAAAGACAUUAGAAUUUCUAGGGAAAAUUGGAUAGCAUAACGGCUGUAAAUGCUCAGAAAAAGAUUUGAGACAUCCACAACAGUUCACAAUACCACUCAACAACAUCAUAUCAAGGUUCUGAUUCAAUUAGCAACAUAAUAAGAAUAGUAGAAACUGAACUGGGACUUGUAACAACAAUCCUAUAAGCUACUACGGAUUAGUAACACGUGAACCUGAUAGAGGAAGAGAGCCUAGUCCUUAACCCACGUUGAAUGAGGAUCAGAGGCAUAGGUAAAGGAGUAAAAGAACCUUACGUUCCCUCCCACAAUCAAUUCCCCUAAAUAUAACUAGAGCAUUUCUAGACUCGAUAUCGACCAGUUUGGCUCAACGAACCUACAGGCAGUCCGGCUCUGAUGCCAACGCUGUCAGGACCCCGAUUCCAAGUCACAUCGAUCUAGCCGGUAACACCUCAUAUCACUUUGCGGCCUCAAGCACGGUAUCCCACGGGUGUCGCCUUACCAUGGCCCGGGACCGUUUGUGCCUUUUGGCUCACGUAUAUGAUAGUGUCGCUAGCAUCCAUAUGACAGAGAACCCGGGCCAACAUGGCUAGUCGUGAACCCAAAGCGGCACAGACCUAUGGAGACAGGCAUACAUGAAUCACAUCGAACAUGUCGGUCAUCAACAAGUGAUUCCGGGCUGUAGCACUGGGCUAACAGGACUCUGGGGAACCCCGGGCUGUAGCAGGCUAGGCAGGACUCCGGAAGUCACCGUGUGACAUUUCCCCGAAGGGACAGACAUAGGGACGAAGUGGAACACAUGCUGGCCAGUCAAGUGUCCUGAACAGUAGUGCUGGGCUAGCAGGACUCCGGUGAACCGGGCUGUAGCGGACUACAAUGGCUCGAGGAACACUAGACUACAUUUCCCCAUAAGAAAGGCUGCCAAGGAUAAACAAUUAGAUUGUCGGAUCCCACUCAUACCAAGCAUUUCAAUCAUACACACAAUAUGCCCGAUAUGAGUACAUACAACAUGGCAUCACAACAAAACUCUACAACUCAAGUACUUUAUUUAAAGGCUCCAGAGAGCCAUACAUAACAUGUUCAUACAGAUAGGGGUCACAUGACCCGACACUCAAGUCAUACAAACAUACAAGCACAUGCGGAAGCAACUAGUCUGAGUACAGACUCUAGAAAGAAAGAAGGCUUCUCGAAGCCUGUCUAUCUACAUAGGGCCCUCCAUGGCCAGGAUCACCACCUGGGUGGCUAGUCACUCGUCGACGUCAAGGUCUACAUAAAACCCAUCGGAGGGGGCAGUGUUGUCGUCUGAAAACAAUAAAUAAGCAAACAUGAGUACAAAGGUACUCAGCAAGUCUUACAUCAGAACCUACUAUACAUGCUUAUUCUCAAGAAGGCGGUGGGGUUGAUGCAGCAAGCCAGCUUUGACUCUUGGCUAAGCUAUCCUAUGGAACUCCACCAGUAAAAUAGUUUUCGCACACGAGUCCACUACUCACCAACACAAUACUCCACCGGGGAUCCUCCCUCGUCAUCCUACGAGAGGGCCAUCCUCGGUACUCACACUUAUCUUGAGUCUUUUAGUAGUAUCCAUUAACUUGUCUAUGAACUGUAUAGGCAACCAAGUAGUCCUUUACCGCAGACGCGGCUAUUCGAAUAGUUUAUACCCUGCAGGGGUGUACUUCGUCAUACACGCUUUCACCACUUACCGCCGUUUACACGACAUGUACUCGGCAACCUUCAAGCGGAAGCCUAGCGAGGGUGUCGGCCACGGCCUACCUAAACACUUAAGUCUCUAGUCCAGGUUUAUCGCCUAUCCAGGUUCCAUCCGCAGGGAGUCCGGCCGAGGUUUCCACAUACGGCCCCGAACAAUGUGAACAGGGUUCCCAAGACACCAAACGGUGACUCGGUACACCGUGCCAUGGUGUAUCUACCGCAACAUAGCCCACCCCUAGGGUCAGCGCUACGCACGGCCGCCAACACAUAACCUACAAACACCAGAAACUAAUUGCAACUCCUGGACAGAGUACUAGGGUGAUUAAGAAGCCGAGAGGGUCCAUUGGUUUCGGGCCCAAUGUACGGUAGUAACUGCAUCUUAAAUCACACAUACAGAUCUCAGUUCUUAUGGAUGGCCUCAAUGAAACAACCCACCAUGUACUCCUACAUGGCCUCUCAUCGAUACCUUUACCAAAACAUGUUCAAUACAUCCCUCAUAUUACCGACAUAAGCAUUUCGCUCUAGCUCAUCACCCAGAUGAACCAGACCUGACUCAACUCUAAGCAUAGCAGGCAUAGCAAGGUAGGAAUCACAUACAUGGCUCAAUCAACUCCUACACAUGCUAGUAGGUUUCAUCUAGUUACUGUGGCAAUGACAGGUCAUGCAGAGGAUAAGGGUUCAACUACCGUAGCACAAAGCAGUUUGAAUCGCGAUGUCUUAAUGCAGUAAACAAGAGCAGGAGCGAGAACAUGGGUUGUAUCGGAAUCAUCAAUGGUUGCUCGCCUGAUGGAGUGGUAACGGGAUACUGCCCUUCAGUAGGAUACUCGUGAAUAUCCUCGACGGCAGAACCUACCGCGAAGAACACAUCGGAACACAAUCAACACAUGACGAUAUGCAACAAUAUGAUGCAUGCUAUGACAUGGCAAUAUGAUUGUGUCUUGGCCUAAUGCAAGCUAAAAUAGGAAGGGAUGAACCCAUUUGAAUCAAAGAUUCAAAUAUUAGCUCAUUAAACAUGGCAUUUAUAGUGCAUUUCCUUAUUCUUCUUAAACAGCAAGGUAAACUUGUUUUGUCAUGCAUGAAACCAUUACAGAUGGAUAGAUUGAAUUUUUCUGAUAAUUUUUCAUAUAUAAUUUAUCUCAUUUGGAGCUAUGGUUGAAUUUCUAUGAAUUUUUGAAGUUUGAACUAUUUUCUGGAAUUUCCUGAAUAAGAAUAAAUCUAGAAAAUCAAUUACUGGGUCAGCAACGCGUCAGGGUGACGUCAGCAGGUCAAAGGCGCCAGUCCAGGUCAAACCUGACUGGUGGGGUCCACUGGUCAGUGUCUCUGUGCACUAACUACGUUUAGUUAGCCUAAUUGACUGGCAGGGCCCACUAGUCAGUGACUAUACUAAUUAACUAACCUAUUUAGUUAGCACUAACAGAGUAAUUAGUCGGGCGGGGCCCGCAUGUAGGUGAGAGAGAGGGGGGAGGUCAACCCACGUCAGCAGGUCAACCUCGCUGGUCAACGGGUCAAAACCUGCCGGUGUUUAGCCGCCGGCGAGGCCAGACGCGGUGGCGCGCUGCAGAAAUCGCCCACAGGGCACCAACUGAUACGCGGAGAGUAGCUACGGGUAGCUGGGAACGAACCGCGGUGUUUGGUGGUGGUGGUUGGGCUCGGGGUGGCCGGAAACGUCGCCGGCGACGAGCCUUGCGGUCGCCUGAGUCGGGCAAAAGUGAGCCCGAGGCUACGGGGCACGGCGAGGCGUGUGGUGAGGUGCGUUGUGCCCCUAGGGAUGCAGUGAAGUAGUUAGACUAGGUGGCAUGGCCGGUGUUUGGCCAGAGACACGUCGGCGACGAGCUCCACGGCGGCGCAUGCGGGUGAGCUUCGUGUGCUCGUUGUGGUGUACGAGAAGAAGAACGGGGAGGAUGGGGAGGUGCAGCAGCUCACGGCGAUCACGUAGAGGCAGACGGCGCGGUCGGGGACGAGUCGAUGCGGCGGCGACGUUGAAAGGGAUCUCCGGCGAUGCUCGGUGAAGAUGAGGUCGAAGAAGACGUUGCAGAGCGUGUGAGCGCUCGGGGCUCAGCUGCUCGACGGAGUCGACGAUGGCGGUGGUGCAACACGGGGAAGAUGGUGGACGCGGUUUCACGGUGGCGCAAGCACGGCAGCGUCGGCCAUGGCGGAGGAAGAGCGAUGGAGAGGGACCAGGGGGAAAGUGUGGUGUCUGCAAGGUCGGGGGAUGCAAGGGAGUUCGUCCCACGUCGACAGGUCGACGAGGGGAGCGGCGAGGCGGCGGCAGCUGCCUGGCGCGCAUGCGGUGCUCGCCGUCGAGCACCUGCUUGCUUGGCCAAGCCAAGCUGCUCGCUGGCGGGGUGGCUGGGCUGGGCCGGCAGGUGGGCCUGGUAGGUGGCGCCAGGUAAGUUUUUCUGUUUUUUUUGUUUUCUUUUCUAUUUUUUUCUGUAGCUUUAGGGCUUUAUUUAAAAUACCUAGGCACUUUCUAAAAUCCUGAAAAUAAUUGUGGGCUCUGUUGGGAUUAUUCCUAACAGCCCUGACUUAAUUCCAGAAUUAUUUGAACAUUUAAAAUAUUUAUUAGCAUUUAAAUGUCCAAAGGCAACAUACAUAUGAUUUAAUCCAGUGACCUUUGUUAACCUAGAAAAUUGUGCACCUAUUUUGCCAGUGGUUCUAACCCAAGGCAAAGAGGGUGAAUAUUUUAGAAGGGCAUUUCAGGUUCAUUGAAAUUAUUUUUAGUAAACCCUAGUUGAUUUCAAGAGGGGUGCUGGGGGUUCUGCCUUCCCCAGUUCAAGUUUCUGAUGAAAAAUAAACAUGAUGCACACUCUAAUGCAUGGACUAGCUAGGGUGUGACAUAACCCCUCUGUCAAGUUGCCCACAGAAGAUGAUUUAGCUGUUCCUGACCCGGAGGCGCAGUUGGUGGCGGCUCUUCAUGUCGUCCCAGAUUGGAGAGUACCAUUCUUGGCUUACAUGACCCGGGGAGAGUUGCCAGCAGAUGAGGCCCUGGCUCGACAGAUAACCCGGCGGUCUAAGUCAAUGAUGAUUUUGGAUGGAGAAUUAUACCAUUGCAGUGUCUCCGGAGCGUUUCAGCGGUGCGUUUCCCCCGAAGAAGGUCAAGAAAUACUUCGUGAGAUUCAUGAAGGCGAUUGUGGUCAUCUCGCCGGGUCAAAAUCUCUGGUGGCCAAGGCUUUUCCUCACGGUUUUUACUGGUUGACGGCUCACGCUGAUGCACAGGAUCUGGUCAGCAGAUGUGAUGGAUGUCAAAAGUUUGCAUGACGAGCGCAUGUGCCGGCUCAAGAGCUCCUGAUGAUUCCAAUCACUUGGCCGUUUGCGGUCUGGGGGCUUGACAUGAUGGGACCUUUCAAAAGGUCUAAGGAUAAAAAGACACAUCUCUUGGUGGCAGUUGAUAAAUUCACUAAGAGGGUUGAGGCGGAGCCUGUGAGUAAGUGUGACGCGGCCAUGGCGGUUCAGUUCAUGAAAAAGGUGAUCUUCCGUUUUGGUUUUCCACAUAGCAUUAUCACUAACAAUGGCACUAAUCUAUCCCAAGGAGCUAUGGAGGAGUUUUGUCAACGUGAGCACAUCCGGCUUGAUGUUUCUUCUGUAGCUCAUCCUCAAUCCAAUGGUCAAGCUGAGAGAGCCAAUCAGGAAAUUUUGAAAGGGCUCAAACCCCGGCUUAUGGUUCCUUUACAGCGGACACCUGGUUGUUGGGUAGAGGAGUUACCCUCGGUGUUGUGGAGUAUCAACACCACACCCAAUAGGUCUACAGGUUACACACAUUUCUUCAUGGUUUAUGGAGCAAAAGCAGUGUUGCCUAGUGACAUCCGUCAUGACUCGCCCCGUGUGGCGGAUUAUGUUGAAGCUAAUAAUGAACAAGCCAGACAGGAUGCACUUGAUUUGUUGGAUGAAGAAAGAGACUUAGCAGCGGCCCGCUCAGCAAUUUAUCAACAGGACCUGCGUCGUUAUCACAGCCGUCGGGUUAAGUCCAGGACUUUUCAGGAAGGCGACCUGGUGCUCCGGCUCAUCCAGGAUCUGUCAGAUGCACACAAGUUAUCCCCACCUUGGGAAGGACCUUUUGUGGUCAGUAAGAAAUUAAACAACGGGUCAUAUUACCUCAUUGACAUUUGAGAGCACAAAGACUCACGUAAGUUAGAGGAGGAGACCCGCCGGCCGUGGAACAUUGCUCAACUUCGGCCAUACUACACCUGAGCCACCGACUCUCAUCAUGUAAAUACUUUGACAUUGUAUAUACCAUGAUAAGUAAUAAAGUAAGACCAUCGGUCUCUUUUCUUUUUUUAAAGAUUAUGCAUCUGUGUUAUUUCUUAUUCUCAAUGACUAUUAAGGAGCUGAUCAUAUUUCAAUCAAUUCUAUCCUUUUUUGGUCCGGCUUAUGAUCGUAUUCGAAUCUAGCUGCAAUUAUCAUGAUCACAUGGGGGCUUCCUGUUCAAACAUAGGUCGUAUACGAACCAAAGAGAACAUAGCUGUCGUAACCCUCUUGAUCAGCUCAAGGCCAAACUCACUUGGGGGCUUCUUGAUCGUAUCCGAAUUAUAGCUUAACCCCUUUUGGGUCCGACUUGGAUCGUAUUUGAAUCAGGGUCGUUAAAAACCUCUCAAGGUCAUUUGGGGGCUUCCUAUUCAAACAUAUGUCAUAUUCGAACCAAAGAGAACAUAGCUGUCGGUACCCUCUUGAUCGGCGCAAUGCCAAAACCACUGGGGGCAAUAUGGUCAUAUUCGAACCUUAUCUUAACCCCUUUGGUCCGGUUUACUGAUCGUAUUCGAAUCAGAAACCCCCAACAUUUUGAAUACAAGGCUAAAUUAUGCUUAUUAUCUGUUGUUUGCCUUUUAGUUUUUUGUUGUCUCAAUAUUACAAAUAAGUAGCCUGGUCUUCUUCAUCGGCUCGACUAUUUGACAACACAGCUAUCAAGGUAUAAUGAUCAUUGAGUAUUCAAAAGCAUUGACUUCUCAUAAAGUUUGAAUUAUCAAUUUCAUCACCCGGGUUAUUCAAGCCGGCGGUCUAAGGAUCAAAAGGUACAAGAUAUGGUUAUUACAUAUACGCAAUUGCCUGCUGUAUUAACUAAAAGAGUUAGUCUCAGCCCUUGUCCUUUGCUUAUAUCUGUUUCUGGUUCCUACUGUGGUAAACAUAUUGGUUCUAAACCGGGUGUUUUAACCCGUUUGGUUCUAAGCCACCAAGCCAGUCUUUUAUUUGUAUCUAUAGGAACAGAGUUCAAAUAUUGCAGAAACAAACAUUAAAUACGAUGCAUAUGGUGGCAUCAGGAAACACAGAAUCACAUAGAAGUGUUUUAUGCGCGAUGGCAUAAGCAAAGCAUACAGUGUUUUCACAACUAGGCUAUUACAAGGCUUUAUGAGCCCAUGAAGAUGAUCAUUGUUCCACCCUUGCCGGUUCACCACCUUCUGUUGGCUGGAAGUUGGGUUUUGACCAAUCAAAACCAUUCACAGUGACAAAUUCGGCUUCAUCGUCGAUCAGGCCGACCGGGCCAACUUCCGGGGCAAAUGUGUCUUCUCUUACCGGUGGAAUCAAAUCUGUUACCUUGUACAAGGGAGUGGCCAUCUUCUUAUUUUCAGCAUCAAAACCCGGCUGGUAUUUGUCAAUAUUAGUGUCAUCUCCCAGGGUAGUUGCCUAAGGUCGGACUCCGCGCAUGCAGGCCAUGAAGUCAUCCUGCCCAAAAGGAGAAACAUCUUCCUUCACGGUGGGAUAGCCUCUGGCCACGUCCGCCGGGUCUAGGUCUGGCACCCAAGCCUUGGAGCGGCUCAGGGCAGUCAAAGCUCCGACUCGCGCAUAGGAGCAUUUCACUUCUUGAAACCUGGCAGGCAGGAUUGACAGUUUCUUCAGGACGUCGAUGAGCCGGUUGGGUCCUUGAUUGACAGGAGAGAUGGCGGCAAGAGCUCGCUGUGCGCCAAUAUACAGUUGUUCUACUAAAGUAUACACUGCCUUCAGUUUAAUCAAAGGGUCUUGGCUCAGAUUUGUGCUUCGAGGGCCUGCACAUAUUUUAUACACAGUCAGCUGGCGGUUUAUACUCAGGAUUAGCAGAAAGCACAGAAAAUUAAAGUUGGACGGCUUACCAAAGAUGGCAGCCACCAUUUGAGACACCCGACCCUUUAACCCGUUCAGCUCUGUUGAAAUCUCUUCAAGGGUUGUUUCGUCCUUCUCAGCACGUUGGGUCAGAAGCGUUUUUUCCUCUUUCCAAGUUUUCUUCUUGGCAGCGAAGCUGGUCUUUAAAUUUUCCGUCUCAGAGAGACUUAUUUGCAGUUUAGAGUUAGCAGAUUUGAUAUCUGCUUCCUGACUCACUAGCCGGGUCUUCGCAUCAGUCAAUUGUGAGUUCAAUUCAGAUAAGGCAUUCUCCAAAACAUUCAGCUGAGUCAAGAUUUUGUUUCAAGUUCAAAGAGCAAGAUUCAAGUCUCAAGUACUUUACAAAAAACCACUUGACACUUGGGGGCUAAUGUAUGUCAAAUCAAAUUUUUAUGACUCUAAGGACAUACUUUAAGUCCCAAGUCCCUUACAAAGUAACAACACUUGGCACUUGGGGGCUAAUGUAUGCAGUUCAGCACGUUUCUCAAGGUUAAGCCGGAGUAUUAAGUCUUUUGAAUACGGUACCAAACAAUUUAAAGUACCGGUUCAUUUAUGAUCAAAAUGAACCGGCCCUUGGGGACUACAGGUGAAGCUUUGUUCUAUUGAAUUCAAGACAAGUUUCAAAGGUAAAGGUCUCGGUCUAUAUUUUAAAGUCUACAGAUCAUUCCAGUUCUCUCAUAAAUUUGAAGACUUGGAGGCUGAAGGAAUACAGAUAAGCCGGAAGAACGUACCUCAUAUUUCAACUGCAGCUGCUUGACCAUUUCAACCUCAGAGUCACGACUGGAGUGUACAUGGCUAAGAUAGCCGGAUAGAAUAUCAUUGGCAUUUAGAUGGUCAUAGUUGGCAACGUCAAAGCGAACUUUCUGCCUCUCCAAUGCCUCUUGUUUUGCUGUACACCGAGCAAACACGGUUGCGUUCCCCGGUUCAAUAAAGCGGCGUCCGGUGAUCUAAACAUCUUGCGCAGAUGGUGAUGGCAGGUUGGCUGAGCUUGAUGGUCCAGUAGCAGAAGGGUUCAUAGUAGUCUCAUCAAACAACGGUUUAGGAGGAUUUGCUUCUAUAUCAACAGGCGGGUUUGCUGGAGCAUCGUUUAAUGGAGAAGAGGGCCUGGCCGGGUCAGAUGCAUGCACUGGCGGGUCUUCCACCGGCUUAGCUGCCUUCGCUUUCUUGGAUUUAGCUUGGCCACUAAGAAAAAUGUUGCAGGAUUGUCAGUAUAAAGAUACAAUUUGAACAACCCAGGAAGGAUGAGGGUUUUUCAUUACCCAGGGGCAGUCUUGAAAGCCGGAAAUUGCGUCUGCGAUGAGUCACCAGAAGAGCGAGACACCUCCUGAAAGGAUAAAAUAGAGUUAAAAAAAUACAAAAGGAAGGAUCCAUUAAACAGAGUUAAAGACAGAAAGAAGUAAACCUCAUUUGGACGUUUCUAAGGAGUUUGUUGAAGAACGAUAGCCGGCUCAUCUUCAGUCCAAGCUUGACAGCGGCUUUGAUGUUGCUACUUUUUCAAACGAAAGUUGGGAUCCAAGUGAGCUAAAGGUUUAGAAAACCUUACUUUACGGAUCACUUGCCGAACUUUUUGUCUUGGCAAGGGCUCUGAGUUGGAGGAAAUGAUAGUUACCUCUGCUUCCACAGCCUAACUGGCCCCGGUGUCAUCCUGGUAAUGAUCAGUGUCAAUAAGAUUGUUAAAAAAUUGGCCAAGGGAAUCAAGGGCUACCUCCGAGUUAGAUGUACCAUCAAGCUUCAUCAAGUCUUCAACAAUACUAUUUUUCUUCAUUUUCGACCUCCGGGUCAUUUUCUUAGCGUUUAUGGCGGCGGCUUUCACUUUCUUGGCCGCCUCGUGGUCAUACUUAACUUUAUAGAAGUCAGAGUUGGCCUACAAACAGGUAAAAACAAGGUAAAGAGUCAGGCAAGUAUUAAAACAAUACGGCUGGAAAAAUACAAAAGAGAGAAAUAAUGAUAUCCUUACUUCUGGCACCGGGCUAAGCUGGCAGAAGGGGUUAACCCGACGAUACUGCAAUCUUCAUAUUUCCCGUUUACCAGAAGAGUUGACAUUGAGACAAUAUCUUCUUCUAUCAAUUUAAUGGGGCUGUGACGAAGAGAGUCAUCCGGGCCUCCACCAUACUCAUACAUCAGCUUUGACCGGCGGCUCAAAAGGAUGACCCGCCAUGAGAUCCAGCAGCGGGUCAGAGCAACUCCAAUUAACCCGUUCCCCAACAGAGCAUUGAUCCUUUUGAUAGAUGGUAUCAGCCUCUUGCGUUCAGCGAUGGUAAGUUUAUCAGGAAGCACGAACUUGGAUUCAAGACGAUUGGGGCGAUAACCCGGCAGUGGCUUCUCGUUCGCUAGUGAAAUGUCCUGGCAGUAGAACCAAGUUUGGUUCCAGUCCUUUGGAUGACUUGGUAAGACAAUGAGGGGGAAGACAGCACCCUGUCGGUGCUGAAUCGAUACGCCUCCGAGCUCUAAGCUAAGGCCGUUGGUGCACUCGUUCUGCCGGUUUGGAUAAAAGUAUUCUCUAAACAACUCCACAGUCGGCUCUUGUUGAAGAUAUACCUCACAGAGCACUUGGAAGUUAUAGAUGUUAGAUAUGGAGUUGGGACCGAUAUCUUGAGGGUGGAGCUUGAAAAAAUGGAGGACCUCUCGAAAGAACUUUGAGCCGGGCGGUGAGAAGCCAUGAUUCAUGUGGUCAGUGAAAACGAUCACCUCACCAUCUCUCGGAUUGGGCCGUUCUUCUUCCGGGUCAGGGGCAUGGUAAGACAUGACGGUUUUUGCUGGCAGAAAUCCUACGAUGAAGAGCUCUUUUAAACGUUCCCCAGGUAUGGCUGAGGGAACCCAGUUACAGAUGGUUGGUGUUUUGGACAGCAUGAUGUGCAAGGAACUAAAAAAAGCAAUAUGCCGGUUCAGUAUAAUGGUGAGAUUAACAGUUAAGGGAUAAAGAUGCAUAACAAGUAAUGGCGGCCUAGUUAAGGGCUAAUGGCAUAUAAAGGAAAAUUAAGCCGGCAUGAUAAGCCGCCAUGACUACAAAUAUUUGAAGAAGGCAAAUUCAGCUAAGUAUUGAGACAAACAAGUUUCCUACGUUGCUUGGUAUUAUUCCAUAUCAAAAUGGUUGUUCAAAAUGAAAACAAUUCUAGACCUAAAAAGUUCAGUACAGAGGAGUCGGUAAGUUCUGAAGCAGCCUUUUUAAUCAGAGAAAGAGAUCUGUGGGUCAAGAAGAGGUACAAAAACACUACCACGCGAGCAUAUAUAUGACUUUUUGGAUCAGAAAAAGCUAGCGGUGGAAGAACUAUGAAGAACUACGAAGAACACGCAAGAGCUUGGAAACCCUAAUGCAGAUCUAAGAAACAAAGGAAAGAGAACUUACAGUUGUAGGUCCACUUCGGAGGUCGCUGUGGUUUCUUUGAUCGGUUCAGGUUGAUGCAGCGGCCAAAGUCGACGGAGACGGAGAUGAGGCGCGGCGGCGGCAGAACUCGAGUAGCAGAGGGUUUGCGCGAGGAAGAAGACGGAGCGAGAGAAGAGAAUGAGAAGGCUGAGGCAUGCCUAUUUAUAAGGAAAAGAUGCGAACAGACAGGCGCGAAGAUCAAGGAAGAACCGAACAAAUGGUUAUCCAGCUAUACAGGCGCCUCGAUUCUUGGGAAACAUUAAAGAUAAAAGAUCCGUUGGAAGUUGACGUCAUGAAACUUUUUUGUAUUUUCAAGAGGAGACGUCACGGCGGGUUACAAGAAAAUUUCAGCGAAGAUAAGAAGAUGGAUUUUUUAUUGAAGAUUGACAAAGAACAAAGUUCAAAGUCAACCUGGGGCCUAAUGUUGGGGAUAUUACUAUCAGUUAUGACCCGCCCAGGAGGGGCCGGGUCAGCCCCAAUGGCGGGUUACACAAGAAGCCUAGUAAAUAUUCAAGAUUAUAGUUUAUUAAGUUUUAUAAAAGGCCCAAAGGCCUGAAGGCGGUUUAAGGUCCGAUAUUGUGAACCGCCGUAUGUAGGGAAAGACUUGUAAAGAAAGGCAUGUAAAGGAAGUCACCGAGCCGGACAUGAUUAUGAGCCGGCCGGGACCCUGUAAGCCACCAGGCAUCAACCCGUGUAUAUAAGGGGACGACCCGGUGGCGGCUUAGGGAAAGAAACAACAAGUCGAGAACCAAGCCGGCGAAUUGAGCCUCAUGGCGAUCAAAACCCCAGCAAUACCAAUCCCAACUAGAUGUAGGCUUUUACCUUCAUCGUAAGGGGCCAAACUAGUAUAAAACUCUCUCGUGUCCUUUGUCCCGAUUAACCCCUUUAAGCUUCCUAGUGCGAUGGCCCUACGACUAAGUCCUUGCUCUAGGACAUCUGCCGUGACAAUUCCACGACACCCUAUGUUAUGACUAUUACAUGAUGAACCACAUCCGGCAUAAUUCUCCAUCAUCGAUCCAAUGCCUAUGAGCUUUUCACAUAUUGUUCUUUGCUUAUUUACUUUUCCGUUGCUAUUGUUAUCAUCACUAUGAAACACCAAAAAUAUUACUUUUGCUACCAUUACCUUUUACCACCGUCGCCACUACUAUCAUAUUACUUUGCUACUAAACACUUUGCUGCAGAUAUUAAGUUUCCAGUUGUGGUUGAAUUGACAACUCAGCUGCUAAUACUUCAGAAUAUUCUUUGGCUCCCCUUGUGUCGAAUCAAUAAAUUUGGGUUGAAUACUCUACCCUCGAAAAUUGUUGCGAUCCCCUAUACUUGUGGGUUAUCAAUGACUUUAUGGUUAAACAAGAAAACUUCAAUGCUUAUGUUGGUAGACAAUUGAAACACAAUGCUGAUAUGCUUGAACACUUGGGUGAUUAUAUGGCUAAUGUUAAAGGUGAACUUAAACUUAUUAGUAAGCAUGCUUCUAUGGUUACCACUCAAGUAUAACAAGUGCUGAAAGCUCAGAAUGAUUUGCUCAAUGAAUUAAAUAAUAAGAAGAAUGAUAAUGCUGUUAGAGUUAUGACUAGAGGUGGUAAAAUGACUCAGGAACCUUUGUAGCCUGAGGGCCAUCCUAAAAGAAUUGAGCAAGAUUCUCAGAGAACUAAUGUUGAUGCACCUAGUCCUUCCAAGAGGAAGAAAAAGAAAAAUGAUAGGACUUUGCGUGCUUCUAGUGGACCUGUUAUUGACACACCUGAGAAUCCCAAUGAUAUUUCUGAUGCUGAAACACAAUUUGGUAAUGAACAUGAACCUAGUGAUAAUGUUAAUGAUGAUGUUCAUGUUGAUGCUCAACCUAGCAAUGAUAAUGAUGUAGAGAUUGAACCUGCUGUUGAUCUUGAUAACCCACAAUCAAAGAAUCAACGUUAUGAUAAGAGAGACUUUGUUGCUAGGAAGCACAACAAAGAAAGAAAACCAUGGGUUCAGAAACCCAUGCCUUUUCCUCCUAAACCAUUCAAGAAAAAGGAUGAUGAGGAUUUUGAGCGCUUUCUGAAAUGAUUAGACCUAUCUUUUUGCGUAUGCGUUUGACUGAUAUGCUUAAAAUGAACCCUUAUGCUAAAUAUAUGAAGGAAAUUGUUACUAAUAAAAGAAAGAUACCGGAAGCUGAAAUUUCCACCAUGAUUGCUAAUUAUACUUUUAAAGGUGGAAUACCAAAGAAACUAGGCGAUCCAGGAGUACCAACUAUACCAUGCUCCAUUAAAUGAAACUAUGUUAAAACUACUUUAUGUGAUCUUGGAGCCGGUGUUAGUGUUAUGCCUCUCUCUUUAUAUUGUAGACUUGAUUUGAAUAAGUUGACACCUACUAAAAUAUCUUUGCAAAUGGCUGAUAAAUCAACUGCUAUACAUGUCGGUAUUUGUGAGGAUGUGCAUGUUGUGGUUGCAAAUGUUACUAUUUUAACAGACUUUUUUAUUCUUGAUAUUCCCGAGGACGAUAGUAUGUCCAUUAUUCUUGGAUAACCCUUCUUGAAUACUGCAGGAGCUAUUAUUGAUUGCACCAAAGGCAAUGUCACUUUUCAUGUUAAUGGUAAUGAGCAUACGGUACACUUUCCAAGGAAACAACCUCAAUUCCACAAUAUCAAUUCUAUUGGAAAUUUUUUAACAAUUACUAUUGGAGGUUUUAAAUUUCCUCGUCCUACUGUCAAGAAGAAAUAUGAUAUUCUUAUUGUUGGGGACAUGCAUAUCCCCGUUGAGGUAACCUAGUGUUAUUCGAAAUUUCUUCGGUUUCAUGUUAUUCGAAAUGAGUUUGUUAACAAGACCUGAUCAACCUUGUUAGUAGAUUCCUUUUGAUGAGAAUGAGAUGGAUGAAGUUAGAAAACACAACCUUCUGUACCCUCCUUUUACUUUUUGUUAUUUAUAUUAAAUAAAGCAAAAAUAGUAUUUUUUCUGUCUAUUUUCUGAAUUAUCCAUGCAAUAAAAAAUACCCCAAAAAUAAAAGUUCUCCAAAUGCCGUGAAAUUUAAAUAUGAUUUUUUCUAGAAUAUUUGAGAAUAUCUGGAACUGAGAACACAGCAGGGGGAGCAGCCACGUGCCCACGAGGGUGAGGGCGCGCCCACCCCCUGGGCGGCCCCCUGCCUCAUGGACCCCACGUGGGUCCCCUCCACUUAUUCCAGCCACCACACACUCCUGCUUCCUCCCAAAAAAAUCACUAACCAGCUCAAACCCGAGUUCUUGCUCAUCUUGCUGCCAUUUUCGAUCUCCUUGCUCAAAGCUCCUCUCACAAAACUGCUUUGGGGGAUUAUUCUUUGGUAUGUGACUCCUCCAAUGGUCCAAUUAGUUUUUGUUCUAGUGCUUUAUUCAUUGCAAAUUUUUGCUGCUUAGGUGACCUUAUUCUUGAGCUUGCAUGUCAAAUUUAUGUGGCCAAAAGUAGUUUUAAUGCAUGAUAUAUCCUCUAGGCACUUGUAGGAGUAGUUGCUAUCAAUUUUGUUGAGUUUGGUUCACUUUUAUUUUAAGUUACUAAAAAUUUCAGAAAAUUUCAGAAAAAGAUGAAGAGAUUUUUGAGGGGCUCAUCGAGCCGAAGCUCGGAGGAUAAGCAAAGUGAAGAGAACAAGAAGCCCAAGUAUAAUCUCCCUCGUACAGCGGAGGUUCGGCCACGUGAAUGGCCUUGUGAUGAGUUCUUGAAAGAGGCCUGGAUUUCUGAAGAUUUUUAUUAUUUGGCUAAGAAUGCAGGCCUCACCGCCUUCCUCCACGACUAGCGCAAACAAUAUCUCUUACUCACCAAUAUCUUUGUGCAAAACUUUCAUUUCCAUGCUAGAAGCUCGCCACCUUCGGUGGAAUUUUAUUUAUAUGAUGAGCAUAAGGAAAUGUCACUUCGUGAUUUUUGUUGGAUUUGUUUGAUACCUUUUGAAGGAAGCAUAGAAUCACUAGCACAUUUUUCUGUGGGGGAAACGAGGAAAGUUUCCGAUGCAAGAAUCACUAGCAUACAUUUUCCUGUUCUACGUUACUUUGCAAUAUUUGCUAGUAGAUGCUUAAUUGGUCGCGGGAACUGUGGGAACCUUAGUGCUCCUGAUAUUGUUAUUUUGCGCCAUGCCUUGUUUCAAGAUACUACUUUCAGUUUAGGCGCUAUUGUUGCUAAACUCUGAACCAUACUAAGGGCCCCGUCCUUGGAGGCAUUUUUGCCUCGCGCCUAGCUGCACACUUUAACAUACUUAUUAGGCAUUAUGAGAAAGAGGAAAAGUUGCUGCCUAAUAUUUUUCUAGAUUAUAAGAUCAUGGUAGCACAUGAUUUUAUUAUUGAGAAUAAGAAGAAGAUGCUUAACUAUAGACUAAUUUUUGGUAAGAAUAACCUUGAGACUAUUACCUUGCCUGCUCCCUCUUUGUUUAACAUAUUUUCAGGAAAGUAGCUUGUUUUACCGGAGGACGUUUAUGCAUACUGGAGUGUGACACCAGCUCCAGAGCCCGAGAUGGAACCACCCCAGGACCCUUAUCGACAGUCAGUUUAUCAGUGGAAUCCUGAGGAGAUUGCCAACCAGUGGCACCCAGAGGACACUCAUCCUUACACCGGAGAGGGCCACUUUGAUCCAUGGGCAUAAACCAACUUAGGCCAAAAGCUUAAGCUUGGGGGAGUAUGUAUUUCUCACCGACAUUACAUUCAUGUUCACACACUCAUGCCAAUUGUCGGUGCUCAUACUUUUUCAUUGUAUCAUCCAUGCUAGUGUAUUUCCUUUUUAAGCUUUCUUCUUUUGUGUUUGAAAAACCUUAAGAAAAACAAAACAAAAAUUAGUUGUAGCUUUUAGUUAGUUUACUUUCCAUGCCUGUAGUAGUAGUAAUUAAAAAGAAAACCCAAAAAGAUUUCUCGUUCUUGUUUUGCUUGUUGGGAGCUUUCCCCGUGUAAAUAGUCUUAUUUCUUUUCUUUCCUUUGGGGGUUGAGAGGAGAAGACCAUCAUGAAAAUGUUUAGUGGCUCUCAUUUGCAUUAUUGCUGGUCUAACAAAGAGCCCAUAUUACCUUGUCUUCUCUCUCGAAUUGAAUGCUUGCAGAUUCCAGCUUAGUCCAAUGCACGUCCACUAUUAUUAUUAUCGACACUAUUCGGUCAUGCAAGUGAAAGGCAGUAAUAAUGAUUAUAUGAUGAACUUAUUGAGAUGAGAAAAGCUGGUAUGAACUCGACCUCUCUUGUUUUUGUAAAUAUGAUUAGUUCAUCGUUCCGGAUUCAACCUAUUAUGAAAGAAACAUAUUUGCAAUGAUAAUUAGAGAUUGUAGUUGCUUAUGCCAUGCUUAAUUAGCUAGGAGUUUAUAAUGGUUUACCUUGUGUCGGUGUCAAAACCGCCGGAUCUCGGGUAGGGGGUCCCGAACUAUGCGUCUAAAGCAGAUGGUAACAGGAGGCAGGGGACAUGAUGUUUUACCCAGGUUCGGGCCCUCUUGAUGGAGGUAGAACCCUACGUCCUGCUUGAUUUAUUCUUGAUGAUGUGAGUAUUACGAGAGUUGAUCUACCAUGAGAUCGGAGAGACUAAACCCUAGAAGCUAGCCUAUGGUAUGAUUGUAUGUUGUCCUACGGACUAAAACCCUUCGGUUUAUAUAGACACCGGAGGGGGCUAGGGUUACACAAGGUCGGUUACAAAGGAGGAGAUAUACAUAUCCGUAUGGCCUAGCUUGCCUUCCACGCCAAGUAGAGUCCCAUCCGGACACGAGACGAAGUCUUCAAUCUUGUAUCUUCAUAGUUCAACAGUCCGGCCAAAGGAUAUAAUCCGGCUGUCCGGAUACCCCCUAAUCCAGGACUCCCUCAGUAGCCCCCGAACCAGGCUUCAAUGACGAUGAGUCCGGCGAGCAGUGUUGUCUUCGAAACUGCAAGGCGGGUUCUUCUCCACAUUUCGAACAUUUGUAAAGCACUGUCCGGUCCCAUAAAUGUUUGGACCUCUUGGCUUCUGUGCCCAAUAAGGGCUAUCUCCCACGGGUCGAAUGAAUAUGAGGCCCCAGGGCAUUUUUACAUUUGCCCCCCUAGCCAGAUAAAUAAAUUGUCUAUUAAAGGGAUGGGGAUUCUUAGAUCCGAUCCAUACCAUCCUCCCCUAGCGAGAAUCCAUCAGAGUGUGUUUCGGAAAGAUCCAUUCCAGCAUGGCCGACCUCUGCAGCUCCUCCUCCCGCCCCCGUAGCCCUAAGCCCGGUGAUUGGGAGAGGUGUUAAGUCCCGCACAGUGGAUUAGUCGAACUGCAGACUAAGGGAUUUCUCCCUGCGGUGUAUAUGGUGCCCGUUCGAGCCGGGUUUGUCACCUACAAUGGCGGGGAGCAAGCGGAGAGCUUUCCCCAUCCCUCUAUGGGGGAGCGGGUCUGCCUUGUUCCUUAUUUAUUAGGGCCAUUUGCAUUUCUGUCCCUAACUCGAACCACCUAACCAGAUAUACCCCUAAUUCGAAAGCCUGCUCAAAUUUGCCCCUCCGCCGUUAGGUGCCCUUAUAGAAAUGCCCUUAUGCGCCGUUACCGUCCAGUCAAACAGCUUUGCCCGUCCUAAAAAAAUAGCAAAACAAAUCUAAAAAAUCUAAAAUUUUGUGAGAUCGAAGAUACUCAUGUGCCCAAGGUGUGUGUAAGUUUUCGUGCUAUUUGGACAUUCCAGGAGCUCGUGGUGAGGAAAAACAGUUAAUCUGCAUGCUUGUGAACAAUAAAUUUGAAAUAAAAUAGCAAGAAAAUUUUAAAAAAUAUGAAUUUUUUUGGCAUUAAAGUGGCUUGGGUGCACAAGGUGCUUGCAAGUUUUUGUGAUCAAAUGACAUGCGAGGAGCUCUAGCAUGAAAAAACAAAAUAGUCAUUUUUUCCCAAGGUUUUUCCUGAGCCAAAUUUUGUUUUUUUCUCCACAAGCCCCUCCAAGUCCAAACACAACAAAAAUCUGCACGCAGCUUGCAGACUCGCGCCUCUUUGAUGCCAAAAUAUUUCAUAUUUUUUGAAUUUUCUUGCUAUUUUUUUGAAUUUACUGUUCACAGGCUUACAUAUUUAUUGUUUUUCCUCUGACACGAGCUCAUGGAAUGUACAAACAGCACGAAACUUUUCACGCACCUUGCAAACCUGAGUAUCUUUGAUCCCACAAAAUUUCAUAUUUUUAAGAAUUUUUUUGCUAUUUUUUUCAGGACGGUCAAUGCCCUUUGACCGGCUUUGACCUGCUUUGACCGGAUGGUAACGGCACAAAAGGGUAUUUCUGUAAGUGCACCUAACGGCGGAGGGGCAAAUUUGAGCAGGCUUUGAAAUUAGGGGUAAAUCUAAGAGUGGGCGCAAAUUAGGGGCAUAGAUGUAAAUGUCCCUAUUUAUUAAGGGGACUCGGAUUUCCAAUUCAUCCGUUCCUCCGCGGGCUCCUGGAGUUCUACGGCCUCCAAUUACACAAUUUCACCCCUGCCUCCAUUCUACAUAUCGUCGGCUAUGUUGCUCUCUGCGAGUUGUUCCUGGGCUGCGAGGCUCACUUCGAGCUGUGGAAAAUGCUAUUUUGCCUCGUCCCUCGCACACAGAGGGGGUCACUUUAUCAAGUGGGCAGAGCCGAAAUAUGGCGCAUCACCGGUACCGGAUACCUGUCUGGUACCCCGAAGAAGUCAUCUGAAGACUGGCCUUCAGAAUGGUUUUAUAUGGAGGACGUUCCCCUUCCGGACCCUGUUCGGUGAGGUCCUCCUGAGUUCAGCAAUGCUCCUCUGAAGAAACGCCAAAGUUGGCGCCCAUGGAGCCCCCUCGUGGAAGACAAUGGAGAAGUCCUCUAUCUGAUGAACCAGAUUAAAGCACUGGCUUAAUCAGGAUUGACAGUAAUCGAAGGUAUGUCGAUUUGCAUAAUGCAGGGAGUACAACCACUUCAAUAUCGUGGGCACCCCUUGUGGUGUUUUAACGGGGCGGAUGAUGCCACCCGCUGCGGGCGUAAGGGUCCAGACAAUGCUGCCGCUUUAGCAAAAUUCUGUCCGAAUUGUUCAAGGGAGAGGAAGAGUUGUUCAUCCGCAUCAAGCCACGGGAUGGAUUCUCCAUGUACAAUCCUCCAAGCUGGGUAAGUUAUAUCUCCCUACUCCCAUUUUUCCCGCAUUCUUUGUCGUAAGUAUUCACCUUGCCACUUUGCCGUAGGAACUGCGAAAAGCCAUAAAGGAGGUCAGCAGCCCUUCUCCACAACCAGAGGACCCUGACCGAGCCCUCGACUCCGGACUUGAAGAAGAUCCGGUUAUAUUCGUGGAGCUGAUAGACCGGCAGUUCUAUCAGUUAAGCUGCGAUGAUGCCAUGGUGGCCAUUACGGCCGACUAUCCCAGACUGCUUCCUGCAUCGCACGUAAGAAAAACCAAAAAUCCCAACUCCAAAAACUAGGAUCCCCUUUUAGACACUUCACCUACCAUAUACAUAUGGCAUUUUUACAGGGAAGGCAUUCGGGACGCCCUACCGAACCCGCAGCAACUCGCCAACAAGAGGCACCGAGGCCGGGUAGGCCAAAAAGGAAGGCGGUCAGGACGGAGACGCCGGUGCAAAGGUAUAACAAAAACCCUGCUUCGUGGUUGUCGUCUUUCUCGAAAUGUGAUGACGCCCGUGCUUCUUUAACAGAAAAAACGCUCGCCGGAAUAUGUCCGGCGAUGUUGCUAAUCACGCUUCCACCAGUCGGGCGCCAGGACCAGACAUAGAGGUGGAAGCCGAUAUGGGGCGGGCGCCGGAUAAUCCCCAUACAGAGGAUGCAGAUAGAUUAUCCAUUACAAAAUCAAAAGUGGAAAGCACCAUGAAUCAUAGUCGCCGCCGGGCCGUACUCCGUGACGCUUAUUUCUCACCAGAGGCAUUUGAUGCCUUCAAUUCUGGAGAGGCGUACCUCCGUGCUGCCCAAGAUGGUCUAGCCAAAGCCACAGAUCAGUAUGUAAAGGAUGUACGGGUAAGUAAAUCUAACGAUUUAUAUGUAUCAGUAGCCCCUAACACUUGAAAUAGUUAGCAGAACUGACUUAGGGAUCAUCUUUAUUGUGCAGGUUCUUACCGAGAAGAAUACUAGGCUGUCACAGGAGCUGGAGGAAUGCAAGACCCAACUGCGGGCCGCUGUUUCCGCAUUGCAGGAACCGAAAAAGUCUCCUGCUAGUAACAUUUACUUUAAAGAAUGAUGGUUACCGUAUAGUAUGCGGCGUGGCUGCAGAUCUAACAAUAGAUGUUGCAGAUGAAUCCGGAGAAAAUCCGAAGGACCAGCAUGUCGUGGGACAGCUAAGGCUGGCAAAUGCGUGCUGACUGAGGUUAGGUGGGAGAAAAACAAUCUCCAAGACGCCAAUAUCAAGCUGAGCGUGGAACUAAAAGACGUUCGAGCCCAGCUUGCAGACUCCGAGAAGGAGAAUAAGCGGCCUCGAUGCAGCAUUUUCAGUAAGUGCUUGAACGAAUCCUUUUGAAGGAGUUCGGCGAAGAAGCCGACUAACAACGUUAUGUCUGUAGGUAUGCUGACGGGUCGUCCCGUGGAGGAAAUGCCCGGGGUCUGCGGGUGAUCUUCUAUCCGAGCUCUCACAUCUGCACGAACAAGUUCGGCAGGUGAUGUAAGGUGUUGUCCAGGCCUUGUGGCUAUCCGUCUCCCUGCCAAAAGGCGUUGCAGAGCUUACGGAGAAGCUCAAGGGAGCACGGCGGCGCUUCCUAUUAUGGAAGAUAUCGGCCUGCCGACAAGGUGCCAGAGAAGCCUGGGCCAUGGUGAAGACGCGGUAUACCAAGGCUGACCCAAAUCACAUGGCCGAGGUCGUACCUGUGGGGCCCAACAAAAAAGAGAUCCCCGUUAGCUUAGUUUAUGGGCAAGUAGAAUUAGCCGCAAAGUAUUCCCAACAGGAUUGUAGGCUAGACCGCCUGUUGGAUGGUAUAGAAGAGGAAUUUAGUCAGUCUGCAUGACUAUGUAAUUAAAGUGACAUGUAUAAUGCCUUCUAGCCGGAUUGUAGAUCAUUUGUCAUGGCGGACCUUUUUGCUUCAACCUCAGGACCCGAUAGUCCGGAGUGUAUCCGAAUACCCGCUCAGUUAUAUAAGAACCGGGGUAUGCGUGGAGACCAGGUGUAGGGGUCAUUAGUGCUUGAACAGACAAGUGCCCAACUAGUUAUGUUAUAUUACAUGGGUAGUAAGAAACAUCUUCCAAGGAGAAUAGUUCCAUUAAGGGUUCCUUUCCCUGGGUAAGCAUGCCCUAAAGUGCAUGUCCGGACUGCGAUAGGAAACGCAGGAAAAACAUUUGGGGGCAGAUAUGGAAAAUAAAUAAAAAUCAUCUUUUGUUCACCGACCAAAUAUUCCCUUAAGAACGCUAGCUUUCGGCUUCACCCAGUCUGAGGUACACAUCUGGCUGACCCGGCAGUAACAAUCGCAGAGGUGCUCCCCUUAUGCCCUAGCCGAAUUAACGGGAACUUAGGGCACAAAUACAAGAGCCAGGCAACCCAGCUUGGCCAAAACUUAAGUCAUAUCGAUGCAUAUAAUGGAGAAAAAAGGUACAUGCAGAAGCAUAACACAUGUUCGGGGCACGAGGCUCAGAUAAAUAAAUAAGCUUCUCUGAAAGAAGCCCCCAGGUAUGAUGAGCGCGGCUAGCGCAUCUAUAAUGUGCAAGCGAGGCACAAGUUGGCCUUUGAAGGCCUAAAGAAGGAAUAAAAGAAAGAGAGAAAGAAAAACAAGGCAGAAAAUGUAUAUGCAAAAAAUGGAUAGAGGAAGGAGACAAACAUAGAGUGCGGCGCUAGGUGUAGAACCUUCGGAUCCUGGCCGCGUUCCAUGGGUUCGGCUCGAGUCGAUUAGUUGAUGCAUCCCGCAGUCAGUACGCUCCACCAGUCAGCACUUGGUCAAUAAUGAAGGGACCUUCCCAUUUGGGCUCGAGCUUAUUCUUUUUCUUAUCCGGCAGGCAUAGAACUAGUUCGCCAAUGUUAUAAGUUUUGGCCCGUACUUCUUUGCUUUGGUAUCUGCGAGCCUGUUGCUGAUAAAAUGUGGAAUGGGCUUUUGCUACAUCACGCUCCUCCUCCAGGGUGUCCAGACUAUCCUUCCGAUCGAGCUCGGCUUCUCUUUCUUCAUACAUGCGCACUCGAGGUGAGUCAUGAAUUAUGUCACAGGGCAAGACUGCCUCUGCGCCGUACACCAUAAAGAAGGGUGUAUAUCCGGUACUACUGUCACAUCCCUAGUUCUAGUAUGACCUAGACUAGCUAGUCAUUUGUGCAUCAUGUUUAAAUUCCAUUUAAAUUUGAAAUGGGGAUUUGUGAAACCCUCAGAACCAUUUCUGGAAAUGACCCAGAUAAAAAUUGCUCCAAAAAGGUCCAAGAAAAUGUUCAUGUUGCUCUCUGAAGAUAUUGGACAGAGAUAAAAAUUGAACCAAUAUUUUUAGGAGCUCAUAAGUAUUUAUUUUGGGCAUUUGGAAUUAAUACAGUAAUUAUUUGCUUUGGAUAUAUAUUUGUUAUAUAAUCUAUAUGUGUCCAAUAAUUCUGAAUUUUGGUGAGGGGCUUUGGAAUAAUCCCUUAGGCCCCUACAAAAAUUGUCAGAAGAAAAUGAAAUGAUUUAGUAUUUUAUUAAAUCAGAAAAAAAAUGUCAGAAAAUAGAAAAGAAAACAAAAGUGGAAAACCGCUUACCUGCACUUACCCCCUUGUGCAGCCCGUCACUUUGCAGCCUGGCCUGGCCCAGUGGCCAACAGGCCGGCCCAGCCGACUGGCACUGCCAGUCGUCCCCUUCCUCGCGCCAGGAGGACAGGGGCACGCGCUCGCCGCCCGCGUGCAUGGGUACCACGCCACCAGCCUGCCUGCGUGCCCUCCCCCUCGACGCUCUGGCCUCCCUGGACGACGCCACGUGCCGCCCCGUACCCCAUUCGCUCUCCCUCCUCCCCUGGAUCGCUCUCUCUCCCCGCGACCGAAACGCUGCCGUCGCCGCCGUGCGCCAUUGCCGCGCCCAGAACCACUGACUCGCCUCCUCUCCAUGCCCAUGAGCUCCGUCUGCUCGCGCUGAAGCUCUUCACUGAGCCACACAUCGCCGGAAGCCCCACAAUGGCUUCACCAACCUCGUCUUCAACCUCGGCCAUCCGAGAACGCCACGACCGUGCGGCUGCUCCAACACCUCCCCCGAGCCGCUGAGCAUGCCCGACGAAUCGCCGUGAGCUCUUCUACCGAACCACCCUUCUCCCCCUUGCUAACGCGCGCUCUAGCACCGUUUCCCCGCCACGGCCGUAGCUCCUCACCGCCGUCCAUGUCGCUGCCGUCGUUUUGGCCCGCCUCCGCCCAAACCGAGCACCCCAUCGUGCUCGUGGUGCCACGAGGGUGCCGCAAAGCCCCUUGGGUGGCCUCCCCGUGCCCCGCAGCCUGAUUCCGCUCGAAGCCGAACUCCGGCCGCCGCCCCGAGCUUCGCUCCGGCAAGCUCCGGCCGCCCCCGCCUCUCCCACUUGCUCCAAUCGGUGCGGACGAGCGCGGGCUAUGCCCCGGUGGUUUCUGCCGUCCUUUUGGUCGCCGGAACGGUGAUCCCGAGCCCUCCGCCGCGUUCGGCCUCGCCGGCGGCUAAAUGCCGAUGGGGUUGACCUGGUCUAACCCCCCGAGUUGACCUGGUGUUUGACCGCCCAGGGUCAAUGACAUGUGGGGCCCGGCUCUGCUAAUUUUAGUUUAGGAUUAGUUUAAAAAUUAAUUAACUCUGUUAAUUAACUAUGGCACUGACAUGUGGCCCCCACACGUCAGAUUUGACCUGGACAGCCACGUUGACUCGCUGACGUAGUGAUGACAUCAUGCUAACGCAGUUAUUGUUUUUCUGGAAUUAUUUUAAAACAGGAAAUUCCAAAAAAUGUUCAAAACUUCAAAAAUUCAUAUAAAUUCAACCAUAGCUCAGAUUGAAAUAAUUUAUAUAUGAAAAAUUAUCAGAAAAAUGCAAUCUAUCCAUCUGUACCAGUUUUAUGCAUGAAAAACCAAGUUAUACCUGCUGUAUAAGUGAAACACUAAAAUGGCUAAUAUAAAGAGCUUAUUUUGGAGAUGCAUUUGAAUCUUUGGUUCAAAUGGACUUCAUGCAAAUGAAUGCUAGUUGCAUUAGCUCAAAUAACACCACAUCUUCAUGCCAUCUUCAUGCAUCAUAUUUUUGCAUAUGAUUGUGUUUUGAUUGCCGACACCGUUCCUUCUCGAUAGGUCCUGCUCCGGAGACCGAUCCAGAGUACCUGUCUGAGGAGCAGUGCCCCCUUGUUGAUCUACCAGGCAAGAAAACCCCCUUGUUCAUUCUGAUACAAUCCCACUCUCUCGCUCCUGCUCUCUUUUAUUGCAUUAGGACAACAAUGAUUCAACUGCUACUUUAUGCUGCGGUAGUUGAACCCAUUCCUCUGCAUGACCUGUCAUUGCCACAGUAAAUAGUUGAAACCCACUAGCACGUGUAGGAGUUGAUUGAGCCAUGUGGUGUUCCUACCAUGCCAUGCCUGCUAUUGCUUAGAGUUGUGUCAGGUCUGAUUCUUUGUGAGUGGAUUGGAGUGUUAUGCUAUGUUCUGAUGCUGAGAGUUAAGCAUGUGAACACGAUUUGGUAAAAGGUAGCGGUGAGAGGCCAUGUAGGAGUACAUGGUGGGUUGUCUCAUUGGGACCGUCCUUAAGAACUGAGUUCUGUGUAAGUUGUCCAAUGACUAGCUACUACCACACAUUGGGCUCCAGGCACUCCAAGCUCUCUCGACUUAUUAACCAACUUGAUCUCUGUCGAGGACUCGCAACUAGUUUCUGGUGUUUGUAGGUAGUGCUAUUUUUCUACCGAGUGGCACCCGGCAGGGUGGGCUCGGGACAGACUAGGCACAGGUGGCAUGGUGUACCAAGUGGCACCCGAAUGGUGGGCCUGGGAACCCUACUCACAUCGUAUGGGGCCGUGAGCGACACCCCGUCCGGAUCUCCUUGCGGAUGGAACCCGAAUAGGCGAUAAACCUGGGCUAGAGUCUUGUGUGGUUAGUCAGGUCGUGGCCAACACCCUCGCCAGGCUUCCGCUUGAAGGUUGCCGAGAUACAUGACGUGUACAUGGUGAUAAGUGGUGAGAGUGUGUGUGAAGAAGUACACCCCUGCAGGGUUAUCAUGAUCUAUUCGAAUAGCCGUGUCCUCGGUUAUGGACUUCUUGGAUGCUUACGUGGUACAUAGACAACUUUAAGUGGAUACUCUAAAUUGCUCAAGACAAGUGCGAGUGCUACGGAUGGCCUUCUCGUAAGGAGACGAGGAUGAAUCCAUAGUAGUGUAUUGAUGUGGUGAUUAGUGGACUCAUGUGCGCUGCCUCAUCUCAAAGAAGUUUCUCGUUGUCGUAGAACAGGAUAGCCACUGAGUCAAAGCUGGCUUGCUGCAACUAAACCCCACAUUACCUUCUUGAUACAAAUGCAUUUAUGAUAGGAUCUGAAGUAAGUCUUGCUGAGUACCUUUGUACUCACGUUUGCUUUAUUUAUGUUUUGCAGGUGAGACAUCUGUCUCACUAUUAGUACUGCUUGGACUUUGACGAGUAGCUUGUUACCUCAGCUACGAUCUUGUACCCUUGGGAGGGACUUGUAGAUAGUCAGGCUUCCCAGCCUUUUUCUUUUGUAGUUGUCUGUACUCAGACAUGUAAUGCUUCCGUUGCUUGUAUGCUCUGUAUUUAAUGCUAUGUGGCUCUUCUGGGCAUUUAUCUAUAUGAGUUUGUGUUAUGUUGUGAUGCCAGGUUGUACAUCACAUACUUGCAUGUUAUGCGUACGUGUGACGUGUAUUGCUAUGUGUGGGAUUCGACAAUCUAGUUGUUUAUCCUUGGCAGCAUCUUUUAUGGGGAAAUGUAGUCUAGUGCUUCCUUGAGCCAUAGUAGUCCACUAUAGCCCGGUUCACCAGAGUCCUGCUAGCCCAGCACUACUGCUCAGGACACUUGACUGGCCGGCAUGUGUUUCACUUUGUUCCUGUGUCUGUCCCUUCGGGGAAAUGUCACGCGGUGACAUCCAGAGUCCUGCCUAGCCUGCUACAGCCCGGGUUCUCCGGAGUCCUGUUAGCCCAAUGCUACAGCCCGGAUUCACACGCUGCUGACCGACAUGCUCAAUGUGAAUCAUGUAUACCUGUCCCCAUAGGUUAGUGCCGCUUUGGGUUCACGAUUAGCCAUGUCAGCCGGGGUUCUCUGCCAUAUGGAUGCUAGCGACACAAUCAUAUACGUGAGCCAAAAGGCGCAAACGGUCCCGGGCCAGGGUAAGGCGACACCCAUGGGGAUACUGUGCCUGAGGCCGCAAAGUGAUAUGAGGUGUUACCGGCUAGAUCGAUGUGACUUGGAAUCAGGGUCCCGACAACUACGAUUCGGCGUGGUCCGCAGCCCCCAGAGUACGGAGUCGAGCUCCUCUACCCAGUGCAUGUUAAACUCCGUUAAGGAACGCACUAAUCUGGGUUUAAUGCCACUCAUUAUAAGACCGUUUGCUCGCUCAACUUGGCCGUUGGUUUGUGGGUGAUAGACUGAAGCAUAAUCGAGCUUGAUGCCCAUUUUGCUGCACCAGAGUUUUACCUCAUCGGCAGUGAAGUUUGUGCCGUUGUCAGUGAUGAUACUGUGGGGGACGCCAUAACGGUGUACGACCCCGGAUAUGAAGUCUAUCACCGGUCCGAAUUCGGUUGUUUUAACAGGUUUGGCCCCUAUCCAUUUGGUGAAUUUAUCCACCAUGACCAGUAAGUAUUUUUUCUUGUGGGUUCCCCCUUUAAGGGGUCCAACCAUGUCAAGCCCCCAGACCGCGAAGGGCCACGUAAUGGGGAUUGUUUGGAGGGCGGUGGGUGGCAUGUGGCUUUGAUUUGCAAAGAGCUGGCAACCGGCGCAACUUUGGACCAAGUCCUGUGCAUCUGCCUGGGCUGUUGGCCAAUAGAAUCUUGUACGAAAGGCCUUGCUUACAAGAGCCCGGGCUGCGGCGUGGUGACCGCCGAGUCCGGCGUGAAUUUCUGCCAAAAGGUUCCGCCCUUCCUCUUCGGACAUGCACCUUUGAAGGACUUCGGUAGUGCUUUUUUUAUACAAUUCUCUCUCAUGGACCCUGUAGGCCUUAGAUCGCUGCACUAUGCAGCGUGCCUCAUUUUGGUCCUCUGGAAGUUCCUGCCUAGUUAGGUAGGCCAGGAAUGGUUAUGUCCAUGGGGCUAUUAUGGCCGUCAUUACAUGGGCUGAAGGUGUUAUUUCGGUGGCGGAGCCUCCGAUUGUGUCAGAGUGUUCGGUAUCGGGUAUUUUGGCCGGGUCCGGACUAUUGUUACCGGUGUCCCCUUCCCAUACUACGGAUGGCUAGAACAGCCUCUCCAAAAAUAUGUUGGGGGGACCGCAUCGCGUUUUGCGCCGAUGCGGGCGAGGAUAUCCGCUGCCUGAUUGUUUUCUCGAGCCACAUGGUGAAAUUCGAGCACCUCGAACCGAGCUGACAUUUUUAGGAAGGCGUUUCAGUAGGCCGCCAUUUUCGGAUCCUUGGCGUCAAAGUCUCCAUUUAUUUGGGAUAUUGCAAGGUUUGAAUCCCCAUGCACGUCCAGGCGUUGAAUGCCCAUGGAGACUGCCAUCCGAAGACCAUGCAACAGAGCUUCGUAUUCGGCUGCAUUGUUGGAGUAUGUAUACAAUAUUUGUAGUACGUACUGAACGGUAUCUCUAGUUGGGGACGUCAGGACGACGCCAGCCCCUAGACCAGCCAGCAUUUUAGAACCGUCGAAGUGCAUGAUCCAAUUGGAGUAUGUGCCGUACUCGUUAGGGAGUUCGGCCUUCGUCCAUUCGGCGACAAAGUCGGCCAAUACUUGCGACUUAAUGGCUUGUCGAGGUUUUUAUGUUAUGUCGAACGGGAGGAGCUCAAUGGCCCAUUCGGUAAACCGGCCCGUAGCGUCGUGGUUGUUUAUAAUAUCAUUAAGUGGCAAUUCUGAGGCUACUGUAAUUGAACACUCUUGAAAGUAGUGUCGCAGCUUCCGGGAUGCCAUGAAUACCGCAUAGGCUAUCUUUUGAUAAUGUGGGUACCGUGAUUUGCAUGGAGUGAGGACAGUGGAUACAUAGUAUACCGGCUUUUGAAGAGGGAAUUUAUGUCCGUCCGCUUCUCGUUCGACGACGAGCACUGCGCUUACAACUUGAUGAGUUGCCACAAUGUACAACAGCAUUGGUUCGCUGAUGUUUGGCGCGGCCAGGAUUGGGUUAGUUGCCAAAAUGGCCUUUAUUUCUUCAAAUCCGGCUGUGGCAGCGUCCAUCCACUCGAAGUGUUCGGUGCGCCGAAGGAGGCGAUAAAGGGGUAAAGCCUUUUCUCCUAAGCGGGAGAUAAAGCGGCUUAGAGCCGCCACGCAUCCAGUUAACUUCUAGAUUUGUUUGAGGUCUGUUGGGGUAGCCAACUAUGACAAAGCUCGGAUUUUGGCCGGAUUAGCUUCAAUACCUCUACAGGAGACAAUGAAACCCAGGAGCUUUCCGGCUGGUACGCCGAAAACGCAUUUUUCCGGAUUGAGUUGGAUAUCGUAUGUUCGGAGGUUAUCGAAUGUGAGCCUCAAGUCGUCUAUCAAAGAGUCGACGUGUUUGGUUUUGACGACCACAUUGUCUAUGUAUGCCUCUACUGUUUUGCCGAUUUGUUUCUCUAGACAUGUCUAAAUCAUGCGCUGAUAUGUUGCGCCGGCGUUUUUGAGCCCAAAAGGCAUUGUGUUGAAACAGAAGGGACCGUAUGGUGUGAUGAAUGCCGUUGCGGCUUGGUCGGACUCCACCAUCUUGAUUUGGUGGUAACCGGAGUAUGCGUCGAGGAAACACAAUGACUCGUGUCCUGCGGUAGCAUCGAUAAUUUGAUCGAUGCGGGGGAGGGGGGAGGGAUCCUUUGGGCAAGCUUUAUUGAGGUCCUUGAAAUCGACACAAAGGCGCCAGGAUUUACCCUUCUUUGGUACCAUCACCAGGUUUGCUAGCCAGUCCGGGUGUUUUAUUUCUCUGAUGAAUUCGGCCUCCAAUAACUUGGCUAGUUCCUCUCCCAUGGCCUGUCUCUUAGGUUCGGAGAAACGCCAAAGAGCUUGCUUGACUGGCUUGAAUCCUUUUAGAAUAUUGAGGCUAUGCUCGGCCAGCCUACGUGGGAUUCCUGGCAUGUCUGAGGGAUGCCAGGCGAAUAUGUCCCAAUUCUCGCGCAGGAACUCUCGUAGUGCGGCGUCCACGGCGGGGUUUAACUGUGCCCCGAUGGAGGCUGCUUUUGUAGGGUCCGUUGGGUGGACUUGGAAUUUGACUAUUUCAUCCACAGGUUUAAAAGAGGUGGACUUGGAUCUCUUAUCGAGUAUCACGUCGUCCCUGUCCACUAUGGAGCGUAGCGUGGUUAAUUCCUCGGCCGAGAGGGCUUCAGAUAAUGCCUCGAGGGCCAAUGUGGCUGUUUUGUUUUCGGCGCGGAGUGCUGUGUCCGGAUUACUGGCGAGGGUGAUGAUUCCGUUGGGCCCGUGCAUUUUGAGCUUCAUGUACCCAUAAUGGGGUACGGCUUGGAAGAUCGUGAACACCUCACAUCCUAGAAGGGCGUGGUAUCCACUGCUGAAUGGGGCCACUUGAAAUGUAAUUUCUUCGGACCUAUAGUUCUUUGGCGUACCGAAUACCACAUCUAGUGUGAUUUUCCCAGUGCAUCGUGCCUCCCAACUAGGUAUGAUUCCCCUGAAGGUUGUGCUACUUUGCUCAAUGUGGUUCCAGUCUAUUUCCAUUUUUUGAAGAGUUUCCUCAUACAUGAGGUUUAAUCCGCUGCCGCCAUCCAUGAGUACUUUGGUGAGUCGAAAGCCAUCCACAAUUGGACUGAGGACCAAUGCGGCUGGUGCUCGGGCUGUUCGGAAUUUAGGUUCGUCAGUGGCAUUGAAGGUAAUAGCCGUGUCACUCCAUGGAUUAUUGCUGCUACGUGGCAGAUUUCGGCCAUGCUGCGGAGUGUUCGCUUGCGCCUGUUAUUUGACGCGAAGGUCUCAAAGACUGUUAACACCGUAUUGUUAUCCACGGGAUGGUGCUCUGUGGCAUUUGGGAUAAGAAGAUCCUCACCACUUUUGGCCACCUGCCGGAGUAUCCAACAUGCUCUAAGGCUGUGCAUUGGUAUUGUAUCCGUUGUACUAUGAAUUUUGCAGGGUCCGUUAAGCCAUCCCUCCAGUACGGUUCCAUGCCCUAUAGAGGGUUUUUGUUUCUUGCAACUAGCUCGGGUGUCUUAUGAUAGUGCACCCUUUUACUUUGGAUUGGGUGUAUAUUCGGAGCCGGAUUAUCCCAGAAUUUCGUUUCGGUUUUCUAGGCGCUUUCCAUCGCACAGUACUUUCGUACUAUGGACGCCAAGUCAGCGAAGUGUGAUAUGUCACGGUGACUUAAGGCGUUAAGGAUUCCCUUGUCCGUGCAAUUAUUGCAAAAAAGUGAGACUGCAUCUUCCUCGCGACAGUCCUUAACCCUGUUCAUCACAAGGAGGAAUCUGGCCCAAUAAUGAUGUACUGUUUCAUGGGGCUCUUGCCUAAUGUGGGAAAGAUCGUUUAUGUCUGGGUGGGUGGGUGGAUUGGAGUCCGAACCCCUACCCAAUCUGAGACCCAGGGGCUGAGGAGUUUCCAAUCUUGGAAGUUCGGGUUCCGGAGUGUUGCCCGAUAAGUCUAGCCCGCUGCCUGAUUCUAGGUUCAGGGCUUGGGUGAUGUCAUCCCGUAAGCAGGUAUCCGGCUCGGAGAGCUCAGGAAUCCGGACAUAGUUAGUCCUGAAAAUAGAGGAAGAGUUGCCGCAUUGUUCCUCCACCACCGCAACGUGAUGGGUGGCCGAUGGAGAGUUAAUCUCCCUUUGAUCGGGUUUAAGCCCAAUCUGAUCAUAGUCCAUAAUGACUCCCAAGGCGGCGAUGCGAUCCAAGACUUCGUUUAGGGAAGAGAGCUCCAUUGGAUCCAUCUGCUCGGUGAAUUCCGAGCCGACGUGGAGGCUGUUUUUGAUGACCCGAGAAGUCAUCAUCGGUGCAGCGGCCGAACAGGCAGUCAUGACGAAACUGCCUAGCCGGAGAGUUUGGCCGACAACCAGAGCUCCCCCGGCGGUAAUGUUGUUUUUAACAAUGAGACGAGACAUCCUUCCUUACAACGACGUCACAGAGGAACUCUCAAUGAAAGCACCAAUGUCGGUGUCAAAACCGGCGGAUCUCGGGUAGGGGGUCCCGAACUGUGUGUCUAAGGCGGAUGGUAACAGGAGGCAGGGGACACGAUGUUUUACCCAGGUUCGGGCCCUCUUGAUGGAGGUAAAAACCUACGUCCUGCUUGAUUUAUUCUUGAUGAUAUGAGUAUUACGAGAGUUGAUCUACCACGAGAUCGGAGAGGCUAAACCCUAGAAGCUAGCCUAUGGUAUGAUUGUAUGUUGUCCUACGGACUAAAACCCUCCGGUUUAUAUAGACACGGAGGGGGCUAGUGUCGUGGAAUUGUCACGGCAGAUGUCCUAGUGUAAGGACUUAGUCGCGAGGCCAACACAUCUAUAUGGUAGCUUGAAGGGGUUGAGCGGAAUCGAGAGACGCAACACACAAGACGAGGAUUUAGACAGCUUCGGGCCCCGGGAAACAUCAUCCGGUAAUAAUCCUACAUGCUAUUUGUGGCUAGGUCUCAUUAUGAUUAUGAGGAAGUCGCCGUAAGCCGGCUCUCCUCUUGGUGUCUAGCCCUAGAUAUUGUUUCUCUUCCCUAUCCCUCUUUGGGGAGCCCUGCCCCUCCUUAUAUAAGUUAGAGGGGCGGGUUACAUGUGGAGUCCUAGUAGGACUAGGAUUAGUCUAUCUUCUCUUACAAGUUGAUUACAAGUCCGGGUCUUGCUUCCUCGUAAAGGAGAUAUUCCUCAUGCCUUUCCUCUUAAGCCGGCCUACCAUAACAUAGCCGGCCUCCUGGGCCUUGAGCCUCUUGGGCCCUCGGGUCUUGUCGCUCCUUUGUUCCGCUUGCCAGGUCACCCAUAAGUCGCCAGGCUUGGGCGGGUCACUUAGUGAGUCGUCUAGUCAGGGCGGUUCAUUAGUGAGUCGCCAAGUCCGGCCGGGUUAUACAUCUGGCCGGGUCAUACCGCGGGGUAUAUCCCUGACAUUAGCCCCCUAGUUUAAUUUGGCUUUAUCCAUGUUAAACUGCUCUGCAACAUAAACACAAGAACAAAUUGACAGGUUGCACUCCGGGUUAAAUAUUCUUGUAAGCCGACACUUGAUCAUCCUUAAGUCCUUGUCAUCUCCUCCUUCUGGAAAAUCCGGGUCAAUGAACCAACUUUGUAGUCAAUUUGCUUGUAGAAGAAAUAUUGUAAAUAAAGCAUCCAUUUGAGUCGGCCUUCAAUGCUCUGACUUGACAAAAAUAUUGGUCUUCAAAUAUUCAACUUAUAUUCAGCCGACUUGAGAUAUAAAACUUGCCGGUUUAUGAUUACCAAAAUUGCCGGGUUAUAAAUAGAUGAUGCCGAGUCAUAAUUGUCGCCGACGCUGGUUUAUGAUUUUUGCAGACACCGUGUCAAUCUGAUUUACUCAAACUGAAAAUUUGAAGAUAUUUCUCCCUUAUAUCCAUAAUACCUGUAGCCCCCAAGGGCCGGUUUAAUCAACAUGAAUAAGCCGGGACUUAUCACCAUGGCUUUAAAUGAAAUCCAGUUGUGUAGCCCCCAUGAGUCGGCUAUAGUCAUAGUAGUGUAGCCGGGUCAUCCUAGAAUUGUCUUAAGCAAAGAGCAAUAUGCAUUAGCCCCCAAGUGUCGGGUCAUUAUGUAAUAAUGAGCAGGGACUUUGUAAAUAUGAUGAUGUAAAUUUGAGCAGUAACGUGUAGCCCCAAGGGCCGGCUUAGUAAGAUAAUACUAAGCUGGGACUUUUCAUUGAAAAUAAUAUCAUAUGAUGUAACCGCCAUCCUGGGGCUUGAACCCACGUCCACAAGGUUAACAGGAGCAAUUGGUAUCCCCCAAGGGCCGGCUCAUUACAAUGGGAUGAGUCGGGUCUUUAAUAAGGCCAAUAAAAAUGACUUUGCAUUAGCCCCCAAGUGUCAUGGUGCAUGCUUGCAGCGACAUGAGACUUGCAUAUUUGAUGUAACCUCAACUUGAAUAAUGUAGCCCCCAAGUGCCGGGUCGUAAGCCUGCAGCGACUCGGGACUAUUUCCUCCAUUGUAAAAUAAAUCAUGCCCAUUGAUAAAGAUAAUAGAUGUGGCGCUAAAGCAACUUUGAAAACCUCAAUCAUAAUACUGGUUAUUGAUAAUCAUAAUAGAAAUCCAGCCAUGUUGGCUAUUCAAAAUUUGAAUAAUAUAAUCCGGUAUGAAAACCUCAAUCAUUCAAUAUCAUCAUUGAAAAUCCAGCCAUGUUUGCUAUUUAAAGAAUUCAAAUACCUUAUCUGUUGACAAGUAAAUCCGGAGUUUAAAUACCCGGCGGCUCUUGGCCGAUGGCGAUUCAAUACGCCUUCAUUGUAAACCAGAAUUUUCAUGACCCGGCGGCUUAUAGCCUUUUGAGAAAACUCCAGAACGGAUAACCAUUUUGAAGCGUCAACUUUGGUAAUGAGCUUGAACUUAAUCAUUUACAUGUCAUAUUUCUGCAAAUCCUGCAGAGAGUUUAAACAACAUAUGCCCUGGCGACUUAGCGUCAAAACCAGGGCGGGUCAUAAUAUCUCACAUAUAAGUACUGUGAUAUUGAAUUUGUACUGCCGGCUUACAUAACUUGUGCAGUAAGGGUGAUAACCCAAUCCUUAGAAGCCAAUGCUUCCACAUAGAUGAUGAUUGUCAUAAACUGGCGACUUAUAGUCAAAAGUCAAGUCGGGUUAAGCAUAAAACACUUAUAUAUAUAUGAGAUAUAAUCCCAAAAAGGUCUCAAGUUAAGUAAUUAUGGCUGCAAUAAACUUUACCAGAGACAGAAUAAAACUUUUUGAGGCUUCUGAUUCGGAUACGAUCAGUAAACCGUUCCAAAGGGUUUAAGCUAAGAUUUGAAUAUGAUCAUAUAGCCCCCAGUGGCUUUGGCGAUGCUGAUCAAGAGGCUAUCAACAGCUAUGUUCUCUUUGGUUCGAAUACGACCUAUGUUUGAACAGGAAGCCCCCAAAUGACGUUGAGAGUUGUUUAAUGACACUGAUUCAAAUACAAUCCACGUCGAUUCCCAAAGGGGUUGAGCUAUGAUUCGGAUACGAUCAAGAAGCCCCCAAGUAGGUUCGGCAGUUUGCCAAUCAAAAUGGUAUCGACAGCUAUGUUCUCUUUGGUUCGAAUACGACCUAUGUUUGAACAGGAAGCCCCCAAGUGACCAUAUAAAUUUUGGCAUUGCACCGAUCAAGAGGGUAUUGAUAGCUAUGCUCGAUGAGCAGGAAGCCCUCAAGUGAUCAUAAUAAGAUAAGCUGUAAGGAAGGAUAUCCAAGUUUGAACCGCGCAUCAUGGCAGCAAGUUCUUUUGGCAACCUUUAGUUUUUCUGAGAACUCGAACUUGUGAGAGAUUUAAAUCUUUUUGAAUCUGGAACUUUAAACCGGAUUUAAAAACUUCAAAACUUUGUGAAAGACAAAUUUACCUUGAGCCGGAUUUUGAACCGGAUUUGAUAGCUUCAAAGCUUUGUGGGAGAGAGAUGUCUCUUGAGCUAUAUUUUAAACUGGAAUCUUCAUUUUGAGCCAGAAAUUUUUCUGACGGCCUUUAAAUAUUCGCCAAUAAAGAAUAGCCUCCGGGGCCGGGUUAUCUUCCCUUCAAUGACCCGGAGUUCUUGAAUUCAUUGAAACCGGCUAAUUUUGCCGAGCCAUACCAUUGUAGCCCCCGAGUCUCAAGAUGACUCAAAGAGUUGGCUUGAGUUCUCCAUAUUUUACCAUAGCAGAAGGUGUAUAUCAUUGGCGUUGAUAACGCGAUGUGAAUCCACAGAAGGUUGAGGUGACUGCGGUGGGUUAUAAAUGAUCCCGUAUGAGCCGUGUCAGCAACUCGGCCAAUGGUUCCCUCCAACUGGUUGUUUGAAGCUUAAUCAAACUAUAGUGGUGGCAAUUUGUGUGCCUGCCCAUUGAGGCAUCCAGUGCAGAUGGCGGUUGAUAAUAUAUGAUAAUUUGCCUCCAAUUUGUUGGAAGAGAAAACCGGCUUCCCAAGCGGUGACUUGCUCAUACUCAAUAAACAGCUCAUGCUGACAGGUGCGGCCCAGUGUGUUGAUGUAGACCAGGCCACGAGAGACGGACGGCAGAGACGACCGCAACAUCAGUGGUGGCCCCGACAGAUGAGUCGGUCGCGGUGUUGUAAGCCAGUGCGGAUGGGGAAAAUCUUCACCGGUGUUGUAAACCGGCACGGACGGGCGCGUUAAUCGCGGGUGCGGUCCCGGUGAUUCGAAGUAGUCCGGGCCACAAGGGCGGUGUCUUGCACACAUAUUCUUUGAUCCUUGUGGCACGGUCAUAUGCUAGCACAUGACAGUAAUUACGCAAUUUAUAUAUCCAUGAUUCGGCCAUCGACUUUGCAAUGACCAAUUGUCCUGCAUAUAAAAUGCAAAGACCAAAGUAAUUGCUCUCUGACAAAAACAAUAUGUGCUAAAAUUAUACUUAGAGGGAUAUCACCUGAUUCGUUGGAACAACAGAUGAGUCGGCCGUGGCAUUGUAAGCCAGUGCGGACACGUGAACCGGUGCGGACGCGUGAGCCGCCAUGAGGGAAGAUGGACGAGUCGUCCAUGGCGUUUUUAAAGCGGGCGUGAGCGGCGAGUCAAACGUGAUGUUGUUUAACCGGUGUAGAUGCAUGAAUCGGCAACAGGUGCGGACGGAUGUAAUCCGAACAUCGGGGCGGCGACUUGCACGUAUAUCCGUCGAGCAUCCUAGCACGGACAAACACCAAUGCAAAAAGUGAUGCUGAUGCGCCCCCUUAGGCGACACCUUUUCAUAAUUGUCCUGCAAAAAUAUUACAAGACCAAGUAAUUGUUCUUUGAUAAAAACAAUAUGUGUUACGAAAAAUGAACUUUAGAUGAAUAUCACCAGAUUUGUUCGGAUGACGGAUUGCUCAUAAGUAGUUUUCAUAUAUAAUUGUGCAAUAUGGCUGAGUUCCACUUUAACCCCAGAAAAUAUCCUGUCAGUCAACCAGCCUCCUAAGACUGGUCCGGUGGACGCGCGGGGCCGCAGCAGAAAAAUGACGCGAGCCUCGCUGGUCAACAGGUGGGCUCAUCACGAGGGCAGCCCAGAGGGAACCAAGAGAGACGACCCGGUGAUUUCACGCGGCUGGCUGGCUCGCAAGUGGAGGCGGACCCGGACUCAGACGUGGAGAGCCGCGGCGGCUCAGGGGCCACCGGCCCGAUGGAAAAUAGUCAAAACGAGUUUCACGCCCAAACUUCCGGGUCGUGGUUUGUUUCCUUUUUUGGAUCGGGAACAUAAUUGCUUUUGGUAUUUUUGUCUUCUACCUUGUUUGAUUCAUCAUAUAUAAGGCUAAUCAAUUUCCAAAUAGUGCUUGAUCCCUCGUCUGAUCCGAUAACUCGAUCGGAAAUUUGCCCUUGUAUGUAUCUGCGAUUUGCACAUUUCAGAUCCAAUGAAUCCUUGCUGAACCAAACGGAAAAUCCCCCACUUUGGAUCUAACGAACUUGAUGUUGAUGUGAAUCUUCCACGCCGGUUUUAGUUGAAUCAGAAAAUUGUGAACUUCUCAAACCCUAGAAAAGAUCCCUCCAAGAACUCAACACCACCGUGCGUCUGGCCCCAUGGUGGGCGCCAACUGUCGUGGAAUUGUCACGGCAGAUGUCCAAGUGUAAGGACUUAGUCGCGAGGCCAAUGCAUCUAUGUGGUAGCUUGAAGGGGUUGAGCGGAAUCGAGAGACGCAACACACAAGACGAGGAUUUAGACAGCUUCGGGCCCUGGGAAACAUCAUCCGGUAAUAACCCUACAUGUUGUUUGUGGCUAGGUCUCAUUAUGACUAUGAGGAAGUCGCCGUAAGCCGGCUCUCCUCUUGGUGUCUAGCCCUAGAUAUUGUUUCUCUUCCCUGAACCUCUUUGGGGAGCCCUUCCCCUCCUUAUAUAAGUUAGAGGGGCGGGUUACAUGUGGAGUCCUAGUAGGACUAGGAUUAGUCUAUCUUCUCUUACAAGUUGAUUACAAGUCCGGGUCUUGCUUCCUCGUAAAGGAGAUAUUCCUCAUGCCUUUCCUCUUAAGCUGGCCUACCAUAACGUAGCCGGCCUUCUGGGCCUUGAGCCUCUUGGGCCCCCGGGUCUUGUCACUCCUUUGAUCCGCUUGCCAGGUCACCCAUAAGUCGCCAGGCUCGGGCAGGUCACUUAGUGAGUCGUCCAAUCAGGGCGGGUCAUUAGUGAGUUGCCAAGUCCGGCCGGGUGUAACACGCCGGAUAUGACUUUCCCAAUAUGUAUUCCAACUCUUGUCGUUUCCGGCCUUAAGUUAUUUUAUUUUCUCAGGUUCGGGUCUUUGUCUCUGUGUGUUGUUGUCGUUGUCAUGCAUCUCAUAUCAUGUCAUCAUGUGCAUUGCAUUUGCAUACGUGUUCUUCUCAUGCAUUCGAGCAUUUUCCCCGUUGUCCGUUUUGCAUUCCGGCGCUUUGUUCUCCUCUGGUGGUCAUUUCUACCUUUCUUUCAUGUGUGGGGAUUAAACAUUUCCGGAUUGGACCGAGACUUGCCAAGCGGCCUUGGUUUACUACCAGUAGACCGCCUGUCAAGUUUCGUACCAUUUGGACUUCGUUUGAUGAUCCAACGGUUAACCGAGGGACCAAAAGGCCUCGUGUGUGUUGCAGCCCAACACCCUUCCAAUUUGACCCAAAACCCACCAAAACCCUCUCCAUCAUCUAGAGCGUUCGAUCACGAUCGCGUGGCCGAAAACUGCACCCCAUUUGGACACUCCUAGCUCCCUCUACCUCUAUAAAUAGACCCCCCCCCAUUUCCAAUUCGCGGAUCUCCCCUUCCUAACCCUAGCCCCGCUCCAACCGCUGCUCGACACGUGGCCGCCGCCGUCCUGCCUCCCGCCGCCGUCCCGUGAAACCCGUGCAGGGCCUCCACGGCCCAGCCGCCUCGCCCCGCCGCCCGGCUCCUCCCGCCGCCCGCACCUACAGAGUGCCNNNNNNNNNNNNNNNNNNNNNNNNNNNNNNNNNNNNNNNNNNNNNNNNNNNNNNNNNNNNNNNNNNNNNNNNNNNNNNNNNNNNNNNNNNNNNNNNNNNNNNNNNNNNNNNNNNNNNNNNNNNNNNNNNNNNNNNNNNNNNNNNNNNNNNNNNNNNNNNNNNNNNNNNNNNNNNNNNNNNNNNNNNNNNNNNNNNNNNNNNNNNNNNNNNNNNNNNNNNNNNNNNNNNNNNNNNNNNNNNNNNNNNNNNNNNNNNNNNNNNNNNNNNNNNNNNNNNNNNNNNNNNNNNNNNNNNNNNNNNNNNNNNNNNNNNNNNNNNNNNNNNNNNNNNNNNNNNGCCCGACGCCGCGCUCGCCCGCGCCGGCGAGCCUCCGCUCCGACGCCGUCCGCCGUCUCCGGCACCGGCCACCACCGCGGCACCGCCGCCACCGCCAGCAACUCCAGCGUCCCGCUCCGCCUGCGUCGCCGGACCACCACCGCGGCGCCCCUCACCGGCCUUCUUCUCCGCGGCAAGUCCACGGCGAACUCCGGCGAACUCUGGCCGGUCAUCCUUGGGACGUGCGCCCUGCUACAGUGCCCCGGAUCCAGACCUGGAUCGGAUCUGGUUGACCUCUUUUCCCCGAAACCCUAAUCUCAGUAUUUUUAUUGCAUACAUUGACCUGUGAUAUCUCCGCAUCCGUAGCUCCCUUUUGGGCAUAUAGCAUGUCAAAAUGUUCGUCUCAGAGAGCAUAUCAUUUCAUCUCAUUGCAUCAUUUUCAUUUGAGUUCAUCUUGAUGCCCGAAAUGCUAUUAGAAGAGUGCUACUUGAGAUAAUUGUCAGAUCUGCUGCUCCAUUUAGAUAUUUGUCAUUUUUGCCAUGAUUAAUGUGUGCAAGAUAUGUCCAUGAGCUCUACAUAUGUUUUGUUAAGGGUUUUGCCAUCUUUCCAGAGGUGCAACCCAUGUAUUUUUGUGAUAGGUGUGGUGACUAGCACAAGUUUGCAAAGUGAGGCAUUGUUAAUGUUGAUUUCAGCAACUUAGCAUUUCCACUAAGUCCUUGAGCUGUUUAUCUCAUAUGGCCAUAUGUUCAUGUUGUUUCCUAGUGAUCCGUGCCUCUUUUGAGGAUGAUCAGUAAGGAUGUUUUGUUAAUCUUGUAGUGCUCUAUGCAUACAUUUAUUUGUUUGCAAUUAUGGAGAACCCUAGCUUGAGUCAAUCGAGCUCUACUUUUGUUAUUUCAUGAAUCUGGGCAGAUUGUCUACUUGUUAGCAAUUUUGCCGAGGAUGUUGUAGUUGAUCCGUGCAUUCUACGAUAUUGUUCUUGCCAUGUAUAACUUAUAUUUUGUGUAUUCUUGAUGGAUGUAUGCUUAGUUUGUCAUGACUUGCUCUGUGGUGAGUGCAUCAAGCUCGUAAACAUGUCUACUUGAUAUCUGUUUUAGCAUGCUCCAGUUUUCACUAAGUCUGAGAACUGAUUAUGUUUUUGCCAUGUUCACAUGCUUGCAAAUGUAUUUUCUGAUCCCUUUUGGCUCAAGGUCACUAAGGGACUUUUGUUAAGCUCUUUGCGUAGCUAUAUGCCAUGUUUUACUUUACCAUGUUGAGGUCUUGUAGCAUAUAGUUUUCAUUCUCCGAAGAGCGCUAUCUGAUCUGAAAUUCCAGACAAGUGUUAAUUUCACUAAGUCUGAAAUCUGUUUGUCAAAUGCAUUUUUGCCAUGCUUGUUUGAACCUGUUAAUGGAUGAAUUGGCCGUAGCUCAGUGCUAGACUUUUGUUAAGCAUCAUGAAUGAAUCCCUUCCAUGUAUUUUUAUGCCAUGUUUGGGUGCUGUAGCAUGUUCAUCUUGUUGCAUUUAGAUGGCUACUUCCUAUAAAUCGCAGAACAUGGUCAUAUUUGAAUUGCUUGCCAUUUCCAAACCGUAACUCCGAUUCCGGCGUUCUUUAUAUCGUUUUCAAGCGAUUUCAUCUCAUCUUUCCAGUGGCACACUUGGAUUUCCAAGUUUAGGCCAGGUUCAUGCAUCCCUUGUCAAAUCUUGCAUAUGCAUCACAUAUUGCAUCCCGCAUAGCAUAUUAUCUUUGCAUCAUAUUGUUUGAGCUUUGCACGUGGUUGAUUGUGUUUCAUUUGCUUGUUUGUCUUGUUUGGGUAGAGCUGGGAGACGAGUUCACUAACGAGGAGCCCACUGAGUUUGCUUUCGAGGAUCCAGUCAACUCUGACAACUUUCAGGCAAGAUGACCAUACCCUCGAAAUCACUUCUAUCUUUGCUUGCUAGAUGGUCGCUCUUUGCUAUGCCUAUGCUACGAUACCUACCACUUGCUUAUCAUGCCUCCCAUAUUGUUGAACCAAGCCUCUAACCCACCUUGUCCUGGCAAACCGUUGUUUGGCUAUGUUACCGCUUUGCUCAGCGCCUCUUAUAGCGUUGUUAGUUGCAUGUGAAGAUUGAAGUUUGUUCCUUGUUGGAACAUGGAGAUGUUGUUCCUUGUUGGAACAUGUUUACUUGUUGGGAUAUCACAAUAUCUCUUAUUUAAUUAAUGCAUCUAUAUACUUGGUAAAGGGUGGAAAGCUCGGCCUUAUGCCUGGCGUUUUGUUCCACUCUUGCCGCCCUAGUUUCCGUCAUAUCGGUGUUAUGUUCCCGGAUUUUACGUUCCUUACGCGGUUGGGUUAUAAUGGGAACCCCUUGACAGUUCGCCUUGAAUACAACUCCUCCAGCAUGACCCAACAUUGGUUUUACCAUUCGGCACCUAGCCUUUUCUUUCCCUUGGGUUCUACAAACUCAAGGGUCAUCUUUAUUUUAAACCCCCGGGCCAGUGCUCCUCUGAGUGUUGGUCCAAACUGAGCGAUGUCCGGAGCUACCAGGGGCAACUCUGGGCUGGCCCACCCGACGUCUGGCUCAUCCGGUGUGCCCUGAGAACGAGAUAUGUGUAGCUCCUAUCAGGAUCUGUUGGCACAUCUGGGUGGCUUUGCUGGUCUUGUUUUACCAUUGUCGAAAUGUCUUGUAACCGGGAUUCCGAGCCUGAUCGGGUCUUCCCGCUAGAAGGAAUAUCCUUCGUUGACCGUGAGAGCUUGUUAUGGGCUAAGUUGGGACACCCAUGCAGGGAUUUGAACUUUCGAAAGCCGUGCCCGCGGUUAUGGGCAGAUGGGAAUUUGUUAAUGUCCGGUUGUAGAUAACUUGAACCUUAACUUAAUUAAAAUGAAUCAACAGUGUGAGUUACCGUGAUGGCCUCUUCUCGGCGGAGUCCGGGAAGUGGACACGGUGUUGGAGUAAUGUUUGCGCAGGUUGCUCUCUAGUUUCUCGUUCGUGCUUUGCCUCCUCUUCUCACUCUCUUUUGCGAACAGGAUAGCCACCAUAUAUGCUAGUCGCUUGCUGCAGCUCCACAUAUUUUACCUUGCCUUACCUAUUAGCUUAAAUAGUCUUGAUCGCGAGGGUGCAAGAUUGCUGAGUCCCUGUGGCUAACAGAUUACUUCCAAACCAGAUGCAGGGCCUGAUGAUUCCGCUCCAGGUGAUGCGUUUGAGCUCAAGUGGGAGUUCGACGAGGACUCUCAAGGAUACUACGUGUCUUUCCCUGAUGAUCAGUAGUGGUGCCCAGUUGGGGUGAUUGGGACCGUGUCGCAUGUUGGGUUAUCUUUUAUUUUGGCGUCGUAGUCGGGCCAUGUGUGUUUGGAUGAUGUAAUGUUAUUUAUGUACCUUGAUUGACAUGGCGAGUGUAAGCCAACUAUGUUAUCUCCCCUUUAUUAUUUAUAUUACAUGGGAUGUUGUGAAGAUUGCCUAACUUGCGACAUUGCUUUCAUUGCGGUUAUGUCUCUAAGUCGUGCCUCGACACGUGGGAGCUAUAGCCGCAUCGAGGGCGUUACAAGUUGGUAAUCAGAGCCUUCCCCGACCUUAGGAGCCCCAUGGCUUGAUCAUUUUAACAGCCGAGUUGUGUCUAGAAAAAUGUUUUGAGUCAUUUAGGAAUUAUAUAUUGGAGAGUUAGGAAUUCUUUUUACUUCCCAGUCUCCUCAUCGCUCUGGUAAGGCAUCCUGACGUAGAGUUUUGACUCUUCUCUUCUCAAAUUUCAAAAAAAAAAUUAGGAUCACGCGGGUAUCUUGGAAUUGUUCCGAUGGUUUUGUGAAGAGAACAUUGUUCUUGGUGCCUCCUGACAUUUAGGGGUUGUGGCAGUGUCCCGGGGAGUUGAGCUCCGAGGUGUUGUCAUCACAAUUUUAUCGUUGCAGUUCUGGAAUACCUGAGUUUAGUUUCACCGACAUCGAAAAUCUCUUUUAUGCAGUUGUUGGUGAGAUAACCUCGACGCCACCCAGUACUGGGCGGGAGUUCGGGAGUAUUUCCAUAACUCGUAUAACGGAUACUUUUCGAAGGUUGAGGUAGACGAUUUCCGAAGGUUUCUUGGUUAUGUGUUGAAGGAUGGAUACAGCUGGAUGUAGGAUUCGCUAGAUUUGGGUGAGAUAUUAUGCUUCCCCUGUAUCCCCAACACCUGAUUGCAUAACCGGAAAGGUUCGGGAGUUUCAUAGGUGGGAAUUCAAGUAGCUCUAUCUCUUCUUCCACGGAUAUUUGGUUUGAGAUUGGGAUUUCUUACCGAGUAUUCGUUCUUGAUCCGUACCUUGUUGAUUUUCCUACCUAAAUUCUAAGUGGCUUCUCAAUUUAUGGAUAUGUGACCAUUUCAAGAGGAAUGCAUUCGUUCAUUUUGUUCGGAUGUGAAGACUUUAUGUUGCAAUUUUCAUUCCGUUGGAUUCAGCUUCUUUUAUCUGUCUAUUUGCUAACGGUGGUCAACCUCUUCAGGAUGGCUCCCGCUAAGAGCACCAAUCAGAAUCAGAAUCAAGAUCUGCCACCACCUCCACCUCCUCCGGAGGCAUGGCAAGCUGUGAUGGCCGCAACCAAUGCAAACACACAGUUGAUCAUGCAAAUUCUUCAAGAGCGCAAUCAAGGCAACCAAGGGAACCAAGGCAACAAUCAGAAUCAUUUUGCUACACUGAACCAGUUCCUUGCUAACGGGCCAAAAACUUUCAGCAAUUGUGUUGAGGCAACUGAUGCUGACGAUUGGCUUGUGGAUCUGUGCAAGCAUUUCGAGUGCAGUAACGUCAGGCCUGAGGACUUUGUCAAGUUCGCUUCCUUCCAACUCAAAGAUCAAGCUGCAGAAUGGUUCCAGCAGUACAAGGAUUCCAGAGGUGGACGUGUGAUUACCUGGGAUGAAUUCCGUCAACAUUUCAGAGCUCACCAUAUCCCUCAGAGCGUGGUUGAAAGCAAGCAUGAGGAAUUCCGCAACCUGAAGCAAGGCUCUUUGUCUGUCUAUGAUUACAACAAGUUGUUUUAGAAGAUCUCCCGCUUUGCCAAGCAGGACGUCCCUGAUGAGAAGAGCAUGAUAUACCAGUUCAGGGGUGGUCUCAGAGAAGAAAUUCAGCUAGCUCUUGUUCUCUUUGAGCCCUUGAGGUACGAUGAGUUCUACAACAUGGCAUUGAAGCAAGAGGCUGCUCAACUGAGGUGUGAUGCCUCCAAGAAGCGAGUCAGAGAUGUUACUCCUUCUUCCUCUACUCAAGUGGCCAAGCAGAAGAAGUAUUGGCUUCCUCCUCCUCUGUUCCGUCAGCCGUAUCAACAGAAGAGCAAAGGUGGCAGUGGAUCUUCCCACCCACCCAACCCUGGCUUUCAGAACAAGACUUCGUCUCAAGCUCCAAGAUCGAGUGCUUCGUAUCACCGUCCGCUUUCAGAGGUCACGUGCAACAAGUGCGAACAGAAGGGUCACUAUGCCAACAAGUGUUUCAACCAGAGGCGUCUCCCUCCUCCUCCUCCUGUGAGAUCGGCAAGUACAGCUGUGGUCAAGCAUAACCCCAAGCACGCCAAGGUCAACUUGAUGAAUGCAGCUCAGGCAGAGGACUCGUCAGAUGUCAUCAUGGGUAACCUUCCUAUUAAUGAUGUUCCUGCAAAAGUACCUUUUUAUAUUGGUGCAUCGCAUUCUUUCUUGUCAUGCCCUUUUGCAUCGAAGCACAAUGUUGAUACUGAGAUCAUGCCCAAAGUCAUGCAAGUUGUUUCUCCCGGCAAGCUUUUGACUUCUAGUUUGGUUGCUCCCGAUAUCUCUAUCACGUUGGGCGAUUACAAGUUUCUUUCUUUUCCGGUGGUUCUUGGUAACUCGGAUAUUGAUCUUAUUCUCGGAAUGGAUUGGCUUUCUAAGCACAAGGCUCAGCUUGAUUGUGUAGCCAAGCAGAUUCAAUUGACUCAUUCGUCUGAGGAUGUAAUUGUCUUUGCCUCUCGUGAUGAUACCAUCCGUCUAUUUUCUCUCAAUGAGAAGGGUGAACUGGAUGCUAUCCCGCAAAUUCCAGUCGUUUGCGAAUAUCAAGACAUCUUUCCAAAAGAGCUUCCAGGAAUGCCUCCGCACCGGCCAGUUGAAUUCAUUAUUGAUCUUGAGCCUGGCACGGAACCUGUGUGCAAGCGUCCUUACAAGCUCGGACCUGAAGAGUUGAAGGAGCUGAAGAAGCAACUUGAUAUUCAAGAGCGUAUGGGUCUCAUCCGGCCUAGUUCUUCUCCGUGGGGUUGUGGUGUUCUUUUUGUGAAGAAGAAGGAUGGAACGGACCGACUUUGUGUUGAUUACCGUCCAUUGAACAAGAAGACCAUCAAGAACAAAUACCGACUUCCCAACAUCAACGAGCUGUUCGAACAACUCAAAGGUGCCCAAGUAUUCUCCAAGCUUGAUCUCCAUAUGGGUUAUCAUCAGAUUCGAAUCCGUGAGCAAGAUAUUCCCAAGACGGCCUUCAGGACAAGCUAUGGUUCAUAUGAAUACACUUUCAUGUCUUUUGGCCUCGUCAACGCUCCUCCGACGUUCUCUCGCAUGAUGAACUUCAUCUUCAACGCCUACACCAAUGACUUCGUUCUGGUCUAUCUCGACGACAUUCUGGUUUUCUCGAAGAACAAGGAAGAUCAUGCCAAGCACUUGCGUUUGGUGCUCGAUAAGCUCGGGGAACACCAGUUCUACGCCAAGUUCUCCAAGUGCGAAUUUUGGCUCGAUGAGAUUCUUUAUCUUGGUCAUAUCAUCUCUGCCAAGGGCAUUGCGGUGAAUCCUGAGAAGGUGUCUGCAAUUGUGAAUUGGGAACCUCCUUAGAACAUGAAGCAACUCCGUAGCUUCCUCGGUCUCGCAAGCUACUGCCGAAGAUUCGUUGAAAACUUUCCCAAGAUCGCGAAGCCUCUCUCAAAUCUUCUCCAGAAGCACGUCAAGUACGUUUGGUCUCCGGAGUGUGACAUUGCUUUCAACACUUUGAAAGAUAAAUUGGUCACUGCUCCAGUUCUGACCCCGCCUGAUGAAUCCAAGCCGUACGAGGUCUUCUGUGAUGCCUCUCUCCAAGGUCUUGGCGCAGUGUUGAUGCAAGAGAAGAAAGUUGUUGCUUAUACCUGUUGCCAGUUGAAGCCCAACGAGAAGAACUACCCCACUCAUGAUCUCGAGUUGGCGGCAGUGGUACAUGCUCUGUUGACUUGGAGACAUCUCUUAUUGGGAAGAAAAGUGGACAUCUUCACUAACCACAAGAGUCUCAAGUACAUCUUCACUCAGCCUAAUCUCAACCUCAGGCAGACUCAAUGGGUCGAAAUGAUUCAAGAGUAUAAUCCGAGUAUCGAGUAUACUCCAGGAAAGGCCAAUGUGAUUGCUGACGCAUUGAGCAGAAAGGCUUACUGCAACAGUCUGAUUCUCAAGCCUUAUCAACCCGAGCUUUGUGAAGCUUUCCACAAACUUAAUCUGCAAGUUGUUCCUCAAGGUUUCCUCGCCAACCUUCAAGUUUCUCCUACCUCGGAAGACCAGAUUCGCCAAGCCCAGCUUCUUGAUGCUAUGGUGAAAAAGGUGAAGAUUGGGAUUGCCAAGAGUCAACCCAAGUACAAGUGCUACCGCCUUGAUGACAAAGAUACUCUCUUCUUCGAGGAUCAUAUUGUUGUACCCAAAGGUGACCAUCGUAAAGUGAUCAUGAACGAGGCUCACAAUUCUCUCCUCUCCAUCCACCCUGGGAGCACGAAGAUGUAUCAGGACCUCAAGCAGGCUUAUUGGUGGACUCGAAUGAAGCGUGAGAUUGCUCAAUUCGUGAAUGAAUGUGAUGUCUGCAGAAGAGUGAAGGCAGAACACCAAAGGCCAGCUGGUCUCCUCCAACCUCUUGCCAUUCCAGAAUGGAAGUUUGACCACAUUGAGAUGGACUUCGUGACUGGGUUUCCAAAGUCCAAGUGUGGCAAUGAUGCUAUAUUCGUUGUCAUCGACAAACUCACCAAAGUGGCUCACUUUCUGCCUAUCAAAGAGUCAAUCACUACAGCUCAAUUGGCGGAACUCUAUACCUCUCGGAUUGUCUCUCUGCAUGGUAUUCCACAAGUGGUCUCUUCGGACCGUGGCAGCAUCUUUGCCUCCAAGUUUUGGGAUUCUUUUCAGAAGGCCAUGGGCACUAACAUCCGCUUUAGCACAGCUUUCCAUCCUCAAACUAGCGGUCAAGUCGAGCGUGUCAAUCAGAUUCUUGAAGAUAUGCUCAGGGCUUGUGUGAUCUCCUUCGGCAUGAAGUGGGAGGAUUGUCUUCCAUAUGCUGAAUUCUCCUACAACAACAAUUUUCAAGCAUGUUCGGGCAAGGCCCCAUUUGAAAUUCUGUAUGGCAGGAAGUGCCGUACCCCUCUCAACUGGUCUGAAACCGGUGAACAUCAGCUUUUGGGUAAUGACUUAAUCAGAGAGGCAGAUGAAAUGUGCAAAGUCAUUCGAGAUAACCUCAAAGCAGCCCAAUCCCGCCAGAAGAGCUACUAUGAUAGUAAGCACCUUGAUUUGGCUUUCAAGAUCGGAGAUCAUGUUUACCUCCGCAUCUCUCCUAUGAAAGGUACUCGUCGCUUCGGUAUCAAAGGGAAGCUUGCCCCUAGAUACGUGGGACCUUUCAAGAUUGUCAGCAAGAGAGGCGAUCUCGCCUAUCAACUCGAGCUUCCUUCAAACUUUGCAAAUGUUCAUGAUGUGUCCAUGUCUCUCAGCUCCGAAAGUGCUUCAAGACUCCUGACCGCACCGUCAACUUCAAGGACAUUGAGCUCCAAGAAGAUAUCUCUUAUCGUGAGCACCCCGAUAAUAUUCUUGAAGAGACUGAAUGCAAGACUCGCAACAAGUCAAUCAAAUUCCUCAAAGUCAAGUGGUCACACCAUUCCGACCACGAAGCUACCUGGGAACGCGAGGAUCACCACCGUUCUGAGUACCCAGCAUUCUUUCAGUCCUAGAUCUCGGGACAAGAUCCUUCCGUAGUGGUGGAGUGUUGUAACACCCCGUAUAUGACUUUCCCAAUAUGUAUUCCAACUCUUGCCGUUUCCGGCCUUAAGUUAUUUUACUUUCUCGGGUUUGGGUCUUUGUCUCCGUGUGUUGUUGUCAUUGUCAUGCAUAUCAUAUCAUGUCAUCAUGUGCAUUGCAUUUGCAUACGUGUUCUUCUCAUGCAUUCGAGCAUUUUCCCCGUUGUCCGUUUUGCAUUCCGGCGCUUCGUUCUCCUUCCGGUGGUCAUUUCUACCUUUCUUUCAUGUGUGGGGAUUAAACAUUUCCGGAUUGGACCGAGACUUGCCAAGCGGCCUUGGUUUACUACCGGUAGACUGCCUGUCAAGUUUCGUACCAUUUGGACUUCGUUUGAUGCUCCAACGGUUAACCGAGGGACCAAAAUGCCUCGUGUGUAUUGCAGCCCAACACCCUUCCAAUUUGACCCAAAACCCACCAAAACCCUCUCCAUCAUCUAGAGCAUUCGAUCACGAUCAGGUGGCCGAAAACCGCACCCCAUUUGGACACUCCUAGCUCCCUCUACCUCUAUAAAUAGACCCCCCAUUUCCAAUUCGUGGAUCUCCCCUUCCUAACCCUAGCCCCGCUCCAUCCGGCGUGCAGGACACGUCCGGGCUGCACCGGACGAAAUCGCCGCCGCCAACCACUGCUCGACACGUGGCCGCCGCUGUCCCGCCUCCCGCCACCGGCUCGCGAAGCCCGUGCGGGGCACCCGCGGCCCAGCCGCCUCGCCCCGCCGCCCGNNNNNNNNNNNNNNNNNNNNNNNNNNNNNNNNNNNNNNNNNNNNNNNNNNNNNNNNNNNNNNNNNNNNNNNNNNNNNNNNNNNNNNNNNNNNNNNNNNNNNNNNNNNNNNNNNNNNNNNNNNNNNNNNNNNNNNNNNNNNNNNNNNNNNNNNNNNNNNNNNNNNNNNNNNNNNNNNNNNNNNNNNNNNNNNNNNNNNNNNNNNNNNNNNNNNNNNNNNNNNNNNNNNNNNNNNNNNNNNNNNNNNNNNNNNNNNNNNNNNNNNNNNNNNNNNNNNNNNNNNNNNNNNNNNNNNNNNNNNNNNNNNNNNNNNNNNNNNNNNNNNNNNNNNNNNNNNNNNNNNNNNNNNNNNNNNNNNNNNNNNNNNNNNNNNNNNNNNNNNNNNNNNNNNNNNNNNNNNNNNNNNNNNNNNNNNNNNNNNNNNNNNNNNNNNNNNNNNNNNNNNNNNNNNNNNNNNNNNNNNNNNNNNNNNNNNNNNNNNNNNNNNNNNNNNNNNNNNNNNNNNNNNNNNNNNNNNNNNNNNNNNNNNNNNNNNNNNNNNNNNNNNNNNNNNNNNNNNNNNNNNNNNNNNNNNNNNNNNNNNNNNNNNNNNNNNNNNNNNNNNNNNNNNNNNNNNCGUCGCCGGACAACCACCGCGGCGCCCCUCGCCGGCCUUCUUCUCUGGGCAAGUCCCCGGCGAACUCCGGCGAACUCCUGCAGGUCAUCCUCGGGACGCGUGCCCUGCUACACUGCCCCGGAUCCAGAUCUGGAUCCGAUCCGGUUGACCUCUUUUCCUCGAAACCCUAAUCUCAGUAUUUUUUUGCAUACUUUGACCUGUGAUAUCUCCGCAUCCGUAGCUCGGUUUUGGGAAUAUAGCAUAUCAAAAUGUUCGUCUCAAAGAGCACAUCAUUUCAUCUCAUUGCAUCAUUUUCAUUUGAGUUCAUCUUGACACCCGAAAUGCUGUUAGAAGAGUGCUACUUGAGAUAAUUGUUAGAUCUGCUGCUCCAUUUAGAUAUUUGUCAUUUUUACCAUGAUGAAUGUGUGCAUGAUAUGCCCAUGAGCUCUACAUAUGUUUUGUUAAGGGUUUUUCCAUCUUUCCAGAGGUGCAACCCAUGUAUUUUUGUGAUAUGUGUGGUGACUAGCACAAGCUUGCAAAGUGAGGCAUUUGUUAAUGCUGAUUUCAGGGACUUAGCAUUUCCACUAAGUCCUUGAGCUGUUUAUCUCAUAUGGCCAUAUGUUCAUGUUGUUUCCUAGUGAUCCGUGCCUCUUUUGAGGAUGAUCAGUAAGGAUGUUUUGUUAAUCUUGUAGUGCUCUAUCCAUCCAUGUCUUUGUUUGCAAUUAUGGAGCACCCUAGCUUGAGUCAAUCGAGCCCUACUUUUGUCAUUUCGUGAAUCUGGGCAGAUUGUCUACUUGUUAGCAAUUUUGCCGAGGAUGUUGUAGUUGAUCUGUGCAUGCUACAAUAUUGUUCUUGCCAUGUCUAGCUUCUAUUUUGUGUAUUCUUGACGGAUGUAUGCUUAGUUUGUCAUGACUUGCUCUGUGGUGAGUGCAUCGAGCUCGUAAACAUGCCUACUUGAUAUCUGUUUCAGCAUGCUCCAGUUUUCACUAAGUCUGAGAACUGAUUAUGUUUUUGCCAUGUUCACAUGCUUGCAAAUGUAUUUUCUGAUCUCUUUUGGCUCAAGGUCACUAAGGGACUUUUGUUAAGCUCUUUGAGUAGCUCCAUGCCAUGUCUUACUUUGCCAUGUUCAGGUACUGUAGCAUAUAGUUUUCAUGCUCCGAAGAGCGCUAUCUGAUCUGAAAUUCCAAACAAGUGUUAAUUUCACUAAGUCUGAAAUCUGUUUGUCAAAUGCAUUUUUGCCAUGCUUGUUUGAACCUGUCAAUGGAUGAAUUGGCCAUAGCUCAGUGCUAGACUUUUGUUAAGCAUCAUGAAUGAAUCCCUUCCAUGUAUUUUUAUGCCAUGUUUGGGUGCUGUAGCAUGUUCAUCUUGUUGCAUUUAGAUGGCUACUUGCUGUAAAUCGCAAAACAUGGUCAUAUUUGAAUUGCUUGCCAUUUCCAAACCGUAACUCCGAUUCCAGCGUUCUUUAUAUAGUUUUAAAGCGAUUUCAUCUCAUCUUUCCAGUGGCACACUUGGAUUUCCAAGUUGACGCAAGGUUCAUGCAUCCCUUGUCAAAUCUUGCAUAUGCAUCACAUAUUGCAUCCCGCAUAGCACAUCAUCUUUGCAUCAUAUUGUUUGAGCUUUGCACGUUGUUGAUUGUGUUCCGUUUGCUUGUUUGUCUUGUUUGGGUAGAGCCGGGAGACGAGUUCACUAACGAGGAGCCCGCUGAGUUUGCUUUCGAGGAUCCAGUCAACUCUGACAACUUUCAGGCAAGAUGACCAUAUCCUCGAAAUCACUCCUAUCUUUGCUUGCUAGAUAGUCGCUCUUUUGCUAUGCCUAUGCUACGAAUACCUACCACUUGCUUAUCAUGCCUCCCAUAUUGUUGAACCAAGCCUCUAACCCACCUUGUCCUAGCAAACCGUUGUUUGGCUAUGUUACUGCUUUGCUCAGCCCCUCUUAUAGCGUUGUUAGUUGCAGGUGAAGAUUGAAGUUUGUUCCUUGUUGGAACAUGGAGAUGUUGUUCCUUGUUGGAACAUGUUUACUUGUUGGGAUAUCACAAUAUCUCUCAUUUAAUUAAUGCAUCUAUAUACUUGGUAAAUGGUGGAAGGCUCGGCCUUAUGCCUGGUGUUUUGUUCCACUCUUGCCGCCCUAGUUUCCGUCAUAUCGGUGUUAUGUUCCCGGAUUUUGCGUUCCUUACGCGGUUGGGUUAUAAUGGGAACCCCUUGACAGUUCGCCUUGAAUAAAACUCCUCCAGCAUGACCCAACAUUGGUUUUACCAUUCGCCACCUAGCCUUUUCUUUCCCUUGGGUUCUGCAGACUCAAGGGUCAUCUUUAUUUUAAACCCUCGGGCCAGUGCUCCUCUGAGUGUUGGUCCAAACUGAGCGAUGUCCGGAGCUACCAGGGGCAACUCUGGGCUGGCUCACCCGACGUCUGGCUCAUCCGGUGUGCCCUGAGAACGAUAUAUGUGCAGCUCCUAUCGAGAUUUGUCGGCACAUCUGGGUGGCUUUGCUGGUCUUGUUUUACCAUUGUCGAAAUGUCUUGUAACCGGGAUUCCGAGCCUGAUCGGGUCUUCCCGCUAGAAGGAAUAUCCUUCGUUGACCAUGAGAGCUUGUUAUGGGCUAAGUUGGGACACCCCUGCAGGGAUUUAAACUUUCGAAAGCCGUGCCCGCGGUUAUGGGCAGAUGGGAAUUUGUUAAUGUCCAGUUGUAGAUAACUUGAACCUUAACUUAAUUAAAAUGAAUCAACAGUGUGAGUUACCGUGAUGGCCUCUUCUCGGCGGAGUCCGAGAAGUGGACACGGUGUUGGAGUAAUGUUUCCGCAGGUUGCUCUCUAGUUUCUCGUUCGCGCUUUGCCUCCUCUUCUCGCUCUCUUUUGCGAACAGGAUAGCCACCAUAUAUGCUAGUCGCUUGCUGCAGCUCCACAUAUUUUACCUUGCCUUACCUAUUAGCUUAAAUAGUCUUGAUCGCGAGGGUGCGAGAUUGCUGAGUCCUUGUGGCUCACAGAUUACUUCCAAACCAGAUGCAGGGCCUGAUGAUUCUGCUCCAGGUGAUGCGUUUGAGCUCAAGUGGGAGUUCGACGAGGACUCUCAAGGAUACUACGUGUCUUUCCCUAAUGAUCAGUAGUGGUGCCCAGUUGGGGUGAUUGGGACCGUGUCGCAUGUUGGGUUAUCUUUUAUUUUGGCGUCGUAGUCGGGCCAUGUGUGUUUGGAUGAUGUAAUGUUAUUUAUGUACCUUGAUUGACAUGGCGAGUGUAAGCCAACUAUGUUAUCUCCCCUUUAUUAUUUAUAUUACAUGGGAUGUUGUGAAGAUUGCCUAACUUGCGACAUUGCUUUCAAUGCGGUUAUGUCUCUAAGUCGUGCCUCGACACGUGGGAGCUAUAGCCGCAUCGAGGGCGUUACACUGGGUUAUACAUCUGGCCGGGUCAUACCGUGCGGUAUAUCCCCGACAGCUAGGGUUACACAAGGUCAGUUACAAAGGAGGAGAUAUACAUAUCCGUAUUGCCUAGCUUGCCUUCCACGCCAAGUAGAGUCCCAUCCGGACACGAGACGAAGUCUUCAAUCUUGUAUCUUCAUAGUCCAACAGUCUGGCCAAAGGAUAUAAUCCGGCUGUCCGGAUGCCCCCUAAUCCAGGACUCCCUCACCUUGCGUGCGAACAUGCUAUUAAAAUGGUUGUGAUGUGGUAUGAUAGGGUGGUAUCCUCUUUUGAACAAUUCGAGUGGCUUGACUUCGCACAUGUUCACGCAUGUAGUUGAAACAAAAUCAACAAAGCCUCUACGAUAUUUAUGUUCAUGGUGCAUUAUAUCCUACUCAUGCUUGCAUUCAGUGUCGAUUAAUUUUAAUGCAUGUUCAUGACUGUUGUCGCUCUCUAGCUGGUCGCUUCCUAGUCUUUUUCUAGCCUUCACUUGUACUAAGCGGGAAUACUACUUGUGCGUCCAAUUCCAUAAACCCCAAAGUUAUUCCAUAUGAGUCUACCAUACCUACCUAUAUACGGUAUCUACCUAUCGUUCCAAGUAAAUUUGUAUGUGCCAAACUCUAAACCUUCAAAUAAACAUUCUGUAUUGUAUGCUCGAAUAGCUCAUGUGUCAACUAGGGCUGUCUGUAUCCUCCAUGCUAGGCGGGUUAUUCUCAAGAGGAGUGGACUCCGGUCCUCAUUCAUGAGAAAAUGGCUGGUCACCGGGAUGCCCAGUCCCAUGCUCAAAUCAAAUCAAAAUAAUUGCAAACAAAACUCCCCUAGGAUUGUUGUUAGUUGGAGGCACCCGUUGUUUCGAGCAAGCCAUGGAUUGAUGCUUGUUGGUGGUGGGGGAGUAUAAACUUUACCAUUCUGCUUGGGAACCGCCUAUAAUAUGUGUAGCAUGGAAGAUAUCGAGAUCUCUCGGUUGUUAUGUUGACAAUGAAAGUAUACCGCUCAAAAUAUUAUUCUUAUCUAUUUAAAAACCGAGCUCUGGCACCUCUACAAAUCCCUGCUUCCCUCUAAGAAGGGCCUAUCCAUUUACUUUUAUGUUGAGUCAUCAUCCUCUUAUUAAAAAGCACCAGUUGGAGAGCACCGCUGUCAUUUGCAUCCAUUACUGUUAGUUUACAUUGAGUAUGACUGUGGCAGGAUCUCUUUUACCAUUAAUUACAAUGUCUAGUCAGUCCUUGAUCUUUAAAGGUGCUCUGCAUUUAUGUUUCGCGGUCUCAGAAAGGGCUAGCGAGAUACCAUCUUGUUAUAUCAUAUCAUGAUUAUUUUGAGAAAGUGUUGUCAUCCGAGAUUUCUUAUUAUUGCUCGCUACACUACACCACAACACUGAUGCAAGGACAUAAAAACUGCCAGGAAAAGGCACUUUAAAGGGCAAAUAAACUGCCGAGAUGUCACGACCGGUUUUCCAAUAAAAAUGUUUAUUGGGAAACCAAUCUUUUGAGUCCAGUAUGAGAAAAAUCCUCCUUACCGGUAGACAAAUUCUUGAUACAAUAAGCCAGUAGCAUAAAAUAUUACAGGGUCGAGCUACGGUUGCUCAACCAAAUUAUUACAAGCACGCCAAUAAUUAUACAUAAUGGCGGACAUGACACAGUGGUGUGGAGGCAGACUACUGACUCGAGGAUACGGUGGUGGUGGAAAAUCACAACGGGGAGUGUGGUACAUGACUCUAAAACUAGUACCUCAUCGAGCUUCGAGGCGAGGCUCGAUGAAUUUAUUUGGUAGCGGAAGCGGAUAUAAUACAGUGACCAAAUCCAGGGUCGCACGAGACUGACUGGGACUCCUCUAGGCGUCGGACUCGCUAUCAAAUUCUUCAUCCAUGAGAUCGCCUUCGUCAGCAUCUGGCCAAAUCAACAAGCCAGGUGAGUACUUUGAAAGUACUCGCAAGACAGUUCGGACGUAAGAUAUAACAAAUGCAUGCAUGGAUGUGUCAUGAGUAUUUUAACAGUGGCACAUUAAUUCGAAAAACAAGACAGGUAAAAAGGGGGUCGGCGGUAGUCCGCUCGAAAAUCCAACAAAAUAACUGUAAACCCAAUCGGGUGUCUGAAGCGACACCUCGAUAGGAAGAUAAAUAAAUACAUCACGCAGCAGUCGGGCGUCUAGGCAACACCACUUAAAGGGCUUUAAAAGAAAUGCCACAGUCGGGCGUCUGAGCGACGCCACAUAAAGGGCUUUAAAAGAAAUGCCACAGUCAGGCGUCUGAGCGACACCACAUAAAGGGCUUUAAAAGAAAUGCCAUAGUCGGGUGUCUGAGCGACAUCGCAGAAAGGGCUUUCACCGAAAGUAAAUAAUAACAAUGCCACAAUCGGACGUCUGAGCGACAUCGCAGAAAGGGCUUUCAUUGAAAGUAAAUAAUAACAAUGCCACAGUCGGACGUCUGAGCGACAUCGCAGAAAGGGCUUUUAUUCACAAGUAAGUAACGCUCAUAAUAAAUAUUCAAUUCAUGAUAAUAAACGGGUUAGUCCAUCCACAGGAAUAAACAUUUAAUCGGACUUAGCACUCAUGUGAUUCACCGGAGUCUCUGUCAUCAAAACUGACAUUUUUCAGGAUAAGAUAAUACCGAACAUUGAAAAUGGAAUAGAUGAUUCAAAGGAAUAUAUGACUCUGCAGAGUUCGUACGAAUUUUUUUUCCCACAGCCAACGGAUUUCCGUAGUCACGAAGGACUAGUUCCGUUUACGGUAUUUCGGAAGAAAACACAGCUAACCAGUACACACCCAUCCUACCUCUCGAUGCCAGGAAUCACCCUAGACAUCGUCCAAGAAAAACUUUUGAGACGGGGAGAUCACAAUCUCGAAUAGCAUGGGAUCAAAUUUAUAUAUGCGCGCUCUAAGGGGUGCCCCCCUCUCGGUCCCAACCGGAAACACCCAUGCCCCCUGACCGGAUGGCUGGCUUUAAUCCAGGGCCAUGGAACCAUCAUCACGGCCUCUCCUUUUGGUGUGUACCAAGAAAGCGGUUUGCAACUUACUAAGCCAUAUUCCUUGCGGAAAACAUGUGGUAGUACAGGGAAGGAAAAGUGGAAGGAACUGGAUCGAUACGGGUUGACACUGAAGUCAUAUAGUCUGGCAUAAGACUGGCAUGCUGCAACACUGCCAUCUUACCCAUCCUCAUGCCAACACAUGGCCCUGCAUACUCACAUCCAUCCACUUAUGGGUUUUCGAAACUCACUUGCCUCAUCAUUGCAUGUAACAUGACACUCGUCGGUAUGCUCAUCAACAUGCCAUGAAACUACUUAAUGCAAACAUGCCAAAACAAUCAUCAUAUCAAAAGUUCAAGCAUGCUUGCCUGGUUCAAAGUAGUCAGAGCCUAGCUCGGUGAAGUUCGCGGUCCCGUCACCUCCUUCGGUAUCUACGGUAUAAAGAAACAUACGCGCUAACGUAAAUACCGUGAGGUGCACAAAAUUAUUACAAAUAUUUUUCAAAUAAAUCUGAUAAAAAACUAGACAAAAUCUUAAGGAGAACAGAAAAAGAAUCAAUCAAAAAUACUUUUCUGUUAAAAAGUUAUAAGGGUUUUAGUCCAGGGACUCAUCUGUAAUGAAACAGAAAGUUCCCAGGGGCUAACUUAUAAAAACAGAAAACAAUUCGAUAAAGAAUACGCCGGCCCAGCGGGAAAACGCAUUUGGCAAAAGACGCCUUCAGAAAACGGUUCGUUUAAAAAGAAUUGGGAGGUUGACGGGCGGGUCCCACCCGUCAGGUUUGAAUUUUCAAACGGGGCGGCAGAGCUCGACGGUGCCCGAGAGCCGCGGAGGUCGCCGGCGGCGAUCCACGGCGAGGCAGGGGGAUCGGAGGGUACCUCCAUGCUCAGGGCGUCAUUCCGCGUCGGUUGGUGGUGGUGGUGGUCGCCGGCGAGCACUAUGUCGACGGCGGCCCUUGCUCCGGCGGACGGUGGUUCGGGCGUUGAUGGAGCUCACCGAGGAGGGCUGCAAGGAUCGAAUUGAAGUGGGGGUUAGCUCUCUGGUUGCUCGAGGAGGGUACUGACGAAGUUUGGGCGCCGGGGACGGCCUCACCGGAGCGAAUCGAGACGGAGGCCGAGGCGGAACGGGGCGGCUGAAGUCGGGGGAGGAGACCUCCUCGAGGUCCUCCUAGUGGCCUUUCGGGGCGUUGGUGAGGUGCAGUGGUGGUGCGUGCUCGAGGGUGAGCUCGGGGUCCCCUUUUAUAGGCGAUCCGAGGCAGUGGCCGUGAACGGGGUUCUCCGGCGAUGGAUUACAGCGGCGCAGUGCUCGGUCGGGGAGUUUAUGAGGUUGGGCAUCAACGUGGAGGUCCACUGGUUCCAUUUAGGUGCUAACCGCAGCGAGAUUUGGUUGCUUAGGGGAGCUCGACGGAACGGGGCGGCGCGGGCCCGUCGGCGGCAGGGAGCGUGCUCUGUGCGUGCCGCGCCACGACGACGGUGCUGCAUGCGUGCGCUGGCGAGGAAAUGGCCACGCGGAGCCACUAGGGGGUUUGGGGCGGCGCUGAACGGCGUUGAGCCGCCGUUCUGCUCCCUGUCGGCCACUACGGUGGUUCGGCCACCGCAAGACACGCCGGCGCAGGCGGGCCAGGGUGCCACCGACGCCAGGAAGGCGCCAAGCGCGCGUGUGAGGCUCCGGACAAGCAAGCUAGGCCGCGAGCAACGUGCCAAGGGCAGUGUGGCCGCGUGACUGAAUUUCUGACGAAGAUCGACACUGAAACUCUGAACUUAACUGAAGAUGAACAGAAAUAGUGCAUGCAAGGUGUUCGACAGAAUGAUCUAGGCAUGUAGGGAUUUUUCCUUGAGCUGAAACUUGGUGGGGUGGCCUCUCAUUGCACCAGGAGGCUUCCUGAAUUUUGGUAGAAUUUUUGGAGAAGUGUAGAUAUGAAUUUCACCAAAUUUGGCAAAUCUGGUCCAAACUUGCAGAGAGUGAAAUUUGAAAUUUUAGAAAAGAAGAAGAGUGGAUCAAGAUGGUUCUAGGUUGUGGAUGCUAAGGACAAUCCAGAGAAGUUGGUUUGAGGUCAAAAAUCAAUUGUAUCUUGGUACUUGCUUUGAAAAUCACUCAGGCUCAAAAUAAUUGGCAGAAAUGAUUUGAGAGAUAAAAUAAUUGAAAUAAAAUCCAAAACUUAUUUGGACUUGUUGAGACAGAGAAUUUAGAUUGUUCAAAGGUGGAGGGAGGGAUUUUGAGAAGAUUUACUAUAGGAGACAUGGUAAAACCAUGGGGGUUUUCAAGAUAAGAAAAACCUCAAAAUUCAUAGAGUUUUUUUAUAAGAAAAAGAAUAAUUUCCAAAAAUAUACUUUGAGAAGGGAACCAUCAGAGAAAGAAUUUUAAAUGAUCAAACACCAUAGUUUGAAGAAGAUACAAAAAUAAAAAUCCUUGCCAAAGAAGUUUUUAAGAGGAAGGUUUUCUGGAAAAAAAUAAAUGGCCUCUUUUCAAAAACCAACAAAGUUUUUGCUGAAAACCAAAUAAAAAUUUUGGAGUGUCACAACACCUACCCCCUUAGGAAAAAUCUCGUCCCCGAGAUUUCAGCUGUUCCUUAAAUAAGUGUGGGUGCUCUGUCCGAAGAAAAUCCUCUCUUUCCCAUGUUGCUUCACUUUCGGUGUGAUUGCUCCACUGAACUUUGAAAAACUUGAUGGUUUUCUGUCGGGUCCUCCUUUCAGACUCCUUUAAUAUUUUUACUGGACGUUCCUGAUAGGUGAGGUCUGGCUGCACGUCAAUGUCCUCAUGGGAUACUUGCUUCUCUGGUUUGCUUACGCACUUCCUUAAUUGCGAAACGUGGAACACGUCGUGGACAUCGAAUAAUUCUUCGGGUAAGUCUAGCUGGUAGGCUACGGUGCCUCUUCGUGCCACUAUACAGAAUGGUUCGAUGAAUCUUGGCGCUAGCUUUCCUUUAAUCUUGAAUCGUUGCAAUCCCCUCAUAGGGGAUACUCUGAGGUACACGAACUCACCGGGUUCGAAGCUGACCCCAUGAUGUUUCUGAUCGUAAUAACUUUCCUGUCGGUUCUGAGCUGUCUUAAGUCGGUCCCUUAUUAGCUUGACCUUUUCCUCAGCCUCUCUGAGCAUGUCUGGGCCGAAGAUGCGGCUGUCUCCGGUCUCUGACCAAUUUAGCGGGGUACGACAUCUUCGUCCGUAUAGGGCUUCAAAAGGUGCCAUCUGCAGGCUGGCCUGGUAACUGUUGUUGUAUGCGAACUCGGCAUAUGGCAGGCUUUCUUCCCAACUGGUUCCAUAGGUGAGGACACAUGCUCUCAGCAUGUCUUCUAAAAUUUGGUUUAUGCGUUCAGUCUGUCCAUCAGUCUGGGGAUGGUAGGCUGUAUUGAAGGCCAGUUGAGUUCCCAGAGCCUGUUGUAAAUGAUCCCAGAAUCUCGAUAUGAACUGAGUGCCUCUGUCGGAUAUUAUAGUCUUCGGGACUCCAUGCAGACAAACUAUACGGGAGAGGUAAAUCCUGGCAAGCCUCUGAGUGUUGUAGGUUGUCUUCACUGGAAUGAAAUGUGCCACCUUGGUUAAUCUAUCGGUGAUGACCCAUAUGGCAUCAUUCCCGUGUCGUGACCGAGGUAGUCCGACGAUGAAAUCCAUCCCUAUUUCAUCCCAUUUCCACUCAGGUAUUUUUUUGGUUGCAGUAGUCCGGCUGGUCUUUGAUGCUCAACUUUUAUGCGUUGACAAGAAUCGCAACAUGCAACGUAUGUGGCUAUGUCCCUCUUCAUACCGAGCCACCAAAAUCUUUCCUGAAUAUCCUUAUACAUUUUGGUUCCUCCAGGGUGGAUCGAAUAUGGGGCGGUGUGGGCUUCAGCUAGAAUUUGCUGUUUGAGGUCCUCUAUAUUUGGUACGCAGAGUCUGUCUCCGUACCAUAAUAUUCCUCCAUCGUCUAUGAUGAACUCCGAGGCCUUGCCCAUACUCACCUUUCUUUUAAUUCCUUCGAUGCUAGGGUGACCAGGCUGAGCUUCUUUAAUUCUCUCCACAAGGUCGGGCUGUAUUUCCAAGUUUGAUAUGGUGCCUUCCGCGAUCAUUAACAAGUUGAGUUUGACAAAUUCUUGUUGGAAUUCAGGUCUCAAGCUUUGCAGACUAUUUUCAUUGGAGCUGGGGUUCCGACUAAGAGCAUCAGCCACUACAUUUGCUUUUCCUGGAUGAUAGUGGAUACCAACAUUAUAAUCCUUUACCAAUUCCAACCAGCGUCGUUGCCGUAAGUUUAGUUCUGGCUGUGUGAAAAUAUAUUUGAGACUUUUAUGGUCCGUGUAUAUUUCACAUCGAUUUCCAAGUAAGAAAUGCCUCCAUUCCUUGAGUGCAUGUAUGACUGCUGCCAAUUCUAAGUCAUGAGUGGGAUAAUUUUCCUCAUGCUUGCGAAGUUGCCUUGAAGUGUACGUGACAACCUUGCCUUCUUGCAUGAACACGCAUCCGAGACCCUUUCGGGAUGCGUCACAAUACACUUCAAAAUUCUUGUGUAUGUCUGGCACAAUUAAUACCGGUGCUGUCGUUAAUUUCCGUUUUAGCUCUUGGAAACUUUUCUCGUAGGCUUCUGUCCAUUCAAACUUCUUGUCCUUCUUGAGUAGCUGCGUCAUUGGCUUGGCUAUGGUGGAGAAUCCUUCAAUAAAUCUGCGGUAAUAUCCCGCCAUUCCCAAGAAACUUCGUAUGUCCGUUACGCUGGCUGGUGACUUCCAGCCAAGUAUGGCCCUGACUUUCUUCGGGUCCACUGCGAUACCAUCUCGGGUCAGCACGUGGCCUAGAAAGCCUACUUGUCUUAGCCAAAAUCCGCACUUCCUGAACUUGGCAUACAAUUGAUGUUUCCGGAGUUCUCCUAGCACAAUUCUGAGAUGUUCCGCGUGCUCUUCUAGUGUCUUGGAGUAUACCAGAAUAUCAUCGAUGAAUACCACAACAAACUUGUCCAUAAACUUCAUAAAUACUUUGUUCAUGAGGUGAACAAAAUAUGCGGGGGCGUUUGUUAAUCCAAAUGGCAUUACUGUGAACUCAUAUAGUCCAUAUCUGGAGGUGAAUGCUGUUUUGGGGAUAUCUUCUGUUCGCACUUUUAAUUGAUGGUAUCCUGACCUUAAGUCAAUUUUUGAGAAUACCUUGGCCUGAGCGAGUUGAUCAAACAAAUCGUUUAUCCGGGGCAUUGGGUAUUUGUUCUUGAUUGUGACCAUGUUAAGUGCUCGAUAAUCGAUACACAAUCUCAGUGUUCCAUCCUUCUUUUUGGCAAAUAAUAUUGGUGAACCCCAAGGUGAGGAGCUGGCUCAUAUAUACCCUUUGUCCAAUAAUUCCUUUAUUUGCUUCUUCAAUUCUACUAAUUCGGAUGGUGCCAUUCUGUAUGGUUUCUUGUAUAUGGGAGCGGUUCCUGGGGCUAGCUCAAUGCUGAAUUCUAUCUCUCGGUCUGGUGGCAUGCCUGGUAGUUCUUCGGGGAAUACGUCUGGAAAUUCACACACUACUGGAACCUUGUUUAGCUUAGAAACGUCCACCUUAUUCAAUCUCGGUUGUCGGGGUAUUUUUCUUUCUUUGGCUGACACUCUUAUUGUCUUCCCGUGGUGGUGUGUGAGAAUUACGGUCCAGUUGAAACAGUCAAUAAAACCUUUGUUGGUGGUUAACCAGUCCAUCCCUAGGAUGACAUCCAGUCCUUUAUUUUCCAAUACAAUAAGAUUGGCGUGAAACUUCAAUCCUUCAAACUCAACAACCACAUCCUGAUAGUAAUUCUGAGUGACUUGCUGAAUCCCAGGGGACUUGAUGAUCAUGGAUUUCUCCAAAGGAAGCAUCGAAAAAUUAUUUUGCAAAGCAAAACUUUUCGAAAUGAAAGAGUGAGAAGCUCCAGAAUCAAACAAAACCAUUGCAGGUAUUGUGUUGACAGGAAACGUACCGAGUACGAUAUCCGGAGCAUUUUGUGCCUCCUCUUUGGUUACGUGGUUCAGAUGACCCUUCCUGUGGUUGUUGUUGGGGUUGAAAUUGUUUCGCUUGGGUGCUGAAUUAUUGCCACCGUUGUUCGGCUUUGGGGUCGAGUUCCUUGGCUUGGGGCACUGCUUGGCAUAGUGCCCUUCCUCUCCACAAGCGUAGCAAGUAACGCCUGGGCAUUAUGUGAACUCCUUGUCCCUUGCAUGGAAAUUCUUGGUUGGGCGUGAGACGUUUGUCAUAGGUUUGUGUGUCCCACCUUUCUGAAAAUCUGUCUUGCUUCGGUGGUUGCGCGCAAGAGUAGUCUGGUCUCUUUUUCGCUUGCGGAAAUCCUCCAAGCUACGUCUCUCAUUUUCCAGAGUAAUGGCUUUGUCCACUAGUGUCUUAAAAUCUGGAAAAGUGUGCACGACCAGUUGGCAUUUAAGCGCGGGCGCUAGACCAUCAAGGAAUUUCUCCAUCUUCUUGCUUUCAGUCAUACGCUCUUCAUUGGCGUAGCGAGACAAUAGAGUAAAUUGACCGUUGUAAUCUGACACUGUCAUGUUCCUUUGUUUGAGGUCAUCGAACUCUCUCUUCUUGAUUUUCAUAAUACUCUUAGGAAUGUGUGCACCACGGAAACCUUCCAUGAAAUCAUCCCAGGUUAUAUCACUUUCGUUGGGGUGCAUGUGCAAAAAAUUCUCCCACCAUGAUGCAGCUGCUCCUGUGAGAUAGUGCGGGGCAUAUAGUACCUUCUCGGGGUCUGAACAUUUUGCAAUAACUAAUUUUCUCUCCAUAUCUCGAAGCCAAUCCUCGGCUUCAAGAUGCUUGUCAGUAUGAGAAAAUGUUUGGGGACAUGUCUUCUGUAGCUCAGAUAACUUGGAAUGCUGCUGAUACUGUCCAUGGUGAUUUCCCAUGUUGAGGACUUGGUUCAUCAUUUCCCGAUGUUGUUGCUGACUCUGCUCAUAAAGGCGGCACAUUUGGGAAAGUGCCGUUUCACUGCCCUGUUGGCUCGACUGUCCCUGUGUGAACUUGUUGCUGGGUUGUGUAUCAUAAUUUUCCUCUGGCGGAGUUGGCAUGGAGCGAGUCCAAGGAUGAGACAUUUUUCACUCUGGGGAUAUAUUUUGUAAAACCCAUAAGAAAAGCGAAAAGGGUCGCAAAAAUAAUUCCAUAAAUGCACAAAGCUGGCAAGUAAAUUAAAUAACCAAGCUUACUUAAGAAAAACAAUUCGAUUUGCGCACGGAGAAGGACUGCUCAUUACAAAUCUUACACGCAGGCGGUAAUUAUACAAUACAUCACUCAAGAUAUGCGUACAUAAUCCUGACAUGUUAUUUAGGCUAGUGCACUCCUCCAGAUCCUACAUGAUGUGCAAACAGGCUACUUCUCACAACCUAUGUACAUAUAAACAUAUCGUACAAAGCGGUACAUUGCAUGGCGGCUAAGCGUACUCAGGCGGAGAUGUUGACGAUCUCCUUUGCCCUGCCGAGGGUGAGGCGUAGCGAGGCUGGGGACUCGACUUCCUCCUCACUGAUAGGCUCCAUACGUGUAGAGCUGCGCUGGUUGGACGGAGUGGGCGCCAGGGGCGGAACAACAUGAAUAGGAGUGGGCGUGAAGGGUGGUGCAGUGCGCGCUGGAGUGGGUGCAAUGACUUGGUUGAACUCUUCGGUAGAAGGCAGGCGACAAGUAGGUGCAUAAGAUGCUGAGGACGAGACAAAAGUCAGUGGCGAUGCGGUGGGCAGGAGUUCCCUCCUAUUGGCGGCACAGCCAUGGACUGAUUCCAUGCGGGCAGCCACGAAGUCAUCCACCAGGUUGUCGAAGGCUGCCUCCAGGGACCGGAGAUACUCAAUAAGCAUCUCAAAAGCCUCGUCUCGUUCUCCUUUGGGGCAGGAGAAUGCGUAGUGACAGGUGUAAGGCACAUGGCAUGGAAGAUAACGGUAACGACGAGUCUUCAUCACGGGGAGGACAUCCCUGGGACGAGCUAUCGCCUUGCAGGCUGCCAUCUGCAUAGCAUGCCUCUCCGUAGGCAUGGCUCUUCCCAAGAACCGGAAGCGGCGUAACUCACCACGCCCUCCCUUGAACUGCACCGCGGCCUGGUGCAUGGUCAGAUUGUCGUUGACUUUGUGCUGGCAGAGUGUGAAGACUGGGCGCACAGAUGGCCCCAUCGCGACCUGAACGAUGAAGGAGAGAAGCUUGACGAACCCAUCGGGAACGUUGGCGAAGGUCUGAGACUCGCAGCUGUUGUCGGCCAUCUACAAAAGUAGGCAAAAAUUCUGAAUGGUCAGAUCAUAAAAUUUAUGCUGACUGUCAGAAAAUGACUACAAUUGCAAAAAUAUGAUUUAGCUCUAGCAUGCUAAUCACCAAUUAGCGAUCGCACCUAGUGGCUUCCUACAGUCAGCCUAGCUCUCGUACCAAGCUUGUCACGACCGGUUUUCCAAUAAAAAUGUUUAUUCGGUAACCAAUCUUUUGAGUCCAGUAUGAGAAAAAUCCUCCUUACCGGUAGACAAAUUCUUGAUACAAUAAGCCAGUAGCAUAAAAUAUUACAGGGUCGAGCUACGGUUGCUCAACCAAAUUAUUACAAGCACGCCAAUAAUUAUACAUAAUGGCGGACAUGACACAGUGGUGUGGAGGCAUACUACUGACUCGAGGAUAGGGUGGUGGUGGAAAAUCACAACGGGGAGUGUGGUACAUGACUCUAAAACUGGUACCUCAUCGAGCGUCGAGGCGAGGCUCGAUGAAUUUAUUUGGUAGCGGAAGCGGAUAUAAUACAGUGACCAAAUCCAGGGUCACACGAGACUGACUGGGACUCCUCUAGGCGUCGGACUCGCUAUCAAAUUCUUCAUCCAUGAGAUCGCCUUCGUUAGCAUCUGGCCAAAUCAACAAGCCAGGUGAGUACUUUGAAAGUACUCGCAAGACAGUUCGGACGUAAGAUAUAACAAAUGCAUGCAUGGAUGUGUCAUGAGUAUUUUAACAGUGGCACAUUAAUUCGUAAAAACAAGACAGGUAAAAAGGGGGUCGGCGGUAGUCCGCUCGAAAAUCCAACAAAAUAACUGUAAACCCAAUCGGGUGUCUGAAGCGACACCUCGAUAGGAAGAUAAAUAAAUAAAUCACGCCACAGUCGGGCGUCUAGGCGACACCACAUAAAGGGCUUUAAAAAAAAUGCCACAGUCGGGCGUCUGAGCGAGUGCCACAUAAAGGGCUUUAAAAGAAAUGCCACAGUCGGGCGUCUGAGAGACACCACAUAAAGGGCUUUAAAAGAAAUGCCACAGUCGGGUGUCUGAGCGACAUCGCAGAAAGGGCUUUCAUUGAAUGUAAAUAAUAACAAUGCCACAAUCGGACGUCUGAGCGACAUCGCAGAAAGGGCUUUCAUUGAAUGUAAAUAAUAACAAUGCCACAAUCGGACGUCUGAGCGACAUCGCAGAAAGGGCUUUCAUUGAAAGUAAAUAAUAACAAUGCCACAGUCGGACAUCUGAGCGACAUCGCAGAAAGGGCUUUUAUUCACAAUUAAGUAACGCUCAUAAUAAAUAUUCAAUUCAUGAUAAUAAACGGGUUAGUCCAUCCACAGGAAUAAACAUUUAACCGUACUUAGCACUCAUGUGAUUCACCGGAGUCUCUGUCAUCAAAACUGACAUUUUUCAGGAUAAGAUAAUACCGAACAUUGAAAAUGGAAUAGAUGAUUCAAAGGAAUAUAUGACUCUGCAGAGUUUGUACGAAUUUUUUUUCCCACAGCCAACGGAUUUCCGUAGUCACGAAGGACUAGUUCCGUUUACGGUAUUUCGGAAGAAAACACAGCUAACCAGUACACACCCAUCCUACCUCUCGAUGCCAGGAAUCACCCUAGACAUCGUCCAAGAAAAACUUUUGAGACGGGGAGAUCACAAUCUCGAAUAGCAUGGGAUCAAAUUUAUAUACGCGCGCUCUAAGGGGUGCCCCCCUCUUGGUCCCAACCGGAAACACCCAUGCCCCCUGACCGUAUGGCUGGCUUUAAUCCAGGGCCAUGGAACCAUCAUCACGGCCUCUCCUUUUGGUGUGUACCAAGAAAGCGGUUUGCAACUUACUAAGCCAUAUUACUUGCGGAAAACAUGUGGUAGUACAGGGAAGGAAAAGUGGAAGGAACUGGAUCGAUACGGGUUGACACUGAAGUCAUAUAGUCUGGCAUAAGACUGGCAUGCUGCAACACUGCCAUCUUACCCAUCCUCAUGCCAACACAUGGCCCUGCAUACUCACAUCCAUCCACUUAUGGGUUUUCGAAACUCACUUGCCUCAUCAUUGCAUGUAACAUGACACUCGUCGGUAUGCUCAUCAACAUGCCAUGAAACUACUUAAUGCAAACAUGCCAAAACAAUCAUCAUAUCAAAAGUUCAAACAUGCUUGCCUGGUUCAGAGUAGUCGGAGCCUAGCUCGGUGAAGUUCGCGGUCCCGUCACCUCCUUCGGUAUCUACGGUAUAAAGAAACAUACGCGCUACUGUAAAUACCGUGAGGUGCACAAAAUUAUUCCAAAUAUUUUUCAAAUAAAACUGAUAAAAAACUAGACAAAAUUUUAAGGAGAACAGAAAAAGAAUCAAUCAAAAAUACUUUUCUGUUAAAAAUUUAUAAGGGUUUUAGUCCAGGGACUCAUCUGUAAUGAAACAGAAAGUUCCCAGGGGCUAACUUAUAAAAACAGAAAACGAUUCGAUAAAGAAUACGCCGGCCCAGCGGGAAAACGCAUUUGGCAGAAGACGCCUUCAGAAAACGGUUCGUUUCAAAAGAACUAGGAGGCUGACGGGCGGGUCCCACCCGUCAGGUUUGAAUUUUCAAACGGGGCGGCAGAGCUCGACGGUGCCCGAGAGCCGCGGUGGUCACCGGCGGCGAUCCACGGCGAGGCAGGGGGAUCAGAGGGUACCUCCGUGCUCAGGGUGUCAUUCCGCGUCGGUUGGUGGUGGUGGUGGUCGCCGGCAAGCACUACGUCGAUGGCGGCCCUUGCUCCGGCGGACGGUGGUUCGGGCGUUGAUGGAGCUCGCCGAGGAGGGCUGGAAGGAUUGAAUUGAAGUGGGGGUUAGCUCUCUGGUUGCUCGAGGAGGGUACUGACGAAGUUUGGGCGCCGGGGACGGCCUCACCGGAGCGAAUCGAGACAGAGGCCGAGGCAGAACGGGGCGGCCGGAGUCGGGGGAGGAGACCUCCUCAAGGUCCUCCUAGUGGCCUUUCAGGGCGUUGGUGAGGUGCAGUGGUGGUGCGUGCUCGAGGGUGAGCUCGGGGUCCCCUUUUAUAGGCGAUCCGAGGCGGUGGCCGUGAACAGGGUUCUCCGGCGAUGUUACGGCGGCGCAGUGCUCGGUCGGGGAGUUUAUGAUGUUGGGCAUCAACGUGGAGGUCCACUGGUUCCAUUUAGGUGCUAACCGCAGCGGGAUUUGGUUGCUUAGGGGACCUCAACGGAACGGGGCGGCGCGGGCCCGUCGGCGGCAGGGAGCGCGCUCUGUGCGUGCCGCGCCAUGGUGACGGUGCUGCAUGCGUGCGCUGGCGAGGAAAUGGCCAGGCGGAGCCACCAGGGGGUUUGGGGCGGCGCCGAACGGCGUUGAGCCGCCGUUCUGCUCCCUGUCGGCCGCUACGGUGGUUCGGCCGCCGCAAGACACGCCGGCACAGGCGGGCCAGGGUGCCACCGACGCCAGGAAGGCGCCAAGCGUGCGUGUGAGGCUCCGGACAAGCAAGCUAGGCCGCGAGCAACGUGCCAAGGGUACUGUGGCCGCGUGACUGAAUUUCUGACGAAGAUCGACACUGAAACUCUGAACUUAACUGAAGAUGAACAGAAAUAGUGCAUGCAAGGUGUUCGACAGAAUGAUCUAGGCAUGUAGGGAUUUUUCCUUGAGCUGAAACUUGGUGGGGUGGCCUCUCAUUGCACCAGGAGGCUUCCUGAAUUUUGGUAGAAUUUUUGGAGAAGUGUAGAUAUGAAUUUCACCAAAUUUGGCAAAUCUGGUCCAAACUUGCAGAGAGUGAAAUUUGAAAUUUUUGAAAAGAAGAAGAGUGGAUCAAGAUGGUUCUAGGUUGAGGAUGCUAAGGACAAUCCAGAGAAGUUGGUUUGAGGAUAAAAAUCAAUUGUAUCUUGGUACUUUCUUUGAAAAUCACUCAGGCUCAAAAUAAUUGGCAGAAAUGAUUUGAGAGAUAAAAUAAUUGAAAUAAAAUCCAAAACUUGUUUGGACUUGUUGAGAUAGAGAAUUUAGAUUGUUCAAAGGUGGAGGGAGGGAUUUUGAGAAGAUUUACUAUAGGAGACAUGGUAAAACCAUGGGGGUUUUCAAGAUAAGAAAAACCUCAAAAUUCAUAGAGUUCUUUUUAUAAGAAAAAGAAUAAAUUCCAAAAAUAUACUUUGAGAAGGGAACCAUCAGUGAAAGAAUUUUAAAUGAUCAAACACCAUAGUUUGAAGAAGAUACAAAAAUAAAAAUCCUUGCCAAAGAAGUUUUUAAGAGGAAGGUUUUCUGGAAAAAAAUUAAAUGGCCUCUUUUCAAAAACCAACAAAGUUUUUGCUGAAAACCAAAUAAAAAUUUUGGAGUGUCACACGGGAGGCUGGUUCUCCCGGCAGAUAGAACUGCCAUAAGAACGGCUGCCGGGAAUUAGUUCUCCCCGCAGAUAAACUAUUCCCGACAGUUUCUCUGCCCUAACCCAUCUUUUUGCCGGCAGUUCAAUUUCUCCUGGCAGACUAAUUCCCGGCAGUUCCACUGCCGUCACAAUCAUGUUUACCGGGCAGUUGUUAUGCCAUAACACUAUGUUUCACUAACAUACUGUUCGAGGCAACAUAUACCUAAUUUAAUUUUCAUCCAUUGUGUUCAGGGCAAUCGGGACAGAUCACACAAUACACUUCACCCAAAGUUACAUACAGGCCUCAUCCAAAACCUUAAAACUCCAUUCAAUAAACAUGACAGACCAAAUACAUACGUUUGUGGAUACAUGCAUGAAAAGAACAUAUAUAAGGACGCUGUGGCCCUAAAGGAAAAGUACACGUGAUUCUGAUGUGGCACACAACAAAAAAUGAGCAUACAAUGGCUUAUGUGCCAAAACAACCACCAAAAUGAGCAGAGUAAAAAUUGUCAAUGUCUCAAGUUCAAUAAACAACAUUACAUAAUCACUCCAACUUAAUUGUAGGUCUUCCAAAUCUUCAGCAGCCUGUAGAUAUUCCACACCUCCAUCAACUUGUGUAUCUUUGUGAAACCUGCAAUGGAUAGGAAACUCCACACGGAGCUCUCAUUUUCGAUUUUAAAUUGACACAUUAAAGAUUUUCACGUGCUACAGUUUAACUCGUCAGCAUAGAUAAAACUCUUCCAAAUGUGCAGCACUUCAUUGUCACAGCAAGCAACAUUACAAGUUAGAUCAAGAAGGAAUUAUUAGCACUACACAUACAAAAAUCUUCCAGGGGCAGAUAUGGCAAAACAUGAACUCAUACAAUUAAUUUGCACUGAACAUACAAGAGCUAACUUCUAAGUACACAAAGUAAUGCCAGGGAGAUGCUCAGACCAUUUUAGUCCAUGGACAAAAACUAAUGUACAAGGCUAGUGCCUCGCCAUUGCUAUGCAAGUAGCUAGGGUUAGGCGUCUAGUGCUCAUAAGAUAUGAUUACGUAGAAGGCGCAGCGUGUUGUGCAAAAGCAAAAAAUCCCCACUACUAACCUGAAUCACAUAAUGCAGCUAAAAUGGACAUAUUUUGUGAUCUUUUAAGUGGGAGUCUAACUUUUUAGUUUCCUGGUUCCAUGCUUUUGUUUUUGCAGUCAAAGUACAUUGAAGCACUUAAGGAGAAAGCAGAACAAUAUAAAAAAAAGAACAGGGCAUAGUGAAUGAGACAAACCUUCAUAAAGAGAGGAGCAUGGAAGUCCCACCUGUUUGCUGGCAAAUACAUGUUUGUAACAUCUAACUAUAGAAAGAAACUUGAAGAGGACAAAACAAUGGCUAGAGGUAGAAAGACAACAGCUUCAAGAAGUCAUGACGCAAUGCUAUUUCCAGUAGGGGCGGCAGUACAAAACACACUCGCCACCAGAAUGACCAUUCUGCUUUGCAUAAUCAGGAGACGAGAUGUUAACGAAGCACAUUAUAUUUGCUGAAUAAUUUUUAAUGCCUUGGCAAGCUGAAGGCUGCGAGCAUUUGUGCCCUUUUGUCUAUACUAUUGUAACAUGUAACUAGUGAUUUGUAACAAGAUUCUCGUAAUGACUCAAAUCAAUAGUAAUUUACCAGUCAGUGUUGGUAUAACUUAGUAGCGGAAUUCUAGGAUACAUGUAGCUUCGUAGUACAGAAAAUUAGGAUAAUGUUCCGUAAUGCUUGCCACAAGGCCAAGUUUAUGCAUGAGUAAUUUCAGGACAAACUGGACAGAGAGAUUAGGAAAUUAGAAACAAAAAAUCUAAUUAUCAUCUAAAUCUAAUCAGAAUCAAAAAAUUAAUCACGACUUCAGAAAAUACUAAUCAAACAUCUAUGUAUUUAAGCAUAAGAACUUCAGGUUACCUUUUUUGCAAAACAGAGGAUACAUGUGCUCAGAUUUCAAGCAAGUUUUUCUGUAAAUUUUAUGCUGGACAGAUUGCUUUGCACUUAAUUAAGGACAAUUGAGAUACGGGUCCAUGAACUAACCCCAAAUAGCAAUAUGAUAAAGCCAAAAGCCUUAAGUUUUCACAGCAACCAUUCCUACAACUACUGAGUCAUCAUGCUGUCACGUCAUUGCAGUACAUAUACUUGUCAUCAAAAAAGGGCAGCCCCAGUGCAUGUAGCUCCCGCUUGCGCAGGGCCUGGGGAAGGGUCCAACCACUUUGGGUCUAUUGUACGCAGCCUUUCCCUACAUUUCUGUAAGAGGCUGUUUCCAGGACUUGAACCCGUGACCUCAUGGUCACAAGGCAGCAGCUUUACCACUGCGCUAAGGCUCCCCUUCACAUAUACUUGUCAUCAGUAUAUAAAAAAUAGAAGAGUGCACAUACAUGUAACUAUCUAAUCAGCAAGUAAUUAGACUUAGACCAAUAGGAAAGGAAAUGUAUUUUUAAGUGGACAAUCAUGUUAAUUCUUGUGCAUAGUCCAUACAAGAGUAUAGCUGAACAUAAACAAACAGCCUAAAAGGUUUGUACUUACUCAUCAAAUACUACCAAUCUGAAUGUCUUUUCAUGCUCAAUGAGAUUGAAUGGCACAAUGUUGUAGAUCAGCCCUUCACUUAGCUGGCCCCUGAAUUCUCUAGAGCAUCCAUGAUGCUGCCCUACACGUGUGAGUCAAAUAGUAUCAUAGUCAGAGGAGAUGAUUCGUUAGAUACAAAGUGAAAAAUGUACAACACCAGCAGCAGUAGAACGACGUAUCAAUAAUCGAAAAUGUAUGUCAAUCGCGUCGCAUGGCAAACAAGACAUGAUUAGAGGUAGACACAUGGAUGAACUUUGGUGACCAUGUGGAGCUUGAGAUUGAUUCCAAAAACUAACUCUCAUUAUGAAACAAUCAACAGAUUGCUCUGAUCUGAUGCCAUUUCAACAUGUAGCCAACAGGGGAAACUUUCUUGAACAACAUUCAGAAAAUUUCCCCUCUUUCCUGAUUCGUCCUAACAUCCUAACCUACUCAUCUCCUAGUUAAGUUGUUAUUUUAGGUGGCAGCAGAUCUGGAAAGAACGGCGGAAAAAAUCAUUCUUUUGCCACUGGGCUACCAUGGUCCCAGUAAACACAAUACAGAGAAAGAAAGGCGAACCUUGCUGCUGCGCCAUUGCUCGUGGACCUGCAUGACAAGGUACUGUACUACUAGGGUUAUAUUACUUGUUUGUGGCACUGCAAUAAAGCCUUUUCUAAAAUCUGAACCACAUUCACUAGUUAAAACUUUAUACUAUAGAAGUAGUACUCCACUUUCAGUCUACAUUUGCAGCAAAAAUAUACAGAAAGAAGUUCUCUAGCUAUAUUUGCAACACGAGUAAAGCUUUUCCCCCCAAAGCUUGCAUGUAGUACUCCUACUGGGUUUCACUGAUUUAGUAUGCAGUUGGAGCACCCAUUUGCUUCAAUGGAGGAUCUCUUCACCAUAAGCAAAACUUGGGCUAUCGGAUGGCAAAGCUAGUCGUUAUCUUCACAACUGUAGUGCCAUAUAAACUCAAACACUAUCUGAAGUCGUUCUAGUUACUGCUCAGAACAAAAGGGAACAGAAGUUUGCAAAGAUUGAUAUCUCACCGGCCAAGUGCUCUCGGUAGGCAAGGAGGCGGCGCUGCCCCUGGGAGAGGAUGUAGAGGAGCUGGAGCUUCUCGGGAGAGCGGUCGUACAGGAAGGUCCGGUGCUCGGGUGAGGGAGACAGGAGGCGGCCCAGCUUAGUGCUUGGGGAAGGAUGCUCGUGGAGGAGGAGGAGGCCCUACUCGGGGGAGAAAUCUUGAGGAGGAGGCCUGCUCAGCGGAGGAUACCUUGGCUGUUUUGGGGAUGGAGGGCGGUCGGCAGCGUUCCUUGGAGGAAGCAAGCGCUGGGUGCAGCGGGGGAUGGGGAGGUAGCAGCGAAGGGUUUCAUUGGUAGAGGACGGCGGUCAGCGGCGACUGUGUUCCGGGAGGAAGCCGGCGCUGCGGUCAAGUGGUUGGUGGCGGCGGCGGCGUGGACGUGUUUGAGGAUUAGGUUUUGGAAGAUUUGGGGAAGAAUUGGUCAGGGGCUCAGGGCGACAAGCCCACGACCAAAAGAACCCCUUGUGAGCGCCCUUUCUCCCGCGCGAGCGUGCUUGGCCCAAUUGUUUUUUUUUUGAGAAACGGCCCAAUUACCUUGGUUAUGCGUCGCAUCAAAGUUCCCGGCAGACAACAAGCCGCAGUUUAGUUAGGCCGGCAGAUAGGAUGACGUGCCAAGUGGACAUCGUUGCUGGCAGUUUGUGUGCCCUCGUUGGUUAACUUCUCCUGGCAGUUUCUCUACCGUUAAGUACUUCUACCGGCAGUUAUUGAAUUCCUGGCAGUUUCUUUGCCCUUGGUCGUGUAUUUCUCCUGGCAGUUAACUGCCCCUAAAUAGGUGUUGUGGUGUAGUGCUAGCUGAUUAUGCCAUUGAUAUGAGUAAACAUGAGACAUAAAUGUUAUUUUGAAUAUGGUUAGUUCAUAAUCUUUGCUAAAAACUUGAGUGUUGGCUUUACAUAUUUACAACAACAAGAGCAAACCGAGUUUGUAAAAGUUUUUCUUUCUCACUUUCAGUUUAUCAACUGAAUUGCUUGAGGACAAGCAAAGUUUUAAGCUUGGGGGAGUUGAUACGUCUCCAUCGUAUCUAGUUUUCCAAACACUUUUGCCCUUGUUUUGGACUCUAACUUGCAUGAUUUGAAUGGAACUAACCCGGACUGACGUUGUUUUCAGCAGAAUUGCCAUGGUGUUAUUUUUGUGCAGAAAUAAAAGUUCUCGGAAUGACCUGGAAAUCAACGGAGAUUAUUUUUGGAAUAUAUAAAAAAUACUGGAAGAAGAAUCCACGUCAGGGGACCCACGCCCUGUCCACAAGGGUGGGGCGCGCCCCCUGCCUAGUGGGCCCCCUAACGCUCCACCGACCUCAACUCCUACUCCAUAUAUUCACUUUCGGGAAGAGAAAAAUCAGGGAGAAGUAUUCAUCGUGUUUUACGAUACGGAGCUGCCGCCAAGCCCUAAACUCUCUCGGGAGGGCUGAUCUGGAGUCCGUUCGGGGCUUCGGAGAGGGGAAUCCGUCUCCAUCGUCAUCAUCAACCUUCCCCCAUCACCAAUUUCAUAAUGCUCACCGCCGUGCGUGAGUAAUUCCAUCGUAGACUUGAUGGACGGUGAUGGGUUGGAUGAGAUUUAUCAUGUAAUCGAGUUAGUUUUGUUAGGGUUUGAUCCCUAGUAUCCACAAUGUUCUGAGAUUAAUGUUGCUAUGACUUUGCUAUGCUUAAUGCUUGUCACUAGGGCCCGCGUGCCAUGAUUUCAGAUCUGAACCUAUUAUGUUUUCAUGAAUAUAUGUGAGUUCUUGAUCCUAUCUUGCAAGUCUAUAGUCACCUAUUAUGUGUUAUGAUCCGUUAACCCCGAAGUGACAAUAAUCGGAACCAUUACCGGUGAUGACCGUAGUUUGAGGAGUUCAUGUAUUCACUAUGUAUUAAUGCUUUGGUCUGGUACUCUAUUAAAAGGAGGCCUUAAUAUCCCUUAGUUUCCAAUAGGACCCCGCUGCCACGGGAGGGUAGGACAAAAGAUGUCAUGCAAGUUCUUUUCCAUAAGCACAUAUGACUAUAUUCGGAAUACAUGCCUACAUUACAUCGAUGAACUGGAGCUAGUCAUGUGUCACCCUAUGUUAUAACUGUUGCAUGAUCGAUUGCAUCCGACAUAAUUCUCCAUCAGCGAUCAAAUGCCUACGAGCUUUUCAUAUAUUGUUCUUCGCUUAUUUACUUUUCCGUUGCUAUUGUUACAAUCACUACAAAACCCAAAAAUAUUAUUUUUGCUACCAUUACCAUUAUUAUCAUAUUACUUUGCUACUAAAUACCUUGCUGCAGAUAUUAAGUUUCCAUGUGUGGUUGAAUUGACAACUCAGCUGCUAAUACUUGAGAAUAUUCUUUGGCUCCCCUUGUGUCGAAUCAAUAACAUUGGGUUGAAUACUCUACCCUCGAAAAAUGUUGCGAUCCCCUAUACUUGUGGGUUAUCAUAGGACAGUAGCAAAUUUCCCUCAAGUGGAUGACCUAAGGUUUAUCAAUCCGUGGGAGGCGUAGGAUGAAGAUGGUCUCUCUCAAACAACCCUACAACCAAAUAACAAAGAGUCUCUUGUGUCCCCAACACACCUAAUACAAUGGUAAAUUGUAUAGGUGCACUAGUUCGGUAAAGAGAUGGUGACACAAGUGCAAUAUGUAUGGUAGAUUAAGAUUUUUGUAAUCUGAAAAUCUAAAAACAGCAAGAUAACAAGUGGUAAAAGUGAGCAUAAACGGUAUUGCAAUGCUAGGAAACAAGGCCUAGGGUUCAUACUUUCACUAGUGCAAGUUCUCUCAACAAUAAUAACAUACUUGGAUCAUAAAACUAUCCCUCAACAUGCAACAAAGAGUCACUCAAAGUCACUAAUAGCGGAGAACAAAUGAAGAGAUUAUUGUAGGGUUCGAAACCACCUCAAAGUUAUCCUUUCUGAUCGAUCUAUUCAAGAGUCCGUAGUAAAAUCACACGAAGCCAUUCUUUCCGUUCAAUCUAUCCUAGAGUUCGUACUAGAAUAACACCUUAAGACGCAAAUCAACCAAAACCCUAAUGUCACCUAGAUACUCCAAUGUCGCCUCAAGUAUCCGUGGGUAUGAUUAUAAGAUAUGCAUCAUAAAAUCUCAGAUUCAUUUAUUCAACCAACACAAAGAACUUCAAGGAGUGCCCCAAAGUUUCUACCGGAGAGUCAAGACGAAAACGUGUGCCAACCCCUAUGCAUAAGUUCACGAGGUCACAAAAUUCGCAAGUUGAUCACCAAAACAUACAUCAAGUGGAUCACGUUACCCCAUUGUCACCACAAAUAAGAACAUGCAAGACAUACUUCAAGUGUUCUCAAAUCCUUAAAUACUCAAUCCAAUAAGAUAACUUCAAAGGGAAAACUCAAUUCAUCACAAGAGAGUAGAGGGGGAGAAACAUCAUAAAAUCCAACUAUAAUAGCAAAGCUCGCGAUACAUCAAGAUCGUACCACCUCAAGAACACGAGAGAGAGAGAGAGAGAGAGAGAGAGAGAGAUCAAACACAUAGCUACUGGUACAUACCCUCAGCCCCGAGGGUGAACUUCUCCCUCCUCGUCAUGGAGAGCGCCGGGAUGAUGAAGAUGGCCACCGGAGAGGGAUUCCCCCCUCCGGCAGGGUGCCGGAACGGGUCUAGAUUGGUUUUCGGUGGCUACGGAGGCUUCUGGUAGCGGAACUCCCGAUCUAGGUUAUUUUCUGGAGGUUUCUGUAUUUAUAAGAAUUUUUGGCGUCGGUCUCACGUAAAGAAGGUGCCCGAGUCGUCCACAAGGCAGGCCCACGCGCCUUGGGGGGCACCCUCGUGGAUGGCCCGGGACUCUACUGGCCCAACUCUUUUACUCCGGGGUCUUCUUUUGGUCCAUAAAAAAUCAUCAAAAAUUGGCACGUUAAUUGGACUCCGUUUGGUAUUCCUUUUCUGUAAAACUCAAAAACAAGGAAAAAACAUAAACUGGCACUAGGCUCUAGGUUAAUAGGCUAGUCCCAAAAAUCAUAUAAAAUAGCAUAUAAAUGCAUAUAAAACAUCCAAGGUUGAUAAUAUAAUAGCAUGGAACAAUCAAAAAUUAUAGAUACGUUGGAGACGUAUCACAUAGACAAACAUAGUGUCACUAGUUUGGCUCUACACUACAAAAAAAUACACUUCCGUGAUGAUACGUGUUUGUCAUAGUAGGUCACUUUUUUGUCAUGCAUGUACAUCCAUGACAAAUUUAUGACACAAUCAAGAUAGUCAUACCUGUGCUGUCGUAGAAGUGUUCCAUGACAUUACCAAAAUUAUCAUCACGGAAGUGUCCACUUCCAUGAUGAUAAACCGCGCGUCACAGAAGUUCUUUCGUCAAGGGUGACUGACACAUGGCAUCCACCGUAACGAAAUGCCAUUAAGGUAUCAGGUCGGGUUUUGGAUCCGAUAACCCGUUAACAGCACCGACCAAUGGGAAAUUUCCACGUGUAAAAUUCUUAUUGGCCGGACAAAACACAUGUCAGCUCGUUAGUGGGUCAGAUAGGAGCCUAUGAUACGUUGACACGUGGCACGGCCCAACAGAGGCCCAUUCCUGUGAAAAGGCCGGCCCGUUUGACUUGGUCAAAUGGUGGCGGGCCGGCCCAUGGAAAGCCUGUUAAUGGCAUGUUCGCAUAUAGCCCAUUUAUAGCCCGCUAACCCAAGGCCCGCUACGCCCUAUCCGAAUUAGGCCCAGUAGCGUCAUCUAGGCCAUCCAAUAUGAUUCCAGCCCGUUUUCACAUCUGGCCCAUGUAUGGCCCAUAACGUCUUUCGGCCCAUAUGAGGCCCUAUGUAACUCUUGGCCUAUUAACGGCCCGUGGUGAAACUAGCCCGUAAUGAACAGUGUAUCACUUUACACCCAUUAACGGCCCGUGGUGAAACUGGCCCAUAAUGAACAGUGUAUCACUUUAUACCCAUUAAUGGCCCGUUAUUCUGUUGGGCCGUUUCCAGCCCAUGUUAUCUUUCGGCCUUCUCAGAGCCCAUUUAUUCUUGGGCUCAUUUCCAGCAUUCGUUUACUUAUGGCCUGUUACUGUCAUUUUUUGCUUGUGGGCCAAAUUCAGCCCAUGGUUACAGUCGGCCCAUUUGUGGUUCGUUAAUACAUUGGGCCGUUUUCAUAGCAUCAUCAAAUACGGCCUAUUAACGAUGGCCCAUUACGGUUAGCCCAUGAACGGACGAUUCCAACUCUAGCCCGUUUACGGCCAUAAUGCGGCCUGUUAUUGGCCCAUGUUUGGCCAAUCGAUCAUACGGCCCGUAUAAGGCCCAUUGUUGAUACGGCCCGUAGAAGGCCCGUUGUUUCUACGGCCCGUAGAAGGCCUAUUGUUUCUACAGCCCGUAGAAGGCCCACUGUUUCUACGGCCCGUAGGAGGCCCAGUGUCACUACAGUAAAUAUUAGCCCAUGGUUAUUGUGGCCUAGUUUAAAAAAAUAGGUUAUUGCAGCCACUAGUUAACCGCGGAAAAAGAACUGCAAUGACUACAAGCAAACAAAUAAACAAGACAACAUGGAAAUAAAUAAGCAAGCAACUAACGCUAGGCUAUCACGGCUAUUACACAUAUUACAUCCACUGGGUAUCAAAGUUCGCCACCAGUGCAAAUAUAGGGAACAAAGCAGCAUAUCAUAUACACUGGCCAUCAAAAUUGGCCACCAGUGCAAAUAAACGCGGUAGCAAAACAAGAGCAUAACUGAAACAACUUCAAAAGAGCUCAAGAAACGUUAUCCUGGGUAUCCACCAUGCUGGCAAUAAGCUUAGCAAGCUGAUUAGCUUUGUCCUGCUUGGCGCUAAAAUCCUCCGACGCUUGCUGUUGCACCAGAAAGUAUGCAUCUGAAUGCUCCAGGGACUUCCACAGUCCUUCCGCUUCUUGUCGCAGCACAGCUGAUCGAUGUCUUUCAGCUUGUAGUUGAGACUCAAGAAACCGAACUGACUCAGACAGUGAGUUUGAAUAGCUUGUGCAAGCAGUAGUGGACAGUAACUCCAACACUAAACCAAGACAGGAUGUGUCACUAUCCUGAACCUUAUCUGCAUUACUUCCUUUACCGUUGCUUAAUAAGGCACUCUUCCCCAAUAUUCUGUCAGCAUUCUAAAAGAAGAAACAAGCAGACACAUAACAAGUUUAGCAUGUACUAGUAUAUGAAACUCAUUUUGGUGAACCAGUUCAUUAGUAAGGUGGACAUGAUUAAACUACCAAGUCUUCUAUUGCCAAGUACUAGUACAUAAUAAAAGCAUCAAACAAACAUAUAUCUAUGUCCUAUGGUAGCAAUGGAACCUUAAAUUAGAACAGUUGUUCUUCAGGUUUAGGCACUUGUUCUACAUGAACAGAGUACAGUAAGUCGCAAGAAUAUAAUACUUAAAAAUAGAAAAUGAGCUCAUAGACCUUACCACAUUCUUGGUUCGGGACCAGUACAGAACAAGGUGUUCCCAGUCAUCGUCCAGUAAAUGUGUCUCAGGAGAACGUAAAGGAAUUUGAUGAGUUUCUUUGCCGGUGAAGUACGUUUUCUUCAGGUAAUUCCGAUACUACCACCAAGCAUUCUUGAAGAUAGCAGAGGUAUUAGCACAGGUUACCUCAUCCUGAGUUUCCAAAUCGGUCCUUCUCUAUAGAGAAAAAUGGGAAAAUUUGUUGUAUUAUAACCAUCAUGGAGGUAGGAUGUAUGGGACGAAGCAAAGUAAUUGCCAUGAAUAACAUUACUUACACAUAACUCCUGGAAAAACACCUGCAACUGGCAUUUUCCUUCAUCUUCAGUAUAAUAUUUCCAAGAUGGAAAGAUACGCACAUACGAUUUAACAACAUCAAAUGCGAUAGAUGCUAAACUACGACUAGCUGGUUGUGUUUCCUCCACAGGAAUAAGCGUACUAACUAGUGGAGUUGGGGUUCGCCGUGAUAGUACUGGCCCUUUGGGCACUGGAGCUGCCUUACUAACUGCUCUUGUUUGGGAGCUCAGUGGUGGAGAUGGUGCUGUGUCAACAGGAACUGGGUUACUAUCGGCUGGGGUUGGGGUUAGAUUGGGUGAAGCUGGUGCUCUGUCCAUCGUAGUAGGGGUACAAUCUGCGAGAGUUUGGGUUAUGUGUGGUAGGGCUGGUUCUUGUGCAUGUACAACCGGGGUGCUAUCUCCACCAAGAGGUAGCAAUGUUUUAUUUGAAGACCGUGUUUUUAGUCCGCUAGAUACUGGCAUCACCCGCUCCAAUUCAAAUGGCUGAUAAAUAGGAAACAUAGUUGAAUGUACAGACAUUGUAUGAGAGACAAAUGCAAUAGAUAGUGUGGAAAAAAGAGGGCAUGAAAUAGUUGACAUGUAUAUUGUUUAACUAAAAUGGAUAGCAUGACAUAAUUUCACAUAUAUGAUGUCUAUCUAAACUGGAUAUCAUAGCAUAACAUAAUUCAAAGAUAUGACGAAUAACUAAACAGGAUCGCAUGACAUAAUUCACCUACAUGUUAUCUAAGUAAUCAGGACCACAUCAUUUAAUUCACAUAUGUGAUUUAUAUGCUAAAUAGAGGGCAUUCGAUAUGAUGUCUGAACUAAGAACAUGGUGUUGAAUAUUGUGUAUAUGAUGUCUAAACUAUGCAAUGCAAGACACCGUAUGCAUGAUAUGAGCAGUAUAACCGUGCCAAGUUGGAGCAUACACCUCAGUGGGGGAAUAGGACUGGUCAUCUAUCUCUGAAUCCAUCUUUGAGGAGCUAUCGGGACCCAACAAGAGAUCUGCUUCGACAGGUAGCACUGUCUUCUCUGAAGGCCUUGUUUUCACUCCAGAUUUUUCCAUCUCCCACCCAAAUGGCUGAUUCACAGGAAGAGUAGUUUAAUGUACAAACAUUGUCGACAAAUGGAAAUGUAAUGAAGAAAAGGAUGGGAAAGAUAUCAUUCAAAUAUAUGAUGCCUGAUUAAACAGGAUGGCAUUGCACAUUUCACAUAUAUUAUGGCUGGCUAAAAGACAUGAGACUGCAUAAUUCCCAUAUAUGAUAUAGAAACUAAACAAGUGGCAUUACAGAACAUGUCUAAACUAAGCAGAUGACAUAUAUGAUGUCAAAAGUAGGCACUGCAAGGCAACAUAUGCAUGAUAUGACUAACAUCAUCAUGCCAAGGUAGAGCAAACACCUUGGGGGUAAAUAGGAGUGGUCAGCGGCGUCCGAAUCCGCCUCAGAACAGAUAUCUUCCUCUGGAUUACAAUCUGGAGAGGGGGGGUUGUCAUUGAACCCACCAUGGAGCGAUGUCUGCAUGACAUUGUAUUGCCGCGGAAAACUCUUCUCUUUUUCUCUACAUGUUCAGCAUGACUGUGUACAAUAUCUGACAUGCAUACGAAAAAAAUAUGGUGAGAUUAUGUAAGGAGAGCAUGCAGAAAUUUAGAGUGAUGGCAACAACCAGUGGAUCGAUGUUUUUCCAUUGAACCAAAAUAGCCCUAAUGGAUCAACGUGAAUGUAUAGUAAUAAGUGAUGCAACAAGUGUACAACCUCUUUACCAUAGCCGUGUCGACCUCAGCAUCAUUGGGUUGGUCGCUGAAGCAGUUGAGGCAGAGGUGGCUGUCGGAGGUGUGGAGGAAGAUCUGAGGAAUCUGUAGACGGCGUCCAGGGCACUGCUCUGUUGUGACGGAUCGUUCUGUCGUUGGAGCAACUCCGGUGAGCCGUAAGACGUCAAGGCUGAAGUGGCAAAAGACAGACAUCGUCAAUCUCAAGUGGGAUUCUAAUAGCAUCUCCAACAGAUGAUGUAAAAUGAAUGUAAAAUUAACAUCACCAAAAACCACCUGACUACAACAGAUGAGGUAAAAACUGUUGAAUCUGAACUUAACUGUUGAAACUGAAAUUUACUGUGGAAUCUGAAUGCUACUGUCGAAACUGAACGCAAUGGUAGCAGAGAGGCACUUGACAUGUAGUUUAGGGAGGGCCUGCAGUUCAUCUUCAACCUGCACCCCCCUGAGCCGCCAGCCAGCACCGGCCGAACCCCCGGCCCCAGCGCCGCCUCGCCACCCCGAAACAACUCGCCACCGCCGCCCCGGCCAGCCCUCUAGGCCCCCCGCCCCCCACCUGAACCCUAAGAUAGAUAGUGGGGUACCUCUCCGGCGAGCCCCCGUCCCUGCAGUGGGUAGUUCUUCCUUAACUUCAGCGAGCCCCCCCAACCCCUGAAAAUCGACUGACCCAAAAGUCGAUUCAGUCGACUGAAGUGUGGCUUAAUCGGAGCAGAGCAGCAGCACGAGCGAGGGGGAGAGCAGCAGCAGCAGCUGGUCGAGCGAGUGAUCGAGCGAGAGUCGGAGCAGCAGCAGCAGAUCCGGCUGGUAUGGACGCUGCCGCCAAAGGGGCCUCGCACUGGGGGAGAGCCGCCGUGGAGAUGUCGCCUGCAGCGCCGGCUUCAAGGUAGCCGCUCCAUGGGGGUGCGGGAUGGAGCACCGUCGGUGCCGGGAGGUCGAGUUAAGGAGAAGGUGCGAUGCGAUGAGUGUACAACCUCUUUGGUGGCGCCGAGUAGGCCUCGGCUUCAUCCGAGGAGUCGGUGAGGAUGUUGCGGUUCCGAUGGAGCAGGUUAAGGCGGCGCUGUGGGGAUGGAGCAGUCGCGAUAGACAAGGCGAUCGUCGGAGCAGCUCCUUGGAGGUGGAGGAUGGGGCGGCUAAACCGGCGAGACGGCGAGAUGGACGACGGAUCCUCAUCCGGGGAGGUGGACGAGGGACGUCGAGCUAUUGCGCUGGACGAUGUCAUCGGGGAAGAGGCUCCGGCUGGGCAGCGGUGACGUGGCGGACGGAGGAGGGUGGGGUUUCGCGGCUGGAGCGGAGAGGUUAUGGCGGCCUAGGAUUUCGAAUGGCGAAAAGGGGGCGAUGGGAGGGGGUGAAGCAUGACUUAGGAACGCGCUUGUCCAAAAUGUAGGGUGUGUUACAAAAGUACCCCCCACCGAUUUGAACUAGCGGCCCUUUCGGCUCAGGGUUAGAAGGGGGAUUUCGCGUGUCGGGAUUUGGCAGCUGGAGGGAGUUUUCACGCGCGUUGUAAUUUCGGGAUAGCAAGGUGCGGGUUGUGAAGGCGCCCGUUUUGGGAGCACGAUAUCUGAAUUUUCGAGAUAUAACAAGACGCGGGUUGAAUCUUAGGUACAAGCCUAACGUGUAGUAAUAUUGUACUUGUACGUACCAAAUUAAUUCGCACUUCCCUCAACCAAAAAGAAAACGAAAAAAUAAAACUAUUCACACCACACAAAUUAAUUCGUACCAAAUCUUGCCCGUUUUCCUAUACAAAUGCUAUUCAAAGCUACUUCCUCCUUCCAUCUAUAUAGGGCCUAAUGCGUUUUUUGAUGCUAACUUUGACCAAAUAUUAGAGCAAUGAUAUAUGACAUGCAACUUACACAAAGCACACCAUUAAAUUCGUCUGUGAAAGGUUCUUUCAAUGACAUAAUUUUCACAUUGUGCAUGUCAUGUACUAUUAAUCUUGUCAAUAGUCAAAGGCAGUCUUAAAAUCUCAUUACGCCCUAUAUAGAUGGAAGGAGGGAGUAUGAAUCCAUGUUAUGUCCGAUUAAAUUUUUUCGCUUGCUGUAUAAUGCAUGUGACCUACUCAUACCAACAUUUUAGUGCAUUCCAAGUGUCUAUACUACCACUGCAAUUCAAACUAAAUUUGAAUUCGUUUCUCUAUUUCAAUAAGAAUCUACAAUCAUGAUUGUUGCCAACUUCAACCAUCAUAGUUUCCUUGCUAUCCGUCAGAUAUAAAUCAGACGUCCUAUAAUGCAGGAUGGCAGGCACACCAUCAUCAACAACUCCGUUUUUUAUAAGAGUAGAGAUAAAACAUAUUAAAUGUAGUAUACCAUGUUCAUAACCACACCAUGUGUAUCACCGUUAUAUAUAUUCACACAUCCGUCGGUUUGCAACACUAUGAUAAAUUCUUCAAAUAUCCGAAUUCGCUUUUUAUAAUGAAGUAUAUAUGAUCUCUAUUCGUCUUUUACACCCACAGAACCCUCUUAUCUUUGUAGCUAGCGCUAACUUUCUCUUGUGCAUGCACACGCCCGCAUCACUCUCACCCUCCCUCAGCAUUCUCUAGCUCCAUCGCGCAAAUUUGUCUUUUCACUUUAGGUCGUUCACCCACGGUGUGCGUAGGCCCCCUAGCUCCUUCUUUACGGCACACAUCGAUCGAUAUGCCUCUCUAGCCAGGUGUGCCUAGCACAAACACAAGCUUCCCCUCUUCUCUUGUCGCCGUCCAUGCCUCACUCCCACCACUCUUUUCAUCGUUCUCGUACUCGCACACUCCUCCCCCUCGAUAUAGUAUUCCUCUUGUACCACCUCCUACAUGCAUCCCCCUCUCUCUAUCCUUCUCCUCGUGCCUCAUUUGCUUCUAACACACACAUGCAUGUAUACCGAUCGAUCUCCCAACAUAUACCUAGAUCGAUUUUAACUACCCCCCCAUGGAUCGACGUACCUCACAAGUUAUGUCUCUCCUUUAUCUUACAAAGGGCGAUUGAUCUUCCUAUGUAGUUACGUCUGCUUACCACAACCACAUCGCCCCCCUCGUCAUUUGUGCAUGCCUCCUGACCCGUCUCUCACACGCACGUGCACAGACAACAAGCAGCCAUCUCCUCUCUUAUUGCUAUUGCGGGCGUGCCCUCCGUUUUUCUAGCAAGCCUAUCCCACCAUUUGUUAGAAGCAACUCCACUACCACCCACUCCAACACUCUAGCUCUAUCUCUCUCCGAACCUUAUUCGUCUCCUGCACAUAUGCAUGGAUGCCGAUCGAUCUCCCUUAAUACAUGAGACAGAUCAAUCUCCUUAAUACAUGAGGUAGGCCUCUCUCCUCCUCCACACAUAUACCAGCCAUUGUACCUCUAUAGUUAAUUGGGCCUCCCUCUUCCCCCACCAAACACCGAUAGUCAAGCGCUGCAGGUAGGUAUCCAUGCCACAGAGACAAACUGCACAUGUCCCAUCUCACGUUCCAGUAGGCCAGCCACUCUAUAUCUUUGACGUGGGCACACACAAAUUCGAUGGCACUCUUUAUCGAUCGCGCGCGCGCACACACACACACACAUCAUCAUCCCUCUCUUCGAUUCUAUGGACACCUCAAGCUGAUGAUACCUCCACUCUCUUCUCGUGGAUCGCCCCCUCUAUAUAUAUGUUAUAUCCAGGACUCUAUUUCACACACAUUGCAUAUGUCAAAAAAAUUGAUUGACCCCCCCCCCAUAAAAAAACUCUCAAGAACCCACACACUAUAUCUCUCUAGGUUUGUAUCUCUCUCACACAACCCCACAUAGGUGGUGUACGUAUACAAGAAGAGAAUAGGUGCACCGUGCACGUACUCACGCUUCGUGCCCAGCCACACCCGCGCGGGUACACGGUGGAGCUCAUUUUUCCGCAGAAGGUGAAUUUGUUUUUGAAACAUCAAGUGGCCAGAGACUCGAAAACUUAUUUGCCCAUUAGUGACUUGUCAGGGCGGUGGAUUUUAGUUUGUAUGAUAAUGCUGCAUCCACCUAAAGUAACGAAAGUUAUUAGGUAAACUUCCUAGUAAUUCCCUCUUCGUAGGUGCAGCAUUACUCCUAACAUUUGUAAUAUCAGUUUGAAACUUGUAAUAUUGCCGUGUCCUAUUCCUGCGUUUUCAAAAUCCUGCGAAUCAAACAGGUCCUGAGUUGGUGAUGAUGUUGUGCCUCCCAUCUUUCACCAAUAGUCGUCGGAUCUAGAUCUGACGCAUACAAACCAAGCUUCUCCAUUUUUGCAAAAACAUGCCCGCACUUGUUCCCUAUUUACAAACAACUCCUUGUCUCGCACAAUCUAGGAGUAGAAGGCCGUGGAAAAAUCUGGCGCGAUGGCCGCUGCCAGAGCUGUCCACCCGCAAUCUUGGUGUUCCGUGCAAUGCACGGGCAUCUACGCACGGGAAAUUAUGUUGAACAGGGCUAGUUGUAAGCAGGCUAGCUCUACAGCCAUGAUGAUAGUGACUUCAGACGGUGAGGCUGACUAUGGUAUGCUAAACACAGUGCCUAUACUCAGGUGUCAUCUCCGGCGCAGGGUCUUGUCACUUCACUGUGAGGAGCAACACGUAAUAAUUUGACCAACGGGUAGUAUAGUGCUAGUACUCCUACUACUACAUUGGUAGUACUACUACUAGUACUAGUAGCACCACCGUCUGGAUUUAGGAGUACUACCACGUCCACCGGCACCGAGGAACAUCUCCAGGUAGUAUUGCUUGAGGCCGCCAGGGCGAGGGGCCGCUUGGACAACAACUUCGUCUCCUUGUUCGAUGAGGUCCUCGUCGGUUUCCUCGACAAGUUCACCGUCGUCAAGAAGCUUGCGGACGACUUUGACGUAAGCCUCUAGCCAACGCGCCCAGGCUCUGCGAUGCCCGCCACCCUCAAUGGCCACUAUGGUAACAACCUCUUCGACGCACUGGUGGCCCUGCGACUGCCCGUCGUCGCAUCGGAGAAUGUCCACCUCGAGGUCGCGCUCUCCGCGUAGCGCCUGGUGCAGCAAGACACCAUCGACAUAAUCACCCACGUCUACGCGCAAAUCGUCCACAAGGACUACUACAUGCAAGAGGAGGACGAUAGGACGCUGGCCUUCUUGGAGCGCAGGGCAACCUUGGACGUCACUGUUCAGAAGCACGUUGAGCUCGCCGCCAAUGCUGCCGGUCCUCACACGUCGGUUGGUGACCCGGCGCACUAGGGCACUCGCUGCUCCUCACAUACUCCAUGCAUGAAUGGUGCCAGAACCAAACUUCUCAUUACUCUAGGCAAAAUCAUUAUAUUCUAUCUAUCGGUCGCGCCAUGGAGCAUAAACAAAUUUUACAAGUUACGAGUUCAAAAGGAAAAGCAUGUCGUGUUCGCGUCGCACCCCCACAUGGUUGGUCCGGCACGCCGCUCAAGCAGGAAUGCGUGCGGUGUUGCAUUUUCACUUACAAGUGGGACCGCAGUUGAGCAAACCGACUAUCGGCAAACCCCCACCCCGCCCACCACGCGAUGGCUGAGAAAACAUGAGGGAGAAGAGAUGGCUGUAGCACGGACUCCAGGAAAAUUGGUGUCGGAUGGGACUCGUGUGGGUGGCGUGUGCCGUACUGCUAGACGUGAAUGCUACUGAGUUAUGGCCCAUGCCACCUCACUAUAUCGAGCCUAUAUCGAGGUACGUAGAACAAAUUUCCUGCAGUCUGUGCUCAGCCCUCCUCUAUCUCUCUUCUCAGCCAGCCAGCGGACGCGCGGAGCCCAUCGUUUGUUUGCUCACAUGCGGCCCCACAUGUCAGUGAAAACGCAAGAGGACCCACUGAACCUGCACAUCUUUCACCUCGACGUGCUGGUGAUGAAAAACAAAUCCAAUAAAAGAUCUUCGGUGGCCGCUUUUGGAGUUACUCAAGAGUAGUAAGAUUCUAUUUACAGUUUAACCCAAGAUGCACAUCUCGUGGCUUCAACUACCACUCUAUUUUCUUUCAUGACACGACCUGGAUGCUGGAUGUCCCACGUGUCGGCAAAAGGAGUUAGAACCCGACCAAAUCUUCGGUUCUGCUCUCGUAUUAGACUAGUUGUGGUAACUUCAAAUUUUUAUUGUGUACUCCCUCCGUUCCAAAAUACUUGACUUCCAUUUGUCCAAAAAUGGAUGUACCUAUAUACUAAGACAUGUCUAGAUACACACACACAUAUAUAUAUAUAUAUAUUGACAAAUAGAAGGCAUGUAUUGUGCAACGGAGGGAGUAGAAUGGAUGCAAGUUUUUGUAUUGGGAAGAAGAGUACAUCCAUAUAUUGGUAGAGCACAAUUUAGUAGAUGUUCUAUCACUUUUAGCUAGCACAAACGCAAGAUCGAGCCUCCACAGAUCAACAAUGAAUGCAUCGAGAAGGCACUAAUCCAACUUACAGGAGUAGUAAAAUGUAUUCUUGUGGUUCUUGUUUUCUUUGGUCUUGCUUUUCUAGUCAAAAUUAUCAUUGGAGUCCAUGCAAAACGGAGGUGCGUUUGGGGUCAUGCGUUGGAGUUGGCCUUACAAGUGGGACCGCAGUUAAGGAAACUGACUAUUGGCAAACCCCCACCUCGCCCGCCGCGUGAUGGCUGAAGUUAGAGAAACGACGAGGUUGAAGAGAUUGCUCUAGCACGAACUCCAAAAAAUAAUAUGGUGUCAGAUGGAUGUCGUGGUGGUGGCGUGUGCCGUACUCCUGGACGUGAAUGCUUGUUCUGGCCCAUGCCACCCUACUACUCCUACUACUUUCUCCUACUAGUAUAUAGUAUACUAGUAUCGAGGAUUCGAGGUGCUGGUUACGUACAACGAACACAUUAACAUAUGGCUACAGUAAAAACACCCGCCCAAUGCGCGAAGCAUGUGAAGCUAGUACAAAUUUAGAGAAGUGACUCGAAAGCCAUUCAUAAAUUUAGUAAGUUUAUCACAGGCAUAUCAUUUUAUUACAUACAACAGGUCAUCAACCCACAUCGACAACGAGGAUACAUUAUAAAUACUAAAGUUUUCACCACACAACAAAUAACAAGCCAUGAAAUGAACUUCAACUCAACCAUUCCGCGGUGUUGGAAACGCUUGCUUUGAACCACAACUGAUUCUCUGGGACGGGCCAUUUGUUGUCGAUCUGGAGACCAACGCAGGACCGAUAAUCCAGGCUGAAGCGGCCUACUAUAUCAGUACGAGGGUAGGGAACCACCCAAAUGUCCGAGGUAUAGACAUAGUUACUUCUCAUAAAUGUGUCAACAGCAGUUGGAUCGCCUUUCACCAUCACCGGAUAGUUUUGUCCAAGGAAGAGCGAGUUUUCUCCAAGACUAUCAAUUCUAUGCCAGGGAGAAGGAGUUGGCGCUAGCACACUAGUAUCCAUCCCGAAUACCAUGCAACGGGUGUUGGAAUAGGUCCGGAGAGUGCGACCAUAGGAGACACCUGCUUCCUUACCAGUAACAUCAUCAGUGGGUUGUAUACACACAAGAAGAGGUGAUCCAUCGGAAUUAGUUGCCAGGCGCCACAGAGUAUAUCGGUGCUGCUCGUCCUCAUGCUCGUGAUCAUCACCAUCGUCAUCUCCCCCUUGGUUAUAAAAAUUUUCAAGUAUAGGUGGUGGGAUGUUCACAGGACCUUGGAAACACAAAAAGAAGGUUAAUUAGUAAAGGGAAACUUGCUAACCCGCAUGCAUGUGGAUGAAACAAUUAUAAUUACGGUGGAACAAAAACGUACCGAAACUACUAGGAUGCCAUGCAAAAACAGUGCCACGAGUGGUGGCAGGAAACACAAGGCCCUCGUACUGAAUUGCAUCACAGUACUCAUCCGUGUACAGAAACUGAUUUUUGAGCAAUAUCCAUCGAGUCGAACCACGAAGGACGGCAACAAGCUUGUUGAAGAUAGCAACAACUUGAUCGUUGUUGUAAUUCCAAGAGCGGUUGGGAACUCGACAAAUUGCUAUCUUCCGUACAAGACAGUCACCAUGAUCGUAUUUGAACGUGCGUACAUUACCAGUGUGCUCAACCUCUGGGUAGUGUGCUGAGAUUUUUGGAAGUGGAACCCGGUGACUAGUGUACACAUUCACAAGUUCCCACUCGCAGUUGGACCCAAUGUAAAUAACCCAAUCUCCAUUUUCGCCCGCCCAAGCCUUGCCCUCGAGCGAUGGCAUCUUAACAUCAUACGUAUCAUUAUCUAGCGGCAUCAACUGGCACAUGGCGAGGCCUCCAUCGUGCCGGCGCCAGUCAUCAGGGUCACGACGAAGAAGAUAGGGGAGAUCAAACCGCUCCUUGACUCUUGGGUUCUUUCUAAUGAUGUUAUUAGUUGAGUCAAGAAUGGGCUUGAACGAACCUGACAUGCUAGCCGAGGUGAUGACGUCGCACCGAUCAAUGAGUUCCUCCACCACAUCAUCUUUCAGAUCGGGGCAAGAAUAACGGGGUCGUUUCCGGCCUGUUCCCUCCAUGGAGAAGACGAUCGAACAAUGGCAGAAGAAAGGGUGAAGGGCUGAAGCAAAAUGGAGGAGGGAGAGGAAGAGCAUGCGAGAGCAGUUCCAAAUCGAGAGGGAAAGGCGAAGAGUCGGCGGAUGGUUGCGAGUUUGCCACGGUUCACAAAGAGGCGCCCCGGCCUACAUGUCCGUUCGGAAAUACUCCUACUACUCGCCGUCAUCUCACUAAUAUGUUGGAACGGGACCACAUGUCAACGAAAUAUGGUGUGUAAUUUCUCGUGCAAAAUUCGAUCUGGCCGCGUUGGCCUGAGGUGCUGCAUUAGUUAUUGACCUUUAUUUUUUUAAUGUCGUCCCGAUCAGUUUUGAAGCACGACUAACUGGUACUGUACGUGGAGAGGAUGACAGCAGGGACCCGCCAAAGUCAUGGCAGCACGCAAGCAAGUGCCUCCUUAUUUCAAGCCCAUAAAAAAUGGCUCCUCCUAAUGGAUUUCUGACAUCUGGGUCCCAUGCCAUUGUCAACGUAGUCAAUAAAUGAGAGAAUUGCACAACGAGUGGCUGGCACCAGGGACCCAGCAGCUCGCCCAGUUAUUUUUGUUUUGGGUUAAUUUGAUAAAUGCCACUCCAAAUCUGUUGUAUCUGAGAAAUGCCACUGCAAUUUCCAAACUUUGAAAAAUGCCAUUUCAUGCCAUUUCUAGUGGCAUUUUUCAAAUUCUAUAGUGGCGUUUUUCAAAGUUUGGAAACUGCAGUGACGUUUUUCAAAGUUUGCAAAAAUUGCAGUGGCAUUUUUCAAAGUUUGGAAAUUGCAGUGGCAUUUUUAUGAAUCGCCAUAAUUGGAAUGACAUCUAUCUAUACCUAUACUAAUUCUAGACUUUCAAGAAAUUCCCACGUUAAUUAGAUUUUACGAGCCAUUAAUCUGGUGGGACCAAGUUAUUACGGUGUAGAUCUGCCCGUGAACUCCCUAAUUAAAGCAACCAAACUCUAUCUCUUUGACAAAAAACAAUCUUUGUUAGAAAAAACAAUCUCUAUGUCUUUAACAGAAAAACAGGAAAGACAAUCUCCAUGUGGUUUUAAAAUCCACCUUAAAGUAACCUCUAUCUCUGUUUGACAAAAAAACAAUCUCUAUCUCUUUGACAGAAAAAAAGAAAAAAAUCUCUAUGCACUUUUAGACUCCACGGCCUCUUCAUCUCCCCACGCCAUCUUUCUCUCCCUUCACGAACUUUUCCUAUUCUGUAUAAUCAAUAUCUCUCCCAUAUUUACAACGGAUCGAAUGCAUCCACGGCCUGUUCCUCAUCUCCAUUAUCUCUCUCCAUCCAAUGGAAAACAAAGUAACCUGGGAAGUAUGGAUUCAGUGUGCGUAAAGAGUUUAUUAGAUCAAAAAAAUUCCUCAUCUAGAUCAGGUUCGUUUUCUUGCCGGUUUACAUUUGAAUCUGCUGUUGUGUAUUUGGAUUCUAUAUGAUCGUUGCUUCUAAGAAGGCAACUAACAGAUCCAAGGGUGGGGGCUUAGGCUCAAGCGACAUCCAGCGUCGUUGCAUCCAACCCUCCAAGCAACACCACAAGAAAAGCAUGGAUCCAGCACGAACUACAUAGUUAUGAGUGGAUUGAAGCCCAUCACCGGGGCUGCUAAGCAUGAUUCUGUAGACAGAGGAUGUGCGUGCUGAAGCCCCAACCACAGCAACACACGAACACAACAUUAGUUCUGAACGGUUCGUUUUCUGUGAUUGCUUUAUAUGUGCAAUUAUAGAGUUGUAUCUACGCCUAUGUAAUUUCACAUCGUGUAUCUGCAUGUCGAAUUCGAACUAUCUGUCAAAAAUAUUGUGUACUCCAACUUAACGUAUCAAUAAUUCAAUAUUUCAGAUAUGUGAACCUCAAGAAUCAGCAGUCUUACACCACUGAUCUUUUUUCUUUAAUUAUAUAAGAAACAACACCGGUCUUUUUUUUCUCCUUUGUCGUCUAUCUUACGACCAGAGGCAGUUGUAUCGACGCGCAAAGCCAUGCCGCUGACGUCAAGGCCGCAAGAUCAUAUAGAUAGCAAACUGGUUUGAUAUUUCUUUCUCACAGGUUAAAUUUGAAUCUGAAUUGGUUUGUUUUACGACUGCUGGUAGAUGAUUUUAGGAUGGUGAAUAUGGACGGGCCUGAGACCUACAUCAAGCAUGUGAAGUCACAAGCGAUGGCAUUUCUGGGGAUGUUGUCUUUGUAGGCUAUACCCAAGAGCAUUCAUUCAGUAUGGGGGGGGGGGGACGAAAAGUGCCUGCAACCAACAACACUGUGGCAGCGUACUAAAUCGUUCUGGGCAGCCAAAGAUGUCGCAUAAAUUAGCACCAACCUGGAUGAAGAUAAAUAGAUCUUAAUUACAUGGACCCAUGCCCGCGAGGGACAUGGUGAGGCUUUAGUACCCGUGGUGGAAACAAGGUGAUUCAUUCGCACAAACAUGUAUUUUUUACCGGGAUCAGUCACACAAGCAUGUAUAGAGGUUCACCUGCUGGAUUAGGUUUCUUGAAAGAACUAAUUAUCCUAUUAAUAUUUUUCUUUCCAAAGUUUUGAUUCUCUUUGAGAUGAAAUAAUCAUUUUUUAAACCCGUAUCAAGUUGGCGUGAAGUGCAUACAUGAACAUAUUAUAAUUAUUGUUUGUUUCAUUUUUGUAUUAAUUUCAGGAGUACCAAUGACAACCAGCAGGAUGCUCUACGUAUACUGUUUGCUGGAAGGGAUACAAAUAAUUUAAUACAUGGUCUCAUGGUACGAAAAGUAUGUCAUGUAUAAUUCAGAUGUACAAUAUGUUUUGCUUAGAUAAAAUGGAGACAUUGCUCUAGAUAAAAUCCAGACAUUGCUCGGGUUAUAGACUAAUAUUUUUCUUUCCAAUGAUUUUGACUCUAUUUGAGGUGAUAUAAUAAGUUUUUAAACCUGUUAAGUUGGUGUGAGAUGUAUGCAUGAACAUAUUCUAAUUAUUGUUUGUUUCAUUUUUGUAGUAAUUACAGGAGUACCAAUGACAACUAGCAGGAUGCUCUACGUAUAUGGUUCUUGGAACAUAUACAAAUAAUUUAAUAAAGUCUCAUGGUACAAAAAGUAUGUAAUAUAAAAGUCAGAUGUACAAUAUGUUUUGUUAGAUAAGACAUUUAACACAUAAAGAGGAUGUGAUACCCAGGAUGCUACAGUAACCAUACAUACGAGAUUUUACGUGACAUUAUUUGGGUCAUAGACUAUAUAUAAUUUUCAAACAAGUAUUACAAGAAAUUGCAGAUAUUCCAAAACUAUAGUUUUGAACAGUUAGUUAUUUUAAUAAGUAGAAAUAAUACUCGCAUAAAAAUACAUUCCAUAAUAUAGUUUAAAAUUGCACUGAACUGGGGACAUAAACAUACAUACACAAACUUAUUGGCAUCGGAUGUUUGGAAGGAACGAGACAUGGUCGAUUGUGGAGGCUUCUCUAUGACCUAAUCACAGUCACUUUAUAUGUGAAACAUAUAAUAUAUCUCAGUUUAUGCAAUAUAGUCGACAGUAAGAAAUGACAAUACGAAAACUAAUAUUAGUUCAUACCUCUUAAUAUCAAGCCCUGUAGAAAUUAAGAAGAGUAUAGACGAUAUAACCUUGGGAUUAAGUUGGUGGCUGUUUUCAAUUUCAAAAAAAGAGAGUUAAUGUUUGUUUCUGUGAGUGCUUCUAUCAAGUAAAGGUGAUGAUAUAGGAUAUGCCUUAUAAGGAGCAAUUGUGACCAGUCAGAAAGUUCAGAUGAUAAUCUAUGAUUAGUUAGUUUAGAGAAGUCUCGGGAGUUGUAUCAAAGUACAGUGGAGGAUAUAUAGUUUACUCCGAUGAACUAAGAACGAUAGUCAUUUUUAGGAAAACAAAUCUGAAAAAGCGAUAGUUUAAUUCCUUUUUACUAACCAAAGGGAAGUUCAGCAUGGAGCUACAAUACCGAGAAAUUUACUAAUAAUUGUCUUUAUAACAUGUAAUUCCGUAAACUAGCUUUCUUAUUAUGAUUGUUCUUCUACCUGGUGUGCUUCCUUGCUAGCAGAAGGGAAAUGCUCCUAAAUCUAUCAUCUUGAACAAGAGAGCACAUGUUUAGUACGACUUACCCAAGUUGAUUUGUAUAAAAAUAUUCUUGGGCAUAUUUAUGAAGUCAUAGUAAGAAACUGUUGUAGCAAACCCAACAAGGAAAAAAGUACACAACUGUGACGUGUGCAACAACCAAAUAACAACAAUGAACUCAAAAUCAUAGGAAAAAUGUAUAAGUAUUUAAUAUACUAGACUGUGCGAAUACACGGGUUGGCGACUAGUUUAUCUAAUUUGUUUUUGAGACGGAAGCAGGGUGUCAACUAGGCUGUGCGGGACACUCUGGUCUGUCUAGACAGCCUUUUCUGUUAUGUUUACCACAGACCAGCCCAGUAGUUUAUUUUUCUUUCUGAAAAUGGCUAGCCCAGUUCUUUUGUGAUUUGUCAAGUAAGUCGCUUUAUCAAGCCUGCUGGGCUGCAAAUCUUUCAAGACGAGGAGAGCUUCAUUCGGCUGGCCGAGAAAAUGACCUAUCAGUAAUGAAAAAUGAGCUGUACAUUUUUAAAACAUAUCAAACCGAUAAUUAUUUUCAAAUAUCUUUUUUUCAUUUCGAGAUUUUAAAUUGCAUUGAUUUUUAUGCAUGGACAAUUUAUUGGAUUUCAUAUUGAUAUACAUUUAUUUUUAAAAUCAGUCUGAAUGUGACUCGAAAUUUCGGGAUUAAAAAGAGUUCAGACCGCAUCGACAUAUGCAAAAUUUCGUUUAAUUUUUUAACCGUGGCCACAGUAUGGGCUGUAAUGCUAACAUAAAGAAUAUGGGCUCCAAAAAACCCGUAAGAUUAGCAAAUGAGCUGUAAAUUAUUUGAAAUAUUGGCAGAUGGGCUGUAUGCUAUUUUCCACAGAUUUGAGGCUUUCCAUAGAUGGCCUGUAUAUUGUUGGAUGUCCAUCCAACGGCCGUCGUGCUUCUUCAAUCUCUACUCUUCCUGCUCCAGCCGCUCAAACAAGCGCUGGCGGGACUACCUGCUCUCUCCUUCCCGCAAUCGGCUGUGCUACCGCGCAUGCCUCACUGCCCCACCAUACUCCCAUCGCUGGCCUAGCCAUCCCUCUACUCACCCACACCUGCUGUUAUUCUCUGGCGACGGCAGACGAACCAGUAAACCCUCGUACAGUCGUACUCCUCUCCACGUGGGAAACAAAAACAACGGCCGAGUCUUCCCUGCCUCCGUGUGGUUCCCUUCCUAGGCCUCGCCGUCGUCCACCGCCCAGGUGCUCUCGGCGUGGCGUGGUCAGCGUGGUCAACGACCGACAUGCAUCUGAAGUGGACUGUACGUGGAGAGGCUGACAGCUGGGUCCACGGCCGCAUGCAAGGAAAUGCCUCCUUAUUACGCGCAAAAUAAUGAUUUCCUCCACCUGACAUCUGGGACCCACCGAAACGGCCUCUGUAUUUCGCGAAAAAAACGUUACCGCCGCUGACAGCUUGGACCCACCAGCUAUAUCUUCGCACGCAAGGAAGUGCCUCCUUAUUACGCACAAAAAAAUGAAUACUCCCCCUGCUAGCUGGGACCCAGUAUAGUGGGCCUACUAAGUUGACGGGGACGAAGGGCUUUGUCAACUUAGUCAAUAUGCACGAUUCUAGCUCGACUGACCGUACGAUGUCCAUCCAAUGGCCGUAGUGCUUCUUCAACCUCUGGUCUUCUUGCUCUAGCCGCCCAAAGCAGCGCCGGUCGUGCCGCCUGCUCCUGCCUCCCGUGGCCGGCUGUGCUGCGGCGGAGGCCUCACCGCCCCCAUACUACUCCCACCGCUGGCCAGGCCAUCCCUCCACUCCACUCACCCACAACCCCUGUUAUUCUGCGGUGACGGCAGCGCAGCCGAACCAGUGAACCCUCGUACUCCUCUCCGCGUAGGCAUCCACUGCCGCGUCUUCCCCGGCUCCGUGUCAUCCCCUUCCUAGGCCUCGCCGUCGUCCACCGCCCUGGUGCUCUCGGCACGGCGUGGUCAACGUGGUCAAGGAACGGCUUCCAUCGGACGUGGACUUUACGUGGAGAGGCUGACAGCUGGGUCCACGGCCGCAGCAAGGAAGUGCCUCCUUAUUACGUGCAAAAUAAUUAUUCCUCCACUUGACAGCGGGGACCCACCGGACGGGCCACCAAUAUUUUACGAAAAAAAAUCUUUUUCCCCUGACUGCUGGGACCCACUGGACGGGCCACCGUAUUUCGCGAAAAAAAAGGCUCCCCCCCCCCGCUGUCAUCUCGGACCCACCGGAAGUGCCUCCUUAUUCCGCACAAAAAAAUGAAUACUCCCCCGCCUAGCUGGGACCCACCUUGCUGGGAGGCUGACUUGUGGACCUACUAAGUUGACGGGGACGAAGGGCUUUGUCAACUUAGUCAAUAUGAACGAUUCUAGCUCCAGUGACCAUACGAUGUCCAUCCAACGGUCGUAGUGCUUCUUCAACCUCUGGUCUUCUUGCUCCAGCCGCCCAAAGCAGCGCCGGUCGUGCCGCAUGCACCUGCCUCCCGUGGCCGGCCGUGCUGCCGCAGAGGCCUCACCGCCCCCUACUAUUCCCAUCGCUGGCCAGGCCCUGCGGUGUCGGCAGCCUCACACCGCAGCCGAACCAGUGAACCCUCGUAGUCCUCUCCGCGCGGGCUUCCGCUGCCGCGUCGUCCCCUUUCUAGGCCUCACCAUCGUCCACCGCUGUGGUGCUCUCCGCGCGGCGUGGUCAACGUGGUCAAGGAACGACUUCUAUCGGAAGAGUACUGUACGUGUAGAGGCUGACAGCUGGGUCCACGACCACAGCCCAGUUUUUUUGUUAUUUGCCAAGUAAGUCGCUUUGUUAGGCCUGUUGGGCUGCAAAUCUUUCAAGACGAGGAGAGCUUUCAUUCGGCUGGCCGAGAAAAUGGCCCAUCAGUAAUGAGAAAUGGGUUGUACAUUUUUAAAACACAUCAAACGGUAAUUAAUUUCAAAUAUCUUUUUUUCAUUUCAAGAUUUUAAAUUACAUUAAUUUUUAUGCGUGGAGAAUUUGUUGGAUUUUAUAUUGAUAUACAUUUAUUUUUAAAAUUAGUUUGAAUGUGAGUUGAAAUUUCGGGAUUAAAAACAGUUCGGACCGCACCGAAAUAUGCAAAAUUUCGUAUAAUUUUUUAACCGUUGCCACAAUAUGAGCUGUAAUGCUAACAAAAAGAAUAUGGGCUCCAAAAAAACCUUAAGAAUUAGCAAAUGGGCUGUAAAUUAUUAGAAAUAAUGGCAGAUGGGUUGUAUGCUGUUUUCCACAGAUUUGAGGCUUUCCUAAAAAAAGGUUGACGCACAAGCACUUAUUGUUGGAUGUCCAUCCAACGGCCGUCGUGCUUCUUCAAUCUCUGUUCUUCCUGCUCCAGCCGCUCAAACAAGCGCCGACGAGACUGCCUGCUCCCUCCUCCUUGCGGCCGGCUGUGCUGUCGCGCAGGCCUCACCGCCCGACCGUACUCCCAUCGCUGGCCUAGCCAUCAAUCUACUCACCCACACAUGCUGUUAUUCUCUGACGACGGCAGACGAACCAGUAAACCCUCGUACAGUCAUUGUCGGUGUCAAAACCGGCGGAUCUCGGGUAGGGGGUCCCGAACUGUGCGUCUAAGGCGGAUGGUAACAGGAGGCAGGGAACAUGGUGUUUUACCUAGGUUCGGGCCCUCUUGAUGGAGGUAAAACCCUAUGUCCUGCUUGAUUAAUAUUGAUGAUAUGGGUAGUACAAGAGUAGAUCUACCACGAGAUCAGAGAGGCUAAACCCUAGAAGCUAGUCUAUGGUAUGAUUGUAUGUUAUUGUGUCCUAAGGACUAAAACCCUCCGGUUUAUAUAGACACCGGAGGGGGCUAGGGUUACACAAGGUCGGUUACAAAGGAGGAGAUAUACAUAUCCGUAUGGCCUAGCUUGCCUUCCAUGCCAAGUUGAGUCCCAUCCGGACACGAGAUGAAGUCUUCAAUCUUGUAUCUUCAUAAUCCAACAGUCUGGCCAAAGGAUAUAAUCCGGCUGUCCGGGGACCCCUAAUCCCGGACUCCCUCAGUAGCCCCUUAACCAGGCUUCAAUGACGAUGAGACCGGCGCGCGGUGUUGUCUUCAGCAUUGCAAGGCGGGUUCCUCCUCCGAACAUAUCACAGAAGAGUUUGAAUACCAGGAUCGUGUCUGACCCUGCAAAAUAAAUUCCACAUACCACCGUAGAGAGAAUAAUAUUUCCACAAAUCUUAAUCUGCUGACACGCUUUGGCAACAUGAUGUCAGGCCAUGGCUCGGUGAUUAUUCGAACCGUUUUUCUUCAAUCCGCUCCACACAUAGCGUGAGGCGGUUUCUUGACACGUCUUGUCAAAGCAGAGAUCAUGUUCCCCUAAUUACGGGAUUCUCAUCAAUACGGUCGUGGGUAACCCAACCGUUACUAGGACUCCUAGAUUUUAUGCAUGUCCCAAAUGGCCACUAGGAGGACGCUUGAUAUUCACCCUCUUUAUAAAGGGACAAGGCUUUUACUUUUUUCCCUCCCGUGCUCAAUCGAAUCCUUCCCCCGCCUCGAGUUCUAACACCCAAAGCCCAGGUCAGGUGCUCCGGACCUUCAAUCAUGUCCGGAUCUAUCCUUCAAGGCCGGUGGAUGCCCUCCUCCAUUACAGAAGAGGAUAUCAAGAAGUUGAGGGUGGCCAGAUACCUGACCGCCGAGGUUUCGCAUCGGCUGCCUGCCCGAGGGCAGGUCGUCCCUACUCCCGAACCCAACAAGAAUGUUGUGUUCAUCUCCCACUUCCUCCGAGGCCUAGGCCUCACCCUGGAUCCCUUUGUUAGGGGUUUGAUGUUCUAUUACGGGAUAGAUUUCCACGAUCUAGCCCCGGACUCCUUUCUCCACAUCUCGACAUUUAUUGUCGUAUGUCAGGCCUUCCUCCGCAUUACCCCUCACUUCGGCCUGUGGCUCAAGACCUUUGACGUGAAGUCGAAGAUGGUCGAGGGGCAGCACGUAGCGUGCGGAGGCGCAUUAAUAAGUAAAAUCGCUGGAGCUCCAUGGCCAAAGGGUUCCUUUCCAGAGGUGUCCGGAUUAUGGCAGCAGGAGUGGUUUUACAUCACAGCUCCCAGAAGUGCCAAGUGGGUGGCCGCCCCUACUUUCCACUCGGGCCCUCCACCACAACUGAUGUCAUGGAUUAGCAGAGGGCUAAGCUGGGGUCCAGCCAAGGACAUGCCUAUACUGCAAAGCCGCAUUCAAGAUCUCUUCGACGGAGAUUUCAGUCUAGUUGCAUGGUGCAAGUCAUGCUGGUUCGUCGAGUCCAGCCUUGCAAACACCGUCCCCUCCGCAUGUGGGAGUUCAACCCAGAAGGGCCGCGCACUAUUCAGAAUUUCCUCGGCCUGACGCACGAGAUGUACAAAUCAUUCUUCGCACCCCAAAUAGUGUCCGGAUACUAUCAAUGAUGUGGGCUUGAGCAGCAACCAUACCGCCGACCAAGUAAGUAAUCCUCUAGCCGAACACACCGUCUUUCAUUUACCAUGACGUCAUUCUGAGAAAUCGCUCUUUGACCAGGACUGGCUAACAAAGAUGAUUCGGUGUUCGCCCCCCCUUCCUGAGGGUUUGGAGAAUCCGGUACUGGAAAAGAUGCUCGAUCUAGCACCUUGCCCGGAGCCCUCAAAGGAAGAUAAAGGGGGGAAUAAUGAGGGCAAAAGAGGGCCCCCAUCGCUACCAAUUCCAACCGAGGGAAUGAGCGCCUCCGUGAAGGAGGAUAACCAAGGGAAAGAAUCUGACCUUCUCUCGCUUCGGGGAAGGAAGAGGACUGCCUCUGAAGAUCCGGAAACCAAGGUUUCCAAACGGGAGAAGAAAUCUCCACCAGAGGGUCCUGCCUUGGAGGGUGCUCUUGCCGCACAAAGUCCGCGCGGGGAUCAGCCCUCUAACGAGCUGUAAGUAGUCAAAAAGUACUUUAAUAGUGAGGACACACUACCUUACCUCUGAGGAAAAUAACCGAAGCAUUUAUCUUGCAGUUCGGAUCUCCACCCUUCUCAGCAAAGCUCCUCUUUAGGGGAUCUUCUUCCAGAGAUGAUGGAGAGAUGAUGGGCACAGGGUAAGUAAUGUUUUCCCGGUUAAUGUCACAUAGUAAGAGUAGCGUGAUGCCAGUAUCUUUAAUAUGUUGUGACUGCAGAUGGAGCUGCCGCCGUGGAGACCCUUCGGGCGGAACUUGCCCGAGCCAACGAACAAACAAGGAUUAGUAAUGCGACCGCUUUAAAGGCGGCCGAAGAGUUAAGAGCCGAGAAGGCCACGCAUUGCGAGAGCAAAGAAAAGAUGGCCAAGAUGGUUGUAAAGUUAAAAGACACUGCCGACUGUUGCCGGUUCCUUGAAGAAGAAAACCGAGCGAAGGCGACGGACCUCGAAAAGGCCACGCUGGCGGCCAAAGACACCCGCUCUUCCAUGAGGGCAAAGAAGGAAGAUCUGCGUGAAGCUGGUGAUAUUGUGGCUGGGAAGCCCUUUUUGCCGCGGAGGAAGUUUGGAGAUCCGCGGUAUGCCCCUCUGGAUCGGCUGUGGAGUUCGGCAGACGCAUAUCUGGAUUUGACGGCGAGUGCUGUCGAUGCGGCCGAAUACUUCCGAGAUCAAACAGAUCAUGAAGUGGACAAGCUAUUCUGGUCGCAGCUUAACGUUCCAGAGCGUCCUCUUCCAGUAACUGAUCAGCUUGCCGAAUGGGCCGAACUCAAUAGAUUGUCCGGACUCGCCAUGAGGUCCAUCGUAGAUCAUCUAUGGCCGGAAAAGCCGAAGCCGAACAACUAUUUCAGCUUAGUGUAGCAGCUCCUUGGUGCGGUGCCGUGCAUCAAUGUGAUGAAGAGGUCGGCGUGCAUAGAAGGUUCGCGGAUGGCCCUUGCCCGUGUCAAAGCAUACUGGGCAGAGAUGGAUGCUACCACUGUUGCGGCGCAGGGUUCGGCAAUAGGCCGAGUGGCUGCCGAGCACUAUUUUGAAGAAGUUCUUGAGGGUGCUCGUUUGAUAGAGGCCCAGUGCUCGAAGAAUAUUAUGUUUGAGUGACAUGUAUUCCUAUUGUAAAAACAAUGUUUAUGAAAUUUAUUAAGGUUGUAUUUAUACUUUUUCCUGAAAGUAAUAUGAUGCCUCCUAUGCGGCCGUUUAUGUAUAUAUGUAUAUAACCUGAAAGAUUGCAGUCGUCGGCUUCAGCCCCCACGCAUAUAAUGCGGGGGUGUUCGCAGAAGACACGUGUUCACACUUAAUCCAACGUCUUGGUCCUAAUAAGGAGGUGAUAGCGUAGCGAACGAGGCAACCGGACUAUAAUGCAUUAACACUUUCACUUAGCCAUAGGAGUUUGACAGUGGGGCUACUAUAUAGCCCCUGGUGGCUCCGCAAUCUCCCGAAUUCGGGGUGCGUACAUGCCUAGCCGGGAAACGGCCCUUUGUUAAGGCGGAGGAAUUCUAACAUUCUGAUAGGUCAUCGAGUGGUUGACCAGUCUCACGCUAUAUCAUGACAGUCAGUUUUCGGCUUUCUCUACUGAGGUUCUCGUCCGGAUGAACCGCGGCACAAUCGCAGUAGUUCUCCUGGUGCCGCCUUAGCCGAUAGAGCGGAACGUAAGGCAGCAAAACAUAGGAGUCAGGCAAACCCAACAUUUGACCAAAGACAUGAUUCGGAGCUGAUGCAUAUAAGGCCAAACUCGCGACGCCGAACACUCCCUAUUCGGUCUUUAUGGUAUAAACCGGGCCUAAACAGUGCCCUUUGUAAGAAGCCCCUGGUGUCCAGGUACGUGCAUUAUUCUGACGUGGCCACAUGCCAAGACGUCAGCAUCCUUCUAAAUUGUACUGAGAAUCUGAGGGAUGUGUAUCAACAAGAGAUAGUAAAAAAGGUUUACGCAGGGUCUUAAUCUAAAAAGAAUCCUUGGAACAGGUCCCUGCUACACGUCUGUGUCUGUGUCUUCAUUGUGCCAUAUCUUGGACGGGUGUAGCAUGAUGGUGAUCUAUAAAAGAGAGAAACUUUAGGUGAAAAGUUGUCGUGCAAAAAGGUAGGUUUAAAGAAACCAUGUACAAUUCAAUAUGAGUAAAAAUUGCCACUUGUCUGCGCGCAUUGAGCCCCUUGUAUUUGUAAUAGGGGUGUGGCCAUCAAAUCUGUAUGAAUUACGUAUAGCUGCGCCGGACUCGUCUAACCGUGUCCGUGGUCUUGACGACCUAUCAAAUGCUUUAGUUGGUGAGGCUGUUUUUAGUGUGCGGCUGCCAAGGCAGUCACACUCUCUUCGGUGCGCAAGGAUCGCUCAAUAUUUCCAUUCACUGUAAUGAUGCUACGUGGACCGGGCAUCUUAAGCGUGAGGGAAGCGUAAUGCGGUAUUGCAUUAAAGCGAGCGAAAGCUUCGCGUCCAAGUAGUGCUUGAUAGCCACUUUGGAACGGAGCAAUGUGGAAUGUUAAAUUUUUGCUACGGAAGUUAUCGGGGAAGCCAAAUAUAACCUCUAGUAGCAGGGAGCCCGUGCAAUGAGCCCCUGGGCCUGGCAUUACUCCUUUAAAGGUAAUAUUGCUAUGGAAAAUUUUUGUUGGGUCUAUCCCCAUUUUGCGGAUUGUGUCCUGAUAUAUCAGGUUUAGACUGCUGCCACCGUCCAUCUGGACUUGUGUGAAAUGGUAUCCGUCAAUUAUUGGGUCUAAUGCCAAGGCAGCCCAUCCUGCACGCCGGAUACUUGCUGAGUAAUCCCGAUGGUCGAAAGUGAUCGGUUGAGAUGACCAGUGGCAGGACUCCACGGUGAUAGGCCCUUGGGCAUAUUUCUCUGGGAGUGCCGCUUUGUUUCUCCCCUUGAUCACGUGUAACACGUUCACUGUUUUGACUUCUGGUGGAAAUUUCUUCUGUUCCCCAGUGUCUUGCUUGAGAGGCUCAUCCUUGUCUUCGCUUGGUGUAUCCUCCGCCUUGUGUACGGCGUUGAGCUUGCCAGACUGCUUGAAGACCCAACAUUCUCUGUGGGUAUGAUUUGUAGGUUUAUCAGGGGUGCUAUGGAUCUGACAUAUUUGGUCCAGAAUUUUGUUUAGGCUGUACAGUUCAUCUCUGGCGCCUUUAGAGGGCGGCUUUUGCUGACCUGUCCGAGAACUUCUGAAUCCGGCGUUUACCUCUGUGCUCUUCGGGCUGUAUUCUUUAUUCCGGCGCUUAUUAUUUUUGUUGCACCGUGAUUUCCUAUUUCCAUCUCUAACUUCGGAUGUACUGGGGUCACUAGUGCUGCAUCUGGCUAGCCGACUAUCCUCACCCGCACAAAAGCGGGUCAUGAGGCUUGUUAAUGCUGCCAUUGUUCUCGGCUUUUCUUGGCCGAGGUGUAUGGCAAGCCAUUCGUCGCGGAUGCUAUGCUUAAAAGCUCCCAAGGCUUCGGCAUCUGGACAGUCGACUAUUUGGUUCAAUUUAGUAAGAAACAUGUUCCUAAGCUUUCGGGCUGACUCUCCGGGCUGUUGAGUUAUAUGACUCAAAUCGUCUGUAUCCGGAGUUCAGACAUAAGUCCCUUGAAAAUUUUCCUGAAAAGCGUCAUCAAGCUCUUCCCAGCUUCCAAUGGAGCUUUCGGGGAGGCUUUUAAGCCAGUGCCGAGCUGGCCCUUUGAGUCUGAGGGGUAAAUACUUAAUGGCGUGGAGAUCAUCUCCUCGAGCCAUAUUGAUAUGGAGGAUAUAGUCCUCAAUCCAGACCCUAGGGUCUGUUGUUCCAUCGUAUGCCUCUAUGUUUAUGGAUUUGAAUCCCUCUGGAAAUUCAUGGUCCAGCACCUCAUCGGUGAAACAUAGGGGGUGUGCGGCACCCAUGUAUCUGGGUGUACCGCAUUGUUUGGAUGUUUGUUGUGUUGCAUCGUAUGCUGGAGCGCGCUUGCGUGGUCCAUAGAUGGAUCUGGUUGCGCCGUCCUUUUGAUGCGAGCCCUCGCGUGGAUCGCGUAUUGGCUUAUGUGCAGUGUUCUUUGCCGCUCUAUGUUGGCCGUGAGGUCGUCUAUCCGGCCAGAUGGCCAUUUUAAUUUUUGGUUGCAGGGGAUCUAAGGCCUCCUCAUCGAAUUCAGGUAGCAACUUCCGCUUCGGGUAGCUCUUGGUGUGACGAUUACCGUCGUACUUCGAUGCUGAGUUGAGUACUUUAAUCCAUCUGAUUCGGAGUAUGUCUUGCGCAGCCUUGAGCCUUUGCUUCUGCUUUUUUAAACUCCUCGCGGUGGCAACAAGCCUUUGACGGGCAUUAUGUUGCUCCGGGUGUCUGUCUGGUGUGAUGUCGUCUGGACUACUAUCUUUGACAGAGUCGGGUUGUUCGGUUUGAUUAUCCGUGUUGCCGUGGUCCGGCGAUGGUUCACCCUGCUCUAAUGCUGGGUCUAUAUGAUCGUUGUGUCUGCCGAGGCGUGAUUUGGAGCGGCGCUUACACCGCCGCUUUGACUGCUUCUCGAGGGGACAACCCUUCGUUGCGACCUUCCGUUCCUCGUCAUCAUCGUCUUUUGGUGUGUCCACCAUGUUUACGUCAUGUGAUGAAGUGGGCGUCCAGUGCCCUGUGGGUAGUGGUUCCUGUUCAUCUCCUGCAUCAUCGUCCAUACCGUCGAUGUCUUCGGAGUCGGAGUCGAGCAUGUCGGUUAAGUCAUCGACAGUGGCUACUAAGUGGGUGGUGGGUGGGCGGCGAAUUUCUUCAUCAUCCGUAUCCCAAUCCUGCCAGACGUAGUUCGGCCAGGACUCUCCUGACAAGGAGAGAGACUUUAAUGAGUUCAGUAUGUCGCCGAAGGGCGAGUGCUGAAAGAUAUCCGCGGAGGUAAACUCCAUGAUUGGCGCCCAACCGGAUUCGAUAGGAACGGGCGCAGGUGGUUCUGAGUCCGUGGUCGGAGAACUAUCUGGCAGUUUAACAACACAACUUUCAUGAAGGGUAAGAUCGAUAUUCGGCUCGAUCGCCGUUGGGGAUGCGGCCUCUGUGGCGGGGUCUAUCCACCCGUCCAUGGGAGGCGCAACUGGCUCUGAAUUAAGGGUCGGAGCGGCUGCCGGUGUGAUUUCUUGAACACUGUCCGAUGGCAGAGCUAAAUCGUACUCAUCGUGACCGCGUGACGCACAAGGCAGAGGGUCGAAUCCAUCGAAGAUCAAGUCUGCGCGGAUAUCGACCGUGUAGUUUAAGAUUCCAAACCUGACCUGGUGGCCAGGGGCGUAACUUUCGAUCUGCUCCAGAUGGCCAAGCGAGUUGGCCCGCGGUGUGAAGCCACCGAACACGAAGAUCUGUCCGGGGAGAAAAGCCUUACCCUGGACUGCAUCGCUAUCGAUGAUGGUAGGAGCCAUCAAGCCUAACGGCGACGACACAGAGGAACUCUCAAUGAAAGCACCAAUGUCGGUGUCAAAACUGGCGGAUCUCGGGUAGGGGGUCCCGAACUGUGUGUCUAAGGCGGAUGGUAACAGGAGGCAGGGAACAUGGUGUUUUACCCAGGUUCGGGCCCUCUUGAUGGAGGUAAAACCCUACGUCCUGCUUGAUUAAUAUUGAUGAUAUGGGUAGUACAAGAGUAGAUCUACCACGAGAUCAGAGAGGCUAAACCCUAGAAGCUAGCCUAUGGUAUGAUUGUAUGUUAUUGUGUCCUACGGACUAAAACCCUCCAGUUUAUAUAGACACCGGAGGGGGCUAGGGCUACACAAGGUCGGUUACAAAGGAGGAGAUAUACAUAUCUGUAUUGCUUAGCUUGCCUUUCACGCCAAGUAGAGUCCCAUCCAGACACGAGACGAAGUCUUCAAUCUUGUAUCUUCAUAAUCCAACAGUUCGGCCAAAGGAUAUAAUCCGGCUGUCCGGAGACCCCUAAUCUCGGACUCCCUCAGUCGUACUCCCCUCCGCGUGGGAAACAACUGCCGAGUCUUCCCUGCCUCCGUGUCGUCCCCUUCUUAGGCCUCGCCGUCGUCCAUCGCCUUGGUGCUCUCAGCGUGGCAUGGUCAACGUGGUCAAGGAACGACUUCCAUCGGACGUGGACUAUACGUUGAGAGGCUGACAGCUGGGUCCAUGGCCGCAGCAAGGAAGUGCCUCCUUAUUACGCGGAAAAUAAUGAUUCAUCCACCUGACAGCUGGGACCCACCGGACGGGCCACUGUAUUUCGCAAAAAAACGUUUCCCCCUGACUGCUGGGACCCACCAGCUACAUCUUUGCACGCAAGGAAGUGCGUCCGGGCAAAAAAAAACGAUUCGCCCCCUGACUGCUGGGACCCACCAGCUACAUCUUCGCAGGCAAGGAAGUGCCUGACAGUCGGGACCCACCUGGUUGACGCGUACGUAGCGUUGUCAUUCUGGUCGCGGACGUGUAUGUACAUACUGGUCGAUGUAGAGGCGCGCACGUGUCGUAGUAGAGGCGCGCACAUAGCAUGUACACGUACGUACAGCGGCCAGGGUGCAAGAAAGAAAAUACUACCACGUAUGUGUACAUACGGGCGGGUCUCGAACGCCUACUCGCGCAUACGUACGGCGAGGGCUCGUGUACAUGGCUGGGUCACAACGGAGAAACAGCGUCGUCGUCGUGCUCAUGGGGAGGCAACGGAAUGCAUUGUGUUCAUGGGGAGGCAACGGAAUGCGUCAUGUUCAUCGGGAGGCAAUGGAAUGCGUCGUGUUCAUCGGGAGGCAACGGAACACGUGGGAGCCAACCGGCUAGGUCAGAACGGAAUGCGUGGUCGUGUUCAUCAGGAGGGCUUGGACGGAACAGGCGAUGGAAACGAGGCCUGGCGUACCGCACAACAGAGGAAACGGACCUCCUACGUUCGAAACGGGGGUCCUGUUGAUCGGGAGGGGUGUGGCGUACCGCAAAAUGGAGGAAACGGACUUGUGUUGGAGCGCUACGGUCGAAACGGGGUCCUGUUCAUCGGGAGGGGUGUGGCGUACCGCAAAACGGGACUCCACAGGAUACUGUUCAUCUCCACCGUCGACCCCCUCCAGCCUCCACGAGGUACUGUUUAUCCACCGUCGACCUCCUCCAGCCUCCACCUGCGACUGUUCAUCCACGGGCUCCUGUUCAUCCAGCCUCCACCGCGCGCUACUCCACCGGCUACUGUUCAACCAGCCCUCUCCACGGGAUCCUAUUCAACCACCCCUCCACGGGCUAUUGUUCAUCCUGCCCUCCACCAUCUACUGUUCAUCCUACCUUCCACGGGGUGGUUCUGUUCAUCCAGCCCUCCACGGGGUCCUGUUCAUCCAGUCCCAACCGGCUCGAUCGAUCGGGGUCAAGUUCAUUCAGAGGCAACACCACGGGGUCCUGUUCAUCCACCCCCACCAAUAACUGUUCAUCCACCCCCCCUCCCCCCCGCAACGCUCACUGUUCAUCCAGAGGCAGCAUCGAUCGGCUUCAGUUAGCAGCAGUAGCGAAGGAAUCGCUCGAUCGGGUUCAGUUAACAGCCAUCGAACGAUCGCUCGGGUUCAGUAACGCGUAGCCUGCAUUGCAAUCGCUCAGGUUCAGUUAGAGCCCAAUGCCUCGCUCGGGUUUAGUUAGAGCUAAUGCCUCGCACACGCACGCGUACAUGUACGAGAGAAACGCGCAUCGCUCGGCCCCCGACCUCCCACCGUAACCGGGAACUCCCCGGAAUUUUCCUCCCCCUCACUUCUACCACAGUUUUUUCCGUCAUGGACGGCCCAAAGAAUGUCAUGCAGCUGCGUCUCCGGCCCGCCCAGGACGAAAAGCCCAUUUUCUGUCAUGAUUUUUUGUCAUAGAAGUAGGAGCCCACCACAUCUAUGAUGAUACCGGGUUUUGUCACAAUUAUCGUCAUAGAAGUGUCAUAUGUAUGACAGAAAAAAAAUUGUUCGGCCCAAAAUGUCACAGAUGUGUCUUUUUUUUGUAGUGCUACUUGGCUAGCUCGUUGAAUCAAUGAUGGUUAUGUUUCCUAACCAUAGACAUGAGUUGUCAUUUGAUUAAUGGGAUCACAUCAUUAGAGAAUGAUGUGAUUGACUUGAUCCAUCCGUUAGCUUAGCACGAUGAUCGUUUAGUUUGUUGCUAUUGCUUUCUCCAUAACUUAUACAUGUUCCUAUGACUAUGAGAUCAUGCAACUCCCGAAUACCGGAGGAACACUUUGUGUGCUACCAGACGUCACAACGUAACUGGGUGAUUAUAAAGGUGCUCUACAGGUGUCUCCGAUGGUGUUUGUUGAGUUGGCAUAGAUCAAAAUUAGGAUUUGUCAAUCCGAUUGUCGGAGAGGUAUCCCUAGGCCCUCUCGGUAAUACACAUCACUAUAAGCCUUGCAAGCAUUGUGACUAAUGAGUUAGUUGCGGGAUAAUGUAUUACGGAACGAGUAAAGAGACUUGCCGGUAACAAGAUUGAACUAGGUAUUGAGAUACCGACGAUCGAAUCUCGGGCAAGUAACAUACCGAUGACAAAGGGAACAACGUAUGUUAUGCGGUUUGACCGAUAAAUAUCUUCGUAGAAUAUGUAGGAGCCAAUAUGAGCAUCCAGGUUGCGCUAUUGGUUAUUGACCGGAGGCAUGUCUCGGUCAUGUCCACAUAGUUCUCGAACCUGUAGGGUCCGCACGCUUAAUGUUCGGUGACGACCGGUAUUACGAGUUUAUGUGUUUUGAUGUACCGAAGAUAGUUCGGAGUCACGGAAUGAUCACGGACAUGACGAGGAGUCUCGAAAUGGUCGAGACAUAAAUAUUGAUAUAUUGGACGACUAUAUUCGGACACCGGAUGAGCUCCGGGGGUCACGUGAUAUUUAUAAGAGUGCCGAAGGGGUUAUCGGAACCCCCGGGGGAACUAACGGGCCAACAUGGGCCAUGUUUGAGAGAGAGGAGAGGGCCUAGGGCUGGCUGCAUGCCCCCUUGGGAGUCCGAAUUGGACAAGGAGGGGGGUGGCGCCUCCUCUUUCCUCCCUCCCUCCCUCCCUCUCCUUCCUUCCCCCUUCCCCUUCCUAGUUGGAAUAGGAAAAGGGGAGUCCCUACUCCUACUAGGAGGAGGACUCCCGCUCUCCCUUGGCGCGCCUCUAGGCCUGGCCUUCCCCCUUGCUCCUUUAUAUACGGGGGCAAGGGGGCACCCUAGAACACACAAGUUGAUUGUUUCCAUCCGUGUGCGGUGCCCCCCUCCACCAUAAUCCACCUCGGUCAUAUUGUAGCGGUGCUUAGGCCCAGUCUUGUUUCAGUAGCAUCAUCAUCACCGUCAUCACACCGUCAUGCUGACGAAUCUCUCCCUCGAAACUCUACUGGAUCGUGAGUUCGUGGGACAUCACCGAGCCGAACGUGUGCAGAUCGCGGAGGUGUCGUACCUCCGGUGCUAGGAUUGGUCGAUCGUGAAGACAUACGACUACAUCAACCGCGUUGUCAUAACGCUUCCGCUUACGGUCUACGAGGGUACGUAGACAACACUCUUCCCUCUUGUUGUUAUGCAUCACCGUGAUCUUGCGUGUGCGUAGGAAUUUUUUUGAAAUUACUCCGUUCCCCAACAGUGGCAUCCGACCCAGGUUUAUGCAUAGAUGUUAUAUGCACGAGCAGAACACAAAGGAGUUGUGGGCGUGGGUAUAUACAUAUUGUUUGCCAUCACUAGUUGAUUCUUGAUUCGGCGGUAUUGUUGGAUGAAGCGGCCCUGACCGACAUUACGCGUAUGCUUACGCGAGACUGGUUCUACCGACGUGCUUCGCACAUAGGUGGCUGGUGGGUGUCAUUUUCUUCAACUGUAGUUGAAUCGGAUUCAAACAGGGUUCUUUCUGAAGAUCAAAAAGCAAUCACUAUACCACGUUGUGAUUUUUGAUGCGUAGGUAAGAACGGUUCUUGCUCAGCCCGUAGCAGCCACGUAAAACUUGCAACAACAAAGUAGAGGACAUCUAACUUGUUUUUGCAGGGCAUGUUGUGAUGUGAUAUGGUCAAGACAUGAUGAUAAAUUUUAUUGUAUGAGAUGAUCAUGUUUUGUAACACAGUAAUCGGCAAUUGGUAGGACCCAUAUGGUUGUCACUUUAUUGUAUGAAAUGCAAUCGCCAUGUAAUUGCUUUACUUUAUCACUAAGCGGUAGCGAUAGUCGUAGAAGCAAUAGUUGGUGAGACGACAAUGAUGCUUCAAUGGAGAUCAAGGUGUCAAGCCAGUGACGAUGGUGCUUUGGAGAUGGAGGUCAAAGGCACAAGAUGAUGAUGGCCAUAUCAUAUCACUUAUAUUGAUUGCAUGUGAUGUUUAUCAUUUAUGCAUCUUAUUUUUCUUAGUUCGGCAGUAGCAUUAUAAGAUGAUCUGUCACUAAAUUUCAAGGUAUAAGUGUUCUCCCUGAGUACGCACCGAUGCUAUAGUUCGUCGUGCCAAGACACCACAUGAUGAUCGGGUGUGAUAAGCUCUACAUUCACGUACAACGGGUGCAAGCCAGUUUUGCACAUGCGAAAUACUCGAGUUAAACGUGACGAGCCUAGCAUAUGCAGAUAUGGCCUUGGAACACUGAGACCAAAAGGUCGAGCGUGAAUCAUAUAGUAGAUAUGAUCAACAUAGUGAUGUUCACCAUUGAAAACUACUCCAUCUCACAUGAAGAUCGGACAUGGUUUAGUUGAUAUGGAUCACGUGGUCACUUAGAUGAUUAGAGAGAUGUAUAUCUAAGUGGGAUUUCUUAAGUAAUUUGAUUAAUUAAACUUUAAUUCAUUAUGAACUUAAUACCUGAUAGUAUUUUGCAUGUCUAUGUUGUUGUAGAUAGACGGCCCGUGCUGUUGUUUCAUUGAAUUUUAAUGUGUUCCUAGAGAAAGCUAAGUUGAAAGAUGAUGGUAGCAACUACACGGACUGGGUCCGUAACUUGAGGAUUAUCCUCAUUGCUGCACAGAAGAAUUACGUCCUGGAAGCACCGCUAGGUGACAAACCCGCUGCAGGAGCAACGCCGGAUGUUGUGAACACCUGGUAGAGCAAAGUUGAUGACUACUCGAUAGUUCAGUGUGCCAUGUUUACGGCUUAGAACCGGGACUUCAACGACGUUUUGAACAUCAUGGAGCAUAUGAGAUGUUCCAGGAGUUGAAGUUAAUAUUUCAAGAAAAUGCCCGGAUUGAGAGAUAUGAAGUCUCCAAUAAGUUCUAAAGCUGCAAGAUGGAGGAAAAUAGUUCUAUCAGUGAACAUAUACUCAGAAUGUCUGGGUACCACAACCACUUGACUCAACUAGGAGUUAAUCUUCCUGAUGAUAGUGUCAUUGACAGAGUUCUUCAAUCACUGCCACCAAGCUACAAGAGCUUCAUGAUGAACUAUAAUAUGCAAGGGGUGGAUAAGACGAUUCCUGAGCUCUUUGCAAUGCUAAAGGCUGCGGAGGUAGAAAUCAAGAAGGAGCAUCAAGUGUUGAUGGUCAACAAGACCACCAGUUUCAAUAAAAAAGGGUAAAGGGAAGAAGGGGAACUUCAAGAAGAAAAGCAAGCCAGUUGCUACUCAAGUGAGGAAACCCAAGUCUGGACCUAAGCCUGAGACUGAGUGCUUCUACUGCAAAGGAACUGGUCACUUGAAGGGGAACUUCCCCAAGUAUUUGGCGGAGAAGAAGGAUGGCAAAGUGAAAGGUAUAUUUGAUAUACAUGUUAUUGAUGUGUACCUUACUAAUGCUCGUAGUAGUGCCUGGGUAUUUGAUACUGGUUUAGUUGCUAACAUUUGCAACUCGAAACAGGGGCUACGGAUUAAGCGAAGAUUGGCUAAGGAUGAGGUGACGAUGCGCGUGGGAAAUGGUUCCAAAGUCGAUGUGUUCGUUGUCGGCACGCUACCUCUACAUCUACCUUCGGGAUUAGUUUUAGACCUAAAUAAUUGUUAUUUGGUGCCAACGUUGAGCAUGAACAUUAUAUCUGGAUAUUGUUUGAUGCGAGACAAUUAUUCAUUUAAAUUAGAGAAUAAUGGUUGUUCUAUUUAUAUGAGUAAUAUCUUUUAUGGUCAUGCACCCUUGAUGAGUGGUCUAUUUUUACUAAAUCUUGAUAGUAGUGAUACACAUGUUCAUAGUAUUGAAGCCAAAAGAUGCAGAGUUGAUAAUGAUAGUGCAACUUAUUUGUGGCACUGCCGUUUAGGUCAUAUUGGUGUAAAGCGCAUGAAGAAACUCCAUUCUGAUGGACUUCUGGAAUCACUUGGUACUUGCGAACCAUGCCUCAUUGUAACAUCCCAAAUUUUCAAUUUGGAAUGUUAUACAUUAGAUCAUCAUUGCAUAUCAUAUUUUAUUUUUGCAUUUUGGUUGAUCCUAGAAAUUCUACACCACUCAAUGACCCACGGAGAGAGUUGGGGAUUUCGUUAUUUUCAUAUUUGAGUUCUCUCAAAUUGCGAGAAUAGGAUCAUUUGAUUUUAUUUAUUUUAUCAUCAAUUAUUUCUUUUAAAAAAAUAUGAGAGAGGGAAUAAAAUGACUUUCCCAAAAUAAAGAAAUAUUGAGGAUUUAAUAAUAAAAUCAAAUAAGAUUUUAUUUCGGAGUUUUUCGGUGUUUUAUUUGAAUUUAGGAAAAUGUGCGUUUUUCAAAAUUGUAUUUAGGUCCCAAAUAUAUGUUCACCUUGUGUGGCUUGAUUUUAGAAGCCCGUGAAAAUUUGUUUCGGAAUUUUUGGAGUCCGUUUAGUAUUUCUUUUUAUUUUUCUUCCGAGCGAAAUAAUUAAAAAAAAAGUGAACCGACCUAACCGGGCCGUGUCCGUCCAGGACUCUGGCCCGGCAGGCUUUAUAAGCCGGCCCAGCCCCCCGGGGGAAAACCCUAGCCGCCGCCGCCGCCUGCUCCCGCCCCGCGCCGCCGCUGCCGCCGCCCCGCGCCGCCACCGAGGUUCGCCGCGCCUCGACUUCCGUGCCAUCGUUUUUUUUAAAUAGAUCGGUUUUCAUCGGAUUUUUCCGUCGGUUUUUUUAGUUCAGUUUUUAAAUAGAUCGGGUUUUCCGGUUUAUUUAAAUAGUGAGCGUUCGUCCGUUCGUUCGUUCUAGCGAGUGUUCGUCGUUUUUCUUUUUCUCGGAUUAAAUCCGCGAUUUUUUUAAUCGCGAUUCCUGAUCCGAUUUUCGUUUUAGUAUAACUUUUCGCUCGUUGAUCGGAAUUAGGCGAUUCAAGCGCCUAGAGUUUCGUCUCGAAACCCUCUAUCCGUUUAAGCAAUUUAAACAAGAUUUUUCUUCUGUAAAAUUUUCCCUAGAUCCAGAUUACUAGAACGAAGUUGUUUUCUUUCGCCGUUUGACUUUCGUUGCUUCGUUCGAUUUGAUUCUUUUUGCCAACCGGAGUUCUUAAGUUGAACCUUCUGGUUAGAUCUCUUAUUUGAGUUUUACUUGUGCAUUAGAUGAGUACUUAUUGUAUGCUUGUUUCUUUGUCUGCGAUAGAAUACCCGGAGAGCGCCGCCUGUUACUUCGGAUCGUUAAGUUUCGCGGAUCAUCAGCAAGGCAAGUAACACUUUGAUCAUACCUUUUCUACUACCCAGUUUUCUUGCAUUAGACCAAUCCUCACACAUUGCAUGAUUAGGAUCUAAUUAAAUUGUGGGAUGGGAAGUAGUUGAGGUAGUACCUAUUACCUGUUUAUUAUCAAACCUUUGGGAGUUACUUCUACGUUUGCUUAUUAUGCCAUGCUAUGCUAGUAGACGUGGAAUGGGUGAGUGAUAUCCAUGACAGAUGUGAGUUUUGUUAAUUAAUGGUUUAUCUAAGGUGGCAACUUAAACACACAUCUGGGUGGAUUGAGGCACCUGGGUAUUCCAGGACUUGCCUGUUUUCUUUUGGACCGCCACCCAGGCUCAAAGGGAUCAUGAGACUAUUCAUACUAGAAACUUCCGUUUGCAGCCACAAGCUAUUAUGGGCUCUAGCAUAGUUGACUAAGUCGUGCGAACUCUUACAGUGGUAGACUAGCAGAUGUAGGGGAUGUAGGUGGUACGGUCUACCCGAUCGUAAGGUGCUAGCGCUUCUGAAAGACUAUGUCUCGGUCAUCCAUCUUCUCAAACACCAUGUAGUGCGAGAAACCAAAUGGAGGCGAUCGAGUCUUGUGGGGAAAAGUGUGCAAACCUCUGCAGAGUGUAAUAAACUAAUCAUGGUUAGCCGUGUCCCCGGUUAUGGACAUCUUGAGUAUCUAGUACUUGGAUUAUCAUGUGAAUCUCAACAUGUUACUCUAAAUUAAUUUUGUUGGGUUAUGUUUAAUGAUGAUGCUUAAUUGGGAUUAAGAAUGCUGUCAACCAUUCUCAAUGUUUAACAACUACCAUGAUAGUUAAAUAAAAUUUAUUCCUUUGAAGUAGGGAAAAAUUGGCUUUACGCAAAACUGUAACCAUAGAGCUUUCCACCAGCCAAAUAUGCAUAUAGUAUAGUUGUUUCUUUCCUUUACUCUCUACGUGUUACAUUGCCAGCAUAUUCCAUGUGCUGACCCGUUUCGGGCUGCAACGUUAAUGUUUGAUACAUCUCCAACGUAUCUAUAAUUUUUGAUUGCUCCAGGCUACUUUAUCUACUGUUUUAGGCAAUAUUGGGCUUUAUUAUCUACUUUUCUAUUACUUUUGGGACUAACCUAUUAACCGGAGGCCCAGCCCAGAUUUGCUAUUUUAUGCCUAUUUCAGUGUUUCGAGGAAAAGGAAUAUCAGACGGAGUCAAAACGGAACGAAAUCAACUGGAGAAGUUAUUUUUGGAAGGAAACCCACCUGAUGGACUUGGACCCCAUGUCAGAAGAUACGGGAGGUGCUCACGAGGGUGGGGGCGCGCCCUCCCCCCUGGGCGCGCCCCCCUACCUCGUGGGGCCCCCGUAGCUCUACCGACGUUCUCCCUGCACCCAUAUAUACCUACGUACCCCAAAACUGCCAGAACAGAACAUAGAUCGGGAGUUCCACUGUUGCAAGCCUCCAGAACCACCAAAAACCAAUCGGGACCCCUUUUCGGUACCCUGCCGGAGGGGGGAUCCAUCACCGGUGGCCAUCUUCAUCAUCCUGGCGCUCUCCAUGGCGAGGAGGGAGUAGUUUUCCCUCGGGGCUGAGGGUAUGUACCAGUAGCUAUGUGUUUGAUCUCUCUCUCUCUCUCUCUCUCUCUCUCUCGUGUUCUUGAGGUGAUAUGAUCUUGAUGUAUCGUGAGCUUUGCUAUUAUAGUUGGAUACUAUGAUGUUUUCUCCCCCUCUACUCUCUUGUAGUGAAUCGAGUUUCCCCUUUGAAGUAAUUUUAUCGGCUUGAGUCUUUAAAGACUUGAGAACACUUGAUGUAUGUCUUGCCGUGGAUAUCUGUGGUGACAAUGGGAUACCACGUGCCACUUGAUGUACGUUUUGGUGACCAACUUGCAGGUUUCGUGACAUUGGGGACCUAUGCAUAGGGGUUGGCACACGUUUUCGUCGUGAUUCUCCGGUAGAAACUUUGGGGCACUCUUUGAGGUUCUUUGUGUUGGUUGAAUAGAUGAAUUGAGAUUGUGUGAUGCAUAUCGUAUAAUCAUGCCCACGGAUACUUGAGGUGACAUUGAAGUAUCUAGGUGACAUUAGGGUUUUGGUUGAUUUGUAUCUUAAGGUGUUAUUCUAGUACGAACUCUAGGGCUGUUUGUGACACUUAUAGGAAUAGCCCAAUGGAUUGAUUGGAAAGAAUAACUUUGAGGUGGUUUCGUACCCUACCAUAAUCUCUUCGUUCGUUCUCCGCUAUUAGUGACUUUGGAGUGACUCUUUGUUGCAUGUUGACGGAUAAUUUUAUGAUCCAAUUAUGUUAGUAUUGUUGAGAGGACUUACACUAGUGAAAGUAUGAACCCUAGGCCUUAUUUCCUAUCAUUGCAAUACCGUUUACGCUCACUUUUAUCAUUAGUUACCUUGCUGUUUUUAUAUUUUCAGAUUACAAAUACCUUUAUCUACCAUCCAUAUUGCACUUGUAUCACCAUCUCUUCGCCGAACUAGUGCACCUAUACAAUUUACCAUUGUAUUGGGUGUGUUGGGGACACAAGAGACUCUUUGUUAUUUGGUUGCAGGGUUGCUUGAGAGAGACCAUCUUCAUCCUACGCCUCCUACGGAUUGAUAAAUCUUAGGUCAUCCACUUGAGGGAAAUUUGCUACUGUCCUACAAACCUCUGCACUUGGAGGCCCAACAACGUCUACAAGAAGAAGGUUGUGUAGUAGACAUCAAUGUUGCAGACUUUUCAGACGACGAUUAAGGAGUUUUAGGUCGUGGUUCUAUACUCAGUGAUGCCAUUGGAGUUGAUGGACUCACUUAUCUUCCAAGCCUUCCACUGUUAUCGUUAUUAGAUGGCCUUAAGCCAUAUUUAUUGUAAUAAGUUCUCUUAUGAGACACUCGAUGCAAUACAUGUGUGAUUGCUACUUUGCUAUAAAUCCUCCGAGUACUGUGUGGUGUCAGCAUUACUGAUCCAGGGAUGAGACCGGAGCACAGAGAUCAGACUGUUUGAGGUAUGGUCGCUACAGAGAUGGUAUCAGAGCACACGCUGACUGUAGGACACGACCACUAAGCUAAAAGACCUAGAUCACUAUUCACUCUCUUCUCUUUUGACUUAUCAUCUUUUCUACUCUUUAGGAUGGCAGAUGCAAGGAACAAGUUCACGCAACCGGAUGAAGAUACACCCUUUGGACGACACUUGAAGGAAGUCACUAGAUAUCUGAACAUAGGAGUACCAAGCUUCACCGGAACCUACAACGCCACUUUACCUGAAGAAGAGCGCUGGAUGAUUCAAGUUCAAGUUCCAGGAAGGACGUUCAUGCCAGUCACUGAGCCCAUAGAGUUUUCUUUUGAUGCACCAACUUGGAGUCUAGGAAAGAGCAUGGCAGCUCACAUCGCCAUGGGACGCAUUGGAGAAGUCUACCGCAAUGAUCUCAAGGAUACUAUCUACCAGAUUUGUGGGCGCCGAGAUGAACACUGGGAGAUGAUCAGCACCAGGAAGGAUAGAUGAAUCGCAGCUUUUAUCCAGGAGUUAAACCAGCACAUUCGACGACAGGAGAACCAGAUGUGCGCCGACAUGAUAGAUCCGAAGAAGGCUAAGACUAGAAUCAAGGAACUGGAGGAAGAACUCAAGGCUACACGUGAAGAUUAUGAAGAGGAAGUUGAAGUAUUGGUGGAGAAGAAUGACGACCUGAUAAAGAAGAUUGGAAUAUUUAUGGGAGGCCCUACGCCAGUAGAUGAAGACGAAGAACCCAAGGAAAUUAGCUCGGAAGACUACAUCAUCAUCGACGGCACCGACUCGGAUCCAGAUAGUAGUGAUGAUGACUAUGUUGAUGAAGCUGGAGCAGAUAUCAUGGAGUCUGCCACCGAAGAAUAUUUCUAGUAGACCACCUCAUCAGUAGUAGUAGCCCACCAUGUAAAUAUAGUAGUCCGAGCACUUUUGCGAUAGUUAGAACAAUUGUAUGCCCUUGUUUGAUUGAAUGAAGUGAAUUCUUUGCUUUUGCCUCAUGUGCAUAUGGGUUGUGUUUUCUCUUUAGACCCCCUCUAUUCUUACAUAUCAUCUUUUCUAAAUCCUCAGAUGCCUCCGAGACGUGACCCCGGAUUUGCCUUUCCACCGGAGCUCACCCAGUUGAUCCAGCAGUAGAACACAUUGAUGCAGUUGCUAGUCCAGAAUCAGAAUCAAGGGAACAACACCAACAACCCACCACCACCACCACCACCUGUUGACCACUUAGCCCGUUUUCUUAGGCUGAAUCUGCCGGUGUUUUCCAGUAGCACUGAGCCGAUAGUAGCAGAUGAUUGGCUCCGCAAGACAGCUAGGGAGUUGACCACAGCAGGAUGCACAGAUGCGGAGAAGGUGAAGUUUGCCACACAUCAGCUAGAAGGACCCGCAACAUCAUGGUGGGAGAAUUUCACAGCCACUUUCCCUGUCGACACUGUCACAUGGGACCAGUUUCAGCAGGCUUUUCAUACUGCACAUGUUUCAGCCGGAGCUAUGGCCAUGAAGAAGCUUGAGUUUCGCAACUUGCACCAAGGAGGACGGACAGUUGGCCAGUACGUGGAGGAAUUUAGUAAGCUAGCACGUUAUGCCCCAGAUGACGUCGCUACGGAUGCAGCUAAGCAGGAGAAGUUUCUAGAAGGACUGAAUGAUGAGUUGAGCAUGCAGUUGAUGGUAGCAACCUUCAACAACUACCAGGAGUAGGUAGAUAGUGCUCUUAUGAUUGAAGGGAAGCAGCAGCAAAUUGAGAAUCACAAGAGGAAGUAUGGACAAGGAAAGUACAAUUCAGGAGCUCAGCAGAAGCCACGUUUUACCCUUAGACCGGGAGGACAUUUUCAGCAUACCCAUGGAGGAGGUAGCAUGCACAAUCACAAUGGCACCAAGAAUGGAAAUGGCAAUGGAGGAAGCAACGGCAAGAACCGCACCAACCCCUCAACCCCAGCCAAGAAGGACCUGAGCCAAGUCACUUGUUUUAAGUGUCAGAAGACCAGACAUUAUGCCAAUGAAUGUCCUAAAGGCCAAAAUGGCAAUGGAAGUUCUGGAAAGAAGCCGAACCCUUUCAACAGGAGACAGGUGAACCACGUUAGCGUGAAGGAGGUUGAAGCUCAGCCUGAUGCAGUAAUAGGUAAGUUUUUGGUUAAGUCAUUUACUGCACUCGUUCUUUUUGAUACUGGUGCAUCGCAUUCAUACAUCUCAAGGGGAUUUGUGGAUAAGUAUAACCUAUCAACCCAAGCCCUUAGGUCACCCAUGUUAGUAACCUCGCCUGGAGCAGAAUAUGUGGCUAGUCUAUGGUGUGAUCAGUUACCAUUAAGGAUUGGUAACUAUGUUUUUCCCUCAGACCUAAUAGUAUUGGAAUCUCAAGGAUUGGAUGUGAUAUUAGGCAUGGAUUGGUUAUCAAAGUAUGAAGGGAAUAUUGAAUGUGCUAGUAAGUCAAUUUUGCUUACCACCCCAGAAGGGAGAAGGAUCAAGUAUUUAUCCCGACAUGUACCAAAGAGGACUCAAGUAAAUUGCCUAACAGGAGUUGUGCAGGAGGAAGUACCAGUGGUAAGGGAUUUUCCUGAAGUAUUUCCAUAAGAGUUGCCAGGCAUGCCACCGGAUAGAGAUAUCGAGUUUUUGAUUGAGCUAUUGCCAGGCACAGGGCCAAUAUCAAACAGACCAUAUAGGAUGCCAGCAAAGGAUUUGGUGGAAAUUAAGAAGCAGAUUAAGGAGUUACUGGAUAAAGGAUAUAUUCGCCCAUGUUCUUCACCUUGGGGAUUGCCAGUACUUCUAGUGGAGAAGAAGGAUGGAUCGUUAAGGAUGGUUGUUGAUUAUCGAGGAUUGAAUGAAGUAACGAUCAAGAACAAGUACCCACUACCAAUGAUCAACGAUCUGUUUGAUCGAUUGCAAGGAGCUAAGGUAUUUUCCAAGAUCGAUCUGCGAUUAGGAUACCACCAGUUGAAGAUUUGAGCACAUGAUAUACCUAAGACAGCUUUUACCACCAGGUAUGGGCUGUAUGAGUAUACCGUUAUGUCAUUUGGUCUGACUAACGCACCCGCAUAUUUUAUGAACAUGAUGAACAAAGUAUUUAUGGAGUUUUUGGAUAAGUUCGUCGUGGUGUUCAUUGAUGAUAUCCUGGUUUAUUCGAAGAAUGAAGAGGAGCAUAAGGAGCAUUUGCAUUUGGUACUUGGAAAGCUAAGAGAACAUCAAUUAUAUGCCAAGUUUAGCAAAUGUGAGUUUUGGUUGAAGGAAGUAGGAUUCCUCGGACACAUUAUAUCUGGAGAAGGUAUAGCAGUUGAUCCCACUAAAUUUGAAACCGUGACCAAGUGGGAAGCCCCAACAACAGUUGGAGAGAACCGGAGUUUUCUUGGACUCGCAGGAUACUACCGGAGAUUUAUUGAGAAUUUCUCAAAGAUUGCGAAGCCUAUGACAGGGUUGUUAAAGAAAGAUACCAAGUUCAUAUGGACAGAGGAAUGUGAGGCUAGUUUCCAGGAGUUGAAGAAAUGCUUGGUUACCUCACCAGUGUUGAUUUUGCCAGACCAGACCAAAGAUUAUGAGGUGUAUAGCGACGCUGCACAUCGAGGACUUGGAGCAGUGCUUAUGCAGGAAGGGAGAGUUGUUUCAUAUGCCUCAAGACAACUGAAGCCUCAUGAGUUAAAUUAUGCCACGCAUGAUUUGGAGUUAGCAGCCGUAGUGCAUGCUUUGAAAACAUGGAGGCAUUUCCUCAUUGGAAAUCAUUGUGAGGUGUACACGGAUCAUAAGAGUUUGAAGUACAUUUUCACACAGAAGGAGUUGAAUCUCAGACAAAGGAGAUGGUUGGAGCUUAUCAAGGAUUAUGAUAUGAAAUUGCAUUAUCACCCCGGAAAGGCUAAUGUAGUAGCUGACGCAUUAAGCCGUAAGAGCCAUGUCAAUACGUUAAUGAUGGGAGAAAUACCCAAGGAGUUAGCGGAUAAUCUUCGUGAACUAUGUGUGGAAAUAGUUCCGAGAGGAUAUGUAGCAGCAUUGGAGAUUCAGUCAACUUUGAUGGAUAGAAUUAAAGAAGCUCAGAAAACUGACAAAGAGAUUGUCGCUAUAAAGGAGAAACUGAGCAAAGGAAAAGCUAAAGGAUUUCGUGAGGAUGAGCACGACACCCUAUGGUUUGAAGACCGCAUUUACGUGCCCAAUGACCCGGAGAUCAGGAAGUUGAUUUUGCAAGAGGCACAUGAUUCACCAUAUUCAAUUCACCCAGGAAAUACCAAGAUGUAUUUGGAGUUGAAGGAUAUUUUCUGGUGGACCGGAAUGAAGAAGGACAUUGCGGAGUAUGUAGCAGUUUGUGAUGUAUGUCAAAGAGUAAAGGCAGAGCAUCAGAAGCCAGCAGGAUUGUUACAACCAUUGCCGAUACCCGAAUGGAAGUGGGAUAAGCUAGGCAUGGAUUUUAUCAUGGGAUUGCCCAGGACUCGUUCAGGCUAUGACUCGAUAUGGGUUGUAGUCGAUCAAUUGAUGAAAGUAGCUCAUUUCAUCCCAGUAAAGACCACUUACACCAGUGCUAAGUUGGCAAAUAUAUACAUGACCAGGAUCGUAUGUCUGCAUGGAGUUCCAAGGAGUAUCGUAUCAGAUAGAGGAACCCAGUUUACCUCAAAGUUCUGGAAGCAGUUGCACGAAACUUUGGGUACCAGGCUAGAAUUCAGUACAGCUUUUCGUCCACAGACAGAUGGACAGACCGAGAGAGUCAAUCAGAUUUUGGAGGAUAUGCUGAGAGCUUGUGCGCUAGAUUAUGGAUCUAGUUGGGACGAUAAUUUGCCAUAUGUAGAGUUCUCUUACAACAACAGUUACCAAACCAGUUUAAAGAUGGCCCCUUUUGAAGCAUUGUAUGGAAGGAGGUGCAGGACACCGUUGUCAUGGGACGAAGUUGGAGACCGCCAGCUGUUUGGACCUGACUUGAUUAAAGAGUCUGAACAGAAGGUGAAGUUGAUUCGCGAUAGGCUCAAGGUAGCCCAGUCCAGACAGAAGAGUUAUGCGGAUUCUAAAUGCAAGGAGACAGUUUACAAAGUUGGAGAUAGAGGUUAUCUUCGAGUAUCACCACUUCGGGGAACAAAGCGUUUUGGAGUUAAAGGGAAGUUAGCACCAUGAUUUGUAGGACCAUAUCGAGUUUUGGAACGUAUGGGAGAAGUAGCCUACAAGUUGGAAUUGCCCGAAGGAUUGUCAGGAGUUCAUGAUGUGUUCCAUAUUUCCCAGUUAAAGAAAUGUCACGCGGAGAUGGCUGGCAUACCGUUGAGAGACACAGUGCCCUUAGAAACUAUUCAGUUGGAUAACGAUUUUACCUACGAGGAAAAACCAGUUAAGAUCUUCGAGUUUACCAGCCGAUUUACCCGCAGCAAGGUUAUCAAGUUUUGCAAAGUUCAGUGGAGCCACCACACAGAGGAUGAAGCCACCUGGGAGCGAGAGGAAGAUUUGCUCAAGGACCACCCUCACCUAUUUCCUAGCCAACCCAAAUCUCGAGGGCGAGAUUCAUCUUAAGGGGGGUAGGUUUGUAACAUCCCAAAUUUUCAAUUUGGAAUGUUAUACAUUAGAUCAUCAUUGCAUAUCAUAUUUUAUUUUUGCAUUUUGGUUGAUCCUAGAAAUUCUACACAACUCAAUGACCCACGGAGAGAGUUGGGGAUUUCGUUAUUUUCAUAUUUGAGUUCUCUCAAAUUGCGAGAAUAGGAUCAUUUGAUUUUAUUUAUUUUAUCAUCAAUUAUUUCUAUUACAAAAAUAUGAGAGAGGGAAUAAAAUGGCUUUCCCAAAAUAAAGAAAUAUUGAGGAUUUAAUAAUAAAAUCAAAUAAGAUUUUAUUUCGGAGUUUUUUGAUGUUUUAUUUGAAUUUAGGAAAAAUGUGCGUUUUUUGAAAAUUGCAUUUAGGUCCAAAAUAAAUGUUCACCUUGUGCGGCUUGAUUUUAGAAGCCCGUGAAAAUUUAUUUCGGAAUUUUUGGAGUCCGUUUAGUAUUUCUUUUUAUUUUUCCUCCGAGCGAAAUAAUUAAAAAAAAGUGAACUGACCUAAGCGGGCCGUGUCCGUCCGGGACUCUGGCCCGGCCGGCUUUAUAAGCCGGCCCAGCCCCCGGGGGGAAAACCCUAGCCGCCCAGCCCUAGCCGCCGCCCGCUCCCGCCCCGCGCCGCCGCUGCCUGCCGCCGCCGCCGCCGAGGUUCGCCGCGCCUCGACUUCCGUGCCAUUGGUUUUUUUUAAAGAUAGAUCGGUUUUUGUCGGAUUUUUCCGUCGGUUUUUUAGUUUCGGUUUUUUUAAAUAGAUCGGUUUUUCUGGUUUAUUUAAAUAGUGAGCGUUCGUUCGUUCUAGCGAGCGUUCGUCGUUUUUCUUUUUCUCGGAUUAAAUCUGCGAUUUUUCUGAUCGCGAUUCCUGAUCCGAUUUUCGUUUUAGUAUAACUUUUCGCUCGUUUAUCGGAAUCAGGCGAUUCAAGCGCCUAGAGUUUCGUAUCGAAACCCUCUAUCCGUUUAACCAACUUAAACAAGAUUUUGCUACUAUAAAUUUGCCCUAGAUCCAGAUUACUAGAACGAAGUUGUUUUCUUUCGCCGUUUGACUUUCGUUGCUUCGUUCGAUUUGAUUCUUUUUGCCAACCGGAGUUCUUAAGUUGAACCUUCUGGUUAGAUCUCUUAUUUGAGUUUUACUUGUGUAUUAGAUGAGUACUUAUUGUAUGCUUGUUUGUUUGUCUGUGAUAGAAUACCCGGAGUGCGCCUCCUAUUACUUCGAAUCGUUAGGUUUCGCGGAUCAUCAGCAAGGUAAGUAACACUUUGAUCAUACCUUUUCUACUACCCAGUUUUCUUGCAUUAGAUCAAUCCUCACACAUUGCAUGAUUAGGAUCUAAUUAAAUUGUGGGAUGGGAAGUAGUUGAGGUAGUACCUAUUACCUGUUUAUUAUCAAACCUUUGGGAGUUACUUCUACGUUUGCUUAUUAUGCCAUGCUAUGCUAGUAGACGUGGAUUGUGUGAGUGAUAUCCAUGACAGAUGUGAGUUUUGUUAAUUAAUGGUUUAUCUAAGGUGGCAACUUAAACAAACAUCUGGGUGGAUUGAGGCACCUGGGUAUUCCAGGACUUGCAUGUUUUCUUUUGGACCGCCACCCAGGCUCAAAGGGAUCAUGAGACUAUUGAUACUAGAAACUUCCGUGUGCAGCCACAAGCUAUUAUGGGCUCUAGCAUAGUUGACUAAGUCGUGCGAACUCUUACAGUGGUAGACUAGCAGAUGUAGGGGAUGUAGGUGGUAUGGUCUACCCGAUCGUAAGGUGCUAGCGCUUCUGAAAGACUAUGUCUCGGUCAUCCGUCUUCUCAAACACCAUGUAGUGCGAGAAACCAAACGGAGGCGAUCGAGUCUUGUGGGGAAAAGUGCGCAAACCUCUGCAGAGUGUAAUAAACUAAUCAUGGUUAGCCGUGUCCCCGGUUAUGGACAUCUUGAGUAUCUAGUACUUGGAUUAUCAUGUGAAUCUCAACAUGUUACUCUAAAUUAAUUUUGUUGGGUUAUGUUUAAUGAUGAUGCUUAAUUGGGAUUGAGAAUGCUGUCAACCAUUCUCAAUGUUUAACAGCUACCAUGAUAGUUAAAUAAAAUUUAUUCCUUUGAAGUAGGGAAAAUUGGCUUUACGCAAAACUGUAACCAUAGAGAUUUCCACCAGCCAAAUAUGCAUAUAGUAUAGCUGUUUCUUUCCAUUACUCUCUAUGUGUUACAUUGCCAGCAUAUUCCAUGUGCUGACCCGUUUCGGGUGCAACGUUAAUGUUGCAGACUUUUCAGACGAUGAUUAAGGAGUUUUAGGUCGUGGUUCUAUACUCAGUGAUGCCGUUGGAGUUGAUGGACUCACUUAUCUUCCAAGCCUUCCGCUGUUAUCGUUAUUAGAUGGCCUUAAGCCAUAUUUAUUGUAAUAAGUUCUCUUAUGAGACACUCGAUGUAAUACGUGUGUGAUUGCUACUCUGCUAUAAAUCCUUCGAGUACUGUGUGGUGUCAGCAUUACUGAUCCAGGGAUGACACCGGAGCACAGAGAUCAUACUGUUUGAGGUCUGGUCGCUACACUCAUGGGCAAGAUGACUAAAACUCCAUUCUACGGAACAAUAGAGCGAGCAACAGAUUUAUUGGAAAUUAUACAUACUGAUGUAUGUGAUCCAAUGAACAUUGAAGCUCGCGGCGGGUAUCAUUAUUUUCUCACCUUCACAGAUGAUUUGAGCAGAUAUGGGUAUAUCUACUUAAUGAAACAUAAGUCUGAAACAUUUGAAAAGUUCAGAGAAUAUUUGAGUUAUGAGUUUGGACUUCAUUUGAAACAAUGCAGAAUAGUUUUGCAACUCACGCCACCUGGAACACCACAACGUAAUGGUGUGUCUGAACGUCGUAACCGCACUUUAUUAGAUAUGGUGCGAUCUAUGAUGUCUCUCACUGAUUUACCGUUAUCGUUUUGGGGUUAUGCUUUAGAGACAGCUGCAUUCACGUCAAAUAGGGCACCAUCUAAAUCCGCCGAGAUGACACCUUAUGAACUGUGGUUUGGCAAGAAACCCAAGUUGCCGUUUCUUAAAGUUUGGGGUUGCGAUGCUUAUGUGAAAAAGCUUCAACCUGAAAAUCUCGUACCCAAAUCGGAGAAAUGUGUCUUCAUAGGGUACCCAAAGGAGACUGUUGGGUACACCUUCUAUUAUAGAUCCGAAGGCAAGAUAUUCGUUGCUAAGAAUGGAUCCUUUCUAGAGAAGGAGUUUCUCUCAAAAGAAUUGAGUGGGAGGAAAGUAGAACUUGAUGAGGUAAUUGUACCUUCUCCCUUAUUGGAAAGUAGUUCAUCACUGAAAUCAGUUCUAGUGAUUCCUACACCAGUAAGUGAGGAAGUUGAUGAUGAUGAUCAUGAAAGUUCUGAUCAAGUUACUACCGAUCCUCAUAGGUCAACCGGAGUAAGAUCCGCACUAGAGUGGUAUGGUAAUCCUCUUCUGCAAGUCAUGUUACUUGACCAUGACAAACCUACAAACUAUGAGGAAGCGAUGAUGAGCCCAGAUUCCGCAAAAUGGCUUGAGGCCAUGAAACUGUGAUGGGAUCCAUGUAUGAGAACAAAGUGUGGACUUUAGUUGACUUGCCCGAUGAUUGGAAAGCCAUAGAGAAUAAAUGGAUCUUCAAGAAGAAGACUGACGCUGACGGUAAUGUUACUGUCUACAAAUCUCAACUUGUUGCAAAAUGUUUUCGACAAGUUCAAGGAGUUGACUAUGAUGAGACUUUCUCACCCGUAGCGAUGCUUAAGUCCGUCCAAAUCAUGUUAGCAAUUACCGCAUUUUAUGAUUAUGAAAUUUGGCAAAAUGGAUGUCAAAACUGCAUUCCUUAAUGGAUAUCUUAAAGAAGAGUUGUAUAUGAUGCAACCAGAAGGUUUUGUCGAUCUAAAAGGUGCUAACAAAGUGUGCAAGCUCCAGCGAUCCAUUUAUGGACUGGUGCAAGACUCUCAGAGUUGGAAUAUACGCUUUGAUAGUGUGAUCAAAGCAUAUGGUUUUAUACAUACUUUUGGAGAAGCUUGUAUUUACAAGAAAGUGAGUGGUAGCUCCGUAGCAUUUCUGAUAUUAUAAGUAGAUGACAUAUUGCUGAUCAGAAAUGAUACUGAAUUUCUGAAUAGCAUAAACGGAUACUUGAAUAAGAAUUUUUCAAUGAAAGACCUCGGCGAAGCUGAUACGUCUCCAACGUAUCUAUAAUUUUUGAUUGUUCCAUGCUAUUAUAUUAUCUGUUUUGGAUGUUUAUGGGCUUUAUUAUACACUUUUAUAUUAUUUUUGGGACUAACCAAUUAACCGGAGGCCCAGCCCAAAUUGCUGUUUUCUUGCCUAUUUCAGUGUUUCGAAGAAAAGGAAUAUCAAACGGAAUGAAACCUUCGGGAGAGUUAUUUUUGGAAUGGAAGCAAUCCAGGAGACUUGGAGUAGACGUCAGGGAAGGUUCGAGGUGGCCACGAGGCAGGGAGGCGUGCCUGCCCCCCUGGGCGCCCCCACCCUCGUGGGCCUCUCGUGGCUCCCCUGACCGACUUCUUUCGCCUAUAUAUGUCCAUAUAACCUUAAAACAUCAGGGAACAGAAUAGAUCGGGAGUUCCGCCGCUAGAAGCCUCUGUAGCGACCAAAAACCAAUCUAGACCCGUUCCGGCACCCUGCCGGAGGGGGAAUCCCUCUUCGGUGGCCAUCUUCAUCAUCCUAGUGCUCUCCAUGAUGAGGAGGGAGUAGUUCUCCCUCGAGGCUGAGGGUAUGUACCAGUAGCUAUGUGUUUGAUCUCUCUCUCUCUCGUGUUCUUGAGUUGGCACAAUCUUGAUGUAUCGCAAGCUUUGCUAUUAUACUUGGAUCUUAUGAUGUUUCUCCCCUUCCACUCUCUUGUAAUGGAUUGAGUUUUCCCUUUGAAGUUAUCUUAUCGGAUUGAGUCUUUAAGGAUUUGAGAACACUUGAUGUAUGUCUUGCAUGUGUGUAUCUGUGGUGACAAUGGGAUAUCACGUGAUCCACAUGAUGUAUGUUUUGGUGAUCAACUUGCGAGUUCCGUGACCUCGUAAACUUAUGCAUAGGGGUUGGCACACAUUUUCAUCUUGACUCUCCGGUAGAAACUUUGGGGCACUCUUUGAAGUUCUUUGUGUUGGUUGAAUAGAUGAAUCUGAGAUUGUGUGAUGCAUAUCGUAUAAUCAUACCCACGGAUACUUGAGGUGCCAUUGGAGUAUCUAGGUGACAUUAGGGUUUUGGUUGAUUUGUGACUUAAGGUGUUAUUCUAGUACGAACUCUAUAAUAGAUCGAACGGAAAGAAUAACUUUGAGGUGGUUUCGUACCCUACCAUAAUCUCUUCGUUUGUUCUCUGCUAUUAGUGACUUUGGAGUGACUCUUUGUUGCAUGUUGAGGGAUAGUUAUAUGAUUCAAUUAUGUUAUUAUUGUUGAGAGGACUUGCACUAGUGAAAGUAUGAACCCUAGGCCUUGUUUCCUACCAUUGCAAUACUGUUUACGCUCACUUUUAUUACUUGUUACCUUGCUGUUUUUAUAAUUUCAGAUAACAAAAACCUAUAUCUACCAUCCAUAUUGCACUUGUAUCACCAUCUCUUCGCCGAACUAGUGCACCUAUACAAUUUACCAUUGUAUUGGGUGUGUUGGGGCCACAAGAGACUCUUUGUUAUUUGGUUGUAGGGUUGUUUGAGAGAGACCAUCUUCAACCUACGCCUCCCAUGGAUUGAUAAACCUUAGGUCAUCCACUCGAGGGAAAUUUUCUACUGUCCUACAAACCUCUGCACUUGGAGGCCCAACAACGUCUACAAGAAGAAGGUUGCGUAGUAGACAUCAAGCUCUUUUCUGGCGCCGUUGCCGGGGAGGUUAGCGCUUGAAGGUAACGAGGAGGAGCCUUCUAAUUAACCAAUCUCAUCAAUAAGGAGCUCCAAAAAGAGGAUUGAACCCACACAUAAUGUGAAGAAGAAAAAGAAAAGACGAAGGAGGAAAGGUGAAAAGGUAUCCCUCCCAAAUGACGUUGCCCCUAUUACUCAUUGUGAUGAUGAUAAUUGCUAUACUAUUGGUGCUAUCCAUACUAUUAAUGAUGAGAGUGAUUAUGCUUAUGAUAUGAAAAGGCCCAAGCUUGGGGAUGCUAUAUUUGAUGAGAAUGACAUGUUUGAGAAUAUAUUUGCUGCAAUUAAUGUUUGUCCCAAGCUUGGGGAUGCUAUGUUUAAUUAAGAUGAUAUUUCUAGCCUCCCAAGUUUUGAUAUGCAAAUUUGUUAUGAUGAUAGCAUGCCUCCUACUUAUGAUGAUUAUAUUGAUGAAAGUGGGUUUGGAAGAGUGUCAACUUUAGGAAGUAAUGAUCCCACUAUUUUGGAGGAUGUUGAAUCUUAUUUUGACAAUUAUGAAAGUGGAUUUGGAGAGGUCAUGACUUUAUUUAGUAAUGGUUCCACUAUCUUGGAAGAGGUUUCAAUUGAUUAUGAUGAGAACAAAGUUGCUACUUAUGAUGAUUAUUGUGAUGACACGUAUGCUAUAAAAAGUAGUGAUGAUUAUAUCAAAACUUGUCGUGAUUAUGAUUACCUUUUUCUGAACAUAGAAUUUAGAUAAAUAUACACACACAUCUGGAUAUAUUCUAGAUCUUCUUUUUUGACUAUAUAUUAUAUUUUUCUGUUUUAACAAAUUCAAUAUAAAAAACCGAACUUUUUCUAUUAUCUAUUAAUGUGUAUCUAUCCGUACCGUAAUAUUUUGGAAUAUUAUGAAUUAGAUAAAUUUACAUGCUUUCUCAUUCCAUUCGCGAGGAGCUGGAUGAGAAGAAACUCUCUUUAAUUAUUUUAAAUGAAAUUAUUUUAUUUGGAAUUGGAACAUUUCCGCGGGUACUUUUUUUUACUUUUUAGAAAGUAAAGUUCUUUUUCGAAAGAUAUACUCCGCCAGUAUGAAAAGUUCUUAAUGUUAGUUGAGUCCCUGGCUCCCCAAUUGAUUGACCUGCAAUAAUACCUACGGCUUCUCCCAAUUCGACCAGAUCACUAUGAGUAGGACUCCGGCCAUAGCAUAAUUGACAGAUCCAAGAAGUGCUUCGGCAAGUAAAGGGGGUUCUAAUAUAUAUUGGUUGUGCUCGAAAUGGGGUGACAUAAGUCCCUCCCUAUAACUCUUGAAUUAAGAAUUCUCACAAUAACAGGGUCUACUCGAUGUUAAUUAGGCGUAAAUGAAACUUUAGCAAAAAUCUCGUAAAACAAAAAGGAUAUUCAAUUAAUAUAAUAUCAACUCAUUAAAGAAAAUUGAGUUCGAUACAUGUGACCGGCAAUGAGAAAAAUAAAUGCAAUAGCUAAAUGAUGGUGAGCCAUAUCGGUCAGCCACAAACUUUGUGUUUGUGGAUGGAAUCCCCCAAGAAGACUCUUUUAAUGUGGAAACAAUUUAUAGUGUUCGAGUCUCUUAUGAUACUCCCACUAUUCCGAAUGAGAAGAAUUUUGCUUAUGUGGAGAGUAAUAAAAUUUAUAUGCUUGUAGAUCAUGAAAAGAAUGCUUUAGGUGUUGGUUAUAUUGUUGAAUUUAUUCAUGAUGCUACUGAACAUUAUUAUGAGGGAGGAAUAUAUGCUUGUAGGAGUUGCCAUAAUAUCAAGUUUCCUCUUUAUGUGUUGAAAAUCUUGAAGUUAUCCUUGUUUUACCUUCCUAUGCAAGUUGAUUCUUGUUCCCACAAGUUGUUUGCUCACAAAAUCCCUGUGCAUAGGAAGUGGGUUAGAAUUAAAUGUGCUAGUCAUAUUCUUCAUGAUGCUCUCUUUAUGUUUCAAUUCUUAUCUUUUAUGCGAGCAUCAUUGAAAUCAUCAUGCCUAGCUAGGGGCGUUAAACGAUAGCGCUUGUUGGGAGGCUACCCAAUUUCAUUUUUGUUCCUUGCUUUUUGUUCCUGUUUAGUAAUAAAUAAAUCAUCUAUCCUCUGUUAUGAUUGUGUUUUUAUGUUUUAAUUAGUUUGUGUGCCAAGUAAAGCCUUUAGGAUCUUCUUGGGUGAUUGUUAUUUGAUCUUGCUGUAAAAAAACAGAAAGUUUGCGCUCACAAGAACAAUUUCCAUUUUUUUACCAGAGAGCGAUAAAAUACAAAUUCCACUUUUAGUAGAUAAUAAACAAAUUGACAAGGACUUACUGAUUUCUCAGGAUUUUUGGAGUUACAUAAGUAUUCGAAUGAUAUAGAUUACUACAGACUAUUCUGUUUUUUGACAGAUUAUGCUUUCAUUGUGUUGUUUGCUUAUUUUUAUGAAUCUAUGAGUAGUAUCGAAGGUUAUGAACCAUAGAGAAGUUGGAAUACAGUAGAUAUUACACCAAUAUGAAUUUAGAAUGAGUUCACUACAGUACCUUAAGUGGUGGUUUGUUUUCUUAUACUAAGGGAGUUUACGAGUUUUCUGUUAAGUGUUGUGUUGUGAAGUUUUCAAGUUUUGGGCAAAGAUUCGAUGGACUAUGGAAUAAGGAGUGGCAAGAGCCUAAGAUUGGGUAUGUGUAGGAUUGAAAGUAUGUCUAGAGGGGGGUGAUUAGACUACUUGGCCAAAUAAAAAUCUAGCCUUUUCCCAAUUUUAGUUCUAGGCAGAUUUUAGCAACUUAGCACAAGUCUAGCAAUCAACCUACACAUGCAAUUCUAAGAGUAUAGCAGCGGAAAUCAAAAAAAUGCAUAUGAAGGUAAAGGGAGGAGUUUGGAGUGUGCAAACACAAUUGGAGACACGGAGAUUUUUGGCGUGGUUCUGAUAGGUGGUGCUAUCGUACAUCCACGUUGAUGGAGACUUCAACCCACGAAGGGUAAUGGUUGCGCGAGUCCAUGGAGGGCUCCACCCAUGAAGUGUCCACAAAUAAGCAACCUUUCCUAUCCCACCAUGGUCGUCUCCCAUGAAGGACUUGCCUCACUCGGAUAGAUCUUCACGAAGUAGGCGAUCUCCUUGCCCUUACAAACUCCUUGGUUCAACUCCACAAUCUUGACGGAGGCUCCCAAGUGACACCUAACCAAUCUAGGAGACACCACUCUCCAAGAGGUAACAAAUGGUGUGAUGAUGAUGAACUCCUUGCUCUUGUGCUUCAAAUGAUAGUCUCCCCAACACUCAACUCUCUCUCUCUCAAGGGAUUUGGAUUUGAUGGAAAGAUGAUUUGAGUGGAAAGCAACUUGGGGAAGGCUAGAGAUCAAGAUUUAUGUGGUUGGAGUGGAAUAUCUUGACCUCAACACAAGUGUAGGUGGUGCUCUCUCAAAAAAUGCAUGUUGGAUGUGUAGGCAUGUUCUGAUGUCUCUCUCUCUCCACGAAUGAAGAGUGGGUGGAGGGGUAUAAAUAGCCUCCACAAAAAUGUAACCGUUACACACAAAUCACCAAACUCGGUGGGACCGAAUCAUGAAACUCGGUCAGACCGAUUUAGUUCAAAAUGUGAACGUUAGGAUUUUUGGUGGGACCGACAUGUUAACUCGGUGGGACCGAUUCUGUUAGGGUUAGGGCAUAACAUAAUCUCGGUGAGACCGAUUACACAAAUUCGGUGAGACCGAUUUUGGUAAUGGACUAACAGAGAGUUGGUUAGGCAAACUCGGUGGGACCGAUUCGCUCAUCUCGGUUGGACCGAAACGUUACGAAAGGGAAACAGAGAGUUUACAUUGCAAUAUCGGUGGGACCGAUCGCUCAUCUCGGUUUGACUGAAACAUUACGAAGUGAAACAGAGAGAUUACAAUCCCAUCUCGGUGAGACCGAGAUCCCUAUCGGUAAGACCGAAAAGACUAGGGUUUCUGGUAGUGGCUAUGUCAACUAAACUCAGUAGCCCCGGAUAGAAAGUUUCGGUGGGGCUGAGUUUGACUUUCAGUUUGGGACAUAUGUGGAUGUGAGAAAGUAGUUGAGGACUUUGGAGCAUAUCACUAAGCACUUUGAGCAGGAAAGCCAUUAGGCAACAGGUCAUCCCCUCUUAAUAGUAUUGGCUUUUCCUAUGGAGUCAAUGUGAUCUUGGAUCACUUAAAAUGAAAAGAUGUAGAGUCCUAAGCUUUGAGCUUGAGACAAUUCUUUGUCCUUAGAAUUUUGAGCGAUCCACUUUUCUCAUCCAUGCCAUGCCAAUCAUUGAGCUUUCCUAAAAUGUUCAUCUUUAAGUAGCAUUAGCUCAAUGAGUUAUAUGUUGUUAGGAAUUACCAAAACCACCCAGGGAUAGUUGCACUUUCAAUCUCCCCCUUUUUGGUAAUUGAUGACAACAUAUAGAUCAAAGCUUCGACAAAUGAUAAAUAAGAUUGAAAAAACAUCAUCGCUUUGAGGAGUAUGUGAUAAGCAAGAGCUCCCCCUAAAUUUGUGCAUUAUUUAAAAUUUGCUUUUGAAUGCAAAUGCACAAUCGAUUAGGAUCAUGGGUUACUCUUCCAUGUGACAUAAUUCUUGGUGGAGCGCUCAAAAUGAUAGAGAUUAAAAGCGUGCACUCAUCACCAAACAAGUGAAUGAUCAUAUAAGGAUAUAAGAGAUGAUAUCAUCAACAAGCAUUAAGGGUAAGAUAUGAUCAAACACAUGAUCAACAAGUAUCUCACAAGGACAUAAAGUAUCUCACACAAGCACUCAAUAAAGAAGUUCAACCAAAAUAGCAAGAGAGAUAAAAAGAACAACACUCUCUCUCGAAGCCUAUGAUCUAUACAUUUUUCUCCCCCUUUGGCAACAAGUUACCAAAAAGUUCAAAAAAUGCAUAGUGCUAAACGACUCUCAGGCCUGAUCUUCGGGAGGUGGUGUAGAGAGAAAUCCAAGUACGAAGGCUUUCGAUGAAGUAGUUGGAGCUGAUGGAGUGGCUGCUGGGGGUGGCACUGGAGCUGUGGCUGCUGGUGCUGACACUGAAGCUUGAGUAUCUGUGACUGGUACUGCAGCAGACCUCUGGCUUCGGGGCACUCUAGCAAAAGCAUAUGUAGUUGACUUGCCCUUCUUCUCCUCCACUUCCUCCUGAAGCUGCUCUACUGAGGACUGAAUCUUAGUUACUUUGACAUCAAGAUCAUAGAAUUUCUGCUCAACGAUCCUCUCCAAGGUCUCCUAGUUUUGAGUCAGGGUGGCCAAGACCUUCUCAAUCCUCAAGGUGGAUUGGAUCAGAUAUCCAAGCUGAUCUUGCUUGCUCUUACUUGCUCUUUAGAAAAACCUGAGAUGCCUCCUCAACACUUGGCAUCUUCGCAGCUUUCGCUGCCCUUGCUUUUUCUCUCUUCUCAUGUGCUCGAGCUGAAGAUGGUUCAUUUUCAUCCAUGACAACAGUGUUGUCUUAAAAUUCAGGGUAGAUGGGCAGGUGCUCCUUAUCCAAAAGAUACUUGCAUGUGCCCAUCUUUGAGUUGAUGAGCUCCUGAAUUUGUGGGGCAUACCCACAACUCCUCUUCUGAUCAGCUGCUAUUCUUUUGAUUGUCUCCACAAUCAGACUCAUGACUUUGAAUUUUUGAGGAACAUCAAACACAUGUAGCAAGUUGAUGGCAUGUCCUCUGAUCAUCUUGUGAUCACCUUACUUGGGUAGCAAUGUGUGUCUGAGGAUCCAAUUUAUAGUAGGUAGACCAGACAACAAGAAGUGGACAGAUCCAAACUUGUGAGUAUCCAAAGCAGCAUCUAGGAUCUCUUUGUACAUGUUGGCCAUUGUGUUGUGGUCUUUCUUCUUCUCAGCAUAAACAUCCAAGUCAUCUUCAUGCUCUGCAGGGGCAUUGAUCAACUUAGCACAUUCAUCAACUUUGGAGUGGUACCUGGUACCCUCAGACAUCCAAACUAUCCUCCCAUCUGGAUAGAAGUGGGCAAUGGAGUAGAACUGCAUGAUCAACUCAUCAUUCCACCCAGUGAGCUUCUGGGAUACAAAGGUAUCAACUACACAUGCCUUGAAGCUGUCAUAUACACCCGGAUAGUGAUCUUCAUUCAACUUGAUGUACUCCCAGUCAACCCAUCUCAUGUCACACACAAUGGGCUUCUUGUCAAGCAGGAUUGUCUCAUAAAAGUCUUGCUGUUCCUUGGUGUGAAAUCUGUAGUCCACAACAGUCCUCCUCCUGACAGCAUAUGGAUCAGACUGUCUCCAUAACCUCAGUCCUGCAUCCUUCCUGAUUUUCAUGUUUUUUGCCACAGGGUGUGUAUCAUUGUGGUCGGGGAUCUUGGGCUUCAGCUUCCUCAACACAACUGAGUCAUCUUCUUCAUCUUCAGCAGCUUCAGGCAUUAGGGCCUUGUUUUUCUCCUUAGCAGGAAUGUUUCUAGUGCUUCUCUUGGGUUUAGGCUUCUGAGCUGGAGCAGUAGCCCUGGGAGCAGCUUUGGGUUUAGAUGGAGUAGCCACUGAUCUGAUUGCAUCUCCCAUGAGCUUUUGUGCUUUGGGUGCUGGUGCAGCAUCCUCUUCCUCUACAUCUGAACCUCUCAUUAUUGAUGAUCUGCCAAGCACUCUGGCAGUGGUCUUCUUGACCCUUUCCUUCCUUUUCUUCCCUUCUCCAGCUGCCUCUUCAGUUGGCUUGGAGGUUUCAGCAGUGGAUGCUCUGGCCUUAGACAUAGAAACUCUCUUUGCUGGUGCCUUCUUAUGCAUCCCUGGCAGCCGAGCCAUACUCCUUUUUCAGCACCUUUUUCCUUGAAGUGGCCUCAUCCUCAAUGGCCACAUAAUCCUCAUCCUCAGAUUCUGAGGUUUUAUUUUUCCUAGAUCUGGUUGCUGCCUUAGGUAAGUUGCUUGGAGUGCUCCUACUUCCAUCAUCAGAAGAGCUGGAGGGACUAGUGCCCUCACUCAUCUAGACAUGUUCUUCAGAUUUGUUCUUGCUGUCACUUUGGUCAAACAUCGUGCAGGAAAACUGUCAGCAGAUCCUGUGAAUAGAUUAUAGAUGAGGUAGAGAAGAUGAGCAUCACAAAGUACAGGAGUUUUGCAAAACAAUUGAGUCAAAAAGUUUAGUUUUAGUUCUCUACAGAAGUGAUCUCGGAGCUACCGAAUUGACAAACUCGGUGAUAUCGAAGCAACACUUGGAACCUAAACUAGUGAACUCAGUAGGGCCGAGUCACAGUUCGGUGGCACCGAGAUUGCUAGGGUUUCACAGAGUCCUGAACUCGUCCACACCGAUUUGCGCGUUUCGGUCGAAGAGCGCAUGUGCAAUGGCUAAGGCCAAAUCGAUGAGACCGAUUUCUACAGUCCGGUCGGUCCGAGAUGAGUUCUGCGGAGAGCCAACCCUAAUUUUUUUGAAUCAAUCUAGACCUAAGGAAGUUUUCGCUGGAUGGAUGAAUCUCAAUCAUGGCAAGAAACAUGGCAUUGUCCUUGUGCUAGGAAUUGGAGUGAAAAAGACAGCACAAGGGAUCGAACACUUACCCUAAUGGGGCGAGUGUUCGCUACGGCGGCAACAUCGGAGCAGAUUGCCGUUGACGGUGGCAGAGACCAGCGGUGGGAGGUCGCUAGCGGAGAGAAGAUGAUCUGGAGACCCGAAGAGGCAGAGUAGGUUAUGCGCGGGCGAAGGGUUUCGGAAAAAAUUCCAAAAUUUGGCCCGUCAGUAUAUAUAACCUGACCCUAUCGGUGUGACCGAGUGGAACAACUCGGUGGCACCGAGAUGCAAAACUGCAGGCAGUUACUACAACUCGAUGUGAUCGAAAGGUUCUAAUUGGUUGCACCGAGAUUGAAAACCUAGAUCAACUAAGUGAUCUCGGUAGGACCGAAAAGGAUGAAUCGGUUAGACCGAAAUGCACAAAGAGGUUUUGGAAGUUUAAGUCUAUGACGAAUCGGGAACUCCGAGUGCUCCUCACACAGAGUGGUUCGAAUCUGACUUGGUCAAACUUUGUGAUGUAGCAUGAAUAGAGUUUGAGACGAGAAAAGCAUAGAUAGCUAGAGGGAGUUCUUAGGCAUUCUUGUCCAUCCAUUUGGCAAAAGAGAAAAAACCAAACAAUCAAAGCAACAAAUGGAUGUCCUCGAAUGAGAAAAAUAUGUAUUCAACAUGCUCACACAACUAAAGUGGCAAAUGAAAUAUGUGACGAAGCUUGCAUAGACACUCUAGCAUCUAUCAAGCAAUUGGCGAUGACUAGGUCAUCUAUAUAUGAGUAUAUUGACUUAGGAGUCAAAUGAGAACAUUUGAUCAUAGGUCAUACUCAUCAUUUAAGCACAAGUGGGGUUACCACUUUUACAUAGAGCAUUGUUGUACUCACACCAUUAGAGUUGCUUUAACUCAAUUGAUUAGAGUAAAGCUCCCCCUAGAUGUGAUAUCCCCCCUAAGAGGGAUCAACUAACCUUGGGUUUUGUCGAUGAUGACUUCAUGUAGGUGUUGAAGAUGUGGAUGCUCAAUGUUGAUGUAGAUCAUUCGGAGCAAUCCUUUGGAGUGAUUUGCACUUUUAGUACCUACAUGGGUUAGUCCCACAAGGAACAAACAAGGAUAUCCAUAGACAUAGAGUGAUGUGUACACAAGAUGAUGUCCAUGGAAGCAGUAGGUUACCUUAUUCCUUGUCUUACCAACAAGAGGGUUUGUGACUCCUUGAACUAGUGCAAGAUAUGAAAGUUGUUUGCACUUGUCCUUGCCAAAAUGAUAAGAGUGAAGUAGGUUGGCGGAGUCACCCUCAAGAACUCUCUAGUUCUUGUUCUUCGGGAUCCACACCAUCUUGAUGGGAAUCCUUGGGGUUGUAGUCGUACUUGAAGUAGAACUUGAUUUAGUCUUGGGAAUCCAUUUGACCAAGGCCUUGGGUGCUUUCCUCGAAUGCAUCAAUCUCCUCUUGAAUCUUGUCCUUGCCUUUUUGCUUGUGGUCUUGUGGUGGAAGAUCAUCUUGAGCUUGUGUUCCUUUGAAAGAAGUAGGAUCAUAUUUCUCUUGUUGAGGAACAAACUUAGUAUUGGGGUAUUGAUCUUCUUCCCACUCAACUCCAUUGGCAUUGAAAUUUCGUUCAAAAGCAACACCUUGAUUCUUCCGGUGUCUUCCUUGCUUGCGUACAAUUUCCUCAAAUUGCUUACUUCCGGCAAGGCUCUUGUAAACACCUUUCUCUAUAAUUCCCUUAAAUAAGCUAUUUUCUUGCUCAAGUGUAACUUGGCUAGGAGAAUCAUUAGUGGAAUCAAGAGAGCUACUAGAAGCAACAACAUUGGAUUUAGCAUGAUUGUUGUUACUACUAGAUGAAGAAUAUUUCUUGUUCUUGUUGCUAGAUUUAACUUCUGGCAUGUAAGUAGACAAGAUUAACGCUUGGCAACGUAAGAAGAACUUUUCUUGUGAAGAUCAUCAUUGAUUGCCUUUAAAAACUCAUGUUCUUGCUCAAGGUUGAGCUUUUCAAAGCGUAGCUUAUCAUGAGUCUUUAAAAGUUCUCGAUGAUCUUCCAAGGUAGUUUCAUGAGCUAACUUAAGAGUGUUUAGUUCUUUAGUUAGACACUCAAUCUCCUUCUUAUCAUCGUCAUUCGUUUUAUAUUGAUUAUUAUGAUUAAUAGCAAGCUCAUCAUAGUUUUCAUAACUAGAGUUGUCAACAAGUAAAUCAUCAUCUCCUAGAAAAUCAUCUUCAUCACUAUUGAAAUCAACACACUCAGGGUGUGUUACCUUUGGACCUUUAGCCAUGAAGAAUCUCCCAAUUCCUUCAUUUGGUGAGUCAAAUAUGUCGUAGGAGUUGGUUGUCACAAGUUCUAGUCCGGCAACACCUUCAUCUUGAGUAUAUUUGGAGUCCGAGUGAUAACUUCUUUCGGUGUGAUUGUCGGAGUCGAAACCGGAUACCCAUUCACCAACAUGAGCUUGAUGUCUUGUUUUUGUGUAGCUCCUUGAUGACUUAUCCUUCCUUUCUGAGUCCUUGCUUCUCCGAGACGGUCUUCGUUCAUAACGAUCAUCUCUACUCCUUCUCUCUCUUGAUGGUGAUUCUUCUCUUCUACUCCUUCUUUUGGGAGAAUCUUCUCUUCUUUUGUAGGGGGCAUACAUUCAUUGGAGUAGUGUCCGGGUCUUCCACAAUUGUAGCAAUUACGCUCACGACUAGAAGAUCUUUUGUGAUUAUAGGACCUUGACUUGGAACUUCUUUCCUUGCUUCUACUCUUGUAGAACUUGUUGAAGUUCUUCACCCUUAGACUCAAUUCUUCAUUGAAGGCUUGCUUCUCACUUGAUGAUGUGGGAGCAUCACACGAGGCUUUGUAAGCACCACUUGACUUGUUGUGAAGCUCUUCCUUAUCCUUGAGUGACAUAUCAUGAGCAACAAUUCUUCCAAUAACUUCCGUUGGCUUGAGAUCUUUGUAAUUGGGCAUCAUUUGGAUCAAUGUGCACACGGUAUCAUAUUUUCCAUCCAAGGCUCUUAGGAUCUUCUUCAUGGUGAAUCUAUCAGUCAUCUCUUCACUUCCUAAGCCGGCAAAAUCAUUUGUGAUGAGAUCAAGCCUAGAGUACAUUUCAGCGACGCCUUCACCAUCCUUCAUUUUGAAGUUGUCAAGCUGACUUUAAAGCACAUCCAAUUUGGAUUCCUUGACAGAUUCGGUACCUUCGUGCAUAUCAAUCAAAGUAUCCCAAAUUUCCUUUGCAUUCUCAAGACGACUGAUUUUGUUGAAUUCUUCGGGGCAUAAUCCGUUGAAGGGAAUAUCACAAGCUUGAGCAUUGUAUUGUAGCAUCUUCAACCCUUCCGCGGUAGCUUCACGGUUUGGUUCUCUCCUGAGGGAGUCCUAGAUUAGGGAGUCUCCGGACAGCCGGACUAUAUCCUUUGGCCGGACUGUUGGACUAUGAAGAUACAAGAUUGAAGACUUUGUCCCGUGUCCGGGUAGGACUCUACUUGGGUUGGAAGGCAAGCUAGGCAGUAUAGAUAUGGAUAUCUCCUCCUUUGUAACCGACCUUGUGUAACCCUAGCCCCCUCCGGUAUCUAUAUAAACCGGAGGGUUUUAGUCCGUAGGACAACAUACAAUCAUACCAUAGGCUACCUUCUAGAGUUUAGCCUCUCCGAUCUCGUGGUAGAUCAAAUCUUGUAAUACUCAUAUCAUCAAGAAUAAAUCAAGCAGGACGUAGGGUUUUACCUCCAUCAAGAGGGCCCGAACCUGGGUAAAACAUCGUGUCCCCUGCCUCCUGUUACCAUCUGCCUUAGACGCACAGUUCGGGACCCCCUACCCGAGAUCCGACGGUUUUGACACCCACAUUGCUGCUUUCAUUGAGAGUUCCUAUGUGUCAUCGCCAUUAGGUUUGAUGGCUCCUUCAAUCAUCGAUAGUGAUGGAGUCUGGGGUGAGACUUUUCUCCCCGGACAAAUCUUCGUAUUCGGCGGCUUCGCACUGCGGGCCAACUUGCUUGGCCAUCUAGAGCAGAUCAAAAGUUACGCCCCUGGCCACCAGGUCAGGUUUGGAAGCUUAAACUACACGGCCGAUAUCCGCGGAGACUUGAUCUUCGACGGAUUCGAGCCCCUGCCAAGUGUGCUGCACGGUCUCGAUGAGCAUGAUUUAGCUCUGCCGUCGGACAGUGUUUAGGAUAUCGCACCGGCAACCACUUGAACCCUCAAUUCGUAACCAGUCGCGCCAUCCAUAGACGGGUGGAUAGACCCUGCCACGGAAGCCGUGUCCUCAGCGGCGAUCGAGCCGAAUAUCGACCUUACCUUUCACGAGAGCCGUGUUGCCAAACUGUCGGAUCCUUCUCCGGCCAUGGACUCCGAACCACCUGCACCCAUGCCUAUCGAAUCCGACUGGGCACCGAUCAUGGAGUUUACCUCUGCGGAUAUCUUUCAGCAUUCGCCCUUCGGCGACAUACUGAGCUCGUUAAGGUCUAUCUCAUUGUCAGGAGAGUCCUGGUCGAACUAUGUCCGGCAAGAUUGGGAUGCGGAUGAUGAAGAAAUUCGUCGCCCACCCACCACCCAUUUAGUAGCCACUGUCGAUGACUUAACCGACAUGCUCGACUUCGAAUUCGAAGACAUCGAUGGUAUGGACGACGAUGCAGGAGACGAACAGGAACCACCGCACACAGGGCACUGGACGCCCACUUCAUCACAUGACGUAUACAUGGUGGACACACCCAAAGAAAAUGACGACGAGGAACGGAAGGACGCAGCAAAGGGUUGUUCCCUCAAGAAGCAGUCAAAGCAGCGGCGUAAAUGCCACUCCAAAUCCCGACUCGGCAGAAAUAACGACCAUAUAGACCCAGCGUUAGAGCAGGGUGAACCAUUGCCCGACCACGGCAACACGGAAAAUCAAGCCGAACAACCCAACCCCGUCGAAGAUAACAGUUCGGACGACAUCACAACGGACAGGCACCCUGAGCAACAGAAUGCCCAUCAAAGUCUGGUUGCCACUGCGAGGAGUCUGAAAAAACAGAAGCAAAGGCUCAUGGCUGCAAAACACACACACAAAAUCAAAUGGAGUGAAGUACUCAACACUGCAGCGAAGUACGGCAGUAAUUGCCACACCAAGAGCUAUUCGAAGCUAAAGUUGCUACCUGAAUUCGAUGAGGAGGCCUUAGAUCCUCCACAAUUAAAAAAUAACACAGCCAUCCGGUCGGAUAGACAACCUCAUAGCCAACAUAAAGCGGCAAAUGACGCCGCACAUAAACAAGGGCUCGCAUCAAAAGGACGGCGCAACCAGAUCCAUCUAUGGACCAUGCAAGCGCGCUCCAACAUACAAUGCAACACAACAAACAUCUGAACACCGCGGUACACCCAAAUACAGGGGUGCCGCACACCCCCUAUGUGUCACCGACGAGGUGCUGGACCAUGAAUUUCCAGAAGGAUUCAAACCCGUAAACAUAGAGGCGUACGAGGGAACAACAGACCCUGGGGUCUGGAUUGAGGACUACAUCCUCCAUAUCCAUAUGGCUUGAGGAGAUGAUAUCCAUGCUAUCAAAUACUUACCCCUCAAGCUCAAAGGGCCAGCUCGACAUUGGCUUAAAAGCCUCCCCGAAAACUCCAUCGGAAGCUGGGAAGAGCUCGAAGACACCUUUCGGGCAAAUUUUCAAGGGACAUAUGUCCGACCACCGGAUGCAGAUGAUUUAAGUCAUAUAACUCAACAGCCCGGUGAGUCAGCCCGAAAACUUUGGAACAGGUUCCUCUCUAAAAAGAACCAAAUAGUUGAUUGUCCGGACGCCGAAGUCUUAGCAGCUUUCAAGCAUAGCGUUCGAGACGAAUGGCUUGCCAGACACCUUGGUCAAGAAAAGCCGAGAACAAUGGCAGCAUUAACAAGCCUCAUGACCUGCUUUUGCGCGGGCGAGGACAGCUGGUUAGCCCGAUGCAGCACCAGCGACCCAAGUACAUCCGAAGUCAGGGAUGGAAACAGGAAAUCACGAUGCAGCAAGAAUAAGCGCCGGAAUAAAGAAGACAACCCGAAGAUCAUGGCGGUAAACGCCGGAUUCAGAAGCUCUCGGCCACAACAGCAGAAGCCGCCCUCCAAAGGCAACAGAGACGAACUGUCCAGCCUAAACAAAAUUUUGUACCAAAUAUGUCAGAUCCAUAGCACACCUGAUAAACCUGCAAAUCAUACCCGCAGAGAAUGUUGGGUCUUCAAACAGUCUGGCAAGCUCAACGCCGAGCACAAGGGGCAGGAUACACCAAGCGAAGACGAGGAUAAGCCUCACAAGCAAAGCACAGGGGAAUAGAAGAAAUUCCCACCAAAAGUCAAAACAGUCAACGUGUUACAAGUGUUAAAGGGGAAAAACAAAGCGGCGCCCCUAGAAAGACAUGCCCGAGGGCCUAUCACCACAGAGCUCCGCCACUGGUCGUCCCAACCGAUCACCUUCGACCAUCGGGAUUACUCGGCAAGUAUCCGGUGUGCAGGAUGGGAUGCCUUGGUAUUAGAUCCAAUAAUUGACGGAUACCACUUCACACGAGUCCUGAUGGACGGCGGCGGCAGUUUAAAUCUGAUAUAUCUGGACACAAUCCGCAAAAUGGGGAUAGACCCAACAAAAAUUUGCCGCAGCAAUGCUACCUUUAAAGGAGUAACGCCAGGCCCAGAGGCUCAUUGCAGGGGCUCCCUGCUACUAGAGGUUAUAUUCGGCUUCCCCGAUAACUUCUGCAGUGAAAAUUUAACCUUCCACAUCGCUCCAUUCCAAAGUGGCUAUCAAGCACUGCUCGGACGGGAAGCUUUCGCUCGCUUUAACACAAUAUUGCAUUACACUUCCCUCACACUUAAGAUGCCCGGUCCACGCGACAUCAUCACAGUAAAUGGAAAUAUUGAGCGCUCCUUGCGCGUCGAAGACAGUGCGUCUACCUUGGCAGCCGCACAGUAAAUGGCCUCACCAACUACAACAUUUGACAGGUCGUUAAGACCACGGACGCGGUUAGACGAGUCCGGCACAGUGAUAUGUAACUAAUAUAGGUCUGAUGGCCAUACCCCUAGUACAAUACAAGGGGUUCAAUGCAUGCAAACAAGUGGCAAUUAAUCUCAAUCUUACUCAUAUUGAAUUGUACAUGGUUUCUUUAGCAUAACCUACCUUUUUGCACGAUAACUUUUCAGCUAAGUUCCUCUCUUUUACAGAUGACCAUUGUGCUACACCCGUCCAGGAUACGGCACAACGGAGACACAAGCGCAGACGCGCAGCAGGGACCCGUUCCAAGGAUUAUUUUUAGAUUAAGACCCUGCGUAAACCUUUUUUACUGUCUCUUGUUGCUACACAUCCCUUGAAUUCUCAGUACAAUUGAGAAGGAUGCUGAUGUCUUGGCAUGUGGCCAUGUCAGAAUAAUGCAUGUACCUGGACACCAGGGGCUUAUUACAAAGGGCACUGUUUAGGCCCGGUUUACACCAUAAAAGACCGAAUACCUUAGGGAGUGUUCGACGUCACGAGUUUGGCUAUGCAUCAGCUCCGAAUCAUGUCUUUGGUCAAAUGUUGGGUUUGCCCGGCUCCUGUGUUUAGCUGCCUUAUGUUCCGCUCUAUCGGCUAAGGCGGGACCAGGAGAACUACUGCGAUUGUGCCCUGGUUCAUCCGGACGAGCACCUUAGUAGAGAAAGCCGAAAACUGACUGUCAUGAUAUAGCGUGAGACUGGUCAACCACUCGAUGACCUAUUGGAAUCUUCGGGAUUCCUUCGCAUUAACGAAGGGCCAUUUCCCGGCCAGGCAUGUACGCACCCCGAAUCCGGAUGAGUGCAGAGCCACCAGGGGCUAUAUAGUAGCCCCACUGUCAAACUCCUCUGGCUAAGUGAAAGUGUUAAAGCAUUAUAGUCCGAUUGCCUAGUUCGCUGCGCUAUCACCUCCUUAAUAGGACCAAGACGUUGGAUUAAGUGUGAAUACGCGUCUUCUGCGAACACCCCUGCAUUAUAUGCGUGGGGGCUGAAGCCGACGACUGCAAUCUUUCAGGUUAUAUACAUGUAUACAUAAACAGCCGCACAGGAGGCAUCACAAUACUUUCGGGCAAAAGUAUAAAUACAGCCUUGAUAAAUUCAAUAAAACAUUGUUUUUACAAUGGGAAUACAUGGCACUCAAACAUAACAUUCUUCGAGAACUGGGCCUCUAUCGAACGAGUGCCCUCAAGAACUUCUUCAAAAUAGUGCUCGGCGGCCACUCGGCCUAUGGCCGAACCCUGCGCCGCGACAGUGGUGGCAUCCAUCUCCGCCCAGUAUGUUUUGACACGGGCAAGGGCCAUCCGCGAGCCUUCUAUGCACGCCGACCUCUUCAUCGCAUUAAUGCGUGGCACCACACCAAGGAACUGCUGCACCAAGCUAAAAUAGCUGUUCGGCUUUGGCCUUUCCGGCCACAGAUGAUCCAUGAUAGACCUCAUGGUGAGUCCGGACAAUCUAUUGAGUUUGGCCCAUUCAGCAAGCUGAUCAGUCAAUGGAAGUGGACGCUCUAGAACAUUAAAUUGCGACCAGAAUAGCUUGUCCACUUCACGAUCUAUUUGGUCUCAGAAGUAUUCGGCCGCAUCGACAGCGCUCGCCGCCAAGUCCAGAUAUGCGUCGGCCGAACUCCACAGCCGAUCCAGAGGGGCAUACCAUGGAUCUCCGAACUUCCUCCACAGGAUAAAGGGCUUCCCGGCCACAAUGUCCCUGGCUUCACGCAAUUCCUCCUUCUUUGCUCUCAUUGCAGAGCAGGUGUCUCUAGUCGCCAUUGUGGCCUUUUCAAGGUCCGUAGCCUUCGCCCGGUUUUCUUCUUCAAGAAACUGACAGCGGUCGGCAGUGUCUUUUAACUUCACGACCAUUUUGGCCAUUUUCUCUUUGCUCUCGCUAUGCGCGGCCUUCUUGGCUCUCAACUCUUCGGCCGCCUUCAAUGCGGCCGCAUUACUACUCCUUGCUUGCUCCUUGGCUCGGGCAAGCUCUGCCCGCAGGGCCUCCACGGUGGCAGCUCCAUCUGCAGUCACAACAUAUUAAAGAUAUUGGCAUCACGCUGCUCUUACUAUGUGACAUUCACUAUAAACAUCACCUUCCCUGUGCCUUGUCAAGCCGCUUGUUAACAAGCUCGAUGUCGGCAUCCGCCACAUCCAGUCACCGCUUUAGUUCGGCAACCCCAUCAGUCUGGCUAGCCACCGGAGCUUCAGACACCUGCACAUAAAGGCGGUCUGGUUAUUACCUGGGACUAUGAUCCUCUGUUCGCCGCCGUUCUUGACGACAACCAGAGUCUCAGGGGCUACUAUCUACAUAGGGCACACCUUAAAAUGUGCGGUACUAUCAGAAAUGUAUAUCAUUUCACGUACCUCAAAGCCCGUCAGUAGACUCAUAAAGGCUUCAUGCAACCCACUUUCGGCGGACGAAAUCCUUUCAAACACCAUACCCAUUAAUGUAGGGUGCUCUUCUGAGAUAGUGGCUCGCUCUAGCAGAUGCCUCAGUGCGUCCAACCGCAUACCACACGGUGCUGGAUUCUUUUGGCUGCUCUCUUCAAGAGCCGGAUACUGGGGACUUCGGGCGACCAUAGGAUUAUCUUCUGGCCUCACCAAAUCCGGAGUGACCCUCCGCAACGACACUUCAAGGUCGCCCGCUUCUUGAGCCGGGGAAUCCGGGGGAGGCGUUUCGGUCUCCAUCAUCUCCGUAAUAAGAUCCCCCGAAGACGAGCUCUGCUGAGAGGGCUAAGAUCCGAACUGCAACAUAAAUUCUUUGGUCGUUUUCCUCAAAGGUAAGGUAGUAUAUCUUCACUACAAAGUACUUUUUUAUUACUUACAGCUUGUUAGAGGGCUGAUCUCUGCGUGGACUUUGUGCGGCAAGAGCACCCUCCGAGGCAGGACCCUCUGGUGAAGUUUUCUUCUCCCGUUUGGAAACUUUGGUUUCCGGAUCUUCAGAGGUAGUCCUCUUCCUCCCCCAGGGCAAGGGAACAUUAGAUUCUUCCCCUUGGUUAUCCUCACUCACGGAGGCGCUCAUUCCCUCGGUUGGAAUAGGUAGCGGUGGAGGCCCACUUUCGCCCUCUUUAUUCCCCCCUUCAUCUUCCUUUGAAGGCACCGGGCAGGGUGCUGGCUCGAGCAUUUUUUCCAGCACCGGAUUGUCCAAGCCUUCAGGAAGGGGGGCCGAAUGCCGGAUCAUCUUUGCCUUCGCUAUCCAGUCCUGGUCAAAGAGCGACUCUUCAGAAUGAUAUCAUGAUAAAUAAAAAGAUGGUGUGUUUGGCCGUGGGAUUGCUUACUUGGGCCGUGGUGUGGUUGCUGCUUAGGCCCACAUCCUCGGUAGUGUCCGGACACUCUGCUUGGGGUCCGAAGAAUGAUUUGUACAACUCCUCGUGCGUCAGGCCGAGGAAGCUCUAGAUAGUGUGCGGUCCUUUCGGGUUGAUUUCCCACAUACAGAGGGGCCGGCGUUUGCAAGGCUGGACUUGACGAACCAGCAUGACUUGCACUACCAUAACCAAACUAAAAUCUCCCUCAAAGAGAUCUCGGAUGCGGCUCUGCAGUAUGAGAAUUUUUUUUGCCACUCUAGAUUUUGCCAAUUUUUCUUAUGCCACUCUAGAUUUUGACAUUUCACUUUUGCCACUCUUAGAUUUUGACAAUUAUCACAAUUGCCAUUUUGUGGCAAAAGCAAAAUAAUUUUAUUUCAUUUUUGUCACUCUUAGCUUUUGACAAUUAUCACAAUUGCCACUCUCAACAUUUUGCUUUUGCCACGGGAAUGGCAAUUGUGAUAAUUGUCAAAAACUAAGAAUGGAAAAAGUGAAAUGUCAAAAUCUAGAGUGGCAUAAGGAAAAUUGGCAAAAUCUAGAGUGGCAAAAACAAAAAUUUCCCCUAUAGUAUGGGCACAUCCUUGGCUGGACCCUAGCUCAGCCCCCUGUUGAUCCAUGACAUCAGUUGUGGUGGAGGGCCCGAGUGAAAGACGGGGGAAGCUACCCACUUGGCACUUCUGGGAGCGGUGACAUAGAACCACUUCCAUUGCCAUAAUCCGGACACCUUUGGAAAGGAACCCUUUGGCCAUGGAGCUCCAGUGAUCUUGCUUAUUAAUGCACCUUCGCACGCUGCAUGCUGCCCCUCGACCAUAUUUGGCUUCACAUCAAAGGUCUUGAGCCACAGGCCGAAGUGAGGGGUAAUGCGGAGGAAGGCCUCACAUACGACAAUAAAUGCCAAGAUGUGGAGAAAGGAAUCCGGGGCUAGAUCGUGGAAAUCAAGCCCGUAGUAGAACAUCAAACCCCUAACGAAGGGAUCCAGAGUGAGGCCUAGUCCUCGAAGGAAGUGGGAGAUGAACACGAUGUCUUCAUUGGGUUCAGGAGUAGGGACGACCUGCCCUCGGGCAGGCAGCCGAUGCGAAACUUUGGCGGUCAGGUAUCUUACCUCCCUCAACUUCUUGAUAUCCUCUUCCGUGACGGAGGAGGGCAUCCACCGGCCCUGGAGGCUAGAUCCGGACAUGAUUGAAGGUCCGAAGCACCUGACCUGGGCUUUGGGUGUUAGAACUCGAGGCGGGGGAAGGAUUCGAUUGAGCACAGGAGGAAAAAGUAAAAUCCUUGUCCCUUUAUAAAGAGGGUGAAUAUAAAGUGUCCUCCUCGUGGCCGUUUGGGACUUGACUAAAAUCUAGGAGUCUUAGGCACGGUUGGGUUACCCACGCCCGUAUUGAUGAGAAUCCUGUAAUAAGGGGGACACGAUCUCUGCUUUGACAAGACGUGUCAAGAAACUGCCUCGCGUUAUGUGCGGGGCUAGUUAAAGAAAAAUGGUUCGAAUAAUCACCGAGCCAUGGCAUGAUGUCAUGUUGCCAAAACGUGUCAGCAGAUUAGAUUUGUGGAAAUAUUAUUCUCUCUACGGUGGUAUGUGGAACUUAUUUUGCAGGGUCGGACACUAUCCUUUUAUUCAAACUCUUCUAUGGUGUAUCCGGAGGAGAAACCCGCCUUGCAAUGCCGAAGACAACACUGCGUGCCGGACUCAUCGUCAUUGAAGCCUGGUUCAGGGGCUACUGAGGGAGUCCUGGAUUAGGGGGUCUCCGGACAGCCAGACUAUAUCCUUUGGCCGGACUGUUGGAGUAUGAAGAUACAAGAUUGAAGACUUCGUCCUGUGUCCGGAUAGGACUCUACUUGGCGUGGAAGGCAAGCUAGGCAGUAUGGAUAUGGAUAUCUCCUCCUUUGUAACCGACCUUGUGUAACCCUAGCCCCUUCCGGUGUCUAUAUAAACUGGAGGGUUUUAGUCCGUAGGACAACAUACAAUCAUACCAUAGGCUAGCUUCUAGGGUUUAGCCUCUCCGAUCUCGUGGUAGAUCAACUCUUGUAAUACUCAUAUCAUCAAGAAUAAAUCAAGAAGGACAUAGGGUUUUACCUCCAUCAAGAGGACCCGAACCUAGGUAAAACAUCGUGUCCACUGCCUCCUGUUACCAUCAGCCUUAGACACACAGUUCGGGACCCCCUACCCGAGAUCCGCCGGUUUUGACACCGACAUCUCCUAUCAAAGAAUCCACCUUGCAAGCCAAUACACACAAUAGCCCAAACGGCGGGGUUAUGUCCAAGAAUAUGCAUUUUCAUCUUAUGCUUCCAACUAGCAAAAUUUGUACCAUCAAAGUAAGGACCUCUACGGGGGUAAUUUCCCUCACUAGACGCCAUACUCUCCUAGGUUGUGAAACCAAGGCUAUGACCACCAAAAGCUAUGGAAAUUAAAGCAAAUGGAGACCAAAGCUCUGAUACCACUUGUAGGAUCGAAAGUAUGUCUAGAGGGGGGUGAUUAGACUACUUGACCAAAUAAAAAUCUAGCAUUUUCCCAAUUUUAGUUCUAGGCAGAUUUUAGCAACUUAGCACAAGUCAAGCAAUCAACCUACACAUGCAAUUCUAAGAGUAUAGCAGUGGAAAGUAAAACAAUUGCAUAUGAAGGUAAAGGGAGGAGUUUGGAGUGUGCAAACAAAAUUGGAGACAUGGAGAUUUUUGGUGUGGUUCCGAUAGGUGGUGCUAUCGUACAUCCACGUUGAUGGAGACUUCAACCCACGAAGGGUAACGGUUGCGUGAGUCUAUGGAGGGCUCCACCCACGAAGGGUCCAUGAAGAAGCAACCUUGUCUAUCCCACCAUGGCCGUCGCCCACGAAGGACUUGCCUCACUCGGGUAGAUCUUCACGAAGUAGGAGAUCUCCUUGCCCUUACAAACUCCUUGGUUCAACUCCACAAUCUUGACGGAGGCUCCCAAGUGACACCUAACCAAUCUAGGAGACACCACUCUCCAAGAGGUAACAAAUGGUCUGUUGAUGAUGUACUCCUUGCUCUUAUUCUUCAAAUGAUAGUCUCCCCAACACUCAACUCCCUCUCGCGCAGGAUUUGGAUUUGGUGGGAAGAUGAUUUGAGUGGAAAGCAGCUUGGGGAAGGCUAGAGAUCAAGAUUUAUGUGGUUGGAGUGGAAUAUCUUGACCUGAACACAAGUAUAGGUUGUUCUCUCUCAGAAAAUGUAUGUUGGAAGUGUAGGAAUAUUCUGAUGGCUCUCUCUCCAUGAAUGAAGAGUGGGUGGAGGGGUAUAAAUAGCCGCCACACAAAAUCUAACCGUUACACACAAAUCACCAAACUAGGUGGGACCGAAUCAUGAAACUCGGUCAGACCGAUUUAGUUCAAAAUGUGAACGUUGGGAUUUUCGGUGGGACUGACAUGCCAACUCGGUGGGACCGAUUUUGUUAGGGUUAGGGCAUAACGUAAUCUCGGUGAGACCGAUUACACAAACUCGGUGAGACCGAUUUUGGUAAUGGACUAACAGAGAGUUGGUCAGGCAAACUCGGUGGGACCGAUUCGCCCAUCUUGGUUGGACCGAAAGGUUACGAAAGGGAAACAGAGAGUUUACAUUGCAAUCUUGGUGGGACCGAUGGCUCAUCUUUGUUUGACUGAAACGUUACAAAGGGAAACAGAGAGAUUAGAAUCCCACCUCGUUGAGACUGAUAUCUCUAUCGGUAAGACCGAAAAGACUAGGGUUUUUGGCAGUGGCUAUGUCAACUGAACUCGGUUGCGCCGGAUAGAAAGUUUCGGUGGGGCCAAGUUUGACUUUUGGUUUGGGACAUAUGUGGAUGUGAGAAAGUAGUUGAGGACUUUGGAGCAUAUCACUAAGCACUUUAAGCAAGAAAGCCAUUAGGCAACACCUCAUCCCCUCUUAAUAGUAUUGGCUUUUCCUAUGGACUCAAUGUGAUCUUCAAUCACUUAAAGUGAAAAGAUGUAGAGUCCUGAUCUUUGAGCUUGAGGCAAUUCUUUGUCCUUAGAAUUUUGAGGGAUCCACUUUUCUCAUCCAUUCCAUGCCAAUCAUUGAGCUUUCCUGAAAUGUUCAUCUUUAAGUAGCAUUAGCUCAAUGAGUUAUAUGUUGUUAGGAAUUACCAAAACCACCAAGGGAUAGCUGCACUUUUAGGAUGCCCAAGGCACCCCAAGGUAAUAUUCAAGGACAACCAAGAGCCUAAGCUUGGGGAUGCCCUAGAAGGCAUCCCCUCUUUCAUCUUCGUUCAUCGGUAAGUUUACUUGGAGCUAUAUUUUUAUUCACCAGAUGAUAUAUGUUUUACUUGGAGCGUCAUUUUAUUUUCUUUUGCUUUGCUUGCUGUUUGAAUAAAAUACCAAGAUAUGAAUUUAUUAAAUGUUAGAGAGUCUUCACAUAGUUGCAUAAUUAUCCGACUACUCAUUGAUCUUCACUUAUAUCUUUCGGAGUAGUUUUUCAUUUGCUCUAGUGCUUCACUUAUAUCCUUUUAGAGCACGGUGGUGGUUUUAUUUUAUAGAAAUAAUUUAUCUAUCAUGCUUCACUUAUAUUAUUUUGAGAGUCCUUUAGAACAACAUGGUAAUUUGCACUACAAAAAAAUACACUUCCAUGAUUAUACAUGUUUGUCACAGUAGGUCGCGUUUUUUGUCAUGCAUGUACAUCCAUGACAAAUUUAUGACAGAAUCAAGAUAGUCAUACCCGUGCUAUCGUAGAAGUGUUCCGUAACAUUACCAAAAUUAUCAUCAUGGAAGUGUCCACUUCCAUGACGAUAAAUCGCGCGUCACAGAAGUGCUUUCGUCAAGGGUGACCAACACGGGGCAUCCACCAUAACGGAAUGCCGUUAAGCUAUCAGGUCGGGUUUUGGAUCUGAUAACCCGUUAACAGCCCCAACCAAUGGGAAAUUUCCAUGUGUAAAAUUCUUAUUGGUCGGACAAAACACAUGUCAGCUCGUCAGCGGGUCAGAUAGGUGCCUAUGAUAUGUUGACACGUGGCACGGCCCAACAGUGGCCCAUUUAGCUUACAAAGCCGGCCCGUUUGACUUGGUCAAAAGUUAACGGGCUGGCCCAUGAAAAGCCUGUUAACGGUCUCUUCACAAAUAGCCCAUUUUACGGCCCGUUAACUCACGGCCCGUUAGGCCCUAAAGGAAAUCGGCCCAACAAUGUCAUGUGGGCCGUCGAAUAUAAUACCAACCCAUUUCACUUUCGGCCCAUGUAUGGCCCACGACGUCUUUCGGCCCAUAUGAGGCCUUCGUAUCUUUUGGCCCAUUACAGGCCCAUGAUGACUCUAGCCCAUAAUGAACAGUAAUUUUCUUUAUACCCGUUAACGGCCCGUAAUUUACAUGGGUCGUUUCCAGCCCGUGUUAGCUUUCGGCCUAUUGACUGCCCAUACGUUCUUGGGCUUCUUUUAGGCCCUCGAUUACUUCCGGCCCGUUACUGGCAUGUUCCCCUAAUGGGCAAAAUUCGUCCCAUGGCAAGAGUCGGCCCGUUACUGGCAUGUUCCACUAAUGGGCCAAAUUCGGCCCAUGGCAAGAGUCGGCCCGUUACUGGCCUGUUACCCUAAUGGGCCAAAUUCAGCCCAUGGCAAGAGUCGGCCCGUUUCUGGCCUGUUAACCCGUUGCGCCGUUUCCAGCCCGUCCUAUAUUCUGGCCCAUUAACGACCCGUUAUGCCUGUGACAGAAUUAAGCCUUUGCUGUCCUACGACCUGUUAACGGCAUGUUACCGUGCUGGGCUGAUACCAAUUACGCCCGAUUAUGGCCCAUGUAGACCCAUUUAUCCGACGACCCAAGGCCCACCGAUUACAGGCCCAUUUAUCGACGGCCCGUAGGAGACCCAUGGAUCCUAUGGCCUGUAUAUGGUCCAUGGUAGUUGCGGCCACUAGCAAACCAGGAAGAAAGAAGACUAGGAAAUAAAUAAGGCCGAAACUAACGCUAGGCUAUUAAGGCGAUUGCAUAGAUUACAUCCACUCGGCAUCAAAUAUCACCACCAGUGCAAAUAUAGGGAACACCCUACACUAUACAAAAAUGGCUUGCUAUUUUCUUCAGGCGGUGGCCGCACAUUAAGAAUAAAUUUUGUAUCUCACCAAAACAAAUUACAACUAUAUAACAAAAGGAAGGUUGGCAUAAAACUUAACAGUCUAGCAGAUAAAUGCACCACCAGAAGUUCAGAAGCUCAGUUCAUUUGACCUGACUGUUACAUUUUCAUGUUGUAUUGUCCGAUGGAGCACCAUAACCCUCGCCUUCAUUUUCCCGAGGCUCCUAAACAACAUAGCAAAUGUCUGAUAGUCUCGUUUCAAAACCAUGCAUAUCUUGACGACAUUGAGCAAUGUUUCUCCUUGUUUCACAAAGGGUCUCUGUUAGGGAAUGGACUUGUGUCUGGAGCGCAGAUACAACAUUGCUUUGAGCUUGCAUAUCUUGAUCAUGAGGCAGUUUGGACGAUAUUGCCUUAACAACCAACCCAGUAUUACGCAGGAACGUGCUUUUGGCACUAUUAGUGGACAUGUAUUGACCCACUGCAGCAAGAGCUGACAUUGCGGUUAUAGUUGCCUCGCCACCUUCAAAAGGUGGCGGUUCCACCAUUUUUUCCAUAUAUCACUGAAAAGUUGAGGUUUUACAUUAGCAGUACCAGAACAGAAGAUAUUAAGGAGGCAGCCAAACCAAACAAAAUAGCUUUAGUCUAUAUACAGAACUUAUUUUGGUGAACCCAUGUAAAAUAUUAGUUGUAUUUUAUUGCAAAGUACAUAAUAAAAUCAGGUUCCAAACAUAUGACCAUGUACCAUCGCUAAUGUAUUGUCUAUUUCUUCACAUUGUAUUGAGGGCUAAGGAUAAAGAGACGAAGUUUAUAAUACGGUAAGCAUAGUAUGAUGUCAUUCAUAUCACAAAACAACUGAGAACAGACAAACAGGCAAUUGUUACGUUGUGUGGGCAAGUCCAGCACGGAACUAGAUUACGGGUCAAGAUCAAAGGAACAUCACUCCUCUCUUUUAAACCUUGUAAGGUGCAAUGAUACACUAAGACAAUUGUGUAUAAAAUUGAAAAGAGUAAUAGAGAUUGGCUGCAAACCAUGCAGUUCAAGGCACAAGUCAGAGUAAGUAGUAGUUAAAAGGCAUGAGGAUUAAGGACUUACAACAGCGGCUUUGACUGGUGUAGUCAUGCCCUUCUUCUUGCUGGUGUGACAGUCCUUGAAGAUUUCCACAGCAUUUGGUUCAGGUACUUUUUGGUCCUUGCGGGCUUUCCUCUGCAUUUGGAACAAGUCAAUAUAGAUCUGAUAAUAUGGUACGGCGAAAAGAGUGAAACAGCAACUAAUUACAAGAGCCUCGUAGUGUGCAAUAUAGCUACGAAAUCCUGUCGUCUGUUGGAAUUUCACUUUCGUAUGGUUGCCCUUGUUCUUUGAACAGUUCACCUACAAGAAGAUAGAUUUGUGUGGCACAUGCGUAAAUAGGACUUCAAUAUGUGCUCUGAUGACAUAUAUAUAAUAUACCUGAUACUUCGGAUCGGAAUAGUGUUUAACGAGGCCUCUCCAGUCUUCAUCAAAUAUAUUUUCCACUGGAGAUGUUUCGGCAAGUUCAUUGUUAGCCUUGCCUUCAAAGUGAGUUUUCCUCAAGUUAUACCGAUAUUGUCACAGAGCAGACGUGAAAACAUGGGUGCAAGCUUGUCUGGUUGCAUCAUCUUGGCUAGCCAACUUGAACCUCAUCUGUUGAAAAUUAUGGGAGUCUCAUUAUCAGCAACCUAGAAAGUAUUGGACAGAGCAAGACGAUAUUACUAGUUUCCAUACAUAACCAUACUUACAGAUAAAUGGUCGAGGACGAUGUUGAACUGGGUUUCGUCUUUGUCAUUCCUGUACUGAAUCCAUGUUGGGAGGAUACGUACAUGACACCUAACAGCAACCGCUGCCUCUGAUACUAACUUGGCUGACUCUGUAGCAUCACGUGGCCUUUUUAAACCUGCCUCAAAACGGAUCUCCAUUCUUCCUCCUCUAGAUUUAGUUAACAUAUCGAGCAUUAUCUCUGAUGUUUGUUUCCUCUUGCGCCUAGGUGCUAGUCCAACAACAAACAUAGGAAGUGUUAGUGUACAUCAAAUUGUGAGACUACAUAUAAAGAAGCAUGCAACUGUAACUUGACUCCAGCAACUACCUUCUUGUUGUUGAAGCUCACAAGGUUCAUGUAACACCCUCGAUGCGACUAUAGCUCCCAUGUGUCGAGGCAUGACUUAGAGACAUAAUCGCAUUGAAGGCAUAUGUCGCAAGUUAGGCAAUCAUCACAACAUCCCAUGUAAUAUAGAUAAUAAGAGGGGAGAUAACAUAGUUGGCUUACACUCGCCACGUCAAUCAAGUACAUAAAAUAGCAUUACAUCAUCCAAACACUCAUGGCCCGACUACGGCGCCAAAAUAAAAGAUAACCCAACAUGCGACACGGUCCCGAUCACCCCAACUGGGCACCACUACUGAUCAUCAAGAAAGGAAACAUAGUAUCGUUGAGAGUCCUCGUCGAAUUCCCACUUGAGCUCGAGCGCGUCACCUGGAGCGGAAUCAUCAGGCCCUGCAUCUGGUGUAAUAGUAAUCUGUGAGCCACAGGGACUUAGCAAUCUCGCACCCUCGCGAUCAAGACUAUUUAAGCUUAUAGGUAAGGCAAGGUAAAAUAUGUGGAGCUGCAACAAGCUACUAGCAUAUAUGGUGGCUAUCCUGUUCGCAAAAGAGAGCGAGAAGAGGAGGCAAAGCGUGAGCGAGAAACUAGAGGGUAACCUGCGCAAACAUUACUCCAACACCGUGUCCACUUCCCGGACUCCGCCGAGAAGAGGCCAUCACGGUAACACACUCAGUUGAUUCAUUUUUAAUUAAGUUAAGGUUCAAGUUAUCUACAACCGGACAUUAACAAAUUCCCAUCUGCCCAUAACCGCAGGCACGGCUUUCGAAAGUUCAAAUCCCUGCAGGGGAGUCCCAGCUUAGCCCAUGACAAGCUCUCACGGUCAACGAAGGAAUAGACCUCCUCCCGAGAUGUUCCGAUCAGACUCGGUACCUCGGUUCUUCAAGACACUUCGACAGGUUAAAACAAGACCAGCAACACCGCCCGAAUGUGCCGACAAAUCCCGAUAGGAGCUGCACAUAUCUCUUUCUCAGGGCACACUCAUAUUGUCUUAGGUACGGGUAGGCCAGCCGAGAGUUGCCCCUGGUGGCCACCGGCAGCUGACAGGUGGACCAACACUCAGAGGAGCACUGGCCCGGGGGGGUUUAAAAUAAGAUGAUCCUCGGGCUCCGGAAACCCAAGGGAAAAAGAGGCUAGGUGGCAAAUGGUAAAACCAAGGUUGGGCAUUGCUGGAAAAGCUUUAAUCAAGGCGAACUAUCAAGGGGUUCCCAUUAUAACCCAACCGCGUAAGGAACGCAAAAUUCGGGAACAUAACACCGAUAUGACGGAAACUAGGGCGGCAAGAGUGGAACAAAACACUAGGCGAGAGGCCAAGCCUUCCACCAUUUACCAAGUAUAUAGAUGCAUUAAGAUAACAAGAUAAUAUAAUGAUAUCCCAACAAGUAAAUAAUGAUCCAACAAGGAACGGUCUCCAAUCUUCACCUGCAACUAGCAACGCUAUAAGAGGGGCUGAGCAAAGCGGUAACAUAGCCAAUCAACGGUUUGCUAGGACAUGGUGGGUUAGAGGUUUGACAUGGCAAUUUGGGAGGCUUGAAAGCAAGUGGUAGGCAUCGUAGCAUUGGCAUAGCAAAAGAGCGAGCAUCUAGCAAAGCAAAGAUAGUAGUGAUUUCGAGGGUAUGACCAUCUUGUCUGCAAAGUUGUCAGAGUUGACUGGAUCCUCGAAAGCAAACUCAACGGGCUCCUCAUUAGUGAACUCGUCUCCCGGCUCUACCCAAACAAGACAAACAAGCAACAAGGACACAAUCAACCACGUGCAAGGAUCAAACAAUAUGAUGCAAAGAUGAUAUGCUAUGCGGGAUGCGAUGCAGGAUGCAUAUGCAAGAUUUGACAAGGAAUGCAUGAACCUGGCCUCAACUUGGAAAUCCAAGUGUGCCACUGGAAAUAUGAGAUUAAAUCGCUUGAAAACGAUAUAAAGAACGCCGGAAUCGGAGUUACGGUUUGGAAAUGGCAAGCGAUUCAAAUAUGACACCGGUCUGCGAUUUACAUCAAGUAGCCAUCUAAAUGCAAUGAGAUGAACAUUCUACAGCACUCACACAUGGCAAAAAAAUACAUGGCAGGGAUGAAUUCAUGAUUCUUAACAAAAGUCUAGCACUGAAUUACGGCCAAUUCAUCCAUUAACAGAUUCAAACAAGCAUGGCAAAAAUGCAUAUGGUAAACAGAUCUCAGACUUAGUGAAAUUAACACUUGUCUUGAAUUUCAGAUCAGGUAGCACUCUUCGGAGCAUGAAAAUUGUAUGCUACAGGACCUGAACAUGGCAAAGUAAAGCAUGGCAUGGAGCUACUCAAAGAGCUUAACAAAAGUCCCUUAGUGACCUUGAGCCAAAAGGGAUCAGAAAAUACAUUUGCAAGCAUGUGAACAUGGCAAAAACAUAAUCAGUUUUCAGACUUAGUGAAAACUGGCACAUGCUGAAAACAGAUAUCAAGUAGGCAUGUUUACGAGCUCGAUGCACUCACUACGGAGCAAGUCAUGACAAGAUAAGCAUACAUCCAUCAAGAAUACACAAAAUGCAAGCUAGACAUGGUAAGAACAAUAGCAUAGCAUACACGGAUCAACUACAACAUCCUCGGCAAAAUCGCUAACAAGUAGACAAUCUGCCCAGAUUCACGACAUGACAAAAGUAGAGCUCGAUUGACUCAAGCUAGGGUGCUCCAUAAUUGCAAACAAAAACAUGGAUGGAUAGAGCACUACAAGAUUAACAAAACAUCCUUACUGAUCAUCCUCAAAAGAGGCACAGAUCACUAGGAAACAACAUGAACAUAUGGCCAUAUGAGAUAAACAGCUCAAGGACUUAGUGAAAAUGCUAAGUCCCUGAAAUCAGCAUUACCAAGUGCCUCACUUUGCAAGCUUGUGCUAGUCACCACACACAUCACAAAAAUACAUGGGUUGCACCUCUGGAAAGAUGGAAAAACCCUUAACAAAACAUAUGUAGAGCUCAUGGGCAUAUCAUGCACACAUUAAUCAUGGCAAAAAUGACAAAUAUCUAAAUGGAGCAGCAGAUCUGACAAUUAACUCAAGUAGCACUCUUCUAACAGCAUUUCGGGCAUCAAGAUGAACUCAAAUGAAAAUGUGCAAUGGAAUCAAAUGAUGUCUCUCUGAGAUGAACAUUUUGAUAUGCUAUAUGCGCAAAACGGAGUUAUGGAUGCAAAUUUAUAGCACGAUGAACAUAGACAAAAAGUUAGGGUUUCGGGCAAAAAGUCAACCCGAUCCGGAUCUAGAUCGGUACUGUAGCAGCACAUUCUUCGAGGAUCACCGGCCCGAGCUCGCCGGAGUAGACGGCGGCCGGCGUCGAGGGAGAGGAGGAGGAGGCCGGAGCCGUGCGGCGGCGCGGUGGCGGCGUCCGCGGCGAGGGGCGGCGGCGAGGCAACNNNNNNNNNNNNNNNNNNNNNNNNNNNNNNNNNNNNNNNNNNNNNNNNNNNNNNNNNNNNNNNNNNNNNNNNNNNNNNNNNNNNNNNNNNNNNNNNNNNNNNNNNNNNNNNNNNNNNNNNNNNNNNNNNNNNNNNNNNNNNNNNNNNNNNNNNNNNNNNNNNNNNNNNNNNNNNNNNNNNNNNNNNNNNNNNNNNNNNNNNNNNNNNNNNNNNNNNNNNNNNNNNNNNNNNNNNNNNNNNNNNNNNNNNNNNNNNNNNNNNNNNNNNNNNNNNNNNNNNNNNNNNNNNNNNNNNNNNNNNNNNNNNNNNNNNNNNNNNNNNNNCCCUCCUGGGCCUCCCGGGCCGGCGAUGUGGGGCGGCCGGCGGGCGAGUGGCGCGGCGCCACGUGGCAGCGGCGGGCGGAUCGGACAUCGUCCGGCUCCGUCCGGACACGUCCGGCGGCGGCGAUGGAUGGAUCUAGGGUUUCGGAGAGGGGAUCCGCGAAUUUAGAGGAGGGGGUCUUUAUAUAGGCAUAGAGGGAGCUAGGAGAGUCCAAAUGAGGUGCGGUUUGCGGCCACGCGAUCGUGAUCGAACGCUCUAGAUGAUGGAGAGGGUUUUGGUGGGUUUUGGGCGAACUUGGAGGGGUGUUGGGCUGCAACACACACGAGGCCUUUUCGGUCCCUCGGUUAACCGUUGGAGUAUCAAACGAAGUCCAAAAGGUACGAAACUUGAUAGGCGGUCUACCGGUAGUAAACCAAGGCUGCUUGGCAAGUCUUGGUCCAAUCCGGAAAUGUUUAAUCCCCACGCACAAAAGAAAGGUAGAAAUGACCAUCGGAGGAGAACGAAGCGCCGGAAUGCAAAACGGACAACGGGGAAAAUGCUCGAAUGCAUGAGAUGAACACAUAUGCAAAUGCAAUGCACAUGAUGACAUGAUAAGAGAUGCAUGACAACGAUAACAACACACAGAGACAAAGACCCGAACCCGAGAAAAUAAAAUAACUUAACGCUGGAAAUGGCAAGAGUUGGAGUACAUAUUGGGUAAAUCACAUCCGGGGUGUUACAACACUCCACCACUACGAAAGGAUCUCGUCCCGAGAUCUAGGACUGAAAGAACGCCGGGUAUUCAGAACAGAGGUGAUCCUCACGUUCCCAGGUAGCUUCACAGUCGGAAUGGUGUGACCACUUGACUUUGAGGAAUUUGAUUGACUUUUUGCGAGUCUUGCGUUCGGUCUCUUCAAGAAUAGCAACGGGGUGCUCACGAUAAGAGAGAUCUUCUUGGAGCUCAAUGUCCUCGAAGUUGACGGUGCGGUCAGGAGUCUUGAAGCACUUUCGGAGCUGAGAGACAUGGAACACAUCAUGAACAUUUGCAAAGUUUGAAGGAAGCUCGAGUUGAUAGGCGAGAUCGCCUCUCUUGCUGACAAUCUUGAAAGGUCCCACGUAUCUAGGGGCAAGCUUCCCUUUGAUACCGAAGCGAUGAGUACCUUUCAUAGGAGAGACGCGGAGGUAAACAUGAUCUCCAAUCUCGAAAGCCAAAUCAAGGUGCUUACUUUCAUAGUAGCUCUUCUGGCGGGAUUGGGCUGCUUUGAGGUUAUCUCGAAUGACUUUGCACAUUUCCUCUACCUCUGUGAUUAAGUCAUUUCCCAAAAGCUGGUGUUCACCGGUUUCAGCCCAGUUGAGAGGGGUACGGCACUUCCUGCCAUACAGAAUUUCAAAUGGGGCCUUGCCCGAACUUGCUUGAAAACUGUUGUUGUAGGAGAAUUCAGCAUAAGGAAGACAAUCCUCCCACUUCAUGCCGAAGGAGAUCACACAAGCCCUGAGCAUAUCUUCAAGAAUCUGGUUGACACGCUCGACUUGACCGCUAGUUUGAGGAUGGAAAGCUGUGCUGAAGCGGAUGUUGGUGCCCAUGGCCUUCUGAAAAGAAUCCCAAAACUUGGAGGUAAAGAUGUUGCCAUGGUCUGAAGAGAUCACUUGUGGAAUACCGUGCAGAGAGACAAUCCGAGAGGUAUAGAGUUCCGCCAAUUGAGCUGCAGUGAUUGACUCUUUGAUAGACAGAAAGUGAGCCACUUUGGUGAGUUUGUCGAUGAUAACGAAUAUAGCAUCAUUGCCACGUUUGGACUUUGGAAACCUAGUCAUGAAGUCCAUCUCAAUGUGGUCAAACUUCCAUUCUGGAAUGGCAAGAGGUUGGAGGACACCAGCUGGCCUUUGGUGUUUUGCCUUCACUCUUCUGCAGACAUCACACUCAUUCACGAAUUGAGCAAUCUCACGCUUCAUCCGAGUCCACCAAUAAGCCUGUUUAAGGUCCUGAUACAUCUUCGUGCUCCCAGGGUGGAUGGAGAGGAGAUAAUUGUGAGCCUUGUUCAUGAUCACUUUACGGAGGUCACCUUUGGGCACAACAAUAUGAUCCUCGAAGAAGAGAGUGUCCUUGUCAUCAAGGCGGUAGCACUUGUACUUGGGUUGACUCUUGGCAAUCCCAAUCUUCACCUUUUUCACCAUAGCAUCAAGAAGUUGGGCUUGGCGAAUCUGGUCUUCCAAGGUAGAGAGACUUGAAGGUUGGCGAGGAAACCUUGAGGAACAACUUGUAGAUUAAGUUUGUGGAAAGCUUCACAAAGCUUGGGUUGAUAAGGCUUGAGAAUCAGACUGUUGCAAUAAGCCUUUCUGCUCAAUGCGUCAGCAAUCACAUUGGCCUUGCCUGGAGUAUACUCGAUACUCGGAUUAUACUCUUGAAUCAUUUCGACCCAUCGAGUUUGCCUGAGGUUGAGAUUAGGCUGAGUGAAGAUGUACUUGAGACUCUUGUGGUCAGUGAAGAUGUCCACUUUUCUUCCCAAUAAGAGAUGUCUCCAAGUCAAAAGAGCAUGCACAACUGCCACCAACUCGAGAUCAUGAGUGGGGUAGUUCUUCUCAUUGGGCUUCAACUGGCGAGAGGUAUAAGCAACAACUUUCUUCUCUUGCAUCAACACUGCGCCAAGACCUUGGAGAGAGGCAUCACAAAAGACUUCGUACGGCUUGGAUUCAUCAGGCGGAGUCAGAACUGGAGCAGUGAUCAAUUUCUCUUUCAAAGUGUUGAAAGCAAUGUCACACUCCGGAGACCAAACGUACUUGACGUGCUUCUGGAGAAGAUUUGAGAGAGGCUUCGCGAUCUUAGAAAAGUUUUCAACGAAUCUUCGACAAUAGCUUGCGAGACCGAGGAAGCUACGGAGUUGCUUCACGUUCUGAGGAGGUUCCCAAUUCACAAUUGCAGACACCUUCUCAGGAUUCACGGCAAUGCCCUUGGCAGAGAUGAUAUGACCAAGAUAAAGAACCUCAUCGAGCCAAAAUUCGCACUUGGAGAACUUGGCGUAGAACUUGUGUUCCCUCAGCUUAUCGAGUACUAAACGCAAGUGCUUGGCAUGAUCUUCCUUGUUCUUCGAGAAAAACUAGAAUGUCGUCGAGAUAGACCAAAACGAAGUCAUUGGUGUAGGCGUUGAAGAUGAAGUUCAUCAUGUGAGAGAACAUCAGAGGAGCGUUGACGAGGCCAAAAGACAUGACAGUGUAUUCAUAUGAACCAUAGCUUGUCCUGAAAGCCGUCUUGGGAAUAUCUUGCUCACGGAUUCGAAUCUGAUGAUAACCCAUACGGAGAUCAAGCUUGGAGAAUACUUGGGCACCUUUGAGUUGUUCGAACAGCUCAUUGAUGUUGGGAAGUGGGUAUUUAUUCUUGAUGGUCUUCUUGUUCAAUGGACAGUAAUCAACACAAAGUCGGUCUGUUCCAUCCUUCUUCUUCACAAAAAGAACACCACAACCCCACAGAGAAGAACUAGGCCGGAUGAGACCCAUUAUUUCUUGAAUAUCGAGUUGCUUCUUCAGCUCUUUCAACUCUUCAGGUCCGAGCUUGUAAGGACGCUUGCACACAGGUUCCGUGCCAGGCUCAAAAUCAAUAACGAAUUCAACUGGCCGGUGCGGAGGCAUUCCUGGAAGCUCUUCUGGAAAGACGUCUUGAUAUUCGCAAACGACUGGAAUUUGCGAGAUGGCAUCCAGUUCACCCUUCUCAUUGAGAGAAAACACACGGAUGGUAUCGUCACGAGAGGCAAAGACAAUUGCAUCCUCAGACGAAUGAGUCAAUUGAAUCUGCGUGGCAGCACAAUCAAGAUGCGCCUUGUGCUUAGAAAGCCAAUGCAUUCCGAGAAUAAGAUCAAUAUCCGAGUCCCCAAGAACCGUAGGAGAAGAUAGAAAUUUGUAGUCACCCAAGGUGAUAGUAACAUCCGGAACGAUGGAGUUAGCAUGCAUGCGCCUACUGGGAGAGACAACUGCUAAUGGACUAGGCAAAAUUUGCAAAGCCAAACCAUGCUUAGAUGAAAACGGUCUCGAGAUGAAACAAUGCGAUGCACCCGUGUCAAAAAGAACUUUUGCAGGAAUAUCAUUAACAGGAAGGUUAGCCAUGAUGACAUCUGACGAGUCCUCUGCCUGAGCUGCAUUCAUCAAGUUGACCUUGGCAUGCUUGGGGUUAUGCUUGACCACAGCUAUACUUGCCGAUCUCACAGGAGGAGGAGGAGGAAGACGCCUCUGAUUGAGACACUUGUUGGCAUAGUGACCCUUUUGUUGGCACUUGUUGCACGUGACCUCUGAAAGCGGACGGUGAUACGGAGCACUCGAUCUUGGAGCUUGAGACGAAGUCUUGUUCUGAAAGCCAGGGUUGGGUGGGUGGGAAGAUCCACUUCUACCUUUGCUCUUCUGCUGAUACGGCUGACGGAAUGGAGGAGGAGGAAGCCAAUACUUCUGCUGCUUGGCCACUUGAGUAGAGGAAGAAGGAGUAGUGUCUCUGACUCGCUUCUUGGAUGCAUCACACCUCAGUUGAGCGGCCUCUUGCUUCAGUGCCAUGUUGUAGAACUCAUCGUACCUCAAGGGCUCAAAGAGGACAAGAGCUAGCUGAAUUUCUUCUCUGAGGCCACCCCUGAACUGGUAUAUCAUGCUCUUCUCAUCAGGGACGUCCUGCUUAGCAAAGCGGGCGAGCUUCUGAAACAACUUGUUGUAGUCAUAGACAGACAAAGAGCCUUGCUUCAGGUUGCGGAAUUCCUCACGCUUGCUUUCAACCACGCUUUGAGGAAUAUGAUGAGCUCUGAAAUCUUGACGGAAUUCAUCCCAGGUGAUCACACGUCCACCUCUGGAAUCUUUGUACUGCUGGAACCAUUCUGCAGCUUGAUCUUUGAGUUGGAAGGAAGCGAAAUUGACAAAGUCCUCAGGCCUGACGUUACUGCACUCGAAAUGCUUGCACAGAUCCACGAGCCAAUCGUCAGCAUCAGUUGCCUCAACACAAUUGCUGAAAGUCUUUGGCCCGUUAGCAAGGAACUGGUUGAGUGUAGUAAAGUGAUUCUAAUUGUUGCCUUGAUUCCCUUGGUUGCCUUGAUUGCGCUCUUGGAGAAUUUGCAUGAUCAACUGUGUGUUUGCAUUGGUUGCGGCCAUCACAGCUUGCCAUGCCUCCGGAGGAGGUGGAGGUGGUGGCGGAUCCUGAUUCUGGUUCUGACUGGUGCUCUUAGCAGGAGCCAUCCUGAAGAGGUUGACCACCGUUAGCACAUAGACAGAUAAAAUGAAGUUGAAUCCAACGGAAUGAAAAUUGCAACAUAUAGUCUUCACAUCCGGACAAAAUGAACGAAUGCAUUCCUCUUGAAAUGGUCACAUAUCCAUAAAUUGAGAAGCCACUUAGAAUUUAGGUAGAGAAAUAAAUCAACAAGGUACGGAUCAAGAACGAAUAAUCGGUAAGAAAUCCCAAUCUCAAACCAAAUAUCCAUGGAAGAAUAACUAGAGCUACAAGAACUCCCACCUAUGAAACUCCCGAACCUUUCCGGUUAUGCAAUUAGGUGUUGGGGAUACAGGGGAAGCAUAAUAUCUCACCCAAAUCUAGCAAAUCCUACAUCCAGCUGUAUCCAUCCUUCAACACAUAACUGAGAAAAACUUCGGAAACCAUCUACCUCAACCUUCGAAAAGCAUCCGUUAUACAAGUUAUGGCGAUACUCCCAAACUCCCGCCCCAGUACUGGGUGGCGUCGAGGUUAUCUCACCAAUGAACUGCAUAAAAGAGAUUUUCGAUGUCGGCGUACUAAACUCAGGUAUUCUAGAACUGCAACGAUAAAAUUAUGACGACAACACCUCAGAGCUCAACUCCCCGGGACACUUCCACAAAACCCCUGACAGGAGGCACCAAGACAAUGUUCUCGUCAUAAAACCAUCGGAACGAUUCCAAGAUACCCGUGUGAUCCUAAAAUUUUUUUAGUGAAAUUUGAGAAGAGAAGAGUCAAAACUCUACGUCAGGAUGCCUUACCAGAGUGAUGAGGAGACUGGGAAGUAAAAAAGAAUUCCUAAACUCUCCGAUAUAUAAUUCCUAAAUGACUCAAAACAUUUUUCUAGACACAACUCGACUGCUAAAAAUGAUCAAUCAGUGGGGGCUCCUAAGGUCGGGGAAGGCUCUGAUUACCAACUUGUAACACCCUCGAUGCGACUAUAGCUCCCACGUGUCGAGGCAUGACUUAGAGACAUAAUCACAUUGAAGGCAUAUGUCGCAAGUUAGGCAAUCAUCACAACAUCCCAUGUAAUAUAGAUAAUAAGAGGGGAGAUAACAUAGUUGGUUUACACUCGCCACGUCAAUCAAGUACAUAAAAUAGCAUUACAUCAUCCAAACACUCAUGGCCCGACUACGGCGCCAAAAUAAAAGAUAACCCAACAUGCGACACGGUCCCGAUCACCCCAACUGGGCACCACUACUGAUCAUCAGGAAAGGAAACGUAGUAUCGUUGAGAGUCCUCGUCGAAUUCCCACUUGAGCUCGAGCGCGUCACCUGGAGCGGAAUCAUCAGGCCCUGCAUCUGGUGUAAUAGUAAUCUGUGAGCCACAGGGACUCAGCAAUCUCGCACCCUCGCGAUCAAGACUAUUUAAGCUUAUAGGUAAGGCAAGGUAAAAUAUGUGGAGCUGCAGCAAGCGACUAGCAUAUAUGGUGGCUAUCCUGUUCACAAAAGAGAGCGAGAAGAGGAGGCAAAGCGCGAGCGAGAAACUAGAGGGUAACCUGCGCAAACAUUACUCCAACACCGUGUCCACUUCCCGGACUCCGCCGAGAAGAGGCCAUCACGGUAACACACUCAGUUGAUUCAUUUUUAAUUAAGUUAAGGUUCAAGUUAUCUACAACCGGACAUUAACAAAUUCCCAUCUGCCCAUAACCGCGGGCACGGCUUUCGAAAGUUCAAAUCCCUGCAGGGGAGUCCCAACUUAGCCCAUGACAAGCUCUCACGGUCAACGAAGGAAUAGACCUCCUCCGGAGAUGUUCCGAUCAGACUCGGUACCUCGGUUCUUCAAGACACUUCGACAGGUUAAAACAAGACCAGCAACACCGCCCGAAUGUGCCGACAAAUCCCGAUAGGAGCUGCACAUAUCUCUUUCUCAGGGCACACUCAGAUUGUCUUAGGUACGGGUAGGCCAGCCCAGAGUUGCCCCUGGUGGCCACCGGCAGCUGACAGCUGGACCAACACUCGGAGGAGCACUAGCCCGGGGGGGUUUAAAAUAAGAUGACCCUCGGGCUCCGGAAACCCAAGGGAAAAAGAGGCUAGGUGGCAAAUGGUAAAACCAAGGUUGGGCAUUGCUGGAAAAACUUUAAUCAAGGCGAACUAUCAAGGGGUUCCCAUUAUAACCCAACCGCGUAAGGAACGCAAAAUCCGGGAACAUAACACCGAUAUGACGGAAACUAGGGCGGCAAGAGUGGAACAAAACACUAGGCGAGAGGCCGAGCCUUCCACCCUUAACCAAGUAUAUAGAUGCAUUAAGAUAACAAGAUAAUAUAAUGAUAUCCCAACAAGUAAAUAAUGAUCCAACAAGGAACGGUCUCCAAUCUUCACCUGCAACUAGCAACGCUAUAAGAGGGGCUGAGCAAAGCGGCAACAUAGCCAAUCAACAGUUUGCUAGGACAUGGUGGGUUAGAGGUUUCACAUGGCAAUUUGGGAGGCUUGAAAGCAAGUGGUAGGCAUCGUAGCAUUGGCAUAGCAAAAGAGCGAGCAUCUAGCAAAGCAAAGAUACUAGUGAUUUCAAGGGUAUGACCAUCUUGCCUGCAAAGUUGUCAGAGUUGACUGGAUCCUCGAAAGCAAACUCAACGGGCUCCUCGUUAGUGAACUCGUCUCCCGGAUCUACCCAAACAAGACAAACAAUCAACAAGGACACAAUCAACCACAUGCAAGGAUCAAACAAUAUGAUGCAAAGAUGAUAUGCUAUGCGGGAUGCGAUGCGGGAUGCAUAUGCAAGAUUUGACAAGGAAUGCAUGAACCUGGCCUCAACUUGGAAAUCCAAGUGUGCCACUAGAAAGAUGAGAUUAAAUCGCUUGAAAACGAUAUAAAGAACGCCGGAAUCGGAGUUACGGUUUGGAAAUGGCAAGCGAUUCAAAUAUGACACCGGUCUACGAUUUACAGCAAGUAGCCAUCUAAAUGCAACGAGAUGAACAUGCUACAGCACUCACACAUGGCAUAAAAAUACAUGGCAGGGAUGAAUUCAUGAUGCUUAACAAAAGUCUAGCACUGAGCUACGGCCAAUUCAUCCAUUAACAGAUUCAAACAAGCAUGGCAAAAAUGCAUAUGGUAAACAGAUCUCAGACUUAGUGAAAUUAACACUUGUCUGGAAUUUCAGAUCAGGUAGCACUCUUCGGAGCAUGAAAACUGUAUGCUACAGGACCUGAACAUGGAAAAGUAAAGCAUGGCAUGGAGCUACUCAAAGAGCUUAACAAAAGUCCCUUAGUGACCUUAAGCCAAAAGGGAUCAGAAAAUACAUUUGCAAGCAUGUGAACAUGGCAAAAACAUAAUCAGUUUUCAGACAGUGAAAACUGGCACAUGCUGAAAACAGAUAUCAGGUAGGCAUGUUUACGAGCUCGAUGCACUCACUACAGAGCAAGUCAUGUCAAGCUAAGCAUACAUCCAUCAAGAAUACACAAAAUGCAAGCUAGACAUGGCAAGAACAAUAGCAUAGCAUACACGGAUCAACUACAACAUCCUCGGCAAAAUCGCUAACAAGUAGACAAUCUGCCCAGAUUCACGAAAUGACAAAAGUAGAGCUCGAUUGACUCAAGCUAGGGUGCUCCAUAAUUGCAAACAAAGACAUGGAUGGAUAGAGAACUACAAGCUUAACAAAACAUCCUUACUGAUCAUCCUCAAAAGAGGCACAGAUCACUAGGAAACAACAUGAACAUAUGGCCAUAUGAGAUAAACAGCUCAAGGACUUAGUGAAAAUGCUAAGUCCCUGAAAUCAGCAUUACCAAGUGCCUCACUUUGCAAGCUUGUGCUAGUCACCACACACAUCACAAAAAUACAUGGGUUGCACCUCUAGAAAGAUGGCAAAACCCUUAACAAAACAUAUGUAGAGCUCAUGGGCAUAUCAUGCACACAUUAAUCAUGGCAAAAAUGACAAAUAUCUAAAUGGAGCGGCAGAUCUAACAAUUAACUCAAGUAGCACUCUUCUAACAGCAUUUCGGGCAUCAAGAUGAACUCAAAUGAAGAUGAUGCAAUGGAAUCAAAUGAUGUACUCUUUGAGGUGAACAUUUUGAUAUGCUAUAUGCGCAAAACGGAGUUACGGAUGCAAAGUUAUAGCACGAUCAAUAUAGACAAAAAGUUAGGGUUUCGGGCAAAAAGUCAACCCGAUCCGGAUCUGGAUCUGGAUCUGGCCCAGUACUGUAGCAGCACGUUCUUCGAGGAUCAUCGGCCCGAGCUCGCCGGAGUUGAUGGAGUAGACGGCGGCCAGCGUCGAGGGAGAGGAGGAGGAGGCCGGAGCCGUGCGGCGGCGCGGUGGCGGCGUCCGCGGCAAGGGGUGGCGGCGAGGCAACGGGCCUCGGGGGGCCCUCCUGGGCCUCCUGGGCCGGUGACGUGGGGCGGCCGGCGGGCGAGUGGCGCGGUCACUAUUGAUAACAGUCGACUGAAAAUAAAUAGGUCAGUCGAUUUUUUUAAUGAACCAUCCGAUCUAUAAGGAACGGGCAGAUGGCCUUCGUCUACCUCCCGCCAGUCACUGUUGACGAUCUUUCUCGAACCGCCAGCGACCACCGGCCCAGACCCCUGCCUCCGCCGCCCCGCCCUCCCAUCGACCUCACACCACCGCCGUGCUUGGCAGCACCCCCAGGCCAUCCCUUUAAUCCCGGCCGACCUCCAGAUCGAGCGCCAGUAGCUCUAGGCUGCACACGCCCCUAAGAUAAACACCAAGGCGCUGCUUCCCCAGCGUAAUAGGCGUACUAGCGCCUGUUACGCCGGGUAAUGCUUCCGUUAAUUAGGAAUCAAGUGGCCAGAAAUUGAAAUUCAGGGGGGCGACGGACCUCUAGCUAAGGUGAAAUAGUAUAUGAGGAGAAACCUUGUGCAUCGCGAGUUACUAGGAACAUCUAGUAUCAAGAAGAAGCGGUCAACUAGUGUCUUUUGUGGGAUGAAUACCGUGCAAGCAGAGAUGUAAGAUUUGCACGAAUAAGGGAAGAGGAGUACCUUUUUCGGUUGCCGGUGUGGUCACCUCCACAAGUCGCACCGAUUUUCUUCUUUUUAUCGGGGAAACCGAUGUUCUGGAGGGUGCAGGCUUGGAUGAACCCAUGGCCAAAUUUUUGACUGUGUUGCCGUGGUCGUAUGUCGGCGGAGGGGAAGCAGAUCCGAGGCGGCGAAGGACGGCAUAGCAGGAACAGCUCCGGUGUGGUGGAGGGUGGCGAAGUUGGAGCGGCAGCGGUGAGGCACAGGACGGCGUGGUUGAACUGGCUCGGGUAUGGACAGCUCGGCCUCGGAUUCAACUACUAGCCAUGGAGGGCGUUACGGUUGAGGUUGAAGUGGAUGACGACGUCGGGGUAUCGGCUCCGGCGUGAUGGAGGAGGGCGGCGGUUGAUGGGUGGGAUGGGGUGGCGGACGGAGGACGCCGGGGUUUCACGGCUGGUGGAGAGGUAGUUUUGGCGCCCACGGAGUAUGAAUGGGGAAUUGGACGGGUGGGGGGGAACCAUGUUUCGGUCUGGGACGCGCUUGUUUUUGGCUUUUUUGAAGAGAAGAUGGGACACGCUUGUUUGAAAUUUGGGGAAAGUACAAACUUUGCCCCCCUCUUAAAUUUCGGACCUACUGCGGGUCGGGGGUAGGAUGGUAAUCCCAGGUGUCCCAAAUAGUGGGUGGGAGCGAUUUUGGCCGCGCGCAUGUGUGCUUAGGCGGCCAUUGUGUAUGAAUGUUUUUCGGAUGCGGUUCCGUUGCGUCUAGAUGAAGCUACAAACCUACCCCGGUUUAGACCUUUGGACGUCGGGCCGGUAGGUUUCAUGGGUCGGAGUUAUUAGAAAAGUAAUUUCCUUGUACUACAAAACAUCGGUCUCACGCGGUUUCGGGCGAGUAGAGGCUCUUUUGGCGCUUCGUUCGAAAUUUUGAAACACAAGCAUUCACGUUUAGAGUACUCUUGAACUAUGAGGAUUGACCUAAAUAUACAACAUUACAUUUGACCUUGUAUGUUUGAAAACCUCAUUAAAUUAUCCGCUUCUUUUUGAAAUUUUGACACUUGAAAAUCCUAUAACUACGAUUAUUUUGGAAUGGAGGAGCUAAAUUUGAAUCUAUUUUGUACACGACUACAUAUGCUAUUAUGUACAAAAUCAGAGCAAAGAUUGGUGCCCCCAUAUUUAGGUAUGGUUUACAAAUGCCAUGAUAUCAAAUUCAAAUAAUUGAAUGGACUUCAUGUUGAAUUCGAUUUUUUUAAACCACCUUAAGUUGAAUUCAAAUGCAUGCUAGUUCAUAGGUAGUAGCAUUUAUAAUGUCCAUUGUGUAACUUUCGUAUGUAUAAUGUGCUUUUGUUGGGGAACGUAGUAAUUUCAAAAAAUUUCCUACGCACACUCAAGAUCAUGGUGAUGCAUAGCAAUGAGAGGGGAGAGUGUUGUCUACGUACCCUCGUAGACCGAAGCGGAAGCAUUGACGCAACAUAGAGGAAGUCGUCGUACGUCUUCCCGAUCCGACCGAUCCAAGCACCGUUACUCCGGCACCUCCGAGUUCUUAGCACACGUACAGCUCGAUGACGCUCCCCGGGCUCCGAUCCAGCAAAGCUUCGGGGAUGAGUUCCGUUAGCACAACGGCAUGGUGACGAUGAUGAUGUACUACCGACGCAGGGCUUCGCCUAAGCACUACAACGAUAUGACCGAGGUGGAAUAUGGUGGAAGGGGGCACCGCACACGGCUAAGGAACAAUCACGAGGAUCAACUUGUGUGUUCUAGGGUGCCCCCUUGCCUCCGUAUAUAAAGGAUCCAAGGGGGGGUGCGGCCGGCCCUAGAGGAGGCGCGCAGGAGGAGUCCUACUCCUACCGGGAGUAGGACUCCCCUCCCUUUCCUUGUCCAAGUAGGAGAGGUGGAAGAAGAGAAGGAAAAGGGGGGGGGCGCCCCUCCCUCCUUGUCCAAUUUGGACUAGGGGGAGAGGGGGCGCGCGGCCUGCCCUGGCAGCCCCUUCCUCUUCUCCACUUUAGGCCCAUGAGGCCCAUUAACCCCCCGGGGGGUUCCGCUAACCCCCCGGUGCCCCGGUUUUAUCCGAAACUUCUCCGGAACACUUCCGGUGUCCGAAUAUAGUCGUCCAAUAUAUCAAUCUUUAUGUCUCGACCAUUUCGAGACUCCUCGCCAUGUCCGUGAUCACAUCUGGGACUCCGAACUAACUUCGGUACAUCAAAAUGCAUAAACUCAUAAUAACUGUCAUCGUAACGUUAAGCGUGCGGACCCUACGGUUCGAGAACAAUGUAGACAUGACUGAGACAAAUCUCCGGUCAAUAACCAACAGCGGGACCUGGAUGCCCAUAUUGGCUCCUACAUAUUCUACGAAGAUCUUUAUCGGUCAGACCGCAUAACAACAUACGUUGUUCCCUUUGUCAUCGGUAUGUUACUUGCCCGAGAUUCGAUCGUCGGUAUCCAAUACCUAGUUCAAUCUCGUUACCGGCAAGUCUCUUUACUCGUUCUGUAAUGCAUCAUCUCGCAACUAACUCAUUAGUUGCAAUGCUUGCAAGGCUUAUGUGAUGUGCAUUACCGAGAGGGCCCAGAGAUACCUCUCCAACAAUCGGAGUGACAAAUCCUAAUCUCGAAAUACGCCAACCCAACAUGUACCUUUGGAGACACCUAUAGAGCACCUUUAUAAUCACCCAUUUACGUUGUGACGUUUGGUAGCACACAAAGUGUUCCUCCGGAAAACGGGAGUUGCAUAAUCUCAUAGUCAUAGGAACAUGUAUAAGUCAUGAAGAAAGCAAUAGCAACAUACUAAACGAUCGGGUGCUAAGCUAAUGGAAUGGGUCAUGUCAAUCAGAUCAUUCACCUAAUGAUGUGAUCUUGUUAAUCAAAUAACAACUCUUUGUUUAUGGUUAGGAAACAUAACCAUCUUUGAUUAACGAGCUAGUCAAGUAGAGGCAUACUAGUGACACUCUGUUUGUCUAUGUAUUCACACAUGUAUUAUGUUUCCGGUUAAUACAAUUCUAGCAUGAAUAAUUAACAUUUAUCAUGAUAUAAGGAAAUAAAUAAUAACUUUAUUAUUGCCUCUAUGGCAUAUUUCCUUCAGUCUCCCACUUGCACUAGAGUCAAUAAUCUAGAUUACACUGUAAUGAUUCUAACACCCAUGGAGCCUUGGUGCUGAUCAUGUUUUGCUCGUGGAAGAGGCUUAGUCAAUGGGUCUGCAACAUUCAGAUCCGUAUGUAUCUUGCAAAUCUCUAUGUCUCCCACCUGGACUAAAUCCCGGAUGGAAUUGAAGUGUCUCUUGAUGUGCUUGGUUCUCUUGUGAAAUUUGGAUUCCUUUGACAAGGCAAUUGCACCAGUAUUGUCACAAAAGAUUUUCAUUGGACCCGAUGCACUAGGUAUGACACCUAGAUCAGAUAUGAACUCCUUCAUCCAGACUCCUUCGUUUGCUGCUUCCGAAGCAGCUAUGUACUCCGCUUCACAUGUAGAUCCCGCCACAACGCUUUGUUUAGAACUGCACCAACUGACAGCUCCACCGUUUAAUGUAAACACGUAUCCGGUUUGCGAUUUAGAAUCGUCCGGAUCAGUGUCAAAGCUUGCAUCAACGUAACUAUUUACGAUGAGCUCUUUGUCACCUCCAUAUACGAGAAACAUAUCCUUAGUCCUUUUCAGGUACUUUAGGAUGUUCUUGACCGCUGUCCAGUGAUCCACUCCUGGAUUACUUUGGUACCUCCCUGCUAGACUUAUAGCAAGGCACACAUCAGGUCUGGUACACAGCAUUGCAUACAUGAUAGAUCCUAUGGCUGAAGCAUAGGGAACAUCUUUCAUUUUCUCUCUAUCUUCUGCAGUGGUCGGGCAUUGAGUCUGACUCAACUUCACACCUUGUAACACAGGCAAGAACCCUUUCUUUGCUUGGUCCAUUUUGAACUUCUUCAAAAUCUUCUCAAGGUAUGUGCUCUGUGAAAGUCCAAUUAAGCGUCUUGAUCUAUCUCUAUAGAUCUUUAUGCCUAAUAUGUAAGCAGCUUCACCGAGGUCUUUCAUUGAAAAACUCUUAUUCAAGUAUCCCUUUAUGCUAUCCAGAAAUUCUAUAUCAUUCCCAAUUAGUAAUAUGGCAUCCACAUAUAAUAUCAGAAAUGCUACAGAGCUCCCACUCACUUUCUUGUAAAUACAGGCUUCUCCGAAAGUCUGUAUAAAACCAAAUGCUUUGAUCACACUAUCAAAGCGUUUAUUCCAACUCUGAGAGGCUUGCACCAGUCCAUAAAUGGAUCGCUGGAGCUUGCACACUUUGUUAGCUCCCUUUGGAUCGACAAAACCUUCCGGUUGCAUCAUAUACAACUCUUCUUCUAGAAAUCCAUUCAGGAACACAGUCUUGACAUCCAUCUGCCAAAUUUCAUAAUCAUAAAAUGCGGCAAUUGCUAACAUGAUUCGGACAGACUUAAGCAUCUCUAUGGGUGAGAAGGUCUCAUCGUAGUCGAUCCCUUGAACUUGUCAAAAACCUUUUGCGACAAGUCGAGCUUUGUAGACAGUAACAUUACCGUCAGCGUCAGUCUUCUUCUUGAAGAUCCAUUUAUUCUCAAUUGCUUGCCGACCAUCAGGCAAGUCAACCAAAGUCCAGACUUUGUUGUCAUACAUGGAUCCCAUCUCAGAUUUCAUGGCUUCAAGCCAUUUUGCGGAAUCUUGGCUCACCAUCGCUUAUUCAUAGUUCGUAGGUUCAUCAUGAUCUAGUAGCAUGACUUCCAGAACAGGAUUACCGUACCACUCUGGUGCGGAUCUUACUCUGGUUGAUCUACGAGGUUCAGUAGUAUCUUGUUCUGAAGUUUCAUGAUCAUUAUCAUUAGCUUCCUCACUAAUUGGUGUAGGUGUCGCAGAAACAGGUUUCUGUGAUGUACUACUUUCCAAUAAGGGAGCAGGUACAGUUACCUCGUCAAGUUCUACUUUCCUCCCACUCACUUCUUUCGAGAGAAACUCCUCUAGAAAGGAUCCAUUCUUAGCAACAAAUGUCUUGCCUUCGGAUCUGUGAUAGAAGGCGUACCCAACAGUCUCUUUUGGGUAUCCUAUGAAGACACAUUUCUCCGAUUUGGGUUCGAGCUUAUUAGGUUGAAGCUUUUUCACAUAAGCAUCGCAGCCCCAAACUUUAAGAAACGACAACUUUGGUUUCUUGCCAAACCACAGUUCAUAAGGCGUCGUCUCAACGGAUUUUGAUGGUGCCCUAUUUAACGUGAAUGUGGCUGUCUCUAAAGCAUAACCCCAAAACGAUAGCGGUAAAUCAGUAAGAGACAUCAUAGAUCGUACCAUAUCUAGUAAAGUACGAUUACAACGUUCAGACACACCAUUACGCUGUGGUGUUCCGGGUGGCGUGAGUUGCGAAACUAUUCCGCAUUGUUUCAAAUGUACACCAAACUCGUAACUCAAAUAUUCUCCACCACGAUCAGAUCGUAGAAACUUUAUUUUCUUGUUAUGAUGAUUUUCAACUUCGCUCUGAAAUUCUUUGAACUUUUCAAAUGUUUCAGACUUGUGUUUCAUUAAGUAGAUAUACCCAUAUCUGCUUAAGUCAUCUGUGAAGGUGAGAAAAUAAAGAUAUCCGCCACGAGCCUCAAUAUUCAUCGGACCACAUACAUCAGUAUGUAUGAUUUCCAACAAAUCUGUUGCUCUCUCCAUAGUACCAGAGAACGGUGUUUUAGUCAUCUUGCCAUGAGGCACGGUUCGCAAGUACCAAGUGAUUCAUAAUCAAGUGGUUCCAAAAGUCCAUCAGUAUGGAGUUUCUUCAUGCGUUUUAUACCGAUAUGACCUAAACGGCAGUGCCACAAAUAAGUUGCACUAUCAUUAUCAACUCUGCAUCUUUUGGCUUUAACAUUAUGAACAUGUGUGUUACUACUAUCGAGAUUCAUCAAAAAUAGACCACUCUUCAAAGGUGCAUGACCAUAAAAGAUAUUACUCAUAUAAAUAGAACAACCAUUAUUCUUUGAUUUAAAUGAAUAACCGUCUCGCAUCAAACAAGAUCUAGAUAUAAUGUUCAUGCUCAACGCUGGCACCAAAUAACAAUUAUUUAGGUCUAAUACUAAUCCCGAAGGUAGAUGUAGAGGUAGCGUGCCGACCUCAAUCACAUCGACUUUGGAACCAUUUCCCACGCGCAUCGUCACCUCGUCCUUUGCCAGUGUUCGCUUAAUCUGUAGUCCCUGUUUCGAGUUGAAAAUAUUAGCAACAGAACCAGUAUCAAAUACCCAGGUGCUACUGCGAGCUCUAGUAAGGUACACAUCAAUAACAUGUAUAUCACAUAUACCUUUGUUCACCUUUUAUAUACAUGGACCUGCCUACAUGUCUCAUGUAGGCACAUUAUAUUUACGCCUGUCUCUCACGCAUUGUCUCACACCUCUCUUCCUAAUCGACGAGUAUGAUUCUAGCAGAGCAUUUUGUAGGAUGCCCCUUAAAGUUAGGUUGGAUGAAUAGUAAUAUCAGAGAUAAAGGGGUUAACUUAGUCUGAGAACCUAGGGUUACAAAUCCUAGCCGGCUUUGUCAGUGGACACAGAGUCCUUCACAAUUCUGCUAUCUUUGGCUUGUAUGACGAGUCAUCCAUGGGUCUUCCUAAAUGCGUCACGGGCCGACCAAUGUGGCGCAGGACGGAAUAGAAUGAAGGGCCUCUGACCCACCGGACCCCACGCGGUGACACACCCUCUGCCCCCAUGUCUCAUUAUCUUCUCACACCCACACAUACCAACACAAACACCACACACAGAGAAAAUUUCUCCUAGUGCCUCUAUUCCCUCCCCCCUUGCAUAUACACACUCAAGGGAAUGGAAUCUCUUGUUGUGACGUCAUUUUCGUCUCUCUCUCUCUAGACCACUCUCAUUUCUCAUGCUAUCUCUCCCACGCCCCCCCCCCCGGUCGGCCCCUCUAUCCAUGCCUCUCUCGAAUACGUAAUACACACACAUACCUCUCUAGGCCCCGCCAAAUGCAUCACCUACACAUUCACACAUGUUACAUCACGUACCCCAUUGAUCUAAAAAGCCCUCUCUUCACGCUUAUUUCGCAUACAACAUUCCUUUUGAAUAAAGUGUGGCCAAAAAAUUAUUUUAGAGUUUCUACAUAUAUACAACAUUAAAAAGUUAUAUGGAGGAGUAAGAACGCUAAUUUGCAUUGCAUNNNNNNNNNNNNNNNNNNNNNNNNNNNNNNNNNNNNNNNNNNNNNNNNNNNNNNNNNNNNNNNNNNNNNNNNNNNNNNNNNNNNNNNNNNNNNNNNNNNNNNNNNNNNNNNNNNNNNNNNNNNNNNNNNNNNNNNNNNNNNNNNNNNNNNNNNNNNNNNNNNNNNNNNNNNNNNNNNNNNNNNNNNNNNNNNNNNNNNNNNNNNNNNNNNNNNNNNNNNNNNNNNNNNNNNNNNNNNNNNNNNNNNNNNNNNNNNNNNNNNNNNNNNNNNNNNNNNNNNNNNNNNNNNNNNNNNNNNNNNNNNNNNNNNNNNNNNNNNNNNNNNNNNNNNNNNNNNNNNNNNNNNNNNNNNNNNNNNNNNNNNNNNNNNNNNNNNNNNNNNNNNNNNNNNNNNNNNNNNNNACGCACGCACGCAACACUCACACGCACGCACGCAACACUCACACGCACGCACGCAACACUCACACGCACGCACCCAACACUCACACGCACACACGCACGCAUGCAUGCACACACCAGUACACCACACGACCAACACACACUCUCACGCUCAAGUGCUCAACCUACACGUGCAUGCGCACACAUCAGGCCCUGACAGACACAUACACAACCGGGUGAUUCCCGCGCAUGGGUUGGAGCCUUGUCGCACCUGUGUAAAUUUGUGUUUAUCUGACCUUUUGCCUAUGCGAACUGACAGGUGGGACCCACAACGAAUGUGGUCAAUUUAACUAGUCAACAUGGCGCCACACAGACUAUUUGGCCAGUCAACAGAGUGCAAUCCGAUGUUGAGCUGUGAGCAAGUGACCGUAUAAUCACCGCAAAACGUAUAUAGUGACCGUAAUCAGCUUAUUCUGAAGUUCGGUGACCGUAUUACGGUUUUCUCUUUGUAGGCCCUCCAAAACUACAUCUCUACACGUUCUCGCAUGUUACAUCUAACAACUAUGCAAUACAGCACUACUACUACACUCUAACACAAUAAAUCAUAUGUGUUUUUAGUUUUACUAGAUAUCAUAUUGUUACUUAUAAUUAUUCAGUUUGCAUACAUUAAAAUUGCCUUUGAAAUGUAUGGCCAGUAUCAUCUACCGCGCGGGAAAAAUCCCGCCCUUUCCUGUUUAAUCGGGUUUGUAUCGAUGGAUCGUGCGAAACGGCAAAACUAUAGUACUAUACAAUACAAGUGAGAAUUCACUGGGCCGUCGUGUCGUCUACUCCUCCGUCGUAAGAGUGGAGCGCUCGCUUUCAUAAAUCUUCUAGUCCCCUUUCGCCGACAUGUGGGACAUCAAGCUACCAGGUCCAUGUGCCAUACCGGAAUACAGUGCAGAGCAGCCGGGGUGAAGCACCCCAGUCAUGGCGCCGGCGUAGUAAUGAGCAAUGAGGCGUCAAAUCACAAAGUUGCACCUUUCCCGCAGUUAAGUUGGAGGGACGAAGCAACCAUCAUUUCACUCAUUGCUGAAUCCGCUUCUACCUCAUCUUCUUCAACUUAACCACGUGUUGCUUCUGCCAAUGUGCUGCCUCAUGUGGGACGCGGAUCGGCUUGGUAAAGCACUGACACGUGGGACCGCAUGUUAGCAAACUGCCAGGACAACGUCCUCCGAAAAUAAGAAGCCUAAUCCUAGACUUACAAAGGGCUAUUAGCUGCUACGUAUACUUUCCAUCUAAUCUAUAUAUGCCCCCCUGAUUAUCAGGUGGGGUGGGCCUAAUCCUCUCCUUUAAUCCAAUCAAAUAGUCCCACAUCACAUCAGUUCGUAACUUUAUGUAAACCAUUACGUGGACGUAGCAUUGCUCAAAUAAGAAACCUCCCCCGCCAUCCGCGCGGCAAAAUCACCUCCUUUUUACUAAUCUUGAUUCUAUAAUUUUUUAGAUCAAUAUAAUUGAGAUUUGUAUAGAUAGCACACAGGAGCAAAACCAAGUGGUACGGUUAAGGGCAUCCACAAUGUGUAGCCAAAUGUGAAAAUAGCUUUUGGCAUCGUGGGAACCAUUGUGGACGGUGUUGCCAAAGCCAAAAAGAUGGAACCGAAGCUCCAUGAUUGAUUGAUUGAAGGAAUAGAAAAAUGCAACGUCUCUCCUCUUUCUCCCAUGCUUGGACGCAUGUAGUACAGUAUAGAGCACAGAGUCUACUCCCCUGUCCCUUCUAUCACAAAUCACAAAGCAGUGAGGCGUCAAAUCACAAAAGCACGGACGAAGCAACCAUCAUUUCACUCUUCGCUGACUCCGCUUCUCCAUCGUCUUCUUCGAGAAGCCAUCUCACCGCAUUAGUUACUCAUAGUAGUACUAGUAAAGGACUUCCUAGAUGCAAAUAAGGCGGUUGUCUCGGCUUUCACGCGGCACUUGCGAACGACUUACCGUGGUCUCCCUCAAUGGUGUUCUCCGUCGAACGCACUUCGCCAAACCACCCAAAAAAAUAUCAUUGACGUCACCGCAAUGGGGAAGGAAGUCAAAUAUAGUUACUACCUCCAUUUUUUGUACACAAGGCCGGUAUAUCAAAAUUACAAUUUGCAAAGGGCCACUAACACUAAUCGAGGCAAAAUUGAUGGGGUUAGCAACCAAGGACAUUAAUAUCCCCUGCAUGCAUGCGGAAGUGAGAAGGUUGGUUUGCAUGGCGCUGCAUUAAUCAAGCGAUGAGGAGUGAGAUGGUUAGCUCUUUGGUCUUCGGAGAAAAAAUACGCAUUAAUUGACAUGUGAAACGAGGAUUUGUAUCGAUUAAAUCCCACGAAGGAAAACCCAGCCUUUCUUUUUUAACACUAGUACUCCUAGUAUGUACGUACUUAUCCUGUUUGGGUCUAGGCCUUGCAUUGCCAAACUUCGCCACACAUUUUUGCCAAGCUUGCCUGAAGUUUUAAAAAUGAGAAGGACGUACACUUGCGCACGGCUAUCGCGGUCGCACCGCACCCUCACACGGUCACUCCUGCACGCCGCGGUUGCACUGCACCCUCACACAGUCGCUCCUGCACGCCGCAAACCAAACCAAGGGAACGCACCCACACUAAGACAUGUUGUCGCAUGUGAACACACCAAACUCAGCCAUCCUAUCGCUGACACAUAAUUUUCGUUCAUAGAGUAUGUUUAUCCAACCGCAUGUUGGGGAGUAUCCGUACGGCCCGUGCGGUGGUCUGUUGGGGAAGAAGAAGAGGUGAGGAAGAAGGAAAGAAGGGUUAGGAGACGUAGGAUAUUCAUCCAACCACCUGAAAUGGUAGACUGACCCAAGUCAGGCGACUUGCAUAAAAAAUAUAUGUUUUUACACAGCAAAAGAUCCAUAAAAACAACAACAUAAAGAAAAACUAUCACUGCUCGCGGAAAGAGACGACAUCAUCGUCUUUGGCUGCCGGCGCGAACCAGCCGUUGCUGCCGACGUGUGUCUCCACACCGUGGUUGUCCUCGGCCUCCAGCUACUCAUUCAAGCGGAGCGUGCGGGCGCUCUGCACGGACGAGAGCAUAGCCUGGUUCAAGUUGAGGACGUCCGGUUUCGCCUGCAGGAGGGCCUCGAUGGCAGCGGCAUCCGCGCGCUCCGCGUCGAGUCGAGCCUCCGCCGCCCGGUUCAAGUCCAGGACGUCCGAUUCCGCCUGCAGGAGGGCGUCGAUGGGAGCGGCAUCCGCGCGCUCUGCGUUGAGUCGAUCGUCUGCCGCCCGGUUCAAGUCCAGGACGUCUGGUUCCGCCUGCAAGAGGGCCUCGAUGGCAGCGGCAUCCGCGCGCUCCGCCUCAAGUUGAGCCUCCGCCGCCCGGUUCACAUCCACGACAUCCGGUUCCGCCUGCAGGAGAGCCUCGAUGGCAGCGGCAUGCGCGCGCUCCGUGUCGAGUUGAGCCGCUGCCUCCCGGUCCUCCUUUAGUAUCGCCAUGUUGAACUGCUGGUCCGCCUGCACCAUGGGGGACUCGGACGCCGGCACGAAGUCGACGUCCAUCGUCUCAUACCCAUCGGGGGCCUUCUGCGCCCCGACCUCCGCCAUGAACAUUGGAUCGGCUUCCUCCUCCUCGUAGCUUGGCUCCAGAGAACUUGGGGAUUGGCCCGCCGCAAAGCGAGCUUGGGAACGGAGGUCCGUGGCACCGACCGCCGCCGCGAUUUCUGCGCGGCGCUCCGGCGUCAGCAUCUUGUAGUAAGUGAUCUUGCGGCGCACCAUGGCUUUCCGGUGAACUAGGGGACGCUUUAUGCGGGCUAGGGGAUCGAAAGGUGGGGGAAUGGGCUGGAGAUUUGGUGUGGUUUUAGGGCAGUGGCUGGCGUAGGCCGAGAAGCGAAGGUUCUGGUGUGAACUAGUACAUAUGCUCGUACGUUGCAACGGGCGAAAAAAAUUGAAAAAACCAGCUUCACCUACCACUACGCUCCACUUAUUUGGAUUGUAAAUUGUUAAUGUGAGAAGUCGGUUGGCGCAUGCUUAAGCACUGCACAUCAAUCGAAUGAAAGAGUAGUGAUGCAUGUAGUAGUCUUUUAGUGGAAGAAGCAUACAAUCUGAUACAAUCUGAUUCUUACAUGUGCAUGGAAUAGUCUUUUAUUGGGAGAAAGAUACAAUGUGAUUCUUAGGGCAUCUCCAAUGUUGAACUGUAAAAUGGACACCACAUCCGUCUGCAUGCCGCCGGGGAGGGAGGAGGGCACUCCAGACAUUGCUGCAGGAGAAGACCAUCCAAAGCUAUGCGCAUUUGUCUGGUUGUAUUUCGGAAGAAAUUUAAUGAAAGUGAACAAAUUUGAUGGAUAUUAAAAAAACGAACGAUAUUCAUUCAUACUUGAAUAACUUUUUAGAUAAAACUGGAUGCUUUUCAUAUAGACCAGAGCAAACUAAUUCAUUUCAAUGUAUUUGAACUAAAUCAUACUCUAAACCUAGUCUAAAUGAUUGCCAAGAGCCGUUCGUGCAUUUCCGGUGGCCAUGAGCCCUGGGAACUGAAACUCCAGCUCCGAUUUCAUAGCCUCGGCCUCCAUAGCCUACAAGCGGCUAACCAACCGACAAUUUUGAGCCCAUCAAGCUUGGCUUCAGCGGGAGCGAGAGGGCGGUGGCCUUCGUGGGGUCCUAGCGUCGGCGAACUUCCAUGAUCUACUCUUCCUCAUUGCCGACGGCGCCCUUGGACGUGUCGGCUUCGUGGCCGUGGUGGCGAGGCGCGGGUGCGGCGGAGCUAGCAACGUCUUGCUCGUCCUCACUCUUGUUGUAGACUUCAUCGUCCGCCUCGCUAAUCUCCUCGGAGGCCGCUUCUAUCUCUGCCUGACGCUGGCGGUACCGUCAGUGGCCACGGCGGAUUUCGCAGGCGGUGCGAUAGGAGUCAACCAACGCCUCCUCCUCUGCCUGCUCCACAUCCGGUGCUAUCACCAUGCUAGUAGCGAGUUGCUCGACCACGCUUCGGUGCUCGUUGAGGAGGCGGAGGAUGUACACCUGGUCGGCUUGCGACUGUCGCAACAAGGCCUCCCACUCUACCAACACCAUUUCAAUGUAGUGAGCACGGGCAUGCCGGCAUGGGCCGAUGAGGAGGGUGGCGUCAACCUGUCAUUGUCCACUUCUUCCAUUGGGAUGUCCGCAGCGCCAACCUCCGUCAGCCUGCCGGCCUACCAGCUAGGAGCAAUGGCGGCAUCUCCGUCUUCUGGUCUGACGAGAGGUUGUCCCAAAUGACUUUGGAGGUCAAGGAGGCCAUGACGGUCGUGGUGCGGCGAGGAGGAUGGAUGCGGCUAUGGUCAGGGCUGGAGUUUAAAUAGUCGGCGGAUGGCAGGGCAAGCGACGAGGUGGUUAAUUAAUGGCGGGUAUAGACGAACGGCCUUGUGGCACCGGAGUAGGAUCUUUGGCAACCGCCCAUGUUUAAUGCAUGGAGGCAGAAUGAUGACCUACCAUUCAAACGUGGAGUUGUCACGUGCAUGUGGGAACGGCGCAGGCGGCGCUCUCGGUCGCGGCCGCUUCAAUGCCAAAGUGCCAGUGAGAGGUCGCGUCGCUCUGAGCCAGCAUGAAUGCAACAUUGGUGCUCUGGAGCGGUGCUGACCACUUCUGGUGGGAGGUACAUGGGUAAGGGAGAGGUUUUUGGUUGGGCCAUGGCUGAUAGAAUCGAGCGUGGCAGUGGUUCGGAUGGCCGCAAAGCCCUCAGUUUGUUUUCGGGUUGUGGGAGAAAGUAAAUCCGGACCGAUACUGACCCGCGUUGUAUGGCAAAACACGUCCGGACCAUGAAGUCUAGAUGGUUGCGAGUAUUUUGAGAGUCGGCGUUAAAAAUGCCCUUACGUGCUCUUUGAGAGUUUAAUAAUUCUUUUUACGUAUUUUAUUAAAUUAUCAAGAGAUUUGAAUUCUAAUGAUUUUGAAUUUUUUUACUGAAAGUUUUGUUUGAUUUGAAAGAUUAUAUUUCAUUCCUAAUAUUUUUUUACACUGUUAAGUCCAAACACAAGAAAACUGCGAACAAAAAUAAUGUUGGGGCCUAACGACCGGCAUGUAACACCCAUCAGGCUGUGUACCUCCACCGCUAGUUACCUUAUACUUAUCCAUUCAUCUCCACCGAGAUGCAUUUGCGAUUUUUCAUCCAUCUCCCUUCUCUCGCUCUCUCUCUCUUUCGCACACUACUGAGCAGCCAGCGGGAUUAGAGCAUCUCUAGCCGUGCCCCCAACAGGCCUUCCCCAGACGUUUUUGCUACUCCGGCGCCGAAAAAACGGCCCAAUCGCGCCCCCAGAAGCCCGUUUUUUGCCGGCUCGGGCCGAAACUGGUGCCGGCGGACCUAGGCUGAACCCGGUGCCCUGGGGGCGCCUGGGGCGCCGGCACAAGCGAAAAGGGCACGUGGGUCCGCCCUGUCGGUGAGUCGAGCGCCUCUCCUUGCCGUUUCUUCUCGCUUUUCCCCCACUUCCCUCCCAUACUCUUCCUUCCUCCCGCCAAUCUCCCUCCCGCUCGCCUCCCAGUCGGCCGCCAUGGCACCGAAGAAGUACGUCGCCCCCCGCGCGGCGGCAACCGCGACCGCCUCCGUCACCCAACCGAAGCAGAGGAAGCCGAGGGCGCCGCCGACCAAGCCACCGGUCAUGUCAAACGCCGAGUGGAGGGCGGAAGUUCAGCGGCGGGAGGCUGUCACCGCCGACCGGCGGAACAGGGCCAUCGCCAAGAAGGCCCGCGACAACGCGGCGUUCGCGGCUGCGGCUGCCUCAUCGGCGGACCAAGCCGAGGCCGAGGCAACUUGCGCAGGGAUGAUGAAUCCACCCGGCAGCCACGCCCAGUACGCGCCCUGGGGCCAGCAAGGCGUCGGCUCUCCACAGCCAUGGGGAUCGCCCUCGCCGGGCUACGCCGACGGGGAUGCGCACGGUGGGUUCAACCCAAACGUCACCUUCCCCCAUGGACACCCGGCCUAGCGCACGCCCUCGCCCGCCUUCACCGGUGUGCAGUACCCUCCAUACAACUACUCGCCGCCCGCCUACGCUUCCUCCCCGACGCCCCCACUCCGCCAUGGACCGCUGCCCUUCUCGCACCUCGGCGGCACCGACGAGACCGAGGCCGACAUGGACGACAUCAUUGCGGUAGGUUCGGCCGCGGCCGCCGCGUCUCCCGGGUUCGCCACCCAGGACGAGACGGUGGAUCUCUGCGGUGGCAUGGACGGCAAGCUCGGCUACAUCUACGGCGAGGACAAGAAGGAGGAGCAGGAGCAGGAGGAGGACGACGACAAGGAGGAGGAGGAGCCGGCGCCUGCUCUGGAAAGUCGCGCAUCAAGUGGGCGUCCAAGGAGGAGGAAUGCCUCGUCGUAGCAUGGAAAGUCGUCUGCCUCGACCCGACCACCGGCACGAACCAGAGCAUCGAGACGUACUGGGACCGCAUCAAGGCCGAGUUCGACAAGCGCAAGCUCGUCGACCCCUACUUCGAAGGUGUCUACAUGCAGCGCAGCUCCAAGGCGAUGGCAAACCAUUGGGGGCGUAUCCAGGGGGCAUGCAACAAAUGGCAUGGGGUCGUCGAGGAGGUCGUAGCUCACCCGGAGAGCGGCGCCAGCAUUGAGGAUCAGGUAUGCCACGCUGAUCUCCUACCUCUCUUCACCGUGCACGCCCGCCAACUGUUUGUUCCUCCGUGCAGUUGUUGCGCAUGUUCGCCCUGUACCGGCAGAGCAACAGCGACGCCGAAUUCAAGUACCUCCACGUCUACAAGCGCAUUGACAAGUGCGAGAAGUGGGCGGAAGUCCGGCGCACCCUCGACAAGGCCAAGGAGACCUACAAGCCGGACGCGCCGACUCCUGGCGUAUCGGAAGGGCGGCCGGAUGGCAACAAAGGUGCCAAGAAGGGGAAAUACGCCGACGCGGCUACCGCUUGAGUGCAGGAGUCCAUCGAGCACUGCCUCGCCGACGAGCAGGCCCGUGCCGUCCUUUGAGAAGAGAAGAUCGAUGCGUGGUGGUCGGCGUUGAUGUCGAGCAGCGCCAUCAAGCUCGACCUGCUCUGGACCAACAUCGCCGCGAAGAAGAGAAACACCAACCUGGCUUUCUUGCUGGGCAGGGCGGACAUGCUCCAGAGCACCGACGAGGCGGUCAAGGCGUGGUACUUGGCGGAGCGUGGCCUCAUCCUAAACCAGCUUCCCUCGACAACACCGCCGCCGCCAAGCCUGCGUGAUGACGCCUCCACGAUGCCCAGCACUACCGAAGCCGCACUGACACCGCCGAAUGCAGAAGCUGCUCCGACACCGCCAAUCCCGCGCACGCCAACUCUGCCGACGCCUGGGGCAGAGCCCGCCGAGUGAUGCGUUGCGCUGAACUGUGCCGCUCUAUUUUUUGUACGCCGGACUUGUGGCGUCUUUUGUGAGCGGGAACGACCAAGUUCGGAGUUUCCGCGUCCUGGGGGCGUGACUGGGAGCUAGGUCGCCCCCAGGGGCCGAACUAGCGCCGGUUCGCCCUCAGACCGCUCUUUUUUUGUGCCCUGGGGGGCCGAAUGGCUGGAGAUGCUCUUAGCCGCGCUAUGAGCCGGCUGUCCGGCGAGGUUCGUUCCGAUGCCAACAGUCACCGCCACCAGAUCCCCGCUGCCUGGGGCCCGGCACCCCGGCACCCCCACGCGCCACCGGGAGUCCCCAGCGGCACUGUCACUUUCGCCGCACCCAACGUCGGGAGCUUCUUGGACCUUCGUUGUCCGGAUGACCUAUGCUGCUUGCCGCAGAUGUUGCCCACUCUUUGUUUCUCAUUAUCAUCCGUCCACCCCACCUUCCUUUUGAGAUUUCAAAUCAGAAUCAUCUUCUUCCUUAGUUUCAAUUUCUUUCUUUGCCCAUCUUUUCCUAUUAAUCCCAGCCGGCUUUUUGAUUUCAGCUUGCAGCAGUAUUUAAAUUGGUUUAUUUGAGUGUCAGGGAGCAAGGUGGGAUUAUGUAAUAGAUAUCAAAUCCUCUUUUUUGCAUAGGAUCAUUGGUUAGCCCGGUCUAUUGUUUGUCAGAUUUGUUUGAUGGGCUGAGGCCCAUGCUAGCCGGUUGAGGCAUAGCGCGGCUUCGGACUUUCGGUAGGGGCGGACGAAAAUUACAUGGACGAAAACAACGCUUAGAUAGAUUAGUACCACCUUAGAUUUUGGAAAAAAUAUGGAUGUGUUAGAAAAAAUAAUUGAAAGCGUAAAUUCAUGGGAAGAAGCAUAUUGUGACGGUGAACCCACGGAGUCAAUCCGUACUUUAUUAUUAGGGAAAGAUAGUGGUUCCGGUGAUGACCGGUCAAUCGGUUUUGACUGUACAUCGCUCUUGUCGCGUUCGCAUUGCAGCCCGACACGCUGGACCCUCCACGUCGCUCACCGAAUGGAACGCGCUUCGUCUUGCGUUUUCGCUCGCUUGUGGGACCGCAGUUGAGAGCAAACCAACGUCCCUCCCCCUCCCCCGCUCGCGUCAUUUAUUAUACCACCACUCCCUCCAUUUUAUGCGGAGUAAAUAAAAACAGAGGGAGUAUACUACGGAUGAGGAUCCCCUGACGUGGCUGAACCCAUUGAGUAACUGACAUGCGAGGCCUAGCAAGCAUGGGGUCCAUCAGUAAGUGACCGAAAGGGAGGGUAAGGCAGGGAUACCUACGUUAGAGGAUCCACUUCCACUAUACUACUUUGACCAAAUGUUAGAGUAAUAAUAUAUGACAUGCAACUUACACAAAUUUUAGAGUAAUAAUAUAUGACAUGCCACUUACACAAAGCAUAUAGGGUCUAACACGUUUUUCAAGGCUAACUUUGACCAAAUGUUAGAGUAAUAAUAUAUGGCAUGCAACUUACACAAAACAUAUAGUCAAAUUCGUAUGUGAAAGGAGUUUCCAAUGAUAUAAUUUUCACAUUAUACAUCUCAUGUGCUAUUAAUCUUGUCAAUGGUCAAAUUGGAAACCAUCUCGAGUACAAAUCUAGGAGUACGUACGAAUCUAACAAUAUUGAUUGGGCGCUGUUGAAUGUUGAUACCUUUUUGAUCAAAGUAGAUAUACUUUGACUACACAUAAAACUUAUAUGUAAACUAGAAAGGAUAGGAGGGAGUAUAUUGUACGUUCAAAAAUGAAACGAACAUUGAAUACCCUUUAUAUAUGAUUUGCGGAUGCUAUGAUCACUGGUUCAAAAUUUUGAAUCCUCCUUAGGUAUCACGUGCCCCCACUCGUUCCCUCUCGAUUUCAUCUCGGGGUCUGGAGAUCUAUUGAAAGAGGACUAGGGUGGGUACAUGCGAAUGAUACUCGGCGGAAUGUUCAAAUGAGGCAUGCGGGAGGAUGGACUCGACUGGAGGGCAACAUGAUCGAUGGAGAAGAGGGUUGGAGAGGAAUGAGAAAUAAGCAAACACCACAUGAUUAUAGUUGAACGGCUCAAAUAAACAAUAAGUUGUCUCGCUUGGCCUACAUAGUGAAAGGCCUAAUGCGCAAUGCGGAGCACUGACGCUCGAAUAUGGCCGGGGAAACAGACAUGUGGGGCACACCCGUCGGGACGACGUAGCGCAGACUAGUCCAAUGGAGGAGCUAGCGCACAACCUCCUCGCCACCGACAACCGUUCAUGUGGGUCGUUGGGGCCAACAACGGGGCGCAGCUCCAGCAUCGCCUCUGGACACGGCGACCGCGGUGAGCGACACGCUCAUAUCGUCGCUAGACACGGUCGGUUUCAGUUUGCCGAGGGUGGCGUUAGUGUUGUGGCAUGACCAACGGUAUGUUUGGUUUGUGCCCAAGGUUGCCCCAUCAAAGCAUUGGGUAGCCAAAAUUUUGGUUGAGGUAUUGGUUGCCCAUGAUUUGGCUGACAUUGGCAAGAAAAAUGAACUUGAGUUGGCUAGAGUUCAUUGGCAUGCCAAAGAAAUGGCAACCAUCCAAACAAAGACCAAUCUUUUGGUCAUGACCAAAAUUUUGGUUGAGGUAUUGGUUGCCCAUGAUUCGGCCGACCUUGGCAAGAAAAAUGAACUAGAGUUGGCUAGAGUUCAUUGGCAUGCCAAAAAUGGCAACUAUCCAAACAAAGACCAAUCUUUUGGUCAUGACCAAAGUUUUGGCAAGGUGCACUUUGGCCACAAUCCGAACACACCCCAACACUCGGCUCGUCGAGGAUGCACGGGGCGCCGCGACGCGUCCGCGGAGUGGUGUAGCGCGGCCAACUGCAUCCUCUGGACCUGAGACCAUGCCGGGCCGUCUUGCUUUUUUAAUGACAUGCGGGAAUCGCAUGUGAGCAAAGGGCAUCUCCAACGUUGCCACGACCGCAGCUGACUACCCUGGCACACCAAAACCCUCGUCCCUCGCGCCAUCACACGGUGUGUUCCCAGCCGGCGCCAGCUGCCUGCAUUCAUGCCGUCCGUUCGUAUGUCGUCAUUAAGAGGCUCGGUGCCCGCGGAACCAACUCUGACAACUUAAUGACGCACCCGGACGCUUGGCCACACCGGAAUGCGCUACUUAAAGCGGCAACGCCCAGCUAACCUCCACACCAUAGCGCAUCAUCCUCCUACCUGGAACCACAUCCGCCAUGACCGCAAGCGCGAACGCUCUGCGAGAGAGCUUGUCUUCGGGGAUGGAGCUCUAGGUCGUUGCCCUCGCUCAAGUUGCCACACAAGCGGUGGCCACGCUGGCGGCCGACGAUGGGAGCACCGUCAACCACGCGUCCUACUUGCCGCCGUCCAACGUCCGGCACCACCGAGGUCGAGGACUCCUCCGAGGAUGAGUAGGGCAUGGGAGGCGGCAGGGCAUGGUGUGCCAACUAGCCGGCCCAUCUCCCGUGUUCUACUUUUCCUCACCGGAGACCGCACCUUCACUUCACGGGUCUUGAACCCCGCCCCCGUACAUGGAGAUCACAGAUGGAGGACAUCGGUCGCCGCCGUAGAAUAGGUUUAGGGUCGGGUUUCUUUUAUUUUUUUGUCCUAUAAAAGUUCGAAAUGUAAUGAAAAUCUGUCGUGUUUGCAUUAAUCCCGGCCGGUGUAUAUGAACUUUCACAAUAAUAUACAUAUUGUAGGAGUACUAGCAAGAUGCCCGUGCGUUACACGGAAGAUCAAGAUCUUGUGGGAGAAAAGGAUGAGCGAGGGGAAGCCUUAUCUGCAAAUGUGGAGAGGAGUGCGGGUAAAUUGUCAUAGUUUCCUUCCUAUCUGUUAGAUAUAGAUCGGACGGCCUAUAUUGCAGGAUCGGACACAUCUUUCUACAUCUACGGGAACCUACGAAAGGGUUAACGUAAAUUGCCUCUCUCUCUCCUCCCCUGAUUUUCAUGGUGGUGGGCCCCUCCCUCCCCCCAAUCUACAAUCAACAGCUCACACGUUUCAUAUUACGUUAAUUACGUAACUGGGAUUACGUAGGUGUAGCAUUACUCGUCCUAAAAAACCCAACUAAGCCAACCUCCCAGCAUAUCACGCGGGAAAAGACCCGGCCGCGAUGUUUUAGUCGGGAUUACCGGAUUACUAGUAGUAGUAUCGAUGGAUCGUGCAAAGCAACAUAUUUUUUUGAGGGGGCGAAGCACCUAGUUUAAAAGGAAAAAAUGCGGUACACUCACAGCACUCCUGUCGCGGUCGCAUUGCACCCCACACACGUUCGGUCCUGCACACGGCUCACGCAAACGGAACGCGCUUCGGCUUGCCUCUUCACUGACACGUGGUACUGCACUUGGAGAAACCGACCAUGCGCCAAACUCCCCCCGCCCACCGCGCAAAAAUCCUCCCCCCCCCACACCCAAAAAUUCCCCUCAAAUCCGAUUCAACCGCCCUUCGGCCAACUAGCCAAUAAUAUUCCCCAAACCCCCCUCCCCCUGUCCCCCUCCACUCCAUUCGCUCCGCCAAAACCGCCCUCCCCGCCGCCCCGAUACAUUGACGUCGCGGUUCAGUGAUCCUCUCGCUUGCACAGUACGCUCUCGUCGACUGCCAUCCUCUAGCCGCGCCGCUACCUCUGGCUAUGUUCUUGUGGAGGCGCACAGUGGUCAGCGUCGCCAUCGCUGGCGACGUUCGUGUGGAGAUGCACGGCGGUCAGCUUCUCCCACGGUACGCGCAUUCUAGACUGAGGCCCCGUUCAUGUCGGUGUAGCGUUGAAUGUUAGCUGAUAGACGCUGUUAAUCUCACUGUUUGCCGAAGUAGUUUACUGUCAAUAUGCUCUGCUUAAGAAGCUUCCUUGCCCUGUUCUGCACUCAAUCUACUUAGCUGAGAUGGCAUGCCAAGGCCGAUUAGUUGCUAAAAUAUCCUUCCAUAUAUUUAUUGUGAUGUAGAUUGCCAUGGUCUAGUAGCCAAUCUGUUAGCUGAAAUAGCUCUACACCGUUUUAUACUCGAUCUUUGUUGCUGUGAUGGCCUUCGAUAGUUCGAUGGAUGUGUACUCAGCCUCAUUGACUGCUGAAACAGCCUGCCAUAAUUUGGCACUCAAAUCUGUUUGUUGAAUUAGCUUUACAUAUAUUUCGUUACUUAGAUCUGCUCGUCCAAAUAUCUUGCCAUAGCUUGAGACAUCGACCUAGGUAUUUUUUUCUGGACUUCAUAAAAAAGCAUAUAUGGUUUUCCUGUAAUAUCUAGUAGAAGAACUAAUUUGUAUGUCUAACAGAUGGACAGGACUUGGAUAACUUCUGCUCAAAGAUUCUCCGUUGCAUAUGUCGAGGGGGUUUAAAACUUCAUGAACUUUAUCAGAGCUGAGUACGGUGGUCCGAAAUCAGAUGUGCUCUACCCGUGUAGCAGUUGUAUGAAUUCAAUUACAAGACCCUAGUCAACUGUGCAAAAUCAUCUACACUUGUAUGGGAUGUCGGUCACAUAUACUAGGUGGGUUCAUCAUGGUGAAGCUAUGAACGUCAAUGUUAUUGACUACGUGGAAGCAGCAGAUCACCAUCUUGAUCUGCCUGAUGCUCAGGUGGAAGAGGAGGAGGAGGAGGUGGUGGCACAGCCAGUGAGUUUGACCAACAUUGAAACAAUGCUACAAAAUGCUCGUGCAUUCCGUGAACUUUCACCUGCAGAAGAAAAAUGGUGGGCCCACAUGUUGGAAUAAUGCAACGUUGUUGUCACCCCAGGAAAUAAGCUGUCAGUAUUCUCAGCUAUGGUCACCUUUCUUCAGGUGAAGACAUCUGAGCAGAUGACCAACAAAUCAUUCGAUGCGAUGUUGGCUGCUUUCCGCGAAUCUUUCCCAGAUGUGUCUGAGCUGCCACACACCUACAGUAAAAUGAAGAAUUUCCUUCGUGCAGUUGGAAUUGGAUAUGAUAUGAUCCAUGUUUGUCAGAAUAAUUGUGUUCUGUUCCGGAAGGAUUAUGCCAACUUAAGUGAAUGCCCGAAAUGCAAAUUAUCAAGAUGGAAAGAUGGUGAUGCUGUGAAGAGGAUUCCUCAUAAUGUUCUGAGACAUUUUCCAAUUACACCAAGAUUGCAGAGGUUGUUUCAUGAUGCUGAAACAAGAGAGGAUGUACUGUGGCAUUCUAGGAACCAGGAGUGCAGAGAUCGGAAUGUAAUGAGCCAUCCAUCUCAUGGUAGUGAGUGGAAAGGCUUCAAUGAUAAACACAAAGAGUUUGCUGCUGACCCGAGAAACAUUAGACUUGGCUUAGCUUCAGAUGGAUUUAACCCAUUUGGCCACCAGAGCGCCACAUAUAGCAUGUGGCCAGUGUUUGUUAUCCCUUACAACAUGCCUCCAAAUGUCUGCACCAAAGAAUCAAUCUACAUGAUGGCCUUGCUCAUCCCAGGUCCAAAAAGUCCUGGAAAGGAUUUUGAUUUGUUCAUGGAGCCUCUUGUGGAGGAACUUCAACAGCUAUGGAAGGGUGUUCUCACUCGAGACCUAUAUAGCAGCCCACCAGCUGAUUUCUUUCUGUGUGCUAUUAUAAUUUGGUGCAUCCAUGAUUAUCCGGCUUUGGGCACUAUGUCAGAGUGAACGACACAUGGUUACAAUGCAUGUGUUCGCUGUGACAGGAAUUCGCUGUCAUACGCAAUACUUAGCAAGAUCAGUUACAUUGGACACCGCCGUUUCCUUGCCAAGGACAAGCCACAUCCUAGAAAAUACCGAAGACAUGUGUUCAAUGCAAAGCAUGAAAACCGUGAUGCGCCAAAGAGGCUCACCGCCGAUGAGUUGCAAGUGGAAUUAGAGAAGGUCGGGCAUAUUACACCAGGAAACCAUCCUGGUAAUGGUAGUAGGAAAAGGAAGCGUGGCAGGGUAGAAGAGAGAUUAUUGUUUACCCGUAGGUCCACUUUGUGGGACUUGGAGUAUUGGAAAGAUUUGGAUCUGCGGCAUAAUCUUGAUGUGAUGCACAUUGAGAAAAAUAUAUGUGACAGCAUUAUCGGCACACUUCUUAAUAUUGAAGGCAAGACAAAAGAUACCUUAAAAUCUAGGAUUGAUUUGACACACCUGGGUAUCAGAAAGGAUUUGCAGGUGCAAGAUGAAGGUAAACCACGGGAUAUGGCACCAGCUGUGUACGUCUUGGACAAGAUAAAAACAAAAAUAAUUAUGCGAGGUCCUGUCACGUGUGAGAUUCCCACAUGGAUUUGCUUCCAACCCUGAAAGGAGAGUCAGUGCAGAUGGAAACAAGGUACAAGGGUUGAAAACUCAUGACUGCCACGUCCUACUUCAAAGGGUUUUACCUGCUAUCCUUAGAGGAUUGGGCCACCCUGACUUAUACAGAGCAGUUGUAGAGUUGGGACAAUUCUUCAGGGAACUCUGCAGUAGGAAUAUCAAGAUAGAUGCUUUGGAGCGUCUUAGAGACAAGAUACCAACUAUCCUAUGCGACCUUGAGAAGAUAUAUCCUCCAGCCUUCUUUGAUGUGAUGGUGCAUUUGGCUGUUCAUCUACCUGAUGAGGCACUACUUAGAGAUCCAGUACAGUAUGGCUGGAUGUACCCUAUUGAGAGGCGGCUAGGCACUUCCAAGGGCUAUGUUAGGAAUAGAGCUAGACCCCAGGGUUCCAUUGCAGAGGCCUACAUUGCUACAGAAGCGUUGACAUUCUGCUCAAAAUACAUUGAAAUAGCUGAUCAGCUUAGCAAAGAGGUGGGUCAAGACACUCCCGGGCUCAAUGUUUUCGAUUAUUCUGUUCGAGUUACAGGGAAGAGUCGACAAGAGGACAAACCUAAAGAUUUGGACAAAAUGGUUUGGUAUGUUUUGAAUAACUGUCCUGAGAUACUACCUUAUAUCAAGUAAGUGCAGUACUGCAGCUUAUACAUCGUAAUCUACAAAACUUGCAGCACAUUCUUAUAUAUUUAGAUGUUUGCUGUGAUCACUAUGUUGUGCGGCAUCUACAAAGAGGAGUUACUGCCGCAAAAUCCAAGAAACACUAACAAAUUGGUUAUGGCAGGAUUUGCGAAAUGGUUCAAGAACCAUGUAAGCUUUUGAAGUGCACUAUUAGUUUUUUUAAUAUAUUGAGUACAUAAGAUGAUCAGCUUGUCUAUUUUCUAACCAUAGGUUAAGAAGAUGCGGGAGGAUGGGCAGGCAGUUGAUGAUGCCAUUUACUCACUAGCAAUGGGUCCUGAUACUCGGGUAAGACAUUAUGAAUCUUGCGUUGUUGGAGAUGUGCGCUACAACACCCUUGCACGAGACGAAGGCAAGAAGACACAAAAAAGUGCCAUCAUGAGCACGGAUACGUAUGACAAAGAUACAACUGAAAUGUAUGGUAACAUAACAGACAUUAUUUAGUUGCAGUAUAUCUCCAGUUUCGAGGAUCAUCGGUGUGUGGUUCUAUUGUGCUGUCGUUGGUAUAACCUGUUUUCCAGGAUCGCAAAACCCAGAGUUGAUGAUUAUUUCAAAUCCAUCAAUGUCAAGGCAGCGUACCAGACCAACGAGCCUUUUAUUUUGGCAAAUCAAGCAACACAGAUAUUUUUCUUGCAAGACACAUUUGCACGUAGCGAUGACUGGAGAGUAUUGCAAAGGUUUGAGCAGAGGAAUUCGUUUAAUGAAGUUGCACAACAAGAUGAUGCUUACACUGCUCCUGAUGUACAAGAUAACACAGAUGUUCCUAAUAUCUUUGAGAACCAUCACGUCAAUGAUGCCGGCGAAAAGAUUGCCUGUCGUGCUGUGGACAUACAAGAGUUGAUCAAGAAGAAGCCAACGUUCGAGGAUGUUGAGGACGAAGAAGAAGAUGACACCGUGGGGAAUUGCGAUUCAGACUGAUACACAUGGCGAAUAUGUUGACGCUGCUGCUGCGGAUGAUGAUUACAUUGCUUUUGUCGUAUUUGCCUAUCAGAAGAUGUUUUUUUAUCUACUAUGUGAAAUUGUGUUUGCUAUGACAACUGAAACCUGAUGAACAUGUUGUUUAGUAUUUUGCUGUGAGAACAUCACUUGUUAUGUAUGCUGAUUUGUGUUUGGUGAUUGUAUGACAACUAAAACAUGAUGACAUUGUUGUUUAGUUGUACUCAUAUUUGGCUGUGAAACUUGAAUUUGAUGACGUAGUUUGCUGUUGGACUGCAAUUUGCUCGAUGUCUUCGAAUGAGAACAAAGCUGACCCGACAGGGCCUCUGCUAUUUAUUUAUUUAUAUGAGCAAAAGGGGAUACCCCCUGAUUUCCGUUAAUAGAAAUCAUUAGAUGUUCACAACACUAUGCCCAGCCUGCUACACAGGUUUCAUUCAUUACUAGUUUCAGCAAAGUGCUCAUGUUGUAGCCACUGAAUACAUCACGAGUGCUACAUACACUGCAAAUAAAGAGACAAUCAUCCUACAGAGCACAUCAAUUUUGCCCAUUAUCUUCACAAGCUCUUUCAUCUCCUCAUUGCUGUCAAGGCCGUUUAGCAGCUGUUGCUUGGCCAUGAUCAGAGGAACUGCAUCUUUAACCUUCUGCUCUGCAUCUUCCUCUUCUGUUGUUCCUUCAAUUACUUGUCCAACACCCCAACCUGCUGGUAUUGGGAUUCCUCGGCUAACCAAAUAAUCAGCGUAGUUGCAUUCCCCCACAUCAGCAACUUCCCAGAAAUACAAAUCACACGAAUCUUCCCUUUCUGCACGAAUCAAAUUGGUAGAUCAUCAACCAAACUAUUAAAAAAAUCAGCAACUGAAAGCAGCAGAAUAACACUUAAACAUAUUAUUACCCCAUGAUUCGGGCAUUUGUAGAAGACUCGGCCAGGGUUGCAGAUUGUGGUUGAGAUGCGACGGAUGACUCUGCGUGAUUUGCAGCAGUGGCACCACACCAACGGCAGCGGGUUGCGAUGAGCAAUCGGCUACGGUGCGCGUGCCGGAGAGGGUGUGAUGAGACCCAUAGGCGAUGGUACGGGUUGCAACUUGGCGCAUAUCUGGUUGUUGCCUGCUGAAGAGCAGGUGGACGAGCAGCCAGCGGACAUGGUUGCUGUCGUGGUUUUGUCACGACAGAUGUCCUAGAGAAAGGACUUAGUUGUGGAGCCAUCGCGACGGGUUAGCUUGAAGGGGUUAAAGCGAACACAAGGACGCAAGAGAGUUUAUACUAGUUCGGCCCCUUUGAUGACGGUAAAAGCCUACGUCUAGUUGUGAUGGAAUUGAUGGGGUUUCGAUGACUAGGGAGCAAACAAGCUUCGCCUAUGUCUCGAGCUGUUGUCUGUUAUCCUUGAACCGCCGUCGGGUCGUCCCCUUAUAUACACGGGUGACUCCCGUCGGCUUACGGAGUCCCAAUACCGGCUCAUAGAUGUGUCCGAUUUGGUCUCUACUUAUUCCUAACUUACAAUAUAGGUUAACUACUAACACCGGUUUACAGCUACAGGCCUUGAACCGACCAUGGGCCUUGAGCCCUCCUCUGUCUUCUUGGGCUUUAACAUACUUAACUACUGACGAGGUUAAUCCAGCCCAGAUAGGCCGGUUUACGCCCAGUAGUAAUAUCCCCAACAUUAGGCCCCAGAUUGAUUUGAACGGGUUCAUGUCAAUCCUUUUAUAAAAACUUCACCUUCAACAUCUUCUUAUAAAUUGGUAAACCGCCAUGAUGUCAUCUUCUCUGAUUGCUGUAAGCCGGAGUGAUGACACCUGUCAUAACGAAGCUAUCCAUUAUGUUUCUUUGUUUAAUAGAUCAGCGGAAAUCGAGGCGACAGCUCUGUUUUGUGGCCCCUUGAUUGUCGCGCCUGACUUAUGUUCUUUCGCCUUAUAAAUAGGACCGAAGGGUCAUUCCUUUUCUCCUUCCGUGCCUUCUUCGUCUUCCUCGCGUCGCCAGCCUCGGAGCUCCGCCGCCGCCGUCGACCUCUGCCUCAUCCUUGGUCGCUGCAUCAACCUGAGCGCACCAGAACACCGCGGCAACCUUCCGCAUCUUCCUCAGCUCCAGUAAAUCUUCUAUCCUUUCCCCCGCAGAUCUGGCCUAGGGUUUCAUAGUUAUUUAGUGUUCAUCGUCUGCCUCUUGCUCAUACGAUAGAUCUUUGGAUGGAUCUGUAAGUCUUUACUCUAUGCAAUGAUAGUUGUUUGACAUUUCUCCUUCACUUAUGCAUCUCAAACCAUAGAUCUAUAUGAACGUUUUGCUCAUUGGUUCGGUACUGCUCCCUUGAACCUCUAAGUAUUUAUCUUUUUUCUGAACUUGCUUCAGAUCCAAUGCUGUAAAGAACUCUUGUGAAACCUGUUUCUGCGUACCUGUCCAUCCGCAAUCUCAGUUUUUUAAUGCUUAGAUCCGGCGGUUUAACCUUAUAGAAAAUUUUCCAAACCGGUAUAUGCCAUUAGUCCCCUUGUUGAACCGCCAGAUGUUGGUUGCUUCAUGAAAGUCCGGUUCAGAUAGUUCUGUCUCCGGUUUACCAGUGCAUAUACCAACGUACCUUGAUCAAAUGCAUUUUUAAACUGGGAUCUUCUACCUUGUAGAUUCCAUCAUGGCCAAGCAAGUAUACGAGUGCAAUUGGGUUCCUUCUCGCGUCACAGAGGAUCAACUGGACGAUUUAGUCCUGAUUGGCGCUUUGGGCAGCAAAGAUACCAUCCAUUGGAGGGCUCCUCGCAAAGAAUGCCCUCCCACACCUCGAGAAGGAGAGGUUGUUGUUUUCGUUGAUCACUUAGCCCGGGGCUUUAAACCGCCCGGUUCUAAAUUUUACCGGGAUGUCUUAGCCGAUUUCCAACUCCAUCCGCAAGACACUGGCCCCAACUCUGUUACAAAUAUGUGUCACUUCCAAGUGCUCUAUGAGGUGUUCUUUCAAGAGGAGCCCACAGUGGAAUUGUUCAAAGACCUUUUCCAUCUAAACCGCAGUACCGAGUUUACUGAUGGCUCUAAUACAGAGUUGGGUGGCGUGGAGAUUCAGAAAAGGAAAGAGGUCGCAUACCCUCACGCCAAGAUGCACAGUCACCCCAAGGAGUGGAAUCAGACAUGGUUCUACUGCAAAGACACCUCCCCUACUGGUGAGAAUCCCUUGCCUGGCUUUCGUCCGGAGCGGCUCAGCAAUACACACCCUUUUCCUUAGAGAUUGACUGCCCAGGAGAGAAGCAAAUAUGCUCCCCAACUGUCAAAGCUCAGAGCCUUUAUGGCCAAUGGCUUAACAGGGGUUGAUCUCGCUCGCUGUUGGAUAUCAUGGAGCAUACUGCCCCUUAGUCGGCGCUCCGGUUUGAUGUGCGAGUAUACUGACGGUGUGGAUGACCCACUGCGUCAUUCCAAAAUCCAGCUCUCUGAUGAAGAAAUCACAGAGGCUGUGAAUAAGAUGCUCAAUGAACCGGAACACGUCUGCGCUAGAACCGGCCUGCUUCCCUUCUGCGCCACCAACAAACCGCCAGCUGUAAGACUUUAAUUUUUCUCUUUGCUGAAUCUGUUAUUGAUAUGUCUGGUCAUUGUUUAAUAUCAGUGUAUGCGUAAUCAGGGCAAUGAUCCGUUUUGGAGCAAAAAACUGCCGCAGGAGAAACCAGAAAAACCAGACAAACCGGAAAGAGCAACUCGGCAAAAGACUAAAGCUGUGAAGAAGACUGCCCACAGGAAAAGAACCACUGCAUCUUCUAAUCCGGCCCCUGAUGGUGAUGUGGAUAAUCCGGACUUUGAGGUAGACCUUGACUCACUUGGUUUAUUUUUCGUGCGUCUUAUUGAUGAUGAUAUUUGUCAGGAUGAUGCUGAAGCCAGCCACGCGGAUGUUGCAGAGGUAAUUAUUCUCUCUUCCGAUUCAGAAACUUUGCCUUCACAAAAAAUCCGCCAGGCAAACCGGAAAGUUAAAUUUUCUCAUCCUCUUACUUAUUUGGAUCCUAAAUUUCUUAUGAAGACCCAACAACACGAAGCUCGUCACACAACCCGGCACAGCAGCCAGGUAGUUACCUCCGCCGGUUUACCGAAUAGUCCGGUUCGGAAACGCCAUUCAGAGGUCUCUAAUUUGCUUGUCAGUGCUUGUCCUAAAGCGGGCUGCUUUAGUCAACAUCUUAAUCCGUCUGACUCCGAUUACCAGGUUACUUCCCACUCAUCUUCUGGCGAGUCAUCGGCUACUCAGCUCCCACCGCUUAAAACAGUGAUUGGGUAAGCUAUAUUUCUUGUGAUGUUUGAAGUACAUCGCCUUAGAACAUAUGCUAUAUUUGAUUUUAUUAUUCUUCUUAGGGCCAAACCUAGGCCAAGCAAGAAGGCCCGUCUGGACAAAACGGCUGAAGAAGAUGUCGUUCUUGAAGCGGGCAAGACACCCAAUGUUGAAGCGGCUAUUCCUGAGGAUAUUCCCAACGAUCCACCGCAGCAAGAUGAUGAUCCUAUUGCUGAAGAGAGACCUACUGAUACCUCAAGUCCUGUCAAUCAGCCCACAGGUUCCAUCCGGAUUGAAAGCUCCACCGGUCCAGCAAAACCUACUAACAAGCCAAUGGCUCCAGUGCAACCCGGCGGUACCAAGGAUGAUGAGGUUGUCAUUACUGGCAGUGGCCAUACUGAGCCAAGCAAUCAUGUCGCUUUAUCCAAACAUUCUGCCGAGGAGGAAGUUGCUGCCUUUGGCAAAGGCAGGUGGGACGCUGAUCUGACGACUUACGCUGCUCUGAACGCCCAAGAUAUCCAUUCUGGCUAUCUGAACCGGCUGUAUAUCAGUCGCGACUAUGAAGCCGGUCUGGUUAAUAUGAUGAAAGAUAAAUAUGAGGUAACUUCCAUAUGCUCCUUCCUGCUUGUAUGCUUCCAUUCUUGCUGACUCUCCUAGCCCCCAAGGGACGGUUUGCAAUAUUCUUUCAAACUGGGACUUUAUAAAUCUUGAUGCCUUGAAAUUCGCUGAUGUAGCCCCCAAGGGCCGGUUCAACUUAGCGUAGUUAAAUUGGUACUUGAAGUAAUUGAAACUGCCACAUCAGAAUAUAUAUGAGCAAAUAGCCAUUAGCCCCCAAGUGCCAAGUUGAAUACUUGUAUUGAUCUUGGGACUUUGUAAACAUUUGAAAGAUGAAGAUCGAAUAUGCAUUAGCCCCCAAGUACUAAGUGCAUAACUUGUUAUGUGAUUGGUACUUGAAUCCUUAUACCGAUUUGUUGAAGCAUAUACCUGUAUGCAUGCAGGCGGAGCUAAAGACGAAAGAAAACCAAGUCACCGAUCUCCAAGAAAACCUAAAAACCCAACAGGCCGAAACCUCCAAAGCAAAAGAGGAAUAGGCCAGCGCUUUAAGCGCCAUGGAACAGCUUAAGGAGAGCUUCAAGAAGAAGCGGGCGGAUUGGGCCACUGAAAAGUCCGCUUUGAUCAAAUGAGCAGAGGAUGCCGAGGCUGCACUUAAACCAGUAGCGGAUGAACUGACCAGCAUAAAGCGGCACGUGCAUGCCAUGACUACUGCUAUCUUUGGUAAGCCAGCUUGCCUUCUGAAUUGGCUCUGCCUUCUUACAGAGUCGCCGGUUUAUUAACCCUUUAUGGUAUUUCAGGGACACGCAUUGGUCACUUGGGGUCAGAUGUGCGGAAGAAAUUGAAAGCCGCCUAUACAUUGGUUGAACAAUUGUAUACCGGUGCCCAGCGGAUCAUCUGUACCGCAUCUCAUAACAAACCGGCGCCCACUUUGAUUCAAGAUACUCUGAUGAAACUGUCGGUGCUUCCUGCCCGGGUUGAAGAGCUGAAGAAAUCUGCUGCUCGAACCGGUGCAAUCAAUGCCUUAAUCCGAGCAAAAGCCUGGGUGCCGGAUUUUGAUCCUAUUGAAGCAGCUCAGGGCUAUCCCAGCUUGAAGGAAGACGGGUCAGAAUUUGGUGAAGCGGAUCUGCGAGCAAUAAACUGGGAGGUACGUCCGCUAGCCUGUCAACUCGCUGAAGAAGCAGACUUGUCUGAUUAUCAAGCCCAAUAUGACAGUCAGAACAAGCAAUAGCCGCACUAAUCCAUGGAUCGGAAAAUUUGAUCCCUCCAAUCCGUAAGCAUACUUACGCUCCCGAUAUUGACCCGUCAUAGCUGAUCCAUGAUGAAGCUGUUUUUCAAGCACUAAUGGGAAUCGACUGGACAACUGCGGAUUUCCAGCCACUGGGUAGAGAAACGGAGGCUGAAGCAGCGCAGGAUGACCCACAACCAUCAGGCUGGGCUGGUGACCAAGCUUGAAUCGGAAGCCGGUUUAAAAACUGCCUCUCCUUUGCGAAAAACAAUUAUAUUAUUAUGGGCACCAUGUUGCCUUGUAAUAGGGUAGCUGAUACUUUUGAUGUUGAUAUGCCUUCAUGCAUAAUUUGUUCUUCCUGUGGUGAUGAACUUUCCAAAGCACCUUCUGCAAUAAAAAACUCUUCAUGUGCCACAGCGGUUGUACCGUCCCGCGGAAUAUGAUGUCUGCAUCUAUGAAGUCAAAACAUCCAAAAAAAAUUCUUAAGUAUAUGACCAAAUGUUUGUGAUACAUAAUACCUGUCCUUGUUGAACAUGAAGUUGGCUUGGCCAAUCUUGAAGCGGAGUUUUGCAAACCCACACUGUUGGAGGAGAUAACAGCUCCUGUACAUAUAUGACGCUGGUUUACCAGGUAAACCAUGCCGGGUUAUAAUAAACACCGUGUUACUCCAUAAGAGGAUGUUAACAACAAGGAUCAAACCGGGCAAAUAGUCUCCGGAUUGACGUGAACUGUGUUCCGUCAAUUGAUUGGUUAAAACACUUUGUCGGUUUAAAAAACGCAAUAAAAAACAAAAAAAACCUUCAAAGAAAAGUGUAAAUCAAGUGCAAUGACAAAACCGUUGCAAAAAAAGGUUUUAUUUGAGCUGACCAGAUGGUGUUACCAUGGCCGAACAUGACCAAGCUCCCGUUAGGUGUAACUAUGGUUCUAGUCAGCCAGGUCCCCAAAUGAAACUGUGGCAUUUAUGCCGAUCAAGUGGCAUGGUCAUGGUUCGGGUUUGACCAAGCCCCCAAGUGAUUUUGUGGCCUUAGGCCGAUCAAGAGGCAUGACUGGUUCAGACAUGACCAAGUCCCCAAGUGAUCUGGUGGCUCUCGCCUAUCAAGAGGCAUGGUAUUGGUUCGGACACGACCAAACCCCCAAGUGAUAUGAUGCUUUUAAAAAGCGAACUCAAGGGGUAAACCGGAGGCCGCUUUAGAGCAACUCCGUGUAACCUCACAUGAUAUAAAAGAACAGAUACCCCGCUUUAGCUGAGGUUCCGGUUUAUUAUAUUUAAUCAUACUAUAUACAUUGUCAUAAUAUGUACACAAGUAUAGCCAAUGGCUCAGGUGUAGUAAGGCCCAAGAUGAGCUAUGUUCCAUGGCCUGUUGGUCUCCUCCUCUGAUGUGCGCGAGUCUUUAUGCUCUCGAAUAUCGAUCAGAUAGUACGACCCGUUGUGCAGAUUCUUGCUGACCAUGAAAGGCCCCUCCCAAGGUGGGGAUAGCUUAUGCAUAUCAGUCUGAUCUUGGAUGAGCCGAAGCACCAAAUCUCCUUCCUGAAAGGUUCUGGUUCUGACUCGGCGACUAUGAUAACGACGAAGAUCCUGCUGGUAAAUCGCCGAUCGGGUGGCUGCGAUGUCACGCUCUUCAUCCAACCGGUCCAAAGCAUCUUGCCGUGUUGUCUCGUUGUCCGCUUCAAUGUAAGCCGUCACACGAGGUGAAUCAUGACAGAUAUCACUGGGGAGAACCGCCUCUGCUCCAUAAACCAUGAAGAACGGUGUAUAUCCUGUUGAUCUGUUGGGUGUUGUAUUGAUGCUCCAUAACACAGAUGGUAAUUCUUCUACCCAACAACCCGGCGUUCUCUGCAAAGGAACCAUGAGCCGGAGCUUGAUGCCUCUCAAGAUCUCUUGAUUAGCUCUUUCUGCUUGACCAUUGGACUGUGGAUGUGCCACUGAUGAAAUGUCGAGCCGGAUGUGCUCCCGUUCGUAGAACUCCUUCAUAGCACCUUUGGACAAAUUGGUACCAUUAUCCGUGAUAAUACUAUGCGGAAAGCCAAACUGGAAAAUUACCUUUUUGAUGAACUGAACCGCCGUGGCCGCAUCACACUUGCUAACAGGUUCUGCCUCCACCCACUUUGUAAACUUGUCAACCGCCACCAGGAGGUGGGUCUUCUUAUCUUUGGAUCUUUUGAAAGGCCCAACCAUAUCCAGCCCCCAAGUCGCAAACGGCCAAGUAAUUGGAAUCAUUCUCAAUUCUUGAGCCGGUACAUGAGCACGUCUUGAAAACCUUUGGCAACCAUCACAUCGUCUGACCAGAUCAUACGCAUCAGCAUGAGCAGUUAACCAAUAGAAGCCAUGGCGAAACGCUUUAGCCACCAGAGACUUUGAACCGGCAUGGUGACCGCAAUCUCCUUCGUGGAUCUCACGAAAAUUUCACGGCCUUCUUCAGGAGACACGCAGCGUUGAAAAGCUCCUGAUACACUGCAAUGAUGCAACUCGCCGUUGAUGAUAGCCAUGGACUUGGAUCGCCGAAUUAUUUGUCGGGCCAGAAUCUCAUCCUCUGGCAACUCGCCCCAGUUCUUGUAGCCAGAUAAGGAAGCGUCCAAUCCAGAAUAACAUGAAGAGCGGCCACCAAUUGAGCCUCCGGAUCAGGAAUAGCCAAAUCCUCUUCACCAGGGAUCUUGACCGACGGGUUGUGCAGCACAUCCAGAAAAACAUUGGGCGGGACCGGUUUGCGCUGAGAGCCCAGCCGGCUUAAAGCGUCCGCCGCUUCAUUUUUCCGCCGGUCAACGUGGUCCACCUGAUAGCCUUUGAAAGAACCUGCAACAGUAUCCACCUCCCGACGAUAUGCUGCCAUGAGUGCAUCCUUGGAGUCCCAAGUGCGAGACACUUGCUGAGCCACAAGGUCCGAAUCAUCGAAGCACUUAACUCGACUUAGAUUCAUCUCCUUAGCCAUCCGGAGACCAUGGAGUAAGGCUUCAUACUCGGCUGCAUUGUUAGUACAAGGGAACAUUAAGCGGAGAACAUAACAAAACUUAUCACCUCGUGGGGAAGUUAAUACGACUCCAGCCCCCGAGCCUUCCAACUGCCUGGAUCCGUCAAAAUGGAUGGUCCAAUACGUGUGAUCCGGCUUUUCUUCAGGUGCUUGCAUUUCCGUCCAAUCAUUGAUGAAAUCAACAAGUGCUUGAGACUUAACCGCUGUCCGAGGCACAUACUUCAAACCGUAUGGCCCCAGCUCUAUGGCCCACUUUGCAAUCCGGCCAGUUGCUUCCCGGUUCUGGAUGAUAUCUCCCAAAGGAGCAGAACUGACCACCGUAAUUGGGUGCCCUUGGAAAUAUUGUUUAAGCUUCCGGCUUGCCAUAAAAACUCCAUACACCAGCUUCUGCCAAUGCGGAUACCUUUGCUUGGACUCGAUUAGCACCUCGCUGAUAUAAUAGACCGGUCGUUGAACCGGAUGCUCCUUGCCUGUCUCCUUUCGCUCCACCACAAUAGCCACGCUAACCACCCGAGCAUUGGCAGCAACAUAUAGCAGCAACGGCUCCUUGUCAAUGGGAGCGGCGAGCACCGGCGGAUUGGCCAAUUGUCGUUUUAAGUCCUCAAAUGCUUCAUCAGCAGCAGAACUCCAGACAAACUGAUCCGUCUUCUUCAACAUCUGAUACAAAGGGAUUGCCUUCUCACCGAGGCGACUGAUAAACUGGCUUAACGCAGCAAUCCGGCCUGCCAGGCGCUGAACAUCAUUGAUGCACUUUGGUUUAGCGAGGGAGGUGAUGGCUGUGAUCUUCUCCGGAUUAGCCUCAAUUCCCCUAUUGGACACCAAGAAGCCUAAUAACUUGCCCGCCGGUACACCAAAGACACACUUGUCCGGAUUAAGCAUCAUCUUGUAUGUUCUCAGGUUACCAAAGGUUUCCUUCAAAUCAUCAAUCAGAGUCUCCUUCUCCCUGGACUUAACCACGAUAUCAUCCACAUAAGCAUGUACAUUACGGCCAAUCUGCUUGUGAAGACAAUUUUGUACACACCGUUGGUAAGUUGCUUGAGCACUCUUGAGCCCGAAGGGCAUAGACACAUAACAGAAGGCUCCAAAGGGAGUUAUAAAUGUCGUCUUCCCCUGGUCCUUAACUGCCAUUUUGAUCUGAUGAUAGCCAGAAUACGCAUCCAAAAAACUUAAACGCUCACAACCCGCCGUAGCAUCAAUAAUUUGAUCAAUACAGGGAAGGGCAAAAGGGUCUGCUGGACAAGCCUUAUUAAGAUCUGUGUAAUCCACACACAUGCGCCAGGUGCCAUUUUUCUUGAGGACCAGCACCGGAUUGGCAAGCCACUCAGGGUGAAAAACUUCAACAAUAAAGCCAGCUGCUAAGAGCCUGGCUACCUCUUCUCCAAUUGCCUUGCGUCUUUCUUCGUUAAACCAGUGGAGGAACUGUUUCACCGGUUUAUAUUUAGGAUCCACAUUAAGUGUGUGCUCAGCGAGUUGCCUCGGUACACCUGGCAUGUCAGAGGGCUUCCAUGCAAAAAUGUCCCGAUUCUCACGGAUGAACUCGAUGAGCGCGCUUUCCUAUUUCGGAUCCAAGUUGGCACUGAUGCUGAACUGUUUGGACGAAUCACCAGGUACGAAGUCAACAAGCUCUAGUUUCUGCUGCCGAUUUGAAUUUCAGGGCCGGAUCAUGCUCCGUAGUUGGCUUCUUCAACGGAGUCAUGUCCGCCGGAUCAACAUUGUCUUUAUAGUACUUCAACUCCUCGGUGGCACAAACCGGCUCUGCAUAAGCCGCAUCUCCUUCCUCGCAUUCCAAAGCAAUUUUGCGGCUUCCAUGAACCGUUAUUGUCCCCUUGUGACCCGGCAUCUUGAGCUGCAAAUACACAUAACAGGGCCGAGCCAUAAACUUGGCGUAGGCCGGUCGCCCAAAUAGGGCAUGAUAUGGACUUUGGAUUUUCACCUCUUCAAAUGUCAAUGUCUCCGACCUGGAAUCAUGAUCAUCCCCAAAGGCCACUUCCAGAGCUAUCUUACCAACGGGAUAUGCUGAUCUGCCAGGCACUACACCGUGGAAUAGUGUAUUAGACGGUUUGAGAUUCUUAUCUGCUAGUCCCAUACGACGGAAGGUCUCAUAGUACAGGAUGUUAAUGUUGCUCCCUCCAUCCAUGAGCACCUUGGUGAACUUGUAACCUCCCACCUGAGGCGCCACCACCAAAGCCAACUGACCCGGAUUAUCGACCUGGGGAGGGUGAUCUUCUCUGCUCCAUAUGAUUGGUUGUUCAGACCAACGUAGAUAAUGGGGUAUGGCCGGUUCAACAGAGUUGACCGCCCGCCUCUGAACUUUCCGGUCUCGCUUGUCCAAGCUAGUGGUGAAGACAUGGUACUGCCCAUUACUCAACUGCUUUGGGUUGCUCUGGUAACCUGACUGUUGCUGCUGUUGGUUGUAACCACCCUGGUUGUUCUGACUAUUUUGACCAUUAUGUCCGCCCGGAUUACCAUUGAAUCCUGAACCGGAACUUCCUCCACCGUAACCCGGCCCGGAUCCUGAGCCACCGCUAGAUUCGUGAUCAUACCGGAAAUUAUUAGAAUUCUUGAACUCCUGCAUAAUAAAGCAAUCCUUCCAAAGGUGGUUUGCUGGCGCCUCCUUCGUCCCAUGUCUUGGACAGGGCUGGCUUAGCAGAUAGUUUAGGCGGUUUGGGUUAGGGUUGGGCGCUCCAUUACGAUUUUUCGGUCUACCCUUGCGUCGCUGGCCAUUGUCCUGUGCGUUGGUAUUAGUCACAAAGUCCACGUUACCAUCCGCUUUGCGCUUUCCUCCACCACCAUUGUCUGCGCAGUGAUGCUGCUGACCUUUGGAGCUGUUGUUCUUCUUCCCUUUCCCUGUCUUGUCAUCAUCAGAUUCGGGAUCCUUGGUACUAUCAGAAUCAGCAUAUUUCACCAAAGCGGCCAUGAGGGUCCCCAUGUUGGUGCAAUGACGCUUCAUCCGUCCCAACUUCAGCUUCAGGGGCCCAAACUGGCAGUUGCCUUCUAGGGUUAAUACUGUGGUGUCAGUGUUGAUGCGGUCUGAGGAGUGCAACACUUGUGAAACCCGGCGCACCCAAUGAGUCAUUGAUUCUCCUUCCUCCUGGAAGCAUGCCGCUAAGUCCACUAUCAACAUGGGCUGUUUACAGGUAUCCUUGAAAUUGCUGAUAAACCGGGCUCGUAAUUGGGCCCAUGAACUGAUAGAAUUAGCCGGCAAGCUUUUUAACCAAGUACGGGCCGUUCCUUCAAGCAUCAUGGUGAAGUACUUCGCACACGCCGCGUCAUCCACAUCAAGCAUCUCCAUGGCCAUCUCAUAGCUCUCCACCCAUGUCUCUGGAGGUUGAUCCGCCGUGUAAUUCGGUACCUUGCGUAAAGCGGGGAUAAGGCAAGGCACCCCCAAAGAACUAGAAGUAACACCGGGUUCAGUCAAGGUGGUCGGACGAACCGGCGUGAGCUGCCGAACCUGAUGCUGUGUGGCUAACUCGGCCUCCCUGCGCGCGCGGGCCCGGUCCACCACUUCCUGAGUGUUAUCAGCACCACCCGCCGAGUUGUUGUCACGGGGUGCCCCAUGUCAUUCAUUACUCGACACUGCUGAUUCAUCCAUAUGUCUGCUAUAGCUCCGGCUUGGACGGGGGGUCGAGUGGAUCCGGUCGCGGCUGUACGAGUAUGCUUCCUGUUGGGCCAAAGCUGUCCUCAGAAGUUCCUUGACCCGUCGCGUCUCUACUGCCUGUGGCGAGUCACCUUCAAUUGGAAUGGCCUCUAGCCGUGCAGCAGCGGCAACAAGAUUGUCCAUUGGGUUGGAGUAGUGACCCGGAGGUGUUAAAGCAGCCUGAGGUAUAAUGGUGUUUUGACGAGGCGGGUCCAUCUGACGAGGCUGAACCGGUGCACCGGUCCCAGGGGCUUCUGCCCGGUUUCCCUCCGGUGGAUUGCCGGCUCUUGGUCCUAGAGUGUUGAAAAGGUCUCUGGCCUCGAAAACCGAGGGUAAGCGGGAUCGGUGCUUCCUCCUCAUGACUUCAUGUGACGCGCUCUGGUCCAACAUAAGCCUGUAGGCCUGUGCGUAUAAACGGCCCGCUCUGCGGCCAUCCUGAUGUCCUCAACCACCAGAUCCGCCUUGGCCUGGGUGAUCUGUUCCUUUACCUUUGCAAUCUCCGCGUUGUGAACGUCCUGAUCCGGCGGAUUAACUUCCGCCAUAAGCAUAGCCAAUGCAUCAAAUAGUUCUGAUAGAACCUGAGCCGGCGGGCGCACAGGGCCUCCUGCCCCAGCAGCCGUCGCCGCUGCUGAACCGGAGAUCGUUGCCGCAGCUGUCGAAGAAUGAAGUGUUGCUUGUAUUCCGGCCAUGAACAUUCCAACCCGGUUGGGCAAAUCAGAGGGGUCCGGAAUACUGUCGCCAUCGGAACAGCUCCCAAUCCGGCCAUCUUGUAGCUGAUAAAGAGAUUCGGUUUCUCCGGUCGAAGAUUCGUCACCGGAACAAACGACGGUCGCGACGUGAAAUUCCAAUCCGUCCUCAUAACUCCCUCCAUGGAUGACACCCACGAAGGCACGCUUCAUGGCCGGUUUAACCCGGGCAGAUCGCGCACGCUGAGCCGUCUCGACGAGGUCAGUGCAGAUGUCCGGCUCAGGGCCCGGUUCGCCGAUCUUGCCAAUGAAAACGUGAAUGCUACCAAAGGGGACCCGGUACCCGUACUCAAUUGAGCCGGCCUCGGGGCCCCAGCCUGCAUCGUCGAUGUAGAGCUUGCCGCGACGACUCUUAGUCAUCUGGCCUACAGCGUAGCCCUCGAGUCCUUUAAAGUGGCCCUCCAAGAACUGGAAACCAUCGUGCGAUGGCCCCACGAUGGGCUCCACCUGUCGUGGUUUUGUCACGGUAGAUGUCCUAGAGAAAGGACUUAGUCAUGGAGCCAUCGCGACGGGUUAGCUUGAAGGGGUUAAAGCGAACACAAGGACGCAAGAGAGUUUAUACUAGUUCGGCCCCUUUGAUGAAGGUAAAAGCCUACGUCUAGUUGUGAUGGAAUUGAUGGGCUUUCGAUGACUAGGGAGCAAACAAGCUUCGCCUAUGUCUCGAGAUGUUGUUUGUUGUCCUUGAACCCAAGACCUCUCAGUUGAAAACCAAGGGUGCUAGUCACUUAUGUGGCGAACGUUCCCUGUGAGGAGGACGACAGAUGAACACAUUUUCCUCGCAGUUUUCUUCCUAUAUAUAAAAAAGUACUCCCUCUGUUCCACAAUGUAGUGCAUAUAGAUUUUUCUAAAAGUCAAACUUUAUAAACUUUGACCAAGUUUGUAGAGAAAAUCAUAUACAUCUAGAAUACCAAACACAUGUGCUUAGAUACAUCACAAGACAUACUUUCAUAUUAUGUACAUUUGGUAUUGUAGAUAUAAAUAGUUUUCUCUAUAAACUUGGUCAAACUUUAUAAAGUUUGACUUUGCAGAAAAUCUAUAUGCGCUACAUUAUGGAACGGAGGGAGUAUGCUACUUGGUGUCCGCUUAGUCAACAAACGAUUGUGCCAACCUUGACCGUUGGAUUGACAUUCAACGUCUGUCGCGUUUCUUCAGUCUCUUCUUCCUCGAGCCGCCAAAGCCAAACCAGCGCCGGCGGGACCGCCUGCUCCCGCCUCCCAUGGCUGGCUGUGAUCUACCCCGGCUCCUGUUCGUUCCCGUCCAAGGCCUCACCAUCGUCCUCCACCUUGGUUCGCUCGUCGCGGCGCCGCCCUCCGGUGUUGUCAACAUGGUCAACAACCGAGAGGAAUAAGGAGAUGAUUGUACAUGGUGAGGACGACAGUAGGGACCCAGCAGCGCGCGCAGUAAUUUUGUUUUUCAGGACGGAGAAGGGUAUCAACUGGGUUGUGCGGGACCCGUGGCCCGUGUAGCCCAGGCUUUUAUUUCAUAUGUUUAGCACAUGACUAGCCCAGUUUGUUUUUUUCCUUUCGGAAAAUUGCUAGCCAGCUAUUUUAUUUUUUGCAGAAUAACCAACGUAGGCCUACUUGCUUUUCUAUGCCUUGCUGGGCCGGAAAUCUUUCAAGACGAGGAGGGAUGCAUUUUGCCCAGAAAAUGGGCUAUAAGUAAUAAGAAAUGGGCUAUAAGUAAUAAUAAAUGGGCUGUAAAAUGAAAAAAUACAGCAAACAGACAAUUAAUUCCAAAAUACUGUUUUCUUUCAGAUUUUGAUAUUUUAAAUUUCAUUGUUUUUGUGCGGGUAAAAUUUCAUUGAAUUUAAAUUAAGGUAUAUUUAGAUUUAAAAUUAAUUUGAAUCUGGCUAGAAAUUUCGGGUUGUAUGCUGUUUGGGACAGAUUUGGAGGCUGACUUGUGGGUCCACUAGGUUGACGUGUACUUUGGCUUUGUCAACUUAGUCCACAAACGAUUCUAGCAGCAGUGACCGUUGGAUGUUAAUCCAAUGGCCGUGCUGCUUCUUCAAUAUCUGAUCUUCUUGCUCCAGCCGCCCAAACCAGCUCCGGUGGGACUGCCUGCUCUCGCCUCCCGUGGCCGGCUGUGCUGCCGCACAGGCCGCACCGCCCCACCCUACUUCAUUGCUGGCCAGGCCAUUCCUCUACUCACCCACACCUCCUGUUAUUUUCCGGCAACGGCAGCCGGACUAGUAAACCCUCGUACUCCCCACCGCGUGGGCAACCAUUGCCGAGUCUUCCCCGACUCCGUGUCGUUCCCUUCACAGGCCUCGCCGUCGUCCACCGCCAUGGUGCUCUCGGCGGAGGCCUGGUCAACGAAUGACAUCCAUCGGCCGUGGACUGUACGCGCAAAAUAAUGAUUCCUCCACCUGACAGCUGGGACCCACCGGAAGGGCCUCUGUAUCUCGCGAAAAAAACGUUCCCCCGCUGACAUGUUAGACCCACCAGCUAUAUCUUCGCACGCAAGGAAGUGCCUCCUUAUUACGCACAAAAAAAUGAAUACCCCCCUGCUAGCUGGGACCCACCAUAGUGGGAGGAUGACUUGUGGGACAACAAAGUUGACGGGGACGGAGGGCUUUGUCAACUUAGUCAAUAUGAACGAUUCUAGCUCCAGUGACCGUACGAUGUCCAUCCAACGGCCGUAGUGCUUCUUCAACCUCUGAUCUUCUUGCUCCAGCCGCCCAAAGCAGCACCGGUCGUGUCGCAUGCUCCUGCCUCCCGUGGCCGGCUGUGCUGCCGCGGAGGCCUCAUCACCCCCUACUAUUCCCACCGCUGGCCAGGCCCUGCGGCGACGGCAGCCUCACACCGCAGCCGAACCAGUGAACCCACGUACUCCUCUCCGCGCGGGCUUCCACUGCCGCGUCUUCCCUGGCUCCGUGUCGUCCCCUUCCUAGGCCUCGCCGUCGUCCACCGCCGUGGUGCUCUCCGUGCGGCAUGGUCAACGUGGUCAAGGAACGACUUCCAUCGGAAGAGUACUGUACGUGGAGAGGCUGACAGCUGGGUCCACGGCCACAGCCCAGUUUUUUGUGAUUUGCCAAGUAAGUCGCUUUGUCAGGCCUGUUGGGCUGCAAAUCUUUCAAGACAGUGAGAGCUUUCAUUCGGCUGGCCGAGAAAAUGGCCCAUCAGUAAUGAGAAAUGGGCUGUACAUUUUUAAAACACAUCAAACCGGCAAUUAGUUUCAAAUAUCUUUUUUUCAUUUCAAGAUUUUGAAUUACAUUAUUUUUUAUGCGUGGAGAAUUUGUUGGAUUUUAUAUUGAUAUACAUUUAUUUUUAAAAUCAGUUUGAAUGUGAGUCGAAAUUUCGGGAUUAAAACAGUUCGGACCGCACCGAAAUAUGCAAAAUUUCAUAUAAUUUUUUAACCGUGGCCACAAUUUGGGUUGUAAUGCUAACAAAAAGAAUAUGGGCUCCAAAAAAACAUUAAGAAUUAGCAAAUGGGCUGAAAAUUAUUAGAAAUAAUGGCAGAUGGGUUGUAUGCUGUUUUCCACAGAUUUGAGGCUUUCCUAAAAAAAGGUUGACGCACAAGCAGUGACUAUUGGAUGUCCAUCCAACGGCCGUCGUGCUUCAUCAAUCUCUGCUCUUCCUGCUCCAGCCGCUCAAACAAGCGCCGGCGGGACUGUCUGCUCCCUCCUCCCCGCGGCCGGUUGUGCUGCCGCGCAGGCCUCACCGCCCCACCAUAAUCCCAUCGCUGGCCUAGCCAUCCCUCUACUCACCCACACCUGCUGUUAUUCUCCGGUGACGGCAGAUGAACCAGUAAACCCUCGUACAGUCGUACUCCCCUCCAUGUGGGAAACAACUGUCGAGUCUUCCCUACCUCCGUGUCGUUCCCUUCCUAGGCCUCGCCGUCGUCCACCGCCCUGGUGCUCUUGGCGUGGCCUGGUCAACGUGGUCAACGACCGACAUGCAUCUGAAGUGGACUAUACGUGGAGAGGCUGACAGCUGGGUCCACAACCGCGUGCAAGGAAAUGCCUCCUUAUUACGCGCAAAAUAAUGAUUCCUCCACCUGACAUUAGGGACCCACCGAAAGGGCCUCUGUAUUUCACGAAAAAAACGUUACCGCCGCUGAAAGCUCGGACCCACAAGCUAUAUCUUCGCACGCAAGGAAGUGCCUCCUUAUUACGCACAAAAAAAUGAAUACUCCCCCUGUUAGCUGGGACCCAGUAUAGUGGUAGGCUGACUUGUGGGCCUACUAAGUUGACGGGGACGGAGGGCUUUGUCAACUUAGUCAAUAUGCACGAUUCUAGCUCCAGUGACCGUACGAUGUCCAUCCAAUGGUCGUAGUGCUUCUUCAACCUCUGGUCUCCUUGCUCCAGCCGCCCAAACCAGCGCCGAUCGUGCCUCAUGCUCCUGCCUCCCGUGGCCAGCUGCGAUGCGAUGGAGGUCUCACCGCCCCCUACUACUCCCACCGCUGGCCAGGCCAUCCCUCUACUCACCCACACACCCUGUUACUCUGCGGCGACAGCAGCCUCACACCGCAGCGAACUAGUGCCCUCGUACUCCUCUAUGCGUGGGCAUCCACUGCCGCGUCUUCCCCGGCUCCGUGUCAUCCCCUUCCUAGUCCUCGCCGUCGUCCACCGCCCUGGUGCUCUCGGCGCGGCGUGGUCAACAUGGUCAAGGAACGGCUUCCAUAGGACAUGGACUGUAUGUGGAGACGCUGACAGCUGGGUCCACGGCCGCAGCAAGGAAGUACCUCCUUAUUACGUGCAAAAUAAUUAUUCCUCCACCUGACAGCGGGGACCCACCGGACGGGCCAUCGUAUUUCGCCCCCCUGACUACUGGGACCCACCAGCUACAUCUUCGCACGCAAGGAAGUGCCUGACAGUUGGGACCCACCUGGUCGAAGCGUACAUAGCGUUGUCAUUCUGGUAACGAACGUGUACGUACAUAUAUACUUGUGGAUGUACAGCCACGCACGUGUCGUAGUAGAGGCGGCCAGGGUGCAAGAAAGAAAAUACGGCCACGUAUAUGUACAUACGGGCGGGGUCUCGAAUGCCUACUCGCGCAUACGUACAGUGAGGGCUCGUUGACAUGGCUGGGUCGGAACAGAGAAACAGCGUCGUCAUCGUGUUCAUGGGGAGGCAACGGAAUGCGUCGUGUUCAUGGGGAGGCAACGGAAUGCGUCGUAUUCAUUGGGAGGCAACGAAACGCAUGGGAGCCAACCGGCUGGGUCGGAACUGAAUGUGUGGUCGUGUUCAUCGGGAGGGCUUGGACGGAACAGGCGAUGGAAACGAGGCCUGGCGUACCGCACAACGAAGGAAAUGGACCUCCUACGUUCGGAACGGGGUCCUGUUGAUCGGGAGGGGUCCGGCGUACCGCAAAACAGAGGAAACGGACCUCCUACGGUUGAAACGGGGGUCCUGUUCAUCGGGAGGGGUGUGGCGUACCGCAAAACGGACGAAACGGACCUCCUACGGUCAAAAUGGGGGUUCUGUUCAUCAGGAGGGGUAUGGCGUACCGCAAAAUGGGACUCCACGGGAUACUGUUCAUCUCCACCAUCGACCCCCUCCAGCCUCCACGAGCUACUAUUCAUCCACCGUCGACCUCCUCCAGCCUCCACCUGCGACUGUUCAUCCACAGGCUCCUGUUCAUCCAGCCUCCACCGCGCGCUACUCCACCGGCUACUGUUCAACCAGCCCUCUCCACGGGCUUCUAUUCAACCACCCCUCCACGGGCUACUGUUCAUCCUGCCCUCCACCAUCUACUGUUCAUCCUGCCCUCCACGGGGUGGUCCUCUUCAUCCAGCCUUCCACGGGGUCCUGUUCAUCCAGCCCCAACCGGCUCGAUCGAUCGGGGUCCUGUUCAUCCACAGGCAACACCACGGGGUCCUGUUCAUCCACCCCCACCGGGAACUGUUCAUCCAACCCCCCCUGCAACACUUAGUGUUCAUCCAGAGGCAGCAUUGAUCGGCUUCAGUUAGCAGCAGUAGUGAAGGAAUCGCUCGAUUGGGUUCAGUUAACAGCCAUCGAUCGAUCGCUCGGGUUCAGUAACGCGUAGCCUGCAGUGCAAUCGCUCGGGUUCAAUUAGAGCCCAACGCCUCGCUCGAGUUCAGUUAGAGCCAACGCCUCGCAUACACGCGCGUACGUGUAUGAGAGAAACGCGCAUCGCUCGGCCCCCGACCUCCCACUGUAACCGGGAACUCCCGAAAUUUUCCUCGCCCUCGCUUCUACCACGGUUUUUUCCGUCAUGGAUGGCCCAAAGAAUUUCAUGCAGCUGCAUCUCCAGCCCGCCCAGGACGAAAAGCCCAUUUCCUGUCAUGAUUUUUUGUCAUAGAAGUAGGAGCCCACCACAUCUAUGAUGAUACCGGGUUUUGUCACAAUUAUUGUCAUAGAAGUGUCAUAUGUAUGACAGAAAAAUUCGUUCGGCCCAAAAUGUCACGGAUGUGUCUUUUUUUGUAGUGUUGCUUUUGAUAUUAUAAAAAACUUUCAUAUAAGUGCAUUGAAUACUAAGAGAAGUUUGAUACUUGAUGAUUGUUUUGAGAUAUGGAGAUAGUGAUAUUAAAGUUAUGCUAGUUGAGUAGUUGUGAAUUUGAGAAAUACUUGUGUUGAAGUUUGCAAGUCUCGUAGCAUGCACGUAUGGUAAACAUUGUGUAACAAAUUUGAAACAUGAGGUGUUAUUUGAUUGUCUUCCUUAUGAGUGGCGGUCGGGGAUGAGCGAUGGUCUUUUCCUACCAAUCUAUCCCCCUAGGAGCAUGCGCGUAAUACUUGGUUUUUGAUGACUUGUAGAUUUUUGCAAUAAGUAUGUGAGUUCUUUAUGACUAAUGUUGAGUCCAUGGAUUAUACGCACUCUCAUCCUUCCAUCAUUGCUAGCCUCUUCGGUACCGUGCAUUGCCCUUUCUCACCUUGAGAGUUGGUGCAAACUUCGCUGGUGCAUCCAAACCCCGUGAUACAAUACGCUCUAUCACACAUAAACCUCCUUAUAUCUUCCUCAAAACAGCCACUAUACCUACCUAUUAUGGCAUUUCCAUAGCCAUUCCGAGAUAUAUUGCCAUGCAACUUUCCACCAUUCCAUUUAUUAUGACACGCAUCAUCAUUGUCAUAUUGCCUGGCAUGAUCAUGUAGUUGACAUCGUAUUUGUGGCAAAGCCACCGUUCAUAAUUCUUUCAUACAUGUCACUCAUGAGUCAUUGCACAUCCCAGUACACCGCCGGAGGCAUUCAUAUAGAGUCAUAUCUUGUUCUAGUAUCGACUUAUAAUCAUUGAGUUGUAAAUAAAUAGAAGUGUGAUGAUCAUCAUUAAUAGAGCAUUGUCCCAUAAAAAAGGAAAAAAGGGAGAAAGGCCAAAAAAGAGAAAAAAAGAAGGCCCAAAAUAAAUAAAUAAAUAAAAAGGGGCAAUGCUACUAUCCUUUUUCCACACUUGUGCUUCAAAGUAGCACCAUGAUCUUUAUGAUGAAGAAUCUCUUGUUUUGUCAUUUUCAUUUACUAGUGGGAAUUUUUCAUUAUACAACUUGGCUUGUAUAUUCCAACAAUGGGUCUCCUCAAGUGCCCUAGGUCUUCGUGAGCAAGCAAGUUGGAUGCACACACACUUAGUUUCUUUUGUUGAGCUUUCAUACAUUUAUAGCUCUAGUGCAUCUGUUGCAUGGCAAUCCCUACUCCUUGCAUUGACAUCAAUUGAUGGGCAUCUCCCUAUCCCAUUGAUUAGCCGUGUCAAUGUGAGACUUUCUCCUUUUUUGUCUUCUCCACAUAACCCCCUUUCAUUAUAUUCUAUUCCACCCAUAGUGCUAUAUCCAUGGCUCAUGCUCAUGUAUUGCGUGAUGGUUGAGAAAGGUUUGAGAUUACUAAAGUAUGAAACAAUUGCUUGGCUUUUCAUCGGGGUUGUGCAUGAUGAGAGCAUUCUUGUGUGACGAAAAUGGAGCAAGACCAAACUAUAUGAUUUUGUAGGGAUGAACUUUCUUUGGCCAUGUUAUUUUGAGAAGACAUGAUUGCUUAGUUGGUAUGCUUGAAGUAUUAUUAUUUUUAUGUCAAUAUUAAACUUUUAUAUUGAAUCUUUCGGAUCUGAACAUUCAUGCCACAAUAAAUAAAAUUACAUUGAGAAAUAUGUUAGGAAGCAUUCCACAUCAAAAAUUCUGUUUUUAUCAUUUACCUACUCGAGGACGAGCAGGAAUUAAGCUUGGGGAUGCUGAUACGUCUCCAACGUAUCUAUAAUUUUUUAUUGUUCCAUGUUAUUAUAUUAUAUGUUUUGGAUGUUUAUGGGCUUUAUUAUACAUUUUAAUAUUAUUUUUGGGACUAACCUAUUAACCGGAGGCCCAGCCCAAAUUGUUGUUUUCUUGCCUAUUUCAGUGUUUCGAAGAAAAGGAAUAUCAAACGGACUCCAAACGGAAUGAAACCUUCGGGAGAGUUAUUUUUAGAACGGAAGCAAUCCAGGAGACUUGGAGUAGACGUCAGGGAAGCUUCGAGGUGGCCACGAGGCAGGGAGGCACGCCUGCCCCCCUGUGCGUGCCCCCCACCCUCAUGGGCCCCUUGUGGCUCCCCUGACCGACUUCUUUCACCUAUAUAUGUCCAUAUACCCUAAAAACAUCGGGGAACAGACAUUAGUGCAGAACCGGGCAAUAGCACCGGUUCGUAAGGCCCUUUAGUGCCGGUUUAGGAACCGGCACUAAAGUUUCGGCACUAAAGGCCCCCCCUUUAGUACCGGUUCAGCAUGAACCGGUGCUAAAGGGAAACCACGUGGCACGAGCCAGCUCCGGGGGCCGGGAGCCCUUUAGUACCGGUUGGUAACACCAACCGGUGCUAAAAUGUUUGGGGGGUUUUUGGUUUUAUGAUUUCUUUUUCAUUUAAUUUUGUGUUUUCCAUUUUAAUUCUUUUUCAUUUGCUGGUAUUUUACGGUACUACACAUUGUACACGUUAUGCAUAUAUAUAUAUAUAAAUAGAAUUUCUAGUAGAACCAAUCAUAUAUAUAUCAUCAAUGUCUCACAAACCACCAUAUUAAUUUACACAUACACACAUGUAUAGCUAUAUACAAUUUCUCCUACAUAUGCAUGUUGCCUUCGGAGCCAGUGGCAUUAGCCUAAUUGGUGCCUUCGGAGCACGAUGACAAUUGGAAGUGGUUCAUGACCUGGUCGAUGGGGGCGGUAGCGGGUAAUAGUAUUCUCCCUUCGGAUUUAUGACCUGGUCGAGCAAAAAUCCCGCUAUUUCCUCUUGAAGUGCUUCUACGCGCUCCAUUUGUAGGAGCGUGUCCCGCACCUCUUUGAACUGUUAAGAAGGAGAUCAAUAUGCAUGUGUAUUAGUUGUGUGACUAGAUAUCGAUAAUGGUGUAAAAAUUGUGAAUAGUGUUCUGACAAGCGUACCCAUUCCUGUCUUUGAGAUCUGCUCCUUUCGGACGCCAUCAUGCGAAUGUUCUCGCAAAUGCAGAAUGCACACAGAUCAGUCCCAUGUGCCUGCUUCAGGGCCUUUAUUACGAGAAUAGAAUUUAAUUUGAUCAGAUAAUAAUUAAUCAAGCAUGAUAAUUAAAGAGAUGACAGCUAGCUAGCUAGCUAGUACUACUUAAUUACUUACCUUGGGUCGAAACCAUUUCAGCUGUGGUUUCCAUUCGCCUUCCGUGACGCUGAUGAACCUUGCCCAAGCCCUGCCCGCCGACAAAGAAAAUGAAUAAAGGGGUUAUUAAAUAGUUCAUAUCAUGAAAUGACGAACUAAAUAGGCCGAGAUAUAUAGUUAAUAAUGAUUGAAAUUACCUGUUGACUAUCCCAAACAAGAUGUUAUAGUCACUAUUUGCUUUGAGUAGCGAGUCCAGUAUUUCAACUGUUCCGGCGUCAACUUUAAUGAUACACAAGAUCCAGUGAAAUCUGCAUGCACACACGUUUAAUCUCGAAUACAUCGUCUCGAAUAAUAGAUAUAAUCUCGAAUACAUCGUCUCGAAUAAUAGAUAUAAUCUCGAAUACAUCGUCUCGAAUAAUAGAUAUAAUCUCGAAUACAUCGUCUCGAAUAAUAGAUUUAAUCUCGAAUACAUCGUCUCGAAUAAUAUAUAAUAUUGAAUAGUACAUCACUGGCUAGGCGGUUGACACCCAAAGAGAAGGAACCCUCACAGGAUCAUAGCUGAAGUGAGAUCCCUGAAGAAACUGCCAGGUAUUGGAGAAUCUGCCGCCCUCUAACGCAACCAUGUAGCGAUAGACGUGCUCGUCCUCCUCCCUGACACGACGACGUACCACCUCCGGCGGGGCCGGCUCCCUUCGCACCGAAACUGGCCCACGCGAACGCCACCAAACGAGAUCAGGGUCGACGACGGGACCCGGGGCCGGGUUCCUCAUCAAGCGGCGCGCCCCUCCAGGCAGCACCUCCCAGUGCCAGCCCGGCGGAGCCCAGUCCCGGACAUGGGUCAGCUGGACGUCAUCGCGGACGUGUCGACGGCGAGGAUGCGGGCCGGGCAUCAUCGACAACAAAUACUAUAUGCCGCAAAAGUAAAGGAACAUUUUUUAAAUGAUGGAUUGUGAUGAUUUCAUAUAUGCAAAUUCUAAAUUUUAUAACUAAAAAUAUAAGAAACUAAAAAAACAUCGAUCAUCGUCUAACAAUUUGAAAUUAAUCUAAUUCAUCUAGCUAGCUAAAACUAACAUUUCCAAAAUUUCUAACAUUUCUAUAUAACUAACAUUUCUAUAACAUUUGACAUUAUAUAUAUUAUAACUAACAUUUCUAUAUACUAUUUGACAUUAAUCUAAUCUAANNNNNNNNNNNNNNNNNNNNNNNNNNNNNNNNNNNNNNNNNNNNNNNNNNNNNNNNNNNNNNNNNNNNNNNNNNNNNNNNNNNNNNNNNNNNNNNNNNNNNNNNNNNNNNNNNNNNNNNNNNNNNNNNNNNNNNNNNNNNNNNNNNNNNNNNNNNNNNNNNNNNNNNNNNNNNNNNNNNNNNNNNNNNNNNNNNNNNNNNNNNNNNNNNNNNNNNNNNNNNNNNNNNNNNNNNNNNNNNNNNNNNNNNNNNNNNNNNNNNNNNNNNNNNNNNNNNNNNNNNNNNNNNNGUAUGAAAAAUAGAAAAACAGAAAAAAAAACUUAAAGCUAAAAACAGAAAAAUUGUGUGCGUGCGCGCGCGUGUAGUGUGUGUGUGUAGUGUGUGUGUGUGCAUGUAGUGUGUGUGCGCGCGCGUGUGUGUGUGUGCGCUACGGUCGGCGCUGGCGCGCGGUGUGGCUUUGAUCGAUUGGAGGGAGGAGAGGGGCCGGGGGAGGGGCUCACAGCGCGCGCGGGCAAGGUCGAGGCGACGGCGACGGCGAGGCGAGGUCGAUCCAAAGGCGACGGCGACGGCGAAGCGAGGGGAUCGGCGACGGGCCAGUGCGGUGACCGAGACGGCGAUGGGCCGGUGCGGCGACAGGCCGGCGACGGGGGCGCCGCGGAGUCGACGGGGACGACGCGACGAGGACGGGGGCGUCGCGCAGUUGACGGGGACGUUGCGACAGGGGCGGCGACAGCGCGGGACGGGGCGGGGGCAGAGAGAAGUGGGAGAUGAGAAACUGAAAAUUUUCGAAGUGUUUCUUAUAUAGGGGACACCUUUAGUACCGGUUGGAGCCACCAACCGGUACUAAAGGCCUGUUUUGGCUAGGCCAAGCGGCGGGAAGCGACCCCCUUUAGUACCGGUUGGUGGCUCCAACCGGUACUAAAGGCCCCCCUUUAGUACCGGUUGGUGCCACGAACCGGUACUAAAGGGGGGUGCGCUGCCAGGCGAGGGGCGCAAAGUUUAGUCCCACCUUGCCUAGCGAAGGGCAGCCGCACUGGUUUAUAAACCCAGCCGCGGCUGCUCCUUCGAGCUCCUCUCAAAUGCAGGCCUUCUGGGCCUACCUGUGCUGUGCUGCCCCGUGGGCCUACUGGGCCUUUGCGGGCCUGCAUCCUGGCCCAACAACGGGUUGGGUUUCUAGUCAUAUGCAGGCCGCUCUAGCCUAGUAGGCGGGCUUUUUUUGCUUUAUUUAUUUUUGAGUUGUUUUUUUUUUGUAUUUAGAGUUUCUUUGUGAAUAUUUUUGCUUUAGGUACAAAAAAUUACAAACUUUCUGUUAGUGCCCGUAGUUUUCAAAUUUGAAUAGUUUAAACUUUGAAUUAUUUGAAAUUAGUGUGAAUCUCUAGUUUGUGAAUAACUUAACUUUAAAAAUCAGUAAAGGCAUGAAAGAAUUUGUUUGCACAUAAAAUUUCUUCGCGUUUCAAAUGCCAAAACACAUAAUUAACUACCCUAACUAUUACAGAGAUUCCCUUCUGGGUGUGAAACACAGAAGAAAGUGAUGAUAGCUAGUGAAGUCGAUCACAUCCCAGAUCUUUGGGUGUGAAACUUUUUCUUCGCGUGUGUCCCUUUGCACCGUAACCAUGGAAAAUCUUCAUCAUUUAACGGGAUGGUCGGGUCAAUAUUCACUGUGAAUGGAGCAAUUUCAUCAAACUUUUCAUAAUCUUCUGACUUGUCUGUCUUGUCAUCCACUCCCACGAUGUUUCUCUUCCCAGAAAGAACUAUGUGCCGCUUUGGCUCAUCGUACGAUGCAUUCGCUUCCUUAUCUUUUCUUUUUCUUGGCUUGUUAGACAUGUCCUUCACAUAGAAAACAUGUGCCACAUCAUUGGCUAGGACGAAUGGUUCGUCUGCAUACGCAAGAUUGUUGAGAUCCACUGUUGUCAUUCCGUACUGUGGGUCUUCCGUUACCCCGCCUCGUGUCAUAUUGACCCAUUUGCACCGAAACAAAGGGACCUUCAAACCAUGUCGAUAGUCAAGUUCCCAUAUGUCCUGUAUAUAACCAUAAUAUGUUUCCUUUCCCGUCUUGGUUUCUGCAUCAAAGCGGACACCACUGUUUUGGUUGGUGCUCUUCUUAUCUUGGGCGAUCGUGUAAAAUGUAUUACCGUUUAUCUCGUACCCUUUGAAAGUCAUUAUAUUCGAAGAUGGUAACUGGGACAGCAAGUACAGGUCAUCUUCAAUAGAGGUGUCAUGCAUGGUACGUGCUUGCAACCAGCUGGCGAAACUCCUGGUUUGUUCACGUGUAAUCCAGUCAUCAGACCGCUCCGGGUGUUUGGAGCGUAGCAAAUUCUUGUGUUCAUCCAUAUACGGAGCCACCAAGGCAGAAUUCUGUAGAACUGUGUAGUGUGCUUCAGUGAGAGAAUGUCCGUCCAUACAUAUUAUUUGUUCCCCUCCUAGCGUGCCUUUUCCAUCCAGUCUGCCCUUAUGCCGUGAUUCAGGAACACCAAUCGGCUUAAGGUCAGGAAUAAAGUCAAUACAAAACUCAAUGACCUCCUCAUUUUGACGGCCCUUGGAGAUGCUUCCUUCUGGCCUAGCACGGUUAUGAACAUAUUUCUUUAAGACUCCCAUGAACCUCUCAAAAGGGAACAUAUUGUGUAGAAAUACAGGACCCAAAACGUUAAUCUCUUCGCAUAGGUGAACUAGGACGUGCGUCAUGAUGUUGAAGAAGGAUGGUGGGAACACCAACUCGAAACUGACAAGACAUUGCACCAAAUCAUUCUGUAACCUUGGUAUGAUUUCUGGAUCGAUUACCUUCUGAGAGAUUGCAUUGAGAAAUGCACAUAGCUUCACAAUGGCUAAUCGAACGUUUUCCAGUAGAAGCCCCCUCAAUGCAACCGGAAGCAGUUGCGUCAUAAUCACGUGGCAAUCAUGAGACUUUAGGUUCUGGAACUUUUUCUCUGCCAUGUUUAUUAUUCCCUUUAUAUUCGACGAGAAGCCAGACAGUACCUUAAUACUGAGCAGGCAUUCAAAGAAGAUUUCCUUCUCUUCUUUGGUAAGAGCAUAGCUUGCAUGACCGUGAUGUAUGUCGUCUUUUCCGUGCAUAUGUUGCUGGUCCUCCCGUGCCUCAGGUGUAUCUUUUGUCUUCCCAUACACGCCCAAGAAGCCAAGCAGGGUCACACAAAGAUUCUUCGUCACGUGCAUCACGUCGAUUGCGGAGCGGACCUCGAGGUCUUUCCAAUAGGGCAGGUCCCAAAAUAUAGAAUUCUUCUUCCACAUGGGUGCGCGUCCGUCAGCGUCAUUCGGAACAGGUUGUCCACCAGGACCCUUUCCAAAGACCACCUUCAAAUCCUUGACCAUAUCAUGUACAUCAGCACCAGUACGGUGGCGAGGCUUCGUCCGGUGAUCCGCCUCACCUUUGAAAUGCUUGCCUUUCUUUCUUACGGGAUGCCUGCUCGGAAGAAAUCGACGAUGUCCCAGGUACACAUUCUUAUUAGCCAAAUAUAUGCUGUCGGUAUCGUCCAAACAGUGCGUGCAUGCGCGGUAUCCCUUGUUUAUCUGUCCUGAAAGGUUACUGAGAGCAGGCCAAUCAUUGAUGGUCACGAACAGCAACGCAUUUAGGUCAAAUUCUUCCCCCAUGUGCUCAUCCCACGCACGUACACAUGUUCCAUUCCACAGUUGUAAGAGUUCUUCAACUAAUGGCCUUAGGUACACAUCAAUGUUGUUGCCGGGUUGCUUAGGGCCUUGGAUGAGCACUGGCAUCAUAAUGAACUUCCGCUUCAUGCACAACCAAGGAGGAAGGUUAUACAAACAUAGAGUCACAGGCCAGGUGCUAUGGUUGCUGCUCUGCUCCCCAAAAGGAUUAAUGCCAUCUGUGCUUAGACCAAACCAUACGCUCCUUGCGUCAUCUGCAAACUCCUUCCCGUACUUUCUUUUGAUUUUUCUUCACUGCGACCCGUCAGCGGGUACUCUCAAUUUUCCGUCUUUCUUACGGUCUUCUCUGUGCCAUCGCAUCGCCUUGGCAUGCUCUUUGUUUUGGAACAAACAUUUCAACCGUGGUAUUAUAGGAGCAUACCACAUCACCUUGGCAGGAAUCUUCUUCCUGGGGCGCCGGCCCUCGACAUCACCAGGGUCAUCGCGGCUGAUCUUAUAGUGCAAUGCACCACAUACCGGGCAAGCGUUCAAAUCCUCGUACUCACCACGGUAGAGGAUGCAAUCAUUAGGGCAUGCAUGUAUCUUCUGCACCUCUAACCCUAGAGGGCAGACAGCCUUCUUUGCUUCGUACGUACUCUCGGGCAAUUCGUUGUCCUUUGGAAGCAUAUCCUUUAUCAUUACCAGCAACUUUCCAAAUCCCUUGUCAGAUACACCAUUCUCUGCCUUCCAUUGCAGCAAUUCCAGUGUGGUGCCCAGCUUUUUCUUGUCACCUACGCAAUUCGGGUACAACAAUUUUUUGUGAUCCUCUAACAUGCGUUACAACUUCUUCUUAUCCAAAUCACUUGUGUAGUUUCUCUUUGCAUCAGCAAUGGCCCGACCUAGAUCAUCAACGGGCUCAUCUGAUGCCUCUUCUUCAGCUUCUUCCCGCAUUGCCGGCUCAGCUUCUUCCUGCAUUACCGGCUCAGCUUCUUCCCCCAUUGUUGUAUCAUCGUAUUCAGGGAACCCAUGGCCAGGAUAGCUGUCGUCGUCCUCUUCUUCUUCAUUGUCUUCCAUCAUAACCCCUCUUUCUCCGUGCUUGGUCCAAACAUUAUAAUGGGGCAUGAAACCGGACUUAAACAGGUGGACGUGAAUGGUUCUUGACGUAGAGUAAUUGUGACCAUUCUUACAGGGAGCACAUGGACAAGGCAUAAAACCAUCCGCCCGCUUGUUUGCCUCAGCCGCAAGCAGAAAAGUAUGCACGCCCUCAACGAACUGGGGAGAGCAUCGGUCAUCGUACAUCCAUUGCCGGCUCAUCUUCAUUACACAACACCGAAUAGACCAAAUUAAUACAAGUUCAUACAUAAAGUUCAUACAACACUUAAAUGCAACAAACAAAUAACUCUCUAGCUAAAGCAUUUAAAUACAACAACAAAUACGAUCAAGAUUGCAACUAAGGUAACAAUGGAUCCAACAGCAUAAUGAUACCAAGCCUCACUAUCAAUGGCAUAUUUUCUAAUCUUUCUAAUCUUCAAGCGCAUUUUCUCCAUCUUGAUCUUGUGAUCAUCGACGACAUCGGCAACAUGCAACUCCAAUUCCAUCUUCUCCCCCUCAAUUCUUUUCAAUUUUUCUUUCAAGUACUCGUUUUCUCUUUCAACUAAAUUUAACCUCUCCGCAAUAGGGUCUGUUGGAAUUUCCGGUUCACAUACCUCCUAGAAAAAAUUUCUAUGUCAACUUGAUGGGCAUAAUUUGUCAUAAACACGAAAUGCAACUAGUUUUAAAAGAGAAUAUACAUACCACAUCCGAAUCAUAACAAGGACGACGGUCGACGGGGACGGAUAUCAAAACCAUGGCACUAUAUGUAUAACAAACAACAUACGGGUAAGAUAAUUAUACGAGUAACUAUAUAUCCAAAUCACACAAACAUCAAUUUUUAUAUAAAAUUUCAUGAACAAGAGGCUCACCACAAGGUGGUGCCGGCGACAGGACGGUGCGGGCAAUCGACGGUGGCUACGAUGGAGAUUUAGAAGGCACUAAGUAAACCACACCUACAUAUGCAAACUAAGUGUUAUUUUUGACCUCAAAUUGCAUAUAAAUCAAAUACUAGCACAUAUAUAUAUCCUCCCAAAUUACUAAAGUCACAAAUUAAUCACUAUAUAAAGCAUUGCAAGAGCUAAUCUAGCAAUGAGAGAUGAAAGGACAAAGUUGCUAACCUUUGUGAUCAUUUGAAUGGAUGGGGGCCUUCAAAUCUUGACAAAUUUUGGGCAAAAUGUGUGAUGAGCUCGAGAGGAAGAGGGGAAGAACAGAGAGGAGAGGGGAAAGGGGAAGAACAGAGCGAGCUCGGGUGGACGAAGGGUUUAUGUAGGACGACCUUUAGUACCGGUUCGUGCCAAGAACCGGUACUAAAGGGGCUGGAGGGGCCCCAGUCUGACAACAUCCUGCCACCACUCUCAUUAGUACCGGUUCGUGGCACGAACCGGUGCUAAAGGUUCGCCACGAACCGGUACCAAUGAAAGCGGCCCGGCUAGCCGUUGGAACCGGCACUAAUGUAUACAUUAGUGCCGGAUCAAAUACAAACCGACACUAAUGUGCUUCACAUUUGACCCUUUUUCUACUAGUGAGAAUAGAUCGGGAGUUCCGCCGCCAGAAGCCUCCGUAGCCACCGAAAAUGAAUCUAGACCCAUUUUGGCACCCUACCGGAGGGGGAAUCCCUCUCCGGUGGCCAUCCUCAUCAUCCCGGUGCUCUCCAUGACGAGGAGGGAGUAGUUCUCCCUCGGGGCUGAGGGUAUGUACCAGUAGCUAUGUGUUUGAUCUCUCUCUCUCUCUCUCUCGUGUUCUUGAGUUGGCACAAUCUUGAUGUACCGCGAUCUUUGCUAUUAUAGUUGGAUCUUAUGAUGUUUCUCCCCCUCCACUCUCUUGUAAUGGAUUGAGUUUUCCCUUUGAAGUUAUCUUAUCGGAUUGAGUCUUUAAGGAUUUGAGAACACUUGAUGUAUGUCUUGCAUGUGCGUAUCUGUGGUGACAAUGGGAUAUCACGUGAUCCACUUGAUGUAUGUUUUGGUGAUCAACUUGCGAGUUCUAUGACCUCGUGAACUUAUGCAUAGGGGUUGGCACACGUUUUCGUCUUGACUCUCCGGUAGAAACUUUGGGGCACUCUUUGAAUUUCUUUGUGUUGGUUGAAUAGAUGAAUCUGAGAUUGUGUGAUGCAUAUCAUAUAAUCAUACCCACGGAUACUUGAGGUGACAUUGGAGUAUCUAGGUGACAUUAGGGUUUUGGUUGAUUUGUGUCUUAAGGUGUUAUUCUAGUACGAACUCUACAAUAGAUCGAACGGAAAGAAUAACUUUGAGGUGGUUUCUUACCCUACCAUAAUCUCUUCGUUUGUUCUCCUCUAUUAGUGACUUUGGAGUGACUCUUUGUUGCAUGUUGAGGGAUAGUUAUAUGAUCCAAUUAUGUUAUUAUUGUUGAGAGGACUUGCACUAGUGAAAGUAUGAACCCUAGGCCUUGUUUCCUAGCAUUGCAAUACCGUUUACGCUCACUUCUAUUACUUGUUACCUUGCUGUUUUUAUAAUCUCAGAUUACAAGAACCUAUAUCUACCAUCCAUAUUGCACUUGUAUCACCACCUCUUCGCCGAACUAGUGCACCUAUACAAUUUACCAUUGUAUUGGGUGUGUUGGGGACACAAGAGACUCUUUGUUAUUUGGUUGCAGGGUUGUUUGAGAGAGACCAUCUUCAACCUACGCCUCCCGCGGAUUGAUAAGCCUUAGGUCAUCCACUUGAGGGAAAUUUGCUACUAUCCUACAAACCUCUGCACUUGGAGGCCCAACAACGUCUACAAGAAGAAGGUUGCGUAGUAGACAUCAAAAGCUGCUAAUAUAAUGGGCAUCAAGAUCUAUAGAGAUAGAUCAAGACGCUUAAUUGGACUUUCACAAAGCACAUACCUUGAUAAAGUUUUGAAGAAGUUCAAAAUGGAUCAAGUAAAGAAAGGGUUCUUGCCUGUGUUACAAGGUGUGAAGUUGAGUCAGACUCAAUGCCUGCCACUGCAGAAGAUAGAGAGAAAAUGAAAGGUGUUCCCUAUGCUUCAGCCAUAGGCUCUAUAAUGUAUGCAAUGUUGUGUACCAGACCUGAUGUGUGCCUUACUAUCAGUCUAGCAGGGAGGUACCAAAGUAAUCCAGGAGUGGAUCACUUGACAAUGGUCAAGAAUAUCCUAAAAUACCUGAAAAGGACUAAGGAUAUGUUUCUCGUAUAUGGAGGUGACAAAGAGCUUGUCGUAAACGGUUACUUUGAUGCAAGCUUUGACACUGAUCCGGAUGACUCUAAGUCACAAACCGGAUACGUGUUUUUAUUAAAUGGUGGAGCUGUCAGUUGGUGCAGUUCCUAGCAGAGCGUCGUGGCGGGAUCUACGUGUGAAGCGGAAUACAUAGCUGCUUUGGAAGCAGCAAAUGAAGGAGUCUAGACGAAGGAGUUCAUAUCCGAUCUUGGUGUCAUACCUAGUGCAUCGGGUCCAAUGAAACUCUUUUGUGACAAUACUGGUGCAAUUGCCUUGGCAAAGGAAUCCAGAUUUCACAAGAGAACCAAGCACAUCAAGAGACGCUUCAAUUCCAUCCACGAUCAAGUCAAGGAGGGAGACAUAGAGAUUUGCAAGAUACAUACGGAUCUGAAUGUUGCAGACCCGUUGACUAAGCCUCUCUCAUGAGCAAAACAUGAUCAGCACCAAGACUCCAUGGGUGUUAGAAUCAUUAUAACGUAAUCUAGAUUAUUGACUCUAGUGCAAGUGGGAGACUGAAGGAAAUAUGCCCUAGAGGCAAUAAUAAAGUUGUUAUUUAUAUUUCCUUAUAUCAUGAUAAAUGUUUAUUAUUCAUGCUAGAAUUGUAUUAACCGGAAACUUAGUACAUGUGUGAAUACAUAGACAAACAGAGUGUCACUAGUUUGCCUCUACUUGACUAGCUCGUUGAAUCAAUGAUGGUUAUGUUUCCUAACCAUAGACAUGAGUUGUCAUUUGAUUAAGGGGAUCACAUCAUUAGAGAAUGGUGUGAUUGACUUGACCCAUCCAUUAGCUUAGCACGAUGAUCGUUUAGUUUGUUACUAUUGCUUUCUCCAUAACUUAUACAUGUUCCUAUGACUAUGAGAUCAUGCAACUCCCGAAUACCGGAGGAACACUUUGUGUGCUACCAAACGUCACAAUGUAACUGGGUGAUUAUAAAGGUGCUAUACAGGUGUCUCUGAUGGUGUUUGUUGAGUUGGCAUAGAUCGAGAUUAGGAUUUGUCACUCCGAUUGUCGGAGAGGUAUCUCUGGGCCCUCUCGGUAAUACACAUCACUAUAAGCCUUGCAAGCAUUGUGACUAAUGAGUUAGUUGUGGGAUGAUGUAUUAUGGAACGAGUAAAGAGACUUGCUGGUAACGAGAUUUAACUAGGUAUUGAGAUACCGACGAUCGAAUCUCGGGCAAGUAACAUACCGAUGACAAAGGGAACAACGUAUGUUAUGCGGUUUGACCAAUAAAGAUCUUCGUAGAAUAUGUAGGAGCCAAUAUGAGAAUCCAGGUUCCGCUAUUGGUUAUUGACCGGAGACAUGUCUCGGUCAUGUCUCCAUAGUUCUCGAACCCAUAGGGUCCGCACGCUUAACGUUCGGUGACGAUCGAUAUUACGAGUUUAUGUGUUUUGAUGUAACAAAGAUAGUUCAGAGUCCCGGAUAUGAUCACGGACAUGACGAGGAGUCUAGAAAUGGUUGAGACAUAAAGAUUGAUAUAUUGGACGACUAUAUUCGGACACCGGAUGAGUUUCGGGGGUCACCGCAUAUUUAUUGGAGUGCCGGAGGGGUUAUCGGAACCCCGGGGGAACUAAUGGGCCAACAUGGGCCAUGUGGGAGAGAGAGGAGAGGGCCUAGGGCUCGCCCCCCCUUGGGAUUCCGAAUUGGACAAGGAGGGGGUGGCGCCCCCUCUUUCCUCCCUCUCUCCCUCUCCUUCCUUCCCCCUUCCCCUUCCUAGUUGGAAUAGGAAAAGGGGAGUCCUACUCCUACUAGGAGGAGGACUCCCCUUCUCCCUUGGCGCGCCUCUAGGCUGGCCGGCCUCCCCCUUGCUCCUUUAUAUACGGCGGCAAGGGGGCACCCUAGAACACACCAGUUGAUUGUUUCCAGCCGUGUGCGGUGCCCCCUCCACCAUAAUCCACCUCGGUCAUAUCGUAGAGGUGCUUAGGCGAAGCCCUGUUCCGGUAGCAUCAUCAUCACCGUCAUCACGCCGUCAUGCUGACGAAGCUCUCCCUCGAAGCCCUACUGGAUCGUGAGUUCGUGGGACGUCACCGAGCCGAACGUGUGCAGAUCGCGAAGGUGACGUACCUUCGGUGCUAGGAUCAGUCGAUCGUGAAGACAUACGACUACAUCAACCGCGUUGUCAUAAUGCUUCCGCUUACGGUCUAUGAGGGUACAUAGACAACACUCUUCCCUCUCGUUGCUAUGCAUCACCAUGAUCUUGCGUGUGCAUAGGAAUUUUUUUUGAAAUUACUGCAUUCCCCAACAGGGAGGUGGUUGGUGGGGAAAGUGCGGGCUGAAAUGUCCCCCCACCAACCGCUUCCGCUUAUAUGCAGGGCACCACAGCGGCGAGGGGGAAACCCGCGAAUACGCUGGUUGGGGCUGAGAUUUUGCCGUGCCCCUAAAAAUUUUGUGCGGGCCGGGGCGGGAUGCUAGGUCUGAUCGGGCAGGUUUUUCCGCCCCAACCCGCAUUUUGGCGGUUAUUUUGCCGGUCUGGGCGGGAUGCGGGGUCUGCUAGAGUUGCUCUAACAGUCUCUAGGUCUGGAGCUACAUGCGUUCAUGAGCGAGUGGGCUCGAGAACAUUUCCUGGCGCGUGUGCAUUCAUUCUUUAGGGAUUUUUAGACCCCCUACAAUCCCCCCCAAUGGACCGGCCCACUUGGCCUGCUCCCUAUGCAUUGCACCGCCUAUGGGCUGGCUCACUGGGUUUCUUAGAAGGUGAUGACCAGUCCUAAGUUCGUGGGAGGUUAGUAUAUACCACCUCAUCAAAAUAUACAUGAUCAUAAAUAGUUUUCAAGCCCUAUCUACAGAAAAUAUAUGUCGUCCUCGUCACCAUCAUUGUCGUCAUCGCCAUCGUUGUUGAGGAGCAUACACACCGUCCCCACCACCAAAGACAGAACUAGCAGUAGUGCUUGCCCUGUUGCCCAACUAGCUCCUGAGCUAGAGUACCAUGUGAGUGUCUGCCAUGGCAACAAACCCAAGACCCUGGGCCUUGUUGUCUAGAAGGUGGCUCAGAGCAACCAUCAAAGCCUCUUGGCUGGAGCCACCUUGGUCCAUGACGACGGUGUAGUGGUCAGAGUGGACAUCAAUCGAUUUUCUCUCCCUUAUGGUGGUUGCCACCUCCUUGACGAUCCCAGUCAUGCUGGUGAGGAAACUAAUCUCGUCCUCCAUCAAGUUGCCCCUCUUCCUCUUCCUAUGAAGCAUGGUGACGUACUCAAAUCCCUUAUCAGGACCAUCAAGGACGAUGCUCUCAGACUCCUGGGUGUCUGGGAACUAAGGCAUGGGCGAACCAAGGGGGCUUGCCGGUUGCUAGCCCAAAGGAGAAAGUGUGUUACAUUUGGUUGUACUUUUGGAUGGGUGUGUUGAGGAACUCUGCAUCUUUGGGGUGGUCCUAAUAAAGAAACACAACAUGGUUAGUUGCAGGGAAACAAUGAUUGACAUGCUUAAAUAAGGGGACGUGAGCUAACCGCGGUAUGGCUUUGGUAGUGCUCUGCCUCUAGAAUGAUCGAGCAAGUGGUCUGAUCCCAUGAGGCGCUGCUAAGGUCUCUAAGCUUGGACACUUUUAUCCAUCUAGAUCUUCACUUCCUGAGGUGGUUGUAGACUUGGGUGGAGGUCACCUCCUGACCACAAAACUUGAAAACUCGCUUCGCAAUGGUGUUCAAGUGCACCUCCUUGAAGGCCUUGUCAGUCCUAACUCCACUAGAUAUGAGCUCACCCAUAUUGAUAAGCACCAACAUGACAUGAACGAUAGACACUUCAUGUUGUCCCCCCAACGACCCUUCUUGUCCUUUGCGGUUGUCAUUUGUGCGGCGACAACAAUAACAUUUGGCACAAUGAGCACAAAUGAUAUAGGCACGAAAGGAGGACCCAUGCCUGAACAAUCAAUCACAUCUGAAUCAGGAGGCAUCUGGUCCUCAAUGGGAGGCUGGAAGUCCUCGACAUAGGAUGACAGGAGUUGUUUCUCGGACAAGACAAUUGUCUGACUAGCCUCUUGCGUUUGUGUGAUCAUGUCCUACAAUCGUAGCACACACAUGGACAAUACAUAUAACACACACUACCAAACCAUCUAUCUCAACACAACACGAUAUGAGCAGCAUACACCAACAAGCUUUCUACCAAUUCAUCACAACUAGCUACCAAUCUAUUGUGUUCAACACUAUGAUACACCCCUAGCAUGCUACAAAUCCAUCACCAAUAGCUACCACAACAUCACAUUCUCACAUAUCGGUAGUAUACAAUGCUACAAGAUGGUCAUAGAUCAAACCCUACCACAUGCUCUUAGAUCAAAACCUACCACAUGCUCUCAGAUCUAGUUAGAAAAAGUACAUCGAAGGGGGUGAUUGACUCACACAGGUCAUCGUUGCAGCUCGAGGGAGACGCGGAAGAGGUCAGAGAAGAGGAGGACAUGAGUUGUUGCCACUAUGGACCGUCGGCCGGAGAAGAAGCACCGCUUACCUGCUCGUGGGUGCUGAUCCACGUUGGAGGGAAAGCUCUAAAGGGGAGAGAAUGGUGGCGGGAGUUUCAAUGGUGAGGUGAAGGGGGCUAUAUAGGGUGACCGAAUCGGCAGGAAGUAACCCGAAAUCCUCCCGCUAAUUUUUUGGAGACACGCGCGAGCUUGCACCAUCUACGUGAUUGCAUGACCUCUGUGCCGCGUUCCCCUCCCAUGCUUCGACAGAGCCUGGCUCGCUAGAAACUGUCACGGCGCCUAGCGGGAAUGGCUAUGAGGUGUUGUACAGAUCGUCUGAUGCAGGACAAACAAUGAACCCGAGCAACCAAACAACCCAAUUUCUUUCCGCGUUGGCCAGGUUGGGCCUCAUGGGGGCAACCAAACACGUACACGGUCUUUUUUAGGCAUAACACGCCCAUAGUCAUUCUUAGGAAUCUGUGAGAGUAAGUAAUUACGAAGUACUUCCUCGGAAGCCCUCCCAAGGGUCACUUUGGGUUGGUUGGGAACAUGCCACUUGGCGCGCUCUCAGCCGCCGCCAUGUAUCUGUUGGGGAACGCGGUAAUUUCAAAAAAAAUCAUACGCACACGCAAGAUCAUGGUGAUGCAUAGCAAUGAGAUGGGAGAGUGUCGUCCACAUACCCUCGUAGACUGUAAGCGGAAGCGUUAUGAGAACGCGGUUGAUGUAGUCGUACGUCUUCACGAUCCGACCGAUCCAAGUACCGAACGUACGGCACCUCCGAGUUCAGCACACGUUCAUCUCGGUGACGUCCCAUGAACUCCGAUCCAGCACAGCUUCGAGGGAGAGUUCCGUCAGCACGUCGGCAUGAUGACGGUGAUGAUGAUGCUACCGACGCAGGGCUUCGCCUAAGCACCGCUACGAUAUGACCGAGGUGGAUUAUAGUGGAGGGGGGCACCGCACAUGGCUAAAAGAUCAACUGAUCAACUUGUGUCUUGGGGCCCAUUAACUCUCUGGGGUUUCCGGUACCCCCCCCCCCCCGGCACUCCGGUAAAAUCCCGAUUUCACCCGGAACUAUUCUAAUGUCCAAAUAUAGACUUCCAAUAUAUCAAUCUUUAUGUCUUGACCAUUUCGAGACUCCUUGUCAUGUCCGUGAUCAUAUCCGGGACCCCGAACUACCUUUGGUACAUCAAAACACAUAAACUCAUAUUACCGAUCAUCAUCGAAUUUUAAGCGUGCGGAGCCUACGGGUUCGAGAACUAUGUAUACAUGACCGAGACUCAUCUCCGGUCAAUAACCAAUAGCGGAACCUGGAUGCUCAUAUUGGAUCCUACAUAUUCUACGAAGAUCUUUAUCAGUCAAACUGCAUAACAACAUACAUUGUUCCUUUUGUCAUCGGUAUGUUACUUGCCCGAGAUUCGAUCAUCGGUAUCUCAAUACCUAGUUCAAUCUCGGUACUGGCAAGUCUCUUUACUCGUUCUGUAAUGCUACAUCUCGUAAUUAACUCAUUAGCUACAUUGCUUGCAAGGCUUAUUGUCAUGUGCAUUACCGAGAGGGCCCAGAGAUACCUCUCCGACAAUCGGAGUGACAAAUCCUAAUCUUGAUCUAUGCCAACUCAACAAGUACCAUUGGAGACACCUGUAGAGCACCUUUAUGAUCACCCAGUUACGUUGUGACGUUUGGUAGCACACAAAGUGUUCCUUCGGUACUCGGGAGUUGCAUAAUCUCAUAGUCAUAGGAACAUGUAUAAGUCAUGAAGAAAGCAAUAGCAACAAACUAAACGAUCAUCAUGCUAAGCUAACGGAUGGGUCAAGUCAAUCACAUCAUUCUCUAAUGAUGUGAUCUCGUUAAUCAAAUGACAACUCAUGUCUAUGGUUAGGAAACAUAACCAUCAUUGAUUCAACGAGCUAGUCAAGUAGAGGCAAACUAGUGACAUCAUGUUUGUCUAUCUAUUCACACAUGUACUAAGUUUCCGGCUAAUACAAUUCUAGCAUGAAUAAUAAACAUUUAUCAUGAUGUAAGGAAAUAUAAAUAACAACUUUAUUGUUGCCUCUAGGGUAUAUUUCCUUCAGUGUCGUGCUCUAGGCGCUGUCUUCGGAUUUUAUUUUUAUUUUUAUUUUCUGUACGCGCUUUCGACUUUUAGAUGAUUUUUUUUGAGUUGGCUUCCGGUUUUCCCCUCGUUUUCAUUAGCAUUUGGGCGAAAAACAAUUGCGCGAAAAAAUGUAUUUUCUUUUUUUUUCUACGAGAGGCACAAAUUUAAUUUUCAUGGAGGCACAAAUUUGUUUACGCGAGAGGCAUGGCCGUGCAUCCUCGCAAAAAGGAAAAAGAACCACAUCAGGCACGGAUUUGCUUACGCGAGAGGCACGACCAUGCCUCUCGCAAAAGGGAAAAUAACAUUUUUUUUUCUUUUUUCUUUCAUGAGAGGCACGGAUUUACUUCUCGUGGAGACACGAAUUUGCUUCUGCGAGAGGCACGGCCGUGCCUCUCGAAAAAGGAAAAACGUGUAUACUUUUUGUUCCUUCCACGAGAAGUGCCUCUCGAAAAAGAAAAAAAAAUGUGUUUUUCCUUUCGUGAGAGGCACGGAUUUACUUCUCAUGGAGGCAUGUAUUUGCUUCCGCGAGAGGAACAGUCGUGCCUCUCGAAAAAGAAAAAGAUGCGUUUCGGUCGUACCUUUUGGAAAUGGAAAAAAUAUGCUUCCGGUUUGGUUCUUUCGUCCUUAUUUUCGUGCAAAAAAAUUUCAUCAAAACCUAUGAAGAUGGGUUCUAGUCUUGACAAUCUUGUCGUGAGGAAUUCAACGAUGAAAACAGCUCGAGAUUUGGAUGUGCGGUUUGAGAUAUAAAAUGUUUUGAAUAAACAAAACUACGAAAAAACUAUCAAGUUGCGACAAGCGACGCACAUGCAAUAUGGCACUUGUCGCAAUCUGAGGUGAGAGUGAUCUUUGGAAAGAGUACUCCUUCAUUUAUUAGUUAUGUCGGGAAUCUGCAGCCCAAACAAAGAGGCUAAGGCCCCGCUCGGAAGCAGUCCACGAGCUAGCUUCCAAAAAUUGCUUCGAGAAGCCGCACCGUACAGCUACACUUCGAGAAGCUGGCUCCGCGGAGAUGAGGAUUCGACAGUGCAAAUAUCGCGGAGACGGUAAGCUGCGCUGGCCCGGCUUCGCAAAUAUCAGAAGCGAGAGUUUCUCAAAAUUACGGUAGCAAUGCCACUUCGAUGUAACCAGCGAAUCGUUUUUCUCGAUUCCUCUGCUCUCGCGACCUCCUCUACUCGUACAGAAACGAACGCCCACCUCCUCCUCUGUUGUAGCAACCCUAGCCACUGCGGCGCCGUCGCCGGCCGGUCGGCCACCGCGUCGCCGCCCCUCGGAUCUAUGCCUUGUCCCACAAGUCUCCGUCCAUCACCGCUCGCAGCAGCCGCCCAAAGUCCCCAUGCUGUUGUCUCCCCAUCUGUCGCCACUCCCUCCGUUGGUCGGCGCUGACAGCCGCGUGAAGUAGAGCUCCUAACGGGCCUGGCCGCAAGAUCCAUGCCAGAGAAGCCAUUCCCCCAGCUCAAGGUGAGCAGCCACCUCCCCCCUCUUGUAGUACUCUGAUUCAGCCUAGCUAGUUCAUGCGCUGUCUGUGAACAACCCCAAUUUCUUGUGAUAUGAAACUGAUGUGUGCACAUUUUUCGUAUAUGUGUGUAGUGCAGUCUAUAGUGAUAUAAAUUGAUUUCAGAUCAAAUCAAUAAUUUCCUUCUGUUGGUAGUACAUGUUCAUGCUGGUACUGUUUAUUUUCAAUAUGAACAUGCUUUGUUCGGGUGCAGCAGUCAUAUUUGGCAAGUAUUGUGAAAGUUGGGUGAUGAAGGCCAAGCCUCGGAAUCUAUUUUGAGUGGAUUUGGAUGGCUUCAAGAGACUAUUGCCACACAGGGAGAGACCUACACAAUGUUGAGAAUGACGGCAAGUGUGUUCUUUGGUCUUCAUGACUUGGUACGUAACUAUGGUCUAAAAGAAACAAGCUUUGUUAGCACUUAUGAGUCUCUUGCUAUGUUCUUGUGGACAUUGGGAGGUUGUGAAUCAAAUAGAAGAACUCAAAAUCGCUUCAAACAUUCAGCGGGUACAAUCCAUCGUAAAUUCCAUGAGGUUCUACAAUCUGUAGUGAACGUGGCAUCUCAUUACCUUAAGCCACAAGACCCAAACUUCCACAUUGUGUAUGAUCUAAUUAAAAAGGAUAGGAGGGCUUAUCCCCAUCUCAAAGAUUGCAUUGGUGCAAUCGAUGGGACUCAUAUAAGAGCUUCUAUUCCUGAUGGGCCACCGAAAGUUAGGUACAUUGGGAGGACGGGCAUGACAACUCAGAAUGUGAUGGCGAUAUGUGACUUCGAUAUGCACUUUACUUAUGCUUCAAUUGGGAAACCUGGUUCUAUGCAUGAUACAAAUGUGUUAUACCAUGCAAUUGAGAAGGACAGACCCUCCUUCACCCAUCCACCAAAGGGUGAGCAUUUCUUUUCGUUACAAGUUUACACAUGAUGUACUCUAUCCUCCAACUAACAUGUAUGUGUCCUGUCAAUUUAGGCAAGUAUUACCUUGUAGAUGCCGGGUAUCCUAAUAGAGAUGGAUAUCUAGUACCAUACAAAGGAGAACAUUAUCAUGUCCCUGACUUUCAAAGAGGUGCACCUUCAAAUACUCCUACGGAGAAGUUCAACAAGAUUCACUCCUCCAAACACAAUUGCAUAGAGAGAACCUUUGGAGUGUGGAAAAUGAAAUGGCAAAUUCUCCUCAAGAUGCCAAACUACUCGUUCCAAACACAGAUGAAGAUUGUUGCAGCUACUAUGACAUUGCACAACUAUGUUCGCUUCCAUGACAAAGAUGAUCUCCACUUUAUUUGAUGUGAAAGAGAUCCAGAUUAUGUUCCAACAAUUACGGAUAGAUAUAAGAAGUAUGUUAUUCCUUCCAGUGCAUCGGAUGCUUCCACUUCGGAGGCAAGUGCUCCUAACAUGGAUAGGUUUAGAAAUGAACUAGCUACCGCCAUUGCUCUUGGUUGGUGAAAUCAUGCUCGUGGUGCAAUUUGUAGCUCUUGUGAUUUGCAAAUGUAUGCAAAUUUGAUUAAGCUUUUGUUGUACGACAUAUGUCAACAAACCUUGUUGUUCUUGAUCUAAAAUCUGGUGAAAUUAGAAAACUUAAAUGUUUUGUAUAGUUCUUGGACUUGUACUAUCAUAAAUUGCUCACUGUACAAAUGUAAGAAGUGCUCUCUGUACAGAAUAAAUCGCAGCAAACAAAGCAGAAAAAAAUGUUGUGCUGUCCAAAAUCUGGCCUGCACUUCCCCACCGAACUGGGCCUUCAAAUAAGGCCCACUGCAUGGCCGAGCAGGCCACAGCCUGGUUUCCUGGGCUACCAGCCCUGCCUGUGAUAGGAGCCACAGCUAGCGAGCCGAACGGUUCGUCGAAAUCACUAGUUGAGGAGUAUUUGUUGGAAAGAUCACUCCAAUUCUCUUGGUUACGAUAAGUGGCGUAUAUGCAGUGCGCCAUUUGUCGCAACCUGAAAGUUUUUCCUUGUUUCGUAGACCCGUUUAUUCAAAACGUUUUAUCUCUCAAACCGUGCGUCCAAAUCUCGAACCAUUUUCACCGUUGGAUUUCUCGCGUCGAAAUCUUCAAAACUAGAUUCCAUGUUGAUAGGUUUUGAUGAACUUUUUUUCACGAAAAAAACUGGACGUAAAAAACCGGACGAAAAAACUGAACCGGGAGCACGGGUUUUUUCCGUUUCCGAAAGAGGCACGUCCGUGCCUCUCACGAAAUCACAUCCGCACCUCUCAUGGAAGCAAAACUGUGACUCCCGCAGGAAAAAAAAGAAAACGUGUUUUUUUAUUUUCGAGGAGGCACGACCGUGACUCUCGCGAAAGCACAAUCUUGCCUCUCGCGGAAACAAAACCGUGACUCCCGCGAAAGGAAAAAAUACAGAAAAUACGUUUUUUUCGUUUCCGAGAGGCACGGCCGUGACUCUCACGAAAGCACAACCGUACCCCUCGCGGAAGCAAAACCGUGACUCUCGAAAGAAAAAAACAAAAAACGUGUUUUUUUUCAUUUUCAAGAGGCACGGCCGUGACUCUCGCUAAAGCACAACCGUGCCUCUCCCGGAAGCAAAAAUGUGACUCUCGCGAAAGGAAAAAAAAUAGAAAAUAUGUUUUUUUUCGUUUUCGAAAGGCACGGCCGUGACUCUCGCGAAAGCACAACCGUGCCUCUUGGGGAAGCAAAACCAUGACUCUCGUGAAAGAAAAAAAAAAACAAAAAACCAUUUUUUCCGUUUUCGAGAGGCACGGUCGUGACUCUCGCUAAAGCACAACCGUGCCUCUCACGAAAGCAAAACCGUGACUGUCACGGAAGAAAAAAACGCGUUUUUUGUGUAAUUUUUUUUUGUCAAAAUAUUGUUUUUAAUCGAAAAGCUAAGGAAGAUCGAUGGAAAACCAAAAUGUCGGAAAAACCGUUUAAAAAGCCGAAAACGCGUUCUAAAAAAAUCCAAAAGAAACACUCAGAAUGCGACACGUGGCGAAUGGCUGAUAGCGCAUCAAGUGACGCUGAUCCUAACUAGCGUUCCCGAGGGCUAGUUAACUAGUUGCUCUCGUGGAUCGCUCCUCCUUCGAGAAGCUGGAGCCAGCGAUUUUGGAAGCUGGACCGCUUUCGAACGGGCCCUAAGUGCGUCACCUUUUCGUCUUGGGCCGGAAUUCAGCCCGUGGCAGCCACGUGCUGGUCUGCCGUAGAAAUAGCCCAGGCGGCAGCGAAACCGGUUCGCCCGUUGUGUUUUUCCUGUUUGUCGUCCUGCCCACUGCCCCCACCAGUGAUUCAGCCAAGUCGAGCGGAGGCGCCGGGCAGCUUAGGGAUCGCCGGGAACCGCCGACAGCGGCCGGGGGGUGCGUGGCCGGCGGGGACCGGCGGAUGAGUGCCUGCCGGACUCGCAAGGGAAACGGCUUGAGGUAAGGAUCGAACGCGAUUAGCACAUAUUUUCUACAGUUAUUUAGAGAAUUUUGGUUGAGAUUUUUUUUCCCCUGUUGCUGAGAAUCUGUGUUGGAUCUCCACCGACGGCGGUUGUGUAGGCUGGUUGCGUGAAUUCUCCAUUCGUAUGUUCUGAGAUUGGACCCGUAACAUGAGAAUAGUUAGGCAAGCAGUCUUUUUACUAAAUAUAUGUCAGUCGACUGUCCCCAAGAUCCCCAAAUCAAACCCCAAUGUUACAUAUGGUUUAGUCUUAGCUUGCUAAAAUAGACAAUAUACUGUAUACACCGUGUUAGACUAGUUCCAGUUAUCUGCAAGACUGCAACUGCAUUUUUCUCCUGCCGGCGAGGGCCCUGGCUGAUAGAAAAAAAAUUGACUAUGCAUUUCGCAAAUAGCUCUACGGUAGUUCAGAUGAAUCAAGAUUAGACUACUGAAACCGGUUUUACAGAGCAGUAAUUUGUGUUUCUUUCAGAGGACAAAUAACUUAUUUUACCAACUUAUUUCGCAAGCUACUCCAGAUCAGGCUACAUCACUCAUGACAUGAAUAAGCCAGUGAACUCUAUUUAAUAAAAUUGACGCGACAAUGAGGCCUCUUACUGGUAGAUUACCUUGAAAGCGUUUCGAUGUAUGGUCCUGUGUGGAACCUUUCCCUCAUCCUUCCAUUGUAAUAGCCUCAUUUGCCCUACUAGUUGGAAAUUACUUAUUCUGAUGUAAUUUGUCCCCACGGUCAUUUCAUUCUCUUAAAAGAAUGUGCCUUUGUCAGGUCACGGUAGUUUAGACUAUUGUUGCCGAGGCACACCCAAUUCUUGAUUAGUAAGCUGACUUUGUUUUAAUCAGAGUGGCCAUCACCGAAUAGACCAGCUGUAAGUCACUAGCGACAAUAGGAGAAAAAUAAGGAAGAAGAUAGACACGAUAGGAAGUGCUCCCUCCGUAAAGAAAUGUAAGCAUGUUUAUAUCACUAAAGUAGUGAUCUAAACGCUCCUAUAUUUCUUUAUAGGGGUAGCUAUUUGAAGCAGAAACCUGAUACAGUACAAGAUAAUGUAGAUCAAGGGGAUAAAACUUGAACUAAAAGAGGUAUGAAGUGGCCUGCAAAAGGCAUACAAUCACACAAAAGUGUCCAUAUAUAGCACAUUCUGAUCAGAUAGUUGAAACAUAAACCAAUUCUAUAAGAGGACAGAUUGUUGGCAAAAAAAUCACCACACUCCGAAUCAAUCUUUUGCACUUCAGAAUCACAUUCAGAUCUUCAUUGUGUCGAUGACUAGUGUCCCUUCCGCAAAAGUUUCAAAGAGUUUUGUUAGGUAAUCCUUGGUCUUUAUCUUCCUGUACCGCGCUGGCCUCUUCUUAUCCACCAGCUCCGGCACUGGCUCAAGUUCGCUCUCUGGGUCCGCCGUGUAGAACAUAACCAACGAGACCCGAUCUUGCUCUGCAUUGGUCACGGCCCUGUGAACCGGGCUCUUGAAGAACCCAUUGCUAAGUAUCUGCAUGUAUCAGGUGUAAUAGAGCUCAGCUUAGCUGUUCACAGGGCAAGAUCGAACAACUUUUGCAACUUCCUGCACACACGUACCUCCAUUGCAUCUCCUGUGUUCACAAGUAAUGCAUUCGGAACUAUUGGAACUUUGUACCAAACGCCAUUUUUCUCCACCUGGAGCCCACUGACGUUAUCGUCAAUGAAGACAACUGUUAUCACCGUGGCAUCAGUGUGGGGCUUCAGGCCUAAGACUUGGUCCGGCUUGGGACAGGGAGGGUAGUAGUUGAAUCUCGCAUAUGUGACGGCAUCCUCUUCAAUCAUUUCGACAAAGUAGUCCUCAUGUAAAUCGAGCAUCUUGGCCAGGUGCCUGAGGACAAGGCUGGCAAUCUCCCUGCACCUUACUGUGUACUCGCACAGAAUAUCUCUGAAGAAAACUGAAUGAUCAGAAUCGUUCAAUUGCUACUCAUCAGUUGACAUUUUUUUAAAUCAUGCAUAUCGAUCAUGGAUUCCUGAUAAAAUUCUAGAAGGUACCUGAAAGAAGGAGGAUGCGCGGGCCACAUGCUAUAGAUUCUCCGGGACUCCGGUUCCACUACGAGGUACAACCGGUCACUCCAGUCCAGGGUCUGCUUCUCUGAUACGACUAUGUCGUUCCCGUAUCCUUCCAUACGGAACUCCUGGCCAUCAACCAAGUUUGAGUACUUCUGCUUCUCUUCUUGUGGGAGUUUGUAAAAUUCUCUCGUCACUUUCAUCACCUCACCAAGAAAACUUGGCUCUAUUCCAUGUCCAACAGCCUGGAGAAAGAUCGGUCACCACUCUUAUUCGAUUGAUAAAAGAUAACACAAGGAGUUCAUCAGGGCAAGCUUACCAGGAAGAGGCCCCAGUUCUUCAAGGCCGACUGCAUCUUAUCAACCUCAUCAGAGCUGUUACCAGGGGCAGGCAGACAGCUGAGAUCGAUGAUUGGGAUCGGAUCGGGCAUCUCGUAACAGGCCAUGUCUGGGCGGUUUUGCUCAGGAACCACAUACUGGCUUGGUGGCUCCUGUACGCAAGUCACCAGCUCUUGCACAAUCGAGGGUAUGUUGACUAUCUUUGAUGGUUCUUCACAAGCCAUGGUUGCUUGCUACUGUUGUUUUGCUUGAGUUCCCUUGUCUCGCUUUGGCAGUUUUAUGGGCAUAGAUCUGCGAAAGCGAAUAGUUUGUUUCAAAGCAAAUGGGUAUCUUGACUUUCAAGCGCGCAGCUGGAUCCACUACUAACUCCUUUGUCCACUUCUGUAGACCCAAUUUUUAUGCGCACAAGUGAUUAGUUUAGGAUGUAGUCAUCACUUUGACCCACACGCCAAUUAGUGAGAAGCACAAACCGGUGAAAUAUAUAUAUUUGCGUGUCUGCGUAGCAAAAUACAGAGUAGUGCAUGCCACUGCCACCAAAUGCCAUGUUAUCUCUGUCCCCCCACUUGUCUUCUUAUAUAACUUGUUUUGGCUUAUUAGGUUAAUUCUUCAGAAAAAAAGAGUAGCCGCCAUCUUUCUGAUCUUUUUGGUGUUAGUUGCAGUGGUUGGUGGCUGGUCUAUUCAUCGAUAACCAUGUGGACUGAGACGGGACUGAGACAAAGACAACUUCAUCUUGCUUACUGCAACCUCUUUCUUCAAGAGAGCACAACCACCAAGGAGAGCAAGACCAGGAUCAGCAAAGAAACAUCCAAGAACUCCAAUGGCUGAUGAGUCAUGGAGGCUGCCUAGUUCAGUGCAGCAACUGGCUGCCAGCACACAGGAGCCACCAAGGCAGUACUUGCUCAGAGAGCAAGAACCGCUUGGUGGGAACCUGGCUGGUACCGAGAUGCCGGAGCCCAUUCCAACAAUCGAUCUCGGCCUGCUGUCUGCAUCCAACGAUGCGGAGGAGGCCGCCAAGCUGCGGUCGGCGCUGCAGACCUGGGGAUUCUUCAAGGUGAGAUUUCGUUUUCGAGUUUCCUGUUCUUAAGUUGUACUUUGGUCUUUGCAUUUUCGGUUCACAGUGUACUUGCUAUUUCUGUAACCAUGCGUGACCAGGUUUCUAACCAUGGAAUGGAGACCUCUCUGAUGGAUUCUGUGAUGACCACGUCAAGGGAUUUUUUCCGCCUACCGCUCGAAGAGAAGAGAAAGUACAGUAACAUAAUAGAUGGGAAACAUUUCCAGAUGGAAGGGUAUGGAACUGACCAGGUGAAAACGCAAGACCAAAGACUGGACUGGUCCGAUCGACUGCAUCUUAAAGUGGAGCCAGAGGACGAGAGAAACCUUGCCCUUUGGCCCAUACAUCCAAAAUCUUUCAGGUAAUCUGCCAGAUAC